AAGAAACGUCUUUUCUAUUAUUUACAGGUACAUCUUUUAUUCUGGUUGAUCUGGCUUGACUACUUCGACGAACGAAAGGGAAGUUCUUGCUUUUAUUUAUUGUUGGUUUAUAUUACUGUUUCAUUUUGAAAUUGCAUCAAUUAAAUUUUUGUGCUGCUACUGAUCUAUUUUUAUCUAAACUCACGUAAUUGGAUCCAUUGACCUCGUUAAAUCUCACUUUAACCUGCUUAUUUUACGUGAUUAGGUUUUGGCUAGUAUUUGAUCAUUGCUUUAUUAUUUUACAUAUACUAGCAGUACUAGCUUGUUGUAUAUAAUUUUAGUCCCAAAAUUUAAAUUAAAAAAAAAAAUUAGCUCAAAUUUUCAUUUUCCAUUAGUUGCAUUUUUUGUUCGUUGAUCUCUCUAUUGCAUGUCAUUAAGUUGCUAUUACAGUGCAUGUAGUUACAUAUUGGUCAUCUUGUCACUUCUAGCUCUAGUACCUUAAACAUGAACCCCUCACAAUUCGAUGCACUCACCCGACAAAUAGCGGCUAUUCAAACUCAAAUGACCGCUACUCUUGAAGAGAGUAAGGUCCUAUCUGCUAGUUUGAAAAAUUUUAAACACAUCCCUCAUUCGAUUGAUGUUGAUAUUGAAAAAUAAUUGUAAAGGUCGUGAUAGUCCAAGAUCUUCUUUUCCAUGUAGAAAGCAUAUGGACAAUCAUUCUUCGGUGUCAUUGGCUCCAAUUCCUCCCGUUAAGUCCCUUCUAGGACCUCCCCCGUCUGAUAUUCCUCCAAUUUUGAAAAAUAAGGGUAAAAAUUUUGAUAAUCAUCAUUUGGCUUCAUUGGCUCCACCUCCUCCCAUUAAGUCCCUUCUAGGACCUCCCCCUUCUAAUGGUUCUCCAAUUUUGAAAAAUCAGGGUAGAAUUUCUGAAACUUCAAGGUCUUCUUCUCACUUGUCGUGCGUCAACUGUAAAGACUUUGGUCACAUUUCUUCUAAAUGUCCUAAUCGAACCCUAGUCAUGAAAGAACGAAAAAAUGUAAUAGAGGAGCCGUUAGAAGAUCUAGUCUAUGAACCUAAACUUGAAGAUUUUGAUGACUUGGAUAAUAGUGAGGACACUUCCUUAGGUGGAAUCCAAACUCUUCUCGAGACUUUGGAUACUAUAUCCCUUAUCUCCGACAAUUCUCGAUCACAUGUUAUAUGUCAUACCCUUACCCAAGUUAAAGAGCUUGAUGAUGUCACCAAUCACCCUUGGAAAAUCCAGUCACCUGUGGUUAACACUAAGGCAAAAUUAUCCACCACUGACCAACCUCAAAUUGAUGGUCAAAACAAAAGUGCUAACCAAAAUCCUGACAAUUUAUUACAGUCUCUAGUCCAGAAAAAUCUUAGGAAUUGGGACUUGAUCCCUCCAAUUGUUCAAAUUGCAUAUAACGAUCCAGUGAACUGGUCUUUAGGUCUAAAAUCCUUUGAAAUUAUUCUUGGUUGCGAACCUUUGAAACUUCUAGACCUUAUUCUCAUGCACCCACAUGCUUGUGUGUCUAUGUCAGUUGAAGUAGUUGUAUCACAUUUUCAUAACUUGCAUAUUGAGAUCAAUAAACAAUUUGAAGCAAGUAAAGCAUUAUAUAAACCUUAAGUUGUUUGGCAUAAACAAUACUUUGAAUUUAAUAUUGGGGAUUAUGUUAUAUUGCAAGCGUGUAAUGCUGGUCUUUUUAAAAUUUCAAAACAUGUUGGUCAAAAUGUCUAUGUCAAUGACCUUUUAUCACAUUAUGAUCACCACCCUAUUUUAUUUGUUACGGACUUCGAUGCUUACAACGGCUAUUUUAGCCCUUCUGAUGACCCGUUUCUACUCCCACAUGAGAAUUCCCACACUGACUCUUUUGCCAUGUCUGCUUCAAUCCCACCUAUCACAGCACACAAAAAUAAAAUUGAUGUUAUUUUGGAUGAACAGCUCGUGUUGACCAAUAAUAGAGAGAUUCAAUACUUUCUUGUUCGUUGGAUGAAUCGACUUGAUUCUGACGGUACAUGGAUUCCCAAAGAGAGACUUCAGCAGCGUGAGCCAAAUUUAUUGGAGCUUUAUAAGAGUCAGCAAAAUUCUCACUCACCUAAGUUAUCUUGGUCAGCUCAUGUUUUUGCGGGUAAUUUGCAAUUGGCAUCGUCACCAUUUGUGGAAUUUCGAUAUUUGGUUCGUCAGAAAGAUCGUCCCCCAUGGCAUGACUUGGAGCCUUUAGCAUCAGAUUCAUUGCAACAUUUUGAUUUAUCCACUCGACGGGGUCGAGUUUUUCUCCCACCCCGGGAGAGUUGAUGCGGACAUCCAUUUACUAUUUAUUUUCUUUUUGGACUAUUAGUUAUAUUCUAUUUUGAUUAUUAUUUAUAUUUCUGUUAUUGGGCUUAUUUAGUGGGUUUGGCCCAAGCCCUUCUCUUUAGGGUUUGUGUUCUGCUAUUUAUUUCUGUUUUGUUUCUCAUUUGAGACAGUUGAUGAUGAAUUAGAAUUGAAAUAUUUUUGGUGGCUUGCAGCCGUUUUCUCCCUCCCCUCUCUUCCUCUGGUUUCUUCUCCUCUUCUCCCUUCUCUCUGUUUCUCCUUCCCGUUCCUUCUUCUUUCUUUCUUAUUCAUCCUACAUCAGAAACACUCUUGAAGUUCAGAUAAACACUUUAGAGGGCAAAUGCAAUAUGGCUAAUUUUUAUUUCUUUUCCCCUUUUGUGUAUUGAUUGUGUUGGAUCUUCUUGUGGACAUACAAUGAUGUAAAAGAAUAUAUUUAAUCGAUCAGAAUUGCUUUAGAAUAUAGAUUUGCUUCUUGUAAUUUGUGAAUGUUCAGUAAUUAGCACUACAUUCUAUCGUUCUAACCUUCUUGCCAGGUGUUUAGUAUCAGAAAUAAAUCCAAUUAACAAACCAGUAAAAACUCGUAAACUUUCCUUUUUCUGUUUCGUCUAUUAAAAGUUUAGCCCCUUGAAAUUUAAUUCUCGGAUUGACAUAAGUAUUAUAUUCUUUUUGUUAAUUUUGUAUUCUAAAAAUAUGUAGCUUUAUCUAUUAAUCGAAUGUCGAACAUAUGUUCGUUAGAUUUAAGCCUAUUAUUUAUAAGAAAAAUUCGCACACCUAUCCCGACUACGCUACUGAAUAUCAGUCUUCGGCUCCAUUCCUUGUUGAACAUGGUAUCUUUUAUCUCACCUCUCUGCCCUACACUUUGCAACACAAUGAUUUCUUUGAACGGCAUCACACCACAUUGUUGAGAUCGGUUUUACCUUUCUUCGCCACUCGUCUCAUUCCCUCACUCAAGUAUAUUUUCUCAUUCGAUUUCGCCAUUGCAACUAACCCCAACUCUCCCACAGUUACCUAUUGGGAUACCUCCGCCUGUUACCAGCCAUCUCAUGUCAUCGGUCAUCCCCACCUACCUAGAUCCCUUUAUACGCUACUUCUAUACCACUGUAUUCUUAGUGCCUAUUGACACUGUCCCAAAAUCUGUAUGUCCCCAAUAAUUCUCCCUAGCAACAAUAUCACCCAGCCGAUACCCGACUCCCAAGUUUCUGCCAUGUUGUUUUCCAUUAUUCACACAUGUCACUUACUUGUGAUGCUCACAUAGAGAUCUUAGAAAUGGUACCUAAUUUGCAUAUAUUUGACUUACAAAUGAGCCUCAUGUGGGUUGUGUGUUUAUAUAGUAUAUUUUGCACGAUAAAAUAAUAAUUUGUAAUAAAUAAAUUUUAGUUUUAUUUAUUUAUUGCAUUAUUUACUAUUGAGCAUUCGAAUUAAAGUGCCUAUAAUCACUUAUGAUAGUAUAAGUUGAUACUUACGUUGAGAAGUACAGUGUAGCACAACUUAUGUUUUACGAAUAAAUAAUUUAUUCACAAUCAAUGUAUAAAGGUUAGUACCUUGUACUAAAAGAUUGACGUGUUGACCGAUUUACUAUUCAGGUUUGUGAUUUGUUCUUAUCAUAAAAAUAGUUAAAGGUGACAUUGGUAUACUUGGAGUGUAUUGAAUGGACAACGCGUCGAAUUUAAUUUUCUAUAUCAUGAUCGUGCAGAAAAUUAAAUUUCACUUGAUCGUUGUAAAUUUCAUCUAAACUCUUUCACAUGAUUAAGUAUAUAUUUUCAUGAUUGUAACGGUUCUUUAAUUCAUUAAUGGGUAACAUCGAUUUGACUAGUCAAAUAUUUCGAUGAGUUGGGAACUUAAGAAUAAGCGAAAUAGAGAAUAUGAAUUCGUGUCGAAAAUCGUCACCCUGAAAAAUGAGUAGAGUGACUAUUUAAGUAUCUUUUACAAAUAACAAACUAUCAAAUUAAAGGUCAUAAAUUAACAUUUUUUAGGCCACAUUAUUUCCUGAUUACAAUUUAUUUUUUUCAUUAAUCAUAUAUUAUUUAUUGGUCACAGAUUAAUCGAUUUGAUGUUCAUAGUCAAUCAAAUAAUUUGUGACAACUACCAACAUUUGCGACCACCAUCUUAUCACUACCUCCAACAGCAGCACCACCACAUUGUCACCAGAACUACCACUACCACCUCCCGACAACAACACUAUCAUCUCAAACAAAUCAACACAUCGCAAAAAAAAUCCUUAUUUUGAAUUAGAAAUUCAUCCUAAAAACCAUUUAGGAAAUUCACGAAUCUGCCACAAAUUGAUGGUGUAUGACGGGACAUCCCAAGCCCUUAAAGAAAGGAAAUAUUAGCCCUUCUCUGAUUUUGAUUCGUUCAAAAUGACUUUUUUCUCCAACAAAUUUUCAAACCACACCUCCAAAAAAAUCAUUUUUCCCAAAAAUCACUUCUCUAAAUAUUAAAAUCAAGAAAGGGCUUCAAUUUCUUGUACUUGUGUGCAGUGCAUUAUUUGAAGAAUGGGUUUAUUGCUUACACUAAGUUCUGUUAUUGCUGUCACUCACGUAUCUAUCAUCUUAAUCCAUAAGAAGCUCCUGUAUUGUGAAAUUUUGAACAUAUAAUUCUGCCUUUACUUGUCAUAGCUGAGCAAAUAUAGAAUAUUUACUCGCAGGGGCGGAACCAGACAGUUCGAAUUGUGGGAUCAAAAAUGAAAAUUUUUUUUCGAACCACGUAUCACGAACAAAAAGGAGAAAUCGGUGGUUUGCUAUUUAUGUUCGAUGUUUACACCUUGGGAAGAAAUUGAUGGAUUAUAUGAUAUAUCUAUGGACUAACUAAUAGAUAUGGACCAUGUGAUAUGAAUUUAGAUUUAUGAUUUGGACUUUUUGGGCAUUGGGCUAGGAAAUUAAUUGGGUUGGUCACUUGGCUGUUGGGAGCAGGCAGUAGGAGAGAAAAAAAUUACGUUUUCAACAGCAGAGGAGAAAAAAAAAAUCCAAAAAACUAUGAGGUCAUUGGACCCACAUGACCCCAUGUGGGUCCGCCCCUGUUUACUCGUAUAUAUUGAUUUUCUGCUAUUUCUUUUGCAUUAUAAUGUUUGUCUGGCAUCGAGCUGGGAAUACCAUAAUUUAACUCACAUUUUCUUCUGCCUUGUUACAGGAACUGUUGGCAAGGCAUAAGUCAAUGGUAGCUGAGUUUCUUUCUAAAAAUUAUGACUUGGUGGGUGGCUUGUAUUUAAGUAAACUAUAUCAUUGUUGAUAAGCAUCUUCACCCGUUCAUUGCUGUACACAUGUUAAGACAAUGUCUUCUUCAUUCCAAUGUUUUAUGCCCGUCACUUGUUCACUAUUAAAUUCUUGAGUUUUGCUACAGGUACUCGAAGUUUGACACUCUAGUUUACCUGCUACUCAGAUGGGGGAUUAGGGACUCAUGCCAAUAAAUGUGUGGGGUCCGACCCCCUCACUCACACAGGUAACCCGACGUGUCAAACGUUGGGUACAAUUAAUAUUUUCCUGAAUUCUUAGAGAAUUUCUAAGAAAUUCUUUAAAUAUAAGUUGCUCUCUAUUUUAGAGAGUCAAUCCUUUAACUAUAUUCCAAUAGACUCUUUUUUAACUUUUUAAAUAGAAAGUAAGAUAUUUGUACUUUAUGAUAAUUGCAUUAAGCCCUCUUUGAGCUCCAUCCUUUGAAAACUCAUUUUUCCCUAAUUCAUUUUCAUCCAUACAUUCUUUCAAUAAAAUAAUUUUACAAGUAAAUUCAAAUUUUUUUUUUUUUUUUUGAUAUAUGCCUUAGAAGUUGACCGUUUGACUGAGUUGUUUUAAAAAAAAAAAAAAAAACCCUUUUUGCCUAGUGGCAUUUUUUCCUUUGUUAAAUUAUUUAAUCUUGACCUCACACAAGGCUAAGUUGUGACUGUGGCAUGGAGGGUUUUUGGUCUGUCUCUUUUAUAUGGGAUUAAUCCUAUUCUACACACAAAUGUGCGCAGAUUAGGCAUUCUCAAAAUUUCUUGGUUCAUCUCUUUAGAUCUCUAAUGAAUUUUGUGAUUUAUAUUUGGUGUAGACAAGGAGAGGAUACUCUGUCUCCCAAGAUGAAUUGUUUGGAGGGGACUCAUAUAGAAUAAUGGAAAAUGUUGUGUGUACAUUUUUACACUCCUCCCACAUGGAGGAGGGCUUACAAAUAUUUUAUUACAUGUGGGUCUCCCUCCAUGUGAAGGGGUGUAAAGCUGUGUAUACACCAUUGUAUACACAUAACACAACUCAUAAAUUAUAAUAAAAUAUAUGUGGGUCUCCUCCAUGUGAAAAUGGUGUAAUGCAUUAUUAUUUACACAAAAAAUGUAUAUGUAGCAUCACUCUUUUUGUGUGUUUGAGUCAUAUUAUUUUUAAAAAAUGUAUUUUGAAAUAAGAUAUUGAUGGAGAAUGUGUGGUCAAAAAAUAAGAAAAAUUUUUGGAUUUAUGUGUAAUAUUAUUUUAUUAAAGAUUGUAUAAUUGAAAUGAUAUCAAAUCACCAUAUAUAUAUAUAUAAUUUUUUUUUAUUCAAAUAAUGCAAUUCAAACGGGCCUUAAUAUAAGUCAUCACUCCACCAUGCCACUUGAUGCCAGUAGAAAAUUAUACAAUACUACUCGAAAUUUCAUACCAAUGACAUGUAACCCGCUACCGUUUUGUCCCAUCCCUAGCAAUAAAUAUAUAAUUAAUUAAAUCACAAAUUACAUAACUGUUAGUUCCAUCACUUCCACUCACUGCCAUUUGCACCGAUACAUCCAUACUGAUUUUUAGCUAGUUGUAGACAGUAUGAUCGGAUCAAACCAAAAUCGAACGAUUCGAUUCGAUUUGAUUCUACAAAAAAUUAAUGAUUUUAGUAUUUAUUCAAUGAAUUAUACCAAAAAAUAAACUUUGAAAGUUACAAAUGUGAAAUGGAAAAAAUGUUAUUUUUCAUUACAUUUUAGUAUUUUUACCUUAUCACCUAUCAGAUAAAGCAAUCAAAUCCUAGAUCUAAAUUCUAAUUUAUGUAAAAGAAUUGAUUGGGCGGAGCAUGAAAAUGGAACUUUAUAUUAUUAACUCUUAUUAGCAACUUGUUCAUCUAUAUUAGUAUAUCAUUGUUUUUAGACAAUAUUUUGUAUGGGGAUGGAACUGGACGCUUGUGUAUUCAAAUUAUGACUGUUUUAUUUGUUAGUUUGAACAUUUGUAAAUGAAUUUUAUUACACAAUAUUGCAUUUGAUGAUUGAUAAUUUUAAUGUUUGAUGUUUAUUUUUUUGAUUUAGAUAUAUAUAAUAUAUUACUAAUUUAUGAAUGAUAGAUUUUAAUUUGCAUUUAUCAUUUGAAAAUUUAAGUAAUGAAAUAGAACCAAACCAAAUCAAACAAGAACUGAAUGGUUCAACUCCGAUUUGGUUUCAUAUCUUAAAAAAAAAAAAAUGUAAAAUCAUUGGUCUCAUUAUUAAAAAAAUCAUUGGUUCAUGGUUAGAAUCGAUGGUAUUCUCUUGGAAUCAGUACUAAAUGGAACUAUAUCCACCCUAUUUUUAACCCACUACCAGUAUUUAUGAGUCUAGACUUACUGUUUCACUACCGAUUGUUGUAUUCAUGUCAUCCACAGUGACAAAAGAAAAAGCAAUCUCUACCAAAACAUCCGAUGAUUCCGAUCCAACCCUCUUCACUUCAUUUACGUGCCAUCAUAUUACCCAUAGCAUGGUGCAAAUAACCUCCAGGAUGUCCUGUUUCACAUCUCUAAAAAAGUUCAAAAUCGAGUCAUAUUUGUAGACAUGCAUCCUGGGAUUAUGCCCCACAAGGAUGAACUGUUUUUUACUAGUCAUCGUGCUUGUUUUGCAACUACUGCCUGGUUGAAAUUCAAGAGAUUCCAGAAUUGCAUUGCCCCUUCUACUUUAUAAUUGUACACAAGUGGUCCCAAUUUUUCUUAGCUAUUUCUUGAGAUCCACCACCAAAAAUUCUGAAUAAUGGCACAGAGGUCAUAUCUACUUGUCUAUGACAAGAAUAUUUUGGAUUCUUGGUCCUUUAGCAGCCCCUACUGUUUUCUUGUUCACUUAGAGCCAACAUGUCUUUUUCAUCCAUAACCAUAUAUUCCUCCUUGGAAUGUACCAUAUGAGAGGAAUAUGAACAAAAUGAUUGAAAUUUACAUGGAAUUUCUUGCCAUUGAACUUGCCCUAGAAAUCUAACAUGAAAAUUUUCUUAAACAACAAACGGACUCAAAGAUUUUCUUACGUCCUCCAUUGUUGGCUUGGCCUAGAGAAUUCCUUGUCAAUAUCGUAUAGAUAUGGAGAAGAGAAACUCAACAUUCAUUAAUAUUGGAAUUCAAAUUACAAUUAGGGCUUGUUUGAUAGGUUCCAUUUUACAUGGAAAAUGGAAUUUUCCACCAUUUUGGUAUGUUUGAUAGCCAAAAUUUUCAUGGAAUUGGUUUUCCAUGGAACCCCCCCACAUGAUCUGUUUUUCUUGCUCUUUAAGGAAAAUCAAUUCCUUUGGUUUUGAUGGGAAUUAUGUUUUCAUUUUUAUUUUUAUUUUUCAUUUUCUGGUAAUGAAAACAAAUUCUAUUUACAAUUGUAACAAAUUAUAUCCCUUUAAUUGAUAAUCUUCAUGAAAAAUAUUGCCAAAUGAACACCUAAAGAUUCAAAAUUUCAACAUUUUUGCAGGUGAAAAAUUAUACCAAUCAAACACAUUUAAUUGUCAUUUCCUAGUAAAACAAAUUCUAGACAAUUCAAUUCUCCGAAAUUCGUUUUCUUUCCACCAAAAUUCUGUUCUUGUAAUCAUACGGACCCUUAUAUAAGAUCUAAUUGACAAUAGGAAAAACGUAUUGUCAAGACAAAUCAAUUGCUACAUUUUAUACCAUAAAAGCAAAAAAGAAGAUAGCUGGGAAGUAAUUCACAAGUAACAAAGCAGUGCAAUGCUAAGUACAAAAGGAAACAACCCAUCCUAUCUUUCUCUAAACCAGGCACACCUCGCAACACCUAUCUAUCUAUAUGUAGAAAAUUGGUACAAAACAGAAAACUUAAUAGAAUGCAACACACUUGGUUAUUGAUCAUUUACCACUUAUUUAUUGUAGUUAAAAGAGUCUGUAUAACUCCUAAAAAGCUAGAGUACGAGAUAUCAAUUGAUCACAAGAUAAUGACAAUAUAAGAUAUCAACUAAGUACAUGAUAUGGACUAUAAGAUAAUUACAAAUAUUUACAAGUAAACUCCAUAUCAGUUUAUUAUUUGAUUUAUCUCUAAAAUGCACCCUCAAAAUGGCGGUACUAUGACAACCCCAAAAUUUCACUUCAAUUUUUUAAAACAAGUAUUAUAUCUUCAAGGCAGGCUAUUGAUACCAAGAAGAAGAAUUAAGAGUGUGCUUGAUUACAAGCAUGGAACUUACAUGGAGAGCAAAUAAGUUCUAAGCAAACUGUCUAGAACUUAUUUAGAUGAAAAUUGUCAAUUAAAUAUAUUGAAUUGGCUUAACUUUUUACCUAGAAAAUGUUGUUUUUUUUUGAUAAAAUUAAGUUUUUGUGAUGUGAAAUAGGACAGAUUGUUCACUGUUUUUUAAACCACUUUUCAAACUUAUUUUCAAGGAUCAUUUCUUGAUAGAAAUAACAAGAAAACAAAUUACAAUCGCCUUUGAAUAGUUAUCUAUCCCUUUGAGUUUACUUUUACUCAGGAUAAUGUGGGUACCAAUUAAAAGGAAGUAGCGACAUGAAGCUCGUAAACUAAAAUUGAGCGGAAGACAUGAAAACAUAAACCUCUACCUUCAUUUAAUUGGUUUAAAUUUAUGACAUUACAAAAGAUUUUAAUAAGGUAUCCCAACUUGUACAAAGACUUAAUCAAGAUAUUAAGAUGUCUAAACGCGAUUAUAAUUAAAAUCCUUCUUGCACAUAAAGCCCGAGGUCCUUGAGGAUAGUAAGACCAAACAUUCUUCUAGGGGAUCAAAUGGUAUUCUCGCUUCCACCUUUAAAUAUCCUCACUCCAAUUCCAACAUGAAUCAUGAAACAAUUACGAAUAUUGAUGUCCGAUGAGUAAAAUACGGAACACGUAAGUUAUAUAAUUGCAUAACAAAAUCAUAAUAUCAACUAUUGUAAAAGAUAAGUUUUUUAGGGUUUAGAAGUGAAUGACAAUUAUACUCUUACAGCCCUAGAAGAAAUUGCUGUUGUAUUUCUGAUUCUGUUCUAUAAAUAUAGGGCUUUAGUUUUUAAUAAAAUAUAUACAAGUCUAUUGACUUCUCUCUAUUAUGUUCUCUUUUAUAACACGUUAUCAGCAUGAUUCUCUUAGAAUGUAAUAAUUUUCUUAAGUAUGAUUAUAAUGUGUACUGAAAUUAAUUUGACAACACGUGAAUAUCCAUAUCAAUAUGCUCCAUACGAAAAGCGUUCCACUGCAAUCAAUUCUUUUACAAAUCUACCAUCACAAUCAAUUCUACAAUUGUGCAUAUUAGUGCCCAACUUUUGUGUGUCUGCCAAAUCAAUUAUCAUGCAGCCAUUCCAUGUUUUAUUUAGUCAAAAUAUAUUAUUUUAUUGUGAUUAUGAUUACUUUUUGUUUGUUUGUUAAUGCUUGUUAGUUUUUACACGUAAUUCCACGGUUUCGGCAAUACGUUUACUAUUGCCUUUUAAUUCAUGAAGCAAUUUAAUUUAGACCAUGACUUUGAUUCAUGCCUAUAUAGUUUAGUUAUUGUUUCAUAUGAGAAUUUACAUCACAAUAUUAAUUAAGUAUUUUUCGACAUUCCCUUUCUUUAUUCAAUCUGCCACAAUUUGUGUGUGGUAAUGAUUUAUUGUUUACUAAUUAUUUAUUCACUGCGUGUCAUAUGCAGUAAUGAUUACCUUAAUUAAUAAUGAAAUAUUUUUAUUUCUGUUGUAUGCAUAGUUAAUAUUCUACUCCUGUAUUUUUUACUAGAAAUUAUGUCAUAGUCACUGUCUAUUAUGUUCACCACAUAAUGAUUUAUUUUGCAAAUUUGCUAAUUAAUUUUUUUAACUUGAUCAAAUACUUUUAGAUGCUCUUCUUUAAACUUAAAUUAAUAAUUCAUCAUGUUGUUACUCUUGAAAUAGUAUAACAUUAUAAUUAAUAUUACAGGAGAAUAUUAAUCGAAAAUUUAUCUAUUAUAAAUAGUCUAUUGAUGCUCAUGAAGUAGCACAAUAUUAUAAUUGAUAUUCUUGAAGAAUAUUUCUUACUCUCGAAGAGCAUAAAUUAUAUUACUUACUAUUGCUCUUGAAGAAGCAAUAGUAAAAUACAUUAUGCUUUCGAAAUAGCACGUGUUUCGAAGAACAUAUUAUUUUAAAUUAGUGUUUAUCCCUGAAAGAAAACAUGUAACUUAUGUCAUGUUGACUACUUGAUUAAUUAUUAUAUGAUGUUUAAUCAUAUUCUUUGAAAUUAAUUGCAUUUUCUUUUACUUUAUUAUAUAGUUAAUCAAAUGGCAAAUAUCAUGGAACUCGAGUUUGCUGCACUUGAUAUAUCUGAAAAAUUAUCUAUCAUGGGUACUCGAUGCUGAUAUUUAUCUUGUCUCAAAAGAUUUGGGAGAAAUAAUAAAAGAAAGAAACAAAGAAUCCCCACAGGAUCGUGCAAAAGCACUCAUCUUCCUUCGCUAUUAUCUUCACGAUGGAUUGAAAUUGAAUAUCUUAUUGAAAAAGAUCUACAGGUUCUUUUGAAAAAAAUUAACUGAAAGGUUUGAUCAUCAGAGGACUAUAGUUCUCCCCAAAACCUGCUAUGAGUGGAUGUAUCUUCAUUUGUAAGAUUUCAAAACUGUUAGUGAGUACAAUUUCAAUGUUCAUAAUAUGUUCAAAAUUGACUUUGUGUGGAGAAAAAAUCACCGAUAAAGAUAUGUUGGAGAAAACCUUUUUUCACCUGUCACGCCUGGAAUGUACUCCUGCAGCAGCAAUAUCGUGAGCGUGGUUUCAAAAAGUACUUAGAACUUAUAUCUUGCCUACUUGUAUCGAACAGAAUAAUGAGUUGCUUAUGAAAAAUCAUGGGUUACGUCCAACUGGUUCAGUACCAUUACCUGAAGCAAAUGCAAUAUCAAGACAAGGACGUGAACAUAAAUGUGGAUUUGGACAUGUAGGUGGAGUAAAUUAUGGACGAAAUAAUCAACAAAAUUAUCGACAAUAAGUCAACAAUUUCAAAAGGCUUUGAGCAAACGAAAGUAGCAUAUCUAAAAAGGUACACGAAAAAAGUUACUUUAGAUAUGGAAUAAAAGAACAUUGGACACGUACAUGUCGUACCGCAAAACACCUUGUGGAUCUCUACCAAAAAUCAAUCAAGGGAAAGGGGAAAGUGAAGACAAAUUUUGCUGACUAUGAUGGUCCAAUUGAUGUGACUAAUUUGGAUGUCUCCCAUUUCUUUACUGACCCAUAUGGGAAUAUUGACAAUUUGAUAGGGAGUGGUGUGAUGAAAAAUAUAUAUUAAUUUUUUCUAUAUUUUUAGUAUUUCCCUUUAUUUUAGAAACUUAGUUGAAAAUAUAUUUUUACUUUUCGCAAAAAUUUUGAACUUUAUACACAUCAUUAAUUUCACAGUAUUAAUUAUGUUUAUCAUUUUAAAUUUAAAUUCAAGUUUUUUUUAAAUAUAUCUAAUUUGUUAUAUUGAUAGAUUCAUGAUAGAUUGUCAAGACAUCUGCUUGUUUGAUAGUGCAACUACACGUACAUUUUUCAAGAGAAAAAAUAUUUUUUUGGCUUAACAUUAGAAGAAAUCAAUGUCAAUACAAUAUCAGGUGCAUCAAAUAUUGUUGAAAGUUCAGGAAGAGCUUAUAUUAUUUUACCAAAUAAUACAAAAAUAUGCCAUCGUUUGAGCCACAUUAUUUUCCUUAAAGUACAUUUUUGAAUAGUGUAUUGAUGAAUAAUGUGUGGUUAAAAAAUAAAGAAAAGUUUUGAAUUUGUGUGUAAUAUUAUUUUGUUGAACAAUGUGUAGUUGAAAUGAUGUCAAAUUACUGUUUAAAAUGUAUUUUUUGUAAAAAAAAUUUUGCUCAAACAUGCCUUAUAUAUCAAGAAUGCAUUUUGUUUUAGCAAAUCGAGAAGAAAUUUGCUUAAUUUUAAUGAUAUCCAUUGCAAUGGAUAUCAUAUUGAGAUGACGCAAGAAAAUAAUGUUGAAUAUCUUUACAUAACUUUUUUUGUAUCUUGUCAAAAGCAAAUAAAAGAAAAUUUUCUUACACUCACAUCUAGCAUAUAUUAUACAUUUAUAAAAAUAUUUAAAUCAAUUAAUGUCACGAAUUAGAAGUUCGUUGACCCAAAGAAUUUUAUACUUUGUCAUGAUCAACUUGAACAUCUAGGAGUUAUAAUGAUGCGUCAAAUAAUAAACAACUCACAUAGCUAUCCUUUAAAAAAUCAGAAGAUUCUUUUACCAAAUGAUUGUCCAUGUACAGCUUGUUCGCAAGGCAAGUAGUCAUUAAACCUUCGAUUACAAAGGUCAAUAUUGAAUCUCCAACUUCCUUGGAAAGAAUUCAUGAAAAUAUAUGAGGGCCAAUACACUCACCUGGGACCAUUUCGUUAUUUUAUGGUAUUAAUUGAUUCUUCUACUAGAUGGUGACAUUAUUGCCUACUUUCCACUAAGAAUGUAGCCUUUCCUAGACUACUUGCUCGAAUUAUAAAAUUACGAGCACAAUUUUUCGAUUACUCAAUUAAAACUAUUCGCCUUGACAAUGCUAGAGAAUUUAGAUUAUGAGCAUUGAGUGAUUAUUGUAUGUCAAAUGGGAUUGUAAUAAAACACUCAUCUGCGCAUGUCCAUACACAAAAAUGGUUUGGGGAAGUCGUUUAUUAAACAUCUACAACUUAUUGUUAGACCAUUAUUUACAAAAACAAAACUCUCAACUUCUAUUUAUGGUCACGUCAUAUUACAUGCUGCAUCAUUGGUUCGUAUUAGACUAACUACCUAUUAUCAAUAUUCACCUUUGCAACUGGCAUUCAUUAUGAACUUGAUAUUUCUCACCUAUGGUUUUUUGGUUGUAUAAUCUAAGUCCCUAUUUCACCCCCCUCCCCCACAACGAACUAAAAUGUGUCCCCAACGAAAACUUGUGAUUUAUGUUCGUUUUGAUUCACCAUCAAUUGUUAGGUAUCUUGAGCCUUUAAGGGUGAUUUAUUUACUACAUCUUUUACAGAUUAUCAUUUUGAUGAAAUGAAUUUUCCAAAUUUGGGAGGAGAAGAACUAUAUCCUGAAAAUAAGGUAAAAUUACUUGGAAUGAAACAACUCUAUCUCAUUUUGAUCCCCAUCGCAAUCAACGUGAGUAAGAGGUUGAAAAAAAUCAUUCAUUUACAAAGAGUUACAAAUCAAUUACCUAAUAUAUUUGUUGACAAAAAAAAGUGACAAAGUCAUAUAUAAUAGUAGAAAAUAUUUCAGCAAAAAUUGAUGUCGUUACAGGUCGAUCUGCCGUAACAAACGAAUCUCAAAUACGCCAGAAGCAUGAUUGACCAGUUGGUUCAAAAGACUCUGUACCUCGAAAAAGAAAGGUAGAGGAGAAAAAUCAACCAAAAACUUUAGAAAAAGUAAUAUUAGAAAAGAUUGAUCAAUCAAAUAUUAAAGAUAUAGUUCCUGAAAAAUCACAAGUGUCCGAAAAUAAUGAGAUUUCAAUAAAUUAUAUAUUAUCUCAUAAAUUAUGGGAACGAAAUAAUAUUAUUAUAAACAAUAUUUUUGCCUUUAAUAUGGCGCUUGAUAUUAUGAAAAAUGAGGAUCCUGAAACACGGUUAGUUAAAAACUGCCAAAAUAGAAAUAAUUGGCCAAAUGGAAAGAAACCAUACUGGUGGAAUUGAAUUCCUUAGAGAAACAAAAAGUGUUUGGACCUGUAGGUCGAACACUUGAAAAUGUAAUCCCUGUUGGAUAUAAAUGGAUUUUUAUACGAAAGUGAAAUGAAAAUAAUGAAAUUACAAGGUACAAAACCCGACUAGUAGCUCAAUGUUUCUCACAAAGACCAGGAAUUGAUUACGAGAAAACAUAUUCUCCCGUAAUGGAUACCAUCACUUUUAGAUUCUUAAUUAGUUUGACCAUGUCACAAAAGUUUGAUAUGUGUCUUACGGAUGUAGUAACAUCAUAUUUGUAUGGUUCACUUGAUAGUGACAUAUAUAUAAAAAUCCUUGAAGGACUUAAAAUACCGGAAACAAAAGAUACAUGCCCAAGAACUAUGUUCUCGAUUAAAUUGUAAAGAUCAUUACAUGGAUUAAAACAAUCCGAACGCAUGUGAUAUAAUCGUCUUAGCGAAUAUUUGUUGAAUGAGUGUUAUAAUAAUGACGUUGUCAGCCAUGUGUUUUCAUAAAGAAAACAUACAUUGAAUUUGCAAUUGUGAUAGUUUAUGUUGAUGAUUUAAAUUUAAUUAAAAUUUUUGAAGAGCUCAAUAAAACUGCUGAUUAUUUGAAAAAUGAUUUUGAGAUGAAAGAUUUGGAAAGAGUUCUCAGAUUGCAGAUUGAACAUUUUAUAGAUGGAUUAUUUGUUCACCAAUCUACGCAUACAGAAAAAGUUUUAAAAUGCUUUUAUAUGGAUAACGCACAUCCAUUGUCACCACUUAUGGUUGUUUGAUCACUUGAUAUGAAAAAUAAUCCAUUCGCCUACUUGAAGAUGGAGAAAAUGUUCUUAGUCUUGAAGUACUAUAUAUUAGUGCAAUUGGAGUAUUAACUUAUUUUGCAAAUUGCACUAGACUUGAUAUAGCUUUUUCUAUAAAUCUCCUUGUAAGAUAUAACACUAUACCAACUCAAAGACAUUGGAAUGAUGUUAAACAUAUUUUUCAUGACCUAAAUGGUAUUAUUGAUUUGGGAUUAUUUUAUUCUCAAAAGUCAGGAUCUGCUUUGGUGGGAUAUGCAGAUGCAGGUUAUCCAUCUGAUCCACAUAAAGCUAAAUCACAAACAAGUUAUGUGUUUAACGUGGAGGAAUGACUAUAUCAUGGAGAUCUAUGAAACAAUUCUUGACAACUACAUCUUCAAAUCAUUCUGAAAUUAUUGCAAUCCAUAAAGUAGGUUGAGAAUGUGUAUGGUUGAGAAAUAUAACCCAUCAUAUCCAAACAUCAUGCAGGUUAACUUCAACAAAUAAUAGUCCAAUAAUUUUGUACGAAGACAAUGCAGCUUGUGUUGCAAAACUUAGAGGAGGCUAUAUUAAAGGUGACAAGACAAAGCAUAUUUCUCCAAAAUUCUUUCAUAUACACGAACUUCAAAAAAAUGGUGACAUCGAUAUUCAACAAAUUCACUCAAGUAACAAUAUGACCGAUUUAUUCUCAAAAGCACUGUCAACAUCUAUGUUCAAGAAAUUAGUUCAUGAAAUUGGAAUGCGUCGACUCAAAGAUUUUCAGUAAUUAAAAUCAGGGGAAGUAGCUGUACUUUUUUUCCUUCGCUUAGGUUUUAUUCCACUGGAUUUUCCUAACAAUGUUUUAAUGAGGUGACAUUUAUUUAUAAUACUCCAAAAUAAUUGUACUCUCUUUCCUUCAUUUUGAUUUUUUUCCAUUAGGUUUUUAUUAAAGGUUUUAACGAGGCAAAUAUUUUGUAAUGUGUCAUUCAAGAGGGAGUAUUGUAAAAGGUAAGUUUAUUAGAGUUAAGAGGUGAAUGAUAAUUAUACUCCUACAACCCUAAAAAUGAUUAAUGUUCUACCCAUGAUUCUACCCUAUAAAUAUAGGGUUUUGGUUCUUAAUAAAAUACACACAAAUCUAUUGACUUCUCUCUGUUCUCUUCUCUUUUAUAAUAUCAACAUUAUUUAAGAUAAGAUGAGAUCAAAAUAGAUAUGCACGACAUUUCUUGGCCUAUGCAUCAUAAUGACUCAAAUUGCUCAUAGAUCACUUAUUUUUCUUUGGGGAAACUUACUUCAAGACACAUAUGAACGCGUAAUAUGCAUUACUAACAUGCAUGUAACAAAUCCCAACUUAAUAUACAAAAAUUCGUAAAAGAGGUUCGUGCAUGUGGAAUAACUUCAUCAUGUAGUAUAAGAAGCUCAUGACUCAAAAAUUUCUAACAUAAAUAAUAAAUACACUGUUGAAUAUUGGUUGUUAAAAAAAUUAAUAAAAGUGUAUGAUACGAUGAAUGGAAUGUAAAGUAAAAUUGGAAGCCAAAAUUUUGGCCUAUGCGGUGGGGUUGUGGUCGCAUGGUAACAUAUAGGUGCAAAGGCAGAAAGGAGCUUGACUGCAAGACCCAUUCAUUGAGCAGGGAUGAAAGUCGACCUUAAUGAUCCGACGACGCCGAGUAAAUGCCCUGCAUGACUUUGUUCUAUGCAACCGCAUAAGAUUGUUCUAUGCGGUCUCAUAGAACAUUCUACAAGUCAUUAAUGACCAUUUUUGUUUGAAUUUUGGGCGGCCUUUCAUAGGUGUUGGCUAAAUAGGAGAUAGACUAUCAAUGUAAACACAUAAAAAAAACACUUGAAAAACAAUUGUAAUCAUUGUUUCCAUUUUACAAGAGAAUCAAAAUCUUCCUUCUAUCAUAUUCAUAUUUUAAUUUGUGUUCUCAAGUUUUGGAGGACUUCACUAAAUGUUCUAAGUGUUAAAUCCUUUACAAGGCUUAAUAAAUCCUAAAAUCUAUUUGCUAAAAUCCCUUUAAGCAUCAAAUUCAAUUCAGUAUGGGGUAAAUAUCAUUUGAGAACAACGAUUAUGUGUUCAAGCUUUCAUAUUCUUUUUCACUCUUUUGUUUUGGUUAUUUAUUUCUUCUCCAUUCCUUACUGUGUGUAAACCAUAUUUCUAACAAUCUCAAUCGAUAGUUUUGGAAUGGAUAGUGAAACUACUAUGGCGAUGAUCAAGUUAAUUAAUUAAGAUCUCGUUCAUUUUGACUGUUCUGAUGAUACAAAUUUCACAAGAUGGCAAGACAAAUUGAAGUUCCUACUAACAGUGUUGAAGAUAUUCUAUAUCCUUGAUCCAGAUUCGGCAUUAUUACCAGAACCAAUUAAUAGAUAACCGACGCUGUAAGAGCCAAAAUAUAAAAGCAUCGAGAAGAUAAACUUAUAUGCCAUGGCUAUAUUCUCAACACUCUAUCCGAUUGGUUGUAUGAUCUAUACACCAACACUUCUUCUGGAAAGGAAAUUCAUAACGCUUUGGAGAGUAAGUACAAAGCCAAAGAAGAAAGUACUAAGAAAUUCCUAAUUUUGAAGUACUUUGGCUUUAAAUGUUUUGAUAAUAUUCUCAUUAUUUUCCAAGUACAAGAAUUACAAGUCCUUGUCAACAAGUUGAAAUCUCGAAAACUUUUCAAGUAUGAGCAAUUAUUACGAACCUAUUGGGAACUUGAAAAGGAUGUCAAAAGAAAAUUAUGCAUAGUUCCGAAGAUUACUCUUUGAAACAAUUGUAGAAUCAUCUUCACAUUAAGGAAGAGUCUAGGGUGAGAAAUAAGAAUGGUGAUUCCUAUGAAGGCACUUCCAAGUCCAAUGCUGUAAAGAAAAUUUAAUCUUCAAACAAGCCCAAUAAGUGAAAGCCUUGAAGGAACUUUAAAAAGUUCAAGAAGAAGUACAAAAGUGGUUGUUUUGAACAUGGAAAACCUGGACAUUAUGCAAAAGAAUGUCCACACCGGAAACAAGACAACUCCGAAGAAAAGGUAAACUCCAUGAACGAAGACAAAAUUGUGGACAUUGUAAUCGAGAUUAAUACAAUCAAAAGAAAAAUUCCUAGAUGGUAGUAUGAUACCUGUGCAACUGUGCAUGUAUCGGAUGACAAGUCUUUAUUCAAGACUUAUUAUGAAGUCGAUAGAAAUCAAGAGAUUCAAAUGGGUAACAAAGUCCGCUCCAAGGUGGUAGGAAAAGGAAAUGUAGAGGUCAUCUUCAUUUUCGACAAUACUAUUUACCUUAACAAAUGUGUUACAUGUUCCUGAUAUGAAUAAGAACUUGAUUAGUGAUAAUCUCUUAGGAAAAUUGAGUAUAAAAAAUGUUUAUGAGUCUGACAAACUUAUACUAUCCCUAAAUGGGUAAUUUGUUGGAAAAGAGAAGAUUUCCUUCUUAUAUGAGAAAAUGAUCUUUUUCAAAAGGAAAAAUCUUUUCAUAAAACUAAUUUUUCUAAGUUAAGAAAGUAUCCAAAGAAAAAGAAUUUAAUAAAUUCAAUUACUUCAAAAAUUAUUUGUUUGAAAUGUAAUCAAAUAGGUCAUUGUUCAAAUAAAUAUCAUAUAAAGGGAAAGAUUAAUAAUCUUCAAAUUGAUGAAGAUGUUAAACUUGAACUUCUCAAUUCGAUCAAGUUUAGUUCAGACGAUGAAUUUGAUUCUCAUCUUCAAAAAGUUCAUCAACAUCAAGAAGAUUCGGAUGUUGAAACUAGUUCAAACUCAUCUUCAUCCUCCGAUCAAGAUAAAGAAAUUUGUUGCCGAUGUUCUUACGAAAGAAGAACUAAUUUAAGAAAUAGUAGAUAAAAUUGAAGAUCUUCAACUAAAGAAAAUGUUCUCCUCUUAUUCCUUCAAAAUCUUAAGAGCCAUUUAAUAUGCAAAAUAUAUUAAAUCAGUUUAAACAUGAAUCUUCAAAUGUUUCAAAAACUUCUACUUCUGAUUUAAGAUCAGAGGUUAAUGAUAUGAAAUCCCAAAUUUCCAUUCUUGAACGUCAAAUGAAAGAUUUUAGAAUGGAAGUUGCAUUUUUAAAAGCAAAAGAUUUAGAGCAAGAAUACAAUACUAUACAAAAAUCUAAAUCUUCUUCAGAAUUAUCUUCUUAUGACAACGAUACUUCUCAUGUGUAUCAUGCAAAUUCUCAAUCUAAACAAAAUGUUAAUGUUAUUAAUCGUAUUCAACUUCAGAAAUGGUAUUGUACCAUGACUAUUGUGAUUAAUGAGGAAUUCAAAUUUACUUCAAAAGUUUUAAUUGAUUUACGAGCUGAUGAAAAUUGUAUAAGUUAAGGACUAAUUCCUACAAAUUAUUUUGAGAAAACUACUGAGCGUAUUUACAGUGAUAGUGGUAGAAAACGCAAUAUUGAAUAUAAACUUUUGAAAGCUCAUGUUUAUAAUUCAAAUAUAUAUUUUAGAAAUACUUUUUAUCGGGUAAGGGAUUUAGAUCAAGAAGUAAUUCUUGGCACACCUUUUAUAGUUCAAACUUAUCCUUUUCAAGCAAACACAAAAGGAUUAACUAAAAAAAUUUUUGGUCAAAAUAUAUAUUUUUAUUUUACAAAUCCUCAUUUUUAUAAAGAUGUUAAUUCACUAAAAGAAGCGUCAAUUUCAAAAUUGUCAAUAAUAUUAAUCUCAAGAAAAAUCAUAUUCAAUUUCUUAAAGAAAAAAUUAAACUUCAAUGAAUUGAAGAACAAUUACAAAAUUCUUCAAUUAAAGAAAAAUUUCAAAUUUUUUAGAACAAAUUGAAAAUGAAAUAUUUUGGACUAUUCCUAAUGCUUUCUAGAAUAAAAAGAAACAUAUUAUUUCUCUUCUUUAUGUUCAUAAUUUUCUUGAAUCUAUGAUUCCUACAAAAAUCUCUUCCUAUUCAAAUGAAUAAUGAAUUACUUGAUUUUCAUAUAAAGGAAAUCAAAGAUUUACUGGAAAAGAAAAUUAGUCGUCGAAGUAAAUCUCCACCAAUAAAGUGUUUGAGUAUUGAAUAAGAGUAUUGAAAUAGUCACUUUUACCCUUAGAAUUAACAGCACUUAUUGUGUCGCGAUCCUCAUUAAUGAGAUAAAUAUUCCACCAGUUUUUUAAUUGUCUAGUGAAACAUUGAACUAAAUUUGAAAUAGAGCCAUAUUCAUCCGUUCCUCCGCAAUAUAUGCAGCAUGAGCAACUGCCAUAUUUUCGUGAAAAUUAAUAAUUUGAUAUUUUGUUGUACUAUAUAUCAAGAUUCCAUUCAAUGAGUUCAUCUCCAUUAUAGGAAACCUGAGGUUUAUACUUUUCUUCAUAUAAUAUAUUAGCAUGAGAAGGACGAUUUAUUGAUAGAAGGUUCUUCAUCCUCAAUAGAUUGAGCUUCAAGUUCAUAUAAAACAUCAAUGGUAUUAAUGUUUUUGGAUGUUCAUAAUUUUAAAAUUUGUUUUGCAAGUUCUUGUAAAAUACUGGAUAAUUUAGACAAAAUCUCGUUACCCAAUUUUGAAGUAAAACUUGUAUCGAUUGGUUUGAAAAUUUGAGGGUGCUUCUCAUUUUUCUUAGAAGAGGAAGCUUCAAAAUCAACAUUGGCUUCAAUUCUAGAUAAUUGAGAAGGUUUCUAGAAGAUGAAGGUUCUUGUAAAACACUAAUUGUAUAAUUGUUCUGAGAUUGAAGGUUUGUUAUGUCUUUAGCUAUAGUCGCAAAUUCUUCUAGUCUAUCAGCCUCAAUUUGUUUGAUAGGAGAUGCAAUUAUUUCAUUAUUUCCAUGGAAAACAAUUAUUUCUUGCCUCAGGGGAUGUUCAGAUUGAAAACGUUCACCCGAAGGGGUUUUCCAUGUUUUCUUAUUAUUAUGAGUGUUUUGAAUAGGCUUAGUUUUUGCAAUUUUCUCUCUAAAGAUUUUGAAAUAUGCCUAUUCAUUAAAUCUUCAGGAGAAUCAUAAAAUUCUUCUCAGAAAAAUUUAAUUUCAUCUUUUGAAAAUAUUAAUUUAAGAGUUUGAUGAGAACUUUUCACUGAAGGAGUUUGUUCAGUUUUAAAUUCAUUUUUUCUAUCUAUUCAGAAAAAAUGGCAUUAUAUUGCUGAUCUAAUCUUUUAGAAUGAUUUGGAAGCAUAUUAGAUAAGUAGAUGAACCGGGUUGUUUUGAGAAAAAGGAAAUUUAGAAUUUUGAAAGAAAUUUUUAGAUCUAAAUGAAACGAUCUUUGAAGAUUAUUUGAUGAUGAACCUUUAUCAAAAAUGACUUUGACAUGUCCAUCUGGAAAUGAAAUAAUUUGGUCUAGGACUGUUCUUGUAGGAGCAUGAUUUGGAGUUUGAGCAUUCUCAAAAGUCCAUUCUAGUUCUCUAGAUUGAAGAUUCCAUGGUAUCCUUUUAAGAAUCAUGGUUUUUGAAUGAAGAUGAUUAACCUCCACAAGAAGGCUUUUUUUCUUAUGACGGGAGAACCCACAGUCGCUAUCAUUUAGAUACGUACUGGGUAAACCUCGGGUUGACGCAAUAGCCUACAAAUCACGUCAGUCAGGUAAGCUGCACUAGACAAACCCUGUGAGAGAGGCUCAACUGAGAAAGUGUUAGUGGGGAAUUGAACUCGUGACCAAAGGUCUCCGCGCUAACCUACUCCACCAACUCAACCACCCCAUGAGGGGUUAGAAGGCUUUCUUCUUUAGGAGAUAAGCAAAGAGCUCUAAUAUUUAAUUGAGUAUUCAUUAGCUUAUAAUAUAUCAUAUAUAUUACGACAAAUACUUUUGAUUGGUCAUCAAAAUCUAGAUUUUUUAGUUUGAAUAUGAAGGUUUAGAGCAUUAAGGAUUGCUUCGUCAUUUAAAUUGAUCAUAAAAAAUUUGGAUAACAAUUUGAAAAGAUUGGACCACUAUUAAGAUUUGAUUCUAAAACUGAUAAUAAUGAAUUUUCAAAUUUGAUAAGUCUUUUAUCUCUAAGAGUUAGAAGAAUAGGAAUGUCUAAACCAAGUCGAAACAAAAAUUUGACAACAAUUUGAAUUAAUCCCACAUGAAGAUAUUUGAAUUUCUUAAUAUGUGAUUGAAUAGUAUCUUUUGCACAAAAAAAAAAAGGAUUCAUUUGAGCAGAUUGAUGUUUGAUAGCAAUCGUUUGCUUAAGAGUUUUGAUAACAUAAUCAUGCUGAAAGUCAAAGUUUCCUAUUUUGUAGAUAGAGCUUUUGUUUACUUUUGGAAUGGUCCAGUUAUACAAUUUUUGCAAUUUGAAGUUCAUGAAAAUUGAAUGUAUCUAAUGUAGAUGCAUGUUCUUGAUCUACUUUUUCUUCAUCAUGAUUAGUGUUUGAAAAAUUAUCAAUUAUACUAUUUGAUCUUCUAAACCAAUUUGAAAAUGAAGACAUAAUAGAAUAAAAUGAAAAUUAUAAUGAAUUACCACUAAAGAAGCAAUGCUAUAGGAUUGAUUAACUCUUACCGAGCCUACAACGGAACCACCCGACGCCUAACUCGGCUUCACAAGCUAACCAACGCUAUUCAGCAGAAAUUCACGCUUAAACCAACUUUUCCCUCGACACAGUAUCUAUAAUGAAAAAUCAUUAUAACCUUACCUCACUCUGUUAUGGCUCUAAUACCAAAAGAGGCCAAUGGAUAGGAAUAGUCAAAUAGGGACUAAACAAACACUUGAAAAUGAUUUGAAGAAGAUAAUUAUAUUGAAUAAAACAAGAUAUACAAAAUAACUUUUGAAAUACAAAAUCUUCUUAGAAGAAAAUUUAGAUUACAAGGAAAUCUAAGCUUUUUUGAAGUAGUUUUUCUCCCUCAAAAAACUCUUGAGUGAAGUCAUGAUACUUGAUCUUCUUAUAUACUUGAAAUUUCUUGAAAUUUAAUGAAAGAAUAUUUGAAUAGCGUUAAUUGAUAAUCUCUGAUUGAGCAUUGUUGGCUAUAUGUUAUCUUUUGUCAUUGUUAGCAUCUUCUUUUUGAAAUAAUAAAUUACUUUUAUAAAGGCGGUUAAAGAGGAAUCUCCUUUAUUAAAGUUUUGUCUAUUAUUAUAGUUCGAUGGAUGGUAAUGCUGGUAACAAUAAUUUCUUGGGUGGUAGACAUAAUUGAUAAAGAGUAUCUUUUGAUUUAAAAACCCGAUUUCUUUGAUAUUCAUCCGAAUAGCUAGGUCCAUAUAGUCAUUUUGAAUUCUUCUGAGUUUUUUCUUGAGCAAUAAGUUCAUCCAUGUAUAUCCCAUAGCAAUCAUCUUUAUUGCUUUGGUUAUAGUCAGUUUCUGAACCUAUUUGAGAGGACAAGCCAUCUUGAAUAGAUUUGGAUUACUUUGAGGAUGAUUCUGACAAAGAAGUAAUUUUUUCUGAUAUAAUUGCUAAUUCUUCUGGCAUUUUACAGUGACUGAACAUGGCAAUUGAUUUUGAUUUUUCUGUAAGAAAGUCGACUUGUUCGUCUUGAUCCUUUUUUGAAAAUUUUGGAACGUCGAUAUUUCUCUAUUCUUGAAUCCAUUAAUUUACUGCCUUUGGACAACAGUUUAUUUCACGAAAUUUUAUCCACCAUUUAAUUUUGGAUCUUCGAAUAAUCCUUUUGACAUUAUAUUCAAAGCUUUGAUCUGGAAUGAUAUUGAAAUUCCAGCAAAAUAUCCGUAAGAUUUUCAUAUUGAAUGCGAAAUGAAACAAAACAUUUUCUUGAGGCUUUAAAAAUGGCCUUGCCUCUUUUUUGCUGUAUUCGAAUCCCUGAUGAGUAAGACUAGGUAAAAUUUCCUCAUCAAGUCCAAAACAUUCGAACAUUUUUGGAACCAUUUUGAAAAACUUGAAUUACAAUUUUAAUUAAAUAAAAUAAACCAAAAAUAAGUUAUCGGUCUAAAGUAAAAAAUAUUGUACCAAGCAUCCUUGCAAUUAAAAUAAUAGAAAUGAGAUUUAAAUGAUUCGCGUGUUAAGAGACGUAUUCUCUUCUCAAUCUAUGGUCGUUGUGUGACACUCGAGUCCUAAAACCCCAGGGCCAUAAAAGAGAACUUACUUAAGAUUUAUUUCAUAAAUUGAGAAAGUCAACUAAAAAAAAUACUUGUUCAUGAUACUUAAAAUAAUUAAUUCAAAAGGAAAAUUUAUAAAACUUUCAAAAUUUAUCCCAAUGUUUAGUUACCUGAAAGGGAAAAAAUAUAAGGGUGAGAAAAUCUCAAUAAGCAUAUACGUGUUCAUAAGUUUCUAAUCAUAUAACCUUUGGAAUCAUAGAACUUGCAUACAGGAGACACGAAACUAUACCGAACCUAGGUGGUAUGAGUUUUACGUGCGUAGCGCUACUAAAACUCCAGUCCAAAACUUAGAACAUACAUAUGGACCUAUAAACAUAUUUCCAAAAUUGCAGCAUAACAACACGUAUAUACUUACAGUUGUGUGGAAAAAUAAAGGCAAUCAAAGAAAUUGACUUGCUUGGUUUCCACUCCAAAGUUUUAUAGAACAACGUGAGUACUCAAGAUUUUUUUUUGUAAUUUGAAAUAUGCUUGUGUGUAAGAUGGGUUGUGAGAGAGAAGAGAAAAAGUGAGGUGUGAAUUUUUUGAAAAUCAUGCACCUAUUUAUAGUAAACUGGUGAUGCAUAGGAUAAUCUCAUAAUUUAUUUAAAUAAAUUUAAAUACUUAAAGAUAAUCUUAAUAUCUAACAAAAUUUGUGAUAAUGUUGAAUAAUUAUAAUAUCCAACAUAAUUUGAAUAAUUAAAAAUAAUCACAAUGUCUAAUAGAAUUUGUGAUAAUAUUGAAUAUUUAAAAUAACCAUAACAUCUAACAGAAUCUGUGAUAAUGUUGAAUGUUUAAAAAUAAUCAUAACAUCUAAUCGAAUUUAUUUAUUUAAACUUAUCAAAACGUCUUAUAGAUUCUAUCACUUUGAGAUUCAAAUAUUUGAGCUUUAAUCCCUAAAAUUUUAGAAAUUAAUCAAUUAGGUCCCUAGACUAUACCGUCUACGUGAUAAGGCCCUAAAUUUUAAUAUAAUGACUAAUUUUGAGGUAUGAGGUGUCACAUGUUGUCCCCAAUCUUCAUAUGACACACCCUUUGAAUGGUUGUUUUUUGAAAAAUCAAUUUGAUUUGGUUUUUUUAAAUUUUGAGCAUGAGUUAUAGUAGCUGAUCCAAUUUUAGUAAGAACAGGUUCAUAAAAUUCUCUGAACUUUUUGAUAUUUGAUGGCAUAAAUUGAAAUUGAGGAGGGAAAGAUCUUGAAGACAUUCAUUAAAAGAUGAAUAUCUAUUUAUCCAAGAAGUUUCCAUUUCAAAAACUGGAAUAUAUGUAGAUUUGAAAAAAUACUGAAAGGUUUUUUAUGCGAACCUGCGUAGCAACGGCUACUACAAAACCCACAAUGAGACUAACACCAAAUCCCAAGAACACCAAUAAACGAGGUUUUGGAUUCAACCCACAAGAGAUGAAUCAAGCAACCAAUAAUUGAAGAAAUUACCGACCUCAUGAUCACACGAUUUAUGAAUAUCACCUAGAUUUGUGAACGCCACAAGAAAAUUACUUUCUUGAUAAGUUCAGAUUGUUCAAAAUGAACACAAAAAAUAAAAAAAAUUGAAGCAAAAAGCUUCCCGAGAAAAUUCUCCAUUAAUUCAUGAUAAAAGUCUUGGUUAAUGUUACAACGAGAAAUAAGAAACUCAUUUAUACUAACCCUAAAAAUAUGUUUAAGACAUAAUAUAACUUAAACGACUCCAAAAAUAUCAAUUGGAAUAAAAUUCUAAAGUAACUAGGAAGUUUCCAAAAAAUUUAAAAUCGCGCCGAAGAUUUUAACCAUGCGAUCGCAUGGUUCUUCCUUGUGAAGUCGCAUAGAAGAACUAAAUCCAGCCUCUUGAUUCUCGGUAAGCCACCAUGCGGUCACAUAGCUUAAAUUUCAACUCUUCUUUUUUUAUGUGCAGAAUUUCGUGAUGCUUUCGAAUUGUACUUAUGGGCGAAAAUUCGACACCCGAGCAUAAAGUUAUGACUGUUUUAAUCCAUGCUGCUCAUUUUUCCAUAUAUCGUCCAAAACAUUGAAUCCAACACACCGAACAUGAUUUCAUCUUCAUAACCAACAUGUAAGUUGUUGUUUGGCUUGUCAACUUCAAUAUUUUGUACUCCAUAGCUUGAUCAAGUAAUUUGCUCUGUCCCAUUGGCUUAAAUUGAACUCAAAUCUUGACCCUAGCUUCAUUUUAUCAAUCAAUAAAACCUUAGUAGUUUAGCGCCUAUCCCAGAUCAUAUCAUUCCCUCUCUCUUUGAAAAGAUUCGACCUCGAAUCCAAACCCAAGUUAUAACCUUUAUUACCAAUCAAUGCAAUGACAUGAAAUGGUCUGUUUCCUUUCGAAUGCAAUUUGGACCUUUUUCGAACUCAAAUCUGCAUCUUUCGGAUAUAAACCCAAUCUCUUUCACAUGUAUCAAAAUGUUCAUGUCGUGGCUGCUUACUCUUGCAAGUUUGAAAUGCUCCAAUAAAUACUUCAUUUCACGAAUAACCGUGCAUCCUCUUUGUCCUAUCUUGACUAGGUGUGUGUAGUAAUGAUACUUCAAAGAGAUUCACGUUUCCCCUCAAUAUAAACUCUUCCCAAUGCCUGUAAAACUCCUUUGUCUCUUCAGGGAUCACAAGGUCAAUCUCUGGUAAUAAAAGAAUAUUCAAGCCUUGGUAUGGUUGGUUCGCUUUAUCCACAAGUUGAGGCUCAAUGUUCGGAUUGUAUGGUAUCCCAAUAGGCUUGUUUUCAUUGACCAAGUUUUCGAAAUCCUAUAAGAAAGAAAUAGCAAAGCUAGGGAGAGAAUUCUCAGUUCUCGCUAAAGCCCCCUCAACUUCACUCUCCUUUUCAUAUAAGUUCACUUCCAACUUUUCUUUUAUUUCUAAGACUCUCUUUCCUCUCCCUCCUGUAGCUCCACUUCUCACAAUCAGCCACCUCACUAUUUUUUACUCAUUUUCCCUCUUUGUUCAAUCCUAUGAUUAAUUUAAGAAUUAUUCAUAUCACGAAGCUUUGAGAAUUCCAGUUUAUAAUCCAAACCAGGCUACUUAGUUGAUAUACUACCAACAUGUUUCACAAUAUGUGUUUUCUCUUCCAUUGAAUACCUAAUCCAUCACAUUUGCUAGGUUUCUCUCUAAACUCCCAUUCUCGCCAAUCCUUCCUAUAAGAAUGAUUAGGCGUGUUUCGUUUCCUUACGAUAACCCUUAACUCAUCUCAAGUUUCAAUAGGCCUCUCAUAAUUCCUCCUUCAAGAUGUUACCAACUAAUCCCACCAAAUUAUAGCAUAAUCCACAAAUGCGCUCACAGCAAACUUGAACUUUCUCUCCUCAAAAUAAUUAUGACACACAAAGAUCAAUCCUACACUUUUUUCCCAUGCCACGUAUGUCUCAGGGUCACUCAUUCCCUUAAAUUCUGGAAUUGUCAUCUUUACAUAUCCCAUUCUCCUAUCAACACCGUCUCCAAUAAGAUUCUCAUCUCUCCUUUCAAGCCUAUCAUCUCUAUUUCUCAUCCUCCGUAAUUCAGCCUCAAAUAACGUAUUUUCAUCAUUGUCACUACCAUCUCCAUACAUAUCACCAACGUCAAUCCUAGGCUCUAGUCUAUCCUUCAUCCUCACAUUAGACGCUUCUACCAUUGCCCCCAUAAAAUUUAGCAAGUUUCGUAUCAAACCUAUCUCCCAUAUCCAUUAGCAACCCUUGAAAUCGCUGCAUCACCUCCUCCGACAUGUUGAUUUGAGUAUUGCUUCGUGCUUGAACUUGACUCUCUUUUUUUAACUUUUUUUUACUCUUUUAUUAACUCUUUUUUGUUACUCUCUCUUUUUUUACUCUUUAUUUUGACUCUUUUGAUAGGAAACUUGACUACGAAUCCAGCAGAAUAGACAGAAGUUGAUUUGAAUGCUAAAUUAGCACAAAAACAACUUUUGAAAAUUUGACGGAAUUUUAACGGAUCAAUGACUCAACAAUUGGGAAACUACGAAGAACACGAAGAAAAAAAAUGAAAAACAAAGACUUAACAAAAACAAAAGGGAAUAACAUUGAUUUUGGAGCCCAAGCUCUUAUACCAACUGAUGCGAACCCGCGUAGCAACAGUGACUACGGAACCCAUAACAGAUUAACACCAAAUCCCAAGAAUGCCAAUAAGCAAGUUUUUGGAUUCAACCCACAAAAGAUGAACCAAGCAACCAAUAAUUGAAGAAAUUAUCGACCUCUUGAUUACCCGAUUUAUUAAUAUCAUCUAGAUUUGUGAACGCCAUAAGAAAAUUAAUUCUUUGCUAAGUUCGGAUUGUUCAAUAAGAACAAAAAAAAAUUGAAGCAAAAAGCUUUCUGAGAAAAUUCUCCAUUAAUUCAUGAUAAAAGUCUUGGUUAAUGUUACAAUAAGAAAUAAGAAACCUAUUUAUACUAGCCCUAAAAAUAGUGUUUAAGAUGGAAUAUAACUUAAAAGAUUACACAAAUAUCAAUUGGAACAAAAUUCUAAAAUAACUAGGAAGUUUCCAAAAAAUUGAAAAUCGCAUCAAAAAAUUUAACCAUGCGGUCGCAUUGUUCUUCCUUGUGAAGUCGCAUAGAAGAACUAAAUCCGACCUCUUGAUUCUUGGUAAGCCACCAUGCGGUCGCACACCCUUUGAAGCUAUGUGGUCACAUAGCUUAAAUUUCAACUCCUCCUUUUUCAUGUGCAGAAUUUCAUGACGAUUCUGAAUUGUACUCAUGGGUGAAAAUCCGACACCUGAGUAGAAUGUUUUGCCCAUUUUAAUCCAUAUUACUAUAUCGUACCAAAACUUUGAAUCCAACAUACCAAACAUGAUUUCGCCAUCAUGACCAAUAUGUAAGUUGUUUUUGGCCUACCAACUUCAACAUUUCGUACUCCGUAACUCAAUCAAGUAAUUUGCUUGGUCCCAUUGGGUCAAAUUGAAAUCAAAUCUUGAUCUUAGCCUCUUUAUAUCAAUCAAUAAAUCCUUGGUAGUUCAACGCCUAUCCUGGAUCAUAUCACUUUUGGAGGAUUGAUUUCAUGCAAUUUUCUUGAUCCAGAUUGAACAAUUUUUUUGAAAUUUGAAGGUUUUGACUGUUCAGGAAUAUGUUUAGUUUGAGUGGAUUUUUUUAACACAGGUAUUGAAAUAAUUGUGUUUUGAGAAGAUGGAGAACCUUGUUCUUCUUUUUUUGAUGAUCCUUGAAUAUAAUCAUCAAUUGAGAAUAGAGAAACUGAAAUUUUCUACUAUAUUUCUUUUGAAAUGAAACUUUUGAAGAAGUCAUUGAAUAUUUCUUUUCUCUUUUUCUCUCUAUAGAAUAUUGAAUAUUCUCACAAUUUACUCACUCAUUUAUGUAUAAAUUCUCUUGUGAGGAAGUCUGCAAGAACGUUUAAUUUUCCUUGUAUAUAUAGCAUUUCGAAAUUAAAACAAGACAAAAUAGCCAACCAUCUUGCAAAAAUUUAUUUUGAAACAAGAUUUUUUUAUAUAUUUUUGUAAAACAUCUUUUGAAAUUUUUCAAUCAAUCUUCAAAAUAAUUUUUUCUGAUUAAAUCAUCUUGAAAUUUAGAAACACAUAAAAUAUUGAUAAAAUUUCCUUUUUAAUGGUUGAGUAGUUCUUUUGAGGGCCAAUCCAUACUCUUAAGUGGAAUCUAACCAACUGUUCUUAAUUUGACCCUUUUAGAAUUUGUUUUAAUAUUCCACCAUGCCCUAUGUCUGACAUUUCUAUCUCAAUAAUAAUGGAGGUUAAAGGGUCUAUUAGUGAAAGAUAUUGUAUACUUUUGAUAGUGAACUUGACUUUUUGGAUGGCUAAAGUGUGCUCGUGGCUCCAUGUUAGUGGAUGCUUUUGUAGCCUUUGAGAAAGAGGAGCACACAAAAGUCUUAAUUUUGACAAAAUCGAUGACGUAAUUUACUCAUUCUAAAACUGUUGCAAGUGUAAGUGUUCCUAAGUGUAUAAAAUGACCUAAAAACCUUAUACGUGUUGGACAAAGAACAACCUUUUUUGCGGAGAUUGAUAAAUCAUUGUUCUUAAUGACAUAAAUGAAUGUAUUAAUAUGCUUGAAAUUUUGUUCUAAACUUUUAGAAUAGAUUAGAACAUCAUCAAUAUAAACAAUAAUGAAAUUUUGAUAAGGAUUAAAAAUAUCAUUCAUAAUAUUUGAAAUUUCGAAUGAGCAUUUUUUUAGAUCAACUAGCAUAACAUUCCAUUCAUAUUGACCAAAUGGAACAUUAAAAGCAAUUUUAUAUUCAUGUUCUUCUCUAAUUUGAAUCUGCCAAAAGCUAGAUUUCAUAUCAAAUUUAGAGAAGAUAACAACUUUGAGUAAUUUAUUUAACAAAUCUUUCUUUCGCGGUAAUGGAUAUCGAAUCCGUUGAAGAGCUUUAUUAAGAUGUUUAUGAUUGACAAAGAGACGUGAUGUAUCUCGUUCAAGUUCAUUAGAAUUAUUAACAUAGAAUGCAUAGCAACUCCAUGGAAAUUUACCUGGAAGAAUAUGUUCCUUUUCCAGUAAUCUUUGAUUUCCUUUCUACAAAAAUCAUGUAAUUCUUAUUCAUUUGAAUAGGAUGAGAUUUUGUAGUAAUCAUAAAUUCAUGAAAAUUGUGAAUAUAAGGAAGAGAAAUAAUAUGUUUCUUUCUAUUAUAGAAAGCAUUGUGAAUAGUCAAAGACACUUCAUUUUCAAUUUGUUUUAAAAAAUGUAAAAAAAAUUUCUUUAAUUGAAUAAUUGUGCAAUUAUUCUUCAAUUCUUCAGAAUUUAAUUUCUUCUUUGAGAAAUUGAAUAUGAUUUUUCUUGAGAUUAAUAUUGAAGACAAUUUUUGAAAUUGACGCUUCUUUUAAAGAAUCAAUAUCUUUAUAAGAAUGAGGAUUUGUAAAAUAAAAAUAUAUCUUUUGACUAAAAAUUUUUGUAGUUAAUCCUUUUGCGUUUGCUUGAAAAGGAUAAAUUUAAACUAUAAAAGGUGUGCCAAAGAUUACUUUUUGAUCUAAGUGUGUGUUUGAUUGACUAUAUUUUCCAUGAAAAAUGUCAUUUUCUUAUCCAAAUUCCUACUUUUGAGAUGUUUGAUUGACAAUUUUUUCCAUGAAAAAUGUUUUCCAACUUUUGGUCAUGUGGCCAUAUUUUCCUCAAAAACAAGGAAAAUAAUUUCUUUCAGGAGAGAUGAUUUUUAUUUUUCAGGUAAUUCACUCUCUCUUUCUCUUUCAUCUAUCCCCCCUCUCUCUUUUACCCGCCAAUGAGAAAAUGACAAGUAUAAUAUUUUCUAAGUUAAAAAUUAAAUCAGUUAAACACAUUUAAUUAAUAAUUUUCUUUCCAUGCAAAUUUCAUACUUGCAAUCAUACGCUCAUAAAAAUUAAUUUUAAAAUAUAUCUUUGAAUUACAAACAUGAGCUUUUGAAAGUUUAUAUUUAAUAUGAGUUUUCUGCUAUAGCGCCAAAAGACGCUCAGUAAUUUUCUCAAAAUAAUUUGUAGGAAUUAGUCCUUGUCUUGUACAAUUUUGAUCAACUCCUGUAUCAAUUGAAACUUUUGAAGUAAAUUUGAAUUCCUUAUUAAUCACAGUGGUCAUGGUACAAUAAAUUUCUGAAGUUGAGUGCGAUUGAUAACAUUAACUUUUCUUCUUCAGAUUGAUAAUUUGAAUAACAAGCAUGAGAAGUAUCAUUGUCAAAAGAAGAGGAUUCUGAAGAAGAUUCAGAUUUUUGUAUAGUAUCGUAUUCUUGCUCCAAAUCUUUUGCUUUCAAGGAUGCAACUUUCAUUCUAAAGUAUUUUGUUUGACGUUCAAGAAUAGAAAUCCAAGAUUUCAUAUCAUUGACCACUGAUCUUAAAUCAGAAAUAGAAGUUUUUGAAACAUUUGAAGAUUCAAUUUUAAACCGAUUUAAUAUAUUUUACAUAUUAAAUGACUAUGAUGAUUUUGAAGGAAGAACAGAAGAGAAAUUCUACUUUAGUUGAGGAUCUUAAAUUUUCUAUACCAUUUCUUGAAUUAGUUCUUCAUCUUUUGUAAGAAUAUUUAUGGUUUUACUACCACAAAUUUCUUUACCUUGAUCUAUAGGAUGAAGAUGAGUUUGAACUGGUUUCAACAUUAGAAUCUCCUUGAUAUUUAUAAAUUUGUUCAAGAUCAAAAACCAAUUCAUCAUCUGAACUGGAUUUGAUAAGAUUAAGAAAUUCAAGUUUAACAUCUUCAUCAAUUUGAAGAUUAUUAAUCUUUCCCUUCAUAGGACAUUUAUUUGAAUAAAUACAUGUUUGAUAACAUUUCCAACAGAUAAUUUUUGAAGUAUUUUAAUUUUUAAAUUUCUUUUUCUUUGGAAACUUUCUUUUUGAAAACUUAGAAGGAUAAGUUUUAUGAAAUUAUUUUUCCUUUUGAAAAAUCAUUUUCUAAUAUGAGAAGAAAAACUUUUCUUUUUCAGUUUUGAAGAAAGAGGAAUGAUUUUCUUAAAAUUAUAUUGUUCACAAAAUGAUCAUAGUUCUUUACGACCUUCAAAUCUUUCUGUUUUCAACUUAGCCUCUGAGUUUGAGAUCGUUACAUAAUGCUAAUCCUUCAUUAUUGAUGAAAUUAAUAAUUUCACCAUAAGUUAGAAGAGCAUAUAUGUUAUAGCAAAUUCAGACAUGCACAACGUGAGUAGUUGGUAGCGUAGGAGGUGGGGGAUGGAGUGGGUGGUUAGUUGGGAAAGGUGCAUGUUUGGUAAAAUUUAAAUUAUUAUUUAAGGUUGAUGAAAAAUAUUUUUUUCCACACAUUUUAAGGAUUUAUAACGUAUUACCUUGUUUGGUUUUUAAUACUCAACAAAUUUUGAACAAUGAUAUAAAAUGUUGGAAUAUAUUUUUACAAGCCUUUGCCAAUUGUGAACUGAUUACCAACAACAAAAUCUAAAGGCUCGACCCAAAAAUGACGCUGACCAUUGAAAGUAACUUAAGAAAUUAUUGUUGCUUAUGGCCUGUAUAUUUACCUAUUGGACGACUCUUAAUUCCAGCCCAACUAGAAUCUAACCCCUUCCUACAUAUAGGUUGCUAAACCUAGCCAUUUUUUAGCAUGUGUGAUUUGUGGAAUUUGAAGAAAAAAAUGGCUACCCAUUUUGUAAGAGACGACAUGCUGCUUUGGAGACUAAAACGUGGUGACUUCUUUGUGUUAUUCUCUUCUUCAUUUGAGCCUUAUUCAUUGUUUUUCUCAUGCUUUUGUGGCUUGCAAAUCAACAUCAAUUUCUUGUCCUUUAUUGGUAGGAUUAAGAAGCAGCCAUGAUGAAUAUUGGUUGUAAGUUGGAAAUGUUUGUAACGGUUGUUUGGUAGAGAAAUGUAACAUGAAAUUUAGCCUAAAAAUUACUAAUUUGAAGAUCUUGGAGCGAGCUUUUGUAGCAAUUGGUAUCAAAGCUUCAAGGUGACGGAUUUGGCUCAAAAAAUGGACCAAAAAAAUUGACAAAAUCGAAGCAUAAAGCAAAUCGAAAAACUAUCCAAAAAUUGUUAAAAAAUCGAAUCUAUUUGUAGGAUUUUUGACCAAUCCAGUAGCUAGUUGGUGAAAUGGAGACAACUGACAUAACGUACUGUUGGAGUAGAUCCUAAUGAUUAGGACGUGAGGAAGUUUGUCGACAUGUCGUGGUGGUGCAUGAGGUCAAGCACGGAAAGCCAAUGUGACACGUGAAAGAUUCAAGUACUAGCGAGUCAUCAUAUGGGGUAAAUUCGCAUCUCUCAUUAUAUAUGGAUUAUGAAUUGGUUCGCUGUGGUAAAUUGGCUUAUCUUAUUUAAAUUCAAGUAUUAUCGAGUCAUCAUAUGGGGUAACAUUAGGGCUGGGGUUGUCAUGUGAGAUAACCAUUGCUUGUGCUAGAAAUUUAGGAUUAUUUGCCUUAUUUGAAGUGUUGAUUAUAACUGUAAGUUGAUAAUUGCUUCUGUGUUUAAUUGCCUACUUUGUGUGAGAAAUUAAAUUUUUGUUGACAUACAUUCGUGUUGCAUUGAUUUUUUCUGUUAGUAUACCUGGACUCAACCCAUUCAAUCAUUCCCUUGAUUCUGAGAUUUCAAAUUUCAAGAAACCCUAGGAAUCUAGAAUGGCGUAUGCAGCCUUAGGAUUUUUUGUGUGAUCUAUUUGUGUACUUUGGUCAUCUUUUUUUUAAAAAAUGCCUUCGCAUUUCGAAAUUGGAAUUUUCAAUAAAAAAUUAGGUUUUCCAAUUUGACUACAAAAGAUGAAAGGAAUUUUGGUUAGAAAAAUGUUUUAAAAGUCGUAGAUGGCAAUUUUCCAAUUGAUUUAACAAAAAACAAGAAGAAGAAUAUGACAAUUUUGCUUACACUUCAUUAUUUUACACAUGUUAUCUAUUGAUUUGAUAAAAGUUAAAAAACUUGAUUCUACAAAAGAACUUUGAAAAAGUUGAAGAACUUAAAAUUGCUUAAGUUACUCCUAAUAAGUUGUACCUGUUUGAAAGAUUUUUUUAGUUUUAAAAUGGAUAAUUCAAAGGAUCUUUAUGACAAUUUAGAUAUUUUAACAAGAUUGUUCAAUACAUUGUUAAUUGUAAAGAAAAUGAGUCUAAAACAUGUUGGAUUUUCUAAAAGGUAAAAUAAAAUUAAAAAAUAAAGUAUAUCACUAAAUCAUGAGACUAUGAAAAUGUAAUGCAUCUGAUUGACAUUUCACAAAUUUCUUUGAAAAAAAAAGGGGACUAUUAUUUUGCUGAAUUCUAUAUCUGGCUCAUAUAGGACGGUUAACAUACGAUUAAGUAUUAUAGGGAUACCUUAACACCCGAGACUGUCAUUGAUUCUCUUAGAAGUAAAAAGAUUAAGGUUAAGGCUGAAAGAGAUGAUGAGAGUAGUGGUGAGAUACAUAUGGUUAGGAGUAGAAUGAAGUUUAAGCAAAUGAGUCUGGAUAAGGCUCAAGAUAGUAGUGACUCGAGUGAUGAGGGUAGUAAGAAGAAGGAAAAGAGUUGGGACAAGUUCGUUGGUAAGCGAGGUUACAGUUGUGGUAAGUUUGGACACAUUGUGUGGAACUGUCCCAAAAAGAAAGAUAAAUUGAAGAGUAAGAUGACAAGUGAGAUAAAUGUUACUUUUGGGUCUUGUGAUCACCUUAUAGAGUUUUAUUGAGAGUAAACCUAGCUACUACAUGUGCAUCUGUGUAUAAUUCUUUCUGCAUGAACGUAGUUGCUUAAAUAUGUUGCAUAGUUAUAUGUUACAUUUCAAUGUGUUUGAUAUAUGCAUUUCCAUGAAUUUUAAGAGUAAUCCAAUUACUUGUUGUAAUGUGUUUACAUACAUGGUAAGUUGGGAUGCAUUAGGAAUAAGUUGUUGUGUAUCUUUUGGUAAUGUAGAGUGUAGAUGCCUAAGAGUACGUUGGUGGUAUGUACUAGGAAUAUGGAGUGUAACACUUGGAUUAUGAGUGGAGAAGUGAUCAAAUGUUUGAAUCAUUUAUUUGUGAAGAACGUGAUCAAGUCGAGUGUGAGAGAGACACUUCUAUUACUUCUAUUAGGUAAAAACCCAUUAUUCACUUAGGUUGAGAGGAAUAAUAUGGUGAUAGAGGAUUAUUGUAUGGACUUAGGAUUUGUUGUAAUUUACCACUUAGACAUGUUUUAUUAGUGAUCAACCUAGUGAGCAUGGUGGAUGAUAAGAAGAGAUGUAGGUUCUCAAGGUACGAGCAACACAGAAUAUAAUAGGACAAGUUUGGUGAGAUCUUUUUCUAAAAUCAUCUAUGCAUUUACUACAUAUGUGUUUGGCCGUUUAAUUGAUUAUUAGUAUGUUAUUCUGUGUGAACGUGUUUAAAAAUAUCUAUGUGUUAUCAUGUGUUAUAUCUUCAUUGUAUACUUAUUGCUCUUGAUUAAUUAUUGUCAUCACCUGUUUCUACUUGGGCAUUCUUAACCUUAGCCCUAGUAAGUAUGUGAAGCAUGUAUGAUAUGUACUUUAGGUUCGAAAUAUAAGGUAAGGUCUGUGAUUCAAUUUUAUUGGUUACCUUGAUUACACAAGUAUUAAUUUUGUGCUUUGAUUACUUGCUGGUUGAUUAGGUAUCAAGGUGAAAAUUUGUUGGAUUUUUAAUACCUGAUAAAUUUCGCGAUGAUUUAAAACGUCUAAAUAUAUUUUCACAGUCUACGGCCAAUAGUAAAUUGAUUGUCAACAACCAAGUCUAAAGACUAGACUUGAAAGUAACAUGAAUUGUUGGAAAUAGCUGAAAAAAUUAAGUGGAAAUUACAGAUUCUAAUAGAUUAAAAAUCCUCAUUUCAUAAAUAAGAUGCCAUAUUUAGUAUUUUACAAAUCAGAAAUUUUUAAUUAAUUUAUAUUUUAAAAAUUAAUUAAGAAAAACAAUUGCAAACCCUAAUUGAUUCCCUCUCUCUCUCAAUUCCCUCAACUCUCUCUCUCUCUCUCUCUCUCUACCAAAAACACUGCCUCCGAAGAUCACUCAUUCCCUCUCCCUCUUUUUCUCCUCAAUGUUUCCACUUCCUUCCUCUCGCCCGGCACCGAAACCACCUUGCGCACAAUUCUCCCUCAUUUCUUGGAUCUAGUUUUAAACCAGUGGGGAUGUAGUGGCAACGAAGGCAAUUUGUUUGGGGAAUUUUUCGUGGGUGUAGUGGUUGUGGUGUAAUGGAGAUAGUAGUGAUGGUAACGGUGCGGUGGACGUGACGAUGGUUGUUGGUGCAGGUUGUGGACACCAUUCGUCUAAGAUCUGGACACCAUUUGACUGACUUCUGCAUUGAGAUCACAACAUACGAUGCUACCAGCGCUAUGCUCAGAUGGUGCUGUCGGUGCGGAGCUGUGAUGGGCUGCCUGAGAUCUAGACAUUAUUUGCCUGGCUUUUGCAUCGAGAUUACAACACCACUUGCUGUUUCUAUGGUGUGGCAACUGACAAUGGAGGUUGCUGGGCUACUUUUUUUUUUUUUUUAUCUUAUGUCGUCUUUGCAGUGUUUUUGUCGACAAUAGUGUAGGCAACAUUAGUGUGCUGUGGUGGCGGCUAAUAUGUGGAUUUUUUGGUAUGGGACCUAGGGAUGGUUGUUGUGGUGUUGUGUAGAUUGAGAUAGAGGAGAUGGCUAUGUUGUGUGCGCGAUGGUGGUGUUGUGGUUUUGCUGAUGCUGUGGUGGCGAGGCAGUGAUGGUUUGGUGGUCGUCAUAGAUUCAUUAGUUGAUUGAAAACGUUAAAUUUGUUAAUUUGUGACCAAUUUGAUCAAUAAAAAAGAUAAUUUGUAACCAAAAAAUAAUGUGUGACUUAAAAAAUUAAUAAUUUGUGAUAGUUUGAUCAGUUGUGACAUAUAAUAUUUGUGAUCUAUGACCUAUAAAUAAAUUGUUUCGUAUUAAUUUUUUAUCUGUGACCGACGAACAAAUUGUGACCUAGAAAAGUUUUAAAUUGUGAUCGUAAAAUAAUUUGUGGCCGAAAAAUAAGUUGUGACUAAAAAUUAAUCUGUAACUAAUUAUUAUUUUUUAUUUAUGUCCAAUGAAUAAACUGUGACCUACAAAUUUUUUGAGUUGUGAUCGUAAAAGAACAUUUUGACAUAAAAAAAUUUAUUUGUGAUAAAAAAAAUAAUAAGUAACUAAUUAAAUUGUUAAUUUGUGAUCAAAUUGUAUAGAUCUGUGACCUAAAUAUAUUUAAUUAAUAAAAUAAUUAAAUAACUAAUUAAAUCAUAAAUAAAUUUUAAUAAAAAUCUGAUUUUUGAAAUUUGAAACUUAUUUUCUUAAUUUUAAAAUAUGUGAUACUUAAGUUCUUAUGAAAUUUUCUCAAAAAUUAAUGUUGCUCACGGCCCAUAUAUUUACGUAUCGGAUUACUCUUGAUUCUAGCUCAUUUAUCUCUUUUUGGCCCAACUAGAAUCCAACCUAUUCCUACAUAUAUGUUGUUCACCCUAACCAUUUUUUAGUGCUUGUGAUUUGUGGAAUUUGGAGUGGCUGCCAUUUAGUGAGAGAAAACGUGUUGCUUUGGAAGAUAAAAAUAGGUGACUUCCUCUUGUUAUUCUCUUCUUCGUUUGUGUCUUAUUCAUUGUUUUUCUCGUGUAGUUUAUAAAUUAACACUGAUAUCUUAUUUUUUGUAGGUGAGAUUAAGAAACAACAGAAGUGAAUAUUUUUUGUGGGUUGGAAUCGUUUGGAUUGAUUAUUUGGUAGAUAAAGGUAACGUGGUACUGAACCCAAAAUUAAUGAUUUAAAGAUCUUAAAAUGAGUUUUCGCAACAUUACUUAUUUGUAUCUACUCAUUCUGGUAGAUCCCGUUGCUUAAAUAAUGUUUCUUUUUUGUUUUUAAUUUUUUUCUCAUUAUUGCUCGUGUUGUAAAUUUAUCGGUUAAAUAAUGUCGGUUAAAUUUCCACUUGCAACAUGUACAAUUACGUACGUCGAAGGAAAGAAAUAGAAUUCAUUCAAAUUGAACAAAUAACUAGUACAAACAUUGGAUAAUCUUGGGGAUACGUUUUAAACUUCAGUUAUUUAGAGUAUUGCAAUCUAAGGUUUAGUAUUCUAAUCAUUUAAUUAACCAACAAGCAAUUUGAUGGAAGGGUAACAUUCACGUAUUUAAUGUCAAAAUGAUAUUUAGCGAUAUUAAAAUUAAAUUUGGACUGACCUUUAUAAUUUAUGCAUGUUGAUGAAAUCUUGAGGAAAAAUGGUGUUCUCAUAGUAGACGAUAAAAUCCAUUGUGUUAUAUUUUUCCGAAGAGAAGUCAUUUUUAGAAAAGGUUGAGAAGUAACUCAGUACUUGAACAUUACGCUAGAGGGUAAUCAUGUAAUUUUCCCUUAAGAAAUUUCACUAAGGUGGCUUAGAAGUUUAUUUCAUCACACAAGUACUUCAAUUUAUCUCAAUUUUAUCAUUUAAAGUUUAUUUUUAUGUCAAGUAGACCAUUUCAUCUCUAGCGGACACUAUUGUACUAAAAAACCAUAGCACAAAAUCAAAAUGAAAUUAUUUUUAAAAAAUAUGAAUAAUGUUAUCUAGCAUUACUUAUAAUAGCUCACGUACCUAGUUGUGAAGUUUUGUUGGGUUCAGUUACUUACAAAAUAUACGAAUGUUUAGUAAAACUUAUUGAACCUAUCAUAACCUUACACCUCGACGUGUUUCAAAUUUAAAUAUUCCCCCAUCUCAUUUAUAUAGGCUAAUCUUCCUUAUUUUUUGUCUCAAUUAUAUAGUCUUGUUUCUUUAUUAAGAAUGUUUUAUUUUGUUCGUUUACUACUAUAACAUUAUUUAAUUUCCUUAGUUAUUAUAACAAAUAAUUCUCCACUUGAUUUUGAAAUUAUACAAAUAUAAAUAAGCCUAAACUAAGAAAAUUUUUAGUAAAAUUUGCCUUUUCAAUAGCAUUAAAUAAGAUUUUUUAAUUCGUGUAAAAAAAUAAAAACAGCCUAUAUAAAUGGGAUUGAAGAAGAACAAAUUUUAACCACAAAUUUUAUAGGGCCAUAUGUACUACUCACUUACUAUCACUCAUUUCUGGAAAAGUGAAAUUUAAGGACCACCAAAAAAACAAACAAUCAAACAAAAAAGAAACACUCCAAUUAAAGCAUUAUUAAAUGACAAUAUAUUGGUUUUCAUGCACGUGCAUAUAUUUUAAUAUAUAUAUAUAUAUAUAUAUAGAGAGAGAGAGAGAGAGAGAGAGAGAGAGAGAGAGAGAGAGAGUAUCUAUAAAAUUUUGGGAGUAAAAAUUUUCAAGUAUUCCAACAUACUAUUUAUAUUUAAUACUUAUUACUACUUUCAUAAAAUAUUUAUUAUUUUUUCCUAUUUUUUAUUUUUACAAGCUUCCAUCCAAAUUUUUAUAUUAUUUUUCAACAUUGAAAAUUGAAAUUCUUUAAAUGCAUUUAAUUAUAAAAAGUGAAUUUGGCUCUCCAAAUUUGUAGAGUCAAACUCACUCUUUAAAUUAAAGUAUUAAUUUUAAUAGUCUCUUUGAGUAUAAUUUUUAUGUAUUGACUCUUUAAAAUACAGAACAUUUUAUAUUUAAAUAUUCUUUUGGAAUCCUCCGAGUAGUUGGCAAAGGCUGUAUCUACAUAUAUAUAGCUACUUAUUUAUACAAAGAAAUUAUAAGUUAUUAUAUUAUAAAUUAUAAAUUAAGCUAAUCCAGCAUGUGAAUAGUUGGCUAAGGCUAAAAAGCAUUAUUAUAUGACAAUUUACUAAAGUUUUUAAUCAUGUGCAUGUACGUACGUUAUAUAUAUAGCCCUUGUUUGAGCUAUAUUAUAUUCCUAAAAAUACAUUUUUGAGUAGUGUAUUGAUGGGAAUGUGUAGUUAAAAAAAUUGAAUUUACGUGUAAUAUUAUUUUAUUAAAUAAUGUGUGAUUGAAAUAAUAUCAAAUCACUGUUUAUGAAUUUUAUUUUUUUUUAAAAUAUAGCUCAAACAUAGCCAUAAUUAUAAGCGAAUACAAGCGUGUGAUUAGUUGACAAAGGCAGUUUCUUGUGAUGCUUAAUACAUGCAUUAGAGUAGGAAAAUAACUUUUUCUUUAGGAAUAUGCUACUUAUUCGCAGCCCUAAAUAUACUGGGAUUAACACUUAUCCAUGAUUUUUUUUAUUCGUUGUGGGCCCCUCUCUUUUGAAGGAAUUGUACAAAUAGUUUUUUUUUAUUUUUUAAAGCUUCCCGUGAUUUUAAUUUAUCAACCACUCAUUCUUAGUAAUUAUUAGUUUCUUGAAACGAGCAAAAAGUUAUUUACCCUAUGCUUUGUUUUUUCCUGGAGUUAUACUGAAUCUAUAACAUGCAUUUAUGUGUUUCCUACCCCAGUACAGUGUAGACAGGACCAUUUGUGUGUCAUUUUCCAAAUUUAUAGGACACCAAAUGAUGGAGGAAAAAAAUAAUUGUGAAUUUUUGGGGCACCAAACUGAUGAAAAAAGAAAGAAAGAAUAAUGUUAUGUAGAUCUAUUGUUACUACACUAUUACUUUAGGUGACGCUAAGUUAUAUGUUCAAUGAAAAGUAGAAUUAAGUGAUUUAUUUAAUUAUACCACUCAUUUAAUACCACGUUAGUAAUAUUUAAAUUGAUCUUUUAAUACCAGUGUGUUUCGCGCGGGUUAGUCGCUAACAAUUAAAAAUGGUCAGACGAUUGUGUAAGGGACAGACCUCUUGAGAUAAAGUCCCAAAAAGGGGUGUUCUUUUAUUGGCGAUGACUUUACAAUUGGAAAUGAAAAACAACGUGCCUCCAAGGGGCGCAAGCACACGAGUUACUGAAAGAAAAGUGUUUAAGUCUAAAAACUAAGGAAAUGAAAAUUACAUAUUCUCUGUUCGAGAGUUUUGGAUUCGGUCCUUGCUUCUAUGUCCUUUCUCCCUUUUAUACUUCAUAGACGAUCUCUUUGUGAUUAACUACUCUAAAAACUGCUUGAUCGUCCUAUAAUUACCCACUUUCUUCGUAGUGGCCAUUUUGUCAUGAAAACUGCCUUUUAACUACUGCCAUUACCUUCUAUCGUUCAACCGCUUUCGAUUGAAUUCCUUGAAUCGUGGAACGUGAUAGGGCUGCUUUAACAACUGCUUUGAUAACUGCAUUUCUUGAUAACCACGACGCGUUAUGUUUGUUGAUACCUUGGGCGACUUGAAGGUUUGGACGAGAAUAGAGUAACAGCUCUGGGCGACCGUAUGACACUCUAUUCGUUCAGAUUCUGGGAGACUUGCAAACUUGGGCGAUGGCGUCACCGCAUUCUUGGGCCUCCUUAUUUGGGCCUUCACCUUGAUUUGUUCGAUUGGGCUUCGUUCUUUGGGCUAUCUGAUUUGGGGAUCCUGUAAUUGGGCUUCAUUCCUUGGGCUGUUCGACUUGGGUUGAAUUUUUAUGUGUCAACAAUUACCCCCAAUAUGGCAGAAUUAAUAAUAAUUAUUGAAUUUUGUCAUAUUCACUUUGUGUUUCCAGCAACAUUCGAAAUUCCCAAGAAUUUCAAUCAUUGUUUCCUUCUAUAACUUGAAAAAGUGCGUCGUUUUGCAAACUCUUAUAAACCCCAAACACGCCAUUUCACUGCUACCAAACUACGUCUCAUAUUUUUUGCGUCUCUUUCACGAUUCAUUGUUCAUCUUUUGCUUCCUUGCUACGUAACCCUGAAAAGCUUCGUUCCUCCUCCACUGGCUGCUUCACAAUCUCAAGCUAGCGAUUCCUUUAGUUUUGAUGACUUUCAGAGACUUCUGAGUCGCCCAUACAUAACCCCAAGUUUUCUCGCGCCCGCCGACAUUGGACGUAGUGAGUUUUACUUGGGUCCUUUCUUCAAUAAUGCGGACGCAGUUGAACAGGCGGCGGUGGGUCAGCUGUUUCCUUGCACUCGUGGCCCUCCUUUUCUAAACUCUCUGCCGCUGGGGCUACUUCGUGAAAGAGGUAUUCGCACUUGGCCUAAAUCUGAAGUAGCUUUUCGUAGGUGGCAUGCUCGCCUUGUGGGUCAUGGUCCUACUAAGGCACUUUUUGAUAGCGCUAGGAUUUCUGAUUUGUUGGAAAUCUCUAUCCGCCCCCCUACUUUCGAUUCAGCACUCUUUUCAAUUGCUCUGAGUUUUUGGUCUUCUGAGUAUAACACCUUUAUUUUCCCUCUUGGCCCCAUGUCUAUUACCUUAAGGGAUGUUGGGGCCCUGGUGAAUCUGCCACCUUUGGGCGAUACCAUUUUUCCUGGUAUCUUAGUUUCUGGUGGCGCCCCAAAGUUUAGUAGAAACUACACUGAUUCUUAUUCAAGCCUGCAGACCUUCCACAAUCAUUCGAGCGCUGAGCCUACCCAUACUGAGCGAGUGGCCUUCCUUUUAGUUUGGCUUUGUAAAUAUGUUUUGUGUGUGCCAAGUAUAAAGCCUUCUCUGAGUUAUUUACCUAUAGCGCACGAAUUGGCGCGUGGCAGGCCUUUGAAUUUAUGUUCUUUAUUUUUGGCUGCCCUUUAUAGAGGCAUAGCCUCUCUUCAAGCUCAAUUAAAGAAUGGUGCAUCUCCCACUGGCAGUGGACCUCUUUGGUUCACUUAACUGUGGUUGAGAUCCUAUUUUCCAUCGCUGGGUGCUCCAUCCAUUUCUCGCCCUUCUGCUAGCUGUUAUGGGCUAGCCAUGGAGCCUUUAACUCCUGUAAAUAUGUCCAGAAGGGAUAUUUUUCAUUCUUUUAUUCUUUGGAUUCAAUCCCUUCCUUUUUUCCUUUUCCUCCUUUUUUGACUCCAAACUAUGUACAUCCCCCUUCCACUAUAGAUAACGCGAGCACCUCCCUGCUCACUUGGAUCCAGUUUUUAACUGGGAGGGAGCUAUUUCAUAAUAUUCUAACUGGGACCAAUGCCAAAGCGGGGGUAGAGAUUUAUGCUCCCCAAUUUUUUGCUCGUCAGCUUGGUUUUGGCCAAACUUGGCCUGUUCCUCCUUGCUAUUCAAGGAACUUAGUUGACCGUUUUCAUACCAUUACUAAGGCGGAGGCAGAGGCUAUAGAUGCUCGUAAUCUUCUUUUAACCAGUCAUUUUUCAUUGGCCCCCUUCAAUUCUAGCCACACCAUUCACCCACUUUUUGAACAACUCUGGCCGUCGGUGAAGCGCAGAUUAUUUGCAACUGAUGCCAAUCGUGCCUUUCAUUCAUUAGACUAACCGAGCAUUUCUUCUCCUCCUCCUAUUUUGGUCACUCCUUUGUCUGUUCGGAGCCCCUCUCCUUCUCGUCGCACUAAACAGUCUGCUCGUCCAUCUUCUUCUCUCCCUGCCAAGCCUACUACGGCCAAGAGUGCUCCAAGUCGCAAACGGCCAACCUCAGCAUCUCCCAUUCUGGAGGAUGAUGUUGAUGAUGAUGAUGAUGCCCCUCUUACAAGUAUACUUUUCCACAUUUGAAACUUUUCUGUGUGCUGAUGAUCUUUUGGAUUUCUCAGAAAAGCUCAGCCUCUCCUUUAAAGGCUUUGACAUCGACAACUCCUGCUCCAUCAUCUUCUGCUGAGGCUACUUCAUCCAAACCAGUUGAUGAGGGGGCUAUGCUUAAAGAGACAUCUUCAGUCCCAGAAUCCUCAUCACAACCCAUGGAUGAGCCACCUUCUUCCCAGGGCGUCAACCCCCCAAACAUCGAAGCAGAAGGUAAUUCAGUUUUUUGAUGUCUUACCUUUGCUCGUGCUAUUGGUUUCUGAUUUGUUGCUCUUGAGCUUUGCAGAUACUCCUAUGAGUCCGCCCGUUGUGGCAACAUCUUCUCGCUCGGACAAGGGGGAGUCCUCACGAAUGGAUGAGUCGUUGGUGGCAAGCUUGGCUGAGGGCACGCCAUCUUCUACGAUUGUCGACGAGGUAGUCUUUGCUUCAUUUAUAUUUCCACCUUGUUUGUUGUAGUGAGGAUUUUUAAUAUUGGCAAUCUUCUUUGCAGGACGCUGACAGGAUUGUGCGUUCUAUCCAAGACUUAUUCGCUUCUUGGGGGCAAGUCCAGACGUCUCACCCUGCUCCAUCUGAUCGUCCUGCUGCUUCUUCAGAGGAAGACUUGAAGUUCCUGAAGGAAUCGAUAUUUGAGUACGUAUCCUUCAUGGAUAUGGAUAUUGGAAGGGCUAGUGCUGCCAGGCAUAAGGAUGAACUUGAGCACUUGAGUGCGAAGUUGGAGCAAGCACUGACGCUUCCGUCGCUCAAUCUUUCUGCCGAUUUUAAAGCGACGUUGAAGGUUAUCCACUCCGAGGUCCUUUCUAUGCUGGCCAAGAAUGCUGAACUAAAGGCCAAGCGUACUCAAUAUCUUCGAGCCGUAGCUGAGAAAGAGUCUUUGCGUAUGGAGAUUAACAAGGCUGAGAACGAGUUGAAAGAAAUCUCUUCCGAAGUCAUGAUUGAAGACUCUUUGAUGGUUAACUUGGCUGCUCAAAUGAGGGAACUUCAAGCUAAAAUGGACGACUGCAGGGCGAGGAUGGCUGCUAAAAAGCGCAACGCCUCCCAGGGAAUUGAGCGAACUAAGUCCUUGAUCGAGCAGUACAAGAAGUUGGAAGUUGAUGAUGAUGACGUCGCGGCUUAAUUGAACAUCACUUCCUCUCGACAGAACGAGGAUUGGGAAAAAUUUAGGAAAUGAAUUCGUUCCAUAUGGGGUAGACUGUAAUUAAGACGUGCGAUGUUUUUUUUUUCUUUUGUAAUUCGAUUUUUCCCUUUGUAACUUUGUUCAUCAUUAAUGAACAUUAACUUCUUGUGCAUUUAUUUGACGUUUAUUUUUUAGUCAUCAAUUCUUUAAGCACUUAACUGCUUUGCACUAAGAAUCUUGUCCAUUUCCUUUUGAUAUUUCCACCACUUUUUCCAAGACAUUGGGCUAUUUAAUUCCGUUUAUUAGACAGAAAUGUGGCUGUUCAUAUUCUGUCUCUUCAUCUUCACCCCCCUAUAAAUACUUCGUAUUUUUCAUCUUCUAUCUUCAUCUCUUCAUUUUCUUCUUCGAAACCAAUUUGCUGCCAUUUCUUGGCAUUCUGACGAUCAAUCUGAUCCAAAAAUGGACUGUUUAGUCCGCCCACCUUACUAUUUACCUUGAUGUCACCUUUGGUAUGAGAGGUAUAGGAAAUAUUUUCUGGCCAGCAGCGAAGUUCUUUCCUGCCAAAUUCUUCCCAUCGUCUCUUUAUUCUUCACAAGGAGUCAAUGAUGGAAGACAAUUUUUGGGCUGCUUGUGGGCCACUUUGCUUGCUGAAAGUGCUUCUCAGCUUGCCUGCUGAGAGUGCUUCUCAGCCUCUUUGCUCGCCAUUGCAGCGAUGCAUUUAGGAAGGUGGUGAGGCCAGUACACCCUCUUACUCGACAAUCCCACCAUUGCAGCGAUGCAUUUAGGAAGGCGGUGUGAAGCUUACUCAGCGAUCAACCGGGAGAUCAUCUUACUUUAGUUGUAUUUUGUAGCACAUCCAUUAUUUGUAUCUUUUGUAUUCUUGUAAUGAACGUUUGAUAAUAAAGAAAUUUAUUCGAACGUAUUUCGCUCUAACCUUAUUAUCUUUUGAUCGUUCAAAAUGUCUGGUUAUGUUUUUAUCUGUUCACAUUCCCAUAAAGAAGGAACAUAUUUUUUCAAAUAUUUGCCGUUAAUGAAUCUUACGUGCUUGGUGCCGUCUAAAUCUUCCAAGUGGUACGCCCCAUUGGGCAACACACUGUUUAUUUUGUAUGGUCCUUCCCAAUUGGACGACCACUUCCCAUACUUUGGAUCUUUGCUAUCCAAAGGGAGUAUCGUCUUCCAAACUAGUUCACCCAGGCUGAACGACUUGGCUAUAACUUUUUUAUUAUAAAACUUAGCCAUUCUUUGCUUUUGAACUUGCAACCUAUCUAAGACGUCCAACUUCAAUUCGUCUAAACUCAACAAAUUUUGAACUAGUGAUUCGGCAUACUCAUCAUCAUUCAACUUAUGUUGCAAGCACACUCGAAUAGAUUGCACGUUGAUUUCCAUAGGCAAAACGGCCUCCUGUCCAUAAACAAGUUGGAAAGGAGUAACUUUGGUACUUGACCGAGGUAAUGUUCUAUAAGCCCAUAAGGCCUUGUUCAAACAUUCGUGCCAAUUUCUGGCGUUUUCAUCUAUCAUCUUUCUGAUAAUAUUUUUUAGAAUCUUAUUAGAAGAUUCCACUUGUCCGUUGGAUUGAGCGUAGUAUGGUGUGGAGUUUACUAAUUUAAUUCCAAACUUGCUCAAAAAUUUGUUCACUUGAUCCCCAUUCAAAGAUGUUUCGUGAUCUACCAUUAAGGUUUGUAGAAUUUCAAACCUAUAAAUAAUGUGAUCACGGAUAAACUCUAUAACAUUCUUCUGGGUGAUUUCUUUCAAAGGUACCGCCUCUACCCAUUUGGUGAAAUAGUCAGUUGCAACUAUAACAAAAGUAUGUUGCUUGGACGAUGGGAGGUAGAUCUUCCCUAUCAGAUCUAUCGCCCAACCUUUGAACGGCCAAGGUUUAAUAAUAGGUGUCAUCUCUCAUGCUGGCGCCCUUUGUAUUGGACCAUGCUUUUGGCAUGCUAAACAACUUUUUGCAUACUGAACGCAUAGUUCUCCCAUCUUUGGCCAAAAAUAUCCACUCCUAAUAAUUAACCAUCUCAUCCUUUGGCCAGCUUGAUGAGCUCCACAUAUCCCUUCGUGCGCUUCAGCCAUGAUCGUCUUGGCUUCUUGCAAACUUACACACUUUAGUAAUACACCAUCAGAGCGUUUUUUAAACAACUCUUCAUCUAUUAAUGUGUAAUUCAGCAAACAUAGCUUUGUUUUCCUACUAAUCCCUCCAUUAGGUUCUUUAAGGAACCCUUUAAUCUCUAUUCUCCAAUCUACUGCAUCUCCAUCUUGUAUACAGUGAAGUUCAAUUUUUCUCGCCCUUCUUUGAGUUACGGGCAAUAUGGUUCCAUACUCACAAGUAGAUUUUCAAUUCAAGACCUUUGAGUACCCUGAAGCCAUUUGGGCUAACUCAUUUGCCACGUCGUUAUAUAUCCUAUUAACGCAUUGAAGUUCUACUUGAUCAAAUUCCUCUAAUAAUUCUUGGGCGAUCUCAUAUUGACUUAUAAUGGAAUCACUUUGGCAUUUAAAAUCACCGAUCAAUUGAUGNNNNNNNNNNNNNNNNNNNNNNNNNNNNNNNNNNNNNNNNNNNNNNNNNNNNNNNNNNNNNNNNNNNNNNNNNNGAGAACAUAUAUUUGACUAAAUUUACUUUAGAAAUUAAAUAAACUGUUACGGGCCGUAAAUAAGCCCUUAAUUUUGUACAUGUGAAAUACAGUGCAAGACACAAUUUUUCAACAGCAGAGUAAUUACAUUCACAUUUCGUUAACCGUCUACUUAAGUAGUAAAUUACCCUUUUUUCACCAAAUUGGUCUUCCUGUGCGACCAUUCCAGCUAUUGAUUCUUUUUCAGUCGAUACAUACACUUUCAUUGACCGUCCUUGGAUUGGUGACACCAACACUGGUGGACUUGAUAGAUAUGUCUUCAGGCUUUCAAAAGCCUUUUGAUGUUCUUCUUUCCGGAUGAAUUCGUCCUGAUUUUUCAGCUUUAAUAGCGGCGAAAAGACUUUAGUUCGCCCUGCACAGUUAGAAAUAAAGCGUCUUAAAAAUUUUACUUGGCCUAGAAACCUUUGCAACUCCUUUUUGUUGUUAGGUGGUUUGGCUUAUAAGAUAGCCUUCGCUUUAUUUUUAUCGAGUUCAAUCCCUCUCUUAUGUACUAAGAAAUCGAGAAAGUUCCCUGCAUUAACACCAAAUGCACACUUCAAGGGAUUCAACUUUAGCUUAUAUUGCCUCAUUCGUUCAAACGAACAUCUUAACUGUUCGAAAUGGUCCUCUUCUUUAAUAGACUUGACUACUAUGUCGUCUACAUACACCUCAACAAACUUGCCUAUCAUAUCAUGAAAGAUUAAAUUCAUUGCCCUUUGAUAAGUUGCCCCUGCAUUUUUUAGGCCGAAAGGCAUAACUACCCAUUCAAAACAUCCUAGAGACCCAGGGCAUCUAAAGGCAGUUUUGUGUAUGUCUUCUUCAGCUAUAUAAAUUUGAUUGUAUCCUGAAUACCCAUCCAUGAAAGAAUACAUGACAUGUCCGGCAGUAGAAUCUACUAAAGAAUCCACCGUGGGCAUUGGAUAUUCAUCUUUGGGUGUAGCAAUGUUUAAAUUCCUAAAGUCUAUACACACCCUUAGUUUACCAUUCUUUUUUAAUACUGGCACAAUAUUCGACAAACAAUCAACAUAUCUGGCUGUUCUUAUAAAACCUGCUUUCAAUAAUCGCUCUAUCUCUUACUUAAUCUCAGGGAGUACAUUAGGAGCAAAACGCCUAGGAGGUUGCCUAUGAGGUUUAAAAUUAGGCUUAGUUGGUAAUCUAUGUUCCACUAAGUCUCUAUCUAAACCAGGCAUUUGUUCAUAUUCCCAAGCAAAACAAUCUUUGUACUCUUUUAACAAAGCGAUUAAUUUGUUACUAACCUCUUGGUCGAGCAUCUGGCUGAUGAACGUUGGGUGAUCUUCUCCUUCAUCGCCAAUAUUUACUUUGAUCAGAGGGUCUUGUGCUUGAGCGUUUCCAGGUUUGGCAAUCCGCAUCACUUCGUCGUCUAGUUCUUUUGUAAAUACUUCCUCUUCCAAACAGUCCACCUUGUUGACUUCUCGACCAAUGCUUUGCUCUAACUCGAAUACUGCCAACUUGUCCUUCAGCACUUUUAGGGCAGUCUCUUCCUUUGCUUUGUCAUUGCAUUCCUUAUUGAAAGCCAUCAGUCUGGCUUUGAAGGCCUGAAUGUCGGCCAUUUGCUUUUGUAACUUAAAGUCCAUUCAAGACUCCUUAAUUAUUCUUUUGCCAAUUACUGGCUCUUCUAGGGCCACUAUAUUUGGCCUCAUCUGUUUGAACAUCUCAGUGAGUGCGUCCACUGAGAAUGGUUCUUCGCUUUGUGCGACGACCUGAGUUUCUUCCCCGUCUUGUAUCACUCUGACAGGUCCAUAGUUCCUUCGUACAUGAACUUUUCCACCGAGUUUUCUUCCGCGACAAAAGGCCUAUGAUCGGCCUGUACCACCUCUGCUUCACCUUUGUCAUUCCAAAAAAUUAGGCAUUGAUGGAGCGACGAGGGUAUACAGCGACUUCCGUGUAUCCAAUCUCUUCCUAGGAGCACGUUGUAACUAGUAGGACCAUCUAUUACAAAGAAAACAGUGGUCCUAGUAGUCGUACCUAUAGUUAUGUUUAAUGGCAUAACUCCCUUAGCUGAAGUUGCUCCUCCAUUGAAGCUAGUGAGGAUGACUUCUAUAGGAAUCAUGUCACCCUCUGUUUUUGCGAACUUUCUCAUCAUCCUAGAUGGAAUGGUGUUUAUAGCUGCUCCAUUGUCGACAAGCACUUUUGCCACUGGGACACCGUUAACUAGAGUUUUAACGUAUAACGGCCUCAAGUGUUUAGUCAAUUUCAUGGUUGGCCGUUUAAAAAUAACCUUUUCGGCAGCCUCUAUUUCUACCUCUUGCUUGUUUUUUGUCGAAUUAUCCCCCUGUGAUAAGUCGACGUGCAGUAUGUAACGCUGAUCCUCUGUCUCCUGAACUUCCUUCUUACUUUUUUCUAAUGCUUUCUCAUCAGUUAUCCAACCUGUGAGAGGGGGCAUUAUUCUUGGAGGUGACCCAUACUUUUCAGAGCGAGUUCCUUUUGGGUGUCCCGUACAGUACGUAGAAAUCGAAAGGACGCCCAGAUGGCUCCCCCAACAAGUCUACUUCGCGAACUCCCUCUUGAUGUAGUUGCUUAAACAGAGUAUUGCGCGAUACUCCUCUCUUUUUCCUUUCUGCUUCUAGGUCGAUCUCUUCUUCAAUGACUGUCAUCCUAUCGUCCUCCUCGUCGUUGUAGGCCUCUCCAGAAGUCUGGCCUUCUUCACAUACCAACACGCAGGCUUCUCCUUCGUUGUCCUCCCUCUCUUCUUCCUUUUCCUUAUUCUUGAAUUCAUUAGCCAGUAGGUAAUUAUUGGCCACGACAGAAGGCAACGUACCGAAUUGGAUAGCAAGGGGCUGAUCUAGAUCUUCUUCAUCCCUUUUGUCCCUUUCAAACCUUGAUCUCCCAGAAGAGGUUUCUGGCAGUUCCUUCAUUGAUUCAUCUGUACCGAUUUCUUUACUACCUUCGAGGAUGUUUUGAUUGGCUACCUUGAGUAGUAUAGGCGCUUUAGGAUGUGGCAUUCCUUGUUGCUGCCUCAUCAUUCGUCCGUAGUUUCGUUGGAAACGCUUUUGUUGGGUCCUAGUCAUCUCAUCGAAGGGUAUUGCCCUUCCUGCACUGUACUGGAAUGAAUGCCAUACAUUUGGCCGGCGAGGUUGCGGCCUAAAUGUUCUUCCAGUAUCUGCUGGUCUGAACUGCCUUUCAAAAGCCGGUCCUCUAUAGAAUGAUGUACCUCGCCCUCUACCAGGCUGAAUGUUUGGGAAGAAGGCAGGGCGAUGAGGAUGCUGCCAUGUCCCUGGUUUUUCCGUGUUUUCAUUUACUUCCCUUUUACACCUUGCACACAGGACGUCUUCGUCCUUUUUUGGUUCUUUUCCUUUGAUUCGUUCAAAGACGCUGGGAUGUGGUCUAGGAUCUUCUUCUCCAUCAUCUACGACCAAUUUGAACUUUGGUAACUUGUUCUUGAAUCCCGAUGUUACCAUGUUUACUCCAAGUGGCUGUGGGAAAGGAUUCUCGUCCACUGCCAUUUUUUUCUUAUCAUCGAACGUAAUCCAUCCUGAUUCAAUGGCAUCCUGAUUCAAUGCAUGAUGGAAAACCAAGCAAUUGUUAGUCAAAUGUGACCAUGCGUUAUGCCACUUACAAUAUUUUUUACCCUUAAUUUGUUCAGGGUUUGGCAAUUUGUGCUUAUCGCUCAACUUUAUCUGCUUAUCUCUAUAUAAUUUAUCGAAUAUAAGGUCAGCUUUGGUCACGUCGAACGAGAACGUUCUAGCCUUUAUGUUUCCAUCCUUUAUGGGCUCAUUUCUGCCCGAUGGUCUAGGCUUGGCCAUUAUGGGACAAGUAUAUGUGUCCCCUUUGACCAAUUCGGCCAAACACAUUUCGGCCUGAUCGUAUGACUCGUCGUCGAUGGUAUGAACGUCAAAAUUUGGGUCUUUGUAAUAAGUCCCUUUACUAGAAUUUUUCAUUUGUUCCUCUUCUCUUAUCAGUCGCUCAUACCUAAUAACAUUCGCACUCAACUGGAAAAGGUCAGAGAAUUCCUUGUCCUGGAACUUCUUUUUUAAAUCAACACUCAAGCAGCCUUGAGCGAUCUUGACAAAUUCUUUUUCAGGCAGAGGUACAAAACACUUGCUUCUUGCUGUCUUGAACCUUUGGAGAAAACUUUCUGCCCAUUCAUUUGGCAUUUGACGUAAAUUCGUCAAAUCGGUCAAAGUGACUUCAAACUCAGUUUUAUAAAACUGAGCGUGAAAUAACUGUUCCAAUUGUUGCCAUGUUUGAACAGAGUUCGCUGGCAAGUUGGUGAACUAGGAGAAAGCUACUCCUGUUAACGAACUAGGAAAAAGUCUCAUUUUAUGAUAAUCGGUUACAUCACCACUUUGCAAUGUGAAUCGCCCUAUGUGUUCUAGAGUAGACACCUCUCCUAAACCGGUAAACAGUGAGAAUUCUGGCAAUUUGUAUCCUCUUGGCCAUGGAUAUGCUUGAUCUACCCAAUCAGGAUAUGGCUUUGUGUACGUCGGCCUAAUGACGGGACGCACCCCAAAAGCCAUCUGAUCCUGUACGAUUUUCAUAAUCUGGUUCCUCAACAUGACGUUGGGGUCAUAUGGAAUUCCUACAGGUUGGUUAACUGUUGGUUUGCAUGAGGCCUGAUGUUUGGUCCUUGAUUGGCAACAAAAUUACCAUGAUUAGGACCAUUACCAUUAGCUUGAACAUCUACUCCCUCGUUACCACGUGGAAUAUUCUGUCCAUUGUUUAGGAUAUUAUCUCUCACGUUUGGAUUAUCCCCCAAGUUAGGCAUACCACUACCAUUGCUUUGAUUUGGUACUGUAGUACCCCCUUGGUUUGAAGUAGAAGGACCAGGAAGUGGUUCUACCCUUGACUCGGAUUUAGGACCGAGGGAUUAUGUCCCACAAUUGUCCUAGUUUGAAAGUGAUUUGUAAGAGGUAUAGCCGGUUGACAUAUUUGGCCUACUAACUUGUUCAUCGUUUCAUUCAACGUCUUUAGUUGUUUGGCCAUGUUGUCAUAGUGUACAUUCCCAUUUUGUGUAAAUCUUUCCAUAUUAUGAAUACUUCGAAGACUUACCUGUUCAACGACGUCUUGCGUGAGUUCUCCAAGUAAUGCACGCAUGGUUCGAGGACUCAACUCCGUCAUUGGUUCGUAACAACUGUUACUGCUCUGAUUUUGUCCAUCUGUUCGCGGAGAGGCAUGCUACUCCUCAUAUCGCUCGAUUACAAACUGGAUUCCUCCCUGACUUGCCGCUUCCUUAUCGGAUCUCUGAGGCAUAUUGUUUCCCCUUUUGUACUUUCAACACCUAACACCACUGUCCUACCGGGCGUGCCAAAUUAUUUCGCGCGGGUUAGUCGCUAACAAUUAAAAAGGGUCAGACGAUUGUGCAAGGGAUAGACCUCUUGAGACAAAGUCCCAAAAAGGGGUGUUCUUUUAUUGGCGAUGACUUUACAAUUGGAAAUGAAAAACAACGUGCCUCCAAGGGGCGCAAGCACACGAGUUACUGAAAGAAAAGUGUUUAAGUCUAAAAACUAAGGAAAUGAAAAUUACAUAUUCUCUGUUCGAGAGUUUUGGAUUCGGUCCUUGCUUCUAUGUCCUUUCUCCCUUUUAUACUUUAUAGACGAUCUCUUUGUGAUUAACUACUCUAAAAACUGCUUGAUCGUCCUAUAACUACCUACUUUCUUCGUAGCGGCCAUUUUGUCAUGAAAACUGCCUUUUAACUGCUGCCAUUACCUUUCAUCGUUCAACCGCUUUCGAUUGAAUUUCUUGAAUCGUGAAACGUGAUAGGGCUGUUUUAACAACUGCUUUGAUAACUGCAUUUCUUGAUAACCACGACGCGUUAUGUUUGUUGAUACCUUGGGCGACUUUAAGGUUAGGGCGAAAAUAGAGUAACAGCUCUGGGCGACCGUAUGACACUCUAUUCGUUCAGAUUCUGGGCGACUUGCAAACUUGGGCGAUGGCGUUACCACAUUCUUGGACCUCCUUAUUUGGGCCUUCACCUUGAUUUGUUCGAUUGGGCUUCGUUCUUUGGACUAUCUGAUUUGGGGAUCCUCCAAUUGGGCUUCACUCCUUAGGCUGUUCGAUUUGGGUUGAAUUUUUAUGUGUCAACACAGUGAUUCUAAAUAUCAUUAAGCAGAAAUACUAGACCAACACGGGGAACACUAUCAGUGUCCUUGGUACCAACACAUAGCCAUGUAAUUCAAUAAUUGUGAGGUAAAAAUCCACAUCAGGCAUAUUCUAGCAAAUCCUGUUAUAAGUUGUCAAAAUUCGACAUAUCAGUGACCAACCCAAAAUUGUCAUUUGUCACCAACCUUGGUUCGAAAAUUUUGUCAAGACCGAUUCAUUUCACCCCAUAGUAUAUAUUGGCCAGCUUAAAUGAUUUAUUUAGUUAAAAUUAUUAAUUUUUUUUAAUUCGAAGUUGAGAUAAAUGAUUUGAAUAAUUGUUAAUUCCAGAAGAAGAUUGGAAGCAUUAACCAGCAUAAUUGAAGAUAAGGAACAGACGAGCGGGCAUAAACUUAAUACAAAGAGCAUUCUUCGCUUCAAAUCCUUACAAAUUAUGCCAAAUGAAAAUUUUGAGUGAACAAGUCAGUGAAAGAUCAGGUAAUGUUAAUAAAUUAGGACGUAUCUUCUUUAUGAUUUUGUUCAAAAUUUAUAUUCCAACAAAUUUUCUUAUUUUGAAAUCCACAACAAAGCAGGUAAAUUAAAAUUGGAACUGACGCAAUUAGUAGAAUUAGAAGCCUUUGCACAACUCCAUAAGUAAAAUUAUAGGUUAAAUGGUGUCUCAUUAAAUUUUCGUUUGAAACGUGUGCAAUUACAUCAAACAUGCAGCAUUAUUCUAUAAUAUUCUAUUGCUAUAAACUCUUGUUACACGUGUCCUUCUUGGAUAGGUUGGGAAAUUUAUGUUUUUUUUUAACGUAUAAAUGGAUUGUAAUGUUGCCUAAUCAAAACUUGCUCGCUUCCAUAAAAUGAUAUUGACAUUAAUUUUGAUAACUUGAGCAUGAGUGAAAGCAAAAUUGUCUUAAAAUACAAUGUGAAUUUUUUGAGCAGAUUAGGCAUUAAACUCGUAUUUAAUUGUGCGGGAGUUCAACCACUUUAUAAAAUCAACCAGAUAGUGUCGAAUGUCGGCCGAUGUUUUAAAACUCGACCCAAAUAUCGAUCCGAAAAAGAGAAAAGAUCAAUGGUCAAAAGGUUCAACUGCGGUCGAACUAGGGUCAAACCAAAAGAUAAUAAAUAAAUAUUUAUAAACAUUUAAUUGUUACUUUUCACAACAAUAUACAAAUAAUUUUUUACACCAUCAAUGUAAAAUAAAUACAAAUAUAUCAAAUGUAUGUUUUUAAUAUAAAUUUUAAUAUUUUUAAUUUGUUAGACCACUUAAAAACUCAUUUGAAUUUUACUAAAUAAUUUGUAAGAUUACAAAAAUGUUUAGCAACCUAUAGAAAUUGAGUAAUUUAAUUUUUGUAGUCAUGCACUAUGUGGCCAUAAAUAAUAUUGAAAAAAUUUGCUUUAUUGGAGUUUGUCAAUCCUACAUUGAAAAUGCAUUGAAAGUGUGUUUUAUUGAAUUUUGUCAAUCUCACAUCGGAAGUUUAUCAAUUAUGGGACACAAGAAAUAGCCAUAAAAGAGCUCCGUAAGUAGAAAGUUGAGUAAAUGGGUUUCCAUCCAUAAGUAAACUCGCUUAGGAGUAAGAACAUGGAGAUUAAGGUUGAAAAAGAGAAUAAGAGGAGUGACGAGUUACAUAUGAUGAGGAGUAUGAUGAAAUUUAAGCAAAUGAAUUCAGGUAGAACUCAAGACAGUAGUUAUUCGAGUAGUGACUCGAGUGAUGAGGGUAGUAAGAUGAAGGGUAAGGGAUGGGACAAGUCUAGUGGUAGAAGGCGUUACAGUUGUGGUAAGUCUGGACACUUUAUUAAGGAUUGUCCCAAAAAGAAAGAUAAUCUGAAAGGUAAGAUGAGAAGUGAGGCGAAUUUGGUUGACGGGUCAAGUUAUAACCUUAGUGAGGUUUAUUGAGAGUAAACCUAGAUACUGCAUAUGCAUCUGUGUGUGAUCAUUUCUGCAUGUGUGUGAUUGUCUAAAUUUUGUUGCAUGAUUAUUUGCUACAUUUCAAUGUGUUUGAUAUGUGCAUUUGCAUGAAUUUGAGACAAUAUGAUUACUUAGUGUAAUUACUUGCAUACAUAGUGGGUUAGGAUGCAAUAACAUUGUGUUGUGUGUCUUUUGGUGGGGUGGAGUGUAGAUGCCUAGAGGUACAUUGUGGUUUGUACCGAGGAUAUGGAGUGUGACAUUUGGAUCACGAAUGGAGAUGUGAUCAAAUAUCUAGAAUCAUUUAUCUGUAAAGAGACCCUGAUCAGAUGGAGUGUGAGAGAGAUACUUCUAUAACUUCUGUUAGGUGGAGACCCAUUAUCCAAGUAGGUUGGGAGAAGUGAUGUGGAGAUAGAGAAUUAUCCCAUGGACUUAGGAUCUAUUGUGACUUGUCAGUUAGACAUGAGUUGGAUGAUGAGAGGAAAUAUGUGUUCUCGAGGUGUGAGCAGCAUGAAAUGGGAUAUGAUAAGUGUGGUGGGAUCUUUUCGUAGAGUCAUUUGUGCAUGUGUUGUAUAUGGCGUUGACCGUGGUUUGAUUGACUUGGUGUUAAUCUAUGGUUCUAUAUGAACGUGUUUCUGAAAAGAUUUAUGUAUCUUAUCCUAUAAUAUAUCAUCAUCGCACGUGUAUUAGCUCUUAAUUGUUUACUGUUAAAUAUUUGUUUUUAUUUGGGUGUUUUUUGACCUUAGCCCCAGUGAGUACAUGGAGCAGUUAUGGUAUGUGUUUCAAGUUGGAAACACGAGGUAAAGGCUGUGAUCCGAUUUUAUUGGCUACCUUGAUUAUGUAAGUGAUAAUUGUGUGUUUUGAUUGCUUGCAAAUUUAUUGGGUAUCAAGGUGGAGAUUUGUUGGGUUUUUUGAUACCCAAUAAAUUUCGGGCUAUGAUGUUAACGUGUGUUAAUAUUAUUUUAUAGGCAUAAGUUAAUGAAUAAAAUAAGUUCAACAAUCAAGUCCACUACACCCGCCCAAUUAUAUUUCAUCUUGAAUGACUUGGAUUUUGGCUUGUUUACUUUUUUAAAGGUCCAACUUAAAGCCUAACCCUAGAGUAUAUAUAUGGCUGUAACCCUAACCACUUUCUUGUGAUGUUUUGUGUAGUUUUGAGAGAAAAAUUAAGGAAUUCAGGCUGCCCCUUUGUGUGUGAAAAAAGGCCUCUAAAAGUGUCCAAAACGCUUGUUUAACGCGUGCAAUUGCUGGUUCUUUGAUAGUAUACCUUUGUGGUGUCUUCUCCUAACUUUUGUAGCCACAAAUUUUCAUCUUUUCUAGUCCUACGUGGAUAAAGUUGAAUAGCAAUCGAGAUGAAUUAAUUUGUUUUCGUUUGGAGCCUAUUGGAUUGGUUAUUGGUAGAGAAAGGUACGGUGGAAUGAGCCCAGAAAUCACAGAUUUGAAGAUCUUUAAAGAAAGCUUCCACAACAAUUACUUAUUUUAUCUACUCAUUCUGGUAGAUCCCAUUGCUUAAAUUAUAAUUUAAGCACCAACAAAUAAUGCUUAAAUAUUCUUUUCAAUGUUUAUUUUUUCUUUUUAUUUUAUUUUUUUUCAUUAUUGCUCGUGUUGUAUAUUUAUCGGUUAAAUAAUGCCGGCUGAAUUUCUAUUGCAACAUGUACAAUUUCGUACGUCAAAGGAAUGAAAUAGAAUUCAUUCAAAAUGAGCAAAUAACUAGUACAAAUGUUGGAUAAUCUUGGGGAUACGUUUUAAACUUCAGUUAUUCAGAGUAUUGCGAUCUAAGGUUUAGUAUUUAAUCAUUUAAUUAACCAACAAGCAAUUUGAUGGAAGGGUAAUAUUCACGUAUUUAAUGUCAAAAUGAUAUUUUCUUUUUCCUAGUUUCUUGUCAACAUCACUUAGCGAUAUUAAAAUUAAAUUUGGACCGAUCUUUAUAGUUUAUGCAUGUUGAUGAAAUCUUAAGAGAGAAAUUUUGGACACAAUUGGGAAAAAUGGCGUUCUCAUAGUAGACGAUAAAAUCCAUUUAGUGUUAUAUUUUUGUGAAAAGGUUGAGAAGUAACUCAGUACUUGAACAAUACGCUAGAAAGUAAUAAUGUAGUUUGUCCUUAAGAAAUUUCACUAAGGUCACUUGGAAAUUUAUUUCAUCACGCAAGUACUUCAAUUUAUCUCAAUUAUAUCAUUUAAAGUUUAUUUUUAUGGCAAUUAGACCAUUUCAUCUCUAGCAGACACUAUUGCACUAAAAAACUAUAGAACAAAAUCAAAGUGAAUUAUUCAAUGUUUUAAAAAUCGACCUGAGCAUCGACUCGAAAAAGGAAGAGUGUCGAAGUUUAAAGGAUCGAACCGGUAUCAAACCGGAUGACAAAUUAAAUAAAUAAAUACACAAAUAAACUAUAAAAUAUCAUAACUAGAAUAGAUUUUUAAAUUUUAGUUUUCUCAUUCAAAAUAAAUAUAAUCAAUAUUUGUUACUUAGAUUUAUUAUAAUAAUUUAUUUUAUAACCUUGAAAACUAACAAUUAAUAUGUCCAAAAUAAUUUGUUUUGUUCAAAUUGAAAAUUAUAUUUCUGUUGGGAUUUAUGAUUUGUUAGUGAAAAUGAUGAAAUAAAUUAGGAAACACUUAGAAUUGACAAUUAGCAAGUAUUCCAUAUUGGGAGAUUACCAUAACAUUGGAAGAAUAGUCUCCUUUAAAAAGGAGCUAGUAUCCCUCAUUGAAAAAUUCCUAAAACGUUGAAAGAAUGAUCUCCUUUAAAAAGAAGCUAAAGGAGAAUCAAUUUUAUAAAAAAGUUACUUUGGCCUUCAAUUGCAAUGGUUGACACAUUAAGAAAUUAAAAGUUUUUGAGGGAAGAAAAUCAAAUUACACGAAAAAAACUGUGGCCGAUUUUUCUGGUUCACUGUUAAACCGACCGAUUUGACGGUUUAUUAGCCAAUUUUUUUUUAUUUUUCGGUUAGUUUAUGAGUAUUGGACCUUAUUAAACGCCAGUUCACGAUUUUUCAAGUUGAACUAGCUGGUCCGAUCCGAUUUUGAUAACGUUGAAAUUAUUUUUAAAAAAUAUGAAUAAUAUUAUCUAGCACUACUUAUAAUAGAGCACCUACCUAGUUGUGAAGGUAUAUUGGGUUCAAUUACCUACAAAAAUAUGCAAACGUUUGGUAGAAUUUAAUGAACCUAUCAUAACCUUACACCUCGAUAGGUACUUCAAAGUUAAAUACUCUCUCGUCCCAUUUAUAUAGGCUAACUUUCCUUAUUUUUUAUCCCAAUUACAUAGUUUUGUUUCUUUAUCAAGAAUGUUUUAUUUUGUUCAUCUGCUAUUAUACCAUUAUUUAAUUUGCUCAGUUAUAACAAAUAAUUCCCCACUUGCUUUUGAAAUUGUACAAAUAAGGCUAAACGAGAAAUGUUUUUAGCAAAAUUCUCUUUUUCAAUAGCAUUAAAUGAGAUUUCUUGCCCCCAGGGUAUAGUUCAGUGGUGCAAAGGAUAGGAGUGAAGUUAUCUCACGCCUUGUUGGCAGCUACAGUGUGAGGGUUCGAUUCUCGAGACAUGAAAUUUGACUCAUUGUAGACACAUUGUACAGACAGUUUUUAUUUCCUGACUUGCUGAAGCACAUUCCGCGAUUUACAUCCCUUACAAAGCUCUAGGGACGGAGUGGUGAAGCCCUCAAAGUUGGGUUUCAACUUUUUUAAAUAAGAUUUCUUAAUCCGUAUGAAAAAUAAAAACAGCUUAUAUAAACGAGACUUAAUAAGUAUAAAUUUUAACCACAAAUUAUAUAUGGCCCGCAUAUACUACUCAUUUAUUAUCAUUCAUUUAUGGAAAUGUGAAAUUUUAAGCAAAAGACAUUUUUUCAAAAUGUGUUUACCACCUAAUAUAUUAUUUCUUCCAACUUUACUAUCUCUUAAGAAAGAAAGCUAGGAAAUUAUUUUGGUGGAUCAAGAAUUUCCAAAAGAUAAGUUCAAAAGAUGACUAAAGUUGUUGCCAACUUUUCCAAGUGGGAGACAAAGAAAAGUAUUUUGAAGACUUUUCUUAUAUUUGAUUAAUUUUUGCAAAUGGACGGAGCAAAAGUUUCAAAAGGUGCAAUUGUUCAAGAUUCCUUCUCCAGAUUGAAGAAAAUUUCAAGUCCGAAACUCAAAAUUUCAAGUAUAAAAGCAGAUCAAGUGUUCAAAGUCUCCUCGGAGUUAAUUAAGUGCAGCUCUCAUUAGAGUUAAUUCAGUAUAGCUCUUAAGAAAGUGAAUUUAGCAGGAGAUAAAUCAUUCUUAUUUUUCAAUUUUUACUUUUAAUCUUGUAAUUCAAAGUUCAUUUCAAUAUUUGUAUUUCAAAUUUUCAUAUAUCAAUAAAAAUUAUCUUCAUUCAAACAUUUGUUCCAUUUUCACUUCUACUCUUCCUCUCCUGGGUCCAUAUAUAUAUAUAUAUAUAUUCAAGAGAUUUUUUAUUUUUAAAAAGUAUAUUUUACAAUUGAGAGAACAUUUAUAAAAUUUUGAGAGUAAAAUUUUUUAAGUAUUCUAACAGGCUAUUUAUUUUAAUACUUAACCUUACUACUUCCAUAAAAUGUUUAUUAUUUUUUAUUUUUACAAGCUUCCAUCCAAAUUAUUAUAUUAUUUUUCACCAUUAAAAUUUGAAAUUCUUUGAAUGCAUUUAAUUAUAAAAAGUGGACUUGACUUUCCAAAUUUAUAAAGUCAAACUCACUCUCUAAAUUAAAAUAUCAAUUUAAAGAGUCUUUGAAUAUAAUUUUUAAAUAUUGACUCUUUAAAAUAAAGAGCAUUUUAAACAGUCUUUUGAAAAUGCUUCGAGUAGUUGGCAAAGGUUGUAUCUACAUAUAUAGAGACUUAUUUUAUACAAAGAAAUUAUAAGUUAUUAUAUUAUAAAUUAUAAAUUAAGCUAAUCCAAGCAUGUGAAUAGUUGGCAAAGGCUAUAAAGCAUUAUUAUAUGACAAUUUACUAAAGUUUUUAUUCAUGCGCACGUUAUAUGUAUAUAAUUAUAAGUGAACCCAAGCAUGUGAGCAGUUGGCAAUGGCUGUUUCUUAUCAUACUUAAUUCACACGUUAGGAAAAUAACAUUUUCCUUUGGGCUAUGCUACUUUUAUGUAGCCCCAAAUACAUCGGGAUUGACACCCUGCCAAUAAUUUUUUUAUUGAUCGUGGCCCCUCUCACAAGAGGGAGCUGUACAAAUAGUAUUUUUUUAUUAGCUUUCCAUUAUUUUAAUUUAUCAAUCACUCAAUUAUUUUUAGCCCCCGUUUGGCCCCCAUUAAUUUUUAUUUUUUUUUCUAUUUUCAAUCACACAAUUUUUUAUAAAAUAAAAUUACACAUAAAUUAAAAACUUUUCUUUAUUUUUUAACCAUUCAUUUUUAAAAAAAAAUACUAUUUCAUCCCUUAAUUUUUUCACAUAAUGGGGGCCAAACAAGGACUUAGUAAUUAUUAGAUUCUUGGGACGAGCAAAAAGUUAUUUACCCUAUGCUUUGUUUUUUCCUUGAGUUACACUGAAUCUAUGACAUGCAUUUAUGCGUUUCCUACCCCAGUAGUGUGGACAGGACCAUUUGUGGUUCAUUUUCCAAAUUUAAAGGACACCAAAAGAAAAAUAAUAAUAAUAAUAAUUGUGAAUUUUUGGGGCUCCAAACUGAUGAAAAAAAAAGAAUCAUGUUUGUUGUACAAUAAUUUUUACAAGUUUGACAAUAUGCUACGUGUCAGGUUAUCAUUGAACAGUUUGAAAAAUACUUUAUUUUUUCAUCAACAUUUUUUUGACACGUACACCAUUGUCAAGCAUGUUGUACAAAUCCAUUGUACAAAUGGCUUAUUCCGAAAAAAAAAAAAGAAUAAUGUCAUGUAGAUCCACUGUUACUACACUACUAGUCUAGAUGACACUAAGUUAUAGAUUCAAUAGAAGUAGAAUUAAGUGGUCGAUUUAAUUAUAUCAUUCAUUUAAUGUCACAUUAGUGCUACUCAAAUUGAUAUUGUAAUACCAGUAAUGCUAAAUAUCAUUACUCAGAAAUACUAGACUAGCAUAGAGAAUACUAUCAGUGUCCUUGGUGGUAGGUAACAACCAACACAUGGCCAUGUAAUUCAAUAAUUGUGAGCUAAAAGUCCACACCAAGCGUAUUCUAGUAAAUCCCCUUAUAAGUUGCUAAAAUGCGACAUAUCAGUGACCAACCCAAAAUUGUCAUUUGUCACCAACCUUGUUCCUAAAAUGUUGUAAAGACCGAUUCACUUCACCACAGAGUAUUGGUAAGCUUAAAUGGUUUAUUUAUUUAAAAUUAUUGAUUUUUUUUUUAAUUCGUAGUUGAGAAGUUUAGAUAAAUGAUUUGCAUAAACUAUGAAUUCCAAAAGAAGAUCGGAGCGGAAGCCAUAAGCAUUAAAUAGCAUAAUUGAAGAUAAGGAAUAGACGAACGGGAAUAAACUUAAUACAAAGAGCAUUCUUCGCUUCAAAUCCUUACAAUUUAUGCCAAAUGAAAAUUUUGAACGAAUAAGUCAGUGGAAGAUCAGGUAAUGUCAAUAAAUUUGGACGUAUCUACGUUAUGUUUUUGUUCAAAAUUUAUAUUACAACAAAUUUAUUUAUUUUGAGAUCCACAACAAAAUUUAUAUUACAACAGAUUUAUUUAUUUUGAGAUCCACAACAAAAUUUAUAUUACAACAAAUUUAUUUAUUCAAUAAAUUAGGACGUAAAUUUAUCGGUUAAAUGAUGUCUCGUUAAAUUUUCUUUUGCAACGUGUGCAAUUACAUCAAAUAUGCAGCAUUGUUCUAUAAUAUUAUAUUGCUAUGACUUCUUGUUGCACGUGUCCUUCUUGGAUUGGUCGGGGAAAUUUAUGCUUAUUAUUAUUAUUAUUAUUAUUAUUAUUAUUAUUAUUAUUAUUAUUAUUAUUAUUAUUAUUAUUAUUAUUAUUAUUAUUAUUAUUAUUUUCACAUAAAUGGGUUGUAAUGAUGCCUAAUCAAAACUUGCUCGCUUCCGUAAAAUGAUUUGACAUUAACUUUGAUCACUUGAGCAUGAGUAAAAGCAAAAUUGACUUAAAAAUACAAUGUGAAUUUGUUGAGUAGAUUACGCAUUAAAUUCGUAUUUGAAUUUCGCUGUUUUAUCAGGUAGGGGUUCACCGACCCUAAGAGUAAGUGGGUCCCAUGCAGGACUCACUUGUAUAAAAAAUUGGCCAAAAACCCACCCCAUGAUGUGAGUGUUCGAUAGGGAUUAUAGCUCAAGCUUGGUCCUUCAUAUUUAAUGGUGCAGAGUUGAAUCAUGUGAGGGGUGUGGACAUCCUAUGUACCCAAAUUAUGUAUACUAAACAUAGCCCCAAUCAGAUAGUGUCAACCAAUGUUUUAAAACCCGAUCCGAACAUCGAUCAGAAAAAGAAAAAUGAUCAAGAGUCAAAAGACUCAACCGAGGUUGAACCAAGGUCAAACCAGAGAUAAUAAAUUAAUAGUUUAUAAACAUUUAAUUUUUAUUUUUCACAACAAUAUAUAUUUAACAUUUUACCCCAUCAAUUCAAAAUAAAUACAAAUAUAUCAAAUGUAUGUCUUUAAUAUAAAUUUUACUAUUUUUAAUUUGUCAGAUCACUUAAAAACUCAUUUCAAUUUUACUAAGUAAUUUGUAAUAUUAAAAAAAUGUUUAACAAUCUAUAGAAAUUAAGUAAUUUAAUUUUGUAAUCAUGCACCAUGUGGCCAUAUAUAAUAUUGAAAAAGUGUGCUUUAUUAAAAUUUGUCAAUCUCACAUUGAAAGUGUGUUUUAUUGAAUUUUGUCAAUCACACAUUGAAAGUUUAUCAAUUAUGGGACUCAAUAAAUGGUUAUAAAAGAGCUCCAUAAGUAGUUCAUCUCUAAGGUGACCUUUUUAUUAUAUAAUAAUUUUUUUUUUAAAUUUAGAAAUCGGUCCAAAAACCUUGAUCGGUUUCCAAUUUCAAGUUUAAUUGACCAAUUAUUAGUUAACUGAUUAAUUUAGUAUAAUUAGACCAAAUUUUGGUCCGAUUCCCAGUUUUAUCAGUUGAAUCGGCCAGUCCAAUUCAAUUUUAUAAACAUUGGUGUUGACUAAACAAAUGCCUCACUUAAUUUUUUAAUUUUCUUUUCAUCAUAAUUGAUUUUAAAUUUGAUUAAAAAAAACUUAAUUUGUUAUUGUAUUUUAUUUUUCAAUCAUUUAUCAUUUCCAACUAACCUAAACACAAAAUAAAAUUCUCUAUUACUAAAAAGAUAAAAAGUCGACAUUAGUGCGGACGAUCAUAUAAUCAAUGUGAUUAUAAUAAAAUUGAGAAAUUAAAGCUAAUGUCACUUUCAGAAAAAGCUAAAAAAAUAUUUGGCCAAUUAUGUCUAAUCAUCAGUGUUUCGUAAUCUUGAUACAAAAAGCAUCUCAAAUAAUUCCCUUCUAAACUAAGGUAUAUUUUUUUAAUGAGUAAUAUUAUUCAUAUUUACAUCAUCAUCUGUCAUGUAUAUGUCACAUACUACGAUUGUCAUAGUAAACGACUGUGAAUAGUAUUACUUUUUUUUUAAUACAAAAAAAUCUUGAAAUCUCUUUGAAUGUAGUGAAUGAUUAUCGAGUCAUUCUAAGUAGCAUACAUGUGACGAUUAGAGAUUUAAUAUAUGAGGUAAGAUAAAAUUAUCACAUUAAUACAUUAAAUCGCAAACCGUCAUAUAGAAUGUCAUAUAGUACGACUACUUCAAUAAGCGACUAUGAUUAGCAUUACUCAACACUUUUUCCUUUCAUUUAUUUGUUCUGCCUUUCAAAAUGCACAUUGAAUUUUGUUAAAUCACAAGUGAAAGCAUCUUUAACCUUUGGAGUUGUUGUUCCAAUGGUCCAUAACCUUUAAAUCUUGAUGCAAAUGUCUAUAACCUUUCACUUAACCGGCACAUUUUGUCCAUUUGAAUUAUUUUCAUUCAAUUAAUAUUUUAAAAGGACGAUUUUUUAUUUAAAGACUAAAAUGAUCUUACCUUAGUUAAAUAAAUAUAACAAAAUCAGUAAAAAAAAAAAAAAAAAAAAAAAAAAUUAAAAAUAAAAAAAAAAAAAAAAAAAAAAAAAAAAUUUAAAAUUGCAAAACAGAGAAAAUUCAACCCAUCAUACAAAUUUCCAUAAAAACAUCGUCUAUACUAUCGUGGAUUGCUUAAAAAAUUGUACCAUAUGAGUAAAAUUUUGCAUGCUUAAAAAAAUUCUUAUUCAAAGGGACUUCGUCAAGAUAAUUCCACAGAGAAAAAUAGACAUUUCUAAAAUUUCAUUAGACAUACUAACUCGAACAAAAUUUAUAUUUCAAAUGUAGAUUUAAAUUAAAUGCAAAUUUUUUUUUCCCGAAUAUGCGUUGUGGGGAAAUUCUCUAAAUCCAAGCAAAUGAUGAAGAAGGUAAGAAAAUCUAUUGGUGAUGGUCCACAAAUUCAUGUCCAAUAAAGUGUGGAAUGCCAUCGAGUCAAUGAAGUUUAGUGCAGCUUGAACACCCAACAUCCCACAAAAAAAUGAAAAGAGAAUUUUAUGAUUGGUCUAUUCACCAAGUCAGUUCAAGGAUCAAUUCUUUAAGGUUGAACUCCAAUUUUGAGGGCUCCCAUCGUCUCGCCUCUAAAACUUUGUGAGGGAGGUAAAUCGCAGGAUGUGUCCCAAUAGAUUAGGGAACAAGAGCCGCCUGUACACUGCGCUUACAAGGAGUCCAAUUCCAUAUUUCAGGAAUCGAACCUCCACACUGUGGCUGUCAGUAAGGCGUAAGAUAAUCUCACUCUUAUCCUUUGCACCACUAGGCUAUGCCACGGGGAGCGAGUUCACGGAUCAAUUCUUGAGCAUUAAGAAAGGUGUUUGACCCCAUUUUAAAAUACUCAAGACAUACUUUAUAACACACCUUUCAAUUUGGAAAAUCACUCAACGAUUAAAACACAAUAGUUAGUGAAAAACGAUUGCACGGAGUAUGUUUAAUAAAUCUAAUUCGCGACCUUUGUCUCUUUUAACUUGUUUUCGAGCUCUAUUUCUUUAUCAUCGAGAUAAGUUCUUGGUAUUAUUUUCCAUUACUGAGUAAUUUUUACUAGGAUGGGUUAAAAGGUACUUGAUAUUAGCACAUUUCUAUACCACAAACUUGAAAUAGUUUUACGCAAUCCAUUGAUUCCUUUAUCUUCACUAACUUUUGGUUCAACUUUGACAUCUUUUUCUUAUCAAAUUUUGAAGAUUUUUUUAACUUCUUUCAAAUAAGACGCCAUGAUAGAAAAAUGUAUGAAAUUUGAAAUAACAGGAGGUUAAGUUAAAACUAAUUAUUGUAAAAAUUAUGUUUCAUGCGUACAUGAAAUAACUUGAACAAUUAAUCUUCCAAGAUAUUAAACUUUUAAUCCAAUGUAUGUAUGUACAUUAAUGCUUUCUCUUUAAUAUAGGCAUGUGUGUGCAUUUUAUUUAUUUAUUUUUUAUAGAUUGAACUUUGAAUUUCACUACAUUUAUUAUUAUUAUUAUUUUAAUUUUUACAUGUAUUAUGGUAAAUUAUAAUACAAAUUAUAAAAUUAUUACCUAUUCUAUAAAUUAAUAGUUUCAAUAACAAUUCUUCUCAGUCUGAAUAUUAUUAUUUUAUAAAAGUUUUAAUGAAUAAAAGAAAGGAAAAAAAUAAAAAAAUUCAACAAAUCAAAAUGAACUUUCAAUCCAAACGAAAAAGCCUGCGCCCCACUCCGCAGAGUAUCUCUAUUUCCUUUCUUCUUAAGCAUCCUUUUUAAAUUUUUACUUGUAACUGAUGAAUAUUUUUUCAAAAGAUCUUAGAUUUGUGGCUCACCUCGUGCUAAUCAUGGCAAUGGCCUUUCCAUCGGCCAUCCAUUUUGGCCACAAAAUCAAGAAUCCAAAUUAUGCGAAAUUUAUCGAAAGUGCCAGAAUAAUUACUUCAGUAUUUGCUAAAGAAGUCAUGACGGUGGGUUGGAUAUGGAAACGUGUCAAAACUCAAGCUUCACUUUUCCUGCAAAUUUUUACUGUUUAUCUUGGUGGGGUCUCUGUUUUGAUGGCGACUGCAAAUUUUUACUGUUUAUUGCGGAAUUUUGUCUAAUUUCUUAUUUCUUAAUAAUAUUGAACGCUUUUGCAUAGCUGAAGAGUCACAUCAUCAGCUGUACCAUAAACGACAAUGGAUUCUUAAAAAAGAGAGAAAAAUCAUAAUAAUGCCCUGUUUCGUCUGUUGCAAUUAUUUUUGAGUUCCACGAGAUAUGGCUGUACCCAUCUCUUCAGUUCCACUCUUAGACGACGACGUCGUCCGUGGCUCCGUCGACUUCAAAGGCCGCCCUGUUUAUCGAUCCCGGUCCGGGUGUUGGAAGUCAGCUUUCUUCAUCAUAGGUACGUUUUGUAAUUUCUACACACAGUAAAAUUGGAUUUAGUAACAAACUAUUAAGGUUGUUUGCCUUUGAUUAGCAGCUUAUUAAGGUUUUUGUGUUCGAUUUGUUAGGUGUUGAAGUGGCUGAGAGAUGUGCGUACUAUGGAAUACUUUCGAAUUUGAUAAGCUAUUUGACGGGUCAGCUAGGCCAAUCCACCGCGACAGCGGCGGCGAAUGUCAACCUGUGGACUGGAACGGCCAUGCUUACGCCGCUACUGGGUGCUUAUGUGGCGGACUCCUUUAUCGGUCGAUACCGGACCAUUAUAAUCGCCACUGUCCUCUAUAUACUGGUCUGUUCAAGAAGUUUUACUCGAAAAUUGACUUAUAAUUAUGAGUUAAAAUAAGUUUUCCAUUUCCAGCUUUUAAAUUAUAUUGAAUAAUGCUACUUAUAGUUAGCGAUAUUUAUGGCAGCUUGUUAUUUGAGGCAAUUAACGGAGAAUGACUACUACAGUCGCGGAUCUUGAAUAGCAUUACUUGAAUUAUAGAUCUGUUGCACCAAAAGAUGAUACGAUUCAUAAAUUUUUCAUCUUUACACUUCUCCAGCAGAUGUCCACUUCGUACAGUAGAAAAUUUUUCUGUCAAGAACUUCAAUUUCGCGAUUGAUUUUCUGGAUUUCUGUCGCUCAGUUCAUUAACGAAAAGUACUUCUCCAGUACAUAACAUUCUUGAAAAUGCUACUCUUGAGGGAGAUGCUAAUCAUGUUCUUCAAUUGUUAUGAUCUCAGGCACUAGGCACCAUGUCCAUAUCUGCUUUUGUUUAUUCAUCCACUCCUUCAGACUGCCAAACUACUGCGGCAUAUGUCACGGGAUGCUCUCCGCCACAGUUUCAAGUUAUUUGCUUCUUCUUCUCAUUGUAUUUAUUUGCACUAGCACAAGGUGGGCAUAAACCUUGUCUUCAAGCUUUUGGAGCUGACCAGUUCGAUGAGCACAAUCCGAAAGAAUGUAAAGCCAAAAGCUCCUUCUUCAACUGGUGGUGUUGUUUCAUGAAUAUAGGUGUUGUAGUGUCUCUCUAUGUUUUGAACUACAUUCAAGACAACCUAAGUUGGGGACUUGGCUUUGGAAUCCCAUGCAUUCUUAUGUUCCUUGCCCUAAUUAUAUUUUUGCUUGGAACUAUGACUUACCGAUUUCGCACACGGACCGAAGAAAAAAGCCCGUUUUUGAGAAUCGGUCAGGUAUUCGUAAAUGCGGCUAGAAAUUGGCGGACUACCUCAGCAGAAAUAUCGAAGGAAGAGGAUUUUCAGGGUAUUCUGCCUUAUCAAGGCUCUCAACAUUUCAGGUAAGUAGACUACAAUUUUGCUUACUUAUUUUGAUAUUUCAAAGGACAAAAUGCCUCUUGACCAUGCUUUUAUAAAGGUACGGCUUCUUUGGUAAAAUUCAGUAAUUCUAAAAACACUAAGGAAGGAGGUGAAACUAAAUUUUUAUCCAUUGCAUUGUACAGUUCUGAAUUCAAAACUUGCCCUUAAGUUUCUAUAGAUUAAUUUCAAUAAGUGUGCUUUCAAUAAAAUUCAAUAGUCUAUGUUUCUGCAUUAUCCAAGUUCACUAUUGUUUAUUGGUAUUGUUUCUUAAUUAGUAUUACGGUAUAUUAACGUAUAAAAUUCCGUAAUCUAAUACGGGUAAAAAUAUUACCUUCUAACAUAGAACAAGGAGAAAACACACUGGUACUCAUCUCUACAUCUUUAUUUGAGUGGGAUGUGAAAUAAUUUAUUUAAGUUGAGAAGAAAUAGAAGACACAAAAAGGAGCAAGUACGAGAGAGAAGGAUUUAAUGUGGUUGAACAAUUGUGCUACAUCGACAGAGUUACAUCAUUUUUUUCACCAUAUUAACGAAAGAAAGAAGAAUACGAGACUCUACUGACUGCAUUUUCUAGUCUAUGCAGAGGCCUUUUCUCUUCAAUUUUCUCGUCUAACUCUCUGUAGAAGCUUAACUCUUUGUUUCUGCCUCUCUGCAUCUCACUUUCACACUAAUAAUUUUCAUCAGCCAAGCUACUCUAUUUAUACACAAGUGUUUGAGCCCCUUCAAUUAAUUACAAUAGGAAACUUGUUUGACGCAAUUAUGCUACAUGACCUCAAGGUUGAUAUAAAGCUUGACAUGAUGCCACGUAGCAUUCUAUUAUUGGACAAUUUAAAACAUAGUCAACUUUUUCAUCCAAUCAUUUACUGUUACAUACAAUUAUGUCAAGCUUCCCGUCAAGUCCUUCUGGCAAAGUAACUUUAUUUGUCAAAUCCUUGAUGUUCGUGUAGCAUAAUUGUUGAGAGACAGAUUUUGCACCUGAAAUUUAGCCAUUGCCUUUUCCCAUGCCCUUACAAUAUUUGCAUUAAAUGCCUUGACAAAAUUUGCAUUUAACCAUGUGCUUACCAAAUUUUUCAAGAAACCAUUCUGAAGACUUUUGAAUGUGGAGCCUAUAAUCAUCAUUAGGCUCCAAUACUCAAUAUUUCGGCUCGUGACAGGUUUCUUAAUAAAGCAUUUCUUGCACCUGAUGGUUCGAUGGAAGAGGGGAACGUUAGUAGUAUCACUGAGAUUGAGGAGGCAAAGGCAGUUCUCAGGCUUGUUCCAAUAUGGAUUACGUGUUUAGGAUAUGCAAUUGUGUAUUCACAAUCUGCGACUUUAUUCACCAAGCAAGGAGUUACAAUGGAUCGCCAUAUCACGUCUAGCUUACAAAUACCAGCUGCCUCAUUUCAAUCUUUUGUGAGUGUUGGUGUUGUCGUCUUUAUUCCAGUCUACGACUGUAUUUUGGUUCCAAUUGCAAGAUCAAUUACUGGGAGACCUGCUGGCAUAACAAUGCUUCAACGAAUCGGAACUGGAAUACUUUUAUCUUUUCUUUCCAUGGUAAUUGCUGCUUUGGUCGAGAUGGAACGCCUAAAAACUGCUGUCGAAUAUGGACUUGUGGACCUGCCAAAGGCAACCGUGCCAAUGAGUGUGUGGUGGCUGCUACCUCAGUAUUUGCUUUUUGGAAUAGCAGAUGUAUUUACCUUGAUCGGGCUUCAAGAAUUCUUCUACGAUCAGGUUCCGAAAGAACUGAGGAGUAUCGGUCUUGCUCUAUACCUCAGUAUAUUUGGCAUAGGGAGCUUCUUGAGCAGCUUUCUUGUUUCUGUGGUUGAGAAAGCCACCAGUGGCCCGGGUCAUGAUGGUUGGUUUUCAGACAACCUUAAUCGGGCUCAUCUCGACUACUUCUAUUGGCUACUGGCUGGGCUUAGUGCUGCUUUAUUAGUUGCCUACUUGUAUUUUGCAAAAUCUUAUGUCUAUAAUCGAAGACACAGUCUUUGAAGAGGCGUAGUUGUUUAAAUAUGGCUAGUAGAAGAGCACUAUUGUGGAAGAAACUCAGUUAACAGUUUCUUGUUUAUUCCUUAGGUAGUUGUUUAAAAUCAAUAAAUGUUGCUCGCUUGUAUUAUGCAUCUUAAAAUUUGUUUUUAAUAAAGAAAAGAAAAAUUGCAAUUUAGGCCCUGUUUGAGUCUUAUUAUUUUCUCAUUAAAAUGAAAAAUAUGACUGUUAUCCAUCAUAUCAAGUCAUUAUAUUUAUUUUUUAUCCUUGUGUGGAGCAUAUAACAGCUAUAUUUUUCAUUCUCAUUUUUACAAUAAUGUGACUCAAAUGAGGGCCUAAUUAUAGAGUUGAGCUCCCUUGCUUAUGGUACAAACUAUAGCGGUUGUGUGUGGUCAAAACAUGUCUUCUGUGAGGAACGUAUAACGAUCAAACAUUGUUAUUUCGAUAUAAUUUAUCUAACGCCAACCAUUUUAUGUGGUAUUAUGUGAUAGGUAUAACUAAGGGAGAAAUUAUGGGAUUAAUUUAAUUUGACAUUUCAUUUAAAUAAUACUUAAUGCUACAUGUGUUACAGUGGUGCUAAAUAACAUUAUUUUUAUUAAAAAUACGAACUCGAAUGAAAGAACACGUUAAUCUUAUUGAAAACCUGCAAAUUUAGUUCCCAAAAUCCUAACUUGAAAAUUAUAGGGUGCAAAUCUGUUUAGAAUUAAUAGACGUGUUUUGUUGUAAUGUUGACUUGGUAACUAUCAAUAGUCUUUAACUCCUCGAUUAGACUUUACAAUAAUGAAAAUGUUGUCUCCAGAUAGAGUAUUUGGUACUAUUAAGGAAAUCAAUUUAUCUAGUUUUACUCGUACACAAACCUCCUCUUGUUUCGUUCAUAAGCUUCAUUCAGCUCUUUACAAAGUCAAAUAUUAUUCGAAUUAAUCUAUGUCCCUCAAUCAUUUUUAUAUCGUCACGAAUUUCCUGAGAUACUAAAAUCAUACUUUUAAAGAAUAAUUAUUAUACAUAUACAUAUAUAUGUAUAUACUCAUUUUUGUCAAAGCGUGGUGGUUGUUGAGCCAAUCUCUUCAGCCAUAAAUAUUUGGAUGCCCAAAAUCAACUCCUAGACCACGUUCUUCAUGGCUCGUGCAUUUUGGUACUUUUUAUAAUGUUUCGGUACAUUUUUCACAUUUUUAUUUAUUUUUGCACGUUUUGAUAAAUUUCACAUAUUUUGAACAUUUUAGAGCAUUUUGGAACAUUUAAUCCAUUUUUGGUAUAUUUUAGUGAGUUGUGAUACAUUUCGCACAUCUUCAUACAUUUUGGUGCAUUUUGGUACAUUUCAUAUAUUUUAGUACAUAUUGCGCGUAGUUACAUUUCGACAUGAUUUUGUUCAUUUUUAUAUUUUGGUACAUUUCGGACAAGUUAUGGCAUAUUUUGCACAUCUCGAUACAUUUUUUUAGCCUUACUAUAUAUUUUGGCAUACUUUCUAGUUACAUUUUUUGAGCAUUUUUAUACCUUUCGUACGUUUUAUUUUUGUUUAUUUAUUUAUUUUUUUUAUACACUUUGGAGCGUUAUGAUAUUUUCACAUAUUUUGGUAUAUUUUGACACAUACAUUUUGUUGCUUUUUAAAGUUAAACUCUCUCAUGUAUUUUUAGACAUCUCGUGCAUUAUGAUACAUUUUGGAGCCUUUUGUUACAUUUAUAGCGUUUUGGUACAUCUUUUGUGCAUUUAACAAAUUUUGGAACAUUUCCUACACUUUGGUCCAUUUUUGACAAGUUAAGGUGUGUUUUGGAGAGUUAUGGUACAUUUUAUAUAUUUUGAUUCAUUUUGAUGAAUUUUUUUGGCAAGUAUGAUGUAUUUCAUCCAUUUUGCUACAUUUUGUAAUAUUUCGCACAUUUUGGUAUAUUUUUUUGUGCAUUUUGGUACAUUUCGCAUAUUUUGAUACAUUUUAGAGCGUUUUGAUAUAUUUCACAUAUUUUUUGUUUGUUUUUGCACGUUUUGAUCCUGAUAUGGUGGCUGGAUAUUUUUUAUCCUUGAAGAUAAUAAUCUAAAUACGUACAUGUAGUCUUCUUUAGAAGCAUUAACUUUUAGAUGUUAACUUGAUGAUACUCUUGUGGCGUCUCGUUUAUUAAAAAUUGUACACUUAUAGUUUAAACUUUUAGAUAAGAUAAUGAUAAUCACAUAUUCACACAAUUCCAUACCAAUUUCCCAUUCAACAAUUUAGGGCAAGAAAAUGUUUAUUUAUUUUUAUUUUUUACAUAAUAAGGGUUUGAUUUGCUAAGAAAUUUGCGCACUUAGAAAAACAUUCGAAUUUAUUAGCCUAUUUAUCCAUGGCAAAUCCACAUUAAAGAUGAUAACUGAUAGUGAAACAAGUCAUUACCAAGCAGGGACAGAUUCAAGAUUGUUGACGAACUAUGGCAGUCGUCGAUUGUUGACCAUUGAUCAUCAACGACCGCAAUUUUUACAUGCUAAAUCAUAAACCAUACAUAAGUCAAUAUUGAACAUCGAACAUUUUCAUAGAAGCUAGAUCAUAAGCAUCCACGAAUCAUUCAUUUUGAUAUCCAAGUCAAUCGCCAAAAUUUGAAGCAUAACAUUUAGCAAUCAAAAUUCGUGAUGCCAUUGACCACAAGUAAGAGGUAUUGUCAAUUAAAUACUCAAGUUAAAUGAUAGCUUGAUAUAAACAGAAAGAGUAGAUGCCGAAAAUUGUUUAACAUAUAAGAAAGAAAGAAGUCAGUAACUUGGUGUAAAGAAAAAUGCGGUUAAUGUAAGCGUCAAAUUACCAUCCAUCUCAGGCAAAUGUUACAAUCCAAGUGUAGCACUCACAUACUAAAACUUAGUGACAAAAGUUUACAACAGUUGACGACAGGUUACAAGACUCACAAAUUCCGUCCACGGCGGAGAUCACGGAAAGUGUUUGGAAAUUGCAAAUGUCAAGAUUCACAGCCUCAAAUCUAAUUGACAAUGGAAUCAAUGGGUAUUUGGAUUUUGGGCAAUGGGCCUAAAUCCUAAUGUUUAAAAUAAAAAAAAUAAAAAUAAAAAUACUUCAAAAGAAAAAUGCCCAAACCAAAUCUUCAUUUCCUUUCCCUUCAUAUCCUCACAAUUCACAUUCUGCGGAUGUUGCUAGAGAUGGAAUUCAAUGGUUCUUAUGGAAAUAGCACAGGAGACCGUGCCGGCUCGCCAAGUGUAUUGGAUCCAUCCUUGUCACCAAGUACAUGAACUAGGGGUGGGCGCGGGUCGGUUCGGUUCGGUUCUCUUUAGAACCGAACCGAACCAAACUUUUCGGGUAUCUAGUAAAUGAAACCGUCGGGUCCAAAUAUAAUUAUAGAACCGUUCGGGUUCGGUUCCAUUCGGUUCGGUUCGGAUCGGUUCCGUUCGGUUCUGUACUAUAAUUAAAUUUUUUAACAUUUAUAACAACGUUAUAUAAAUACGACUAAUGAUACAUUCAAUAGUUUUGGAAUGUCAGAGAUUAGUAAACUACCUUGUUCAAAUGAUCGCUACGAUCAAAGCUUCAGUCGGGGAAAGUCACGGCUUCGAUCGGAGGUUAGAGUGUCGGCCGACGAUUGUAUAAGUUUUGGAAUAUUAGAUAGACUGCAAGAGUGAGUGCGAGAGUCAAGACAACGUUAUGCACUUUAUUGUAGGUGUUUAGGGUUAUUUAGUGGAUUUGAUCUUGUUUGGCUAAGAAAUGAAACAAUAAAAUGGGUAAUUAGGCCAAAAAUUAAAAAAUUAGAAAUGAAACAAAUUAUUGGGCCAAAAAUUUGGAUUUAGAAAUCAUUAAUUUGUUAAUUUGUUUAGAAAAAAUUAAAAUUAAAAUAAUUUGAUUUACUCAAUAUAAAAAAAAUUAGAAAGAUUCGGUUCUUAUUCGGUUCUUCGGUUCUUGGUCUAGAACCGAGAACCGAACCGUACCCGUCGGUUCUCAAUUCAGAUACCCGUUCGGGUAUUUAAUUUGACAAGAACCGUCGGGUUCGGAUCGGUUUGGUUCGGGUUCGGUUCGGUCGGGUCGGUUCGGUUCGGGAGAUUUGCCCAGCCCUAACAUGAACUAAUCGAGGUAAGAUAACGGUUAUAAAUGAAAGGGCUUUGCCCCCCGGAUAUAUCCUAGUGGUACAAAGGACAAGUGUGAGGUAUACUUAGCAUUGUUGGCAGCCGCAGUAUGAGAAUUCGAUUCUUGAAAUAUGGAUUGAGAUUCUUUGUGAGCACCAGUGUACAGACAACUCUUAUUUCCUGACCUGUUGGGACACAUCCGGCGAUUAACUUCUCUCACAAUGCUUUAGGAGCGAGGCAGUGAAGGACCCUUAAAGUUAGGGUUCAACUUUUUUUUUUAUAAAUGAAAGAGCUGUGCUUGCUAUACACAAGACACACAGCCCCUCACAUGAUGGGUCCCGCACUAAUCAAGGUUUUACAGCCCUAAGGGGCUACCUUGCACUUUCUAGUAUAUGUAUAUGUCGGCUUUACACCAUUUAAGUUUGAGCGAUAAUGAUCGGUGCUUAAAAUUUAAGUACACGAUUCAAUCAUAGUCGAAUAUUAUAAUUAUUUUAACAAAUCAAAUUUAAUUCUCAAGAAAUUUAAAAUGGAUUCUUUUUCAUUAAUUUAGUUGAUUCAUUGCUAAAUCAAAUAAAAAAUAACUAAAACUCCAGUAAAUAGUAAUAGUUUAUACUUUUCGGUUUUCCCUUCUAUUGAGUUAUAUUGGUAUAACGAUAUACACCACUAAUAUUAUUUGGCAUUUUUUGGAAUGGAAAAAAAUUAAAAUACAUAACUAUAAAAGGUUUCAAAAUACAACUUCAAAAAUGACAAAUUUAUAGACUUUUUCAAAAAUCAGAUGGUCACAUUUUGUGUCAUCUCAUAAAAUAUUGUUUUUAUAUUUUAAAUAAUUAGGUCCCAAUUACAAUUACAAUUUAUAUCACAAUACUAGUCAUAAAAAUACAAGGUCACAGCCACAUAAAACACAAUUUAUGAGUUACAAUAGUAUAUUUAGUCACAAAUUAUACAUUAUAUGUCACAAAGUUAUACUUAUAAAUUACCCAAUUAACUGGUCACAAACACUAUUCACUCUCACUCAACCUCACCCAAAUCAUCGUCACCACUUCAAAUUCACCGCCUCAUUCCACCACCUCCAGCAACUUUCAAAUCUACUUCAAAAGGGGCCUCCACCAUGCCUCAAAUCUACAAUCGCCAUCACCACCUCUGCAUCCACCUCAACACAAAUCAAGCUGAGCUACUGUAAUUUAGCAAAACGAAAGUUUUUUUUGUUUGUUGUUUCAAUUCAUCCUUGACAAAAUGAUUAAAAAUGGUGGGAUUGAGAAAAUGGUGGUCGGGUGGGUACAAAUCUAAGUUUUUGAAGAAUAUGGAUGCUUGGUAGUGGGGUGAAGAAUCUAGAAUAUACCAAGACAAAUGAGAAUGGAAAGUGUUACAUGUACAUAAUUGUCUACAUAAUAGUGUCCAUAAUUACAUGUGGCAUUACAUGUACAUAAUUGUCUACAUAAUAGUGUCCAUAAUUACAUGUGGCACUGGAUCCAACAUUUAAUUUAAAUCUCACACUUUUAUAUCAACAACCGAAUAAUUGUCACAUCACAUUAUGAACAAUAUUAUGUAUAAUAAUUAUGUACAUGCAGACUUUUCCAAUGAGAAUAUGGGGUUAUUAUAGAUGUGUGUGAUUUGGUAUGGUGUGGGUAGGGUGGGAUAGGGUGGGAGGGGUUGGAUAUACUUGAGUUUUUAUUUUUAUUUUUUAAAAUUACUAUUACCAUUUUUUUAAAAUUGAAUUCAAAUGUGGGGUUUUAGACAAUUUCCCCUUAUUUGAUGGGCUCAUACCAUAUGCGGCCAAGGAUCAUGAGCCUGUUUGGAAUUAAUUUUGAGAAUUGAUUUUUUGAUCGUUAGGAGAAAAUUGGAGUCCACCUGUGAUAGAAGAAGUCAAAUAUGACGACUAAAAUAGUGAAAUAACGAUUAAAAAUUAAUUUUUUGGGUCAAAAAAUUACUCCCAAACAAGCUGCAUAUAAAUUAUCAAAAUAAUUAUGUAAGAAAAAAAAUUAAAGAAUCUAGGGGCUUAAUUUAAAGCAAAUUGUUAACCUAAUAUGAUUUUAAAGGAGGAAGAAUUGCAAUUAGGGUCUCAAACCUUUCAAAUUACUGCAAAUUAUACCCAAACCUAUAAUUUUUGCACCCAUAGUCCCAAACCUUUCAUCUUGGUUGCAGCUGAAGUACAAUGGGUGAAUUUCUUUAGUCAACCCAAAAAAAUUAAUUUGACCAUAUUUUGACCAAAUUUAAAUAGGUUGAAAUUGAAUUUUUAUAUUUAUUAAAUAAAAUAAUUAACAAAUAAAUAAAAACCAAAAGGAGAAAAAAAAUUGUGAUUGUUCAUCUCCUCCAAAGCACCCCACCUCCAACCACCCCACAAUGGAAGCACACUUUUGAUCAAUGCUAAAUUUCCCACUUCCAUUCAUAAUAUCUAAUCAUUUGCAGCAUAAAACUCAAUAAAACAUUAUGAAACGCAAAUUAAAGUUCGAAAGGAAAUUAAACCCCCGUUUGAUUUCCAUUCUUUGGUAAAAAAAAAAAAUGUGACCAUUCUUUGGUAAAAAAAAAAAUGUGACCAUUAUCUAUCACAUUAAGUCACUAUAUUUGAUUUUUUACCUCUUGCAUGGUCUCGUAAUAGUUAUAUUUUUCAUUUUUAUUUUUAGAAAAAUGUGAAUCAAACGGGCCUAAAUACAAUCUUAGACACAAAGGAUGUUUUUUUUAAGACAAGUUUGAAUUGAGGACAAGAAUGUCAUAAUUGAAAUGAGAGAGACUAUUAAUCUAAUGCAUGCAAACUACAGAGGUAUCUUGUGCAAAUUAACCGUUUAAUUUUUCCAAAGUUUAAGAAUAAUGCUGUCUAAUAUCAUUAUGCUGUAACAUCACUUCAAAACUCCGCACACGUGCACCUUCUCUAGCAAGCCCGAUCACCCCGAAGCUCCGCCACCACUCCCAACACCCCUAAAACCAAUAGCCGGCGGUCUCCGCCACAGCCACCAUCUCUGUAACCUCAGUCGAUAGUUUCACCAAAUGAAUCCAACAAAAGCAAUAAACAACCCUUCAUAAAAAUGUACAGACACACAGAAACAUAUCCCCGGCACAGAGACAUAUAUGUCGAUGAUUCAGUGCAAUCAACGGUGCUUUCUCUCUCUCUUCCUCUCUAAAUUUGUCCUUUUUGAGGAAUUUCCUCUCUACAAAUAUGCAAGGCUGUGAUGAUGUUUCAAACAAGAAGCAAAACUGAAUUUUUUGACUGUGAUUAUAACUUCGCAGAUGAUGUUUCAGGCUGUUUCCAAUAUGCAAAACUGGAAUUUUCUUUAUUUUUUGAGACAACACUCUGAAAUUUUGAGCUGUAAUUGUUGGUAAAAUUAUAAUAAUCUAUCGCAAGUACAAAGCUUUUAAUUCAAUGUUGUAUGCUCAGAAACUAGAACAAGGAUUGGAUUGAAUAAGAUAUGUGUGCUGACUUUCUUGGAUGAUUGGUUGAUUUAAAUUGGUGGGUUUAGAAACGUCUCCGGCAGUGGUGGCGUUGAAGUGGUAUUGGGUUGGGGUGGGAAAGGGUGGUGGUGGAGAAGAUGAUUAGUAGGAAGAACAGUCUCCUAUAAAGAAAAGCUAUAAAAUACUCCAUUGAUGGGGCCUCAUGAGUCAUGACUUAUACUGUUUGAAAGAUUUGCACAACUGAAGCAGACGAAUAAGAACGGCAUGCGUUUCAUCUGAAUCAAAUCAAUAUUUAUUGAACGAAUUCUAUUGAACUUGUUGUGCUUUUAAUGUAAUCAGAAUAAUGUCCUGUUUUAGCUGUUGAGCUCCAGAGAUGACGCUAUCCCGAUUUCUUCGGCUGCUGGAGCUGCAGCUCCACUGUUAAACAAUGACCUCGUUCAUGGCUCCGUCGACUUCAAAGACCGCCCUGUUUCCCGUUCCCGAUCUGGGUGUUGGAAGUCAGCUUUCUAUCUCAUUGGUAUUGGCAUUCACCUAAUCCUACCCCAAUUUCACACAGCAAAAUAGAAUUUUUUGUAGCAAUCAAUUUGGGUGCCUAAGUGAUCAUAGUCCCACAACCUAGUUAUUUGCCUUAGAUUAGAAACUUGAGAUACAAUUAGUGUUUUUUAAAUUGUUUCUUUAUUUAUUUUGUUCUAUUCAUUAGGUGUUGAAGUGGCUGAGAGGAGUGCAUAUUAUGGAAUACUGUCAAAUUUGAUAAGCUAUUUGACGGGUCCAUUGGGCCAAUCAAAUGCAACAGCAGCGGCAAAUGUGAAUGUGUGGACUGGAACGGCCAUGCUUACGCCGCUUUUGGGAGCUUUUGUGGCGGACUCCUUUCUUGGUCGAUACAGGACCAUUAUUAUUGCCACUGGGCUUUAUAUCCUGGUCAGUUCAAAAAGUUUUCCACGAAAAAUGGCAUAAUUAUUUGACAAUAUAUGUUUUCUAUUUCCAGCUUUACAAUUAUUAGUAUGAUAGACUUAUUUAAGAUAUUUCAUUGGAAUUAUAUAUCAAGCUACAGAGCUUUUAGAAGUGGUUAUGCCUCCUUCAGUUGCACCAAAAGAUGUGAUCAGAUUGAGUGAAAUGGUUGAAUUUUUCCGGUGACGGUUAUCAAAUUAUAUGUUCUGACUUUUUUGGUUUUGGCACUUUAAACUGGAAGUAUUUUGCAUGUUUUGCCUUAAAUGUUUUUACUUGGUUGAGCUUGUUAUAUAUGCUCUGUUAGUUAUAGAAGUUUUCUGUAUGUUAAAAUAAAUUUCCUCUUUCCUCUUGGGCAUCCAGUGCUCAUUCAAAAUAGAAGUUUUGUUUUGGAAAAGUAAGAAUAUUCACAAAAAGGGGCUUGAGAAAAUGACUUUUUUCUUCCCAAUAUAAAAUGUUCUAGGAAAUUAUAUUAUCGUCGCAACAAAUAUGGCCGAGGACUUCGAUUUUGUGACUGAUUUGGAGCAGUUCUGUCUCUUACUUCAUUAACGCAGUAUUUAUUUAUUUAUUUAUUUUUUCAGGCAUGAUGUUCUUGGAACUGCUAUUCUUCAAGGAGACGCUAAUCAUGUUCUUUUGAUUGUUAUAAUCUCAGGCACUUGGCAUUAUGUCCGUAUCUGCUGCUGCUUAUUCAUUCAAAACUUCCAACUGCCAAAUUACUACAUGCUCUCCACCACCUUUUCAAAUUAUUUGCUUCUUCUUCUCAUUAUAUUUAUUUGCAUUAGCACAAGGUGGGCAUAAACCUUGUCUUCAAGCUUUUGGAGCUGACCAGUUUGAUGAGCAAAACCUGAAAGAAUGUAAAGACAAAAGCUCCUUCUUCAAUUGGUGGUGUUGUUUCAUGAAUAUAGGUGUUAUAGUGUCUCUCUAUGUUUUGAAUUACAUUCAAGACAACCUAGGUUGGGGUCUUGGCUUUGGCAUCCCGUGCAUUGGCAUGUGCAUUGCCCUAAUUAUAUUUUUCCUUGGAACUACGACAUACCGAUUUCGCUUAUAGAGUGAAGAAAGAAGCCCGUUUGUGAGAAUCGGUCAGGUGUUCCAAAAUGCGGCUAAAAAUUGGCGGACUACUCAUGCAGAAAUAUCCAAGGAAGAGGAUGCUCACGGUAUUCCUCCUUAUCAAGGCUCUCAACAGUUCAAGUAAGUCCACUACAAUUUUAUGUAUGUAUUUUUACUUUCCAUAAUUUGAAGGACAAAAUGCCUCUUGACUAGCUUUUUUACACAUGGCUUCUUCGGUAAAAUUUAUUAUGCGAUGCUUAACAACGUUUAGUAAGAAAAUGAAACUAAAUUUUUAUCCAUUGCACUGUCCGGAGUUUCAAACUUGCUCUCAAGUCCAACUCUCUGCAGAAGCUUUACUCUUUGUUUCUGCCUACUUUAUUUAUACACACGUGUUUGGCCCAUAUAUGCAAAUUGUAAAAAGGAUGAAUUCUGAAAUUGGCCAUUGCUUUUUCCCAUGCCAGUGCACAAUUUACAUAAAUGCCUUGACAAAAUUUCCAUAACUCUGCAUUCACCGAUCUUGAAAAAAACCAUUCUGAAGACUUGAAUGUGAAGCUCAUAAUCAUCAUUAGGCUCCACUACUAAUGAGUAGUGGUCUUCACCAUUCAACAUCAAGCUAAUUCCAUUUCAUUGAAGUAUUUUUAGUUUGUGACAGGUUUCUUAAUAAAGCAUUGCUUGCACCAAAUGGUUUGAUGGAUGAUGGAAAAGUUGGUAGUAUCACCGAGAUUGAAGAGGCAAAGGCAGUUCUUAGACUUAUUCCAAUAUGGAUUACGUGUUUAGGAUAUGCAAUUGUGUAUUCACAAUCUGCGACUUUAUUCACCAAGCAAGGAGUUACAAUGGAUCGCCAUAUCACGUCUAGCUUACAAAUACCAGCUGCUUCAUUUCAAUCUUUUGUGAGCGUUGGUGUCGUCGUCUUUAUUCCAAUCUACGACUGUAUUUUGGUUCCAAUUGCAAGAUCAAUUACUGGGAAACCCGCUGGCAUAACAAUGCUUCAACGAAUCGGAACUGGAAUACUUUUAUCUUUUCUUUCUAUAGUAAUUGCUGCUUUGGUUGAGAUGGAACGUCUAAAAACUGCUGUCGAAUAUGGACUCGUGGACCUGCCAAAUGCAACCGUGCCAAUGAGUGUAUGGUGGCUGCUACCUCAGUACUUGCUUUACGGAAUUGCAGAUGUAUUUACCUUGAUCGGGCUCCAAGAAUUCUUCUAUGACCAGGUUCCUAGAGAGCUGAGGAGUAUUGGUCUUGCUCUAUACCUCAGUAUAUUUGUGGCAUAGGUAGCUUCUUGAGCAGCUUUCUUAUCUCUGUGGUGGAGAAAGCCACCAGUGGCCCGGGUCGAGAUGGUUGGUUUUCAGACAACCUUAAUCGGGCUCAUCUCGACUACUUCUAUUGGCUACUGGCCGGGCUUAGUUCUUUUGUGUUCGCUGCCUACUUGUACUUUGCAAAAUCUUAUAUCUAUAAUCGAAGAAACAGACUUUGAAGUUGCAUAGGAACACUACCUGGACAAAUAUGCUAGCAGAAGAGCAAUAUAGCUUGUGUUUCUCAACAAGAAGUUUUAGAUAUGUAAAUAUUUGCUUGUUUGUGUAUAUAUCUCAAGAUGUUUUUUGAAAAUAACAAAUGAAACAUUGCAGAGCAUGGAGGUGAGUUUCCUUCUAACAUUUGCUAUUGAGGUUAUGCAUCUUUGAUGAACUUUGUUUUCCGCGUGAAAGAAUAAAGUAGUUGUGAAGAAUUUCGGUUGAUUUGUAAAAUAAACUUGCAGUAAAAACGACAACACACAAAUGAAAACAGAAAAAUAACACAAGAACACCAAGUUGUUGAUCCAGUUCAGCCGUGAAUAGGCCUAACCUGGGGGGCUUAGGGACAACGCAUUCCAAUAUGGCACAAUCGACCUUCCAAGAGAGUAAGAGUACAUCAAGAACCACUCGGAUCCUACAGUUUCAGUCACCGAUCUAAAGAUCUCGUGAAACACAUAAGUACGAAAUCAACCAAAUGUUUAGGAGUUUUACAGUACAAGAUCAGCUACUCUCUCAGGCCUGAUCAUUAACCCAAAACAUAAAUUCCAUAACUAGAUCGUAGAAACUAUACAUUAAGAGAAAGAUUUUUCAAAUUCAAAAGAAAAACUCGAAGAAGCAGAGAGGGACGCCAAAGAGAGAGAGAAGGAAGAAUCUAGAAUGACCCCAAAAGUCACGAGACUUUUGGGUUAAUUGGACGGUCACAUCCCAAGGGAUGAUCUCAGCCGUUGGUUUAAUCCAAUGGUCCAAAACAGGUCUCAACUAGCACAAUCCAAGUGAGUAUCAUGUAUCCAAUAGUCAAGUGUCAAUUAGGCAGAGUUUCCCAAAUGAGCCGAAAACCUCAAUUGACAAAAGUAGCACUCUUUUUAGAGUGUUUUGAGAAACACCAUUUUUUCACAUUCUUCACCUUGAUUCUCAAUAACACUCGCUCUCUGGUUGCUGAAAGUGCAAUGGAACAAUUGUCCAUCAUCAUCGCCCUAGUACCUGCAAAAGAAAAUUAACUUGUGUCAAUAUGAAGUAAGGAUAAACAUGUUUUAAACUUACUUACAGGUAACACUUUGGUCCUCAUAUUAGAAGGAUUUCUAUCAGUAUGAACUUUAAUCAAUUUAACUUCACCUAAAGAUAAUUUUUCUCUUAUAAAAUGAUACUUCACCUCGAUGUGUUUCGAUCUUUCAUGAUAGACAGGAUUUUUACUAAGUAGUAGAGCACUCUGACUAUCAGUGUAUAAAAUAGGAGUAUCGUUCAUAAAAUUCAGUUCAUUUAAAAUCUCCAUUAACCAAGUACAUUCUUUCACAGCUUCAGUUAUGGCUACAUACUCAGCUUCAGUGCUAGACAAUGUAACCAAUGUUUGCAAUUGUGAUUUCCAAGUUAUGCAAUUUUCCCCAAGGGUAAAGAAAUAAGCUGUAGUAGAUUUUCUACUGUCUUUGUCACCAGCAAAAUCAGCAUCAACAUAGCCUUUUAAAGUUAAAUUUUCAGAUAUUUUCUCAUACACUAAUCCCAGAUUUAAUGUACCAACAAUAUACCUAAGUAACCAUUUCAUCCCAACCCAAUGAGGCUUGCCAAGAUUGGACAUAAAUCUACUUAGGAAACUGAUUGCAUAAGCCAGGUCUGGUCUAGUUGUUAUCAUUGAAAACAUUACAGAACCUAUGGCAUUUGCAUAGGGUAUAUUUUCCAUUUCCUUCAUCUCUUCUUCAUAUUUAGGGGAGUGAGUUUUAGAUAGGUUCAUGUGGGCAGCUAGGGGUACAUUAACCGUUUUACUAUCUUUCAUACCAAAUUUGGUCACAACUUUAUUUAGGUAUGCUUUUUGUGUGAUGGUUAACUUGUUUUCAGAUCUGAUUCUUUUUAUAACCAUCUCUAGAAUUUUUCUAGCAUAUCCUAGGUCCUUCAUAUCAAAUUCAGAUUUUAAAAUAUUCUUUAAUCUAGAAAUUUGAGACUUAUCAGGACUGGCCAGAAGCAUAUCCUCUACGUAAAGUAGUAAGUAAAUUCUCCCCUCCCACUUUUCAUAUUGUUAUAGUAUAAGCAAGCGUCAAAUUCACUUCUUUUAAACCCAAUCUUUAACACAUAUGCAUCAAACCUUUUAUACCACUGUCUGGGGCUCUGUUUCAACCCAUAUAGUGAUUUUUCCAAUUUGCAAAUAUAUUCAGUUUUGUUUUUAACCUCAAAACCUUGAGGCUGACCCAUGAAGAUAUCAUCUUCCAAUUCCCCAUGUAAGAAUGCAGUUUUUAUGUCAAGUUGCUGAAAUUCCCAAUUAUAUUGAGCAACCAUGGCCAAUAUCAACCUUAUGGUUUUAUAUUUGAUUACAGGUGAGAAUAUCUCAUUGUAAUCAACUCCAUCUAUCUGAGUAUACCCUUUUACCACUAGUCUAGCCUUAAACCUAACAGGGUCAUUUGAGUCAUUACCCUCUUUAAGCUUGUAAACCCAUUUACACUGUACUAUCCUAUGAUCCUUAGGUUUUUUAACAAGAUUCCAUGUUUUAUUUUCAUUCAGGGAUAGCAUUUCUUCUUUCAUGGUCUGCAACCAAUUUUCAGAAUUUUUCCCAUGAAUAGCUUCGUCAUAAGAAGUUAGUUCAGCUUGUUCUAUUUCUUCUCUAGAGACUAAGGCAAAGUCUGUCAUAUUUAAUAGUUCAUAUGUAGGAUUGGGUCUAGGUUGUCUUCUUACCCUAUCCCUAGUUAAUUGAUAGUCUUGAACCUCAGUCUUUCAGUAAUAUGAUCAGGUUCUUCAGAUUCAGCCCCAUUCCGGGGCUCAUCAGGCUCUACAGGUUCAGUAACUUGUUCAACCUGGUGAUGUACAACUUAUUUUCAUCAUCUCCAGGUUGAGAUGGGUUAAAUUUAGUUAACUUCACCUCACUCUGAACAGUCUGAUUAUUUACAGAUUCAUUUGUUCCUUUAGAAUUUUAUUUUAGGCAUGGCAUUUCUGAUUCAUUAAAGAUUACAUCUCUACUAUUGAUAAUCUUAAUGCCUAGAACACCCAAAACCCACAAUUUGUAGCCUUUAACACCUUCUGGAUAUCCUAGCAUCACACAUUUGAUGGCUCUAGGUUCCAACUUUCCUUCAGAUUGAUGUGCAUAUACUGCACAUCCAAAAACCCUAAUAUGAGUUAGAUUUGGGGUUUUUCAUGUCCACAAUUCUUGUGGGGUCUUAAACCCUAUACUACUGGAAAGGAACCUAUUAAUCAAGUAAGUUGAUGUACAAGCAGCUUCAGCCCAAAACCCUUUAGCCAGACCAAAACUAAUAAGCAUGCAUCUUACUUUAUUCAUUAUAGUCCUGUUCAUUCUCUCAGCUACCCCCAUUUUGCUGAGGUGUGUAUUUCACAAUCCUAUGCCUUAAUAUUCCUUUCUGUUUACAGAAAUUAUCAAAUUCUAUAUUACAGAACUCCAGCCCAUUAUCAGUUCUUAGGGUUUUCAAUUUCUUCUCUAAUUGAUUUUCAACAAUGUUCAGCCACGUUCUAAACUUUUGGAAGGUUUCAGAUUUAGCCUUUAAGGGAUAAAUCCAAACCUUCCUAGAGUAGUCAUCUACAAGUGAUAAGAAGUAUUUACUUCCACCAAAAGUGGAGUGUUUUUCUGGGCCUCAAAGAUCAGCAUGCACAUAAUCCAAGGGCCUAUUAGUUCUGUAUGAGCUAGAUUCAAAACUAACCUUGCGAGACUUACCAAAACACAAGUCUCACAAAAGUUCACUGGCUCAAUGUCAUCUUUUCCAAGUAAUUUUUGAUUAUUUAAAGAUUUUAGCCCUUUAUUUCGAAUGUGUCCCAUUCUAUUGUGCCAAAGACUAGAUUUGUUUUCAUUAACAGUUAAAGCAUUUGAAUCAGGUGAUAUAACUGUUUCUCCCUCUAGAUAAUAUAACCCAUUCCUUUUAGGUCCUUUCAUUACAACUAAAGAGCCCUUCAUAAUUUUCAGGUUUUUAUUAUCAGAUUUGAAGGUAUAUCGCUCAUCUUCAAGUAUCCCUAGUGAAAUAAGGUUCCUUUUCAAAUUUGGGACAUAUCUCACAUUUCUUAAAGUUCUGACAGUGCCAUCAUACAUUUUUAUGGCAAUAUCACCUGUGUCAAUUACAGUUUGGGAAUUAUUAUCACCCAUAUACACCUUUCCUGGUUCAUUUCUUUAUAGUUAUAAAACCAUGUUUUUUCAGGACACAUAUGAAAGGUACAUCCUGUAUCCAGAAUCCAGUCUCUAAUAGAGUUUUCAGUUGACACAUUUAAUACAUGCAGGCUAUCUAAUUCUGACACUAUGGCUGCAUUAUUCUGAUCUUUUAAUUUUCUUUUCUAGUCAAAGCAGUCCCUCUUAAAGUAUCCCAACUUCCCACAAUUAUAACACUUCUUAUUACUUCUAUCUUUAGAUUUAGAUAUGCUUUUAGAUCUCCCCUUAAAUUUCUUGUUUUGAAAAUUAAAUUCCUUCUUUUCAGUUCUUUCCCUUACAAAUAGGCUCUCUUCUCUAUAGUUGGUUUUGUUUUCUUUCCUAACUUCUAACUCUCUUAAUCUUAAUGUAUCUAUUACAAUCGAUUGUGUAAGUGUGUCCCUAGCAUAUUUUAUGGCAUUCUUAACAUCUUUGUAAGAUUCAGGCAGUAAAUUUAAAAGAAUAACAGCCAAGUCCUCAUCUUCAAAUUUUUUAUCAUUAUGUGCUAAACUCUUAACUAUAAUACUGAAGUCACUCAAAUUGACUUCCAAAUCCUUUCCUGGAUCCAUUUUAAAACUAAAUGGUUUUUCUAACAAAUAUAUCUUGUUAGGUAGGGUUUUGCUUAAGAACAAACCAUCCAAGGCAGUCCACAAAAUUCCUGCAGUUUUAGAGUCAUCAACUUGUCUAACCACAUUAUCAGAUAAAUGCAUGAUUAUUGAACUAUAGGCAAUCUCAUUCAUUUCUUCAAUUUCGUUAGGUUUUCCUUUUAACUCAUCAGAGAUAGUUGCAGGAUCAUCGAGGGCUUUUGCAACCUUCUGUUGGACCAAAAUGGCCCUCAUUUUCUGCUUCCAUAUAGAGUAGUCCCCCUUUCCAUCGAAUUGGGGCAAUUCGACCUUCGAACCCAUUACAGAUUCUGUAAAAGGGUGGACCUUACUCAUGGAUACAGCAGAAAAGGUUUUUGAAAGAUUUUGUAUCAAGCAGUUUCAAGAAAACCAAUAGUAGACAGUUUCAAGAAACCCAAAAAAAAAAUAUUCAGUAACAACUUUUCAAAGAUUGAGUUAAGUACAAUAGAUAUUUGACAGUAUAUUUAUAUAUAAAAAACAAACAGAUAUAUUUAAAAAACUUCAGUCAGAUAUCUCAAAGAUGCAAGACAGGUUUUAUAACUAGAUCACAAGUUAGUAAAUAGAUAACUAGUAUAUUAUUUUCAGUUAACUAGAUCAAGAACAACAUGCAUCAUGAAAUAAACUAUAUCAUGAUUAACCCGUGGAAAACCAGGUCCAAAGGAAUAAUGGUCAGAUCAUAGCAGAUUUUUGCAGUGUCUGUUUUAUACAUAUAAAGUAUUCAAUAAACCCAGCCAGUUAACUCGAACCACCUUCCAAUGUCACCUUCCAAGGAAAAUCAAAUGAAUCAGUGACUAUAAUUGCCAAAAAAGAAAUAUCGAGAGAAAAAGAAUAACCGAACCGCCUUUUGUGUAGAUCUGAAAAAUCGAUCUACACUAUUCAAAAACCUAAAAAAUAACCCAACAUGGAUUUAUACAGAGUAUACCGAACCGAACCUAGAAGCCAGAAGGCUCUGAUACCAAUUUGUGAAGAAUUUCGGUUGAUUUGUAAAAUAAACUUGCAGUAAAAACGAUAACACACAAAUGAAAACAGAAAAAUAACACAAGAACACCAAGUUGUUGACUCAGUUCAGCCGUGAAUAGGCCUAAUCUGGGGGGCUCAGUGACAGCCCGUUCCACUAUGGCACCUUCCAAGGGAGCAAGAGUACAUCAAGAACCACUCAGAUCCUACAGUUUCAGUCACCGAUCUAAAGAUCUCGUGAAACACACAAGCACGAAAUCAACCAAAUGUUUAGGAGUUUUACAGUACAAGAUCAACCUCUCUCUCAGGUAGAUCAUUAAUCCAAAACAUAAACUCCAUAACCAGAUCGCAGAAACUAUACAUUAAGAGAAAGAUUUUUCAAAUUCAAAAGAAAAACUCGAAGAAGCAGAGAGAGACGCCAAAGAGAGAGAGAAGGAAGAAUCUGGAAUGACCCCAAAAGUCACGAGACUUUUGGGUUAAUUGGACGGUCACAUCCCAAGGGACGAUCUCAGCCAUUGGCUUAAUCCAAUGGUCCAAAACAGGUCUCAACUAGCACAAUCCAAGUGAGUAUCAUGUAUCCAAUAGUCAAGUGCCAAUUAGGCAAAGUUUCCCAAAUGAGUCGAAACCUCAAUUGACAAAAGUGGCACUCUUUUUAGAGUGUAUUGAGAAAUACCAUUUUUUCACAGUAGUUUUACUUGUUGAAACACGGCCUCGAAUGAAAUAACACGCCGCUCUUAUUGAAAACUUGUCCUCUAACUUAGUUCUUGAAACUCCUUACUUGAAAAUUACAACCAUGCUUCACUAACAUCUUAGAUGACAUUAUGGAUGACAGAAACGUUUGGUGGUAAAAUUUUAUUAGACUAUUUAAAAAAUAAUCAACUAUAUCAUUCAAUUAUUUUUUUACAUAUGUUCAGUCAACAAAGAUGUCAAAUUCAUCUGGUGACAAAGCUUAAUUCUAAAAAUUGUGGGCUAUAAAAUGUCGAGAGCUGACAUAUUCUUUGCAUGUUGUAAAGUUUGGUUAGUAACUGAAGGUAGUAUGAAAUAGGCUUGGGGAACGUGCGGAUCGAUGUGGAAAUAUUACUAUUUUUCAAGUAUUUUAGAAAUGAAAUAUUCAAGUUUAAGUAAUUAUUAGAAUCAAACUCAAAUCGGGUUCAAAUCUAGUUCUACCCAUAACAUUUUUACAAAAAAAUCAUAAUACAAAUUAUAUUUUCUAAUAUCUAGCAGAAAUAAAAGAAAUAAAAUGUAUCUUCAAGACAAUUCAACUAGUAGCUCAUUAAUUGAAAAAUAUUAAGUACUAAUAAUUAUUCAAAACCAAACACAUGUUUUAAUGUCAAAAUUCGGGAUUAAAUAUCAAACCUUCAAAAGUAAGGUUUAACGUUAUUCUAACAUCUAUACAAUUAGCCACAUAUCAAAUUAAUUACAAGAACACAAAAUAAUUGAUUCAACAUUAUCCGAAAUUGAAUAAUUGAAAAGAAGAUAAAAAAUAAUCUCGAAUAUUGAAUCCUUUCAGUCACUUCUUAUUUUUUCUCAUUUGAUUCUCCUUUUUCUUCUUCGUUUUCAAUAUGAGAAAUAGAUAUAUUAAAAUGGGUUUGCAUGUGUUUUGUAAUAAGCUUGUACAAAGCUUUGAAUGAGCGUGUGAGUUUAUGAUUCAAAAUUUUAGUCAUAAAUAGGACUAUUGGGAUCUGAACUUAACGUCGGGAACUGCCUUGCAAUUUCACCGUAGUAUUGGGCGUGAACACACAAUGUAACAAAGUUGGGAUUGCUAUCUAAAGUUUCAUAGUUGCGAUCACAGAGGUCACUGAACACCUAUGUAUCCAUUUGGUCCCUUAAUCAUAGUUUUAAUCAUAGUAUUGGUUUUAAUCAUAGGUGUUAAUUCAAUAUUUUUAAUUAUAAAUAAUAAUACUAUUAAAUUAAAUUAAUCUACUUACCUACCAAAUCCCUCCUCCUCCUCCCACCCCCACUUCCACUCACUCUCGUGCACCAGUUUGCUGCCAUUCCCUCGUACAAUCCCUAGCAUCUAUCCAUUGUCGGCAUUCAACCGUCAACAUCCAUCCGCGUAGUUACAUUGCAUCUAAAUAACUUCAUCGAAAUGAAGAUAGAAUCUACAGUGAUCGAUGACGACUUUUUAGUAGCGAACUGGUCGUCGCUCAACGAUGACUGAGCAUUGUAGACUCGGGUAGUGGAGAUAGAGGCAGAAGCAUAGUGGCCGUUGGAGAACAUUGACUAAGCAUUGUUGCGAGUGAGCAGUGUUUGUGUAACUUAAAUCUAUUUUUAAAGUUAGAAAUUGAAAAACAGUUCUUGGUGUAAGUUAUAGAGUACUUACCGGAGCAAAUAACUUCAAUUCUCAUCAUCAAAAUAUGGUUAAUUGAAUUUAUGAACAAUUCAAAGAAUUGAAGUUCGAGAUAUCAACGGUAUGUGAGCAGAUCUCUUGAAUUUUUUAUCUAUGACCUAUACACUUUGACAUAUGACAUGUUACAUGUGACCUAAGACUCUAUAGACAUUGAUCUAUGACCAAUUUUAAUUGAUCCAUCACAUACUCUAGUGACUUGCGCCUUAUGGACAUUGAUAUGUGACUCACACACGAUAACCAUUAAUCUGUGACAUAUACAAUAUAACAUGUGACUUGUGACAUUCAAGGAUGAUAUGUGACCAAUUAUGUUUGAUCUAUCCUAUGAAUAUUUUAUAUGUGACCAAUGCACAAUAAUCUGUGACCUAGUACAUGUGACAUGUGACCCAUCACCAUUAUUGGCACCACCAAAAAAUAUCAACACAACAUUUGACAUAUAAACCUUGUUUUUUAUCUAUUAAAAUUAAGAUUUUAAUCAAAAUCAAAGUCAAUAAUCAAUUUUAACCACAUAUUUCAUGAGUUCCAUAUCUUUUCAACCACAUAUUUCAUCAACUUUGAUCAAAUCAACUAUAAAUUUGAUUUUAAUCCCCGUCGAACAAGGACAAAUUCUAUGAACAUGUGACCACCACCAACACCAUAAGCACUAUCCCUUCAAAAUCACCACAAAAACGCCUUGAAAAUUACCACGAAACCACCUAAAAAAUCACCACAAAAACAAUCACAAUCAUUUCCCAAAAAAGGGGGGCCGUGUUUUGAACAGUAGGAAAUGACAAUUAUUUAAAUAAAACGGAAUAGGAAUAGGAAUUAACCAAUUUUGAACCUCCCGAAAAUCAAACAAGACAUACAUUAUUUAAAUAGUGAUCAAGGACUGAAAUAACAUUAUAAACAUGGUAUCAAUCAAUGAACACAAAUUCUACUUAAAAGAAGUCUUUGAAUUAAAAACGAUCAAUUAACGGUUUACAUCAUCAUUCUAACACUAAAUAGAUUUAGCCUAACAUGCUAAGUAUACAAAAAUAACAAAAUUUUGAUUAUUCAUCACCUGAAAAAUAUAAUUGCAAAGAUGAGAUACGAAAACAAUUUUGCCUCCCAUAAAUUUCUUCAAUUGAGUCAUCAGUUAUUUUCAUAUUUUCUUGCUUUUGAUCAUCAAAUCCGAGCAAAAAUAUUUCAAGUUUUUAUGUUUGAUGCGUUGUAACUCUUUCUCACCUUCUAAUAUUCAAUUUGGCUUCCCCAGUUAGGUUAAAAUGCGAGCUAAUUGCUUUCUUGCCUGUAUUUUGUACCAUGCGAUCACAUGAUAACUAAGAUCGUGAUCGCACGGUACAACCAAAUUGCAGAAGGUAAAUCCAUAUUUUGACCUUGCAAUUGCAUCGUUCAACUUUUAGCUCAGUUAUGUUUUGGUCCUCGAUAUCAUCUUUCUCUUUAGAUCAAGUCCCUCCACAUUUAAAUACAGUAACAGGCCAGUAGUCUGGGCCGGUGUCCAAUAAAGUCAAUUUAUUUAUUUAUUUAUUUUAGGCGGGCCAAACCUUAAAAAAGAAAAAAAGAAAAAGGAAGAGGAAGAUAAAUUGUAAAUGACAAAUUUGUGAUUUUUUGGUCUAUUUAACUUCAAAUUGUCGAUAUAGGUAUUUUGGUCUUUUUAAACAUUUACAAUGACAAAUUUUAUAAACUUUUAAAAAAGGUUAAAUUUAUUUCAAUAUUAUAAAAAUAUAAUAUGCAAAAGUAUAAAUUUAAAAAAAAAUACGAUAUGUAACACGUAAAUACACCUUAUAUAGAUGCUCUAUUUGUAAAUUUCCCUUGUAAUUGUAUUUAAUUAUCAUUGAAAGAUAAUGAUAAGAGACUAUUGGCGUUUAUUUUUAUUAAUGACCCGUGUUUGAUCAAAAAAGAAUUUGUUACACAUUUUUUACACGAGUAAUGCUAUUAAUACAGUUGACUAUCGGUAGUCGCUCUAUAUGACAUUUACAUGACAGUUUGUUAGUUGGUGCAUGAAUAUGAUUGUUUUUUAUUUGAUGCAAUAUCUGGAUGCAGAUAUUAUUUAUUUAUUUAUUUUUGUUCUCGAUUAUUGUAAUUUACAUCUUAAAGUAAAAGAAAGUUUGGGAUUCAUAUGAAUAAAUUACAUAAAAAAAAAAAAGCAAAUAAAAAAAUUCAGAAUGCAUAAUUGUAUAAUCUAUCAUGGAUUCAUAAUAUCUAGUCUUGUGAGUCUAUUUUCAUGCCCCUAUCAAUUAUAGUUUGCUUUUGUCUUCUCUAGCUUUUAAUAAGCUACUUUACACAUCACCGAAAUACAAUAAUAAUACCAUUGCACUUAUUAAUGCAAAUUUCUACCUAACCGAUUGAUUCGAUGAUAAACAAAUGACAAUCAUUUCCCAACUAUUUAAAUGAAAAUUACUGCGGGCCAAGUAUCAAUCCUAUUCCUCUAGCUGAGAAUAGUAGGAAAUGACAUCUAGAGAUAUAAUUCCAAUAAAAUAUCUAUGUCAUCCUCCAUCUACAGGUACCUAAUCCUAAAGUUUUACAAGGCCCAUACUCUACAAGAGUCCCCUCGUUGGACACUGAAAUUUCUCUCAAAUUUUAACAAUGCGCCCAGGUUUAAGCCCAUUUAUUUUUUUGGAUUAAUAGAUUCCGAAUUUAUCUGGGUGGCAAACUAAGGGGAAGGUUGUCACUACUCAGAAUUAAUCAGGCGAAAUAUGGACACCUGAGUUAUAAAAAAAAAAAACCCAUGCAAACUGUCGCAAACCACCACAAAAUUGCUAUAGUGGCGAUUUGAGUCCUAAUAAAAAAAAUUGGGAAACUGAGAUCUUAGGUAGAGGUGGACGUGGGUCGGUUCGGUUCGAUUCUCUUUAGAACCGAAUCGAACCAAAAUUUUCGAGUAUCUAGUAAAUGGAACUGUCGGGUACAAAUAUAAUUAUGGAACCGUUCGAGUUCGGUUCCGUUCGGUUCGAUUUUGUACUAUAAUUAAAUUUUUUAACAUUUAUAACAACAUUAUAUAAAUACAACCAAUGACACAUUCAAUGAUUUUGGAAUGUGAAAGACUAGUAGACUACCUUAUUCAAAUGAUCGCUACGAUCAAAGUUUCGGUCGACGGAGGUCACAGCUUCGAUCGGAUGUCACAGUAUCGGCCAACGAUUGUACAGGUUUUGGUAUGUCUGCGAGGUUGCGAGAGUGAAUACGAGAGUCGAGACAGCGUUAUGCAUUUUAGUGUAGGUGUUUAGGGUUAUUUAGUGGAUUUGAUCUUGUUGCGUUAAGAAAUGAAACAAUAAAAUGAGUAAGGGCAAAAAAUUAAAAAUUAGAAUGAAACAAAUUAUUGGGCCAAAAAUUUGGAUUUAGAAAUUGUUAAUUUAUUUAGAAAAAAUUAAAAUUAAAAUAAUUUGAUUUAUUCAAUAUAAAAAAAAUUAGAAAAAUUCAAUUUUUCGAUUUUUGGUCUAGAACCGAGAAUCGAACUGUACCCGUCGGUUCUCAAUUUAGAUACCCGUUUGGAUAUUUAAUUUAACAAGAACCGUCGAGUUCGGUUCCGUUCGGGAGAUUUGCCCAGCCCUAAUCUUAGACAUUGAUUUAUGCUUGCUACUUUCAAAAAGAGUAGAGGAGAAAUGGUAGAAAGAUGGAAUGUGCAGCAAAAAAGAUAGAGAGAUAUUAAUAGAGAGAAAUGAUAUGUUAGAGAAAGAGACGAAAUUGGGAUUAAAUCUGGCUCUAGAUGGGUUAAAUGGUGGUGUGUAAUUUAAUUUUAUAAUAUAGUAUUAUUAAUAUUAAAAUAUUAGAAUUAUCACCUGAUUUUUGAAUAAACAAACCUUCAACACAUUUUUUGAAUUGUAAUAUUCAAAAAGUUGUGACGGUAUAAUUUUCACAUCUCAAAAUCUAUUAACCCAAAAAAAUAAAUAGGCUUAAACAUGGGCGCAUUGUUAAAAUUUGAGAGAAAUUUCAUUGUCCAAUGAGGGUCCUCUUGUAGAAUAGGGGCCUUGACAAAAAGUAAAACUUUAGGAUUAGGUACCUGUAGAUGGAGGAUGAUAUAGAUAUUUUAUUGGAAUUAUAUCUCUAGAUGUCAUUUCCUACUAUUCUCAGCUAGAGGAAUAGGAUUGAGUGAUUGUUUGUAGGGGUGGCACUGGGUCGAGUCGAGCUCGUGGCUCGUUUUUACGAGCUGAGCUCGGGCUCGGCUCGUUGCUUGUGGGCGAGCUAGGCUCGGCCCACGAGCUCGUGUACUCACGAGCCACGAGUUCGUGGGCUCGGCCCGGCUCGCGAGCUCGUGAAUUUUUAUUUUUUGCAAAAUUUUCAAAUUUUAUUGAUAAAAUUUUAAUUUUUUCCACUUUUUUGGACUAGCCGGCUCGUGAGCUCGGCCCACGAGCCGUUAGUCGAGCUCGUCAAAUGAUGAGCCCGAGCAGCCCAUGAGCCUAACUUUGACGAGCCGAGCCGACGAGCCGCGAGCCGGCUCGGCCCAAUUGACAUCCCUAAUUGUUUGGUAUAAAUUUUAAGUCAAUUAUAAUUAAUUUUUUAAUUGUUAUUACGUUAUUUCAAUCGUCAUUUUUUAAUUCUUCUUUUACGGAUAUGAUCUACUUUAUUUUUAAUGGUCAAAAAAUCAAUUAUUAAAAUCCAUACCAAAUAAAUAUUGAUACUUGAAACAUGCUACAAUUACAGGGCUUUUGCCAAAAAAAAAAAAUCUUGUGCUUGGAAGAAUUUUCUUUGAUACUUUCUACCAUAAAGUCUUGGAUGUUGAAAAUUCUUUUGCGUCAAUAUCACGCGGAUUCUUCAACAAACACCAAUAAUUUUGAUGAAAUUGGAGAAUAUUCUAUAUAUUAUUAAUUUCUAAAAAUUACUCUCUUGGUCCCUAAGCUCCUAUUAUAAAUUAGGCAUUAAUUAAAAUAACACAUUUAAACUCUAAUUAAAUUAAUCAAAUAAAGCAAGCGUUAUGUCUCUUAUACUGCAUCACCCUCGCGGUUCAAGAUUGAAGGGGAUAGAGGCUUGGAAAUCUAUUUAACUUAUUAGUAUGUUUGUAAAUUGUUAUACACACGCAUUCUCUUUGUGAAAUGAAGUUAACACUUGGUUUCUUCGAUGGUUUUUGAAUGUUUCUUUGAUGCUAAUCACAUUAUAUUUUGUCCUAGAAAUGGAUCUUCGUUUUUUUCUUUAUUUUGCUCGAGGAUUACAAUUAUCUCGUGCCUAAUUACAUACCAUUUGUUAGCGAUAAAUGUUUGACUUUGACUACUUUAUUAUCUGUUUAUGAAGUGGUAACCAAACGGGACAUAAAUUAGUUAAACUUGUUGAGUUUUGAAAGCAAUCAAAUUAUCAACAGAUCGCGAGUAGACAAAUAAAAAUGAUUCUUUUUUAUAUACAUGAUGUUUUCUAAUAUGUUGUGGUAUUGAUUUAGAGGCAUGAAAAAUUGUGAUUGUAAUAUUUUGUGGGAAGUAAUAUCCUUCAAAAUUAUCGUCACUUGUCCAACACAUGAGAGUUUCACGUCCCAUUAAACGGUUUCUGUCAAGUAGAGACACGAAUUGUAGCUUGGGGACCUUGUUGCUAUAUUUUGAAAAGGUUGGGCAUCAAAGUUGUAAUUUUCCGUAAAAGUUCAAAAAAUUAAUUUUCCCUGAGCCACUUUUGUCUGGGCUUUCAACAGAAUCAAUAUUUAUAAAGGAAAAUGUCACUUUGCCAAAAAAUACUUGACACUCGGGGUGAUUGACCCGCGCGGGUUUCUCGUGAAUUAAAUAAUGUUUGACCUUUGAGGGAAAUGUGUUUGAUCGUCCUCUAUGUCAAUCAUUAUGUUCCCCUAACUCGAUAUAUAUAUAUGAUUUUCUAAGUAUCAGUGCUUAUUUAUGCUAAGCAUUGAGUGACAUUGCAAAUUACAAUACAUGUUACGAUGCUUAGGUGAUCAAAUUCGUGUGUGUAAAAUAUAUAUAUACACACACUCCAUUGAUGGACCUUAAUGCAACUCAAAUCUUUAAAGCAUCUGUCUUGAAGUAGACGAACAAAAUCACAUCACGUCUUUUAUCUGAAUAAAAAAAAUUCAGUAUUUAAAGAAAGAAAUUUCUUUCAAACGUUAUGUGUUUUGAACGUAAUCAGUAUAAUGCCCUGUUUUUCCCGAUUGCAAAUAUUGACCUUCAUAUGUAUAACCGUUUGAAAGAAAUGGCGCUUGCGUGUGAGAGGAGGAUUGGAGUAGACGUACAAUCACAUCUAUUCAAUUGAACUUGUUCCUCUUUGAAGUUAAUCAAAACAAAUGUCAAGUUUCCCUGAUUACAAUCUAUUGUUUGUUGAGCUCUAGAAAUAUGGCAAUGCCCACCGCCGGAACUAACCUUUUGGAUGCCGAAACUCCACUGUUGAACGAUGUCGUUUAUGGGUCCGUCGACUUCAAAGGCAGCCCUGUUAUCCGAUCCAUGUCUGGUGGUUGGAAGUCCGCUUUCUUCAUCAUAGGUACAAGUUUUAUCCAGUUCAAUAUUCAAAAUGUUAGAGAAUAUAAAAGUUCUUUUGGUUGCAUUUUAUUUAUGUUUUGGAUUUGUUAGGUGUUGAAGUGGCUGAGAGAUUUGCGUACUAUGGAAUAAGUUCGAAUUUGAUAAGCUAUUUGACGGGUCCGUUGGGCCAAUCCACCGCAACUGCGGCGGAGAAUGUGAAUGCGUGGUCCGGCACGUCGAUGAUUUUGCCACUUUUGGGUGCUUUUGUGGCGGAUUCGUUUCUUGGUCGAUACCGAACCAUUGUCAUUGCCUCUGGGCUCUAUAUCCUGGUCAGUACACGAAUCAUUCUGCAAUAUAUAUUUUCCGUUUUGAGCUUUAAAAUUAUACAACGAUUAACGCCUCUAAUUGCAUUCAUGAUACCUAACUUGAAACUUUGCUGGCACCUGGGAGUGACUCAUACUGGACAACCUCGACAGGGCUGAUUACAGAUAGUUUGUGAAGUCAAAUAGCUGGGAAUAUGGGCUGCCAUGGAUGUUAGAUCUAGAAAGAAGGGGUAGAAUAUAACGGCUCUAAUUACGUCUUAAAACUUGGCUCGUGGAUUUAUAACCAUUUAAGCCAGUUUCAAUGGCGAGCUCUCGACAAUCUGGUGUAACAAAUUGUACGAGAAGAUUGUUCAUCUGACAAGAAGCAGGGACGAAAUUUAUGAAUUCUCAAACAUAUGUAGAAUUAAAAUAUGAGCAUAGGUUUGAUUAAUUUGGCUCUUGCACCACUCAGAUAUGCAAGAAAACAUUUUUAAUGAAUUUUACUCAUGUUACCGUAGUUUUUCAAUUAAUCUUUAAUAAAAAUGUAUUCAAAUUCUUAUUUGUCAAUAGUUUUAGGAAUUUAAUUCUCAAAAAGUCACUGUCAAACAAAGGGAAUAACCUAAAGAAUCUUGUGUAAAAAAAUUUAUCUAACAUGUGUUAGCUCAUUCAAUUCUGAGAUCCAAAAAAGGAUGGUUUAAAAAGCUUGAUGUUGUUUCUUCUUAUAAUAAAUACAUCAUGACUACUCCAAUUGAACUUCCUUCAUCUGUUAUUUGAUUUGGCUAUUUGUCACUACAGUCUGCUGUUCAGAAUGGAGCAGCCAGAAGAAUUACUUUUUCUAUUUCUAGUUAGAUGUUCUCGUUGACUUUCAUCCAUCAAUUUGGCAGUUUUUUGGAGCCGAAUGGUAGUAUGUGCCUGUUAAGCUAUGAUUUAAAUACCUUUACUUGGUUGAGCUUGUGAUUCUUGGUCGGUUAGUUGCUGGAGUUUUCUGUGUCUUCAGACUCGUUAUGAGUAUGCUUUUCACAUUGGGGAAAAAUAAACUUGUGUUUUGUGAUAGUGCUCAUGAUAAACAACAGAGAUGAAGCAAGAUCCUGAGUGUAUAAGUGGAGAUGGGAAUAAGAAAAUAAAUAUCUUUCACUCACUCCCAGUAAGAGCAUGUUUUCUAUGAUUUAAAAAAAGUAACUUUUUUGGUUCGAAACAUGUUUGGAUGAGUUACUUUUUUCUUACUUUUAAGUUGAAUUUUCCUUACUCUCACAACAAGUAACUAAUUUCCAACUUUGAAAAAUAAUUAUUUGUUUUAAAAUUUGUUUAUUUAUUGUAAGUGAACUUUUUUAGCUUAGCAAAACAUGCUGUACUUCUUAAAAUCUAAAAUAAGGUUCGGCCUUCAGUCUGAGUUAUUGUGCUUCUAAGAUAUCUUCGUUUCUUUCUUCCUUCAAUUAUUUUUAUUUUUCCUCUCUGGCCUCAUGUGUCUUCAAGUCAGUUUUUCGGAAAGAAUUUGAUUAAAUGAUGACUAUCCACUUCUUUGAAUUUGUUUGUACUUGAGACUAAAAGUUUUUAAACACUUUAUUUUGGGGUUCAGACCUGACGAAGCACUGUUCUGUAGAUUCAAAGAUGGCAAUGAGGUUUAUUAUUACAUAUGAACUCAUCUUUGACUGAAUCGUGCUGCAGAUUGUAACAUAGCUCUAACAAAUAACCGAUUUUCUUUUUAUCACGCAGUAGAAAAUUGAUAAAAUCUCAUAUUUUUGUGUAGUGACUAAAAUAAGAGGGUUUCUGUGACCCAUCUUUAUUUAUUUUGUCUGUACGUUUCAAAGAUUUAUAACGUAUUCUCUUUGUACUGGUAACUUACCCCUGUAUCAUUAGAUGCAAGCUGCCAAUAUAAUAUAAUCAUCUAGUUUAUGGUUAGAUACCUUAAACUAAGCUUCUCAAUAAGAAAAACAGGAAAGUCCAGUGCCUAUUCAAAAUUAUAUAUGGCUGAAUAAUUCUUAAAGGUUUUGAAGAAUCAUGAAACCAGCUUGAGAAAAUGAAAAUUCUCUCUCUCACAAAUACUUUCUGGUAAAUUCAUUUGUGAAAAUAUUUUUCUUCUAGGAAAUUCUAAUUGUUUUCUGUUACUAUUAUGGAUCUCAGGCACUUGGCUUCUUAUCCCUAUCUGCUGUUCUAUAUUCAAUCAAAUCUUCCGACUGCCAUUUUGCUGCAAAUAACAUGGCAUGCUCCCCGCCACAGUUUCAAAUUAUUUUCUUCUUCUUCUCUUUGUAUUUAUUUGCCCUAGCACAAGGAGGACAUAAACCUUGUCUCCAGGCUUUUGGAGCUGACCAGUUUGAUGAGCUAGACCCAAAAGAAUGUAAUGACAAAAGCUCAUUCUUCAAUUGGUGGUAUUUUUCCAUGAAUUUGGGUAUUGUAGUUGCUCUGUUUGUAUUGAACUACAUCCAAGACAACCUAAGUUGGGCUCUUGGCUUUGGAAUUCCCUGCAUUAUCAUGUGCCUUGCGCUGAUUAUUUUUUUGCUUGGAACUAUGACUUACCGAUUUCGCACGCACAGCGAUGAAAGAAACCCAUUUGUUAGAAUUGGUCAGGUAUUCCUGAAUGCAGCUAGAAAUUGGCGGACUACUCCAGGAGCAAUAUCUAAGGAACAGGAAGCACAGGGAAUUCUGCCAUAUCAAGGAUCUCAACAGUUCAAGUAAGUCAACUGCCCCUUUGUGUGUUUUGAUAUUUGGAAGAUAAACUUUGCCUCUUCUUCUCUCUUCGAUGCAUUUAGGUUUCAUUAUUAGUCCUGUUAAGCUUUUUUUUAGUAGGGUUUGAAAUCGGUAAGUCUAUGCAAAACAUGUUUGAACUAUCCAAGUUGUCCUUCCAUUAUUCUCAGCCGACACCGACGUUACUUGUUGACACAUAUUUUCAUUUCUUACCUUAUCCGGCUUAGUGAAAUCUAUCUUAUCCACCGUGGUCAUCUUAUGAGCAUUUUGUCCUUCAACAAACCUAAAACUUAACCAUAUAGCAUAGCAGAUCUAUAACACAUCUUCUUAUUAUAGAGUGUCACUUCUCCAUAUCACUUUACCAAGCUGAACUUAAUGAAUUAUGUCUUCUUCAGUAUCUGCUUCUUCCUUGUUAAUAAUCAGACCUAGAUGCUUAAAACAAUCACUCUGGGGAUAAAGUAAUGCUCUAUAGUAACUUCAUUAUAAUAAAAUGCGUUGAUAUUGUUUUACUAUAAAUUUGUGCUUUAUAUGAUUGAAAUUUUGGGACCAAUCUCAUUUGUUUCAUUAUAUUAUUUUUGGUUUCUAACAGGUUUCUUGAUAAAGCAUUGCUUGCACCUGAUGUUUCGAAGGAAGAUGGGAAAGUUUGUAGUAUCACUGAGAUUGAAGAGGCAAAGGCAGUUCUUAGGCUUUUUCCAAUAUGGACUGCAUGUUUGGGAUAUGCCAUUGCAUUUUCACAAUCAUCGACUUUAUUCACUAAACAAGGAGCUACAAUGGAUCGUUCUAUCACGUCUAGCUUACAAAUACCAGCUGCUUCACUACAAUCUUUUAUCAGCAUUGCCAUUGUUGUCUUUAUUCCUAUCUAUGACCGAAUUUUGGUUCCAAUUGCGAGAGCUAUAACUGGAAAACCCUCUGGCAUUACAAUGCUUCAACGAAUUGGAACUGGAAUAUUUUUAUCUUUUCUUGCCAUGGUAAUUGCAGCUUUGGUCGAGAGGGAACGUCUAAAAACAGCUGCUGAAUAUGGAUUGGUGGACAUGCCGAAAGCAACAGUGCCUAUGAGUGUGUGGUGGCUGCUACCUCAGUAUUUGCUUUUUGGAGUUGCAGAUGUGUUUACCAUGGUCGGACUCCAAGAGUUCUUCUAUGACCAGGUUCCAGACCAGCUGAAAAGCAUUGGUCUUGCUCUAUACUUGAGCAUAUUUGGCAUAGGGAACUUCUUGAGCAGUUUUCUAAUCUCAGUGGUGGAGAAAGCCACCAGUGGUCCGGGGCGAGACAGUUGGUUUUCAGACAACCUUAACCGGGCUCAUGUCGACUACUUCUAUUGGCUACUGGCUGCGCUUAGUGCUGCUGCAUUUUCCGCGUACGUGUAUGUUGCAAAAUCUUAUAUCUACAAUAGAAGAAACUGUCUUUGAAGAACUGCAUUCUGUAGUGGAGAUAGCUACCCAUGGCCCAGGUCAACAUGGUUUUCUUAUACACGGUUUGGCUUAAUGUAGCUGCUUUCGCUGCGUACUAGUACUUUGCAAAAUCUUGUAUCUAUAAUAGAAAUAAACCGUCAAUGAAGUUGCAUAAAACGCUGUCGAGAUAAAGAUAGCCAGUAAAUGAGAAAUACCAGCACAUUCAACUUGUAUUAAUAGCUAUUGCUCAUUUGUGGUCAAUCUCACGUAAAUGCGAAGGCAUGCUCGAAGAUUUUAUUCAAUGGGAUCAUCUGAUAUUUGUUCAUUUUUUUAAACCUUGGACUUAGUAGUGAUGAAGUGAAUUGGAUGAUGAAAAGAAUUUACAGACAACUUUUAAAUUUGUAGAAAAUAAUGUUUAAUUUGUUGUCAUUUGCAUUAAGUACAUUGAUUUGCUACAUGUUGAACAAUCAACGCCCAUAUGGAGGUUAGGAAUUGAAGUUUUUUUCAUUGCAUUUUGUACCAUAUUUGUUGAGCUUGAAAUUCAAUGGAAUCACAUCGUAAACAAAUGCAGCUCUACUCCCAUCCACGUGUAUGUCAUCUGUAUGUUUGGACAUCAUAUUAAACUGCAUGUGAUUGUAGUUCCAGUGGAUAUGCGAAAGUCGCAAGUGAUAACAAAUAAUCUAACCUAUAAAAUCAAACAUAUAGAGAACCAAAGAAGGAGAAAGAUUAGGAGGAAAACAAUUGAGCCACUCAAAAAAUGAAUUAGGGUUUACAAUGACUUAACAUAUUACAAAGAGACCUAAGCUAAUAAGGAAACUAAAUAUUAAUUAAAUAAUUAAACAAAUAAAUAUAUUAUCAUCUCCCCUCAAACUCAUGAUGCUGAAGCAAGAAACAACGAGAGUUUGUCACGUAAGAAGCGAAAACGAUGAACCGGCUGAGACUUAGUGAAGAAGUCAGCAAGCUGCAAUGAUGAAUAAACAAAAGGUAGGGAAAUGGUGCCAGUCUGUAAAUGAUGACGAACCAGAUGACAAUCAAUCUCAAUAUACUUUGUGCGUUCAUGGAAUACGAAGUUGUGAAAGAUCUAAAUAGCACUGGUAUUAUCACAAUACUUAGGGGAUGGAAAAGAAUGAGGAACACCUAUGUCUCCAAGUAACCAUCGCAACCACACAAUUUCAGUAAUAGUGGAUGCCAUAGCUCGAUACUUUGCCUCCGUAGAAGAAUAGGAAACAACAGUCUGCUUUUUUUUCUAAGAGAUAAGAGAAUUAUCCAAAAAUAUAUAAAAAGCAGUAGUGGACUUACAAUCAGUGGGGUCAUUGGCCCAAUCAGUAUCAGAGUAGGCACGGAGUACUAAGGAUGAGGUCGACGGUAACAAAAGACUUUGAAAGCAUAUACCACGAAGAUAACACAGAUAUGAACAAUUGCUGCCCAAUGAACAGUAGUAGGAGCUGAAAUAAACUGACUAACAAUGUGAACAACAUAAGCAAUAUUAGGACGUGUGAUGGUAAGAUAAACUAGACAUCCAACAAUAGUGCGAUACAAAGUGGGAUCAGGUAAUAGUACACCAUCAGAGGAUGAAUAUCAAGCGUUGGACUCAAGAGGAAUAUCAACAGUUUUAGUAUCAGUAAGAUGGGCACGCUCAAUAACAUCCAUAGUAUACUUGGAUUGAGAGAGAAGAUAACCUCUAGGAGAAGAAGCAACUUUGAUCACCAAAAAAUAAGAUAAUGUACACAAGUCCUUCACUUCAAAACGACGAGCUAAUUCUGAUUUCAAACUUGCAAUUCCAUCAACAUCAUUACCAGUGAUAAUCAUAUCGUCAAUAUAUAGCAAUAAUAGAAUGCGACCAGUAGAAGUGCUUCUAAAGAAUAGAGCGGAGUCAUGAUGACUGGAUGUAAAGCCAAGAGAGGUAACAACAGUGGAAAAUUUCUCAAACCAGGCACGAGGUGCUUGUUUGAGGCCAUAAAGUGCCUUCUUGAGCUUGCAAACAAAUCCAGGAGAGUAAGAAAGACUAGGAGGAGGAACCAUGUAAACCUCCUCUUGAAGAUUUCCAUUUAAAAAUGCAUUUUUGACAUCCAAUUGAGAAAGACUUCACUGACGAAUAGAUGCAAAUGCAAUAAGUGUACGAACAGUGGUCAUCUUGGCAAUGGGAGCAAAAGUCUCCUUAUAAUCUAGACCACGCUGCUGAGUAAAAUCCUCAAUAACCAAUCUAGCCUUGUAGCGCUCAACUGAACCAUCAGAUUUGGUUUUAAUCUUAUAAACCCAACUAUAACGAUUAUAAUCAUCAAUAAAAGAAACAUAAUAUCUAGACCCUCCUUUUGUGGUAAUAAGAGCAGGUCUCCACACAUUAGAGUGAAUAAUAUCAAAUGGUGUAACAGAAUGAAAUACGUUACGAGGAAAAGGUAAAGCAGAAAAUUUAGCUAAUUUGCAACCACUACAAUUAGAAAUGUCAUGAGUUUACAAAUCUCCCAAAUGACCCUUAGAAACUAAAAAAUUCAAACGACUAACAGAAACAUGUCCAAGGCGAGAAUGCCACAAAUAAAAACUAGAAAACGAUGAAUUCAAAGAAAAAGAUGACAAGUCAACACCGGAGGUUGCAAUAUAUGGUGGUCUCAGAUUGUCCAGUACAUAUAACCCUCAUUGUCUAUGGCCUAUCCCAAUCAGCUUCUGAGAUCGAGGAUCCUGCACAUGACAAGCAGUAGAAGAAAAUUGAACUAAAUAUCCAAAAUCACACAAUUGGCUAAUAGAAAUAAGAUUUAAGGUAAGAGUAGGAACAUAAUAAACGUCUGAAAGUGAUAAAUUUUGUGUGUUAACAGAACCAACACUUGCUAAAGGCAAUGAUGUGCCAUCAGUAGUCAUAACAGACAUAGAUGAGUUAGAAAGAUGCAAGUCAUUAAAGAGUUUUAAGUUAGAUGAAAUGUGUUUAGAAGCACCAAAGUCAAAUAUCCACGAGGAAGAAGUACCUGAGUGACUCUGAGAUUACAAACCUAUAUGAGUAGAGGCUAACAUAGCAUGUGGCUGUGUGGCUAAGAACUUAUGAAACUGCUUUGCUAAAUCAGUUAACAUGAGACUAGAAGAAGGUGGUGCUCCAAGUAUAAAUGAGUCAUUAGAUGGCAUGGUAGCAGCUACAUUAGCAUUGGGAUGAUACGAUUGUUGCCAUAGUUGUGGUUGCUGCUUCUUCAAUAGCUUGGGACAUUGAGACUUCCAAUGUCCUUUUUGUUUGCAAAAGUUACACUCAUCACUAGCAACUCACACAUAACUUUUGUUUUGAUUCUGUGUGGAUGAUCGAGAAGGUACAGCCAACACUGACGUGUUAGAUGGAAGAAAGGAUACUUCUCCUGCAAGAGAUUUCAAAUGUGUUUUUUCAGCUACAAGUUCACUAACCACCGAAUCAACUGAUGGAAGUGGAGUGCGGUGCAAGAUAGAGCCUCUGAGUCCCUCAAAAUCACUGCGAAGUGCCAUAAAAAAUUGAACUAAUCGUUGUUCCUCUCUAAAAGUAAUAUAUUCCUCACAUGCUUUCAGUCCUGCUGAUUCUGUAAGAGCCAACUCAUCCCAAAUUGAAUUCAUAGCAGCAUAAAAUUCGAGAAUACUCAUAUCCUUCUGUUGGAAGGCCCGUAUAUCAAUCUCCAACUGAUAUCGUUUUGCAAAAUUAGACUUAGUGUAUAACUUCUAUAAGUGAUCCCAAACUUCUUUCGCUGUUUCAAACUUAGCUGACUGUGUACCAAUGGAUUGCUCAACAGAAUUAUGAAUCCAAGUGAGAAUUUUCGCAUUGUUUGACUCCCAAUUAUCUAACUCUGUCACAUAAUUUUCAGCAGUGCUAGUGGUCUCAGGUUUUACGAUAGUUCCACUAACAUAACCCCACAAUCGUUUUCAUUUUAGAAAAUUCUUCAUCACAGUACUCCAGUAUGAGUAAUUUUUACCAUUUAAUCUAACACUAAUGGAUUGAAGUGAAUCAUCCCUUUCAAUUGCCAUCAUGAAAUCAACAAAUAAUCAACUAUUAAUCAAAAGAAAUCAGCAAAUUCCAAGAAACUCAACGACGACCAACAUACCAACACGAACUACCACCAGAAUAUACCGUACAAUGCACGUAUGACCAAACUAAUACCACCAAAAUGUCAGAAACUCACCAAGGAAGAAACUGAAAGACUAAGAAUGACUAACCAAGAGAGGGGUGAAUUGGUUAUUUAAAUCUUUUUCAAUAAUGAGUGCUAAUAAAAAUAAUUUGCAAAUAUAAUAAAGAGCAAGCAAGAUAACUUUGAAAAAUAACAAGAGAAAGGGAUAAAGAAUGCAAACGACGUGUUAUGGAGGUUCAAUCCAAUCACGAUCUACGUCCCCCCGUUACCAAGCUCUCCGUCACGAGCAAUGCCUUUUUCACUAAAUGUGAUUGACUUAUGGUACAAUCCAGCCUUCUACAAAGCUUUCGGUGAUUUAAAAACGAGAACCACCGAUCCUUUUACAACGUUGAGCUUUCCAGGACCUCAACACGACCCACAAUUCAAUCAAAAGUAAACUUUACAAGAGAGGAAUCUUCUUCCACAAUUAAGAUAUAUUCAAGGUUGAGUACAAUGGAAAGAAGUAGGCUAACACUUUAAUGAAUGGCAAUAAGUGAAGCUCAAGUGUUAGGUUUGAAGAAAACUUUGAUAAAUGAAAUGAUUUUCAAAAGUAAACUCAAUCAAAAGUUUUCCAAAAGUGAAUGAAUUGAUAGAGAUAAAUAAAAAGUAGAGAGUUAAAGCUUGAAUGUAUCUCAAUUUAAUUCUCUUGGAAGUGAUAAUAAUGAAUGCGAGAGGUUGGAGUAUUUAUAGAGUCCAAAACGUUAAAAAAAAUCUGAAUUUGCGGAUGACUCGUCCAGUCGAGCACCUCUUGUUCGGAAGACCAAUAUAGCCGUUUGUACAGUAUAAAUUAGAAGUCAGAACGGUCAAAUUCUGGACCGUUGGAGGAGUCCGGUCGACCGCCUCUCAUGACCGAUCGACCAGUCCGGUCAAGGCGGUCGACCGCCCUGGCAGUGCGGUCUUUUCACGUUUUGCCCUCAUUUGUUCCGAUAUGAAAGUUUUGAAGUGUAUGGACUUUUGGAGAAUAUUUUUAACUAAAUUUUCAUAAUAAAAAUGUCUUUAAAAUCCAUAUAUCAUUUUUAAAAGUCAUUUUCAUGUUUGAUAAAAAAAGGUUGCAUUCGAAUUAUCUUAGUGCACAAAAAUUGUUUUUAAUGCAUAACAAGAUUUUGAGCUUAAUUAUUCUUUGCCAAAUAUCAAAGCAUUAGUACCUUUACAUUUUGCCUAAGAAAUCAAGUCUUUGCUCCGAAGUAUGCCUCGUCUUGAUCUUUCAUUGAUGUCGUCUCUUACGCUCUUGAUCUUGAUUUUUUUUGGCAUUUGUCUCUCAAACUUUUUGUCUCAAAUAAUUUGACUUGAAUACAUGAUUUUCACUUUGACCUUCAUUUGAAGUCCGAUAAUACAUGAUUCAUUUGAACAUUGAACCAUCAUCACUAAAAAGAAUUUGUUAGAAAUAAAAUAUUCUUGUUUGUCAUAAUCAAAACAUUGAGGAUUAAGUCGACCAUAUGCCAACAGAAACUGUCCUGUUGAAUUGUUGCCAAAAAACCACUCAUGUGCCUUCACGCAGUGCCAGAACCUUUGCAACUUUCAUUCAUGCGAUGCCAAAAUAUAGCGCAUGGUGAAACACGCGCCGAUCAGGUAGGAUCGUCUCAUUGUCUGGAAUCCAAAUAUGGUCACCAAUCACCAAACAGAGGUUUCGUUUGAAAGAUAUUAUAUAUUUUCAAUGACGGCUAAAGGAAAAUUAGGAUUUUCUAUUAUUUUGGUGACACGAAUUGUUUGAGAAUGGAUUGAACGAAAAGAACAACCUCAACACAUAUGUUUUGGCUCUGAUACCAUGAUAACAUAUAAUCUAACCUAUAGAAUCAAGCAUAUAGAGAACCAAAGAAGGAGAAAGAAGAAGAGGAAAACAAUUGAGCCACUCAAAAAAUGAAUUAAGGUUUACAAUGACUUAAUAUAUUACAAAGAGACCUAAGCUAAUAAGGAAACUAAAUAUUAAUUAAAUAAUUAAAAAAUAAAUAUAUUAUCAGCAAGCACUUUAAUGCUCAAGUCAAAUAGUUGAAGAAUAUUAUCAAGAUUGAGAGAGUGAUCUUGUGUUCAAAAUCACAUUACCUUUACCAAUCACUAUGUGUGAGUAUUUACCAAGAGAGGAGAUAUUGAAGCUCAAAAUAUAACCACUGAAAGUGGUUUGGGUGUUGAAGGGAAAGCAAUAGAAGCUUAUCUCACAUAGGAAAAAUAAUUAGGUAAUUACUUAUUUAAUUAUUGAUACAUGUUUUACUCAUGUGUAGUAUGGAUGCUCUCUUGUACGUGUGUGGGAGCAUUGGACCAUUAAACGCGUGUGGGAGCAUCACUUGUAGACACGAAAUUUGGCCGUUAGUAGAGCCACGUUUUGCCAUUAUAUUUUCUAUUUAUUUCUAGCUGCCAUUCCAGAUUAUGUAACAACUCCAGACGAUUAUGAUUAGAAUAAUAUCUUAUGUUAAUGGGCAAAUAAAAAGUCAAUUAAUUAUGGUGUUAAUAAUUUUAAACACCUAUUAUUGUUGCCCAACUAUGUAACAACCCAAGCCUACAUGUUAAAAUCGUUAUAUCAUAUGUACUGUCCAUUAUGAAAGAGUCAGGGGCGGACCCAUUAAGGGUCAGGCAGGGUCGGCCGUCUCCACUCAAUUUCCAAAAAACGUUCGGUUGGUUUUUUUUUUAAUUGUAAUUUUAAAUUUUUUUUUGGUUUUUUUAGAGUUUAUUUUAGCCUAUUUUCUGUCUCGCCCUCCUUGAACAAUAAGUUUGAAUUCGCCCCUGAGAAGAGCCUCUGUCCAUCUUAUUCGUCAUGAAUUUACAGAAAUCUAAAAAAUUCAGAUUUUCUAAUGGAUUAGAUAUAUUAUGAGUAGACCAGAUCAAAAUACGAUUCAAUUGAAUGGUACCAAUGAAAUCGAGUGCUAACUCUCAUUUCUUAUUGAAUUAGCCAAUCCUCGCGCUAUCGCACCUAAUCUAUGAGGGAUAAAAUAAAAUCCAAUUUGCUGAUGCAAAAGUUUAGUGCUCAGUUCCUUAUGGUUCCACCUUUGUAUUAUCAGAUACGGACACUCAAUUAACCACAAGCACUUAUGGCAUGGGAACGAAUUUGUUUUAAGGUUAUUGUUUAACCAUACCUCAAUUCACUAUUCCAUUAUCCCAUUUUUCUUUUUCUAGCAAUUGUAAUUUUCUAUUCUGUAAAUUUUUUUUAUCUAUUAAAUAUAUUAUUAUAUUCACCAAAUUUCUAACUGCCUGUAUAACUUGCUAUUAAUUUUUUUGCUAGAAGUAAUGCUAUGUAACAAUAAGCAUCAAUGUAUAAGUUUUAAUCUGGUAAUUAUACAUUCAUCUAUUAAAGUGUCAAUCGGAUAACCAUAAUUUAAUUUUACUCAAUCAGGUAUUAUACUUUAAUUUUAAUUAAAUAUUUUUGUCCAAUUCCAUCAUUGAAUGUAUGAAAAUUAAAUUUUUUAACUGAAGUUGCACUUAUUUUAUGUCAGCAACUAAUUGCCACGGGCAGAUGAUGUCAUUUAUUAACUAUCCAUCAUCAAUUUUUUUAGUUGAGUUGACCAGAAUUACCUUAACAGAAAUUGAAUUAUAGUGUAGACAUCAAUUACAAUCAAAUUAACGCAUGGAUUUUCAGUAAAAAAUCAAACUAAAGUGUAUUCAUUCGACUAAAUAAAAUUAAAAUACAAUUGUCCGAUUGAUAUUUUGGGUAAAAUUAUAAAGAUCAUAUCGAUCGACUUAGCAAUUAAUUAUGUCAAUUGGAUUGGGCCUAGUUAAUUAAACAACAUAAUUUUGUAGUUCUGCCCGGUCUAAUAGUCUUGGCCAAUUUUCAUCAUUUUACCUAGGCGAACCAUUUCAAACACGAGGUAAGAUUAUUCUGAUCCUAGCCAAACGCUCAUCCUCUAUCAUUUGUCCGUUGAUUUGAUCGCCGAAGUGUAAACGACCGUUGGACUUUUUUCUCUAUCGAAGAACUUUGCCUUCUAAUUGUGUGUUCUAGCGUGCAGGGAAAGUGAUCGAGAUUCUGCAGGUUGCGUGUUCGUCAAAUUCUGAGGUCUAUAGAUUAGCGUUGUUUGCGAAAAAUGGUUACAAUUAACCACGAGGAAAACUAGUGAGAAAAAGCCGAUCAAACAUUCCACUAUAGGAAGAAAAUGCAACUGGAAGCAUCUGAAAUUUUUCUGAGGCAAAAGAAAUUUUUCGAUGAAUGGUUGAAGAUACCUGCCAUGAAAAUGGUAGCUGAUCGAUUGAAACCCACAAGUGGGAUCGUUGACAAGUAAUACGUGAUGAGUUGAAUUAUUGUUUCACGAGAAGUUAAUUCUAAUUCAAGUGUACUAGUUAUCUAUAAAAUUCGAAUUAUUGUAACACAAAAGAAAUUUGUUGCAAUUAGUCAGAAUUAUUCUAUGAUGGAUGUAAAAACUUUGGUUUGUAAGCUUAUGUGAGAUGAGUGUAUUGGAUUUAAAAUCCACAUAUUAUUAUCCAUUUCCAAUUCUCAAUUAUGUAAUUUAGUAUUAAUCAUGCAUUCACAAUAAUCCAUAGCCCUAUUAUAUUUAACUUUUUUUCAAGAUAAGUUAACUACAUUCUAUGCAAGACUUGAUCCUAUUCCCAAUUUGAGGUUAUAUGCAAAGAAAUGCAUUCAAUGACAUGAUUAUCAACCAGAUUAAGACACCAAAUUUUAUUCCUAAUUAUUUUUUUAUCAUUGUUUUGAUCAUGUAGUGUUCUAAAUUUAUUGUAAAUCUUUUAGUACUACAACAAGCAACUAAUUAUCUAAAUGUGGUGUAAGCAUUUAAAUAAUGCAACGAGCAUGGGAGAUUAAUCAAGAAACACAAUAAUGAACUAAAAUAUUUGUCUUUGAAUUGAAAAUAAAUAAACAAAUGAUUUAUCUUCAUCCAAUACAUGUGAGAAUUUAACCAACAUAUCAUGAACAAGUAUGAUCUUCGAUAGUUGUUUUGUAGUCCGAAUCAACUAUUGAAUAUUUGCAAUUUGUUGCUUGAACUUUUGAUUUCUUCUUUUUUGCCCAUUUCUUGUUUCUUUCUUCCACCAUUUUGCAUCGAAUUUUACCUAACAAAUAAGAUUAACAUGAAAUUAAACUAUAAUUCAUCAAAUUUAAUGAAAAAUAUUCUAAUUUAACAGCAUAGAUAAAUGUACAAAUAUACUUAUCAGCUACCACAAGAAAAUCUAGAAAAAAAGUGUUAACAUCCACAAAAAGGGGAAAAACAACAAGAAGAGAGAAAUCAAACUAGGAAAAUGGCUCAGAUUGAUGAAAUCUAACGAGUAAAAUGGCUGUCCAAUAAGUGGGCACUUUGCAACCUGCGAAAGGUACCCUUUUGUAAAUUAUCUCUCAGAUGUUCAUGAUUUCAUCCUUUUGAAACAACAGAUUUAUUCUAUAGCCAUCGAUUUUUUCGCCUUGAGUUCAUGGUCAUAUUUCAAAAGAAUAAGUUUGGGUGUGUAACUCACAAGAGAAAUAAUGUUUUCACUAGUUUUGAUGGAUUUCACUAAUGGAAAGACAACAUUUCAACAAAUAAGAAUUCUUCUGUAUUUUGAAUGCUUCAAUCUUUAAGAUUCAACUAGACUAAUAAUUUCUUAUCAAAAGUUUAAUUCUUUCAAACAAAUUUUCGAGACUUAAUCAAUGUAUGUAGUGUAUCUUUUGUUUUAUGCACUUGGUUUUUCAUAUUUGUUGUGCUUAUUCUAUUUCAUAUGCUAGCUUGAUCCCACUUUGAGUUUAUGUUUUGAAGAUUUCAAUAAAUGUCCUCAUUGAGAUCCUUUAUAGGAUAGCUUCAUUCAUGAGUCAUGUAUUAAACACUCAUUCUCAAAAAUCAAUCUCUAACUUAGGACUUUCAUCUAAUUCUCAUCUUAUUGACAUCAGACAUUCGCACAAAAAUUAUCACUCAAGGAAUCCCUAUUUAUCUCAAUGUCUCCAUACAAUAAUUCAAUCACCCAUAUGAUCCGCUAUGAUACAUGAUAGGCUCUUUGUAUGUUAUAUUUUGGAGAAAUUUGACUUGCUAUAAGUUUCUUUAUCGUCGUGAGCAUUUUAAGGGACAAUGGGCCCCAUUUUAUUUUAUAUAUGUGAGUAGAGAUAUUGUAUUAUAUCAGGUAGGCGUAGUUCGUAUUAUAGAUGAGAUGCUGUUGAAAUUUUGGUAAAUCAUAAUGUAGUAUUGUAGAGGCAAUUCUUAAGCCACCCCAAUUAUUGGAUUUGCUCAUUUUCAGAGGUUAUCUAUAAGCCUUCAUAUUUUGGAGAAUAUUGCAACUCUUCAUGUGUUCACAACAACUCAUAUUUUUUAUGCAAUUUGUUAGCCUUCAUAGUUGACAACUUAUAUUUCAAAGUUUAACCCGUACUUGAAUGUGCGACUCAAACUUGGGGACCAUUUUCUAUAAGUGGCCACGUGAUGGAGAUGUCCCACAUUGGCCGAAUCAACAAUUAUUAUGUCCAAUGGACAUGGCCUAUUUAAUUGAACAUCAUGUCCUUGUACUUACUCGCAAUUCAAUAUUCCAUCUUUGCCCAUUUUCUUCCCUUAUAUAGGUGAGCUCAUUUCUCACACAAGGUAAGGUUAUUCCAACCUUAGCCAAAUCCUCUUCUCCCAUCUCUUCCACUCAUUCUCUUUCAUUCAAUCAUUGACUUGAGCAUCAGAGUAUAGAUGGUUAUCGAACAUUUUCUCGAUCACUGACCUUUGCCUCUUUAUCAUGUGUUCCAGCAUAUAGGUGGUACCUCUAUGGAGGGGAGGUAGUGGGGAUUUUAUCAGCCAUGUAUCGGUUGGAUUUUGAGGUUAACAUUAUUUUUUGAAUGUAGAAUCAUGUGUUUCCCAAUUGAUAUCUCUUUCCCAUUUGCUAAUUUUUGUCAAGUGUGUUGAUUGAGCAUGAGCUCCAAAGAUAUGGCUAUAGCUAGUAGAACAAUCUUUUUUGAAGAUGAGAGCUCUUAUCAAAUGACGUCGUCCUGUUGACUUCAAAGAUCAUCAUGUUACUUGAUCAGGAUCCGAUUGGAAAUCAUCUUUCUUCAUCACAAGCACGUGUUGUAUAUAACUUAUUUCGACUCCAAUUUUACAUUCAACAGUGUAUAGCAAAAACAUGGUUGUUUAAUUGCUUGUCAUUUUUUUAUUUGUUAGGUGUUGAAGUGGUUGAAAGAUUUGCAUAUUGUGGAAUGAAUUUGAAUUGAUAAGCUAUUUGAUACAUCCGUUGGGGACAAUCCACUACUAAAAUGGCAGAGAAUGCAAAGGAAUGAUCGUGUUUCUUUUGUCGGUAUUGGCUAAUUUUGUGGAUGACUCCGUUCUUGGUCGCAACUGGACUAUCUAUUAUCAUAGCGCUGGACUCUAUAUUGUGGUCAGUCAAAAAAGCUCACGUCAAUGCCUCAGGGGUAUAAUUAUUUGCUAAAUAUAUAAUUUUUGUUGACCUCGUGAAUUUGAACUUCCACGUGGCCAAUCGAGGGUCACUCCACAUGUUCCUCCUUGCACACAGUAGCCAAUGGAUAGAUGCACACGACCUAAACCAGCGGGGUGAUGACGGGCGCAUACACUCUGAUGGUUAAGUCAGUGGACAGUAAUCGGAACGGUGCCAGAAUUGUGUAAGAGUGGGGAGGGCAAAAUAUUGUACUUUUUUAUGGAGUGCCAAGUACAUUAGAGAGAGUUUUAUUACUUUUGGCUCUUGCCAAAUCUUUGGUAUUUAUAGGUGAGGAGUAUCGUUGGAUGUGAGACACAUGUAUGCAUCUGAUGGUGUGAGGCGUCUACUCAUAGGCGUCAAUCAGCUGCAUCUAGAAGGGACGGGUAAUUAAUUCUUCUGAGUUAUGAUUUGACAUAAAGUUGAGAUGCCACAUCAAUUAAUCCAUGAGGAUAAAACAGGAUCCUGACACAAAGAUACAUAUCUGAAACUGACGACGGAGAGGCCUCUGUUGCAAAGUGCCUCGACACUCUUCACACUUCAGUAGGGGACGCUUCGACAAUUACUUCGGUGAUGCUUCUGCCUCACAGCAUGUUAGUCUUGAGGUUCGGAUAAGUCUAGUAUCACUUUGGAAUCAUCUCAGAUCACUUCGGAACCACCUCGACUGGACACAUGGUACCUCGUUGGAGAGUAGGCAUGACGUGCCGAGGUGGAUUAGUGAGGGGCGUAACAGUGGUUCCUCCAAGUUCAUGGAUGAAUAUUUAUAUCAUUUGUGGAUUUUUUUGACUAGUUGUGUAUGCUUGCCGUUUUGAGUGUAGGUUUUUACCGUAUCUAUCGAAGUGCUGACCCACAAGGGAUGACGUGGGGAGUUGGGCAAAAGCUUUGUAAGCCGAUAUGCAUUUUUUGAACGAGGCGAUAGGAUAGGGGGUAUUAUCGGUUAGUAGUUUGUUGCUUUGUAAAGGAAGUUCAUCUUCGAGCGAUGCAUAUGAGCGUUUUGAAGCUGGUUGCUGAGGUGCAUCUGCGUCUGAAGCACUGACCUGCAGGGGGCAACAAUUGGGAGAUGGCCCGAAGCUUUGUAAAGCUUUCGUAACGCUGCGAUCGAGGUUAUGACUCAGGAGACUCCGCAUCAGGAGGGUUGAAGCUUUGUAAAGCUGAUGGACGAGUUCAUCUGUGAUCGAUGCGCUAACUCAUAGGGGACUACACUUUGGAGAUGGCUUGAAGCUUUGUAAAGCUGAUGGAAGUGCUCAUCUGCGAUCGGUGCACUAACCGACAGGAGACGAUGCUUAGGAGAUGGUCUGAAGCUUUGUAAAGCUUUUACAACACUACAACUGAGGUGAUGACCUAUAGGAGACUCCGUGUCGGGAGGGUUGAAGUUUUAUAAAGUUGGGGAGUCACAAUCCGAAGUGUGUAGUUUGUGAUCUUGAAUGAUGUAAUAGUCGCGUAUUUUCAAGGAGAAAGUUGGAUGUGAUGCCUAUUCAUAGAAAAGGCUGCUGCGGCUAAUUAUAGCAAACGUUUGUUGAAGUUUGAGGUGACGUGUUCGAUGCUUGCUCGAGAGUCACAGCUAGAUCUUAGACGUUGAUCAAAUCUAGCAUUAUGUUGGUCUAGAUUUGUGAUGCGAUCAAUGUCCCAAAUUGAUAGGACUUGAAUUCAACGGUGUAGAUUAUCAUAGGCCUCUUAUAAAUGGCUAAUUUCUUGCCAUUCGAAGGUUUUUACCUUGGCAAAAUCUGAAACUUUUUUGCUCUCAAGCUUUUUUAACAUCCGAUAAUCUCUCUACGUUCUUUGGAGUUUUUCGAUGACGAUCAGCUAGCCUUGUGACAUUUUCGACCGUAAGACAUCAUUUUCAGUGAGUUUUUAUAAGUAUUCACAAAGUUUUUUACCUUCUUCUUCGAGAGAAAUGGCUUUUGAGGAUAGUGGGUCUUCCGGGAGGGAUUUGGAAAUUGUUAGGGUAGACAACCCGACGUUCGCUACUUCGACUGAGCAGUCCGAAGUGAUACUGGGGAGGAAACAUUUGGAAAUGACAAAAUAGCCCCGUGGACACUUCUAUGCAUUGGGGGCAUUUGAUUACCCCUCAAAAUUGAAAUCAUUCGACUUGGUUUGGCUUAAGGCGGAGUAUAGAGUACCAGAUAGUAUAGGUCUAAUCUAUAUCGGAUCCAGAUGAGCGAGCUUAUUACCUUAGGCCGAAAUGCAAGGCAAUAAGUGCGGUCAUUCUUAGGGCAGGGCUUAGGUUACCUUUCCACCUAUUCUUUCAAUACGUCCUUAAGUUUUAUGGCCUAGCCCCCACACAACUCAACACAAACUCAUGGAGUCAGAUGGUGGGAUCAUAGAUGUCGUAGAAGGAGGCUUUGUAUGGGGUGGAGAUACCUUUUUCUGUUUUCCAAAACAUGUACAUUCCUAAGGUGGCUAUGGGGGAUGACAAGACGAGUGGGUGAUACUAUUUGACAUCUUGGGAGGCUUACGCUCCAUUCAUGCUCGAUUUGCCGAGCUCCAUCGAAGAAUGAAAGAGUUUAUAGUUCUGGGCUUCUGGAAGAUGGGACACGAUAGAGGGAGACCCCCUGGCACCUCUAACAGUUCCCACCAAAUAUUCCACAUUUAGCGAGUACUAAUACUUUGGUUUGUUGCAUAUUUCUUUGGCUGGCAUACUUAAAGCUCAUAUUCUGGUAAAGGUGCCCUUUCUCAGUGCGAACUAUCCACAGAGGAGUUCGACACUAUCUACAUCAUCUAUCAGCUGCCAGCUAAGAGCCGGUCUUACCAAGAGUUGACAAGGAAAAAUAUACACUUCUUCAAUCAAGGCCUGAUGUCUUCACAAGGUAGACUAUCUGAACUGGUCAUAUUUAUUUUGAGUCCUUUAUACUUGGGCUACCCCAAAGGUGCAUUUCAGCAUUUUUUGUUUCCUUAGAAUUUGAAAAGUGUUGUCGAGGUGACUUACAUGAUCCUUUGCCUUGAGGCUUUUCACCAGCAUAUCGUCCACGUAGACUUCCAUGGUUUUGCCAAUGAGGUCAGCAAACAUCAUGUUGACUAGCCUCUGAUAUGUGGUGCCUGCUUCUUUAAUCCAAAGGGCAUCAUCUUAUAGCAGUACAAUCCUCUAUCUGUGAUAAACGAUGUGGCAUCCUCAUUAGAUCGAAACAUGGGCAUUUGAUUAUGCCCUGAAUAGGCAUCCAUGAAGCUUAAAAAUUCAUGUUCGACCGUGGAAUCCACAAGUUGAUCUAUCCUUGGGAGGGGGCUGUUCAAGUUGGUAAAGUCAACGCAUACCCUUCACUUUCCACUGGAUUUCUUUACAAGAACAGGAUUGGAUACCCACUUUGAAAAGAUGGCCUCCUUAAUGAAGCCAUUGUGGGUUAGCUUGUCAACUUCCUCUCUAAGCACCUCAUAUCUUUCUGGAUUGAGGGCUGGCCUCUUCUAUCGAUGUGGUGCGUAGGUGGGGUUGAUGUUUAAGUGGUGAUAGAUGACCUUUGCGUUUAUUCCCACCACAACUUCAUGUCACCAUGCCAAGACGUCCAAGUUCCAUUUCAGGAAGUUCAUUAAUUCCCUUUUGAUCUCAAGAAAUAGAGUUUUUCCUAUUCGCAGGACCUGAGCAGGGUCUUGAGGGUUGGUAGGAAAUGAUUCCAACUCUUUCAUUGGGGUUGCAUUUGGUUCAGAUUCAAUGAUUUGAGGAUCCAGUUCAUCUAAAUGGUGCCCUUCUUUAGGAGCCUCUAUCAUUUCGAUGUCUUUCUCCUGUUUGGAGGUAUGCUCUUGUUCAGGGACGUCGAGCAUUUUCUUGUCUACACAUGCCUCGGUGCUGAGGUCGGUGAUAAUGACAUUUACAGUGCGGGGUUCAUAUUUUCGUAAAGAAUUGAGGUAACAUGCUCUCGAAUCCAUUUGGUUGCCUCAGACUGUUGCUAUUCCAUGUUCAGAUGGAAACUUCAUACACAAGUAGUGAAUCGAGGUGACAGCCCAUAGCUCUUUCAGAACGGGUCGACCUUAUACUCCGUAGUAAGCUGAUCUAUGGUCCACUACUAGAAAUUCCAUGAAGUGGCGUGCCAUUAAGGGAGUUUAUCCCAACUCCACUGCCAAGGUGAUUCGUCCUCGCGGGACGAUGUUGUCGAUAGUGAAUCUGUAUUGUGGGUCAGUCAUGGGAAUCAUACUAUGUUCAAUCUGCAUCUUAUCAAAGUGGAGCUAAAUAGUAUAUUUACCGAGCUUCCAUUGUCAACAAGCAUGCAUUUCAGUUCGUUUCGGCUACUACAACUCUUACCACCAAUGUAUCACAAUGGGGGUAGUGUACGCCUUGCGCAUCGUCUUGGGAGAAGGUAAUUGAUGCCAUUCUAUUAACUUUCUUAGAUUGGUUGACGAUGUAAUUAGUCAUCGGAGGAUCUUUGACCUCUCUUGCAGCAUAGUUCCUUUGUGCGUUUCGAGUGUUGCCUUCGACGUGAAGGCCUCUAAAUAUUGUGUCUAUCUCUUGAAUCGACUCGCCUUCAGCAUGGGGCUUGAUUUCUCGGCCUUGACUCUCCUCGAGUUCUAUUCUCCGCCUCCCUUUUCCGAGGUACAUGGUCCAUCUGACGCCUCAUAUCCCUGUUAGGAGAGGUGGACUGUCUCGAGGAUUGUGGGUUACUUCUCUGUGAGGAUUGCAGAGCGUCUUUACAUUUAUCGGUGUUGUGAUCGUAGAAACGAUGAUAGGUGCAAUAUUUUGCUCCUUCAAGGGCUUAUUCGUUUGUUUCUUCUUGCGUCGAUUUCUGCGAGGCGUCUCCCAGGAUGUCCUUGCUUCAAUAGUUGAAUUUUAAUACGCCAACACUGGGACUAUGUUUAGUAUGGCAGAGGCCAAGGCCAUUCCGGAUGUGGGAGCUACUGAGUGCCCUGCCUGGGCCAUUGUUGGGUUAUGAGGUGCGCUGCUGGUCUUCGACCUACCUACCUCUAAGGCAGAGGGAGUCCCUGAGCUGCGCGGUUUCGAUGGUCGAUCAUCUCUUCAUUGACGAUCUCCACUCUCAUCAUCUCCACCAACUCGUCAUAAAUGCCCAAAUUUUUGCUUCGCACAUCUCCGUAAAACAGAGUGUUCAUGUUGAGGCCUCCUUUCAGAGCUGAAAGAGCCUCCCUGUCUGUAACUUGUUCACAAUAAGUUAUUUUAUCGGUGAACUUGGUGAGGUAGUUUUUAAGUGUUUCUCCAGGAGCCUGCCUCAUGUCCUGCAGGCGUUGUACAGGGGUCUCUCCUUCUCCUCGUGAAAUAUAUUGAUUUAAGAAGACCUUCUUCAAAUUUGGCCAACUCCUAAUGCUCAUAGGUGGUAAUUGACUGUACCAUACUUCGGCAACCCCGACAAGGGUCAGAUGAAAGGCCUUGCAUUUUAAUGUUGAUGAGGCUCCUUUGAGGCUCAUUUGCGUUAUAUAUUUGGUGAGAUGCUUUUGUGUGUCUCUCUUUCUCUCAUACUUGAGAAUUUUAGGGGGCAUGAAGUUCGCUUCAUAACAGUUAGCCAUGCAUCAAAUUAAUUAGAAGUACAAAAAAUAAUUGAUACAACAUCAUUCAAAAUUUAUUAAUUGGAAAGAAUAUGAAAAAUAAUCUUGAAUAUUGUAUCUAUUCAAUUACUUUUUGAUUUUGAUUUUUUUCCCUCUUUUGAUUCUUCUGCUUAUUUUUCAAUCCAAAAAAUCGAUGUAUUAAAAUAAGUUUGAAUGUGUUUUGUAUGAGGUUUCUACAAAACUUUGAACGAGUAUGAGUUUAUAAACCAAAAGUUUCGGCUUUGGCUCUCUUGUAUGAAGGAACUGUAGAUUGGAAACCCUAGGUGCUUAUCUCGCUUGCAUAUAAUUAAUCCUUACAAAUGUAAUCAAUUGUUGGACUAAGAUGCGUAUUUAUAAAGUCAAGAUUAAGUCUUAUUUCGUGUCUAAAAGUGUUAGGAUUUGAAAUUUUAGUCAUCAUAGGAAUGGUGGGUUGCUGACUUUUAAGUCAGGGACUUCCUUGAGAUUGCCCCGUAGUAUUGGGUGUGAACACACAAUCUAACAAAGUUGGGACUGCUAUUGAAAUUUUCAUAGUUGCAAUCGGUAGAGGUCACUAAACUUCCAGUUUUUCUUUUUGGUCCUUAAAACACAAUUUUGGUUUCUUAUCCUCAAAAAUUGCAUGAAAUGUCUUCAAGUUUAGCUCUUCACAAUGUAAUCCUCUACAUAUCUAAAUAAUUAAUUAUCGACCCAAAGCAUGUUACUAAAUUUUACAAUUUAGUCCUCAAACUUUUCAUUUGUUGAAUUUAAUUCUCAAAACUUCUUAUUCACCUUUGAUUUCUCUCUUAAUUCUUCCAAAUGACCAAUUUCAACCUGGUUGAUCUUCAAGCACUUUGAAUCAACUUCACAAUUAUACUCCAAUUUCACCUAUUUUACACUAAUUUCUUCCAAAUUUAGGGAUUUACCUACAAUUAAUAUAAUUCAACAUAAAUAUCCACUCAGUUGAUCAUAAUUAUUAAAUGAAGUCCAUAAUAUGCAGUUAUAACCCCACUUGAGAUAUGUAAUUUAACACAUCUUUUAUUUGUUUCUUUACGUUUUCAACUUAAUAUUUGCAAGAAAUAUAUUGUUAAAAAUCGUGAGAAAGUUAUCAGUUUCCAAUAAAGGGACUCUUGUAGCAUAAAGUUCUAGGCGAAAAGUAAAACUUCUAGGGCCAGCUAGUUGUAGAUGGAGUAUGAGAUAGACAUUUUGUUUGAAUUAAUAUCUCUAGGUGUCAUUUUCUACCAUUUUCAGCUAGAGGAAUAGGAUUGGUACUUGUUACCAUAAAAGUCUUGGAUGUUGAAAAUUUUAAUAUAUUAACUUCAUUUGAUACCAAGAAUUUUGGAGAAAAUUCUAUAUUUCAUUUUUCAAUUUCUUCAAUUCUAAAAAUUACUCUCUUGGUCCCUAAGCUCCUAAUAUAAAAAUUUACCUUAAUUAAAUAAAAACACAUUUAGACUUUAAUUAAAUUAAUCAAAUAAAGCUGACGCAAUAUCUCUUGUAUUGCGUCACCAGCAGGGUUCAAGAUUGAAGAGGCUAGAGGCUUCAAAAUCUAUUUAACAGAUUAACGUAAUUGAAAUUGGUUAUUCACACGUUUUCAAAGAAUGUGAAAUGAAGUUGACACUUGAUUUUUUUGGUGGUUUUUAUAUGUUUCUUUAAUGCUGAUCACGUUACAUUUUGUCCUAGGAAUGCAUGUUGGUUUUCUUUCAUUGUUUUACUCAAAGAUUACAAUUACCUCGUGCCUAAACAAUUACAUACCAAUUAUUGAUUAAGGUUUGACUCGACUAAUUUAUAAAACAUUUGUACGUUGGUAGCCAAACAUCCCAUAAAUUUAUUUAACCUUUUGAGUUCUGAAAGCAAUCAAAAUAGUAUUAGAUCAUGAGCAAACAAAAAUCCUGUAGAGACAAAAAUCGUAGCUUGGGGACCUGGUUGCUAUAUUUUGAAAAGGUUGAGUGUCAAACUUGUAAUUUUCCCUAAAUUUCAAAUUAAUUUUCCGUAAGCCAUUUUUUGACUGGCCUUUGAAGCGAAUCACACCUGCGCAUGCAUAGCUAUAAAAUACUUCGUUGAUGGAGCUUCAUGCAAAACUUUUUGUGUCUGUCUUGAAAUAGACGAACACAAUCCCAUGAAAAUCCAUAUUUAAAGGAAAAAAAAAAUCAAUUCUUUUAAACUUUUUGGGUUACGAGUGUAAUCAGAAUAAUGCCCUGUUUUUCCGAUUGCAGUCUCCUUCAUGUUGACAAAUUUAUGCCAACUGGGGAGGUUAUUGACCUUCAUAUAUUAUAUAUAUAACCGUUUGAAAGAUUUGCCACUUGCGUGUGAAAGUUAGUUGAAGUAGAAGAUCAGUCACAUCAAUUCAAUUGCUUGCUCUGUUCUAAAAUAAAUCGGAAAAUGUAAGAUUUGAAAUUUUAAGCCGCGUUUGACCAAUUAAAGUAAAUUUCAUUUUUGUCUCUCAUAUUUUUAAUCACACAAUUUUUUAUAAAAUAAUAUUAUAUAUAAAUCGAAAAUUUUUCUUUCUUUUUCAACCUCUCAUUUAAAAAAAAUUACUAUUACAUUCAUUUUAAUUUGAAAAAAUGGGAGCCAAACGGGUGCUAUAAGUCAUAAUAGGAAUGUUGGGUUGCUGAAUUUUAACUAAGGGACCGCCUUGAGAUUGCACCGUAGUAUUUGGUGUGAACACAUGAUCUAACAAUGUUGGGAUUGCUAUUGAAAUUUUCAUAGUUGCGAUAGUAGAGGUCAUUGAACUUCUAUUUGCUCAUUUUAUUCCUUAAACAAUAAUUUUGGUUCUUAUCCUCGAAUAUUGCAUGAAAUGCCUUUCGUGAUUCGAUAGGUCUAGGUAAGGUGUACGAAGAAAAAACCUAUUUGACAUUAUUGACAAUGAAACUUACCAAAGAGAUCCGUUUCUUAACUAAUUUUGGCUUGUCCACAAAUGCUGCAUGUAUUCUCUAGAUCUAUUUGAAUUACUCUUUCAAGUUUUUAACCGGUUUCGUGUGGUUAUUUACUAAAAUAACCAUUUGGAAGGGAAUGAUAGAUUGUUAGUGUGGACGAUAUAGAAGAUAUAAUCAAGUUAGGUUCUGCACAAUGUAGAGGAUUAUUGACUAUAAUCAAGUUUAUUUAAGAAUGUAGUCCUCUACAUUCCUAAAUAAUUAACUAUUGACCCGAAGAAAGUUUAGAUUUUUUUUUCAAUUUAGUCCUCAAACUUUUUAUUUGCUGAAUUUAACUCUCGAAACUUGUUACUCACCUUUGAUUGUCCCACUUAAUAUUUCCAAAUGACAAAUUUCAAUCUGGCUAAUCUUCAAGCACUUUGAAUCAACUUCAAUUAUACUCCAGUUUCACCUAUUUCACUCUAAUUUCUCCAAAUUUAGGGUUUACCUACAGUUAAUAUAAUUUAACCUAAUAUUAAGUAAAUAUCCACUCAAUAAAUCAUAAAUAAUUAAAUGAAAAGCCAUAAUAUGCACUUAUCACCCCACUUGAGGAGAUAUGUGAUUUAACACAUCUUUUAUAUGUUUAUUUAGGUUUUCAAUUUAUUAUUUCAAAGAAAUAUAUUGUUAAAAAUUGUGAGAAAUUUAUCAGUGUCCUAUAAAGGGACUUUUGUAGAAUAAAGUUCUAGGCAAAACGUAAAACUUCUAGGUCAGCUAGUUGUAGAUGGAGUAUGAGAUAGAUAAUUUAUUGGAAUUAUAUCUCUAAUUGUCAUUUUCUACCAUUUUCUGCUCGAGGAAUAAGAUUGAUACUUGUUACCAUAAAAGUCAUGGAUGUUGAAAAUUUUAGAAUCCUGCUAUACGUACAGGAAAUUCUUCCUAGGAAUUCAAAAGAAAUGAUGUGGUAUUAUCCUAAUUCAUUUUGUUUUUCAUCUGCCUUAGUUAAAGAAUUGUCAAGUCACAUUUUUAAAAAUCCUGUACGAGUUCUGUGUGAAUUUCCUGUACUUGUAGAAUUAUUGAAAAUUUUGAUAUGUCAAUUUCAUUUGGAUUCUACAAUAAAUACCAAGAAUUUGGAGAAAAUUGUAUAUUUAUUUUUCAAUUUCCUCAAAUUCUAAAAAUUACUCUCUUGGUCCCUAAGCUCCUAACAUAAAAUUUCACCUUAAUUAAAUAAAACAUAUUUAUGCCUUAAUUAAAUUAAUCAAAUAAAGUUCAUGCAAUAUCUCUUGUACUACGUCACCAACAUGGUUUAAGAUUGAAGGGGCUAGAAGCUUCAAAAUCUAUCUAACAGAUUAACAUAAUUGUAAAAUGUUAUUCACACGCAUUCAAAAGAAUGUGAAAUGGAGCUGACAAUUGUUUAUUUUGGUGAUUUUUAAAUGUUUCUCUAAUGCUGAUCACAUUACAUUUUGUCCUAGGAAUGCAUGUUAAUUUUCUUUCUUCGUUUUUGCUAGAAGAUUACUAUUAUCUCGUGCCUAAUUAAUUACAUGCCAAUUAUUGAUAAAUGUUUGACUUGACUAAUUUAUAAACCAUUUAUAAGUUGGUAGCCAAACGUCCCAUGAAUUUAUUUAACCUUUUGAGUUUUGAAAACAAUCAAAAUAGUAUUAGAUCAUUAGCGAACAAAUAAAGAUGCUAUUUUUCUAAAGAUUACGUUUUCUAGUAUGUUUAGAUAUUGAGUUGGGACACGAAAUUAUGAUUGUAAUAUCAAGUGUGAAGUUAUAUCCUUCAAAAAUAAUUGUCAUUUCCCUAAUGCGUGAGAGUUCCACGUCUCAUUAAACGAUUUCUAUCCUGUAGAGACAAAAAUCGUAGCUUGGGGACCUGAUUGCUAUAUUUUGAAAAGGUUGAGUGUCAAAGUUGUAAUUGUCCCUAAAUUUCAAAUUAAUUUUCCAUGCUCCAUUUUUGGCCGAGCUUUCAACCGAAUCACAUCUACGCAUGUAUAGCUAUAAAAUACUCCAUUGAUGGAGCUUCAUGCAAAACUUUUUGUGUCUGUAUUGAAGUAGACGAACACAAUCACAUCAAAAUCCAUAUUUAAAGGAAAAAAAAUCAAAUUUUUAACACUUUUUGUGUUAUGAAUGAAAUCAGAAUAAUGCCAUGUUUUUCCGAUUGCAAUCUCUUUCAUGUUUACAAAUUUAUGCCAACUAUAACUGUUUGAAAGACUAGACAAUUGCGUGUUAAAGUAGAUUGAAGUAGAAGAACAGUCACAUCAAUUCAAUUGCUUGCCCCGUUUUUAAAUAAAUCAGAAAAAUGUAAGUUUCCCUGCUUAAAAUCUACUUGUUGUUGAGCUCUAGAGAUAUGGCCAUGCCCGCCGCCGGAACCCACCUUUUGGAUGCCGAAGCUCUGCUGUUGGACGACGUUGUUCAUGGCUACGUCGACUUCAAAGGCUGCCCUGUUACCCGAUCCCUAUCCGGUGGUUGGAAGUCCUCUUUCUUCAUCAUAGGUUCACUAUAUGUUGCCCCAUUUACCAUUGAAAAGGUUACAGCAUUUUUUGCAGUACUUUAUUUAUAUUUUGGAUUUGUUAGGCGUUGAAGUGGCUGAGAGAUUUGCGUACUGUGGAAUAAGUUCGAAUUUGAUAAGCUAUUUGACGGGUCCGUUGGGCCAAUCCACCGCAACUGCGGCGGAGAAUGUGAAUGCGUGGUCCGGCACGUCUAUGAUUUUGCCACUUUUGGGUGCUUUUGUGGCGGAUUCUUUUCUUGGUCGGUACCGGACCAUCAUCAUUGCCUCUGGGCUCUAUAUCCUGGUCAGUACACGAAUCAUUCACUAAUAUAUAGUUUCUGUUUUGAGCUUUAAAAUUAUGUAACGCCUCUAAUUGCAUUCAGAAUAUCUACCUUGAAACUUGGCUAAUGGAUUGGUAGAUACUUGAAUACCUACCCUUAUAGGCAACUGGGAGUGACUCAUACUGGCCAAAGCAUGCAUUCCCCAAAUUUCCAUUUUGUAUAGUAAAAAAUUUUUCAGAUUGAGAAUAAUAAAAUAUUGAAAUUUGGCGUUGAAGGUUUACAAUACACGUCGUUGAUAUGUAGAAAUAAAUAUCCAAGUUAGGAUGUUGAUGGUAAAAAUUGAAUCAAACAAUUUCAUUGAUGAAACAAUUACAAUCAAAGAUCAAAUAUAAAUGCAAUCAAUAAAUCCUCUCACAUAACUAUGAGUUAUACCUCCUAAAUCCACUAGUCUAGAUUCCUCAACUAGAACCAGAGGAGAAAUAGCUAAUUAAGAGUGAGAUAUUUGAAUUACAUGCCUUCUUCUUCAAUCGUGGGUAUUUAUAUAUUUCCCUCCAGGCAUUGAGGUAGGGAUGGCAAAAAAACCUGGUCAACCUGAUAUUCAUGGGGUCUUGCCCCAUUCCCUCCUAACCGGGUACAUGGGAUGGGUAUGGGCGCAAGAGUCAUUGCCCCGAAGUGGGUAUGGGACGAGUACGGAAAACAUAGUCCCCGGCCCCAUCACCCGUUUGGUUUAAUAUUAAUUUCAAAUUUAAUUUUUUAUCAAACAAAAAUAAUAGAUUUAUCAUCAUUUUUAAAGAGAACAUAAGUUGUUUUUAACAAAUUGGUAAAAAAAUAAUACUAUUUACUAACUAAGGACAUUAAAAAUAAAAAAAUGAAUAGAAAAAAUAAAUGGGGUAGGAGACUUACCCCACCCACCCCGUCCUGCUUUAACUGGGUAUGGGUAUGGGAUAAGAUAAUAAAAAUACCCGACGGGACGGGGGUAAGAAUAGUUGACCCGGACCUGCCCCGUUGCCAUCCUUACAUUGGGGUAGUUUGAUCAUUUUUGCUUUGUGCUAGGUGGAGACUUCUUAUUGGUUGCUUCUUAAUAUAUUUUAAUUAAAAGUCAUCCUUUAUUCACUUUCCCUGUGCCUUUUAUUGACAACCUGUAUGUGGUGAACAAUUUGAAAUUUUUAUGCGAGCCUCUUGUUUCUUGGUUCUCCUCGCGUGUUGCCUUUCACCUUGUGAUGUGAUCCAACGCGCGAAGGCAAGUUAGGGCAAAGAUCCAUUGAUCAUUGAAGAAUUCCAAUGACUCGAUCAUGAGUAAAGAGGGUCAAAGAAGCGAUGAAAUUACUCAUUCAAGCUAUGGUGGACAAGACAUUGUUCAUAGCAAGCAAAGAAGCAAGUUUUAUGUUGGGUUCGGGAAGGAGCUGAAGUUUUAGUAUUAUGCGACUGCAUAGUUUCAUCAUGCAUGCAUGCAGCAGCAUUGCCUCUAACAGAAAAUCCUGUUCACGUAAUGUCAUGAACUAUACGAUCACAUAGUUUAGUAGAUCGCAUAGUUUAGUACUAUGCGGCCACAUAGUAUAUCUUGGAUGCAUGCUUUUUCAAUUUUCUCGAAUUUUCCUAAUUAUGUUAGAACUCUACUUUUUGGUAUCUUUUGUAAUCUUUUAGACUUUUAUUCCUUUUAAACUAGGUUUUAUGGGUUUUCUAUACAUAGGACUCAUUAUUCUACAUUGUAAACAUUCAUUCAUUAAUAUCAAUUGUGAGAUUACUUUUGUGAGCAUAUUAUUGCUUUCAAUUCGUUGUUCUUUACUGAACAAAUCCUGAACUUAUCAAUAAUUAUUUUCUUGUGGCAUUUAAACAAUUGUUGUAAGAUUCUUGAGUCUUGUAAUCAAGGGGUCAAUAUAUUGUUAGUGAUUGUUGGUUACUCGGUUUACUAUUUUUGAAUCAAAUUCAAAUCUUUGAUUUCUUGACUUUUUUGGAUUGUGAUUCAAUCUCGUGUGGGUUUCAUAGCUUCAAUUGCUACAUUAUUUGCAUUAGAGCUUAGGCUCCAAAAAUCGAGGUUAUAUCCUUUCCUUUUUUCUUGAGUCUUUUGUAUUCCCGCUCUUAAUCCAUUCGAGUCUUUAAUCCAUAAAAGUUCCCAAGAAAAUUCAAAAGUUGUAUUUGUGCUCAUUUAGCAUCCAAAUCCAUUUUAAUGUUUCUCUGAUAUUGUAGUCGAAUUUUCAUGUUCAACCCAAAAUUCAAUGACUACUUUCUUGAAUUAAUAGAUCCCAUUCAAAAGUGUCAUAUUCUUUUCCUUCUUUCUUGAGUCUUCUAAAAAUAUAAAUUUCACUCACAUCCUAUUUUGAAUUUUUCGAGAAUAAGACUUGGCUGAGUUCGGAUUAGUUCUUUGAAGCACUUGAGUGAAAGAAUUUAGGAUGUUGAGACUAAUAGAGAGAAAAAUCUAAUUUGAGUGAUACACUAGUGUAUACAUGUGGGGUAUAUGUUACUUUAGAUUUAGGAUGUUUGAUAGGAAGGAUUCUACCUCAAGCAGGAACAACAACCUAGUUGACAUGUCAGAAGAGUUGAUACACUAAUUUGAGAGGUUGUUUGAAUAUGUGAGGGAUAGGUAGGAGGUGUGGAUGGAGAGGCAAGACCCAUUGCUUGCUAAUUUACGCAAGCGAGUUCCUAAUGUAAAGAGGCAAGGUAGGCGGGAGUCUAGGGUAGAGAAUCAUAGUGAUUAUGAAGUAGUGGUAUGGAUGAGUAUGCAAUAGUGGAUGCCUUGUUAGAGAGAAUAAGGGAUAGAUGAGUUAGGCAUGAAAGGAGAGAUAGAUAACCUAUUGGAAAUGGAGUUGAUGGGAAUGUGGACAAUUUCAAAAUGAUAAUUUUGUCAUUCAAAGGAAGGAGUGAUUUGAAAUUGUACUUGGAAUGGAAAAAGAAAAUAGAAUUGAUACUUGAUUGCCACAAUUACUCAAAGGAAAAGAGGAUAAAGAUUGUUGUACUUGAGUUUACUAAUUAUGCUAUUACUUGGUGGGAUCAAGUAGUGACAUCUAGGAGGAAUUGUGAAAGGCCAAUUAAUAAAUCGGAAAAAUUGAAGGCUAUCAUGAGGAAGAGGUUCGUGCCUAGUCAUUACUAUAUGGAGCUUCAUCAAAAAUUACAAAGCUUCUACAAGGACCUAGGAGUGUGGAAGACAAUCAUAAAGAGAUUGAGAUAAUGAAGAUUAAAGUGAAUGUUGAGGAAGAUAGGGAGGCCACUAUGGCAGAUUUUUUGAAUGGUUUGGAUCGGGAAAUAGCUAAUGUGGUGGAGUUGCAACAUUAUGUGGAGUUGGACGAUAUGCUACAUGUGGCUAUGAAGGUAGAGAGGCAACUAAAAAGGAAGGGGUCAGUUAGGUAUCCAUCGGGUUCUAAUUCUUCUUUGAAAUUGAUGUGGGAUAACAACAAGGGAGAUAAAGCUGUUUCAAAGAGCAAAGCUGAACUACCAAAGGAGAAAGAGGAAAGUGCUAGAAGGUCACAUCCAAAGUGGACUCAUAGCCAUCUAGGAGUCUAGACAUCAAAUGUUUUAGGUGUUUGAGACGAAACACUUUGCUUUUCAAUGUCUGAACAAAAGGGUAUUGAUUUUGAGAGACAAAGGAGAAGUGGUAAGCGAUAGUGAAGAGGACUAUGAUGACAUGUCGAAAUUGGAAGAGCCUAGUGAUGAAGAAAAGGUGGAGUAUGCAAUGGGUGAACUCUUAGUUACGAAAAAGCUCUUAGUACACAAAUCAAGGCAGAUGACUUGGAGCAACAAAGAGAGAACAUAUUCCAUACAAGGUGCCACAUCAACAACAAGGUAUGUAGCAUGAUUAUAGAUGGGAGUAGUUGUAUUAGUGUGGCUUGCACUACACUUGUUGAAAAAUUUGGUUAACCAUGUUAAAACAUCUUAAACCUUACUGUCUGCAAUGGUUGAAUGAAUGGGGAAAGAUUAAGGUGAAUAAAAGGGUGCUGGUGAGCUUUUCGAUUGUUAGCUAUCAAGAUGAAAUAAUGUGUGACGUAGUUCUUAUGCAUGUCGGGCACAUUUUUGUUGGGUAGACUAUGGCAAUAUUUUAUGAGUGUAAGGGGAGAACUUCUUUCAAUUUACAAUUUGGUAAAGACAGGGACUAUCACUUACCCCCAAAAUGGGUAUCAUUAUUUUACUUCUUACUCCUCCAAGAUGUGUCCAAAGCUCAUAACAAUUUCCAACAAAGUUCACGAUUGAAAGGAAGGACUUUUCUUUGCCCAUGAAAACUAUAUGCUGCAUCCUAAUGAUCCUUAUCCCGAUGUGGUUUUGUCUUGCUAUGAGUGUUUUUACCCUUUUCGUGGUUUGCCAUUAUGCUACUAUUAUUAUAUAUUGAAUUAUGUUCGUGCAAAAAAAAUGUUGACUCCUUUUCAAGUUCAAGCCAAUAGGGAACUUCACCUUUUAGCAAUACAUAUUCUCGAUUUAAACUCCGAAUCUUGUGAAGUCAGGGAGAGACUAAGCUUCUCUAAUCCCACAUUUUAAGAUAACGGACUUCAAUUUAUUCCGAAUAAGUCAAUAUUUUCACUUCUUUGUUUAAAAAGUCUCUUCUUUUUGGGAAGUGCUUAAUUUGUUCCCAGCAUUCCCAAUCACAGUCUUUUACUACUAGAACUUUAGGAACUUUGCCUAUGAAUUUUGCAUCUCCUCCUUUUUUGGGUCUGGCCAAUAAUCCUAGAAAAAGGAAAACUCCAAGUGGGUCUAUGCUCAUUUUCGAUCCAAAGCUUCUACUCACCCGGGGUCCUACCCCAUGUUUGAAGUCUUUGUUCAUUCAACACUACGAGGUUCACUAGAUGCGGGUGAUCUAUCUUUAUUUCCAUCCCUUGUUUAUCACACGGUGAAGGUUGUUUUUGUCUAUUUCAACCUAUCUUGGGAGAGGCUGGUGGAAGAACUUAAUCUUACAGGGAGGAAAGAUGAUUGACAUCAGUUGUCAACGAGCUACAAUCUUAUCUCAAUAUCAGCAAUCUGAUUAUGAAUCUUGCACACCAAAGUUAGCUCUUUGGUGAAGAAGUAUAACUCUCUCUAGAUGAAGUUGAAGGAGGUUGGCGACAAGAGGGAUGGAUUCAAGGAGAUGAGUAAGCGUGUCGAAGCUUUUGAAGUGAAGAAGGUUUCUUUGGCGCCUGAUGCCAAGAAGAUCUACUCAGAUUUAAAUUCGACGAAUAGGAAUACGCAACCUAUGUUAUCAAGAUCGAGCGUGAUGCUUCGUGUCUUAAAGAUAAGUUCCACAAGACUAAGUCCAAGCAUGAAGCCGCGUUUAGGGAACUAAGGGUCCGUUUGAUUGUAAAAAUGAAAUUUGGGUAGAAAGAAAAUGAAUUUCAAGGAAUUAAAUUGCCUAGAACUUGUUUUAUCGGGAAUUGUCAAUUAAAUGUAUUUGAUUGGUAUAAUUUUUCACCUGAAAAAUGUUAAAAUUUUGAAUGUUUUGGUGUUUGUUUGGCUUUGUUUUUCUUGAAAAUUGUCAAUCAAAUAGAUAGAGUUUUUUACAAUUGUGGAUGGAAUUUGUUUUCAUUGUGCAAAAAAAAAAAAAAACUAAAAUAAAAACAAUAACAAUAAUAAAAAAAUUAAAAAAAGGUGGAAAACUAAUUCUCACCAUUUUUGUAAGAAUUGAUUUUCCACAUGAUGGAAAAUGCAUCAAGUGAGGUGGAAAAUGGAAAAACAAUUGUCUAGAAAAUUUUACACAUCAAACACUACCAAAAGGUGGAAAAUGGAAAAAAUUUUCCAUGGAAAAUGUACCAUAUCAAACAGUGCCUAAAUGAUUAAGGAAUGAGAUUGAUGCUGUUCGUGAUAAACUGAGAAAUGUUGAGACGAAGCUAGUUUACGGAGUCUAGUCUUUUUGAAUUGACUGCUCGUAAGGUGAAAUUAGUUGAGGAUGCUAUGCAAGAUGGGAAAAAUAAGUGCUCAACAUUAUUAGAGACUUUCAUCACGAACAGAUUCUGAAUUUUUUGGGAGCUCCUGAUGAUAAUGUCAAAAACAUCCCCUCUUCUGAGGUUCGUCUACUGGCUACUAAGGCUUUUGACAUUCCAUUCAUUCCUGCUGUUCUUUCCUAACUUAACUCUCUGACUAUCCUCCAAAGCGGGAAUGCAACUAUUAAUGAGCCUGUUGACUCUCAAUCACUCAUUUUUUUUCCCAACAGGUAUCUAGUUCAGGGAAGAAUACUAUAGCGAAAGAUGAGGACUUGGCAUCAGGUUGGAGGUUAUUAGUUAUUCAUUUAAAUCCAAAUCUUACUAGUUAGCAGUUUGAUUGCCAUUUUAAGACUUGACAUUCUGAUUGUUCUCUUCCUGCUUCUACAAAAGUGAGUAUGCCCUCAAGGGGGCCAAGUUCAAGUCAAACAGGAGGAUCAUUUUUCCGAGAAUCUAUAGUCCUUGGUUAAUUAAAAUAGCUUGUUUUGUCUCAUUAUGACAGUGAAGUUUCAUUCCUUGUUCAUAUAAAGCUGCUUUUUUAUGGCAAUUUUAUUGAUAAAAUAUUAUUGUCUUAUGUUCUAUGAAAUGUCCAUUUGACGCUUUUUUCGUCUGCAUUGUUUUUCUUUUGUUACUUUUCAAUGUUUUUUGCAUAGAAGUAUUUACAAUAAGUUCACAUCAACAUCAGGAUCCAUUGUUCUUGUGCUGAUUUCUCAUUUCAACUAUGCAAAUUUCUAAAUGAAACCUUAUUAAAUCAUCGUAUCAACAUUAGGGGCUCGAAUUACUUUUCUUUAUCCAGCCAUGGUUUUUCAUAUAUGUGUAUUUUGUGCACUAUUAUAUUGAUGUCAUGACAUUUAAAAGUAAAUGGCUGUGGCCUCAUCCCUAUUUUGAUAAUGAUUUCCUUUACGGGUGGAAUCAAUCCCUUUGCUUCUUGGCAGAAUAGGCCUCGCGGCCCUCGCUUGAGUUGGAAUUUCUUUGGCUAAAUAUACCUCGACAUUGAGCUAGAAAUGAUUGUCAUUUUUCGAUGGGAUUGGCCUCGCCUUUUAUCAUCAAUUCUCCUUUUUGUGACUUCAUCGCAAGGGCAAUAUUUCUAGUUUUAUUUUCAUUGCUCGUGCUUCAUCUAGUACUUGCUAAGUUAUUUUUACUGAUGGGUAGGUUUUUCACCCUUCCCUUCACAACAUCGGAUUCUUGAUUUCCUAAACAAUGAUUUUUAGAUAUGUAUUGCUCUUUCUUUCACAAUUAUUCUUGUUUAAGAUACUUGGUUUCUAAGGAACCCAAUUCUUUAUUUUGUCAACAUCGUUUAUGAUGUUCAACCAAAAGUGUAUUGGGGUUUUCCACCCUGCAUUGGAUCAAUUUUAGAUGGGAUGUUAGAGGAUUUAUUUGCUAAAGAUAACUAAAGCCAUCAUUUAUUCUUCAGCCAGUGUCGUGUUGAGAAACAUUUGUUUCCCUACAUAUUUACCUAAUAUAAUUGACAGAGUUACAGUUCUUAGGGUUACCUUAGAUCCAGAAAUCUUUAAUCACGUGCAUGAUGGGUACCUAUUGAGUUUGUAUCAUGCGUGCUUUCUCUAUCUUCUCCCGUAUAUGGGGUUUUAAUUAUGAUAUUGAUUUCUCUUUGUUAAGGUUGGGCGUUCGUAGCCCUAGCCAGCGUGUGAUGAUAUUGGCCUCUUGGUGUGAAAGUCGCACAUCUUUGCUCAUUCCGUUUCUUGGCUUUUUUUAACACCUUGUAUACAACAUUCAUUCAUAUCAUGACCGUCAGAACAUGAAUAUUGUAGAAUUUUGAUCUGUCUGUUGGGAGAUAGGUUGGCUUCGACGACAUCGUGUAAGGAGGUACGACAAUAGUGCACAUCGGCUUAUUGGUUUCUUUGGAGCUAUAGCAUUGUGAUCUAGACAUUUUAGAUGCAUAUUUUGUUGUUUAUUUUUUACUCUCCUCAAUGGGAUUUUGUUCUAUUCCCUUUGAUUUUGUAUCCUCCAUUGAUUUUCCAAUAUGUCUUCUACCUGGAUCUUGCUAAAUAUAAGGUCUAUUAGUCUGGAAAAAGAGAAUGGCUACCUUUUGGGGGUCGCAUUCCGGAAAGAAGUGCCUGGCCGUAGGCCAUUUCAUAGUAUUUCCUUCGCUUCUUCACGGGGCUCAAUCUCACUUGCUACUAUCUCGUAUUUAAAUUGUGUAAAAUUUUUGAUAGAUUCUCCUUCCUUCUACAUGAUGCUACUUAAGUUUAGAACUGCUUAUAUCAUUUUGAGAUUCGUUUGUUGAUGAGGAAAUCGACCACUGGUUGAAUCUGCUAGUAACUGAUACAUCACAUUCUCCAUUGUGGAUUGGCCUUUUGUGUGAAUUGCUAUCAUCAAAAUUGUUAUAAUUCCUCGUCCUCUGAUUAUUCCACUAGUUAAGCCUCCAAUCGUGACAGCUUUCCUAAUUCAUUGAUCCGUUUACUGAGGAUUUACUAUUAUGCAAUUUUUUCCACUUUCCUAUCAGAGCAGCGCCAUAAGCUUAUGAUACCCACAAUCGAUGAUUUCUUUUGGGGAAAAAUUUAGCAUCAUGUGCUAUUUUUCCUCGAUUUUCUUUUUGUUUCCAGUUAAUUUUUGGCCUAUCAUUUUUCCUCCAAUGUCUUCAGCUUUUCUGCCAUUUCACGGAUUGCUUUUGCAGUGGGCACUUCUUUUCCUUGAAGAUAGUAUUGGAUUGGGAAAAUUUCGGCUUGGGAUCUUGCAGGCAUCUCCUCCCAUUUCUCUAUGGAUUUAUCUCACUUUUGAUAAAAUCAUUGAUGGAUUCUUUUGUUCUGACUUUUAGUGAUUCGAAUAUAUCUGGAUCUGCUUCUACUCCAUUCAUUCUUCCAGAUCCUUAAGGCUUCUAAACUUUAGCAGACAUACUUGUUGUUUACUUUGCUCGAGUUUCCUACAGAAUACGCCAAUUUGUUGAUGGUAAAAAUUAGAUCAAAUGAUUUUAUUAGUGAAACAAUUACAAUCGAAGACCAAAUGUAAAUACAAUCAAUAAAUUCUCUUACCCAACUAUGAGUUUCACCGUCUAAAUUCACUCGUCUAGAUGCUUCAACUAGAACAAGAGAAGAAAUAGCCAUUUGAGAUGGAGAUAUUUGAAUUUCAUGAAGUUCUUCAAUCAUGGGGUAUUUAUAAAUUUUCCUCCAGGCAUUGAGGUAGUUCAGUCAUUUUUGCAUUGUUCCAAGUUGUGAUUUCUUAUUGGUUGCCUCUUAAUUGAUCUUAGUUAAGAGCAUGUUUUAUUCACUUACCAUGCAUUCCUUAUUGACAGCCUUCAACCAGCCUUAUGUGACACCCGAGUUCUAAAGCCUGAUGGCCAUAAAUAUAAAUAAACAACCAAGAUAAUACUUAAAAGAAAUAAUUAAUAAAAGUUGAUUCCAUGAAUUAAGAUUACAAAAACUACGAUAUUUACUUAUUUAAAAAACCAACUUAUUCAAAAUACUUAAAAUUUCAAAUUUAUUUCCUCCACUACGGCCAAAUCUCUUUGUUGCCUAAUUUCUAAAAGUAAGGAAACAUAAUGGUGAGAGUAAGCAUGCGCGUUUUCAUGAAUAUUAAUCAUAUUACUCUUGGAAUCAUAAAACUUGCAUAAAAUGGACACAAAAACUAUACCUAAUUUAGAUGGUAUGAGUUUAUGUGCGUAAUGUUACUAGAACUCUGGUCCGAGGCUCAGAACAUACAUAUAGACCCACAAACACAUUUUCCAAAAGCAAAGCAUAAUAAGUGCAUAAAUAUGUACUGUCGUAUAGAAGAAGAUAAAGGUAAAUUGAGAAAAUUACCUUGUUAGACUUUCCCUCCAAAAUUCCUUGAACACCGUGCAUGCUAAACUUUGUAGUGUGAAAAUAUGUACGUGGAAGAGGGUCGAGAGGAAGAGAGACAUAAAGUACAAGAUAAAUUGUGAGAGAGUAUAAAUGAUGAGACGGCAAUAUAAAUAGGGGUUUCUAAGGUUUGACCACUUUAUCUAUUUUUGGUAAUAACCUUCGUUCCUUUAUUAAUGCCACACAUUUUUUUUUCCACGUGGAAUGUAAUUAGUCACUCAACUAAUUGCCCAAUUAAAUACAUUAAUAAACAUAUAAUUGCUAUUGAUAAGAUAUUUCCAUAUAAUUAAACAUUUGAUUUAAUUAUGCCAAAUUAAAUAUUCUAGCAUGCCAUAUGAAAUACGAGAUUGCUAAUUGCACAUGCAUAAGUGAUGUUUCUAAUUUUAAUAAAUGAAAGUUUCUCUAAUUAUAAUAAUUAACCAAUUAAUUAGGUUAUUUGUCAUGCAAUAUUUAAAUCAAAUCAUGCAACCACAUUACUAAGAUUUAGCCAUGGAAAAUUCUGCACGUGUAAAAGAAAUUGCUUUAUGUCCUAAACUAUUUUCAUCAUUUAGUUGGGACCCAAACUAAAAAACUUAUUUCUAGCCCCUAAAUUCAAUUUUGAUGACUAACUAAGUUGUUUUCGGAUGUUAAAAUCCACCCACUUAAAAACAUUUGGUCCUCAACGAAUUACCUCAAUUGUUGUCGCAACAAAAAAAGUUGGGGGUACUUGAUCACAUUUCCUCUUCUCGUUUCCUAGUGGCCUUCUCUAUUGAAUAAUGUUGCCGUAACACUUGAAUUAGUAGUAUCUCUUUGUUGUGAAGCUUCUGUACUUCUUAAGCUAUGAUGCAUACCGGUGCUUCUUUGUAACUCAAAUUCAAUUGAAUAUCCGAUGGUUGAUAUCUCACCAUAUGAGUUGGGCCAGGAACAUACUUUCUAAGCAUUGAUACAUGGAAAACAUCGGGUACCGCUAAAAAAUCUUGUGGCAAAGCUAAUUGGUAAGCAACAUUUCCAAUCGUCUUAAAAUUUCGAAAGGACUAAUGUAUUUUGGUUUGAGCUUACCAUUCUUACCAAACCGCAGUUCUCUUUUCAUUGGCUUAACCUUUAAAAGUACCGUAUCUCCUAUUGAAAAUUCCAAGUCCUUUAUCCUUUCUAUUAGCAUAAUUUUUCUAUCUAUCUUGAGCCUUCUUUAUGCUAACCCUGAUCUUUUCAAUUACUUGUAAUGUUUGCUCCACAAUUUUUGAGCCCAAGAUCUUACGUUUGCCAACCUCAUCAUAAUGAAUCGGUGAUCUAUAUUUUCUCCCAUACAAAGCCUCAUAGGGCUCCAUGCUAAUGGAGGCUUGCGGCUAUUGUUGUAUGCAAACUUAAUUAAAGGUAGAUGCAUCUCUCAAUGCCAACCAAACUCUAGGACACACAAUCGAAGCAUAUCCUCUGAUGUUUGAAUUAUCCAUUUAGACUGUCAUUCCUUCUGAAGGUAAAAAGCAUUACUAAAGCUCAAAUUAGUGCCCGUAGCCCGAUAUAAGCUCUUCUAAAAGUUCAAAGUCUUUGUUAUAAUUGAAACUGGGACACCAUGCAACCUCACUAUUUCUUUUACAUAUAAUUGUGUAAGUUGGUCCAUAGAAAAUUUCAUAUGAACAUGUAAGAAAUGAGCUCAAUUGGUUAAUUGGACAACAAUCGCCCAAAUAACCACGUCCUUUUACUAAUUUUGAAAAACCUACAAUAAAGUCUACGUCACAUGUUCCAAUUUCCAUUUGGGCACGACUGUGGCAACCUUGAUGGUCACUGAUGUUUGACUUUCACAUAUUGACAUAUUAGGCACUUCUCUACAUAUUUAGCUAUAUCAUCCUUCAUAUUUUUCCACCAAAACAUAGCUUUUAAGUCACGAUACAUCUUUUUACCUCCGAAAUGUACAUAAUAAAGGAGUAAAGUCAGCUUCCUCCAAGAUUUCAAUUUUCAAUUCCUCGAAAUCUAUGUGUCCUUGAUAAUAAAGUAUUGUAUAAUUGGCUAUGGUGAAAUCUUUCUUCUUCUAGUUUUGAAAAACUCAAAAGAUUGAUCCCUUUUGGAUGAUUCUUAAUUCAAUUACGAAAAGUUGGUCGAAUUGAAAGCGCUGCAAUUUGAACAAUUGAAUUAAUGGGAGUAGCUUUCACUUUGAGAUUUAAUCUCUCAAAUUUUCUCUAUGAAGGCCAUUAUGCUGUCAGCUUUACCACUUGUCCCAUUGUCUUUCUACUCGAGACAUCGGCUACGAUGUUCGCCUUACUUUGAUGGUAAUAGAUUUCACAAUCGUAAUUUUUUACUAGUUGAAGUCAUCUCCUCUAUCGAAGUUGCUGAGCAAACUGUGGAUCAUUACCGUUAGGUUGGGGUUACUGAGACUUUGGGGAUUCUUUGCCAUUGUUAUUUGCUCUUUUUCCUCCGAAUGACAUAGCCUUAAAAAGCAAUAUUACAAUAAGUAAAGAUGAAAUGAGGGAAAAGAUUUGCAUAUUUUAUUCGUAGAAUCUUAAUAAUUUCAUAAAAGUACAGAGGGCAUUUUCUCUGUCCAAGCAAAAUUGAAAAUCUACUAGAUAAAAGGAUUGCAAGGUAUAACAAGCAUCCAAACAAACAUAAGAAAUUGUAUGCUAAGAAUCUAAACAUAAAACUAUAGUAGUAGUUUUUCCCAGUGCUCUUAUCUUUGUUCAGUUCUGGGACUUUUAAAGGGUAUUCUUUCUUAUCUAGGUUUCCGAGCACAUACUUUAUUAUGUUACCCUCAUUGCCCACCUCUGAUAUUUACUUAUGAUAGCUCCCAUCGAGUGUGAUAUGAGGUUGGCAUCGACGGCGGUUUAGUUUGUACCCCUCAGGCCUUUCAAUGACUCUAUAGUCCUCACUAUAGAUCCUUCACCUGUCUUUAAGGUUGCUAAUAAGGUGGUUGGCAUAUAUCUGCCAGUCAUACAUUAAAUCGAGUUGUUGAGCAAAUUUUUAACAAUAUCCAGUAAGGGUUCUGAGGAGGAGAGAAACUGCUUCAUCCCUACUAAACUCGUGUCCAUUCAGUUCAGCCCCCUAGUGAAUGGCCUCAAUAGCAUCCAAAAUCUCCACAAGGUUAUGACUUGGGUUCCUUGUAUAAAAUCUAAGGAGGUGUAAGAACCUUGACCGGUCCUGUCUCAUAGUCCCGUCUCUUCUUGUCUAAGUUGGACCUCUAGCCAUCUUUGAGAGGUAUAAAAAGGUUUAUUAGUAUCGUUCUUCGUACUUAGGAUUCAGAAGGAAAGAAACUUUCCUAAUUUAGAAGUUUCCACAAAAAAUAAAAAUAAAAAUAAAAAUAAAUAAAUAAAUAAAUUUGGAAAUGGUAAUAGUAAUUUUGUAAAAUCAAAGUUUCUUUAAAAGGAAUGUUUCCAGAAAUAACAAUUUCAUAAAAUAGGAAAUUCUUGGAAUAGAUGUUUGUAAAAAUGGAAUUUACUUGAAAGUUUCUGAAAAUAGAGUACCUAAAGAAGGACUUUUUUUUUUUUUUUUUUUUUUGUCAUAACAAUUUUUGUUUAAAUUUUGGAGUAUGUUUGAAAUAUGGUUUUUAUCUUAUUGAUCCGAAUAAUGCAUAAACUAAAAGGCUUCUAAGUGAAGAGGGGGGUCACAAGUGCACGCUUAAAUUCAAAGCUCUCCUUAGACAGUUUGAAUUUUUUUUUUUUAUAAAACCUUUCAGUCUUGCGAAUACACAAAACAAGAGAACUCGAACAAUAACACAAGGAAUGAAAAUAUUUAGAUGUAUAAAUUUCCUAAUUAGACUAUUAUUUGAUCGAGAGAUUUUCAAAGGUUGACUAUUCUCGUAGGUUGAUAUGUUUUCUAAUGUACACAAUAGUCUAAAAUCACAUAAUAUCGAAAAAUUAUAAUCCACAAAACUAGGAAUUUCUUUGAAGUUAAAACUUUUGUAAAUCUACACUUUCGAAAAAUUAGGAAGUUUCCAUAGGCACAUAUAAAGAGAAAUUUGCAAUUAAACAUGCAUAUUUUUUGUAAAACAUAAUUUCGUGCAUAUUUUUUCACAUAAUCAUGCAUGGACAUGGUUAAAUUUUAUAAUCUAGCACUCUCUAAACAUGGGUAAACAUAGUGAACAGGGUUAAAUAUAAUUGUCAUCAUAUAGUAACAUUAAAUAUCAAUGUAAUUACAUGUCUUUCUACCUGAUUUGAGGGCAUUGGAGCUUGAAAAUUGGCAUCGAGUGGUGGUGAUGUAAUAAACCUUAAAUUUUAGUCUUUUUCUAGAGUACUUUUUCUUACUAUUCAUUGCAUGAAUAGUGAUUGCAAUGCUUCUGUCAUGUAAGAAAAUUUAGUUUUUUUUUAUAUAUAUUAUUAUUAUUAUUAUUAUUUUUAAUUGAGUCCACUGAAACUUGGACCUGCUCUGACACCACUUUGUGAUACUUGAGUUCUAAAAUUCGAGGGCCAUAAAUAUAAAAAAAUAACCAAGAUAAUACUUUAAAAAAUUUAGUUAAAAUUAAAAAGUCGCAUGACAAUAUCUUAUGUUAAAAAAUCAACCUAUUCAAAAUGCUUAAAAAUUUCAAAUUGAAAUGAAAACUUAAAAGAAACUUUAAAAUUCAUUUCCACCAUCAUGACCAAGUUCAAGCUCCAAUCUCUCCGACACCUAAUUUUUGAAGGAGAAAAACUCAAGGAUGAGAAAAUUCUUAGCAAGCAUAUUUAUGUUCAUGAAUAUUAAUCAUAUUACUUUGGGAAUCGUAAAAUUUACAUAAAAGAGACACAAAAACUAUACUGAACUUAGAUGGUAUGAGUUUUAUGUGCGUAGCAUUACUCGAACUUUGGGCCAAAUCUUAAAACAAACAUAUGGCCCAUAAACAUAUUUUCGAAAAGUGAAGCAUAAUAAACGUGCAUAUAUUUACUCUCUUGUGGAAAAAGAUAAAAGUAAAUUGAAGAAAUUGCCUUAUCAGACUUUUACUCCAAAAUUUUUUGGGCAUCAUGCGUACUAAACUUUCUAGUGUGAAAAUGUUUAUGUGGAAGAGGGGUUAAAGGAAGAUAGAUAUAAGUACAAGAUAAGUUGUGUGUGAGUAUAAGUGAUGUGAGGGGGAAUAAAUAGAUGUUUCUAAUAUUCGACUAUUUUAUCUAUUUUUGGUAAUAACCUUCAUUCCUUUAUUAAUGUCACAUUUUUUUUUAAUUUUUUUUUUCAUAUAGAGUGUAAUCAAUCACUCAACUAAUUUCCCAAUUAAAUAUAUUAAUAAAUAUAUAAUUGCUACUACUAAUGAGGUAUUUUCAUAUAAUUAAGCAUUUGAUUUAAUUAUGCCAAAUUAAAUGUUCUAACAUACCAUAUAAAAAUACGAGAUUGCUGAUUACACAUGCAUAAAUAAUUUUUCUAAUUCUAAUAAAUUAAAAUUUCUCUAAUUAUAAUAAUUAACCAGUUAAUUAGGUCAAUUGACAAGCAAUAUCAAAAUCAAAUCAUGCAAUCACAUUACUGAGAUUUAGCUUAGGAAAAAUCUGCACAUUUGUAAAAGAAAAUUGCUCUAUGGUCCUAAACUAUUGGUCAACAUUUAAUUGGGUCCCCAAACCAAAAAUCUUAUUCAAUUCUAACGACUACCUAAAUUGUUUUCAGAUGUUGUACUAUAUUUGGUGAACGAUUUGAGAUCUUCAUGCCAGCCUCCUGUUUCUUCAUUCCACUCUUGUGUUGCCUUUCACCUUACCAAUGGAUAUAUAGGUUCACGGGUCUUAUUCCCAGGGUUAACCUAAGAUCUGAAUAAGGAUGGUUUAAAAGCCCGAUCUUGUUGCUUCUUAUAAGAGGAAAUUAUUAGAAAUAUCCACUUUUACAUAUCCAUUUGCAAAAAUGUCUACCAUUGCAAAUCCUUGUAAAAAUGUCCAUUUUGAAGUAAUUUAGACCAAAAGUACCCUUGUUAACAAUUUAUGAUUCCACACAAAAACAAAAAUGGACAUUUUUGCAAUUAAAAAUUUUAUUGACCAAUAAAAUUUUGACACAUGACCUACCCUAUUUAUUUCAAAAAUACAUACGUCAAAUCAUAAUAAAUGCUAUUUUUCUCAUUGACAUUGAAAUGUCGAAAACUAUAUUUCAAAUGUAGAGAAAUAUCAUGUUCGGAAUGAAAUGUCAUUCUAGACAUCUAAUAUGUUGAGGACAACAUUUGAAAUGUCGAGAACAUUUAAUGUUGCGAUUUGACAUGUGUACUUUUAAAAUAUAAAUGGGGUUAAAUAUCUAGAACGGCAUUUGAAAUGUCAAGAACAUCAUUUUAAUAUAGCUUCUCAUGGAAGCUAUUUCUCGAAAUCCGCAAAAAAUUGGAAAAGAAAUUAGUUGCUUCAUUUUUUCAUUAAGGGCAUAGUAGAUAGUUUAGUACUAAAUUUAAACAGUGGACAUUUUUUAAUUGAAACCCAUGAAAUUUGACAUUUUUGAAGAUACCCCUUCUUAUAAUACAUUUUUAAUAAAAGUAUUAUCUGGCAGCCCCCUAAUUGUAUAGCGAUCAAUAAGUGGUCGAGGGAGAUGAGGCUUAGGCUUCUUUUUCAUCCUUUCUUUCGCAUCUUUCUUUCCUCUUUCAACAUUAUCCCAACAAAACUUAUCUCGAAUGAAUGAGGCUAUAUGGCUGGAUAAUUUUUGUUAUAGAACAUUGAUGGGGUGGGAAAAACUUUCUCCAGACAUUUUUCUUUCUAUUUAUAAUUUCGUAAAAAAUGGGGACUACCAUGCAUCCUCAAAAGGAAUAUUAUUAUUUUACUCCUUAUUUAUCCGAAAUGUGCCCAAAACUUCUCACUACUCCAAACAAGAUUAAUGAUUGGAAAGAAUUUUUUCUUUGUUCGUGGAAAUUGGGGGUUACAGCCUAAUGAUCCUCAUCCUAAUAUAGCAAUAUACAUUUUUACAGUAAUUCCAACGAGUAUUUUGACUUAUUCAUGGUUCACGUAUGCUAUUGGGAUAUUUUAUAGUACCAUGCCCGCGCCAAAAAAUUGCAAAGAUACUUAAGGAGAUUCGCCUUUCGGUGACAAUAUUUUUGAAUUAGGUAAUGUAGUUUGUUAUGCUGAGGGACUAUUGAGCUCCUCCAAUCCCAAAUAUUAUGACAACGAACUACAGAUUAUUAUAAGUGAGUUUUUGUCUUUUUUCGUUUGUUUAAAAGGUCCCUCCUAUCUAGGAAGUGUUUGAUUUAUUUGUUUCUUCUGCCAGUGUAGACAUAUUUGGGUGUCGCAUCCUACGGUGACUCAUAAGCGUAAAAAAACUACUACCGUCAUUGCUUCUAAAAAAUAUCUCUACAAGUGCUCGAAAGGUUCUAAAGGAAAGUCUUUGUGGGUGGUUGAUACUUGCCCAAUCGAACCUAGUCACAAACUAUUUUUAUUGGAACUUUGAGGUCUUUUCUCUCUUCUAUGGAUCUAAAUGAGGUUUCUCGAAAAAGGAAAACUCUUCUUUGGUUCAUCCCAUUAUCUGAUUCGAAAGGCUCCUACUUAUGUCGAGAUCUUGCCCCACGUUUGAAGUCCUUGUUUCUUCCUCGCCUCAAGGGUUCAUUAGAUGUAGGCGUUCUAUCUUUAUUCCUUCAUAUGUUUUUCACAAAGCAAAUGCUAUUUUUACCUACUUCAAUCCCUCAUGGGAAAAGCUAGCAGAAAAACUUGAUCCUAUGGAUAGGAAAAAAUUAUCAAUGUCCAUCUUUAGUGAGUGACAAUUUUAUCUCAAUAUCAGCAAUCAGAUUUCGAAAGCUAGCUCCCUGGUGAAAAAUGCAACUCUUUCUAGAAGAGGUUGAAAGAAGUUGGUGAUGUAAGAGACGAGUUUAAGGGGAUGAUCAAAGGUGUCGAAGCUUUUACGGCGAAGUUUCUUUAGUGGCUGAUGCCAAGAAGGACUUCUUAGAUUUGGAUUCGGCAAAGGAGGAAUACUCGGGUAAUGUUAAUAGGAUUGAGCGUGUUGCUUUGUGAAGACUAAGUAUAAAGUUGCUUUUGGGAAACUACAAGAUUUAAGGAAUGAAAUAGAUGCACUUUGUGAUAAAUUGAGAAAUGCUGAAGCAGAGCUGGUUACUGCAGAGUCCAAUUUAUCUGGGACAAUGGCUUGCAAGGCAAAGUUAGUUGAAGAUCUAUGUAGGAUGGGAAAAAUAAAGUGGUCAACAUUACAGACUUUCGUCCCAAAAAAAGUUUGGAUUUUCUGAAAUCUUCUGAAGAUGAUGUCAAAGACAUCUAUUCUUCAGAAGUUCAUUCGCUGCCCGUGGGGGCUUUGCAUAUUCCAUUUAUUCCUGCUGUUCAACCGAAAUCUAUGAAUACAUCUUCAAGUGGGGAUAUGGCUAUUGAUGAGCCUCUCGACACUUCUCUUCCUACUUCUAUGGAAGUGAGGAUAUCUUUAGGGGGUGAAGUUCAAAUUAAUCAGGAAAACUCUUUUCCUAAAAACCUUUAGUCCUUAGUUAAUUAGGAUAGCCUGUUUUGUCUUAUUAUGCCCGUGAAGUUUUAUCCGCUGCACAUUGGGACUUUAUAUAUUCCAUUUAUCUUACUGGUUGAGUUAUCUUUACUAGCGGAUAGGUCUUUCACUAUUCCCUUCACAACAUCGAAUACUUGUUUUCCUAAAUAAGAAUUUUCAAGCAGGCAUUGCUCUUCCUUUCUUGCCAAGAAACAUUGUUUCCAAGGGCGCUCCCAUUCUUUGUUUUGGCGACAUUGCUUACCAUGUUCAGCCAUAUAUAUCCACGAGGUUUUCCAUAGAUUUCUUCGUGGCGGGAUCCUUGAGGUUACUCGAGAAGUCUUAGGCUGCCUCUUGGAUGUCCUUCUCCUUCCUCUUUUUUCUGUUUCAGCCCAUUGCCCCAUCAUCACAUCGUAUUUUUCUAUUAGUGAUGCCAUAUCCCUCUGCGCGCCUUCUAUCUUUCCUUCCAAGGAGUCCACCCGAUCUGAUAGUGUCAUUUUCCCAGGUGCCAAAUGCUCGAAUACCAAAAUUGAUAGGACCUUGAGCUGAUAACAUUGGGUGAUUUAUCGGAAACUUAAGAAAUAAAUGUAAUCAAACAGUGGCUUUAUUGAACAAAAGAAAACUUAACAACUUGGAGCAUUCGAGAGGCUCCAACUUUCCUACUAGACUCUUGAUUUCCGAAUGAAUAUUCUACCCCCCUUUGCCUUUACAUUUAUUGACAAUCUUCCAAUUGACUCAUUACCCUACCCUCCUUAACAACUAACAGAAUAACAAACGUCAUGUAAAUAAAAAUUGAUUUCUAUUACUCAUAUGACUUGGCUGCUCCUCUAUGUAAGAAAUUAAACUGUUAUGGCAAGAUCUUUAGAAUUCAUCAUUUUUACAUAUGAAUUUAAUUGAUCAAGAAACAUAUCUUGAUCCAUGACAAUAAUUGAGAAAUUUAAAUCUGCAAAAAAAAAAAAAGACUGUUAAGUUAAAGAAACUGUUCUCUCACUUUUCCUCUUUAUAAUUAAAUGAAUUAGUUGAUGGGUUUCAUUCACAUUUAUAGGCAGAAAGAGGCAGUCUCCUGUGGGCCAUAAAACUUUCUACUUUCCAUCAAAGUGGACAAUUAUAAAACUGCUACUUCUCAAUUAGGCCAAUAGGAUUUUAGCAAUAUUAACCACUUUUAAUUAAUUUUUUAAUAUUACAUGGGCCACAAAAUAAUUGGUUUUACAUUUUCCCACUUCGCCUAUGUAAUAUAUUGUUUCGUUAUGUGGUAUAUAACAUAAUGCGCAUAUCAUGAGUUAAAAUCCAUCAUACAUUGGCCACUUAAUAUAUCAUCCUUGAGUAAAGACUAAUAAAAAUCAUGGCGGUUUUACACCACUAUAUCAGCAUAAUUCCUUCCAUGUACUACAAUAUUAGUCCCUAUCCAACAUGACACAAAAUGAGAAGUUCGAUAAUUACAUUACAAUAAUGUCUUCGAAAAGACUAUCCCUAUCAGUAUUCACAUAAUCCAUUCACGUACAUGUACCAACAGUUAUGAUAGGAACAAUAUUUUGUCAAAAACAAUACACUAAUGAGCUCAAAGUGUCAAUACAUAAACAUCAUAAAUUAUAUAAUAAUGUCAAUGAUAAUUUUUAAUAAUGCCCAUCCUUUCGACAUGUUCAUUAAAUGUCUUUGGAGGAAAUCGUUUCGUUAAUGGAUCUGCAAUCAUAAGAUUGGUGCUAAUAUGCUCGAUCGACACUAGUUGUUUUUGAACUUCUUUAAUGGCAAAAUACUUCAAUUCCAUGUGUUUAGCACCUUUAGAGUGCUUGUCGUUCUUUGAAAAGAAAACUGCUGCAGAAUUAUCACAAUAAAGUUUCAGCAGCUUGGCAACACUGUCGACAAUUCCAAGCCCUGAAAUAAAGUUUCGCAGCCAAUUUCCUUGAAUUGUGGCCUCAAAGCAUGAUACAAACUCCACUUCCAUAGUGGAUGCAGCAAUAACCGUCUGCUUCGCACUCUUCCAUGAUAUAGCCCCUCCAGCCAAGAGGAACAGAUAGCCAAAUGUGACCUUUCUAGUAUCCACACAUCUAGCAAAGUCCGAANNNNNNNNNNNNNNNNNNNNNNNNNNNNNNNNNNNNNNNNNNNNNNNNNNNNNNNNNNNNNNNNNNNNNNNNNNNNNNNNNNNNNNNNNNNNNNNNNNNNNNNNNNNNNNNNNNNNNNNNNNNNNNNNNNNNNNNNNNNNNNNNNNNNNNNNNNNNNNNNNNNNNNNNNNNNNNNNNNNNNNNNNNNNNNNNNNNNNNNNNNNNNNNNNNNNNNNNNNNNNNNNNNNNNNNNNNNNNNNNNNNNNNNNNNNNNNNNNNNNNNNNNNNNNNNNNNNNNNNNNNNNNNNNNNNNNNNNNNNNNNNNNNNNNNNNNNNNNNNNNNNNNNNNNNNNNNNNNNNNNNNNNNNNNNNNNNNNNNNNNNNNNNNNNNNNNNNNNNNNNNNNNNNNNNNNNNNNNNNNNNNNNNNNNNNNNNNNNNNNNNNNNNNNNNNNNNNNNNNNNNNNNNNNNNNNNNNNNNNNNNNNNNNNNNNNNNNNNNNNNNNNNNNNNNNNNNNNNNNNNNNNNNNNNNNNNNNNNNNNNNNNNNNNNNNNNNNNNNNNNNNNNNNNNNNNNNNNNNNNNNNNNNNNNNNNNNNNNNNNNNNNNNNNNNNNNNNNNNNNNNNNNNNNNNNNNNNNNNNNNNNNNNNNNNNNNNNNNNNNNNNNNNNNNNNNNNNNNNNNNNNNNNNNNNNNNNNNNNNNNNNNNNNNNNNNNNNNNNNNNNNNNNNNNNNNNNNNNNNNNNNNNNNNNNNNNNNNNNNNNNNNNNNNNNNNNNNNNNNNNNNNNNNNNNNNNNNNNNNNNNNNNNNNNNNNNNNNNNNNNNNNNNNNNNNNNNNNNNNNNNNNNNNNNNNNNNNNNNNNNNNNNNNNNNNNNNNNNNNNNNNNNNNNNNNNNNNNNNNNNNNNNNNNNNNNNNNNNNNNNNNNNNNNNNNNNNNNNNNNNNNNNNNNNNNNNNNNNNNNNNNNNNNNNNNNNNNNNNNNNNNNNNNNNNNNNNNNNNNNNNNNNNNNNNNNNNNNNNNNNNNNNNNNNNNNNNNNNNNNNNNNNNNNNNNNNNNNNNNNNNNNNNNNNNNNNNNNNNNNNNNNNNNNNNNNNNNNNNNNNNNNNNNNNNNNNNNNNNNNNNNNNNNNNNNNNNNNNNNNNNNNNNNNNNNNNNNNNNNNNNNNNNNNNNNNNNNNNNNNNNNNNNNNNNNNNNNNNNNNNNNNNNNNNNNNNNNNNNNNNNNNNNNNNNNNNNNNNNNNNNNNNNNNNNNNNNNNNNNNNNNNNNNNNNNNNNNNNNNNNNNNNNNNNNNNNNNNNNNNNNNNNNNNNNNNNNNNNNNNNNNNNNNNNNNNNNNNNNNNNNNNNNNNNNNNNNNNNNNNNNNNNNNNNNNNNNNNNNNNNNNNNNNNNNNNNNNNNNNNNNNNNNNNNNNNNNNNNNNNNNNNNNNNNNNNNNNNNNNNNNNNNNNNNNNNNNNNNNNNNNNNNNNNNNNNNNNNNNNNNNNNNNNNNNNNNNNNNNNNNNNNNNNNNNNNNNNNNNNNNNNNNNNNNNNNNNNNNNNNNNNNNNNNNNNNNNNNNNNNNNNNNNNNNNNNNNNNNNNNNNNNNNNNNNNNNNNNNNNNNNNNNNNNNNNNNNNNNNNNNNNNNNNNNNNNNNNNNNNNNNNNNNNNNNNNNNNNNNNNNNNNNNNNNNNNNNNNNNNNNNNNNNNNNNNNNNNNNNNNNNNNNNNNNNNNNNNNNNNNNNNNNNNNNNNNNNNNNNNNNNNNNNNNNNNNNNNNNNNNNNNNNNNNNNNNNNNNNNNNNNNNNNNNNNNNNNNNNNNNNNNNNNNNNNNNNNNNNNNNNNNNNNNNNNNNNNNNNNNNNNNNNNNNNNNNNNNNNNNNNNNNNNNNNNNNNNNNNNNNNNNNNNNNNNNNNNNNNNNNNNNNNNNNNNNNNNNNNNNNNNNNNNNNNNNNNNNNNNNNNNNNNNNNNNNNNNNNNNNNNNNNNNNNNNNNNNNNNNNNNNNNNNNNNNNNNNNNNNNNNNNNNNNNNNNNNNNNNNNNNNNNNNNNNNNNNNNNNNNNNNNNNNNNNNNNNNNNNNNNNNNNNNNNNNNNNNNNNNNNNNNNNNNNNNNNNNNNNNNNNNNNNNNNNNNNNNNNNNNNNNNNNNNNNNNNNNNNNNNNNNNNNNNNNNNNNNNNNNNNNNNNNNNNNNNNNNNNNNNNNNNNNNNNNNNNNNNNNNNNNNNNNNNNNNNNNNNNNNNNNNNNNNNNNNNNNNNNNNNNNNNNNNNNNNNNNNNNNNNNNNNNNNNNNNNNNNNNNNNNNNNNNNNNNNNNNNNNNNNNNNNNNNNNNNNNNNNNNNNNNNNNNNNNNNNNNNNNNNNNNNNNNNNNNNNNNNNNNNNNNNNNNNNNNNNNNNNNNNNNNNNNNNNNNNNNNNNNNNNNNNNNNNNNNNNNNNNNNNNNNNNNNNNNNNNNNNNNNNNNNNNNNNNNNNNNNNNNNNNNNNNNNNNNNNNNNNNNNNNNNNNNNNNNNNNNNNNNNNNNNNNNNNNNNNNNNNNNNNNNNNNNNNNNNNNNNNNNNNNNNNNNNNNNNNNNNNNNNNNNNNNNNNNNNNNNNNNNNNNNNNNNNNNNNNNNNNNNNNNNNNNNNNNNNNNNNNNNNNNNNNNNNNNNNNNNNNNNNNNNNNNNNNNNNNNNNNNNNNNNNNNNNNNNNNNNNNNNNNNNNNNNNNNNNNNNNNNNNNNNNNNNNNNNNNNNNNNNNNNNNNNNNNNNNNNNNNNNNNNNNNNNNNNNNNNNNNNNNNNNNNNNNNNNNNNNNNNNNNNNNNNNNNNNNNNNNNNNNNNNNNNNNNNNNNNNNNNNNNNNNNNNNNNNNNNNNNNNNNNNNNNNNNNNNNNNNNNNNNNNNNNNNNNNNNNNNNNNNNNNNNNNNNNNNNNNNNNNNNNNNNNNNNNNNNNNNNNNNNNNNNNNNNNNNNNNNNNNNNNNNNNNNNNNNNNNNNNNNNNNNNNNNNNNNNNNNNNNNNNNNNNNNNNNNNNNNNNNNNNNNNNNNNNNNNNNNNNNNNNNNNNNNNNNNNNNNNNNNNNNNNNNNNNNNNNNNNNNNNNNNNNNNNNNNNNNNNNNNNNNNNNNNNNNNNNNNNNNNNNNNNNNNNNNNNNNNNNNNNNNNNNNNNNNNNNNNNNNNNNNNNNNNNNNNNNNNNNNNNNNNNNNNNNNNNNNNNNNNNNNNNNNNNNNNNNNNNNNNNNNNNNNNNNNNNNNNNNNNNNNNNNNNNNNNNNNNNNNNNNNNNNNNNNNNNNNNNNNNNNNNNNNNNNNNNNNNNNNNNNNNNNNNNNNNNNNNNNNNNNNNNNNNNNNNNNNNNNNNNNNNNNNNNNNNNNNNNNNNNNNNNNNNNNNNNNNNNNNNNNNNNNNNNNNNNNNNNNNNNNNNNNNNNNNNNNNNNNNNNNNNNNNNNNNNNNNNNNNNNNNNNNNNNNNNNNNNNNNNNNNNNNNNNNNNNNNNNNNNNNNNNNNNNNNNNNNNNNNNNNNNNNNNNNNNNNNNNNNNNNNNNNNNNNNNNNNNNNNNNNNNNNNNNNNNNNNNNNNNNNNNNNNNNNNNNNNNNNNNNNNNNNNNNNNNNNNNNNNNNNNNNNNNNNNNNNNNNNNNNNNNNNNNNNNNNNNNNNNNNNNNNNNNNNNNNNNNNNNNNNNNNNNNNNNNNNNNNNNNNNNNNNNNNNNNNNNNNNNNNNNNNNNNNNNNNNNNNNNNNNNNNNNNNNNNNNNNNNNNNNNNNNNNNNNNNNNNNNNNNNNNNNNNNNNNNNNNNNNNNNNNNNNNNNNNNNNNNNNNNNNNNNNNNNNNNNNNNNNNNNNNNNNNNNNNNNNNNNNNNNNNNNNNNNNNNNNNNNNNNNNNNNNNNNNNNNNNNNNNNNNNNNNNNNNNCAAGGACUUAAAAUUGAACAGUUGUCACACUCACUUCAUCAACACAAAGUCGUUCUUUUCUUUUAGCUAUAACAUUUGUGAAAAUGUUUUCUUCUGGGAAAUUCUAAUCGUUUUCUGUUAUUAUUAUGGAUCUCAGGCACUUGGCUUCUUAUCCCUAUCUGCUGUUCUAUAUUCAAUCAAAUCUUCCGACUGCCAUUUUGCUGCAAAUAACAUGGCUGCAUGCUCCCCUCCACAGUUUCAAAUUAUUUUCUUCUUCUUCUCUUUGUAUUUAUUUGCACUAGCACAAGGAGGACAUAAACCUUGUCUCCAGGCUUUUGGAGCAGACCAGUUUGAUGAGCAAGACCCAAAAGAAUGUAAUGACAAAAGCUCAUUCUUCAAUUGGUGGUUUUUUUCCAUGAAUUUGGGUAUUAUAGUUUCUCUCUUUGUAUUGAACUACAUCCAAGACAACCUAAGUUGGGCUCUUGGCUUUGGAAUUCCCUGCAUUAUCAUGUGCCUAGCGCUAAUUAUAUUUUUGCUUGGAACUAUGACUUACCGAUUUCGCAUACACAGCGAUGAAAGAAACCCAUUUGUUAGAAUUGGUCAGGUAUUCCUGAAUGCAGCUAGAAAUUGGCGGAGUAUCCCGGGAGCAAUAUCUAAGGAAGAGGAACCACAGGGAAUUCUGCCAUAUCAAGGAUCUCAACAGUUCAAGUAAGUCAACUGCCCCUUUGUGUGCUUUGAUAUUUGGAAGAUAAACUUUGCUUCUUCAUCUCUCUUUGGUACAUUUAGGUUUUUUAAAUUAGUCCUGUUAAGCUUGUUGUUGGUAGAGUUCGAAAUUGGUAUGUCUAUGCAAAACAUGUUCGAAUUAUCCAAGUUGUCCUUUCAUUAAUUUACGCUCAUCUGACACCAACGUUACUAGUUGACACGUAUUUUCAUUUCUUACCUUAUCCAACUUGGUGAAAUCUAUCUUAUCCACCUUGGUCAUCUUACGAGCAUUUUGUACUUUAAUGAACCUAAGACUCAACUAUAUAGCAUAGCUGAUCUUUAACACAUCUUCUUAUCAUACAGUGUCACUUCUCCAUAUCACUUUACCAUGCUGAACUUGAUGAAUUAUGUCUUCUUCAAUAUCUGCUUCUUCCUUGUUAAUAAUCAGACCUUGAUAGUUAAAACAAUCACUUUGUGGACAAAAUAAUGCUUUAUAGUAACUUCAUUAUAAUAAAAUGCGUUGAUAAAUCUGUGCUUUAUAUGAUUGAAAUAAUCGGAUCAAUCUCAUUUGUUUCGUUAUAUUAUUUUUGGUUUCUUACAAGUUUCUUGAUAAGGCCUUACUUGCACCUGACAGUUCGAAGGAAGAUGGGAAAGUUUGUAGUAUCACUGAGAUUGAAGAGGCCAAGGCAGUUCUUAGGCUCUUUCCAAUAUGGGCUGCAUGUUUGGGAUAUUCCAUUGCAUAUUCACAAACAUCAACUUUAUUCACUAAACAAGGAGCAACAAUGGAUCGUUUUAUCACGUCUAGCUUACAAAUACCAGCUGCGUCACUACAUUCUUUUAUCAGCAUCGCCAUUGUUGUCUUUGUUCCCAUGUAUGACAAAAUUUUGGUUCCUACUGCAAGAGCUAUAACUGGGAAAGCCUCCGGCAUUACAAUGCUUCAACGAAUCGGAACUGGAAUAUUUUUAUCUUUUCUUGCCAUGGUAAUUGCAGCUUUGGUCGAGAGGGAACGUCUAAAAACUGCUGCUGAACACGGAUUGGUGGACAUGCCGAAAGCAACAGUGCCUAUGAGUGUGUGGUUGCUGCUACCACAGUAUUUGCUUUUUGGUGUUGCAGAUGUAUUUACCAUGGUCGGACUCCAAGAGUUCUUCUAUGACCAGGUUCCAAACGAGCUGAAAAGCAUCGGUAUUGCUCUAUACUUGAGUAUAUUUGGCAUAGGGAACUUCUUGAGCAGUUUUCUUAUCUCUUUAGUGGAGAAAGCCACCUGUGGUCCUGGGCGAGAUGGUUGGUUUUCAGACAACCUUAACCGAGCUCAUUUUGACUACUUCUAUUGGCUAGUGGCCGCGCUUAGUGCUGCUGCAUUUGCUGUGUACGUAUACGCUGCAAAAUCUUAUAUCUACAAUAGAAGAAACUGUCAUUGAAGUUGCAUUUUGUGGUGGAUAAAGCUACCCGUGUCCUAGGUCGAGACGAUGUUCUUAUCGGCUACUGGCUGGGCUUAGUGUUGCUGCUUUCGUUGGAUAGUUCCCAAAAUCUUGUAUCUAUAACAGAAAUAAACAGGAUUUGAAGUUGCAUAAAAAUGAUGCAGGACAAAUUUGGCCAGUAAAAGAGAAAUACCACUACCGGUACAUUCAACUUGUAUAAUAAAUAUAGUUCAUUUGUGGUCAGUCUCACCUACGUGCGAAAGCAUGGCCAGAGAAAAUAUUUGUUGAGCGGAAGAUAAAGGUCACCAAGGCUUUAACCUGGCUUGAUUUCUCCUAAAGUCGACACACUAUGAAAUCACCCAAAAUCACUCAAACCACCUUUCAUAAAAAAAUUAUCUUUUUAUCUUUUUUAUAUUAUAACGCUCUUAACCUCUUUAUUCUAAAUUCCAAGAUUAAAAAGAUAAAGUAAUCCUCUGAGUUAAAUUGGUUGUUUUGUAUUCCGAUUUUUUUGAACCUUUUCAAACAUGGUGAAAAUCUUUUUAAUCAUAGUCUUAAGCCUUUCUUAAAAGGUCAAGAAAAAGUUACGAGAGAGUAAAAAAAAAAAAAAAAAGCUGAAAAAUUUAAUUUGCUGAACAAUAAAGUACUAUAAGGCCAUUACAAACAUAUUGAUUUUUAGUUCAGUUCUUUUUUGCCAUUAAACAAUUAUAUAUUAUCUACUUUGCUUUGUUGUUCAGUAGAAAGUUCUAAAAAAUUUAUUGAUAUUUGUUUAGAAAAUCGAGAAAUUGGUAGAAUAAUUGUUAUAGAAAGCCAUAUAUUAUUCGCAUUAGAUAUAAAUAGAGGUGACUCCUCUUUACAGAUCAAGAAGAAAAAAAAAACAAAAAGCUGAAAAAUUUAAUUUGCUGAACAAUAAAGUACUAUAAGGCCAUUACAAACAUAUUGAUUUUUAGUUCUAAUAUUUUUUGCCAUUAAACAAUUAUAUAUUAUCUACUUUGCUUUGUUGUUCAGUAGAAAGUUCUAAAAAAUUUAUUGAUAUUUGUUUAGAAAAUCGAGAAAUUGGUAGAAUAAUUGUUAUAGAAAGCCAUAUAUUAUUCGCAUUAGAUAUAAAUAGAGGUGACUCCUCUUUACAGAUCAAGAAGCAAUUUACUGAGCUUUCUAUCUCUUAGUGUCGGAGGUUCUUGAUAAAGGAUCCUGAAGAUUAUAAUAAAAGGCAAAAAGACAUAAAAAUUAUAAGAGAAAAUAAAUAUAAAAAUAGUAAGAUUCCAUUUCUAAGAGAAAAUUUUCUUAUAAGAUUUUCUUAUCUUAAUAGACUUUUUGGAACUGGUUAGUAGGCUUUCUAUUUAGGUUGAGUAGUUUGAUUAGAGGAACAAUCACAGCAAUCGGCUCCAAGUUCAGCUCCAGCAGCCCCUGUGUUAAAGAUGAAUGAUCGGGGUCGUACACAUAUAUUGUCGUGUCAACGAAUACGUACAACUCUUUCAUAGCUUUUCCCCGACACUCGACGAUAAUCCGAUGACCCACUCGAGCAUAUACUCGAGCACCGCGUUCUCAUUACCCAUAAGUUGUAGUGAUUGAUACUCAAUGGUAACGGCAUAGAAGAACUCAUUGUUCAAUAUUAUUCGGCUAGGAACGUGGAACAAUCUUGGAUAUCUCUCAACUUGAUCGUGCAACAAAUCUAUGGCCAAGUCGAUGUGCUACAUCAAAGAAAACAAAAAAAAGAGGGAUUUAUUUCAUUUAAUAAACCAAACAUUAUGUAUAAACAAAAAACUAAUAAUAUCACUAUUUUACUUACAUCGUCAACGAGCCAAGCCCCCUGAGUGGUGAUAUCAUCGAGCCAUUUGUAAGCGUCCAAUAUCGUUCUUCAAGCUAUUGUGCGGCUGACUCUGAAAAAUAAAGAAAAUGUUAAACGAAGCAUAUACGAGUUAGCGUAGACUACUAAAAUCAUACAAUACUUACCUGACCAAAAUUCUUUGCCACUCUGUCUCGAAUGGUUUCCAUUUGGCAUGGUUGACCUCCGAAAUAGAUUAGGGUACAUCCCAUCGACGAAUGAGAUUUUAAACUAGUUAAGGAUCAUAUAAUGAGAUUUUAAAUUACGUACGAUAUAAAUCAUAUAAUGAUAACUGAUAUCUUCAGGGACAUCCGUCACUCGAGAUACUCGCUAAUGAUGCAUUUGAGGGCAACGGAUUUCCUCUUAAGUAGCAUAGCGGGCACUCAAAAGGGGGACAGUCUCGUACGCCCAGAUCUGCAACACAUACAAUUAUCAAUUAUUACAUAUAAAUUCAAUAGAAAGAAUAUUUUAACAUUGAUUAUGUUAAACAUUUUACCUACAUCUGCCAGGGACAAUCCAUAAGUAUCGUACUUACGCACGGUCCCCUUCGGCUUUGAGUACGAUCUGGUAAAGACAUGUACGGUGUCCUCGAAACAUCUCCAAUCCCAUGAAUAGUUGUUGAAGCCAUCGAUGUCAUCGACGAUCUCCAGAUGGAAGAAGUCGAUUGCUAUCUUCCUGUGGUGACACGGCAAGACGCUCUCAAGGAUGUAAACCAGACCAAGCUUCAGUUUGUCUAACAUUUGAUCACACCCCUAAUUGCGUCGAUCAGCUGCGGCAGAAGCACUGUUCCUUAUCCCUCGAAGUACGUGUCGUAUAGUCUGUUGCUUCUCUGAGUUGCUUCGUCGCCCGUAAUCUUUAGUCCAGUUAUCAGGGCAAACCUGAACAUAGAGAAACUGGUGACUUUGCCCCUGAGGUCGAAGUGAAGGGCAUCGCUGUCGAUUGGACUCGACAACCGACAUAGUAGCGCAUUGAUAAUGUGACCCAAGUACUCCACGUCUAUCAAUUAGUACAGGGGCCAAAUAAAGGAUUGGCGCAACAUAUCAGCAUGCUCCUCAUCCAACAGCUCCAACACAAUAAUGAAACUAUCAAAACUAUUGUUCCAAAUAGCUUUCCCUGGCAUCUGUCUCAGCACUACGUCCAAGUGGUAAUAUAUUUUGCAAAAUUUCAAAUGUUAAAAUAUUAUAAAAGAGAUAAUGAAAUAAAUCAUAAUAAUAAGAAAUUAAAAGAACGGAAUUGUAAAUAAUAUAUACAAGGCAAGAUUCAAUUAUACAAACACUAAUUAAAAUAAAUAAAUUAUUUACUAAAACAACAAAAAAUAAAAAAGUAAACAAAAUUAAGAAAAAAAUAAAAAAUAAAAAAUUAAUGGUGAAGAUAAAAAUUAAAUUAAAAUAAAAAUUUAAAAAUUAUUUAAAUUAAUUAAAGAAUAUAUAAAUAUUUUUUAGGUUAAAAAUUAAUAGAAAAAGAAAAUUGGCAGUCGACCCACACUAACAAUCGUUAAAAAAUAAAAAAUAAUUCAAAAAAUUGAAAAUUAUUAAAAUUAAAAUUAAUAAAAAAUGAAUAUUUUUUACCCUAUUACCAAAAAUUAAUAAUAACUAUUAAAAUUAAAAUUAAAAAAUUAUGAAAAUUAAAUAAAGAAUAUAAAUAUUAAUUAAUUAACUUUGAAACAAGAUACAAAAAUUAUAGGAAAAAUAUUUAUGUUAAAAAAUUAAUAAAAAAUAAUUUUCCAUAUUAUCAAAAAUUAAUAAUAAAAAUGAAAUAGAAAUAAAAAUUUAAAUUCAAAUUAAAAUAACAAAAUUAUUUAAAUUAAAUAAAGAAUAUAAAUAUUAUUUAGGAAUUAAAACUGAAACAACAUACAAAUAUAAAAUGAAACAAAUAAUUUCGGUUAUAAAAUUAUUUAAUUUGUUAAUUUUUAAUUUAAAAAUAUUCUUUUAAUUUUAAAAAUUCUACUAAUAUUUCUUGAUUUAAAAAUGUUGACCAAAAAAUAUAAUGUCUAUUUAUAAAGAAUAACGAAAAAAUAAUUAUGAAAACAUAAAAUAAAUUAAACAAAACGAAAGUGAAAGUGAAAAAUUUAAUAAAGAAUAAAAAUAUUAUUUAAAAUUAAAAUAAUAAAUUAUUAAUCAAAUAAAAAAUGUGGGCCGACUAACAGUCGGGUGAACUGGCUGUUAAUCAGCUGGCCAACAAUUAGCAGCCAACUGUUUAACAGCCACAGUUUUCUCUCGCCAGAAAUCUCUAUAUCCAACGAGAAAAACCUCCAUUUCCACAUUAAAAACUACAAAAUCUACCAGUAAACUCAGCAAUCUACCUUAAAUAACCUACAAUAAAUUGAAAAGUGAUAAAUUUAUUACCUAAACCAUUAUAUGAAAUAUGAAAGUCACUCCAAACCAUUAUCUAAAACAACUAACUUUGUAGAACUUCAAGUUCGCUGCCAACUGGGUUUCACCAUCGCUGACUGUUACCAAUAGCUAGUCGAAUGGAUCCCAACUGUGGUGAGUUUUCUUGGUUGGCCUGUUUGGCACAAGAUUCUUUUGGGAAGAAAGUGAAAGAGAAUGCAGGUAUUUUUGGGUUUUGAUCUUUAAAUUCAAUUUUUUUUUUUUAAAUAAAAUCAGUCAAAGGCCACUUUGUAAAUACAUAUGUGUCAACUGGUCAUUUCCCAUGAUUUCCUCCCACUUAGACCCCUUUCCAUUAUUGUAGAAGCCAUAUGCAGUAAACUGAUAUGGAGGGUAGAUGAUGAAAAAAAAAAAAAAAGAGAAGAAGAAGAAGAAGAAGAAAGGGAAAAAGGGGAGAAGAAGAAGUGUUGAUUUCUUCAAGCUUAAGUUCAAUUUUAUUAAUUUUCUUCAAGAGACACUUGGAUUCUUAAGAGUACUUGGUAAAAAUGAUUAUGUUGAUGGAACUACUCACAUGAAAGCAUGAAUUCAUGGAACAAGAUGAAAAUUAAAUUGGUGGAAUUAUGGUUACUAGUUUUCAUUAGACUGUAAGGUGUGAUUACUUCAGUGAUUGGGAUGAAGGUAAAUUUGGAAAUAGUACAUAUUGUGAAGGUAUUAGAAAAUAGAAUUAAAUCAAAUUGUAAAAGAAAUUGAAGAAUUUAUUCCAAAGUAACAAGGAAUCAAGUUCUAGUAUUCCACAUUUAAAUGUUAAGGGUACUUGGUAUGGUAAUUGUUGAAUUGGUUAUUUUGUAUCGUAUUUCAAUGUGAUGACGAAAAGAUUGGAAAAGCUUAUCGAUCAUUCUAAUAUGUAGCUUGAAUUGAGUAAGUGAAAAAUCUUAUUUUUAAAAAAUAAGUAUUUAUUAAACUUAUAUUAAAUCAGAAAGUUAAUUAUUUCAUAUAGUUAGUUUGACAAUAUAAUUUUCAAAAUAAAGUAUAGUCAGUUCUUUUUAAAGUUAAAUUCAGUUAAAUUAAAUUAUUUCAUUCGCAAGUUAUUUUAUUAUUACAUGUUUCAAUGUAUCCAAAGUUAGUUUUAAAACCACCAGAAGUACCCAGGUAAUUUUACAUGUUGUACACUAAUGUUAAUGUGUUUCCACAGUGUACAACCAGAUAUGGUGAUUUUACCAGCUCUGUGUUAUUGUGAAUGUGUUUCCAUAGUGUAUAACAAGAUUAUAGCCUUUGGGCAGCUCUACAUGCGCAUUACCAUAAUUACGUAAUUGAAUAUUUUUGCCGUGUACUUCGAUAAUCAUCGAUACAUGAGUUUGAUUACUCUGAGUACCUUUUUAGUGUGAUUCUUCAGUAUUAUAUAGCUUAUCAUAUUUUAAACUACAGAAUUUAGUUUAUUCAAUAUACAGAAUAAAGAUUUCAACUUAUAGUAUAGUAAAAUAAUAUUUUUACUCAUAGUUUGCAUGUUGGAUUUAUUAUACCCGUUAUACCUUAUAGUGGUUUAUUUAGAAUAAAGAGUAAAUAAUUUUAUGAUUCCAUUGUGCUCUAAUUUUAAAAAUAUUGUUAGACUUCAAACUACAGAAUUUAGUUACUUCAAUUUACAGAAUAAAGAUUUCAACAUAUAUUACUGAGAAAUGAUAUUUUUACUCAUAGUAUGGAUGUCAGAUUUAUUAUAUCCGUUAUACCUACAAUGGUUUACUCCAAAUACAGAAUAAAAAAGUUUAUGAUUCCAUUAUGUUUUAAUUUUAAAAGAAUUAUCGGUUGUAAUAGUGUACGAGUUUCAAAAAGUUUGCAUAAAUAUAAAAAAGUAUACUAGUUUGCGAAAUAUCCACUCACUAAGUUACAAGUUCAUAAAUUUUCUCACCCCUUUUUAUCAAAUAGUGGCUGCGUUGAGCAGCAUUGGAGCAUGUCAAUUCAUUGAAUUGAGCCACACAUUUUUGAAUCAAUACACUUGAACAUUAAAGUGUGAUACAACACCAUCUAACUAAAAAUGAGCAGGGAUUAAAAUGUGAAAAAUGGCAUUGGAGACGAAGGGACAAAUCAAGUAACCAAGAUAUAACAUAAAGAUCACCAUGUUCAGGAUAGGAUCUACUCCAACACUUAUGGGAACGCGUGUAUCAAAACGACGACGAAUCCUCCUCCUCCUCCAAAGGAUGCCAAGUAUCAUGAAAAUAGCAAAAGAUGAUAGAACUCCAACUAUUAUAUAAGCGUGUAUAUUCUUUUUGCUUCCGGUUGAACAAAUUUUGAAAUCUGCACAGGAGAAAAAUAGAAAUUUGAGGAACAAAAAUCAUAUAAGUGAAAGAUAUAUCUAUUUUUCUUUAAAUUCAUCUAUUACUAGUAGGUUAUACAUUUUCAAAUAUUCAUGCAUCAAAUAAAAUAUCGGCACCAUGGCUACUAUAAAUAAACACAAACAGAUGAAAAAAAUUGCGCUAGUUAUAUUUUGGAGGUCCAGGUCUUUCUAGUGUAAUUUGAACUUUGGCUUAUCUGAUAUACAUACCAUGAGUAUCCAUAAAUUUGUCAUCGACAGCUUAAAGAAUAAAGUCAACAAGUUCCCUGGGACAUUUUCAGAUACAUUUAACGUAUAAGACAGCUAUACAAUAUAAAUUAGAUAACUUGGGGGGACAUAGGAUAUAUGAAUACAGUUAUGCCAUUCAAAUUUGCAUAUAGCACUUGAGCAGACAAGAGAUGUAUUAAUGACCUUAGAUCCUCUGCCACUUGUCGAAUUAUAGGGAAUUAACUUAAAAAUGGGGUUUAACUAAGAGGUCAGUUGUUAAGAAGGAAAGAUGAUCCAGCUUCUAUCAAGAUAACUUUUGAGAUUCAAUUAUAAUCUUCACUUUUUAAUACAAUUUUUCUUUGUUAUCAUCAUAUCAAGGAUUAUAUCUUGUGCAGAAGCCUGGGAAAUCUAGCUGUGCACAAUUUUCUAGAGCAAGCAACAUGUACACUUUAUAGUUGGUAGCCUUGUAAAAAUCUGAGAAGCAUUCAGCUAAUGAGGAGCAAGUUGAAGACCUUAGAAAAAUGAACAAAUCACAUUGAAUAAUUCUCCCUUAAAGAGAAUAAGUUUUUGUAAAAUAAUCAUUAAGCACUUGUUUGAUUUUGAUUUUUCCAAAAAAUCUCUUCGUAAAAAAUAAAAUCAAACAAGGGAUAAAUAAGAACUUUAUAUAUAUUUAAUAUAGUCAACACGGGCUGUAUCUUUUUAGGUGGUUGAGCACACUUUCAUAAAUGGAUAACAAUGAGAUUUAAUCCCAAAACCUUUACAACUCUCGUAUCAUAUUGAAUGAGCACCUACAUUUAAAAACUUUAACAAACUAAACCAAGGUUAAACAUUUUUGAUAGCACAGGAUAACAAAAGUUCAGAACAUAGCAUAUCUAGUUUCUUAUACUAUUUUAAUUGCACAUUCAUAAAAUAACAGGAAAACAAGGACAGGAUUACACAAAGAAAUUGUCAACUACUCACAUGGAUUGACCGAAAUAGCGGAUACUUGGGAACCAUAGUCUCCUCUAUAAGGAAUUCGUGCAGUCCCUCUGCUAGCCCAGUGAAAUCUAAUCUCCAAGCUAUUAUCUGUCACCGUGACAUUAAAAUGUCUAGUCAUGGGCCUUUGUGCUCCUCGAGCCCCAUUGUACGUGUACACUAGCAAGCAUCUUUUAAGUUGUCAAUGAUGGCAACAAAUGAAGAAAUUAGCUGGCCAAUAUAUGCAGGAAGUGUAAAUAGCUUAAUCUUUUGAAAAGAGCUACUAAGGAGCUGCUACAUAAUUUUGAGCAUAUCUUUGCAUCUACAGAUAAAAGAUAGAGCAUGUUGCAAUGCUAUAAAAACACAUUCCCUUUCAAGUAAAUUCUUUUGAAAUCUGAAUUUGUCUCGUUAAUGAUUAAGAAAGUAAUACAGUUCAAAUAAAAAUGAACAAGCAUCUAGGGAUCAUUUACAUGAAUUGUUAUUUUUCAUUAUGUUCGACCCAAUGUUAUGAUUACCGAAAUGUCCAUUGACCAACCAAAAAAAAAAUAAAAAAAUUCCAACCUCAUCAAGCCAUAUUAAUUAUAUUCUUGACUCUCCCUUUCGUAACAUGUUCUAGGAAGUAAAAUUUUUAUUUUUAUUUUAUUCUAUAGUAUGGCACAUCCUCAUUACUGUUGCAAUCAUCUUACUGAAAUGUUGUCUAAUAAUGGUCUAACACUUGGUUCGACAAAGCAUAAAUUGUCUAGUAACCAUUUUUUCAAACUUACCGUUUAACUCAAUAGUAAUCCCAAGAUCACAUGAAACUCAUGUUGCUUUUCUUCAUUUAGUUAAAUUUACUAUAGUCCUAUACAUUACAUUCUCCUCAAAUGCUUUUUACUUUUGGAAAUUCAUUAUUCUCCAGAGUUUAUAGUGGAAUCAUUACUCUUACUAUGAUUAAAGAAGAUUAUACAUGCUUCUUAAUUCUACUUAAUCUAACACCUAAAUUCCAAAAUGCUACUCCAAAGUUUUAUUACUUUCAAUUUAUUCCCCUUCUAGUUUCACCAACUUAACUUACAUCAUGUAUCGACGAAGAUACUUAAUAUUUGAUAUCUCAUCAGUUCAUUUAUAACUUAUAGCAAAAGGAUAAGGAUUCGUGGUGGUAAUUUGAUGCAAGUCUACUGCUUUCCUAUUGGAAAUCACAUCCAUACUAAGUCAUAAAUAUCCUCGACAAUAUUGUAUAUCACAUUUAAGCUCCAUUAUUCUAUAGUACACACCACAAUCAAUAGGCUCUCUACUAGUAAUCUAGAAAUAGAAACAAAUUAUGUGCAAAAUAUCCAGCAUGUUUAAUGACAAAAAAUGUGCAUACAUGUUGCUUCCAUCCUUCAAGAUUGUAUCAGGUAUAUUUCCACUCAGCUUGUUGUUAGUAACGAACCUGUUUACAAAAAUAUCAUAGUGAGAUUGCAAGUCGUGGGUAAGGCAGUUUCCUAUUUUAUCUCACAUUUACUGUAAAACUGCAGACACUGACUGUCAAAACCAACCAAAUGAAGCAAAAGAAUUUAAGUUGGACUCACACAGUUUCAAAUUUCUUGCAUUGUCUCUUGAAAUCUCCCCCUCUAACUUAUUGAAACUGACAUCUUCACCGUGAACAAAAGCCUAAUACUGUCAAUUAAGAGUUUUCGAAGGAAGAAGGGAAUAGGAAUUGUAUAAAUAGUAAGGAAGUGAGCGUACAUUGAAGACGGCAGGACCCAAAACAUACUAAAUUAGGGUUACAAAAGGCUCAAAAUUAGAGGAAGAUGAAGAAUUUUAGUGGAGAGGGGCAAGCGUGAGGAUGGAGACCCAACCAUGACAAUAACUUCAUCUUCUCUGAAUGGUGUGGGACGAGAAGAGGGAUUGGAGAGUCAGAAGAUUUAGGGUAUUAUAAUGGGAGAAGGAAGAAGACUGGAAUUCUUGCCAACAACUGAAAGAAGAGACGGCAUGAGAGAGGAAUUGAGAGAGGGAAUUGUUAGGGUUUUAUAAUUGUAAUUGUUCACUUCUCACGUUUGGUAAUGAGUUUUUUUUUUUUUUUUUUUAAUUUAAAUAUCUUAACAGGGCAGGUCAGAUCGGUUCGGGUUAACUCAGGUUCCUUUUCGUAACGUUUAAAAAACGUUGCGAAAGACCAUCGUCGAUAUAUUCCAUAAAAAUGUGGUAUAAGUGUCUAUUUUAUCUAACUUCUCUUAAAAAUGGGAAGGAGAAAGGACAAUUCAUUCAAAAGUAAAUGAAUCCCAUAUUAUUGUACAAAAUGCAAAAUGACGUUUUUUUUUUUUUUUUUUUUUUUUUUUUUUUUUUUUUCCAAAAAAAAACAAAACUUUUUUUUUUUUUUUUUUUAUAAAUUUUGAUUUUUGUUGGUGAAAUUUUUCCCUUUCUUUCUCCAUUUCUCAAAGCAACCUUCCAUGCUUCUUUUCUUCAUUCUCCCCUUUCUUCUAUUCAUUUCUUCUUUUCUUUUCUUUUAUUUCGUUUUCCAAAUAUUUUGUCUAUAUGGUGUUUAAUUUCGUCUUCUCAGUGCUCAACAUUCUAGAAGUUCUAACCCUCUAUUUUAUUUUAUUUUUUUACGGAGGUUUAAAGCUUCUAUCAUAGAACAAUCGAAAGAAUUAUUGAAACAAGGUUUUUGGUAAGUAAAUCUAGAUUUUUGCUAUAAAUUGAAUGUAUGUUGGUUUGAUUUUACUGUGCGGUUUUACUUCGAUUUUUUUAGAAGGGUAUUAUCAUUCCGUUUUAAUCGUUCCCGAAAAAUUAAGGAUUUUAUUUUAUUUUACGAGGCAAGCCAGGAAUUAUGGCAAAAGAUGAAGUGGUUCUAAUGGAUCACUUGGGUUAGAAAAAAGCCCAUGUCUUCAGCCAUUCAAGUUUGGUGAGUUCUGGUCUUAAAUUUUUAAUGAUGUUUCGUUUUUUAUUUUCAAUUCUGUUGUUGAAACGUAAAUAGCGUAGAUUUCUUGUUUGUCUGUGAUUAUACGGUUGUUUUAGCUCAUUCAUGUUAUCUCUUCAAGCUGGUUAGGCAAAUAAGGUGAAGAAAAUCAAAGAAUAAUAAAAAAGGAUUUUGGUUUUGUCCAUAUUCUUGAAGCAGCCAGUUAUUUGAGUAUGUGUGCAAGUGUAUUUUAGUCGAUUCUUUACUAUUAUUUUACUAUUAUCGUAUGCCAUAAUGAAUAUAGAAAGAAAGAAAUUUAAAGAAGAGAAAAAACAACAAUAUUUGCUCCACACUUUGUGGAGCAACUCCAUGGUAUUUUUUUUUAUAGCUUUUUUUUGUCCUUUUUUUUUAUACUUCUAGCAAAUUUUUUUUUUUAAAAGUAGAAAUAUGAGAUUUCUGGUAGAAUAUAUUAAGUGGUCAUCAAAUUUGUUGAAUUUUAGAAGUUAGAUUUCUCUUUGAUUUCCUAAUUCUAUGAAGUUUUUAAAUUAAGUUGUUUACGAAUGUCUUUUAGUGAUAGAGAAUAUAAAUUAUAGAGAGUAUAGAUUAAUAAUAGUGUAUUUUCUUCUGCAAGUUAAAAAACCAUAGAGAAUUAAACAAAUAAAAAAAACUCCUCCGCUCUAUGCAAAGGAUUUUUUUUUUUUUUUAACUUUUACUUUUAUCAAUUUUUUUUUAAUUUUAGCUUCUUUUUAUUUUUUUAAUUUUAAAGUAGACAAAUUUCUUGAAUCCUAGAAGUUAGAUUCCUCUUUGAUUUCCUAAUUCUAUGGUGUUUUUAAAUUAAGUUGUUUACGAAUGCCUUUUGGUGAUAGAGAAUAUAAAUUAAAAUAAUAGUGUAUUUUCCUCUGUAAGUUAGAAAACCAUAAAGAAAUAAAAAAUAGAAAUAAAAAUCCUCCGCAUUGUGCAGAGAGUUCACUUGAACCCUUCGCACAGUGCGAAGAGUUCACGUGAACACUCCUAACUGUGCGGAGAGUUCAAGUGAAAUCUUCCAACCCUCCGCACGAUGCGGAGAGUUCAUGUGAACUCUCCAAACUGUGUGGAUGAGUUUUUUUUAAGUAGAAAUAUGAAUCUUCUGGUAGAAUCUAUUAAGUGAUCAUCAAAUUUGUUGAAUCCUAGAAGUUAGAUUCCUUUUUGAUUUCCUACUUUUAUGAAGUUUUUAAGUUAAGUUGUUUACGAAUACCUUCUGGUGAUAGAGAAUAUAGAUUAAUAAUAGUGCAUUUUCUUCUGUAAGUUAUAAAACCAUAGAGAAUUAAAAAAAAUAAAAAUCCUCUGCAUAGUUCGGAGAGUUCAAGUUGUGCGGAGAGUUCACGUGAACUCUUCGGACUAUGUGGAGCAUUGCUUGCUCCUCAAUUUUUUUUUAUUAUUAUUUUUUCAUCACUACAAAUCCAUCUCCACCCCCCUCCCCACUCUCUCUCUCUUUUCAUCAGUUCAGCUCUUCUUUUCCUAUCUCUUUAUACCAAUGUUCUAAAAUACGUAAUGCGUGGCAAUGCGUUUCGAUAAAGCAUCAAGCAUUAUAAGAAUAUGUGUGCUUUUGCGAAGCAUAUACGUUAUUAUGCGUUUUGCAAUUUUUAAUAUUUUAAACUAAUAAAUAAAUAAAAUAAUGUAUUCUUUGAGUUUUUAUACAUAUUCUUCGAAUUAAAAAAAAUAAAUUUACUCAAAUUAUAAAUACUACAAUAAGACAAUUACUUCAAAUUUAUAUAUAUUUUUCAAAUUUUCAACAAAAACAUUUGCUCAAAAUCAUAAAUACUACAGCUACUUGAUAAUCAAUUCCUACAAUUCAAUUAAACAAGAAUAUUGACAAAAAAAAAAAAAAAAAUUCUAAAUCUUGUCUAGCUCUUUAUCGGAUUCUAAUUCAAUCUCCUCUUCUUCAUUCAAGUCAUCUUCAGUGUCAUCCGAUACGAAAUCAUCUUCAUCGGGCUCCCUUAUUUCGACUUGAGAAUUUCUAUUACCUCCUGUAGAUGGUAAUAUAUUGUCAACUUCCUCCUCAUCAUCACAACUAUCAACAAUCCAAGAUUGUGCAUUACUUGCAUUACUUGCUAAUAAAGUUUCUAAUUUAUCCUUCCUUUUCUUUUUGUUCAUCAACCUUGCAUUAAAUUGAACAUAAACUAGGUUUUUCAUCCUUGUGGCAUCUAAGCGGUUCCUUUUCUUGGUGUGUACCUACAUAAAGAAGUUUAAAAAUUUUAGUAUGCUAAUUUAAAUUAUCAAAUAACUACUAAAGUAAUAACUAAAAUGCAUCAACGUAAUUAUUUAAUUAGUACUUACCCCUUCAAAGACACUCCAAUUUCUCUCACAACCGGAUGAACUAGUAGUCAAACCAAGGAUCCUCUUUGCCAUUAAUUUCAAGUUUGGUGUUUCAUUGCCAUAAAAGUCCCACCAACUAACUAGUAAAUGCAAAAGAAAGAGAUAAAAAUAUUAUAAUAUGUACAUAUGGUAUGUUGACAAGAAAAAGAAUAAUAAUAUUAACAUACCCGGAUUGCAACUUGAAGUAUUGUUCUCACACCCACAUGAUGCUAGUUUUCUUCCAAAUGCACCUUCUUUUUGAGUGUAUCUUUGCAACUCAACAUUUAUCACAUGAUGUUGCAUUUAAGCAAAGGAAAAGAACUUUUCAACACAAAGAAUCACAUUAUUAGUUAUCAAUUGAUUAUCUUUGAUUUUUGGAUUCUUGAAGAAGUAAAACGGAUUCAAAAGAUAAGCUGUUGUGUGAAGUGGGCUAUCAAUUCGAUCCUUGCCCUUUACGUCAAUAAUGUUCAAGAUUGGCAUAUAGUCACUUUUCUCUUCAACGUCUUUAUAAUGUCAUCCUUUGCCUUUAGUAGCUCUCCAUAAACAAAUCCCAUUGAAGGUUUCUCCUCUCCAUCAAUUAGUCUAAGAACUUUCACUAAUGAAGUAAACACUCUCAAACACAAGUCUAUCAAGAUCCAAAAAUCAUUGGGAACAACAAUAUCAAAGGCCUAUUUUCCCUUUUUGCUCUUAGAUCAUUUCGUAUUAUCCCAUUCAUUGCUAGUCAUCAUAUUUCUCAACUCUUGUUUUUUAUCGAGCAAACUUUGUAAUGUUAAGAAAGAUGUAGCAAAUCUAGUGACUCCCGGCCGAACUAUCUCCCUUUUUGUAAACUUCCUCAUUAGUGCCAAAGUCUUAUGAUGUGCAUAGAUGAAAAUAGUAAAUGAUUUUGCCUUCCUAAUCACUCCUUUGAAGCUAGGAAGUUUAGAGAUUCCCUGGAGCAUAAGGUUCAAGGUAUGAGUAGCACAAGAUGUCCAAAAGACGUUAGGCCUUUGCAUUGAUAACAAAUUCGCAGCGGCCAUGUUAUUGGAAGCAUUGUCGGUUACAAUUUGAACCACAUUUUCCUCUCCAACCUCUUUAAUACAUUCAUUGACAUAUUCAAAGAUGUAUUCACCAGUGUGACAUCAUCAUUAGUUUCCUUUGAAGAGAGAAAUGUGGUUCCCAAUUUACAAUUCACACACAAAUUCAUGAUACUUCUUCUUUUGUUAUCACUCCAAGCAUCGGUCAUAAUAGAACACCCGUUAUUUUUCCAUUCUUUUUCUUGCUUCUUAAGAGUUUCUUUUGUUCUCUCCACCACUCCCUUCAAAAGUGGCUCGCUUAAUUGGUAUUGUGAAGGAGGGGUGUAACCCGGACCAUGUUAACCAAGAGCUUCAACAAAUUUUUUAAAACUAUCGUUAUCAAUGGCAUUAAAAGGAAUUCCGGCUUCGUAUACCCAUCUAGCCAAAUAUUAAUGAACUUCUAGUAACCCUUUAUUAGCAAUUGCAUCAUUGAUAUUUUGUUGUUUCAUUUUCUUACUUGCAGACAUAGAAGCAUCAUCAACCUUAAUUGGCCUUGAAAAGUUAUCUAGGGACCCACAUGUAUAGGCCUUUUCCUUCCCCCUUCAAUGAUAGAAAUGUCUUCCUCUUCUUCCUCACGUGUAGACAUAGAUAUAACUACAUCUUCCCUCAACUUAGCUUUAUUCAAUGCAUUCUCUAACUUCUUAGACUUAAUCUCUUCAAGUGCUUCACGACACUUGGCUUUUUGCUCUUGACUUGCUUUAGGACACGAUUUCACACCCAUUCCCUUGAUGCCUGCUAUGUGCACUUUAUGCCUAUUAAUCCCGGCCUUUGUUACUUUGUCACACAAUGUGCAUCUUACAUUAUUAGGUUUACUAACAUCUUUAACAACUGCAGUUUCCCAUCCAACAUCUCCUGAACUAUUUUUUAGCUCAUUAUCUUUUGAAAUGGAAUUAGAUGCCUUCAAAGAAUCAUUUUGCUCCAUUGGCUUCUAGUAAAUUGAAAAAAAUAUAUAUAAUAAAAGCAAGAAUCAGCUUGUGAGCAAUUAUUUAAUUUCAUUUGAAGAACAAUCUUGCUCCAUUGGCAGCAGACUUAAUAGUGAACUAGUCAGAGUUCAUGUUGUAAUCUCACUAACAUAAUGACCAAUUAUUUAAUCUCAUUGACCGAUUAUUUAAUUAAUAUAUUAUCAUCACAACUUUAGUAGAUAUCUUAAAUUUUAUGAUUCAUCCAUAUUAUAUUAUAUAACUUGCUUCUCUCUCUUACACAAUUACACAGACUGACAGUCAGUAUUAGAAAUUGGUUAAUUUCUUUCUGUAAACACCAUAACCGUUAAUCACCAUAAAAUUAAGAAUAAUAUCAAUAAUAAAAUUGAAAUAGUAGACUUGCAUAAAAGCCAAAAACGAACAGGUUUCCUUUAGUGCUUUUUAAGCUUUUCCUUGGUGGGCGACAGCCAGCAGGACGAUGGGCAUCAGGAUUCAGGGUAUGUAUAAUGUCCAGAUGAAGAUUUAUGCUACAGCCAAAACCCUGGAGAUUGUUGUAUAUAAUUGAUGGACUUAUGUGAUUUGGGGCAAUUUGAUGUUUGUUGGGCUCAAUUUUAUUUUUUUAAGUUAUAAAAAUGGGUUGAACUUUGUUAUGUUAAUUGGAACAUAUUUUUAAUUACAAAUGCGUGCGCAUUUUGGAUAAUAUGCGUGCAUAUGCGGUCAAUGAAAUGCGUUGACUGCAUUAUCAUAUGCAUACCCCAUAUGCGAUGCGUUUCGAAAACACAUUGAGAAUAUGUGUGCAUUUUAGAACACUGUUUUAUAUAUGUUAUUUCAAAUUCUCUUAAUCAAUCCAAGAAUACAAUAUUGUUAUGACAAGGGCAACAAGACGUUAGUGAAGAAGCUAAUAGAGAAAAAGGGCCAUGAAAUUUCUCUCCUCUGCAUUAUCCUAUAUUCCAACCAUGAAAUUUAAAAGAACGAGAUUGAAGAAAAAUCAAAUAAGACGGUGCUUUUGUUGGAAUUUUGACUUUCUUUUGAUGAAUCCAUUUCAUAGCAUUUAUGGGAUGAAUUUAAAGUUUUUUUUAAUUAGUUUAAAUUUUCGGUAUGACAUUUCUUGACAUUCUGCUUGAUUAUGUUUUUAAUUUGGUUGCAUAUUAUUGGCUCAUAUUCUUUGGCAGGUGUUUCCCUAUAUAUGUUUGAGCUUCAAAUUUUUUGUAAUUUGAGUUUUAGAUUGAGUUUGGUUUCAUUACAUAUUAUGAUCAAAAUGUUGCUUCAAAAUGGUGAAUGGAGCUAGAUAAAUGUUUGAUGAAAUGCUUAAGAGAGAGGAGGAAGCUACUGAUCAUAAUGUUUGGCUUUCAAAUGUUUGACUUUUAACUGAUCAAAAUUUAAGAAAUGAUUCAUUUUUUUCUCCUUUCUUAACAACAAGAAUUUUUUUUUCGAAAAAAUUUCUUAGCAUUGUAAAUGACAAUUUACAUGUUAGUUUUAAGGAUCCAUAUGAAGAGCUCUUUGAAUUUGGUCGAUUUUAUCUUCUUAAACAUACUAGUCUUUUGUGGUGCUUGUUUAUAGAUUGACUUGUCGAGAGAAAUGAAAUUGACAGAGAGCAAUGAAAUGGGCUCAAUAAUAAGAGAGAGACAACUAUUGAGAGAGGAUGAAAAACGAAUAGCUUAUAAAAAGAGAAUGAAUUUACUCAUUUAUGCAGACUGCAACUUUCAUGUCUCGUCUUCUUGUUUGUUUCAUGACUCUAUUUCCUCUUUUCAGAAUAAAUGGACUAAUUAUGCAGUUGCACAUAUUGUACAUUUGAAAUUUCUUAUGUCGGUUCAAAAUAACUUUGAAGUCAUUCUAAAGCAAAUUAAACCACUAUAAUGUCUUUAUUAGGAAUAUUUAUUUAUAACAAAUGUUGGUGAUUGCUUUAAAGACAAUAUGUACAAAUACGGUAUGCUGUAAUACUAUAUGUUAUAGUUAAGAUAUCACAUAUUAUACGUAUAUGCUAUAAUAUAAUGUACAACAUAAUAUAAUGAGAAAUUAUUGCUGUACAAUUUUUUUGUUAUAUUACAGCAAUAUGCAUAUUACGGCAUGUAGCUUACCGUAUAUGUUAUAAUAUACAACCUGUGCGGUCAUGCAACAACUUUUUAUUUUUAUCUUUUAAAUUUAAUUAUGCAACUUAAUAUUUGUUUAGUUUGUUAUUUUAUUAGUUAAAGAUAUGCAUUAAAUCUAAUAAAAAAAUAUAAUUACAAGAAUAAGUUUAGCUUCAAUAUAAUACACAAAAAAAGACUCUUAAAGAAAUAAUCAUUGCUAACUACAAAGAAUAUAAAAAAAUAAAGAAGACAAAAAUGAAAAAGGGUAAUUGGCACAAAACAUCCCUACCUUUCAAGUUCAUUGUGGAAAACGUCUCUAUCUUUCAUUUUUUGAUAUUUUUACCCUCAUUUCAACCUUUCUUUGCGAUGAAUGUCCUUUUCAACUUUUUUGACAAAUUUACUCUCAUAUUUAAAUAAAAUAAAAAGAAAAGAAAAGAAAAAAAUAAAGAAUUAAUUGUAACAAUAGUCCCAAAUUUUAAAAAAAUUACAAAUCGGUUACAAAUAUAUACUUAAAAAUCAUUAAAAAAAUUAAAUAAAAAACCACCACCUCUGUGAAUGGAGCCAUCGGUGUCCAGCGUUCCAUACCCAAACCGCCACCCACCACUAGAUAAAUCACCGGAAACUGCUCCCUUUACCGAUGAGUUUAACCCACAAACACUUUCCUGUCAAUCAAUUACUCAAAUAGAUCAUAUAACCAUUCAAAACUUAGAAGAAACUCUAACUAGUUUGAGAAAUUGGUUUGCUUCCUCCAUCAAUUCCGGCGUCGGUAAUGGGUCCUAUGGUUGCGGACCACCCAUUCCGACAUCCCCUCCUAAUGCUCCAACUAUUACAGCAAUGGGUCUUCGUUAAAUUUCAACAUAAUAAUUGAAAACAUUGGGUGGUUGUUCUAUGUCGAUUUCACCAUGUCGCUGAAUUACAGAGGCUGCUGGGGGCGAAAAAUUGGAGACAUUGGGCAACUGUUUUUGGGGGCCGAAUUGAGGAUACUACACGCAUAGAAACACAAAAAUAGGGAGAGAAAAUGGCUGGAAUAAAUUAAUUAUACACAAAGAAAGCUAAAGCAUAUUAGGGGCUGGAUUGGAUAAUAUAUAACUAUAUUUAUAUACACACAGAAAUUGCCUGUUGUGGGAGACUUGGGGUGCUGUUGGAAAAGAAGUGGGGAAAAAGAUGGAAUCACGUAGUUGCUGACAAGAUAAAAUCAUACGUUUUACAUUUUUGACAUAAAAAAGAAAAAAGAAAAGGAAACUGAAUUCCAGAAGUUUUACCUUGGCUUUCAUCUUUUCCGGCUAUCUUUGCAGCCAAGCUAUCUGAUGACAUCCCAAGAAUUAAUUGUAGGAGUUAUUUUGUGAAGGAGAGGGUAGCAGUGGGGUGGGGGUGAGGUGUGGGAAGAAGGUGAAUAUUUUUGGGGGGUUAUUAGUACUUUUAAAAGUUUGGGCCUAUAGUUGCAAUUUAUUAUUUUUAUUUUUCUCUCCUUUUUUUGUUUUAUUUAAAUACGAGGGUAUAUUGGUCAUUUUAUAUUAAAAAUUGGUGAAAAGGACAUCCAACACAAAGAAAUGUGAAAGUAAGGGCAAAAAUGUCAAAAAAUAAAAGGUAGGGACGUUUUCCACAAUGAACUUGAAAGGUAUGGAAGUUUUGUGCCAAUUACCCAAACGAAAAAAGUAAAACUUGUGAAAAGAAGAAAAUGAAAGCAUGAUGCCAAAAAAUUUGGCAUUAUUGUUCGAAUGAGAAAUGUUUUAUUGAUACACAAAAAACUUUUGCACUCACCAAGUUAAAAGUAUGAAUUUAUUAUGUUGUCUUAAAAUUUUUUUAAAUAAUCGUAAUAAAUCUUGUUAUUACGCUAAUAAAAUUACAAUAUAUAAUUUUUUACAAAUAGUAUAAAAAAAUCAUUUUUAUUUUCAACAAAAAAACAUAUUUAAAAAUUAGUAAUUUCAUAAUCACAUUUUUAUUUUUAAAUUCCCGAAGAUACAAUUAUAAAAAGAAAACAAUAUUGAAUUACAAAAAUCAAUAUCUGCCAAAUACGGUAUCUAAAGACAAUAUGUGCAAAUAUUAUAUGCUGUAAAUACGGUAUGAUGCAAAUACGGUAUGCUGUAUAUAUGAUAUGAUGCAAAUACGGUAUGCUGUAAAUAUGGUAUGAUGCAAAUACGGUAUGCUGUAAAUACUGUGCGCUACAUAUACGGUAUUAUGCAAAUACGGUAUACUGUAAAUACGGUAUGCUGCAUAUACGAUAAGUUACAAAUACGGUAUGCAUAAAUACUGUAUGUUGCAUAUACGGUAUGUAAAGUGUAUAUAUAGUAUGAAUGAAUCUGAUUUCUUCCACUAUAAUAAAAUUUAGCACCGUAUAUGCUGUCUAUCAUAUUUGUAGCUCACCAUAUAUGCUUCCACCAUAUUUGCAGCUUAUCGUAUAUAUCGAUUUUUACACUUACAAAUACCGAGUAUACAGAAUAUCAUACAUUUACUUAUCAAAUCGAAUGUCAGAAAAAAUUUCAAAUUUUUAUUUUUUCAACAUAAGCAUAAAAUAAAUAUUAAAAUAUAUGAAGGACAAAAUAUAAAACGUAUAUGAAUAUGCAAAUUAAUUUAUAAUUUUGUACUCAAUCUUCAAUUUUCCAAUAUUGAAUUAAACAAAAUUUAGAAAUAUAAUCUUCACAUUCAACUCAAAUCAUAUCAACACUUCAAAGAAUACAGGCAAAAUAGUUUGUAUAACCUCGUAUAUUUCUUAAUUAAGCAUGAAAUAUACAAGCAUAUUUUUUCUAGAUAACACAACACUAUUGCAAUUGUAAAAUUAAUUUGCAAUCAUUUUCUUAUAUCAUAGAAAUAUUUCUAGAUAUUAUUUCAAAAACUUUUCAAAACACUAAAAUUCAUACGCUAAUAAAAAUACGAUAAAUACAAAAUUCGUGCAACAUACGUGACAGUGACUAGUGCUUACAAUGAUUCAUUCUUUUUUACCAACUUUAAAAUAUAUUUUUUUUCACAUAUUAGCAUAAAAUUGAUAUGUUUUACUAAAUAAUCAAAUUAAUUGAAAAAAAAAGUGUCAUAAAAUUAUUUCUAAAUUUUUUUAACCAAAGCGUUUUUUACUUUAAUUUAAUUUAAAUUUUUUUUAGAAAUAAUUUUCAGAAUGGCAAGUCAAACGCAUUUUCUGAAAUCUUAAAAUAAUCCCUUAAAAUAGAUAAUAAAAAUGAAUUUAAAACAGAAAAUAAAAAUGCAAACCAAUCGCACCCUAAGCGUUCUUAUCCCCAAGAAAAGCUAUCAAUGAUGCCACUAGUGAUUCCCGAGCUCAACAAACAAAAUUUUAACUUCACUUUUUUCCCAUUAAGCCCAUAUAGUGCAGUUCAGUCAAGUCUAUCAAACAUGUAUCGAAGAAUUUAUCAACGUACCUGGAUGAGAAUUGCAGAAUCUUGGUUCAACCCUUUGCUUCCUAGAUGAGAAUAAGUAGAACCAAUUACUUGUACUCCAUUACGUACCAAUAUCUGUGUAGUAUACAGCAUUUUCCCAUCAACAAGCAUUUCAGAUGCACAGAUUCCCAUAUCAGCCUUCGGAAUUUUUCUUCUUGUGCAUGUACCGUUAGAUUCCAAAAAUAAAAGUAGUCUCCUUAAAUAAGGGUUGUGGACCAUAGGAAUAUGAUUGACUAAAUAUAUAAUUCUUUUAAAAAAAAUGAAAAAGAAAAAGUAGUGGCGCCUAACAAAUUGAAAACUAUGAUUUGGUUCAAUAAUUCAUUGUUUUUAAUGUUACUUAUUUAUUCUACGCUACCCCAAGAUUCAUUUCAAAGGGCAUCUUAGGUGUACUUUUGUAACACCUAAGAGUUUGCAUAGUAAUUAAUUAUAUUUAUGUCUUGUAUAAGCAAUGAAAUUUACAAGAGUCCGACUUCUCAUAAUAUUGAAAAUAACAGCAAAAAAGCUUAUAAUUUCAAAGAAAUUUACGUGCAUUUAAUUGAGUAAUAACCAUACAAAUCUGAUCAUUGAUAGUAUGAGAAAAGUUUUAAUAAUCAAGCCAUGUUAACUGUUUCUUGGUUUCAGAAUUUUCUACUUGUCAUUUUUAGUGUUAUUCAUUUUUCCUUUGAGUCGAUCAUCUUCCAUCACGCCUAAGAACAAACAAACAACUAAUUCCUAAGAAAAAUUCAAUAUAUCCAAAGGAAUUCUCAGACAAUAAUAAUCUUGUGAUGCAGUAACGUGCUUUAUGAAACUACUUUUUUCCAUUACUUUCUCAUAAUUGUUGCAACGAUCUUCGAGUGUUUUUUUCUUGAAUUUUUUUAGUAGGUUACACCUCCAAAAAUCAAGGUAGGCAACACCACACUUGCAUCUUCGACGCACGUUUUUUAGGUUAGAUGCUUGAGUUACUCGUGAACAAUCUUUAUAUUUUGCUACUAUUUAGUUUUGAUGGUGGGUUGGAUCAAUAAAUUCUAAUUUCAUGACCAAACCCGAGAACACUAGUUGUUAAAUAAUUGUCUAUGAAAAUUGUAAUAUCCUACUGUACAUCUUUAAAUAUCCACUCUUACAAUAAUUUUGCAGAUUAAUUUGGGUAUAUUGGAUUUGUGGAGGAUAGUGAUAUGGGCUGCCAAGUGAUUGAAGAAAAAAUAAAUGUUAAUUUUUCUAUCCUUCAAUUUAUUAGUUAGUUUAAUUUAUUCAUAGGCGUAUUAUUUAAUUAGUUACGUGAUUAUUUUCUAAAGAUACAAUUUUCAUAUUUUGUUUAAAUUUAUGGAUGUUCAAGUUAUUUUAUUUUAAAGAAAUUUAUUGUCAUUGUUUCCCAUUUAACGUAAAGAUAAGUAUGUUAUUGGUAACACUCCAAGGUUCAUGAAAAAUUGGGGUGUUAUAGUUUUGUAUCAGAGCACUGGUCCGCCGUCCUAUAGACAUUUAAAAAAAAAAAUUAAAGAAGAUGUAAAAAAAAAAUAAAAGCUCACUGUUCAUGUAAACGGUAUGGUACUGUUCAUGUGAAUAGUGCCGAACAGUGACCGCUACUAUUACUUUAAAAAAAGGGGAAAAAAUACAUAAGGGCAUUUUUUUUUUUUUUUUUUAAGUUGGAUGUUAAAUGUUAAUAAAUUUUAAAUUGAUUUUGAAUGGUGAUAGUUUAGACUUUAAAUUAUUAUAGUUAAAUGCUUAUGUUUUAGAUUUUACAUAUCAUAAAUGUUUAUGUGUGAAACACAGCUGCAAAAGCGUUGUAGUGCUGCAAGACGUAAUUUCGUCGGGUAUUGCUUGAUCAGUGGGCCCUAAUAAAUGACAAAAUAAUAAGAAUUAUUGGUUAAAAAAUGACCAGAAUUUAUAUAUAGAAAAUAAUUUAAGUCGUCCCAUUACAGCUAAAAUUCUAAUUAGGAUUUUAUUUCCGGCCCACAUACUUAAAAUUAAAACAUCAAAUUAAUUAUAAACCGUAAGGUGUAAUAGACACAAUUGAUCACUUAAUAAAUUUGGCUCAAACACAAAUAUCAUUAUGAGCCAUACAUCUAACCCGUAAAAUUUGCAGUCGAAUGUGAAGCCCACAUAUGAAAUUAUUAAUUAUUCCAACAUUCUCCUACUUGGACAAACAUUUGAUUGCCAUAACAGCGUUUUAACACCCGGCUUAAACUACAUAAGUGGCCACAAAAAGUAUAGCUCCAAUGAUGACACCUUACGUAACAUGAUCCGGUUCAACAAGAAUAUUAACACCGAACAUGGAAGUCAUUACACCAAUUAAGCGAUGUAAGACCAUUCCACAGCUACAAAUGUCAACAUCCUUAUCGACAUGGAUCCCCAUCCUCCAACCAAUGUGGUAGUAUGUGGUAUGAAUUUAGCACCAAAUGUGAACAAAGCUGUGUUAAUUCAUAUCGGUCCUCAUAAUGCUUCUGAUUAAAAUGAAGCCACAUAUCUUUAAAAGAAACUCAUAUUAUGUCUUUACAUGUCAUAUCUCAAGAUCACAAUAAUAUUAUAAUAAAAGACAUAAGUCAAAUGCAUGCUCAAAACAGUCCAUGGGUAAGGGAAAAAUAUUUUACUGUCAGAAGGGACUGUACCCGAAAACAUAUGGAUUGCCUACGUACCCCGCAAAAGGAUCAAGCUCAAAAUGUAGUUCUUUACAUAAAUAACUCCCACUAACCAAAAAUAUCAAAUGUUUCCACAAUACCCAUAUUAGUAACAUGUGUCUUAAAGACUUUUGGAGCGAGUCCCUUAGUCAAGGAAUCUGCAAUCAUUGCCUCUGUAUUGAUAUGCUCUAUUUUCGUCUCCCUUCUUUGACUCUGUCUCUAACAACCAAAUAUUUGAUAUGAAUAUGCUUUGACCUACCAUAACUUUUAUUAUUCUUUGAAAAGAAUACUGCUGCACUAUUAUCACAGUAGAUGGUGAUUGGUCUUGAGAUGGAAUCAACAACUUUCAAGCCAGAGAUGAAAUUUCUUAACCAAACGACUUGGACUGUAGCCUUAUAACAUGCCACAAAUUCAGCUUGCAUAGUAGAAGAUGCUACUAGAGUCUUUUUAGCACUUUUUCAGGAAAUAGUACCAUCAGCUAAUGUAAAAAUAUAACCUGAGGUUGAUUUCAAAUCAUCUUGACAUCCAGCAAAAUCAGAAUCUGAAUAUCCUACCAUCUCAAGAUGAUUUGUACGUUGGAAUAUAAGCAUAUAACCUUCAGUUUUCUUCAAAUAUCUCAUAACUUUCUUAGCUGUUUUCCAAUGUUCUUAUCCUAGAUUAGAUUGAAAUAUGUUAAGAACACUUACUACGUAGGCUAUAUCCGGUUUAGUGCAAACUUGAGCAUACAUCAAGCUCUCUAUAGCACUAGCAUAUGGAAUCAUCUUCAUAGAUUCCCUUUCUAGCUCAUUCCUUGGACAUUGAGUUUUGUUAAAUUAAUCUCCUUUUAUGAUAGGUACAUCACCAGGUGUACAAUUUUGCAUAUUAAACCUUUUUAGAACACGUCGUAUAUAAGCUUUUUAAGAAAGUCCCAAUAAGCCAUGAUUUCUAUCACGAUAUAUUUCAAUGCCAAGUACAUAGAAGCUUCUCUAAGAUCUUUCAUCUCAAAAUUAGCAGACAACAUUUUCUUUGUCUCAUGAAGCAACCCUAAGUUACUGCUAGCAAGCAGAAUGUCAUCAACAUACAGUACGAGGAAAAUAAAAUUUCUCCCACUGAUUUUAAGAUAAAUGCAUUGAUCAAUAGUAUUUUCAACAAAACCAAGAGAUGUCACAACCUCAUCAAAUUUCAAAUACCACUGUCAAUAUGCUUGCUUAAGUCCAUAAAUAAUUUUUUUAACUUACACACCAAGUUUUCUUUUCCUUUCACAACAAUACCUUCAGGCUGUUUCAUAUAAAUCAUUUCAGAAAGAUAUUCAUUCAAAAAUGUAGUCUUAACAUUCAUUUGAUGAAGUUCCAAAUUGUAGUGUGCCACAAGAGCCAUGAUAAUUCGAAAUGAAUCUUUCGACGAAACAGGGGAAAAGGUUUCAACAUAAUCAAUGCCCUCUCGCUGAGUGAAACCUUUUGCAACCAAUCUUGCUUUCUUUCGUUCAACAUUUCCUUUUGAAUCUAAUUUACUUUUGAAAAUCUACUUGUUAUCUACAGCCUUAGCAUCUGGAGGAAGUUCAAGAAGAUCCCAAACUUUAUUCCUUUCCAUGGAAUUCAUUUCAUCUUCCAUGGCAGCUAUCCAUUUAUCUGCAUCAGGACUUGUCAAUGCUUGGUUAUAAGUUAUAAGAUCAACAAUAUGCCAAAUAUUAAAAUCGAUCUCCAAUAAUUAUGCAAUAUAAUCACUGGGAAAUGCAGAUCUUCUUGCCCUUUGUGAUCUCCUAACUUGUGGCUCAGGAACCGAUUCAAUCGUUGUUUGAAGAAUUGGAGAUUCCUCCUGGUUCCUCAGUUUUUCAUUAACAACUUCAAUUGGUUGAGAACCAACUCUUUCCUGUAUGACAGGAACUGGAACAAUAACUUGAUUAGGUUCAACAAGAAUUUCUCUCAACGUGGAACUCCUACUAACUCCAAAAUUGUUCUCCAGAAACUUAGCAGUAAUGGACUCCACAAUUUUAGUGCCGAGAUUUGGACAGUAGAACUUAUAUCCCUUUGAUGUAUCCGGAUACCCAAUAAAGUAGCCAGAAGUUGAUUUAGGGUCUAUUUUCUUUUCAAAUGGAUCAUAAAUCCUAACCUCAGCUGGACAUCCCCAAACUUUAAAGUGAGCCAAACUUGGCUUACAUCUUGUCCAUAAUUCAAAAGGUGUCUUUGCAACAGCUUUACUUGGAACUCUGUUCAAAAUAUACAUAACAGUUUUCAAAGCUUCACCCCACAAAUAUUCAGGCAAAUUUGUUCUACUCAUCAUACUUCUAACCAUAUCUUUUAGGGUUCGAUUACGUCUUUCAGAAACACCAUUCUGCUCAGGUGUCCCUGACAUGGUGUUAUUGGGGCACUAUUCCACACUCUUGUUAAAACUUUGCAAAAUCACCCAUAUUUUGACCAGACUCGUUAUAUUUCCUAUAGUACUCACCACCUCGAUCAGAUCUAACAACUUUGAUACUUUUUCCACAUUGUUUCUCUACUUCUAGUUUGAAAACUUUGAAUUUCUCAAGUGCGUGUGAUUUAUCGUUAAUCAAGUAAACAUAUCCAUAUCGGGAGAAAUCAUCAAUAAAGGUUAUAAAAUAUUUGUUCCUACAUAUGGUGGAAGACAAAGGUUCGCUGAUAUCAGUGUGAAUUAAGUCCAAAAUUCCAUUACUCCUAGUCGAACCCUUUCUUGUAGAUUUAGUUAGCUUUCCUCUUAUACAAUCCACACAGGUUUCAAAAUCAAAGAAGACUAGAGAAGGAAGUAUCUCAUCUUUUUCUAAUAUUUCCAUUCUACCCUUAGAGAUAUGACCUAAACGCUUAUGCCACAACAUAGAGGAUGAUUCACGAAUUAAAGUUCUUUUCUUUGAUACAUUGGUAACACAUGAGACAUCACCAAAAGAAGCUAAAGAUAAUUUAUAUAAACCAUCACAUAAAAUGUCAUUUCCAAUCAAACGAGAAUCAUUAAAUAACUUAACCAUUCCACUACCAAAAUUAAAUGUAAAACCACAAGCAUCAAGUUUCGGUAUAGAAAUUAAAUUUCGUCUCAUCUGCGGUACAUAAACUGUAUUUUUCAAAACAAGAUAAAAAUCAGACUCUAAAGUUAACUUCACUACUCCUAUGAAUUCAACCUUCACUUGAAAUCCAUUUACAACGCUUAAGCUUACUUCAUUCUCACUUGGCCUCCGUUUGCUUGUGAACCCCUGCAAGGAAUUCGCAAUAUGAAUACUAGCUCCCGAGUCUAACUACCAAGAAUUCAAAGGCACAUCUACUAAAGAAGAUUCAAAACAAACUAAGGCCAAGGGAAUACCUGGAGAACUCUUCUUCUUUUCCAACCAAGUCUUGAACUUAAAACAGACUUUUUGCCAGUGACACUUCUUUUUACAGAACUUGCAUUGAUCAUUUUUUUUAUAACUCCUUUGGGAUCACUAAAAUUUUUAUUCUGCUGACUUCUGUGCGACUUAUUACCCUUACGAAACUUAGGUUUAUGAUUAUGAGAAAGCCCCUUAUUCUGUGAUGGCUGAAAAUCUAAUUGCACAGUUUGAACAGUUUCACGACGCAUCCUAUACUCUUCUUGGGCACGCACUACUAUGAGGUCAUUCAAAUUCCAUUUAUCCGCUGAGCAUUGUAAGCAAUCUUAAGCUGAUUAAACUUGCUAGGAAGGCUAUUCAAAACAUGAUAGACCAGGAAAGGCUCCGCAAUGGGAAUGUCAAGAGCCUUUAGCUUAGAUGAUAUAUUUAUCAUUUUCAUGACAUGCUCCCUAACACCACUUGUGUCAUCAUAUCUCAUGCUCAUCAAUUUAUCCAUCAGAUAUCCAGUUUUGGCUUUAUCAGACUCAACAAAUUUUUCGCCUAUAGCAUCCAUAAAACUUUUGGCAUUUUUAUUAUCAGGGAUGACACCUGAAAUGGAAUCAGAUAUCGAUCGGUUAAUAAUUUUCAAACAGAGUUUGUUAGCCCUUUCCCACUUUUCAUGCUCGGCUACAUAUUCAACUGUACUCUUAUUUGUGGGUUCCUCAAGCUUUUUCUCCAUUCCAAAAUCUAAGCCCAAAAGACCAAGUGUUAUUUCUACAUCUCGUUUCCAUCUCACAUAGUUAUUCCCAAUCAAAGUUUCAAUAGUAGACAAUUGAUUCGAAAGAGAUGAGACAUUAUAAACUGUUGAAACAUAAAAUAUCACACUCAAUAUCAUCCAAACGUAAUGCAUGCAAUCAAAUGGAUGAUGACAUAUCCAACUAAUUAAUAUGGGCUAUUAAUUAGAUAAUAUGUAAUUUAAAUCGAAACAUAUGAAUUUUAUUACGGUAAGAGCUUAGAUGCAUCAUCAUAAAGUCACAUUUGGGUCGACAAUACAACAUACUAUAAGAUACUCUUAAAAUACAUCAUGUAGUCGGUUAACAAAAUUAUACUGAUUUUCGAAACACCAACACCUUUGGGCAUAAGAAAAUUUCUAAACCAAAAUAAGCUCGUUAACUGUCUUAUGUCAUUUUCUAAAAACAUUACAUAUAAUAACACCUUUAGGCAAGAUAUUAUAUGUAAUAAAUCAAAAUUGUUGUGCAAAAAAAAAAAAGAGAGAGAGAGAGAAAACCGAAUAAAUAAUAAUGAGUGUGCCACUUUGGCAACUACCACCAAUUUUUAUUUCAAAAUAUUUCUCUUUGUGGGAAGAAUACGGAUCGUCUCAAAUCCAUAAAAAAUUUAAUCCCAGAAGUUAUGCAACAAAUAAUGAUCAUUAAUUGAUUAAAGACAAGAAAUUCAUAUGUGAUUAAUAUUAAGAAACGAAAUUGGCAACAAAAUUUCAAAAUGAAAUUGAAUGCAUAAAUAAUGGCAAUACAUAACAUUUUAAUGAAAUAAUACAAAAGUCGUCAAUUAAUUUUAUUAUUUAUUCAACAUAUAAUUUAAUCGGGUCAAGUUUAAAUAAAAUUUCAAUUGGGUCAAAAUUGAAAUAUUGGAGUGAGGACUUUUAAAUCCAAUUUCAAAAUUCAAAUUUAAUCACCUUCCAAAAAUUGCACUCUGACCCCAUGUCUGAAAUUAAAACCAGGUCCUUUAGUUUCUUUACUUACAAGUAGGCCCUUCUCUUAUUAUUUACAAACUUAACUCCCAAUCUGUAAUUGCAAACAGGGGCUAGGAAAUUAGCAAUUUACAACAGGAGCCCCCCGUCUACAUCUCUGUCAAAACGACAGAAACUGAAACUUUUUUUUUUGUUUUCGCGUGCCAGUAGUACCCGGUGUCGCUGCUGCCGGCACUGUUGCCGCAAAAUGCAGCAGUAGCUGGCGGCCACCCCCCCCCCAAAUUUUUUUUAUUUAACAUUAGAACAAUCAUUGGGCAACUAAGAUCCAACAUAUAUAUACAUACAAUUAAAGUACUUAGCUUUGUAGAUCCCAUUAUUGCACUGCGAUUAAAUAAAGCAGCAAGAAACAAAAAAAAAAAGAAAAAAAUCCAUAGCGGAUAGCCGAUUAAACCAAAAUACAAUCUAAAGCAACUGAAAAUCUUAAAAUCCACAAUUUUCGUAGGCAUUAUUAUACGCAUAUAUAUAUAUAAGAGGAAAAGCAUUUAUUGUUCUUGCUUGUGGGUUACUCAACCACGUGAAGGAAAUACGAAUUAAUUCAAUGACACAUAUAAUUUUAAUGUAUGCACAGAAGACGUUUUUCAAAGUGAGAUAAGAAAAAAAAAAUCAUGAAGGAUUUCGAUCUUAACAUGCUGCUCUGAUACCAAUUAUUAAUAUUUAGUUUUAAUCAUGUUAAGAAUCAAUAAUCACAAUCCAAUAAAUUAAUAGAAACGAAUUCAUACAUGCGGAAGCCAUUGUUGAUAUAAAUAAUAAUUGUAAUAGCAGCCAAUAUCUUCCCCUCCUUGCUCCUCACAAAAGUAUUAGCUAUCAAUGGGGCAAGCCAAUAAAACAUAUGAAAAGGAGAGGGGACCUAACCUUUAAAUAUAGGAAAUAAUUUGAGCUGUCCCAUUACGACUAGAAUUCUAAUUAGGGUUUUAUUUUCGGCCCACAUACUUAAAAUUACCACAUCAAAUUAAUUACAAUCCGUACGGUGUAAAAGGCCCAAUUGGUCACUUAAUAAAUUUGGCCCAAACACAAAUAUCAUUAUGAGUCAUACAUCUAACCCGUAAAAUUUGCAAUCGAAUGUGAAGCCCACAUAUGGAAUUAUUAAUUAUUUCAACACAAACACCAUGUUUAAGUAAAUAAAUUUAUGCGUUCUCUAAUUGUUUUCUGUCUGAACCUGCAUAAUUAGCCACAAACACCAUGUUAGGUUGGUUGCAGGCAUGACCGAAGAACCCUUUAACCAAUCAGCUUUCGAAUAAUGUUUUUCCGACAGGUUUAAGAUUUUUGUUUUGUUUUCUACAUACAUUGGAGGUCCUCUAACAAAAGAACACAACAGUACCCGCAUGAAGAAACCGCAUGAAGAAACCAAGAAAACUCAUUAUGAAGGAAAUUUGGGACUAGUACCCGCAUGAAGAAACCAAGAAAAUUUUGUAGGGAAGGAUGCACGAUAAGGGAGGAGCUUUCGUAUUUCUAAUUCAGAAGAGAAGAUGGAUUGUUAAUUAUUUGAAGCAAACAAAACCCUGUUUGAGAUUGACAAAAAAAUCAAAUCAAGAAUAUUGCAACCUCUCCAUGAAGAAAGCGAAAGGAGCUAACGCCACUGAAGCUAAAGCCUGGGUAAACAACAAACACAUAAGGACUCAUAGCAGGCGAAAUUUUUUUCACAUUUUAUAUGAGUAUUGUUUAUGCGAAAUGGAAUGAAAUAAAUUGUCACUGAAAGAUAAAUGUAAUUGAAGUUAUUCUUUUCACAUGAUUAGGACUUAGCAAACCGUUAGGAUGACUAGAAAUAGUCCAACAUACCUACAUAGUGCUCAAAUUGUUAUCCUGAACUACAUAAAUUAUAAAGUGAGAGGAAGCGAACACUUGUUGAGCAUGUUGAAGAUUUCCUAUUUUAGUGGGAGCAAGCAAGAUUGUUCAGAUAUAAUAAGGGGACAAUUCUCUCAACAUGUCAUUUUAUAAGCAAUAUGCAACCUCAGCGGAUAAACAUGGCCUAUUUCAUGAGGGAUAUGAGAAGAUUGGGAUAGAAUUGAUUUUAAGAGAUGCCAUGAGGAUAUUAUAAUCUUAUGGAACCAUAGACAAUAGGAGCCAAAGCUUGAACCAAGCUCCAAAGCUAGAGCUUGAACCAGACCCAAGGGAGGAGCCUGUAUCAGAACCAGAAAAGAAAAUCAAACCAGAGUUGGAGGAAGACCCCGAGUAAGUAUUCGGCCUACAAAACUUCAUUGAUUUGGUUACGAAUUCUAAGCCCAAGUCAUACAUUACUUCAGAUGAUAGGACUCUCCAAAAAAGAUUCUUAGGACUCACAGAGACUAGAAAUAGAUGUUAUUUACUCUGUUUGGGAAAUUUUUAUUUUUAUAUAGGAAACAAAAUAUUACACUUAGAGAUUUGAGUAAUAUGAGAGAAAGUUUGAACAUCUCUCUAGGUACACACUAUACCUAGUGAACAGAGGCAAAGAAAGCAAUGAGGUUCAAAUUGAGAUUGCAUUUGGAGAUUGAUGGAAUAUUGGCAUCCCACCAAUUCACCACUUAUAGUCGGGUUGUGCAAACUGCCCAGGCAAUUUCAAAUAUAUUAGAGAUUGACCAAACUUUUAAGCAAUGUGCCAAGCCUUCUGGAAAGCAAAAAUGGAAUGGGUCCAACAAAGAGAAAUGAAAUGGAAAAAACAAGAAAAUUAACAUUGGAUCAAGUUUUGGACAAACUGUUUCGCUGAGUCCAAAGUGUAACAAGACACAUAAGGGUAAAUGUUUAUUUGGGAAUAAUGUGUGCUAUCGAUGCGGUAAGCAAAUCAUAUUGCUUAAAACUGAAAAGAAGCCUUCUCGAAGAAAGAUAACGAGCAAGAAAAGAAAAGGAAUAGCAAAGCUUUUGCUUUAACUCAGGAUUGGGCAGCAAAUGACUCAAAUGCAGGUAAUUCUGAGAAUGAAAUUCCUUUUAGGAGAGAAGAUUGUUAAGUCUCGAAAUUUGAUAGAAUAGAAUUUUUUAACCCAGAUUUUUUUUUAUAUAUUUUGAUAAUUAAGGGAUUCAAGUGAAAUAGUAUUAAUUUCAAAUUUUUUGGCCAAAUAAUUAAGUAUUGAUGGAGUGAAGAUAAGUAUAUCAAUAUUGGUCUCUUCUAGAGCUUGUAAUUAAUUAGAAAAAUUUGCUCGAGAAAAAAAUAUUUUGGAUAAAUUUAAACUGGGUUAGAGUCGAUUGAAUGAGACCAAGGUUAGAUAGAAUCUUAGAAACUUGAAUUUUAUAUUAUUGUCUACUUCUUUCUUAGCCUCCCACUUGAUGCUUACUAGAAACUAUUAGAGGAAGACCAAUCAAACUCUGCUUUUUGAAGAAAAUCUUUACCCAAAUAGUAAAACCCAUUCCUAUUUAAAUACUUUGCAGUCUGUGGCUAACUCUUAGUAGAAUAGAAGUACAAUUGUAAUACUAGACAAUGGCGGACACAGACAUUUUGAGUCAUAAAGCUCUAUCAAACUCUGUACAAAUCGAAUAUUUUGUUCUUGAUUUUUGGAUGAUUCAUAUCUAGCCCAAAAAAGUAAAGAUUUACAUUUAAAAAAUAUUUCUUUAUUAAUAUUUUACUCAUCUUUUUCAUCCAUUUGAUUUUGGAUAGUCAUUUUAUUAAUAUUUGCUCAUUACAAGAAAAUGCAUAUUUACGGUUAAAAAAUUUAUAAGAAUUCAAGUAAUCUAAAGAAAAAAAUAUAUAAUCAAUAUUUAACACUAAUAAUCAAUCAAAUAAUGCAAUUUGUUAAAUAUAAAUUAAAUUAGAUAUAAUCAGUUAAGACACAUUCUAUAUACUGUCACUUUUUUUUUAUAUACUGCAAGUGUUAAGUUACUUAAUAUAAUAAUGGAGAUAGAGUGUCGAACCACUGGGAUUGUAAUUUAAUUUCAUACAAAGUACUAUAAUUAUAUAGCCUUUAUAUUAUCUAAAUGGAAAGUUAUGAAAUCAAUAUUUAUAAACUAAUCUAGUGAUGAAUAUGGUGACGAAUUCAACUAUAUCAUAACAAAUUUGAAAGAUUAAUCAAGAUAAGAAAGUCUAAUAUUUGAUUUUACCUAACUAUCAAAUAUAAUUCUCAAUUAUCUAGUUAUCUCUAAACAACUUUUCCAUGUUUAUAAGAAAGAACUCAAUUGUAUUUCUAUCCCUUCCCAAGAACGUUGGCUAUAAAUUAAUCAUAAAUUUCAAUUCCAAUAUCUUUCUUCCGAGUUAAAACCAAGAAUUUAUCGAGUUAAUGGUUUUUUAAUGGAGUAAGCCUCAUAGAUUCUACACUUUCUCUCGAAAUCUAUAAAAUCUAUGUUGUGUUAAUUUUAUGAUCGCUCCUAAAUUCUCUUUUCUCAAGUGCCAAAAUUGACUAGCAUCUUCUCAUUCAAUUAGUGAUCAAUUAAUUGAAGCAUUAAAAUCAUAACAAAAAUAAACGGAAUGGAAAAUUUCAUAGAAUUCUAUAACUUAAAUAAAUUCAAAACAUACUCUCAAGUUUUAACUAAUCAAACCCUAGAUUAGAUGUUUAGUUCAUGGCAGAAGCCAUAAAAUUAAUCAAAUUCAAAUAAAAAACAUAGAAAAACUAGUUUUGGUAGAUAUUCAAUCUCCUUUGUAAUGUUCUUGAUUUCUCCUUGAUUUCUAAAUGAUUGCUUGCUUCUUGCCUCCUUCUUGACCGUUUGAAUUCUCCCCCAAUUGUGGUCUUUAGGUUUGUAUUAUAGUAUUUUGAAGUCUUAGACGAAUUAGGGUUGGAGAGGACCAAGAAAAAAUUCCAAAAAAUUUUAAAAUUCCUUUUUCUCACCUAGCGGUGCUGCACCUUGGGUGCCGCGAUGUUGUUGAUUUUCAACAAGACAGGUGCAAUGGCACUCACUUCAAGUGGAAAAAAAACAUUGUACAUCUUUUAGUAUUAUUAUCAUAACUUAUCCCUGAUUAAAGUGAUUCGAGCUACGUUGAAAAGCUAGCUCAAAGGAAUACAACUUUGCUUCAGAUAUCAUUUUCCUGUUCGAAUGUUUGCUGUGUCAAAAAUGGGUCUUAAUAUGAAAUUAAAAAUUCGGAGCAUAACUUUUUCAGUUGGAGAUAGAUGUGUGAUCAUACUUUGGCUAUAUUUUAUCCCUUUGACAUUUUUCUUUAUCCAGCUGACUCCUAGAAUUCUCGAAUCUUCAUUGUGAGGUCCGAGACAACUUUUGAGCAUUUACACUUUAGUCCUCCAACUUUGGAUCUCUUACAAUUUAGCCCAUUUUCCUAUUUUGCCAACUUUUGCUUAUUUUCUUCAAUUUCAUCCACCUAUGUCACAAAAUUAAAGCACACAUUAAAAUCUCUAAAACUCAUAGGAAUUAACUAAAUAUCAUGCUUAGAUGGUGCCUAAAGUAUGAAUAAAAUACACUCAUCAAAUAUCCCCAAACUUAAUACUUUGCUAGUCAUCCGACAAACAUUAAACAAAAAGUAACUAACUAACAAAUACUUAAACAAAAAAAUUUAAUAAAAGAAAACACAUAAACAAAUUUAGUUAGAUAGUUUGUCUUUAUAGCACAUGAUUGAAAACAUAAUAUCAAUUAUGAACCACAACAAAGUUAUAAUGUAAAAGCUAAAUUCUGACCUAUUCAAUGCAAAAUGAGCGUGUGUAUGAAAAGUUAAGUGCAACGCUGCACAUUAAUAAUUUGAUCCAAUUCCUGAUCUUAAAAAGUCAAAUAUUUACUUACUUCACUUGUGCGAUUCACAUAUCUCCAAACUUGUUUUCUUUUUCACUUUCGUGGUGUAUUCUAAAGUUGAUUUUCAAUAAUGAUUUCUUACACCACUCAAAUUUGGUUAGAAUUUAUUUAUUGCAGCUCAACAUAUCAACAAAUGAAGAUUCUCCUGAUUUUUGACUGCUUCAACCGCUUGAAUAAACUUUUCCUAUAUUUAGACUAUAUGAAAUUAUUGACAACAACCUUAUCUUCAGACUUCCUCCUUUUUUUUUUGACUUUGUUUGAUAAUUGAGUACUAGUCUUUUUCUUUACGUCUUUUCAUCUUUCUAUAUUUGCUUUCUCUUUUCUUCAUUCUCAAUUGUUGCACCUAUAUGUCCAUCAUUUCAAUGUAAGCUUCUUCUAAAUCUGGAUCCAUUUCAUUGUCUUUUACAUCAGAUAUGUAUUCUUCUUCUUCUUAAUACUUUUUUGUCAUCAGGCAAACAUCAAACAAAAAUUAACUAACUAAUAAACACUUAAACAAACAAAUUUAAGAAAAGAGAACACGUAAACAAAUUUAGUUAGAUAGUUUGUCUUCAUAGCAAAUGAUCGAAAAUGUAGUAUCGAUUAUGAACCACAUCAACGUUAUAAUACAAAAGCUAAAUUUUGACUUAUUCAAUGCAAAACGAGCGUGUGUAUGAAGAGUUAAGUGCAACGCUGCACAUUAAUAAUUUGAUCCAAUUUCUAACCUUAAAAAGUCAAAUAUUUACUUACUUCACUUGUGGGAUUCACACAUCCCCAAACUUGUUUUCUUUUUCACUUCUCGAUGUGUAUUCUAAAAUUGAUUUUCAAUAAUAAUUUCUUACACUGCUCAAGUUUGGUUAGAUUUUACUUAUUGUAGCUCAAUGUAUUAACAAAUGAGGAUUCUCCUGAUUUUUGACUACUUCAACCUCCAAGAAUCAACCAAGUUACUAACAUAUUAUCAAAAGACUGGUCUUCUAAAACAAGUGUCUUCUAUUUUAUGCACCAUCUUUUACAUACAUACAUAUACAUACACACAUACACACACACACAUGUGUGCACGCGUGCUGUGGCAAUUAAUACAAUUAAUAAAAAGUCUUUGUAGUAAGAAUAAGAAAAACUCCAAGUCUUAUUUAUGGUUUAAAAAAAAAGUUUGACGUAAGAAAAAUAUGUGACAAUUAAAUACGUAGAAAGUGAUGGAAAGUGACAAAUCUUGACCAAUUAAUAAAGUGAGAGUUAAAAAUGUUUUUUAAACGAAUUACAAAAGUCUUCAAGAUACGUAACCUAAAUAGAAAGCCUACUAACCAGUUCCAAAAAGUCUAUUAAGAUAAUAAAAUUUUCUCUCAGAAAUGGAAUCUUUAUCUUUAUUUUCUCUUAUAAUUUUUAUGUCGUUUUGCCUUUUAUUAUAAUCUUCAGGAUCCUUUAUUAACAAACUCUGACACUGAAAGAUAGAAAGCUUAGUGAUUUGCGUAUUGAUCUGUAAAGAGAAGUCACCUCUAUUUAUAUCUAGUGCGAAUAAUAUAUGGCUUUCUAUAAGAAUUAUUCUACCAAUUUCUCGAUUUUCUAAACAAAUAUCAGUAAAUUCUUUAAAACUUUCUAUUGAAAAACAAAGAAAAGUAGAUGAUGUAUAAUUGUCUAAUGACAUAAAAUAUUAGAAUUAAAAAUCAAUAUGUUUGUAAUGGAUUUAGAGUACUUUAUUGUUUAGCAAAUUAAUUUUUUCAACUUUUUUUUUUUUUUAACUCUCUCUUAACUUUUUUCUUGACCUUUUAAGAAAAGCUUAAGACUAUAGUUAAAAAGACUUUCAUCAUGUUUAAAAAAGUUUAAACAAACUCCCAAAAUCGAGAUACAAAACAAUCAGCUUAAAUUAGAGGAUUACUUUAUCUUAUUAAUCAUGGAAUCCAGAAUAAAGAGGUUAAGAGCAUUAUAAUAUAGAAACAAUAAAAAGAUAAUUUUUUUCUGGAUCAAUUAAUUGCUUACUUAGUGUACCCCCUUAGUCGAGCCUCUUUUUUCCUAAGCUUAUUCACUUAGUCAAGCACUUAUUCUCCUAAGUGAACCACUUAGUUGAGCCACUAUUUUUCAAAGUGUACCAACUUAGUCGAGUCUUUAUUUUCCUAAGUGCACCUACUUAGUUGAGCAUAUAUUCUCCUAAGUUCACUUGUUUAGUGGAGCCUAUAUUUUUCUAAGUGUAUCAGCUUAGUCAAGCCUCCAUUCUCCUAUAUGCAUCCACUUAGUUGAGACUCAACUGCAUAUAUUUAGAGCAUCACCUCUAAAUCAGCUUCAACAUAGCUACUUACCUUCAAAGCUUUGCCUCUACCCAAAAGUCCACUUAUUUAAUGAAAUUCAUAAUUGGACUUUUAAGACUAUUGUGAUACUAUCAUCCUAGUAGCAUUACAUUGUUACCGUUAGCACAUGCAUUGUAUUAUUGCUAGCAUGUCAUGAUGCUAUUUUCACUACCGCCAGUAUGCAUGCCACAUCAUCUAUAUUACCAUUUUAUUAUCGCUAGGAAGUAACUUUCUUUACACUAGCAAUACUUUUGUACUAAGCUGUGCAAGCAUAUGAUCCACUAUGAUACACGAUAGGCUCUCUAUACGUUAUAUUUUUUAGAAAUAUGAUUUGCUAUAAUUUUCUUUAUCGUCAUGAGAAUUUUGAUGGAAAAUGGGCCCCAUUUUAUUUUGUAUAUGUGAGUAGAGAUAUAGCAUUAUAUCUCAGGUAGGUGUAGUCUAUUAUGGAAGAGAUGUUAAAAUUUUGGUAAAUCAUAGUGUGAUAUUUUAAAGAUAGUUCGUAAGCCUUCACUUAUUAGAUUUGCUCAUUUUCAAAGGCUAUCUGUAGGCCUUCAUAUUUUAGAGACUAUUUCAACUCUUAAUGUGUUCGCAACAUAUAAUUUUUAUGCAAUUUGUAAGCCCUCUUAGUUGACAACUUAUAUUUCAAAGUCUAACCUGCACUUGAAAAGACGGCUCAAUCUUGGGGACUAUUGUCUAUAAACUAAGUGGCAUGCAUGUGAUGGAAGGGGUCUCACAUUUACUGACUCAACAAUCAAUUAUGUCCAAUGGAUAUGACCUAUUUAAUUAAACAUCAUGUCCUUGUACUUACUCCCAGUUCAAUAGUCCAUCUUCGCCCAUUUUCUCCCCUUAUAUAGGUGAGCUCAUUUCUCACACAAGGUAAGAUUAUUCUAGCCUUAGCCAAAUCAUCUUCUUCCAUCUCUUUCACUCAUUCUCUCUCAUUCGGUCAUUGAGUUGAAUAUCAGAGUGUGAACGGUUAUUGGACCGUUUUCUCAAUCGCUGAUUUUUACCUUCUAACAGUGUGUUCCAGCAUAUAGGUAUUACCUCUAUGGAGGGGAGGCGUCGGGGAUUCUGUUAGCCACGUAUUCAUUGGAUUUUGAAGUCAACAUUAUUUUUUGAAUGUAGAAUCAUGUUUUCUCAAUUGAUAUCUCUUUCUUGUUUGUCAAUUUUUGUCAAGUCUGUUGAAUGAGCAUGAGCUCCAGAAAUAUGGCUAUAACUAGUAGAACAAACUUUUUGAGGACGAGAACUCCUAUCAAAUGACGUUGUCCUGUUAUUCAAUUAGGAUCCAAUAGUUGGAAAUCAUCUUUUUUCAUCACAAUUACGGAUUGUGUUGGGAGAAAACGGGCUGCCCAUGUGGGUUGACCCGACCCAGUUUGCAUGAAGAUGAAUUUGGAGGGAAGAGUUGGAAAUUAGAUUUGAAACUUAACCUCCCUCAAUCAACUUCUUCUAUAUAACUUCCUUCCCAUCAAAAACUGAAAAUAUACAUGGUGAAACUCAAAUUUCCAAAAUGAGAGAAAACAAAAUGAGUGUUGUGGCUUGAUUUUGGAAUAAUAACACCUCAAAUUUGGUUAUUGGAUUGUGGCUAUCAAAUUCCUUCCAUUGUGAUCGAAUUUCUGACCAAGAAGUGGGUACAAAACGGUGUGGAAAGCAAGCAAAUCAAAAGCAAGUAAUUCAACCUUGAUUUUGAGAUUUCAUACAAGUAUCGCUGCUUAAACUCGGUUAUAAGCAUGCAAGCACGUUUUACGUUGUAUAUAACUUAUUUCGACUCCAAUUUCACAUUCAAUAGCAUAAGCAAAAAGAGGGUUGUUUAAUUGCUUGUUAUUUUUUUUAUUUGUUAGGUGUUGAAGUGGCUGAGAGAUUUGCAUAUUGUGGAUAAAUUUGAAUUGAUAAGCUAUUUGAUGCAUCCAUUGGGGCAAUUGACUACUAAAACGGUGGAGAAUGCGAAGGAAUGACGGUGUUGCUUUUGUGUGGAUAAAUUUGAAUUGAUAAGCUAUUUGAUGCAUCCAUUGGGGCAAUCCACUACCAAAACAGUGGAGAAUGCGAAGGAAUGACGGCGUUGCUUUUGUCACUAUUGGCUAAUUUUGUGGCUGACUCCUUUCUUGGUCACAAGUGCACUAUCUAUUAUCAUAUCUCUGGACUCUAUAUUGUGUUCAGUUGAAAAAGCUCACACCAAUGCCUCAGGGUAUAAUUAUUGGCUAAAUAUAUAAUUUCUCUUCUGAGAUUUUAAAUUACAUUAACUCCGUGCUUAUAGCUACUUAGUGCCUUUUACUUCGGUUUACAUAUAAUAAGUUUUAUUAGAAUAGACACGCUUCUAGAAAUGAUCCUCGACAAAGAUGAUUGAUGGACCAAGGAGGCUACUUCUAGAUGUUUAUUGUAAGGUUACAUUGCUUGAAGCAGUGGUUCUUGCUAAUGACAGUUUUAAAAGGAGGGAUAAAAUGUAACGAUUCUAUAAUGUUCUGCAUCUCUAAGUCAAAACAUAGCUCUUGAACAUAAAAUCAUCUAAGUACGCUCCUAUUGUAAAUUGACUUUAAGGAUGAGUUUCAAUCAAUGCUAUUAUAACGUUAUUUGAUAUGAUAUAGCACAAGGUGGAAACUUAUUAAUUAGCAAAAAGUGUAAAAUUUGAACCAGUUUGAAUCAUUUGGUUUUUCUCUUGGACCAUGAUCAAUGAAUGUGCAGCAAAGUAAUAAAGAAUGUGUAGAAUAUCGUUUCAACGAAUAUUAAAUACUUAAUUUAAUUUCUAGCUAACGCCAAAUUUAAUCGAAUAGCAAUAUUAGUUUAUGGAUGAGUUUUAUACUAGCAAUCUAAAUUCUAUGUUAAAUUAACUAUCCUUACUGAUUAAUGUUUAAGUAUUUUGAAACCCUAGUAAUCGGAUAAUUACUAAGACCUUGAACGUCCCUACAUACUUCCUGGUUAAUGUCAAUUGAAAAUUUGGACAAUACAUGCCCUGAUGUGAAGAUCAAUAUUCCUAAUACGAUUAAUAAUUCUCUCUCGAGUAGAUGUAAACAGAUCAUUGUAUAUAUGACCUUCAUAUCUCUCUAUGAAAGAUAUGCGCAUCCAAAGAAUCAUUAGAAUCAGAAAAACAAUGACUAUUACUAUGUGUCAAAUUUCUAUCCAUUCUCACGAAUGUCAAUAAAAAUCACAAGACAAUUUAAUUAGUAACUAAUUAAUUGAAAAGCAUUAAGUACUAACAAUUAUUCAAAUUCAAACACAUGUUUUAAAGUAAAAAAUUUUAAAAAGUAUAUCAGAACUUCAAAACUAGGGUUCAACAUUAUCCUAGCAUAACAAUUAGCCAAGCAUCAAAUUAAUUACAAGUACACAAAAUAAUCGAUACAAAAUCAUCCGAAAAUUAAUAAUUGGAAAGAAUAUGAAAAAUAAACUUGAAUAUUGUAUCUCUUCAAUUUCUUUUUAAUUUCUUUUUCUCUUUUGAUUCUUCCUCUUCCUUUCAAUCCAAGAAGUCAAUAUAUUAAAAAUAGGUUUGAAUGUGUUUUGUAUAAAGUUUCUACAAAACUUUGAAAGAGUAUGAGUUUAUGAAUCAAAAGCUUCCUCUUUGGCUCUCUUGUAUGAAGGAACUAUCGAUUUGAAACCCUAAGAGCUUCUUUCACUUGUAUAUAAUUAAUCCUUACAAGUGUAAUCGAUUGUUGGACUAAGAUGUGUAUUAUUAUAAAGUCAAGAUUUAGGUCUUAUUUUGUGUCCUUAGGAUUUGAAAUUUUAGUCAUAAUAGGAAUGUUGGGUUGCUGAAUUUUAACUCAGCGAUCGCCUUGAGAUUGAACCCGAGUGAAGAGUGUGAACACGUAAUCUAAAAAAGUUGGGACUAGUAUUCUUAUCUUCAUAGUUGUGAUCGUAGAGAUCACUGAACUUCCAUUGGUUCAUUUUGGUCCUUAAACCAUAGUUUUGGUUCUUAUCCUCAAAUAUUGCAUGAAAUGUCUUCAAGUUUAGUUCUUCAAAAUGUAGUCCUCUACAUUCCUAAAUAAUUAAUUAUCGACCCGAAGCAAGUUUAGAAAUUUUUUCAGUUUAGUCCUCAAACUUUUCAUUUGUUGAAUUUAACUCUUGAAACUUGUUAUUCACCUUUGAUUGCCCUCAUAAUACUUCCAAAUGACCAAUUUUCAAUCUGGUUGAUCUUCAAGCACUUUGAAUCAACUUCACAAUUAUAUUCCAGUUUCACCUAUUUUACACUAAUUUCUUCCGAAUUUAGGGAUUUACCUACAGUUAAUAUAAUUUAACAUAAAUAUCCAUUCAAUUGAUCAUAAUUAAUUAAAUGAAGAAGUCCAUAAAAUGCACUUAUUCAGCCACUUGAGAUAUGUAAUUUAACACAUCUUUUAUUUGUUUCUUUACAUUUUUAAAUUAAUAUUUCAAAAAAAAAAUAUUGUUAAAAAUUGUGAUAAAGUUAUCAAUUCCCAAUAAAGGGACUCUUGUAGCAUAAAGUUCUAGGCGAAAAGUAAAACUUCUAGGGUUAGCUAGUUGUGGGUGGAGUAUGAGAUAGACGUUUUAUUGGGGAAUUAUAUCUCUAGGUGUCAUUUUCUACCAUUUUCUGCUAGAGGAAUAGGAUUAGUACUUGUUAGUUUUGGAGAAAAUUCUAUAUUUUAUUUUUCAAUUUCUUCAAUUCUAAAAAUUACUCUCUUGGUCCCUAAGCUCCUAUAUAAAAUUUUACCUUAAUUAAAAAAACACAUUUAGACUUUAAUUAAAUUAAUCAAAUAAAGACGACGCUAUAUCUCUUGUACUACAUCACCAGCAGGCUUCAAAAUUGAAGAGGCUAGAGGCUUCAAAAUCUAUUUAACAGAUUAACGUAAUUGAAAUUGGUUAUUCACAUGCUUUCAAAGAAUGUGAAAUGGAGUUGAUACUUGAUUAUUUGGAUGGUUUUUAAAUGUUUCUUUAAUGCUGAUCACAUUACACUUUGUCCUAGGAAUGCAUGUUGGUUUUCUUUCUUGGUUUUGCUCGAAGAUUACAAUUAUAUCGUGCCUAAUUAGUUACAUACCAAUUAUUGAUAAAGGUUUGAUUUGACUAAUUGGUAGCCAAACGUCCCAUAAAUUUAUAUAACCUUUUGAGUUUUGAAAGCAAUAAAAAUAGUAUUAGAUCAUGAGUGAACAAAAAUCGGUUUCUACCCUGUAGAGACAAAAAUCGUAGCUUGGGGACCUAAUUACUAUAUUUUGAAAAGGUUGAGUAUCAAAGUUUUAAUUUUUAUUAAGGGUAUAUUUGAUAGGUGAAAAUUUUCCCUAGAAAAUGGAAAAUCAAUUCCAACUUCCACUUUUGCAUUGUUUGAUAGCAAUUUUUUCCCCCUAAGAUUCCAUUUCCAAGUUUCUUGCCACAUAAGCCAUUUUUUAGGUUUUCCUUGAAUUGGAAUUCCAAUUCCAGUCACUGUAGCAUUUUUGUUUUUGUUUUGUUUUUUUGUUGGCAAUAGAAACAAAUUCUAAGAAUUAUUGUAAAAAAAAUUUCUCUUUAAUUGACAAUUUUCAUGUAAAACAAAGCCAAACGAACACCAAAAGAUAGAUUUUUUUUUUUUUUUUUUUGGCAAUGGAAACAAUUUUCUUCUCAAAUACCAGUAAAUUCUAUCUCUUUAAUUGACAAUUUUCAUAAAAAAAAAACCAAACGAAUACUAAAAAAUACUUUUAUUUCAACAUUUUUUACGUGAAAAAUUAUACCAAUCAAACACAAUAAUUUACAAUUCCCUUGAAAACAAUUUUUGAGCAAUUCAAUUAUCUGAAAUUCAUUUUCUUCCCACCCAAAUUCCAUCUUCACAAUUAAACGGAACCUAAAUUUCGAAUUAAUUUUCUAUGAGCCAUUUUUUACUCAGCUUUCAAGCAAAUCACGCGCACAUGAAUAGCUAAAAAAUACUCCUUGACGGAGCUUCACGUAAGACUUUUUGUAUCUUUCUUGAAGUACACGGACGCAGUCGCAUCAAAAUCCAUAUUUAAAGAAAAAAAAAAUCAAUUUUUUAAAAGUUUUUGUGUUUUGAAUGUAAUCAGGAUAAUGCCCUGUUUUUCCGAGUGCAGUCUCUUUCAUGUUGACAAAUUUAUGCCAACUGAGGAGGUUAUUGACCUUCACGUAUAUAUAUAACCGUUUGAAAGACUAGAUGGUUGCGUGUGAAAGUUGGUUGAAGUAGAACAGUCACCUAAAUUUAAUUGCUUGCUCUGUUUUUAAAUUAAUCAAAAAAAAAAAAAAAAAACAUAAAAAAAUGUAAGAUUUGAAAUUUUAGCCCCGUUUGGCUCCAUUUAAAUUAAAUAUUAGUUUUUUCUCUUAUAUUUUCAAUCAUAUAAUUUUUCAUAAAAUAAUAUUACACGUAAAUCGAAAAAUUUUCUAUCUUUUUCAACCACUCAUUUUCCAAAAAACAUAUUAUUCCACCUCUUUUAAUUUGGAAAAAUGGAGGUCAAACGGGUGCCUAGUCAUAAUAGGAAUGUCGAGUUGCUGAAUUUUAACUGAGGGACCGAGUUGCUGAAUUUUAACUAAGGGACCGCCUUGAGAUUGCACCAUAGUAUUCAGUGUGAACACGUAAUCUAACAAAGUUGGGACCGCUAUUGAAAUUUUCAUAGUUGCAAUCGUAGAGAUCAUUGAAUUUCCAUUUGUUCAUUUUAGUCCUCAAACAAUAGUUUUGGUUCUUAUCCUCGAAUAUUGCAUGAAAUGCCCUUUGUGCUUCGAUAUGUCUAGGCAAGGUAUAAGAAGGAAAAGCCUAUUUGACAUUAUUGACAAUAAAACUUACCAAAGUGAUCGAUUUCUUAACAAACUUUGACUUGUUCACAAAUGCAGCAGGUUAUUCCCUAGAUCUAUUUGAAUUACUCUUUGAAUUUUUUAACCGGUUUUGUAUCGUUAUUUACUAAAAUCGUUCUUUGGAGGGGAAGGAUGGAUUGAUAGUGUGGACAAUUUAGAAGAUAUAAUCAAGUUUAGUUCUGCACAAUGUAGCCCUCUACAUUCCUAAAUAAUUAACUAUUGACCCAAAGAAAGUUUUGAAAAUUUUCAAUUUAGUCUUCAAACUUUUUAUUUGCUAAAUUUAACUCUCGAAACUUGUUAUUCACCUUUGAUUGUCCCCCUUAAUACUUCCAAAUGACCAAUUUCAAUUUGGCUGAUCUUCAAGCACUUUGAAUCAACUUCAAUUAUACUCUAGUUCACCUAUUUCACACUAAUUUCUUCCAUAUUUAGGGUUUACCUACAAUUAAUAUAAUUUAACCUAAUAUUAAGUAAAUAUCCACUCAAUUAAUUAUAAAUAAUUAAAAUGAAGAAGCCAUAAUAUGCACUUAUCACCCCACUUGAGAUAUGUGAUUUAAUACAUCGUAUAUUUGUUUCUUUAGGUUUUCAAUUUAUUAUUUCAACGAAAUAUAUUGUUAAAAAUUGUGAGAAAUUAUCAGUUUCCAAUAAAAGAGACUCUUGUAGCAUAAAGUUCUAGACGAAAAGUAAAACUUCUAGGGUCAGCUAGUUGUAGAUGGAGUAUGAGAUAGACAUUUUAUUAGGGCCCCGUUUGGUAGGGAUUUUUUGCCCCAAAAAAUUGAUUUUUUGACCGUUAUUUUACUAUUCAAGCCGUAAUUUUUGACUUCUUCUCUCACAUGUGGACCCCACUUUUCUUCUAACGGUCAAAAAAUCAAUUCUCAAAAUCCCUACCAAACAGGCCCUAGAAUUAUAUCUCUAGGUGUCAUUUUCUACCAUUUUCUGCUAGAGGAAUAGGAUUGGUACUUGUUACCAAAAAAGUCUUGGAUGUUGAAAAUUUUAAUAUGUCAAUUUCAUUUGGAUUCGUCAAUACAUAACAAGAAUUUUGGAGAAAAUUCUAUAUUUCAUUUUUCAAUUUUCUUCAUUUCUAAAAAUUAAGCUCCUAAUAUAAAAUUUUACCUUAAUUAAAUAAAAACACAUUUACACUUUAAUUAAAUUAAUCAAAUAAAGCCGACGCUAUAUAUCUUGUACUGCGUCACCAGCAAGGUUCAAGAUUGAAGAGGUUAGAGGCUUCAAAAUCUAUUUAACAGAUUAAUGUAAUUGUAAAUGGUUAUUUAGACGCAUUCAAAGAAUGUGAAAUGGAGUUGACACUUGAUCAUUUCGGUGAUUUUUAAAUGUUUCUUUAAUGCUGAUCACGGUACAUUUUGUCUUAGGAAUGCAUGUUGAUUUUCUUUCUUUGUUUUGCUCGAAGAUUACAAUAAUCUCGUGCCUAAUUAGUUACAUACCAAUUAUUGAUAAAGGUUUGACUUGACUAAUUUAUAAACCAUUUAUAAAUUGGUAGCCAAACGUCCCAUAAAUUUAUUUAACCUUUUGAGUUUUGAAAGCAAUCAAAAUAGUAUUAGAUCAUGAGUGAACAAAAAUCGGUUUCUAUCCUGUAGAGACAAAAAUCGUAGCUUGGGGACCUGAUUACUAUAUUUUGAAAAGGUUGAGCACAAAAGUUGUAAUUUUCCGUGAGCCACUCUUGACUGAGCUUUCAAGCAAAUCACACCUGCGCAUGCAAAACUUUUUGUAUCUGUCUUCAAGUAGACGAAAGCUAUCACAUCAAAAUCAUAUUUAAAGAAAAAAAUCAAAUCUUUUAAACUUUUUGUGUUAGAGUGUAAUCAGAAUAAUGCCCUGUUUUUCCGAUUGCAAUCUCCUUCAUGUUGACAAAUUUAUACCAACUGGGGACGUUAUUGACCUUCAUAUAUUAUAUAUAUAACCGUUUGAAAGACUUGCCGCUUGCGUGUGAAAGUAGGUUGAAGUAGAAGAACAAUCUCAUCAAUUCAAUUGAUUGCUUGCUCCGUUUUAAAAUAAGUCCCGUUUAAUAGCAAUUUCUAUAUAAAAAAUAAAAUAAAAUAAAUCAAUUUUUUUAUUAUUAGUUCACUAUUCUAGUCGUCACUUUUGGCCUCUUCAUUCAUAGGUAGGACUUAGUUUUCUUUCUAACGGCCAAAAAAUCAAUUGUCAUAAUUACUACCAAACAUGCUCCAAAUUAGAAAAAGGUAAAAUUUGAAAUUUUAAUCAUAAUAGGAAUGUCGGGUUGCUGAAAUUUAACUUAGGGACAGCCUUGAGAUUUCAUCGUAUUAUUCGGUGUGAACACAUAAUCUAACAAAGUUGGGACCGCUAUUGAAAUUUUCAUAGUUGCGAUCGUAGGGAUCAUUGAACAUCCAUUUAUUCAUUUUAGUCCUUACACAAUAGUUUUGGUUCUUAUCCUCGAAUAUUGCAUGAAAUACCCUUUGUGCUUCGAUAUGUCUAGGUAAGGUAUACGAAGAAAAAGCCUAUUUGACAUUGUUGACAAUGAAACUCACCAAACUUUGGCUUGUCCACAAAUGCAGCAGAUCAUUCAUUAGAUCUAUUUGAAUUACUCUUCGAAGUUUUUAACUGCUUUCGUGUCGUUAUUUACUAAAAUCGUCAUUUGGAGGGGAAGGAUGGAUUGUUAGUGUGGACAAUUUAGAAGAUAUAAUCAAGUUUAGUUUUGCACAAUGUAGUCCUCUACAUUCCCAAAUAAUUAACUAUUGACUCGAAAAAAGUUUCGAAAUUUUUUCAAUCCAGUCCUCAAUCUUUUUAUUUGUGGAAUUUAACUCUCGAAACUUGUUAUUCACCUUUGAUUGUCCCCCUUAAUACUUCCAAAUGACCAAUUUCAAUUUGGCUGGUCUUCUUUCUUCAUAUUUAGGGUUUAGCUACAAUUAAUAUAAUUUAACCUGAUAUUAAGUAAAUAUCCACUCAAUUAAUUAUAAAUAAUUAAAAUGAAGAAGCCAUAAUAUGCACUUAUCACCCCACUUGAGAUAUGUGAUUUAAUACAUCGUAUAUUUGUUUCUUUAGGUUUUCAAUUUAUUAUUUCAAAGAAAUAUAUUGUUAAAAAUUGUGAGAAAUUUAUCAGUGUCCAAUAAAAGGGACUCUAGCUAGACAUUUUAUUGAAAUUAUAUCUCUAGGUGUCAUUUUCUACCAUUUUCUGCUAGAGGAAUAGGAUUGGUACUUGUUACCAAAAUAGUCUUGGAUGUUGAAAAUUUUAAUAUGUCAAUUUCAUUUGGAUUCGUCAAUAAAUUACAAGAAUUUUGGAGAAUUCUAUAUUUCAUUUUCGAAUUUCUUAAAUUCUUAAAAUUACUCUCUUGGUCCCUAAGCUCCUAACUUAAAAUUUCACCUUAAUUUAAAUAAAACGCAUUUAUACCUUAAUUAAAUUAAUCAAAUAAAGCUGACGCAAUAUCUCUUGUACUACGACACCCUCAGGGUUUAAGAUUGAAGGGGCUAGAAGCUUCAAAAUCUAUCCAACAAAUUAACAUAAUUAUAAAUGGUUAUUCACACGCUUUCAAAGAAUGUGAAAUGGAGUUUACACUUGAUUAUUUCGACGGUUUUUAAAUGUUUAUUUAAUGCUGAUCAAGUUACAUAUUGUCCUAGGAAUGCUUGUUCAUUUUAUUUCUUUGUUUUGCUCGAAAAUUACUAUUAUCUCGUGCCUAAUUAACUACAUGCUAAUUAUUGAUAAAUGUUGGAUUUGACUAAUUUAUAAAACAUUUAUAAAUUGGUAGCCGAACGUCCCAUAAAUUUAUUUAACCUUUUAAGUUUUGAAAGCAAUCAAAAUAGUAUUAGAUCAUGAGCGAACAAAAAUCGGUUUCUAUACUGUAGAGACAAAAAUCGUAGCUUGGGGACUUGGUUGCUAUAUUUUGAAAAGGUUGAGUGUCAAAGUUGUAAUUUUCCCUAAAUUUCAAAUUAAUAUUCAUGAGCCAUUUUUGACUGAGCUUUCAAGCGAAUCACACCUGAACAUGUAUAGCUAUAAAAUACUCCAUUGAUGGAGCUUCAUGCAAAACUUUUUGCAUCUGUCUUGAAGUAGACGAACACAAUCCCAUCAAAAUCCAUAUUUAAAGGAAAAAAACCAAUUCUUUUAAACUUUUUGGGUUAUGAAUGUAAUCAGAAUAAUGCCCCGUUUUUCCGAUUGCAAUCUCUUUCAUGUUUGCAAUUGCCUACUGGGGAGGUUAUUGACCUUCAUAUAUAUAACCGUUUGAAAGACUUGCCGCUUGCGUGUGAAGUUGGUUGAAGUAGAAGAAAGUCACAUCUAUUCAAUUGCUUGUUCCGUUAUUAAAUAAAUCAGAAAAAUAUAAGUUUCUCUGUUUACAAUCUACUGGUUGUUGAGCUCCAGAGAUAUGGCCAUGCCCACCGCCGGAACCCACCGUUUGGAUGACGAAACUCUGCUGUUGAACGACGUUGUUCAUGGCUCCGUCGACUUCAAAGGCUGCCCUGUUACCCGAUCCAUAUCCGGUGGUUGGAAGUCCUCUUUCUUCAUCAUAGGUACAGUAUAUGUUACCCAAUUUACCAUUCAAAAGGUUACAGCAUUUUUAGCAGUACUUUAUUUAUAUUUUGGAUUUGUUAGGUGUUGAAGUGGCUGAGAGAUUUGCGUACUGUGGAAUAAGUUCGAAUUUGAUAAACUAUUUGACGGGUCCGUUGGGCCAAUCCACCGCAACUGCGGCGGAGAAUGUGAAUGCGUGGUCCGGCACGUCAAUGAUUUUGCCACUUUUGGGUGCUUUUGUGGCGGAUUCUUUUCUUGGUCGGUACCGGAUCAUCAUCAUUGCCUCUGGGCUCUAUAUCCUGGUCAGUACACGAAUCAUUCACCAAUAUAUAGUUUCUGUUUUGAGCUUUAAAAUUAUGUAACGCCUUAUAUUACAUUCAGAAUAUCUACCUUGAAACUUGGCUUAUGGAUUAGUAGACACUUGAAUACCCUACCCUUAUAGGGAACUGGGAGUGACUCAUACUGGCCAAAGCAUGCAUUCCCCAGAUUUCCAUUUUGUAUGGUAAAAAAAUUUUCAGAUUGAGAAUAAUAAAUAUUGAAACUUGGCGUUGAAGGUUUACAAUACACGUCAUGGAUAGGUAGAAAUAAAUAUCCAAGCUAGGGUGUUCAUGGUGAAAAUUGAAUCAAGCAAUUUUAUUAUGAAACAAUUACAAUCAAAGAUCAAAUAUAAAUGCAAUCAAUAAAUCCUCCCACAUAACUAUGAGUUUUACAUCUUAAAUUCACUAGUCUAGAUUCCUCAACUAGAACUAGAGGGGAAAUAGCUAAUUGAGGGUGAGAUAUUUGAAUUCCAUGCCUUCGUCUUCAAUCGUGGGGAUAUUUAUAUAUUUCCCUCCAGGCAUUGGAGUAGGGAUGACAAAAGAACCCGUUCAACCUGAUACCCGUAGGGUCUUGCCCCAUUCGGGCAAUACCCCCUAACCAGGUACAUGGGAUGGGUAUGAGCCGAGGGUCAUUGUUCCGAAGCGGGUAUGGAACGGGUACGAGAAACAUAGUGCCCGCCCCAUUACCCGUCCGGUUUAAUAUUAAUUUCUAAUUUAAGUUUUUAUCAAACAAAAAUAAUAGAUUUAUCAUCAUUUUUAGUGAAAAAAGUUGUUUUUAACAAAUUGGUAAAAAAAUAAUACUAUUACUAACUAAGGACAUAAAAAAAUAAAAAAUAUAAAAAAAGAUAAAAUGAAUGGGGCAGGAGACUUGCCCCACCCCACCCCAUCCCGUCCCUCUUUAACUGGGUACAGGUAUGGAGUAAAAUAACAAAAAUACUCAACGGGACGGGAGUAAUAAUUGCUGACCAGUCCCAUACUUUCCCCGUUGCCAUGCUUACAUUGGGGUAGUUUGAUCAUUUUUGCUUUGUGCUAGGUGGUGACUUCGGGCCCGUUUGGCACGGUUUUUACUUUGGCUUUUGCUUCUUGUAGAAGAGCUUUUGGAGAAAACUAUUUUAAUUUUUGUUUGAAAAUUAAUAUUUAAAAUCACUUCCCAUUCCGGAAGUGCUUUUGGAGGAAGCAAAAAAAAUCAGCUUCCUCUAAAAGCUCUUCUAACCUCCAAAAGCACUUUAAACAAAAAUAGCCAAAUGGUCCAAAAGCGGCUUUUGGCUCUCAAAAGCUCCUUUUGGCUUUUCAAAAGCCAUCCCAAAUGGGCCCUUCUUAUUGGUUGCUUCUUAAUAUAUUUUAAUUAAAAGUCACCCUUUAUUCACUUGCCCUGUGCCCUUUAUUGACAACCUGUAUGUAGUGAACAAUUUGAAGUUUUUAUGCAAGCCUCUUGUUUCAUGGUUCUCCUUGCGUGUUCGGGCAAAGAUACAUUGAUUGUUGAAGAAUUCCAAUGACUCGAGGGUCAAAGAAGCGAUGAAAUUACUUGUUCAAGCUAUGGUGGAUGAGACAUUGUUCAUAGCAAGCAAAGAAGCAAGUUUUAUGUUGGGUUCGGGAAGGAGCUGAAGUUUAGGCCCCGUUUGGUACCCUUUUUUGCAAGAAUGAGAAUGAAAAAUAUAACCGUUACGAGACCCACAUAAGAGAUAGAAAGUCAAAUAUGGUGGUUUGAUGUGAUGAAUAACAGUCAUAUCUUUCAUUUUUGUGGUCAAGGAAUGAGAAUCAAACAGGGGCUUAGUAUUAUGCGAUCGCAUAGUUUCAUCAUGCAUGCGGCAGCGUUGCCUCCAACAAAAAAUUCAGCUCAUGUAAUGACAUGAACUAUGCAAUCGCAUAGUUUAGUACUAUGUGGCCGCAUAGUAUAUCCUGGACGCGCGAUUUUUCAAUUUUUGCAAAUUUUCCUAAUUAUGUUAGAACUCUACUUUUUGGUAUAUUUUAUAAUCUUUUAGACUUUUAUUCCAUUUUAACUAGGUUUUAUGGGUUUCCUAUAAAUAGGACUCAUUAUUCUACAUUGUAAACAUUCAUUCAUCAUUAUCAAUUGUGAGAUUACUUUUGUGAGCUUAUUAUUGCUUUCAAUUUGUUGUUCUUUACUGAACAAUCCCGAACUUAUCAAGAGUUAUUUUAUUGUGGCAUUUAAACAAUUCUUGUAAGAUUCUUGAGACUUGUAAUCAAGAAGUCAAUAUACUGUUAGUGAUUGUUGGUUACUCGGUUUAAUAUUUUUGAAUCAAAUUCAAAUAUUUGAUUUCUUGACUUUUUUGGAUUGUGAUUCAAUCUCGUGUGGGUUUCGUAACUUUAAUUGCUACAUUAUUUGCAUUAGAGCUUAGGCUCAAAUAAUCAAGGUUAUAUCCUUUCCUUUUUUGUAUUUGUGUUCUUCGCUUUCUUCAUCCAUUUGAGCCCCUAUUUGGUUUCCAUUCUUUUCCCAUUGAAAUGAAAAAUAUUACCGUUAUCUAUCACAUCAAGCCACUAAAUUUGAAUUUCUAUCUCUUAUAUGGGGCCUAUAACGGCUAUAUUUUUCAUUAUCAUUCUUACAAAAAUGAGAAACAAACGCCCCCUGUGUCUUUAAUCCAUAAAAGUUCCCAAAAAAAUUCAAAAGUCAUAUUUGUGCUUAUUUAGCAUCCAAAUCAAUUUUUAUUUUUUCGUUGAUAUUGUAAUCGAAUUUUCAUGUUCAACCCAAAAUUCAAUGACUACUUUCUUGAAUUAAUAGUUCCCAUUCAAAAGUGUCAUAUUCUUGUCUUUCUUUCUUGAGUCUUCUAAAAUUAUAAAUUUCACUCACAUCUUGUUUGAAUUUUUUGAGAAUAAGACUUGGCUGAGUUCGGAUGAGUUCUUUGAAGUACUUCAGUGAAAGCAUUGAGUGGAAAAGGGCAAGAGUGGUGAGACUAAUAGAGGGAAAUAUCUGAUUUGAGUGAUACACCAGCGUAUACAUGUGAGGUAGAUAUUAUUUUAGAUUUAGGAUGUUUGAUUGGAAGGAUUCUACCUCAAGUAGGAACAACAAUCAAGUCGACAAGUCAGAAGAGUUGAUACAAUAAUUUGAGAGGUUGUUUGAAUAUUUGAGGGAUAGGUAGGAGGUGUGGAUGGAAAGGCAAGACACAUUGCUUGCUAAUUUACGUAGGCGAGUUCCUAAUUUAAAGAGAUAGGUGGGAGCCUACGGUAGAGAAUCGUAGUAAUUAUGAAGUAGGUAGAGGUAUGGAUGAGGAUGCAAUAGUGGAUGCCUUGUUAGGGAGAAUAAGGGAUAGAUGAGUUAGGCAUGAAAGAAGAGGUAGAUAACCUAUUGGAGAUGGAGUUGAUAGGAGUAUGGACAAUUUCAAAAUGAUAAUUUCAUCAUUCAAAGGAAGGAGUGAUUCAGAAUCGUACUUGGAAUGGAAGAAGAAAAUAGAAUCGAUACUUGAUUGCCACAGUUACUCAGAGGAAAAGAGGAUAAAGAUUGUUGUACUUGAGUUUACCAACUAUGCUAUUACUUGGUGAGAUCAAGUAGUGACAUAUAGGAGAAGGAAUUGUGAUAGGCCAAUUAAUAAAUGGGAAGAAUUGAAGGCUAUCAUGAGGAAGAGGUUUGUGCCUAGAUAUAUAGAGCGUCAUCAAAAAUUAUAAAGCUUCUAUCAAGGGUCGAGGAGUGUGGAGGACUAUCAUAAAGAGAUGGAGAUAAUGAAGAUUAAAGUGAAUGUUGAGGAGGAUAGGGAGGCCAUUAUGCUCAGUUUUUGAAUGGUUUGAAUAGGGAAAUAGCUAAUGUGGUGGAGUUGCAACAUUAUGUGGAGCUGGAGGACAUGCUACAUGUAGCUAAGAAGUUAGAGAGGCAACUAAAGAGGAAGGGAACAGCUGGGUAUCCAUUGUGUUCUACGGGUUCUAAUCCUUCUUGGAAACCGAAGUGGGAUAACAACAAGGGAGAUGGAGCUUUUUCGAAGAGCAAAGCUGAACUACCGAAGGAGAAAGAGAAAAGUGCUAAAAGGUCACAUCCAAAGUGGAAUCCCACCAUCUAGGAGUCUAGACAUCAAUGCUUUAGGAGUUUAGGUCAGAACACAUUGCUUCUCAAUGUCCAAACAAAAGGGUAUUGAUUUUGAGAGACAAUGGAGAAAUGGUAAGCGAUAGUGAAGAGGACUAUGAUGACAUGUCAAAAUUGGAAGAGGUUGUGAUGGAGAAAAGGUGGAGUAUGCAAUAGGUGAACUCUUAGUACACAAAUCAAGGCGGAUGACUUGGAGCAAGAAAGAACAUAUUCCAUACAAGGUGCCACAUCAACAACAAGGUAUGUAGCAUGAUUAUAGAUGGGGUAGUUGUAUUAAUGUGGGUAGCACUACACUUGUUGAAAAAUUUGGUUUAACCAUGUUAAAACAUCCGAAACCUUACAGUCUGCAAUGGUUGAAUGAAUGGGGAAAGGUUAAGGUGAAUAAAAGGGUGCUGGUGAGCUUUUCGAUUAUUAGCUAUCAAGAUGAAAUAAUGUGUGACGUAGUUCUUAUGCAUGUCGGGCACAUUUUUGUUGGGUAGACUAUGGGAAUAUUUUAUGAGUGUAAGGGGAGAACUUCUUUCAAUUUACAAUUUGGUAAAGACAGGGACUAUCACUUACCCCCAAAAUGGGUAUCAUUAUUUUACUUCUUACUCCUCCAAGAUGUGUCCAAAGCUCAUAACAAUUUCCAACAAAGUUCACGAUUGAAAGGAGGGACUUUUCUUUGCCCAUGAAAAUUAUAUGCUGCAUCCUAAUGAUCCUCAUCCCGAUGUGGUUUUGUCUCACUAUGAGUAUUUUUACCCUUUUCGUGGUUUGCCAUUAUGCUACUAUUAUUAUAUAUUGAAUUAUGUUUGUGCAAAAGAUAUGUCGACUCUUUUUCAAGGUCAAGCCAUUAGGGACCUUCGCCUUUUGGCAAUACAUAUUCUCGAUUUAAACUUUGAGGCUCGUGAAGUUAGGGGUAGACUAAGCUUCUCUAAUCCCACAUUUUAAGAUAACGGACUUCAAUUUAUUCCGGAUGAGUCAAUGUUUUCAUUUCUUUGUUUAAAAGGGUCUCUUCUUUUUGGGAAGUCCUUAAUUUGUUCCCAGCAUUCUCGUUCACAAUCUUUUACUACUAAAACUUUAGGAACUUCGCCUAUGAAUUAUGUAUCUCCUCCUUUUUUCGGGUCUGGCCAGUAAUCCUAGAAAAAGGAAAACUCCAAUUGGGUCUAUGCUCAUUUUCGAUCCCAAAGCUUCUACUCACCCGUGGUCCUACCCCAUGUUUGAAGUCUUUGUUCAUUCAACACUGCAAGGUUCACUAGAUACGGGUGCUCUAUCUUUAUUUCCAUCCCUUCUUUUUCACAUGGCGAAGGCUAUUUUUGUCUAUUUCAACCUAUCUUGGGAGAGGCUAGUAGAAGAACUUAAUCUUACCAAGAGGAAAAAUGAUUGACAUCAGUCGUUAGUGAGCUACGAUCUUAUCUCAAUAUCAGCAAUCUGAUUAUGAAUCUUGCACACCAAAGUUGGCCAGCUUGGAGAAAAAAGUCGCCACUUUGGUGAAGAAGUAUAACUCUCUCUAGAUGAAGUUGAAGGAGGUUAGUGACAAGAGGGAUGGGUUCAAGGAGAUGGGUAAGCGUGUUGAAGCUUUUGAAGUGAAGGAGGUUUUUUUAGCGCUUGAUGCCGAGAAGAUCUACUCAGAUUUAAAUUCGAUGAAUGAGGAAUAUGCAACCUAUGUUAUCGAGGUCGAGUGUGAUGCUUUGUGUCUUAAAGAUAAGUUCCACAAGACUAAGUCCAAGCAUGAAGCUGCGUCUAGGGAACUAAGGAUCCGUUUGAUUGUAAAAAUGGAAUUUGGAUAAAAAGAAAAUCCAGGAAAUUGAAUUGCCUAAAACUUAUUUUACUGGGAAUUGUCAAUUAAAUGUAUUUGAUUGUUAUAAUUUUCCACCUCGAAAAUGUUGAAUUUGAAUAUUUUGGUGUUCGUUUAGCUUUGUUUUCAUGAAAAUUGUCAAUUAAACAAAUAGAUUUUUUUAUAAUUGUGGAUGGAAUUUGUUUUCAUUGUGCAAUAAUAAUAAUAAUAAUAAUAAUAAUAAUAAUAAUAAUAAUAAUAAAGGGUGGAAAACCAAUUCUCACCAUUUUUGUAAGAAUUGAUUUUCCACCAAUUGAUGCAAAAUGCAUCACAUGAGGUGGAAAAUGGAAAAGCAAUUGCCUAGAAAAUUUUACACAUCAAACACUACCAAAAGGUGGAAAAUGGAAAAAAUUUCCAUGGAAAGUGUACCAUAUCAAACAGUGCCUAAAUGAUUAAGGAAUGAGAUUGAUGCACUUCAUGAUAAACUAAGAAAUGUUGAGACAAAGCUAGUUGUUACGGAGUCUAGUCUUUUUGAAUCGAUCGCUCGUAAGGUGAAAUUGGACGAGGAUGCUAUGCAAGAUGGGAAAAAUAAGUGCUCAACAUUAUUAGAGACUUUCAUCACGAACAGAUUCUGGAUUUUUUGAGAGCUCCUGAUGAUAAUGUCCCCUCUUCUGUGGUUUGACUACUGGCUACUGAGGCUUUUGACAUUCCAUUCAUUCCUGCUGUUCUUUCCUAACUUGACUCUCCGACUAUCCUCCAAAGUGGGAAUGCAACUAUUAAUGAGCAUGUUGACUCUCAAUCACUCAUUUUUUUUCAACAGGUAUCUAGUUCAGGGAAGAAUACUAUAGCGAAAGAUAAGGACUUGGCAUCAGGUAGGAGGUUAUUAGUCAUUCAUUUAAAUCCAAAUCAUACUAGUUAGCAGUUUGAUUGCCAUUUUAAGACUUGACAUUCUGAUUGUUCUCUUCCUGCUUCUACAAAAGUGAGGAUGCCCUCAAGGGGGCCUAUUUCAAGUCAAACAAAAGGAUCAUUUUUCCAAGAAUCUUUAGUCCUCGGUGAAUUAAAAUAACUUGUUUUGUCUGAUUAUGACAGUGAAGUUUCAUUCCUUGUUCAUAUAAAGCUGCUUUUUUCUAGCAAUUUUAUUGAUAAAAUAUUAUUGUCUUAUGUUGUAUGAAUUUGUGCAUUUGACACUUUUUUUGUCUGCAUUGUUUUCGUUUAUUUCUUUUCAAUAUUUUUUGCAUAGAUGUAUUUACAAUAAAUUCACAUCAACAUUAGGAUCCAUUGUUCUUGUGCUGAUUUCUCAUUUCAACGAUGCAAGUUUUUAAAUGAAACCAUGAGUUGGGCCAGGAACAUUCUGAGCAUUGAUACAUGGAAAACAUCGUGUACCACUAAAAACCCUUGUGGCAAAGCUAAUUGGUAAGCAACAUUUCCAAUCCGUCUUAAAAUUUUGAAAGGACUAAUGUAUAUGGGUUUGAGCUUACCAUUCUUACCAAACUGUAGUAUUCUUUUCAUUGGCUUAACCUUUAAAAGUACCGUAUCUUCUAUUGAAAAUUCCAAGUCCUUUAUCCUUUCCCAGUGCGGACAUAUUUGGAUGUCGCAUCCUAUGGUGGCCCCUAAGCAUAAAAAAUCUACUAUUGUCGUUGCUUAUAAAAAAUAUCUCUACGAGUGCUCGAAAAGUUCUAAAGGAAAGUCUUUGUGGGUGGUUGAUACGUCGCCUAAACGAACCCAGUCACAAACUAUUUUUAUUGGAACUUUGAGGUCUUUAUCUCUCUUCUAUGGAUCUAACCAAGGUUUCUCAAGAAAGGAAAACUCCUCUUUGGUCCAUCCCAAUGUUUGAUUCAAAAGGCUCCUACUUAUACCGAGAUCCUGCCCCACGUUUGAAGUCCUUUUUUAUUCCUUGCCUCGAUGGUUCAUUAGAUGUAGGCAUUCUAUCUUUAUUCCUUCAUUUGUUUUUCGUAUAGCGAAGGCUAUUUUUAACUACUUCAAUCCCUCAUGGGAAAAGCUAGCAGAAGAACUUGAUCCUAUGGAUAUGAAAAAAAUGAUCAAUGUCCAUCUUUAGUGAGUGACAAUUUUAUCUCAAUAUCAGCAAUUAGAUUAUGAAAGCUAGCUCCCUAGUGAAAAAUGCAACUCUUUCUAGAAGAGGUUGAAAGAAGUUGGUGAUGCAAGAGAUGGGUUUAAGGGAUGAUCAAAGGUGUCGAAGCUUUUACGGCGAAGGAAGUUUCUUUAGUGGUGAUGCCAAGGACUCCUUAGAUUUGGAUUCGGCGAAGGAGGAAUACUCAGGUAAUGUUAAUAGGAUUGAGUGUGUUGCUUUGUGAAGACUAAGUCUAAGUAUAAAGUUGCUCUUAGGAAACUGUAUGAUUUAAGGAAUGAAAUAGAUACACUGUGAUAAAUUGAGAAAUGCUGAAGCAGAGCUAGUUGUUGCAAGGUCGAAUUUAUCUUGGACAAUGGCUCACAAGGCAAAGUUAGUUGAAGAUCUAUAUAGGAUGGGAAAAAUAAAGCGCUCAACAUUACAAACUUUCGCCCCAAAAGGAAUUUGGAUUUUCUGAAAGCUUUUGAAGAUGAUGUUAAAGACAUCCAUUCUUCAGAAGUUCAUCCGCUGCCCGUGGGGGUUUGCAUAUCCCAUUUAUUUCGCUACUCAACCGAACUCUAUGGAUACAUCUUCAAGUGGGGAUAUGGCUAUUGAUGAGCCUCUCGACACUUCUCUUCCUACUUCUAUGGAAGCGAGGAUAUCUUCAGGGCCCGAAGUUCAAAUUAAUCAGGAAAAUUCUUUUCCUAAAAACCUCUAGUCUUUAGUCAAUUAGGAUAGCCUGUUUUGUCUUAUUAUGUCCGUGAAGUUUCAUCCGCUGCCCUUGGGGGCUUUGCAUAUUCCAUUUGUCUUACUUGUUGAGUUAUCUUUACUAGCGGAUAGGUCUUUCACCAUUCCCUUCACAACAUCGAAUACUUGCUUUCCUAAAUAAGAAGUUUCAAGCAGGCAUUGCUUUUCCUUUCUUGCCAAGAAACAUUGUUUCCAAGGGCGCUCCCAUUCUUUGUUUUGGCAACAUUGCUUACGAUGUUUAGCCAUACAUAUCCAGGAGGUUUUCCUUCCUUGCAUUGGAUUGGAUUGAAUUCAAGUAGGAUGUCAAAGGAUUAAUUUGUAUGAAAACAAUUAAAACCAUUGUUUAUUUUCCAAUUGAUGUCAUACUAGGUGAUACAUUUGUGCAAUAUGAUUACCAAAAUGGCAAUUUUUGGGUUUAAUUUAGAUCCAGAAUUCUUUAUGUGUUCUCUAGGUACCUGAGAAUUUAUGUUAUGUAUGGAUUCUUUACCUUCCUCCACAUAGGGGAUUUUAAUUAUGAUUUUUCUUUGUGAAAGUUAGGUGUAUGCAACCUUAAUUAACAUGUGGGAGGAUCCCACAUGCCCUGGUGGUUGUGUAGGCCUCUGAACCCCUCGCAUGAUAGUCGCAUCUUUUUGCUUGUUUCACCUCCAGACCAUUUUUAACACUUUGUAGCAUUCAUUCAUGUCAUGACCUUCAAAGCAAUGGAUUUUGCAGAAUUUUAGCAUGUGUAUAUUAGGUGAUGGAUGGACUUCGCUGAAGUUCUACAAUGAGGGUAUGGCAACAUUGUAUGGCAACAUUCUACAAUGAUGUCCUUGGACUCUAUGAUAUUGUGAUCUGGAUAGUCCAAAUGCAAACGUUGUUGUUUCUCCUCUUGCACCCUCACCAAGGUUUUCCUCAGCCACUCUCUGAUUUUGCAUCUUUCUUCGAUUUUCCAACACAUCUUUCACUUGGAUUUCAUUAAAUAUUAGUUCUAUUAAUUGGGAAAAUGAUGGAGACCUUUUGAGGGUUGCAUUACAAAGGGGAGUGCUUGGCCAUAGCAUUUGCUCUACUACCUCGUCUAGCUUGAUCUCACUAGUAAGUAUCUUAUUUCUAAAUCGUGUAAAUUAACUUGUGAUAGAUUCUGAUUAGAUCCUAAACUGAUAACACUGGGUGAUUUAUUGAAAACAUAAGAAAUAAAUGUAAUCAAACUAUGGCUUUAUUAAAUAGAAGAAAACCGAACAACUUGGAGCAUUCGAGAGGCUCCAACUCUCUUACUAGACUCUUGAUUUCUGAAUGAAUAUUCUACCUCCCUUUCCCUUUACAUUUAUUGACAAUAUUCCAACUGACUCAAUACCCUACUUCCCUUAACAACUAACAGAAUAACAAACGUCAUGUAAAUAAAAAUUGAUUUCUGUUACUUAGCUGACUUGGCUACUCAACUAUUCCUUUGUGCAUAUGUAUUUAUCACUGGGGGCCUAUCAUUAUCUCCCCAAAAUCCACCUUGUCCUUAAGGUGGAAGUCGAGAAAUUGCCAGUGGAUGCUCUCAACAGAUUUCCAUGUAGCUUCAAAGUCUGGGGGAGUUCUUCUACUUGAUCAACACUUCAGGACCGGAGUCUCUUGCUGAAUUGGAACAGACCUACAAUAUGGACUCAGGCUCUACCUUGAGCUAACUUUCUAUGGCGAGAUGUUCUAGAAGAUGGAAGAUGGUCUAAGUAAUUCCCACUGCCUUUCGGAGUUGCGAUACAUGAAAAAGAGGAUGUGUGACAGAUUUUGGAGAGAGUUUCAAACUGUAUGCCAUCUGCCCAACUCUGGCCUCUACUGUAAAAGGUCAAUAGUAUCUGGGAGAUAGCUUUGCUGAAGAGCGACGAGCUACUGAGGUUUGAUAGUAAGGAAGUGAUUUCAGGAACACCAAGUCCCCAACUUUCAACUGGAUAUCACGACAGUGCCCAUCUGCUUGUUGUUUCAUCCUUUGUUGGGCACGUAGCAAAUGCAUCUUGAGGUGUUGGAGAGCUUCAUCCCUGCUUAUUAAGACUGUUCAACUAACGAUACAGCUAUCAUUCCUCUCAAACUAUAGACCAGGUGGAGGAUCACAGCCAUAAACAAUCUGGAAGGGAGUGUGCCUUGUUGCGGUAUGGAAUAAUGUGUCAUACCAAAGUUCUGCCCCUGGUAACCAUUGUCCCCAUGAGCGGGGCUUACUUGAGGCAAAGCAACGCAAGUAAGUUUCCACGCACCGAUUGACGACUUCAGUUUGGCCAUCCGUCUGGGGUGAUAAGCUAUGCUCCUCUUAAGCACGGUCUUCUGAGCUCAAAAGAGUUCCUUCCAGAAUAUACUCAUGAAAAUACGAUCUCUGUCUGACACAAUAGAUUGUGGAAUGCCUUGCAAUCUGACAACUUCUCGAAUGAAUACCUUAGCUACCACAGAGGCUGUGAAUGGAUGUUUUAGACAGAUGAAGUGACCGUAUUUACUAAGGCGGAUGACCCCUACUAGAAUAGUGUCCUAACGUUUUGACCUAGGUAGCCCUUCGAUAAAAUCUAGCGAGAUAUCUGACCACACUCUAUCAAGAAUAGGUAGCGGUUGAAAGAGUCCUUGGGAAGAUAAGGACAUGUACUUAUUCUGUUGGCACAUACAGCGACGGUCUACAAAUUCCUUGACAUCCUUUUUAAUGCCCCUCCAAUAGACCUCCCGCGCAAUCCGUUUGUAAGUUUUGAGGAAGCCUAAGUGACCACCAACUUCCAGUGUUAUGGUACUCUUGUAAUAUUAUCUCAAUGAAUGGGAAUGGCUUCAACAGGUCAACCUGCCCUUGUAACGUAAAAUCCCUUCUAUGAUAGAGUAACCUGAUUUUUCCUCCCCUAACUGAAUACUUCUGAUGACUUUACUUAAUUUUCACCUCUGUUACUGCCUUUUUUACCUCAUCCAUCUGUAACACCCCUGGGAUGGAUACUUCCAAAAAACUUACAGCAGGUUCUAUUCGGAAAAGAGCAUUUGCAUCUUUGUUUUCAAGUCCUAGUCGGUAUUGAAUUUCAAAGACGAAGCCAAGGAGUUUAGUCAUCCAUUUCUGAUGUUCUUCUCAAAUCAAGCAUUGUUCCAAGAGGAACUUCAGACUCCGUGACCAGUCCUUACUAUAAAGUGUUUGCCAAGGAGAUAAUGCUACCACUUUUGGAUGGAAAAUACAAUGGCCAUCAAUUCGCGCUCAUAAAUCGACUUACUUCUAGCACUAAGGAGAAGCACCUGACUGAAAUAAGGAAUCGGGGUGUUGUCUUUGCAUUAAAACUACCCCCAAUCCUUGUCCAGAUACAUCCGUCUCCACCAUUAAUACUUGCGAGAAGUCCGGUAAAGCAAGGACCGGAACCUCAGUCAUAGCUUUCUUCAAGUUACAGAAGGCAUCCUCCGUUGCCUUGCUCCAAAUGAAUCCAUCUUUUAUCAACAAUUCAGUUAGUGGCCAGGCAAUCUUUGCAUAACCCUCUAUAAAUCGAUGGUAGUAGCAAGUGAGCCCCAAAAAUCCCCAUAGCUCUCAAAGAUUUCUAGGCUUGGGCCAGUUACAUAUUGCUUCAAUCUUAGACCUAUCAGCCGCCACUCCAUUCCUUAAUAUAAUAUGCCCCAAAUAUUCCAGUUGAGGCUGCCAAAAGAUGCACUUCUUUUCAUUCGCAUAUAGUUUGUGUUGUCGUAAGCAUGUUAAGACAAUGUCCAGGUGUGCUUGGUGUUCUUCCAAUGAUCUCCUAUAUAUUAGAAUGUCAUCAAAGAAAACCAGCACAAAUUUUCUGAGAUAAGGUCGAAAUACAUCAUUUAUCAGACCGUAAAUGUUGUCAGUGCAUUCAUUAGUCGAAACGGCAUGACCAGAAAUUUAUAGUGGCCCUCGUAAGUUCGAAAGGCAGUUUUUGGCACAUCUUCCUACCUUACUCUUAUUUGGUGGUACCCUGAUUUUAGGUCCAUCUUCAAGAAGAUGUUCACCCCAAAGCUCAUCCAACAAUUCAUCAAUCACCGAUAUAGGAAAUUUGUUUGGAAUCUUUACAUUGUUCAACGCCCGAUAAUCCAUGCAAAAGCACCAACUUCGUCCUUUUUAACCAACAGAACGGGAUUCGAGAAUGGGCUACAGUUGGGUUGGAUUAUCCCUGCCUCCAACAUGUUUCGCACUAGUUUCUCAAUUUCAUUUUUCUGAAAAUACAGGUAACGGUGGUCUUACAUUUACCGGGGCUGCCCCUUUUUGGAGCACAAUCGCAUGGUCAUGGGAAAGCACUAGGGCUAGCUUGUUGGGCCACUCAAAGACUUCGUGGUGCUGCUGCAAUACCUUGUCAUCCAUAGAAUAGGACUCGAGAAUGGGCUACAAUUUGGUUAGAUUAUCCCUGCCUCUAGCAUAUUUUGCACUAGUUUCCCAAUUUCGUUUUUCUGAAAAUAUGGGUAACGGUGGUCUUAAAUUCACUAAGGCUGCCCCUGUUCGGAACGCAAUUGCAUGGUCACGGGAACACACUGGGGAUAGCUCGUUGGGCUACUCAAAUACUUCGUGGUGCCGCUGCAAUACCCUGUCAUCUCAUCACUGAUCCUCAUCUCUUUUCACUCAUCUUCUAUGGUCAAGCUCCCGAAUUCCACUCCUUAAAUUUUUUGACCUUUGAUUUAAUUGAGGCUUGAGUCUUUUGUAAGCUAGAGUCCCCUUGCAACACGACCGAAUGCCCAUCCACCAUAAACUUCAUUCUCAACUUUCCCCAAUCCACCUACGUUUGGCCCAGUGUCCCUAACCACUUCAUUCCCAAAAUCAAGUUAAUACACCCUAGCAUAAGAGGGAGAAAAUCUUCCACCACCUUAAUGUUGGGCAAUGUCAUGACUAACCCCUUGCAAACACCCCCUCCUUGGACCGUUGUACCCAUUCCUAUAGUGACCCCAUAGCUAUUGGUCCCCGACGCUGGAAUGUUUAGCUUUUAUACCCAUUCCAUGGAUAUAAAGUUGUAGGUCACCCCACAGUCAAUGAGCACAACUGUAGCGUGACCCAACAGAAACCCAGUCUUUGAGGUGGUUAGCCCGACCAUCGAGUUAAGAGAUAGCUCCACCACUUCGUGUACCUCAUUUUUCUCCACCUUAGCCCCCGAUUCCACUGUCUCCUCCAACCCUUCCUCCUCUUGAACAACUAGUACUUGCAAUUCCUUGAGGCGACAUUUGUGAUCCAGAUGGUACUUCUCAUGCAGAUGGUACUUCUCAUCACAUUUAUAACAUAAUCAUUUUUCCCUCUUCGAUUGUAGCUCCGCAUCCAUCAAUCUCUUGUACGGUAGCCCCCCUUUUCCAAUUACUGGAUUGCGUGGGUUUAGAAGCGUAAGUUUCGAUGGCGCUGCUGGAAGACACUAGAGUGGAGUAGAAUUGUGGGUUUGCUAGUUUUGGGGAUAAUUAAAUGGGCUGUAGGAGAUGAUGUUUGUAUUACCUCUGAUUUUGGUUGGGCCUGGAUAAUGACUUCAUUCCCGUCUUCAACCCGUUGGGCUAGCACCAUAGUGUGGGCUAACCCCCGUGACCUCAUUAUCCUUACUUCGGCUCGUAUAAUAGGUGUUAGCUCGUUGACAAAAUUGCAUUCCAGCACUUCCUCAAGGAUUGACGGCAAGGGGACAGCCAGCAUUUCAAACUGACGUCGGUAAUCUCGUACGGAGCCUUCCUGCCUUAGCACCAGAAGUUUCUCCAACUGGGUUCCCUCCUGUGACGGACGAAACCGCUCCAAGACUAAGAUCUUAAGGUCCUCCCAUCAGCCCAUGGGAUGCCAACCAUCUUUCCACUGGAACCAAGCCAAUGUUUUCCCUUCAAAGCAGACUAUUGCCACUUCCAAUUUCUCCCAAUUUGACAUUUGAUUCAUGUUGAAAUACCGUUCUGCUCUAAAAAUCCAUCCAUCCGAAUUUUCACCGUCAAAUAUGGGCAUUGCUAAUCUUUGUCUCUGGUGCUCCGUUUGCAACUCAUCCUCCUGGAGUUUUUUCCCUUCCUAGCUGUCAUUGGUCUCACCAGUCGUGGUGGGAUCCUCGGGGUUACUUAAGAAGUCUAAGGCUGCCUCCUAGAUGUCCUUCUCCUUCCUCUUUUUUCUGCUUCAGCCCAUUGCCCCAUCAUCACAUUGAAUUUUUCUAUUAGUGAUGCCAUAUCCCUCUGCACACCUUCUAUCUUUCCUUCCAAGGAGUCCACCUGAUCUGAUGGUGUCAUUCUCCUUGGUGCCAAAUGCUCUAAUACCAAAAUUGAUAGGACCUUGAACUAAUAACACUGGGUGAUUUAUCGGAAACUUAAGAAAUAAAUGUAAUCAAACUGUGGCUUUAUUGAAUAGAAGAAAACUGAACACCUUGGAGCAUUCAAGAGGCUCCAACCCUCCUACUAGACUCUUGAUUUUUGAAAGAAUAUUCUAUGCCCCUUCACCUUUACAUUUAUUGACAAUCUUCCAACUAACUCACUACCUUACUCCCUUAACGACUAACAGAAUAACAAAUGUCAUGCAAAUAAAAAUGUUACUCAGCUGACUUGGCUGCUCCUUUACUCCUUCAUGCGUAUGUAUAUAUCAUCGGGGGCCUAUUAGAUUCUCAUUCCUUUUGUCUGAUACUACCUAAAUUUACGACUGUAUCUACGUUCGAGAUUUGCAUUCUGAUGGAGAAAUCGAUCGCUAGGGAUUGAUGCACUGCAUUUUCCGUGAUAGAUUGGCCUUGUGACCUUUUUUAUGGAAGGCUGUUGUUGGAAUUGUUAUAAUUUCUUGUCUUAUAUUAUAAUUCUUCCCCCGGUUAGGCUUUCAGUUGUGAUAGUUUUCUCAAUUUUGUGAAUUUUAAUAUGUUCUUGCCUGAGCAGCGUCAUAAGCUUGUGAUUCUCACCAAAGAUGAUUGCGUUUUGAAUGAAUUUAACAUCAUUUGUUAAUUUUCCUCGAUUUUAUUUUCAUUGACAGUUCAUUUUUAGCUUCUCAUUGUUUGCAUGUAAAUAUACGUCUUCGGCCUCCAACGCCUUCAAUUUGGUUGCCAUCCUACGGAUUAUCUCGGCAAUGGUGCUUCCUUUACUUAGAGAUGGCCUUGGCUAGGGAAAUCUCGACUGGAAACCUUGCUGAUACUUCUUCCCACUUCCUUUUUGGGUUUACAUCACUUUUGAUUGAAUCCCUGCUGGAUUCUUCUUUAUCGACUUUCAAUGUUUUGAGCAUCUCUUGAUGUGCUUCUAUUCUAUUCAUUUUUUUAGAUCCUUGAGGUCUUUAAACUUCAGUGGGCCAAUUUGUGGUAUAUUUUGUUCGAUUUCCCACAAACAACACCAAUUUGUUGACAGUAAAAACUGGAUUAUAUGAUUUUAUCGAUAAACAAUUACAAUAAAAAAUGUAAAUGCGAUCAACAAAUCCUCUCUCUAACUAUGAGUUUCACCUCCUAAAUUUACUAGUCGAGAUGCUUAAACUAGAACAAGAGGAGAAAUAGUUAUUUAAGAGAAAGAUGUUUGAAUUGCAUGACAUUCUUCAAAUGUGUGCAGGAGGGUAUAUAAAGAUUUCCCCCAAAAUGUUGGAGUAGUUUAGUAAUUCUUGCACUGGGCCGGGUGUCUAUCCCUAAUUGGUAGUCUUAUAGCUGAUUCGGUUAAGAAUUGCAUUUUAUUCACUUGCCCAUGUGCUCUUCAUUGACAGCCUGUCGCCGGCCUGUAUUUGGAGAACAGUUUAAGAUCUUUAUACGAGCCUUCCGUCUUUCUGCCCCCUUCGUAUGUUGCCUUUUACUUCAGCAAUGGGUAUAUGGGCUCGUAGAUGUUGUUCUAGGGGUUAACAAUGAUGACUAUCCACUUCUAUGGAUUUUGCGUGUUAUUAAGACGAAAAAUUGUUGAACUCUUAUAGUGUUUAAUUUGGGAUUCAGCCCUGAGGAAGCAUUGUUCUGUAGAUUCGAAGAUGAUAAUUAGGUUUAUUAUUACGCAUGAAGACAUUUUUGACUGAAUCGUUCUGUAGAUUGAUACAUAAUUCUAACAAACAACUGACUUUCUUUUUAUCACGCAGUAGAAAAUUGAUAAAAUUUCAUGUUUUUGUGUGGUGACUAAAAUCAGAGGGUUUUAUGUGACACACUUCUUUAUUUAUUUUAUCUAUACUUUUCCAAGAUUUAUAGUGCAUGCUCUUUGUACUAGUGACUACCCCUGUAAUAUAAGAUGCAAGCGGCCAAUUCAAUAUAAUCAGCUACUUUAUAAAUUGAGUUUCUCAAUCAGAAAAAUGUGGAAGUCCAGUUCUUAUUCAAAAUAUAUAUGGCUGAAUGAUUCUCAAGGGUUUUGAAGAAUCAUGAAACCGCUUGAGAAAAUGACAAUUUUCUUUCUCACAAAUAAUUUCUGGUAAAUUCGUUUGUAUUUUGAAAGCUUUCCUUGGAACAGAUGAGCAAGGACUUAAAAUUGAACAGUUGUCACACUCACUUCAUCAACACAAAGUCGUUCUUUUCUUUUAGCUAUAACAUUUGUGAAAAUGUUUUCUUCUGGGAAAUUCUAAUCGUUUUCUGUUAUUAUUAUGGACCUCAGGCACUUGGCUUCUUAUCCCUAUCUGCUGUUCUAUAUUCAAUCAAAUCUUCCGACUGCCAUUUUGCCGCAAAUAACAUGGCUGCAUGCUCCCCUCCACAGUUUCAAAUUAUUUUCUUCUUCUUCUCUUUGUAUUUAUUUGCACUAGCACAAGGAGGACAUAAACCUUGUCUCCAGGCUUUUGGAGCUGACCAGUUUGAUGAGCAAGACCCAAAAGAAUGUAAUGACAAAAGCUCAUUCUUCAAUUGGUGGUUUUUUUCCAUGAAUUUGGGUAUUAUAGUUUCUCUCUUUGUAUUGAACUACAUCCAAGACAACCUAAGUUGGGCUCUUGGCUUUGGAAUUCCCUGCAUUAUUAUCUAAGGAAGAGGAACCACAGGGAAUUCUGCCAUAUCAAGGAUCUCAACAGUUCAAGUAAGUCAACUGCCCCUUUGUGUGCUUUGAUAUUUGGAAGAUAAACUUUGCUUCUUCAUCUCUCUUUGGUACAUUUAGGUUUUUUAAAUUAGUCCUGUUAAGCUUGUUGUUGGUAGAGUUCGAAAUUGGUAUGUCUAUGCAAAACAUUGUCGAAUUAUCCAAGUUGUCCUUUCAUAACUUACGCUCAUCUGACACCAACGUUAUUAGUUGACACAUAUUUUCAUUUCUUAUCUUAUCCAAUUUAGUGAAAUCUAUCUUAUCCACCUUGGUCAUCAUAUGAGCAUUUUGUCCUUUAACGAACCUAAGACUAAACUAUAGAGCAUAGCUGAUCUUUAACACAUCUUCUUAUCAUAAAGUGUCACUUCUCCAUAUCACUUUACCAUGCUGAACUUGAUGAAUUAUAUCUUCUUCAAUAUCUGCUUCUUCCUUGUUAAUAAUCAGACCUAGAUAGUUAAAACAAUCACUUUGUGGACAAAAUAAUGCUCUAUAGUAACUUCAUUAUAAUAAAAUGCGUUGAUAAAUUUGUGCUUUAUAUGAUUGAAAUAAUCAGAUCAAUCUCAUUUGUUUCGUUAUAUUAUUUUUGGUUUCUUACAGGUUUCUUGAUAAGGCGUUGCUUGCACCAGAUGGUUCAAAGGAAGAUGGGAAAGUUUGUAGUAACACUGAGAUUGAAGAGGCUAAGGCAGUUCUUAGGCUUUUUCCAAUAUGGACUGCCUGUUUGGGAUAUUCCAUUGCAUAUUCACAAACAUCAACUUUAUUCACUAAACAAGGAGCAACAAUGGAUCGUUCUAUCACGUCUAGCUUACAAAUACCAGCUGCGUCGCUACAAUCUUUUAUCGGCAUCGCCAUAGUAGUCUUUGUUCCCAUGUAUGACCAAAUUUUGGUUCCUAUUGCAAGAGCUAUAACUGGGAAAGCCUCCGGCAUUACAAUGCUUCAACGAAUUGGAACUGGAAUAUUUUUAUCUUUUCUUGCCAUGGUAAUUGCAGCUUUGGUCGAGAGGGAACGUCUAAAAACUGCUGCUGAACAUGGAUUGGUGGACAUGCCGAAAGCAACAGUGCCUAUGAGUGUGUGGUUGCUGCUACCGCAGUAUUUGCUUCUCGGUGUUGCAGAUGUAUUUACCAUGGUCGGACUCCAAGAGUUCUUCUAUGACCAGGUUCCAAACCAGCUGAAAAGCAUCGGUAUUGCUCUAUAUUUGAGUAUAUUUGGCAUAGGGAACUUCUUGAGCAGUUUUCUUAUCUCUUUAGUGGAGAAAGCCACCUGUAGUCCUGGGCGAGAUAGUUGGUUUUCAGACAACCUUAACCGGGCUCAUUUUGACUACUUCUAUUGGCUAGUGGCCGUGCUUAGUGCUGCUGCAUUUACUGUGUACGUAUAUGCUGCAAAAUCUUAUAUCUAUAAUAGAAGAAACUGUCUUUGAAGUUGCAUUUCGUGGUGGAUAAAGCUACCCGUGUCCUAGGUCGAGACGAUGUUCUUAUCAGCUACUGGCUGGGCUUAGUGUUGCUGCUUUUGUUGGAUACUUGUACUUCCCAAAAUCUUGUAUCUAUAACAGAAAUAAACAGGCUUUGAAGUUGCAUAAAAAUGCUGCAGGACAAAUAUGGCCAGUAAAAGAGAAAUACGGCUACCGGUACAUUCAACUAGUAUAAUAAAUAUACUUCAUUUGUGGUCAGUCUCACCUACAUGCGAAAGCAUGGCCAGAGAAAAUAUUUGUUGAGCGGAAGAUAAAGGUCACCAAGGCUUUAACCUGUGUCGGUUUCUCCUAAAAUCAACACCAUUAUGAAAUCACCCAAAAUCCCUCAAACCACCUUUCAGAAAAAAAUUAUCUUUUUAUCUUUUCUAUAUUAUAACGCUCUUAACCUCUUUAUUUUAGAUUCCAUGAUUAAAAAGAUAAAGUAAUUCUCUGAGUUAAGCUAGUUGUUUUGUAUCUGGAUUUUUUUAAAACCUUUUUAAAUAUGAUGAAAAUCUUUUUAAUCAUAGUCUUAAGCCUUUCUUAAAAGGUCAAGAAAAAGUUAAGAGUAAUAAAAAAAAAAAAAUCUGAAAAAAUUAAUUUGCUGAACGAUAAAGUACUAUAAGGCCAUUACAAACAUAUUGAUUUUUAGUUCUAAUAUUUUAUGCCAUUGGACAAUUAUACAUCAUCUACUUUGCUUUGUUGUUCAGUAGAAAGUUUUAAAAAAUUUAUUUAUAUUUGUUUAGAAAAAUGAGAAAUUGGUAGAAUAAUUGUUAUAGAAAGUCAUAUAUUAUUCGCAUUAUAUAUAAAUAGAGGUGACUCCUCUUUACAGAUCAAGAAGUAAAUUACUGAACUUUCUAUCUUUCAAUGUCGAAGUUUCUUGAUAAAAUAUCCUGAGGAUUAUUAUAAAAGGCAAAAGGACAUAAAAAUUAUAAGAGAAAAUAAAGAUAAAAAUAGUAAAAUUUCAUUUCUAAGAGAAAUUUUUGUUUUAAGAUUUUCUUAUCUAUUAGAAUGUUUGGAACUGGUUAGUAGGCUUUCUAUUUAAGUUACAUAAUUUGAUUAGAGGAACGAUCACAACCAUCGGCUCCAAGUUCAACUCGAGUUGCCCCUAUGUCAAUCAGCGAAUACGUACAACUCUCCCAUGGCUUUCCCCUGACACUCGAUGACAGCCUGAUGACCCAUUCGAGCAUAUACUUGGGCACCGCGUACUCAUUACCCAUAAGCUGUAGCGAUAGAUGCUUAAUGGUAACGACAUGGAAGAACUCGUUGUUUAGUAUUAUUCGGCUAAGAACGUGGAAUGAUCUUGAAUAUCUCUCAGCUCGAUCGCGUAACAAAUUCAAGGCCAAGUCGAUGUGCUACAUCAAAGAAAACAAAAAAAGAGGGAGUUAUUUCAUUUAAUAAACCAAACAUUAUGUAUAAGCAAAAAACUAACAAUAUCACUACUUCACUUACAUUGUCGGUGAGCCAAACCCCCAAAGUGGUGAUGUCAUGGAACCACUUAUAAAUGUCCGAUAUCGUCCUUCAAGAUAUCGUGCGGCUGGCUCUAAAAUACAGAGAAAAUGUUAAACGAAGCAUAUACGAGUUACCUAGACUACUAAAAUCAUACAAUACUUACCUGGGCAAAAUUCUUCGCUACUCUAUUUCAAAUGGUUUCCAUUUGGCAUGAUUGACCUCCGGAAUAGAUUGGGGUACGUGUCAUUGACAAAUGACAUUUUAAACUAGUUAAGACCAUAUAAUGAGAUUUUAAAUUACGUACGAUAUAAAUCAUAUAACGAUAACUGAUUUCUUGGGGGACAUCUGUCUGCUCGAGAUACUCACCAAUGAUGCAUCCGAAAGCAACGUAUUUCUCCUCGAGUAGCAUAGCGGGUACUCAAAAGGGGACAGUCUCGUACGCCCAGAUUUGCAACACAUACAAUUAUCAAUUAUUUCAUAUAAAUUCAGUAGAAAGAAUAUUUUAAUGUUGAUUAUGUUAAAUAGUUUACCUACACCUGCCAGGGACAAUCCAUAAGUAUCAUACCUACGCACGGUCCCCUUCGACUUUGAGUGCGAUCUGAUGAAAACGUGUACAAUGUCCUGAAACAUCUCCGAUCCCACGGAUAGUUGCUGAAGCCAUUGAUGUCGUCGACGAUCUCCAGAUGGAAGAAAUCGAUUGCAGUCUUCCUGUGGUGACACAGCAAGACGCUCCUAAAGAUGUAAACUAGACCAAGCUUCAAUCUGUCUAACAUUUGGUCACACCCCCUGAAUGCAUCAAUCAACUACGGUAGAAGCACUGUCCCCUAUCCCUAGAAGUACGUGUCGUACAACCUGUUGCUUCUCUGACCUGCUUCAUUGCUCGUAAUCUUUUGUCAAGGUAAACUCAAACAUAUAGAAUCGAACAUAGAGAAACUAGUGACUUUGCCCCUGAGGUCGAAGUGAAGGGUAUUGUUGUUGAUUGGACUCAGCAACCGACAUAGUAGCGCAUCGAUAACCUGAUCCGAAUACUGCACAUCUCUCAACUGGUACAUGAGCCAAAGAAAGGACUGGUGCAGCAUAUCAGCAUACUCCACAUCCAGCAACUCCAACACAGUAGUGAACUGUGAAAACUAUUGUUCCAAGUAGUUUUCUCUGGCAUCUAUCUCAACACUGCGUCCAAAUGGUAAUUUAUCCUACAAAAAUUAAAAUUUUAAAACAUUGUACAAGAGAUAAUGAAAUAAAUCAUUAUAAUAUGAAAUAAAAAGAAUAGAAUUGUAAAUAAUAUGCACAAGACGAGAUUCAAUUAUACCAACACAAAUAAAAAUAAAUAUAUUAUUUACUAAAACAACAAAAAAAAUGAAAUUAAGAAAAAAGUAAAAAAUAAAAAAUUAAUAAUGAAAUUAAAAAUUUUUAAAUUAUUUAAAUUAAAAAAAGAAUAUAUAAAUAUUAUUUAGGUUAAAAAUUAAUAGAAAAAGAAAAUUGGCAGUCGGCCCACACUAACAAUCGUUAAAAAAUAAAAAAUAAAAAUGAAUUCAAAAAAUUAAAAAUUAUUAAAAUUAAAAUUAAUAAAAAAAGGAAUAUUUUUUUUACCCUAUUACCAAAAAUUAAUAAUAACUAUUAAAAUUAAAAUUACAAAAUUAUGAAAAUUAAAUAAAGAAAUUAGAUAUUAAUUAAUUAACUUUGAAACAAGAUACAAAAAUAAAAGGAAAAAAAUAUGUUAAAAAAUUAAUAAAAAAUAAUUUUUCCAUAUUAUCAAAAAUUAAUAAUAAAAAUAAAAUAGAAAUAAAAAUUCAAAUUCAAAUUCAAAUUCAAAUUACAAAAUUAUUUAAAUUAAAUAAAUAAUAAAAUAUUAUUUAGGAAUUAAAAUUGAAACAACAUACAAAUAUAAAAUGAAACAAACAAUUUUAUUUAUAAAAUUAUUUAAUUUGUUAAUUUUUAAUUUUAAAAUAUUCUUUUAAUUUUAAAAAUUCAACUAAUAUUUCUUAAUUUAAAAAUGUUGACCAAAAAAUAUAACGUAUAUAUAUAAAGAAUAAUGAAAAAAAUAAUUAUAAAAACAUAAAAUAAAUUAAACAAAACGAAAGUGAAAGUGAAAGUGAAAAAUUUAAUAGAGAUUAAAAAUAUUAUUUAAAAUUAAAAUAAUAAAUUAUUAAUCAAAUAAGAAAAGUGGGCCAAAUAAAUCGGCCCACUAACAGUCCAAGGGCCGACUGUAACAAUUGGGUGAACCGACUAUUAAACAGCCGGCCAACAAUUAGCGACCAGCUGUUUAAGAGCCACAGUUUUCUCACGCCAAAAAUCUCCAUUUCCAGCAAGAAAAACCUCCAUUUCCACAUUAAAAACUACAAAAUCUACCAAUAAACUCAGCCAUCUACCAUAAAUAACCAAAAAUAAAUUGAAAACUGAUAAAUUUAUUACCUAAACCAGUAUAUGAUAUAUGAAAAUUACUCCAAACCAUUAUCUAAAACAACUAACCUUGUAGAACUUCAAGUUCCCUUCCAACUGGGUUGUCACUGUCACUGACUGUUACCGAUCGCCAGCAAAAUGGAUCCCGACUGUGGUGAGUUUUCUUGUUUGAUGUGUUUGGCACAAGAUUCUUUUGGGAAGAAAGUGAAAGAGAAUGUAGGUAAUUUUGGGUUUUGAUCUUUAAAUUCAAUUUUUUUUUUAAAUAAAAGCAGUCAAAGGCCACUUUGUAAAUACAUAUGGGUCAACCAAUCGUUUCCCAUGAUUUCCUCCCACUUAGACCCAUUUUCGUUAUUGUCGAAGCCAUAUGCAGUAAACCGAUAUGGAGGGCAGAAGACGAGAAAAAAGGAAGAGAAAAGGGGGAAAAAAAAUAAAAAAGAGAAGAGGAGGAAGAAGAAAGGGAAAAAGGGGAGAAGAAGAAGUGUUGAUUUCUUCAAGCUUAAGUUCAAUUGUAUUAAUUUUCUUCAAGAGAUAAACAAUUUAUGUUGAAUUUUUUAGGGUUCUAAAUAGUUAGUUUAAUUUUCAAAUUGAGUGGAAAGAGUAUAAUUUCUUUCGCAAAUUCCGUGAUUGAUAAAUUUCUAGUUGAAUCAAUGUAAGCAAUUCUAGCAAACCAUAGAAUUUUUACUUGGGUUCUUAAGAAUACUUGGUAAAAACGAUCAGGGCCGGUCCUGUCAUUUGCAGGGCCUGAGGUGAAAUUCAAAAAGUAGGCCCCCGACGAAAUCAAUAUAAGUGCAAAAUUCAACUGUGCAUCAUACGACCCAUUGCUAACUCAAAAAACCAACAUUAAAACUACGACUAGAUAUAUUAUAGAAAAUAUUUAUAUUAUGAACUAUCAAAACCAACAAUGUUUCAAACAAUCAGCUAAAUACUAUUCGUCUUGCUGUUUUAGAGGCAAAAACAUCAAUCAAAUCUGAAUAAUUUAGCUGCUCAACCAUUUCUUUCUCAAUUGAUAACAUAGCCAACCCAUUUAAUCUUUCUUGUGACAUAGUUGAUCAGAGAUAGGUCUUGAUCAACUUCAAUUUUGAGAAACUUCUUUCCGCAGAUGCAACUGUAACCGGUAUGGUUAACAAAAUUUUGUAAACAAUGUAAGCAUUUGGGAAACAAACAUUCAAUGUCUUCAAAUAUUGUAGCACUUCAAUUGCUCUUGUAGCUUCAUUUGGUAUAUAACACCUCAAGACUUGUAACUCCAAACAUAAAUCAUCUCCAUUGAUGUCCGAAGGCCCAUCGUGUUUAAGAUAUUUCUCAAGAUUCACGCAAGAGUUCAACAAACUUGAAAAAGAUGCACCCCUUAACCUCUUCACAUUAAACAAAAAUCCAAAUAUGUCAUCAUAUUGUUUGAAUUGUUCAAAUUGAGUUCUCAGAGAAGAUAGAGCUUGAUCAAUUAUAAAAACAAAGUACUCAAUUCUAAAAGAUUCUUCUGGUGAUUGCUUUACCUCAUCACUACCGCUUUCAUCAAAUUGUUUUUUUCUUCGAAUUAUGCGUUUCUCUGUAAAAGUAGCUCAAUUCCCAUUUCAUUUGCCUUUUUAAUCGCUUCAUCCUUGGCAAUAGCAAAUCCAUGUUCUCUAUAAUCUUCAAGAUACGAAACAAGCCCUUGCAAUAGGUAGAUAGCACGAUCAAUAUCCAUGGAUUUGGUUUGAAGAAAUUUACUCACCAGAUUGACUGCAUGCAACAACUUGUACCAGAUUACCAUGCCAAGCAAGAACUCAAAAUUCUGAAGUUCAUAUGUUGCUAACGACUCGGCUUCACUUUUUACUUUAGGAUCUUCGUUACUUUCUGCUAAAUCAAGUAAUGCUUCUCUUAUCUGUGCAGUUUGCUCCAUUAUAGGCUUCACACUAUCAACAUGACUUUCCCAACGUGUUUGUGAUAAUGGCUUCACUAUCAACCCUUGUACAUUAUCUUUGAAAAUUUUUCAUCGCUUGGUAGAAGAGGAAAAUAAUGUGUAGAUGCGCUGUAUCACUCCAAAGAAGGAUACAGCUUUGGAACAACAAUUCACCAUAUCACAUAAUGCUAGAUUUAGACUAUGAGCACCACAUGGAGUAUAGAAAGCUCAGGGAUUCAUUUCAUGUAUUCUUCUUUGUAUACUUUUGUGCUUCCCACUCAUGUUAGAUCCGUUGUCAUACCCUUGCUCUCUAAGGUCAUCAAUAUCCAAAUCGAGUUUGAUCAAAGCCUUUUGAAGCUCAGUUGCAAGUCCAAGUCCAGUUGUGUCAUCUACAUUCAAAAAUUCAAGCCAAUGUUCUUCAACUGUAGGUAAGUUUGCCGAGUCAUCUACAAAUCGUAUUAUUAAAGACAUCUGCUCCUCGUGACUUGCAUCUGGAGUACAAUCAAGUAUAACUGCGAAAUAUUUUGCAUGUUUAACUUUCUUGACAAUUGCACUUCUCACCUCAUUAGCCAACAACUGUAUCAACUCAUUUUGGAUUUUUUUGCCGAGAUACGUAUAUUGAAUCUCUCUUGCUUCAGCCCGCCGAAGGUGCUCUUUCAUUAUUGGAUCAAACUCACUAACCAAUAACCAAUCAUAUAAGCCGGCAAGGCUGCAAACAUUUAUAAUCUCUACAAUAACCAAUCAUAUAAGCCGGCAAGGCUGCAAUUAUAUAAGCCGACCAGGCUGCAAUUAUACAAGCCAGCAAUGCUUCAAACAUUUAUAAUCUCUACAAUAACCAAUCAUAUAAGCCGGCAAGGCUACAAUUAUAUAAGCCGGCAAGGCUUCAAACAUUUACAAUCUCUUCAAUAAAAAGUUAGGGCAAGUCAUUACUUACGUGAGAAGUGAAAUUUGGAUGAAAAUUGUGGAAUUACACCCUGAUCUCGUCACAACUCACAAGCCUGAAAUAAAAAAUUAUAUAAAAUUAUGAUACUUUAACUUAUCCAGUGUAAGAAGGUAUCCAAAUUAUGAUACAUUAUUCUAACCACAUUGAGAUACAAUAAAGGCAUAUUAUUACCUGAAUCACAGUUGUAUAUAUAUCUGGAUUGAAAGGGAACUUCACCACACCAACUACUUCAAACCAUCAUAUUUGCUGCAAAUAGGCUAUAACAGGAAAUCUGUAAUGAAAGCAACACAAAAGAGAGAAUGUCAUAUUCUAAAACCUUCAAUCUCGUUGGAAGCUAAGGUCGUCGUUGGGAUAAGUGAAAAGGAAUUUGACUUAUUUACCUCAAUUGACUUACAUAAAUAUAAAAGACGAUGAGGCACGUCGUUCAAGAUAAACCUUUGUCUAUAUCAUUUUUGAUGACUUCUCUUAUUUUUUUGAUAGUAAUACUAAAAACCUUUGUCUAUAUCAUUUGGUGACCUUUUAUUUCUUUCUCUGCCAUAUCCGUAUUGGUAUAAAAUUUUGAUGAGGUCUACUACAUUUCUUUCCUUUGGUAUGCAUCAAUUUAUGAUAGCUGGUAUAUUCAGUAACUUCCAAGUUGUUUAUUGUAUAAAAUUUUGAUAUGGUCUACUCCAUUUUUUUCCCCUUUGGUCUGCAUCAAUUUAAGAUAGCUGGUAAAAUUAUUUACUUCCAAGUUGUUUAUUUAUGUUGUUCUUUUUUUUUUCCUCUAAUUUUAAUUGUUUUAUCUUUGCUAAUGUGAAGGUGACAGCUUUGCAAUAUUGCGGGCAGAACUGAAGAAUCAAAAUAAACAUAUAAAGAGUCUGAAAAAGAAAUCCCUCUGGUCUAGGAUUUUGGAUGAGGUAGUCAAUACUUCUGUUUUUACAAGGAUGCCGAAUGUAGACUAGGCUUUUUAUAUUAGAAUUCUGACUUUUAAUUUUUACAUGCAACUGGAGACAAGGUUAUGUUCUGUAGAAUGAAUUUUUACUUGUUUGUUGUCACUAUAAAUCUUUAUUCUGCAACCAAGCUAAUUUAUGUUAUGUUUCUUUAUGUUAAGGUAAUGGAGAAGCUUGUAGACAUCGUCCAUUUGCUAAAUUUGGAGAUCCAUAUGGCAUUUGGUAGCUCUGGUAAUCAUCCAAAAUUUUCGAUAUAGUUUAAACAGUUAUGCUCGCCUUUUUAUGUCUUUGACACUAUUUUUUCCUUUUUCAGUAUGUGCUUGUCCAUUUUGAGUUCUUGUGAUUUAUCUUCUCCUCUUUUAGUGGCCCUUGUUCUCUUAAUAUUCUAAUCCCUUGUUCAUCUUAUAACUAAAAAGAUGGUGUAAAAUGGUUCUUAUUUUUAUUUCUUUUUCAUGCUUCAUAAAUAUAACUAUAUGCAGUUCAGUGUUCGAAUAGUCCAGUAAUUCCUGGUUCAAUUAUUUAAUAAAAAAUGUGUAUUUUGUUUGUUCGUUGGGUGACUAUUGCAGAUGGAGAUAGGCCAAUAAAAAACCACCAGCAGAAGUUGGGAUCUGCUGGCCUUGCACUGCACUAUGCAACUAUUAUUACCCAUUUGAAACUCUGAAGGACAUAAAUAUAUUUAUCUCAGAUCUCAGUCAAAAUUUAAAUUAGAAUUUUUUUUUCCAAAAAUAAACAUUAUAACAAUCAUAUAAUGCCUUUUUUUCAGUAACAAAAUUACAGAGUUAAAAAUUGUUCAUUUCUCAAACUCAAGAAGUUAACAGAAAAUGUUGAGUAUGUUGCCCAAGCAGAUCACAUUUCCCUAUAUAUAUAUAUAUAUAUAUAUAUAAUAAAAAUCGAUAUAAAAAUCCAAUUUUGCUCCAAAUCAUAUUGUUCGAUGAAUCAAGAUUAAGUGGUGAGAAAUGUUUACAGAAACAAAUCCCUGCCCAAAAUCAGUUCAAGCAUGGAUCGAAAAUAGUGAGCAUAAUCAAGACAAGGCAGCUUCAAAAACUCAAGAAAAACAAGCUGAUUUCUUAAUGAAAAAAACCAGAUUAAUGUCUAGGAUUAAGAGCCUUUGCAAUCAAAGAAUUCAAACUCUGUCACAAAACUCGUAUUUCGUAACUGUUCAUCUUACUUUCUAAAUUGGCAGUUAAAAGUAUUGGAACUUUAUCAGCCAUUUAGUUAUCCUUCUAACGGCUGAAAUCCUAUUGAUGUUUUUAUGUAAUUAUCCAAAUAAAAAUAACACAAAAAGGAUAAAAAAAAAUCAAAAUGCCCAGAUUAUAACAAUCGUGCAGCACAUAAGUCAACUUAAUAAAACUUAUCUCAUACCAUUAAAGCCACGAACUGCAGCAGCAACUAUAUCUCUGGUCCGAGAUUUAUAUACAUUCGCUGCUCUACAUUCCUCCUCAAAAAUCCGAUCCUAACUAACAAGCAAAAAACAAAUGUAGAAAUUAGAAACAACGAAUCUAAAUUGUAAAUUAUAUAAUUCUAAUCCUUAAAAUUUUCUUGCGAUUUCCAAUAAGUUUCAUCGUCUCUUUAAUCUCUGUAAGUAAUCGAAACAUUUUGUAAUUUUUGUUCCAAUAUGAUAUUAUGAUCGACCAAAAGAAUAACAAAAACAAAAUGAGUACCUCUUUGGUUUGAUGGAUUCACAGUGCUUCAGUCAGUUCAGUGCUUCACACGGCGUAACUCAAGAACAGAUUUCGAUUCGAGUUUCGAGACUAGUAUUAAACCUAAAAUAGUUGAUAUAAUUUAUUAGUGCGCUAGUAUUAAACCUAAAAUAGUUCGAUUUGAGAUUUUGAGUGUUCGAGUUCGACCAAGCAAGAAUAUACCUUUGCCGGCUGCGAGCUGCCCUCUAGCUCUGGAAUUGGAUCUGCUGUGCAGUGUGGUUAUCCGUGACUCCGUGCCCUUGGUCGUCUUGUCUGUGGUGGAGAGUCUGCAGACUGCAGACGGAGUGAGACUGUGAGAGUCCGAGACGGGGAACGCACGGCGAGGGCUGCGCGGCGAGGGCUUCGACUCUGAUUUUGGAUUUGGGUUCCCCUUUUUUGUGGGUUACACUUAUUGGGCUGGGAGGGUUUAAUUAAAAAUAAAAAAUAAAAAAAACGGCCCAAAAUUAUGGCCCCCCUAUGGUCCUGGGCCCUGAGGCACGGGCCUCAUUCGCCUCGGCCUAGGACCGGCCCUGAAAACGAUUAUGUUGAUGGAACUACUCACAUGAAAGCAUGAAUUCAUGGAACAAGAUGAAAAUUAAAUUGGUGGAAUUAUGGUUACUAGUUUUCAUUAGAUUGUAAGGUGUGAUUACUUCAAUGAUUGGGAUAAAGGUAAAUUUGGAAAUGGUACAUAUUGUGAAGGUAUUAGAAAAUAAAAUUAAAUCCAAUUGUAAAAGAAAUUGAAGAAUUUAUUUCUAAUUAACGAGGAAUCAAGUUCUAGUAUUCCACAUUUAAAUGUUAAGGGUAAUUGGUAGGUAAUUGUUGAAUUGGUUAUUUUGUAUCGUAUUUCAUGCGAUGACGAAAAGAUUGGAAAAGCUUACCAACCAUCCUAAUCUAUAGCUUGAAUUGAGUAAGUGAAAAAUCUUAUUUUUCAAAAAUAAGUAUUUAUUAAACUUAUAUUAAAUCAAAAAGUUAAUUAUUUAAUAUAGUUAGUUUGACAGUAUAAUUUUCAAAAUAAAGUAUAGUCAAUUCUUUUUAUAAAGUUAAAUUCAGUUAAAUUAAAUUAUUUCAUUGGCAAGUUAUUUUAUUAUUACAUGUUUCAAUGUAUCAAAAGUUAGUUUUAAAACCACCAGAAGUACCCAGGUGAUUUUACACGCUCUACACUAGUGUUAAUAUGUUUCCACAGUAUACAACCAGUUAUGGUGAUUUUACUAGCUCUGCACUAUUGUGAAUGUGUUUCCAUAGUGUAUAACAAGAUUAUAGCCUUUAGGCAGCUCUACAUACACAUGACCAAAAUUACAUAAUUGAAUAAUUUUGUCGUGUACUUAGAUAUUCAUCGACACAUGAGUAUGAUUAUUUUGAAUACCUUUUUAGUGUGAUUUUUCAGUAUUAUAUAGCUUAUCAGAUUUUAAACUACAAAAUUUAGUUUCUUCAAUAUACAGAAUAAAUAUGUCAACUUAUAGUACUAUGAAAUGAUAUUUUUACUCGUAGUUUUCAUGUCAUAUUUAUUAUAUCCGUUAUACCUUAUAGUGGUUUAUUCAGAAUAAAGAAUAAAUAAUUUUAUGAUUCCAUUAUGCUUUAAUUUUAAAAGUAUUGCCAGAUUUCAAACUACAGAAUUUAGUUACUUCAAUUUACAUAAUAAAGAUUUCAGCAUAUAUUACUGUGAAAUGAUAUUUUUACUCAUAAUAUGGAUGUCAGAUUUAUUAUAUCCAUUAUACCUUACAAUGGAUUACUCAAAAUAAAGAAUAAAAAAUUUUAUGAUUCCAUUAUGUUUUAAUUUUAAAAGAAUUAUCAGUUGUAAUAGUAUAAGAGUUUCAAAAAGUUUGCAUAAAUGGGAAAAAGUAUACUUGUUUGCGAAAUAUCCUCUCACCGAAUUACAAGUUCAUAUAUUUGCUCACCCUUUUUUUAUCAAAUAGUGGCUGCGUUGAGCAGCAUUGGAGCAUGUCGAUCCACCGAAUUGAGCCACACAUUGUCAUUAGUUGUAUGACUCAUUGUUGGUUUAUAUAGUUCAUAUUCUUUUUUUAAGGAUGCAUGCAUCUUUUGUCAGAAAAGUUAAUUUAUAAGUUAUAUAUCCAUAUUAUGGGCUUGUUGCGUAUUCGGUAUCUUUAGUGCAUUUGGAAACUUUUGUUUGUAAAUAAUGGGAAUGAUCAGUUUUCCAGUAUCGUAUUUUGAAUAAUUUGUGUUCGAGGGAGCUGGUGUACCCUAUUUUAAAUUAUAUGUACAUGUUUGAGGAAAUCAAGUAUUGUUCAGGUGGCUUUGGUCAAUAUUACAUAAGAAACUGUCAAAAAAAAUUUAAAAUUAUUUCACAGUCAAAUCAGGUCAAAGUUGCCCUGAUGGUCCGGCACUUAGCUGGUAUCUAUUAUUGAAGCAUGUCAUGUGUCUGGUCCACUAGAGUGACUUGGGAUGAGUUGUGACAAGCUUAUGUGUGAUUGCCUUGACAUCCAUCACCUGAUACUAUGGUUUUUUUCCAAACUCUUUGCUACCAUUCUUUUUUGGAUUGAUGCUGAUAAUCAGGAAUGUAAAGGGUUUGAUUAUGACUACAUAAUACUGAAAAUUCCACAAGUUGGAGAGUGAACAGAGGAAGUAAAAUCCAUAUGAUGCUGCAAAUCUCAUAAGCAGGUGGCUGGAGCAGAUUGAUUGCAGAGUUUCAACUCUGAAUAUGUUUGUAAUAGAAAAGUUUUCUUUAAUAUUCCAACUGGGAGCGUUUUACUCUUAUUCUUCAUCUGACCGAUUUUAUAGUAUUUUGAGUAUGACCAUCUCCAAAUGACUAAAACGUAAUGAGCCCAUGCACUCAAGGCGAAAAAAUCGAUGGCUGGAGAAUAAAUUUGCUAUUCAAAAAGGAUGAAAUCACGAACGAUGGAGAGAUAAUUAACAAAAAGGUAGAGAUUUCUACCUUUUGAAAGCUGCAAAGUGCCCACUUUGGGCAGCCAUUUACUUGUUUGAUUUCUCCCUUCUUGUUAUUUUUUUCCAUUUUUGUCCAUGUUAACACCUUUUUCCAAAUUUUCUUCUGAUUACUGAUAAGUGCAUUUGUACACUUAUCCAAAUCGUUAAAUUAAUGUAUUUGUUAUUGAUUUUGAUGAAUUAUAGUUUAAUUUUGUGUUAAUCUUGUUUGUUAGGUAAAACUCGAUGCAAAAUUGUGAAAUUGAAAUAAAGGAACCAAAAAUGGGCGAAAAAGAAAGAAAUCAAAAGUUCGAUGGCCAAAUUACAAACAUCCAAUAGUUAAUUCGAACCAUCAAAUAGUUAUUGAAGAUCAUACAGGUUCUUUCAAUUGGAUGCAAAUGGAAGAUAGAUGAAAGAAAUUAUAUAAGGACCAAUUACAAAAUUUGGUCCCAAAGAAGAAAAGGCUUGCAUGUGAACUAAACUGGCCCUUGUGCACACAAGGGCUCAAUAUGAUGAACUCGAAGCCAAAAUGCCAAGGGUUGCAUGUGCAAAUUGAACACCCAUGUGCACGCAUGGGUUAUUCUGGAGGCAAUCAGGGUAAAUUCCAUUUUUAUGUUCAACUCUUUUAUAAUAUGAACUUCUAGCUUUUAUUUAACCUACUUGAGGCUGCCAAUGACGGGAUCUAUGACAUUAUAAUGCAAAGAAGAUGUGAAGUCUCAAAAUUGUAUAGAAUAUAAUUUAUUUUUUUUAUCCAGAUUUUUUUAUAUACAUUUUGAUAGUUAAGGGACUAAAGUAAAAUAGUAUUAAUUUCAAAAUUUCUAGGCUAAAUAAUUAAGAAUUGAAAGAGAAAAGAUAAGUAUAUCAAUAUUGAGAUCUUUUUGUAAGUUGUAAUUAAUUAGAAGUUUUCGACUCGAGAAAAAAGUUACUUUGGAUAAGUUUGAACUAGGUUUGAGUCUAUUGAAUGAAACCAAGGUUGAAUAGAAUUUUAGGAACCAAGGUUUGUAAUUUAAUUUUAUUCAUAGUUCUAUAAUUAUAUAGCCUUUAUAUUAUCUAAACGAAUAAGUUAUGAAAUCAAUAUUUUUAAACUAACCUAAUGACGAAUAUGGUGACGAAUUCAACGAUAUCAAAACAAGUUUGAAAGACUACUCAAGAUAAGAAAGUCUAAGAUUUGAUUUUACCUAACUAUCAAAUAUGAUUCUCAAUUAUCUAGUUAUCUCUAAACACCUUUUCCAUGUUUAUGAGAAAGAACUAAAUUGUAUUUCUAUCCCUUCCCAAGAACGUUGGCUGUAAAUUAAUCCUAAAUUUCAAUUCCAAUAUCUUCCUUCCAAGUUAAAACCAAGAAUUUAUCAAGUUAAUGGUUCUUUUACGGAGUAAGCUUUAUAGAUUCUACACUUUCUCUCGAAAUCUAUAAAAUCUAUGUUGUGUUAAUUUUAUGAUCGAGCCUAAAUUCUCCUCUCUUGAGUGUCAGAAUUGACUAGCAUCUACUCAUUCAAUUAGUCGUCAAUUAAUUGAAGCAUUAAAAUCAUAACAAAAAUAAACGGAAUGGAAAAUUUCAUAGAAAUAACUUAAAUAAAUUCAAAGCAUGCUCUCAAGUUUUGGCUAAUAAAGCCUAGAUUAGAUGUUUAGUUCAUGAUAAAAGCCAUAAAAUUAAUCAAAUUCAAAUAAAAAAACAUAGAAAAACUAUUUUUGGUAGAUAUUCAAUCUCCUUUGUAAUGUUGUUCUUGAUUUUUCCUUGAUUUCUUAAUGAUCGCUUGCUUCUUGCCUCCUUGUUGCCCGUUUGAAUUCUCCCUCAAUUGUGAUCUUUAGGUUUGUAUUUAUAGUAUUUUGAAGUCUUAGACGAAUUAGAGUUGGAUUGGGCUAAGAAAAAAGUCCAAAAAAUUUUAAAAUUCCUAUUUUCUCUCCUAGCGACGUUGCAUCACCCAAGAUGGGUGCCGCGAUGUUGUUGAUUUUCAACAAGAUGGGUGCAAUGCCACACACUUCAGGUGGAAAAACAAAUGAGGAUUUUACUUAUUGUAGCUCAAUGCAUUAACAAAUGAGGAUUCUCCUGAUUUUGGACUGCUUCAACCUCGAAGAAUCAACCAAGUUACUAACAUAUUAUCAAAGGACUAAUAUUCUAAAACAAGUUUCUUCUAUUUUAUGCACCUUCUUUUUCAUAUAUAUGUGUGUGUGCACGCAAUUAGGUGGCAAUUAAUACAAUUAAUAAAAUAUCUUUGUAGUUAGAAUAAGAAAAAGUCCAAGUCUUAAUUAUGGUUUGAAAAGCAAAGUUUGUAGUAAGAAAAAUACGUGACAAUUAAACACGUAGAAAGUGAUGGAAAGUGACAAAUCUUUACCAAUUAAUUAAGUGGGAGUGAAAAAAAAAAUUUAAACGAAUUACAAAAGUUUUCAAAUUACGUAACCUAAAUAGAAAUCUUACUAACCAGUUCCAAAAAGUCUAUUAAGAUAAGAAAAUCAUAAAAGAAAAAUUUCUCUUAGAAAGGGAAUCUUACUAUUUUUAUCUUUAUUUUCUUUUAUAAUUUUUAUGUCUUUUUGCCUUUUUUUAUAAUUUUCAGGACCUUUUAUCAAGAAACUUCGGCACUAAGAGAUAGAAAACUCAGUGAUUUGCUUGUUGAUCUUAAAAGAUGAGUCACCUCUAUUUAUAUCUAGUACAGAUAAUAUAUGGCUUUCUAUAACAAUUAUUCUACCAAUUUCUUGAUUUUCUAAACAAAUGUCAAUAAAUUCUUUAAAACUUUCUAUUGAACAACAAAGCAAAGUAGAUGAUGUAUAAUUGUCUAAUGGCACAAGAUAUUAGAACUAAAAAUCAAUAUGUUUAUAAUGGCCCUAGUUUACCAUUCAACAAAUUAAUUUUUUUAGCCUUUUUUUUUUCUUUAAAUCUCUCUUAACUUUUUCUUUAUCUUUUAAGGAAGGCUUAAGACUAUAAUUAAAAAGAUUUUCAUCAUGUUUAAAAAAGUUGAAACAAACUUCCAAAAUCGAGAUACAAAACGACCAGCUUAACUCAGAGGAAUACUUUAUCUUUUUAAUCAUGGAAUCCAGAAUAAAGAGGUUAAAAACGUUAUAAUAUAGAAAAGAUAAAAAGAUAAUUUUUUUGAAUAAAUUAACUACUUACUUAGUGUACCUCCUUAGUUUAGCCUCUUUUUUCGUAAGCAUAUCCACUUAGUCAAGCACUUAUUCUCCUAAAAUCCACUAUUUUUCGAAGUGUGCCCAUUUAGUCGAGUCUUUAUUUUCCUAAGUGCACCAACUUAGUUGAGCAUCUAUUCUCCUAAGUUCAUUUGUUUAGUCAAGCCUAUAUUUUUCUAAGGGCGUCCGCUUAGUCAAGCCUCUAUUCUCCUAAAUGCAUCCACUUAGUCGAGACUCAGCUGCUUAUAUUUGGAGCAUCACCUCUAAAUCAGCUUCAACAUAGCUACUUACCUUCAAAAAGCUUUGCCUCUACCCAAAAGCCCACCUAUUAAAUGAAAUUCAUAAUUGGACUUUUAAGACUAUUGUGAUACUAUCAUCCUAAUAGCAUUACAUUGUUACUGUUAGCACAUGCUUUGCAUUAUUGCUAGCAUGUCAUGAUACCGUCAGUAUGCAUGUCACAUCAUCUAUAUUACCAUUUUAUUAUCGCUAGGAAGUAACUUUCUUUACACUAGCAUUACUAUUGUACUAAGGUGUGCAAACAUAUGAUCCACUAUGAUACAUGAUAGGCUCUCUGUAUGUUAUAUUUUUUGAGAAAUAUGAUUUGCUAUAAUUUUCCCUAUCGUCAUGAGUAUUUUGAUGGACAAUGGGCCCCAAUUUAUUUUUUAUAUGUGAGUCGAGAUAUAGUAUUAUAUCUCAUGUAGGUGUAGUCGGUCUAGUCCAUAUUAUAGAAGAGAUGUUGUCAAAUUUUUGGUAAAUCAUAGUGUGAUAUUUUAAAGAUAGUUCGUAAACCUUCACUUAUUGGAUUUGCUCAUUUUUAGAGGCUAUCUGUAGGCCUUCAUAUUUUCGAGACUAUUGCAACUCUUAAUGUGUUCACAACAAAUAAUUUUUAUGCAAUUUGUAAGCCCUCCUAGUUGACAACUAAUAUUUUGAUAGACUAUGUCAUCUAAGAAUAUUAUAACUGACCUAAAUAAAGGUGACAAAUUGAAUGACGAUAACUAUAACACUUGGUGCCAUAAAAUUUGGUAUGUGCUAGAGGAACAAGAUUGCUUUAAGGGUAUUAACCAUGUAAUGGAAGACCUAAGGAUAGGUCAAACUACUCAACAGAGAAAGGAUCAGGAAACUUACCAGAUAUGGAAAAAGAAAGAUUCCACUGCUCAUGCAAUUUUGAUAAGUUCUAUGGUGGACAAUCUCAUACAUGAAUGUGAGCAUUUUUCGAUUUGAGAGAGAAAUAUGGUAGUACUAGUGCGACUAGACUGAGAUAGCUGACUAUUAAAUUUGACACUUACAAGAAACUUCCUAAUCACAACAUCACACAGCAUGUGAAGAUCAUGUCUACUAUGAUUAGGGAAUUGAAGUCAGCUGGUCACAGACUCUUUGACGAGCAAUAAGUUUAGGCUUUGAUCCGUUCCCUUACUGAUAAUUGGGAACAUCUAAAAGUUAAUUUGACUCACAAUAAUAGUAUCAAAAUAUUUGCUGAUGUUGCCCGCCAUGUGGAACUAGAGGAUGACCUCCUUGGUGCGGCUAAAUCUCUGGGACAAACUUUUGUGGUUGAAUGUAGUUUUGGGAAAGUUUCAGGCUUUAAGCGUAAGAAGAAUUGAUUCAAAGGCAGAAAAGGAAAGGGAAAAGAAACUGGACAGGGACCUAAAAAGAAAAAACACAAGCGCAAUAUGAAGAGUAAUUGCUUUGGAAAGAAGAAAGAUAAGAGCAAGCUGAAAUGCUUCAACCGUCAGGUGUUGGGUCACUUUGCUUGGGAAUGCCCUAAGCUAAAGAAGGUAGCUCUUAUAAAUACUUCUUUUAGUACUAUUUAUGUUUAAAACACUAUUAUGCUAGAUGAAUCCUAUCCUAUGUAUAUUAGGAGCAACAAACCAUGCAACCAGGGAUUGAGAAGCAUUUGUGGAGUUCUAUCGAUUUUCAGCUAGUACAAAGUGGAUAUAUGUCGGCAACGAUGAUAGAGUGGAAGUAAAAGGGAUUGGUACAUGUAAGUUUCAUUUACAUGGUGAUCGUACUAUUCUUUUUCAUGAUGUCUUAUUUGCACGGCGGAUAUGAAUGAACUUAAUUUCAGUUGUUGUUCUUUUAAGAUUAGGUUUAAGUUCAAACUUUUGUAGUAAUUCUAUUCGUAUAAAUAAUGGUAAUGUAUUUUAUAGAUCUGGACAUUUAGAAGGUAGCUUUGUAAUGUUGGAUUGUGACCCAAAUACUUAUAAUUAUUAUGUUGAUCUUUAUUUUUCUAUGACUGUAUCUUUCUCUUCUUCUAAAAAUUUGAAUGUUGAUACAUCUGCAUGACAUGCUAGAUUAGGACAUAUUGGAUAAGAGAGAAUGAACAGGUUAGCUAAAGAAGGUUUGCUAGAUUCAAUCUCUAUGGUUUUGUUACCUACUUGUAAACAUUGUCUAAUUGAAAAAACAACACAAAAAUCAUUCGGUAAAGCCUUAAGAGUUGAACUUCUAUUGUAGUUACUACAUUCGGAUAUAUGUAGCCCGAUGAAUGUGAUGGCAAGACAUGGAGCCUCCUAUUUCAUUACUUUUAUAGACGAGUUCACGUGGUAUAGUUAAGUCUAUUUGAUUUCUCAUAAGUCGGAGGCAUGGAAUGUUUUAGAUGAUAUUAAAUAUGGUAGAAAAUCAAAUAGAUAGAAAGGUAAAAGUCUUAAGAACUGACCGAGGGCAUGAAUAUCUAUCAGAAGAGUUCAAAGAACUAUGUGAUGAUAAGGAAAUCAUUAGGUAGUUAACUAGUCUCAAUAUACCUCAACAAAAUAGUGUUGUGGAGAGGAGAAAUAGAACGUUGCUAGAAAUGGUGAGGUUUAUGAUGGCACAUACUAACUUUACCUAUUUCCUAUUGGGGAGAUGCUUUGUUAACUGCAACCAAGAUUCUGAAUAGACUUCCUUCUAAAUCGGUGCCUACUAUACCAUAUCAGCUUUGGACAGGUAGAUCCUCUGAUUUAAGUUCUCUUAGAUCCUGGCUACCUAUAUCCAUGAUUCCACAAGUAAGUUUGGAAAAUUGGGUGCUCAAGGUAAGAAGUGUAUCUUUAUAAGAUACUCAGACAAGUCCAAAGGAUAUGUGUUCAUAGGUAAAAAUCAAGAUGAGACUAUAACUAAGAUAGAGUCACGUGAUGUGACAUUUCUUGAGAGUGAUUUUCCUAGCAUGGGAGAAAAUAAAAAGGGAGAACCUUUGUUUGAAUUAGAUAAUAGAGUUGUACUUGAUGGAUCAAUUGAGGUGCAAGAGGAAGUACUUCUACCUAUCGAUCCAAGUGAGAGUAAUUUAUCUCCAACUUCAAGUACGGGGUCACAUCGGAGCUUUUACUUCGUAAGAUUACUAGAAAAAGUUUGCCUAAAUGUCAUUUCAAGAUCGAAGGGCGAGUUUUCCUAGUAUCUCCUGAAGAUGGUGAAGAACCAAGAUCAGUACAAGAAGAUUUAUCAUGUCCUACAAAGGAAAAAUAGAGGAAGAGUUGGAGUCUAUGAAAUCGAAUCAGGUCUGGGACUUGGUUAAUCUUCCAUCUGGUCAAAAAGCCAUUGGGAAUAAAUGUGUCUAGGGUUGGCAAUCGGGCUCGUCGGCUUGGGCCAUCCAUAACUCGGCCUAGAAAAAGCCCGAGCCAGCCCAGCUCAAGGCUCGAUUCUACCAAGCCGAGGCUUGGACCAAGCCCGAGCCGACCCAUGUGGCUUGCAGGCCUUUAUAUUAAAAAAAUAAAAAUUAAAGGCAACAACCUGCUAUCUAUAAAAAAAUCAAGCCUAUCGGCUCGGCUUAAAAAGCUCAGAUCGUUCGGCUCGGCUUUUUGACACCACUAAAUGGGUCCUCAAAAUAAAGUGAAUAACUGAUGGGACUAUAGAGAGGUAUAAGUCUCAAUUGGUGGUAAAGGGUUAUACUCAACAAAAGGGUAUAGAUUAUGAAGAGACCUUUUCACUAGUAAUUAGAUUUACUUCAAUUCGUCUACUCUUAACUAUCGUAGCACGUUUAGAUUUAGAAUUACAUCAAAUGGACAUAAAGAAUGCAUUUCUUAACUAUCGUAGCACGUAAAGAUUGAGAAUUUGAUGAAGAAAUUUACAUGCAACAACCAAUAGGUUUCCUUAAAACAUGUCAAGAGAAUAAAGUUUGUAAAUUGAAUAGAUCAAUCUAUGGCUUAAAGACACGGUGGUACUUGAGAUUUCACAGAACAGUUUUCUCAUACAACUUUUUCAUGAUGGACGAAGAUCACUGAAUUUAUUUGAAAUUGUCCAACGAGAAAUUUGUAUUUUUAUCUCUCUACGUAGAUGCUAUCUUAUUGGCUGGGAAUGAUAAGAAGUAUAUUAAAACCAUUAGGAAAUGAUUGUCCUCAAAUUUUGAAAUGAAGGACAUGGGAAAAGCAGAUUACAUAUUAGGUAUUAAAAUCCAUAGAGAUCACUCAAAGAGGCUUCUUGCUCUGUUAAAGAGACAUUUAUAAAGAAAAUUCUUGAACGUUUCAAAUUGGAGAAUUGCAAUCCAAUUGACACUUCUAUAUCAAAGGCGAAACUCUAAGUCUUCAUAUGUGUCCUAAAGCUCUCGAGAAAAAAGAAGAAAUGUCCAGAGUUCCAUACUCUAGUGCGGUUAGGAGCUUGAUGUAUACUAUGAUGUGUACUCAUCCCGACAUUGUUAUGUCGUAGGUCUGGUUAGUAGGUACCAAUCUAAUACUGGAAGAGAGCACUGGAAAGACAUUAAAAGGAUAUUAAGAUACCUAAACUGCUAAUUACUCCCUGUGCUAUCAAGGAAAUGAUUUGUACUUAAAAUAAUAUACAGAUGUUGAUUGGGGUGGAGACCUAGAUGAGCGCAAGUCAACUACGAAAUAUGUAUUCUUGCUUAAUAAUGGUACUAUCUCUUGACGUAGAAAGAAACAGACCUAUAUUUUCUUGUCCACGAUGGAAGCAAAAUUCGUAGUACGUGCUUCAGCAGUACAAGAAGCUAUUUGGUUAAGGAGAUUCCUACAGUAUCUAAGAGUCGUUAGUGGUGAUGUGGGACCUAUAUUGAUCUACUGUGAUAGUUAGACAGCUAUUGUAUAGUCUAAGUAUCCCAAGUAUCAUAGUAGAACCAAACACAUUGAUACAAAGUAUAAUUUUGUAAGAGACAUCAUAAGCAAAAAGAAAGUGAGUUUGCAGUAUAGUUCUAUGCACCAAAUGGUAGCUAGUCCAGUUAUAAAACUUAUCCCUAGAGAUAUUUUUAUGACUCAUGUUAAAUCUCUGGGAUUGCGUAGAAUUUAAAUUGUACACUAUGUAAACUUUUUCAUAUAUGUCCAUUAAUGAACAAUAUUUUGAGUUCAUAUGUUAAGAGUAAUCUUUUAAUGUGAUUUUUAGAUUACCAUUGCAUCUGCACACAUAAAGUAUGUCAAACAAGUUGAGAUUGGUUUACUCACACGAACAAUCAUCUCAGAAACUUUGAGGUGUGCUGAAAUGAGCACAGUGAUCAUAUUGUGUAUAUGAUCCAAUUGCCUUGAUGAGAUAUUAAGAUGAGAUUAUAACAAGUAAUCGGUAUGGAUUUUUUUGCCAUCCAUUAGACCUGUUUUAUAGCCAGAUCGAGUUCUUAAUUUGAGAUUAGCUGGAGGAAUAAAUAUGAGGAGAACUCAGGUUAGAUAUCAAGGAAUAUUUGAACUAUGAUAUGUACGAUAUUUAUAUUAGUGAGAUUAGACAUAUGCCCUAAGAAAGGGAGAAACAUCGUAUAAUGUGUUUCAUACCAUAUGUGCUUUAAUGACCAAUGAGAAAUGAAAGUAUUGAUCCCUACUUCUUCAUUGUGUGAGUCUCUGAGACGUAUUUGACCUCACUUAUAUACCCUAAUGACUUUAACUAUUUCUUAGAAUUUUAUUUCAGUAUUGCUACUUUAGCAUGUUGCCAAUAACUACGGUUGAUUAGGUUCGAUGGGAUAUAUCUAGGAAAUUAGCUAACUUGAAAUGAAGGGAUUCAAGUAGGAAAGGAAGACUAAUUAACUAAUACCUCAGCUUGUAUUCACCAACCAGACAAUUGUGUUACUUAUUUGAGUUUGUGUGACACAAUUGUAAAUGCAAUAUAAAUAAGAAAGUUGAGUAUGUUCUAAAAUAAAUUGAAGGGUCAUAAAUACUCGAAAUGGUAUUACAAAAUAUGUCUAGGGUAUAGUGAGAAAUAUAAUUUCUCUUCUAGAACUACUAUAUAUCCCUAACAAGUGUAUAGUAUUGUAUGCUCUUAAAUUAACUUGAUGGUCGUACGAUUCAUUUACCAGUAUGAACUUGGAGAUGUUGAGAUUAUUAUAAUUGAAUUAUACUUGAAUCAGGUUCAGCCCAUCAUGUGCGAGUGGGAGAUGUUGGAAGAAAAUGGCCACCCAUGUGAGUUGACCUAACCCGAUUUGCAUGGAGAUGAAUUUUGGAGGGAGGAGUUAGAAAUUAAAUUUGAAACUUAACCUAACUUCUUCUAUAUAACUUCUUUUCCAUCAAAAACUGAAAAUAUACUUGGUGAAAUCCAAUUUCCAGAAUGAGAGAAAACAACAUAAGUGUUGUGGCUUGUUAUUGGAAAGUAAGCAAAUCAAAGGCAAGUAAUUCAACCUUGAUUUUGAGAUUUCAUGUAAGUAUCACUACUUAGAACUUGGUUAUAAGCAUACAAGCACGUUUUACAUUGUAUAUAACUUUUUUCGACUCCAAUUUUACAUUCAAUAGCGUAAGCAAAAAGAGGGUCGUUUAAUUGCUUGUUAUUUUUCUUUAUUUGUUAAGUAUUGAAGUGGCUGAGAGAUUUGCUUAUUGUGGUAUAUAUUUUAAAUGAUAAGCUAUUUGAUGCAUCCACUGGGGCAAUCCACUACUAAAGCGGCGGAGAAUGCGAAGGAAUGAUGGUGUUGCUUUUGUCACUAUUGGCUAAUUUUGUGGUUGACUCCUUUCUUGGUCGCAACUACACUAUCCAUUAUCAUAUCUCUGGACUCUAUAUUGUGAUCAGUCAAAAAUGCUCACACCAAUGCCUCAGGGUAUAAUUAUUAGCUAAAUAUAUAAUUUCUUUUCCGAGAUUUUAAAUUAAAUUAACUUCGUGUUUAUAACUACUUAGUGCCCUUUCUUAUACUUCAAUUUACAUAUAAUAAGUGUUAUUAGAAUAGUCACCCUUCUAGAAAUGAUCCUUGACAAAGAUGGUUGAUGGACCAAGGAGGCUACUUCUAGAUGUUUAUUGUAAGGUUACAUUGCUUGAAGCAGUGGUUCUCGCUAAUGACAGUUUUGAAAGGAGGGAUAAAAUGUAACGAUUCUAUAACGUUCUGUAUCUCUAAGUUAAAACUUAGCUCUUGAACAUAUAAUCAUCUAAGCAUGCUCCUAUAGCAAAUUGACUUUAAGGAUGAUUUUUAAUCAAUGCUAUUAUAACGUUAUUUGAUAUGAUAUAGCACAAGGUGGAAACUUAUUAAUUAGCAUAAAGUGUAAAAUUUGAACCAGUUUGAUUCAUUUGGUUUUUUUCUUGGACCAUGAUCAAUGAAAUGUGCAGCCAAGUAAUAAAGAAUGUGUAAAAUAUCGUUUCCACAAAUAUUAAUUACUUAGUCUAAUAUCUAGCUAACGCCAAAUUUAAUCGAAUAGCAAUAUUAGUUUAUGGAUGAGUUUUAUACUGACAAUCUAAAUUCUAUGUUAAAUUAACUAUCCUAACCGAUUAAUGUUGAAGUAUUUUGAAACUCUAGUAAUCGGAUAAUUACUAAGACCUUGAAUAUCCCUACAUACUUCCUUGUUAAUGUCAAUUCAAAAUUUGGACAAUACAUACCCUGAUAUGAAGAUCAAUAUUCCUCACUCGUUUAAUAAUUCUCUCUUGAGUAGAAGUAAACAUAUCAUUGUAUAUAUGACCUUCAUAUCUCUCUAUGAAAGAUAUGCACAUGCAAAGAAUCAUUAGAAUCAGAAAAACAAUGACUAUUACUAUGUGUCAAAUUCCUAUCCAUUCUCACGAAUGUCAAUAAAAAUCACAAGACAAUUUAAUUAGUAACUAAUUAAUUGAAAAGCAUUAAGUACUAACAAUUAUUCAGAACCAAACACAUGUUUUAAUGUCAAAAAUUUAAAAAGCAUAUCAAAACUUCAAAAGCAGGGUUCAAAGUUAUCCUAGCAUAACAAUUAGCCAAGCAUCAAAUUAAUUACAAGUACACAAAAUAAUUGAUACAAAAUCAUCCGGAAGUUAAUAAUUGGAAAGAAUAUGAAACAUAAUCUUGAAUAUUGUAUCUCUUCAAUUUCUUUUUGAUUUUUUUUUCUCUUUUGAUUCUUCUUCUUCUUUUCAAUACAGAAAGUCAAUGAAUUAAAAACAGGUUUGAAUGUGUUUUGUAUAAAGUUUCUACAAAACUUUGAAAGAGUGUGAGUUUAUGAAUCAAAAGCUUCCUCUUUGGCUCUCUUAUAUGAAGGAACUAUAGAUUUGAAACCCUUAGAGCUUCUUUCACUUGUAUAUAAUUAAUCCUUACAAGAGUAAUCAAUUGUUGGACUAAGAUGUGUAUUUAUAAAGUCAAGAUUUAAGUCUUAUUUUGUGUCCUUAGGAUUUGAAAUUUUAGUCAUAGCAGGAAUGUUGGAUUGUUGAAUUUUAGCUCAGGGAUCGCUUUGAGAUUGAACCCUAGUGUCGGGUGUGAACGCUCAAUUUAAAAAAGUUUGGACUGCUAUUCGUAUCUUCAUAGUUGUGAUCGUAGAGGUCACCGAACUUCCAUUUGUUCAUUUUGGUCCUUAAACCAUAGUUUUGGUUCUUAUCCUCGAAUAUUGCAUGAAAUGUCUUCAAGUUUAGUUCUUCAAAAUGCAGUCCUCUACAUUCCUAAAUAAUUAAUUAUCGACCCGAAGCAAGUUUCGAAACUUUUUCAAUUUAGUCCUCAAACUUUUCAUUUGUCGAAUUUAACUCUUGAAACUUGUUAUUCACCUUCGAUUGCCCUCAUAAUACUUCCAAAUGACCAAUUUCAAUCUGGUUGAUCUUCAAGCACUUUGAAUCAACAUCACAAUUAUACUACAGUUUCUCCUAUUUUACACUAAUUUCUUCCAAAUUUAGGGAUUUACCUACAAUUAAUAUAAUUUAACAUAAAUAUCCAUUCAAUUGAUCAUAAUUAAUUAAAUGAAGAAGUCCAUAAUAUGCACUUAUCACCCUACUUGAGAUAUGUAAUUGAACACAUCUUUUAUUUGUUUCUUUACGUUUUCAACUUAAUAUUUCAAAGAAAUAUAUUGUUAAAAAUUGUGAGAAAGUUAUCAAUUUCCAAUAGAAGGACUCUUGUAGCAUAAAGUUAUAGGCAAAAAGUAAAACUUCUAGGGUCAGCUACUUGUAGGUAGAUUAUGAGAUAGACAUUUUAUUGGGGAAUUAUAUCUCUAAGUGUCAUUUUCUACCAUUUUCUGCUAGAGGAAUAGGAUUGGUACUUGUUACCAUAAAAGUCUUGGAUGUUGAAAAUUUUAAUAUGUCAACUUCAUUUGGAUUCGUAAAAAAAAUACCAAGAAUUUUGGAGAAAAUUCUAUAUUUCAUUUUUCAAUUUCUUCAAUUCUAAAAAUUACUCUCUUGGUCCCUAAGCUCCUAAUAUAAAAUUUUAACUUAAUUAAAUAAAAACACAUUUAGACUUUAAUUAAAUUAAUCAAAUAAAGCCGAUACUAUAUCUCUUGUACUGCAUCACCAGCAGGGUUCAAGAUUGAAGAGGCUAGAGGCUUCAAAAUGUACUUAACAGAUUAACGUAAUUGUCAUUGGGUAUUCACACGCUUUCAAAGAAUGUGAAAUGGAGUUGACAAUUGAUUAUUUCGAUGGUUUUUAAAUGUUUCUUUAAUGCUAAUCACGUUACACUUUGUUCUAGGAAUGCAUGUUGGUUUUCUUUCUUUGUUUUGCUCGAAGAUUACAAUUAUAUCGUGCCUAAUUAGUUACAUACCAAUUAUUGAUAAAGGUUUGACUUGACUAAUUUAUAAACCAAUUAUAAAUUGGUAACCAAACGUCCCAUAAAUUUAUUUAACCUUUUAAGUUUUGAAAGCAAUCAAAAUAGUAUUAGAUCAUGAGCGAAUAAAAAUCGAUUUCUAUCCUGUAGAGACAAAAAUCGUAGCUUAGGGACCAGAUUACUAUAUUUUGAAAAGGUUGAGUAUCAAAGUUUUAAUUUUCCCUAAAUUCCAAAUUAAUUUUCCACGAGACAUUUUUUACUCAGCUUUCAAGCGAAUAACACCUGCGCAUGAAUAGCUAAAAAAUACUCAGAUAUGGAAUUGGACUCCUUGUAGGCGUAGUGUACAUGCAGCUCUUAUUCCCUAACCUAUUGGGACACAUCCUGCGAUUUACCUCCCUCACAAAGCUCUAGGAACGAAACGUUGAGCACCCUAAAAAUUGGGGUUCAACCUUUUUUUUUUAGCUAAAAAAUACUCCACUGAUGGAGCUUCAUGUAAGACUUUUUGAAUCUGUCUUGAAGUAGACAAACGCAGUCACAUCAAAAUCCAUAUUUAAAGGGAAAAAAAUCAAUUUUUUAAAAGUUUUUGUGUUAUGAAUGUAAUCAGAAUAAUGCCCUGUUUUUCCGAUUGCAAUCUCUUUCAUGUUGACAAAUUUAUGACCAUUGGGGAGGUUAUUGACCUUCUAAUAUAUAUAUAUAACCGUUUAAAAGAUAGACGGUUGCGUGUGAAAGUUGGUUGAAGUAAAAGAACAGUCACAUCAAUUCAAUUGCUUGCUUCGUUUUUAAAUAAAUUAGAAAAAUGUAAGAUUUGAAAUUUUAGCCCCGUUUGGCCCGUAUUAAAUUAAAUUUUAUUUUUUUCUUGAGAUUGCACCGUAGUAUUCGGUGGGAACACAUAAUCUAACAAAGUUGGGACCGCUAUUGAAAUUUUCAUAGUUGCGAUCGUAGAGGUUAUUGAACUUCCAUUUGUUCAUUUUAGUCCUUAAACAAUAGUUUUGGUUGUUACCCUUAAAUAUUGCAUGAAAUGCCCUUUGUGCUUCGAUAGGUAUAGGUAAGGUAUGCAAAGAAAAAGCCUAUUUAACAUUGUUGACAAUGAAACUUACCAAAGAGAUCCAUUUCUUAACAAACUUUGGCUUGUCCACAAAUGCAGCAAGUCAUCCCCUAGAUUUAUUUGAAUUACUCUUUGAAGUUUUUAACCGGUUUCGUGUGGUUAUUUACUAAAAUCGCCCUUUGGAAGGGAAGGAUGGAUUGUUAGUGUGGACAAUUUAGAAAAUAUAAUCAAGUUUUGUUUUGCACAAUGUAGUCCUCUACGUUCCUAAAUAAUUAACAAUUGACCCGAAAAAAGUUUCAAAUUUUUUUCAAUUUAGUGCUCAAACUUUUUAUUUGCUGAAUUUAACUCUCGAAACUUGUUAUUCACAUUUGAUUGUCCCCAUUAAUACUUCCAAAUGACCAAUUUCAAUCUGGUUGAUCUUCAAGCACUUUGAAUCAACUUCACAAUUAUACUCCAGUUUCACCUAUUUUACACUAAUUUCUUCCAAAUUUAGGGAUUUACCUACAAUUAAUAUAAUUUAACAUAAAUAUCCAUUCAAUUGAUCAUAAUUAAUUAAAUGAAGAAGUCCAUAAUAUGCACUUAUCACCCUACUUGAGAUAUGUAAUUGAACACAUCUUUUAUUUGUUUCUUUACGUUUUCAACUUAAUAUUUCAAAGAAAUAUAUUGUUAAAAAUUGUGAGAAAGUUAUCAAUUUCCAAUAGAAGGACUCUUGUAGCAUAAAGUUAUAGGCAAAAAGUAAAACUUCUAGGGUCAGCUACUUGUAGGUAGAUUAUGAGAUAGACAUUUUAUUGGGGAAUUAUAUCUCUAAGUGUCAUUUUCUACCAUUUUCUGCUAGAGGAAUAGGAUUGGUACUUGUUACCAUAAAAGUCUUGGAUGUUGAAAAUUUUAAUAUGUCAACUUCAUUUGGAUUCGUAAAAAAAAUACCAAGAAUUUUGGAGAAAAUUCUAUAUUUCAUUUUUCAAUUUCUUCAAUUCUAAAAAUUACUCUCUUGGUCCCUAAGCUCCUAAUAUAAAAUUUUACCUUAAUUAAAUAAAAACACAUUUAGACUUUAAUUAAAUUAAUCAAAUAAAGCCGAUACUAUAUCUCUUGUACUACAUCACCAGCAGGGUUCAAGAUUGAAGAGGCUAGAGGCUUCAAAAUGUACUUAACAGAUUAACGUAAUUGAAAUUGGGUAUUCACACGCUUUCAAAGAAUGUGAAAUGGAGUUGACAAUUGAUUAUUUCGAUGGUUUUUAAAUGUUUCUUUAAUGCUAAUCACGUUACACUUUGUUCUAGGAAUGCAUGUUGGUUUUCUUUCUUUGUUUUGCUCGAAGAUUACAAUUAUAUCGUGCCUAAUUAGUUACAUACCAAUUAUUGAUAAAGGUUUGACUUGACUAAUUUAUAAACCAAUUAUAAAUUGGUAGCCAAACGUCCCAUAAAUUUAUUUAACCUUUUAAGUUUUGAAAGCAAUCAAAAUAGUAUUAGAUCAUGAGCGAAUAAAAAUCGAUUUCUAUCCUGUAGAGACAAAAAUCGUAGCUUAGGGACCAGAUUACUAUAUUUUGAAAAGGUUGAGUAUCAAAGUUCUAAUUUUCCCUAAAUUCCAAAUUAAUUUUCCACGAGACAUUUUUUACUCAGCUUUCAAGCGAAUAACACCUGCGCAUGAAUAGCUAAAAAAUACUCAGAUAUGGAAUUGGACUCCUUGUAGGCGUAGUGUACAUGCAGCUCUUAUUCCCUAACCUAUUGGGACACAUCCUGCGAUUUACCUCCCUCACAAAGCUCUAGGAACGAAACGUUGAGCACCCUAAAAAUUGGGGUUCAACCUUUUUUUUUUAGCUAAAAAAUACUCCACUGAUGGAGCUUCAUGUAAGACUUUUUGAAUCUGUCUUGAAGUAGACAAACGCAGUCACAUCAAAAUCCAUAUUUAAAGGGAAAAAAAUCAAUUUUUUAAAAGUUUUUGUGUUAUGAAUGUAAUCAGAAUAAUGCCCUGUUUUUCCGAUUGCAAUCUCUUUCAUGUUGACAAAUUUAUGACCAUUGGGGAGGUUAUUGACCUUCUAAUAUAUAUAUAUAACCGUUUAAAAGAUAGACGGUUGCGUGUGAAAGUUGGUUGAAGUAAAAGAACAGUCACAUCAAUUCAAUUGCUUGCUUCGUUUUUAAAUAAAUUAGAAAAAUGUAAGAUUUGAAAUUUUAGCCCCGUUUGGCCCGUAUUAAAUUAAAUUUUAUUUUUUUCUCUUAUAUUUUCAAUUAUAAAAUAUUUCAUAAAAUAAUAUUAUAUAGAAAUCGAAAAUUUUUCAUUCUUUUUCAACCACUUAUUUAAAAAAAAAAAAAAAAACAACAUUCUAUUUAUUUUGAUUUCUACAAAAUGGGGACCAAACGGGGGCUCAUCAUGUGAUUACAUGGUAAGACGAGUUGUGAUUGGUCAUGUAGGAUCUGCAGGGUCCUACCUUGAGAUCUCAUGGGCAUUCCCACUGCGAUCACAAGGUACUCACAACACAAUAGCAGAGUCCUUCUGCAUGUUAGAAUUUUGCAUGGGAGUGAUUCAAUACUUCUAUAGAUUUCAUUAUUUUUAUAAUGGAGUACUGAUUCAGAGGGAGUUGAAGUAGUUAUCUUGUUGAAUUAUAUACGAAAAAUAGUAGGAUUUCGAAAGCUAUGAUUUGAUUGUCCCCAUUAAUACUUCCAAAUGACCAAUUUCAAUCUGGCUAAUCUUCAAGCACUUUGAAUCAACUUCAAUUAUACUCUAGUUUCACCUAUUUCACACUAAUUUCUUCCAUAUUUAGGGUUUACCUACAAUUAAAUAAUUUAACCUAAUAUUAAGUAAAUAUCAACUCAAUUAAUCAUAAAUAAUUAAAUGAAGAAGCCAUAGUAUGCACUUAUUCCCCCCACUUGGGAUAUGUGAUUUAAAACAUCUUGUAUUUGUUUCUUCAGCCCUUCUAGAAGUACAAUUUAUUGUAUAAUUUAGUUGACAAGGGGGUCAAGUAUCAAUCAAAUUGUACAAAUAGAAUAAUUCUUGUUUCUUUAGGUUUUCAAUUUAUUAAUUCAAAAAAAAAAAUUGUUAAAAAUUGUAAGAAAUUUAUUAGUGUCCAAUAAAGGGCCUUUGGUAGACUAAAGUUCUAGGCAAAAAGUAAAUUUCUAGGGUCAGCUAGUUGUAGAUGGAGUAUUAGAUAGAUAACUUAUUGGAAUUAUAUCUCUAAUUGUCAUUUUCUGCCAUUUUCUGCUAGAGGAAUAGGAUUGAUACUUGUUACAAUAAAAGUCUUGUAUGUUGAAAAUUUUAAUAUGUCAAUUUCAUUCGGAUCCUUCAAUAAAUACCAAGAAUUUGGAGAAAAUUCUAUACUUUAUUUUUCAAUUUCUAAAAAUUACUGUCUUGGUCCCUAAGCUCCUAACAUAAAAUUUCACCUUAAUUAAAUAAAACACAUUUAUACGUUAAUUAAAUUAAUCAAAUAAAGCUGACACAAUAUCUCUUGUACUACGUCAUCAACAUGGUUUAAGAUUGAAGGGACUAGAAGCUUCAAAAUCUAUCUAACAAAUUAACACAAUUGUAAAUGGUUAUUCACAUGCUUUCAAAGAAUGUGAAAUGGAGUUGACACUUGAUUAUUUCGGUGGUUUUUAAUUGUUUCUUUAGUUCCUAUUUGGCCCCCAUUUUGUGGAAAUUAAAAUUGGUGGAAUAAUGUUUUUUAGAAAAAUGAAUGGUUAAAAAAAAGGAAAAGUUUUCGAUUUACGUGUAAUAUUAUUUUAUGAAAGAUUGUAUGGUUGAAAAUAGGAGAUGGAAAAAUGAAAUGCAAUAAAAUAAAAAUUAAUGGGGGCCAAACGGGGGCUUAAUGCUGAUCACGUUACAUUUUGUCCUAGGAAUACCAAACGUCCCAUAAAUUUAUUUAACCUUUUAAGUUUUGAAAGCAAUCAAAAUAGUAUUAGAUCAUGAGCGAAUAAAAAUCGAUUUCUAUCCUGUAGAGACAAAAAUCGUAGCUUAGGGACCAGAUUACUAUAUUUUGAAAAGGUUGAGUAUCAAAGUUUUAAUUUUCCCUAAAUUCCAAAUUAAUUUUCCACGAGACAUUUUUUACUCAGCUUUCAAGCGAAUAACACCUGCGCAUGAAUAGCUAAAAAAUACUCAGAUAUGGAAUUGGACUCCUUGUAGGCGUAGUGUACAUGCAGCUCUUAUUCCCUAACCUAUUGGGACACAUCCUGCGAUUUACCUCCCUCACAAAGCUCUAGGAACGAAACGUUGAGCACCCUAAAAAUUGGGGUUCAACCUUUUUUUUUUAGCUAAAAAAUACUCCACUGAUGGAGCUUCAUGUAAGACUUUUUGAAUCUGUCUUGAAGUAGACAAACGCAGUCACAUCAAAAUCCAUAUUUAAAGGGAAAAAAAUCAAUUUUUUAAAAGUUUUUGUGUUAUGAAUGUAAUCAGAAUAAUGCCCUGUUUUUCCGAUUGCAAUCUCUUUCAUGUUGACAAAUUUAUGACCAUUGGGGAGGUUAUUGACCUUCUAAUAUAUAUAUAUAACCGUUUAAAAGAUAGACGGUUGCGUGUGAAAGUUGGUUGAAGUAAAAGAACAGUCACAUCAAUUCAAUUGCUUGCUUCGUUUUUAAAUAAAUUAGAAAAAUGUAAGAUUUGAAAUUUUAGCCCCGUUUGGCCCGUAUUAAAUUAAAUUUUAUUUUUUUCUCUUAUAUUUUCAAUUAUAAAAUAUUUCAUAAAAUAAUAUUAUAUAGAAAUCGAAAAUUUUUCAUUCUUUUUCAACCACUUAUUUAAAAAAAAAAAAAAUAUAUAUAUAUAUAAUGUUUUUAUAUAUCAAUUUAUGGAUGCAAUUAGAAAUAGAUAUUAACUAAAAUUUUCCUACCAAAACGAACAUGAAACAAAAUCUCUAUAGGCUCAAGUAUCUCAGGGAAACAAAAGAUGUAAUUGUGGGGUGAGUUUCCAAGCAUUUAGUCCUGGUGGUAAGAGUCAUAGUUAACAAAAAUGCUUGUAUGUGCUGUUAUAAGUUCUAUUUUUCUCCUUGUCCUAAAAAAGAAAGCAUUUCCAAUAUCCUCCUUCCAUGAUAGAGAUUUCAAAAGGAAUAUUCAAUAGGAUUGCAACUACUAAUACAACCAGGUGAUAACCCUAUUAAAAUGUCCUAAUGCACACUACCAAUUUUUGAAAAGAAGUUUCAUCUUAAGAGACUGAAAACCAAUGUACGAGUAGAGAAUACCUAAGAAAUUACACUAUUCUUAAUCUAUAAUCAUGGAUAUUGUACCCAUGAUAUCACAAUAAGAUGUUACCAACCCAUCUCCCUGAAUAUAAAUAUCUUUACUCUCUUAUUUGCCUCGCUCGGACCAGCAUAGCAAAAGUUACUUGGUGAUCAAGGUAUCACCAUUCAAAGUAAAAUAGCUAGGAGCAUUGACAAGAUAUGCUAACCAUAUCACAGUGCAGGUAAGGAUCACUGCUAAGUUGCCAAUUCCUUUGAACAUAUAACAGCUAUUGGUACAUAAUUUCUCCUUUUUUCACUAAUAUAACCAUUCUAAUACUUGUGAUUCUGAAUUCAGAUAAAGACUCCACCUUCUAUACUUUUUCUUGUUUCCUAUACAGCAUCACUGAUACCAGCAUAAAGUAACACUCUCUUAAUUUAUAAAAUCUUCGAGAGGCUGCCAAAAAAAUGAACAAAAAAACAAUUAACCUCGGGAGCGAGACGCUUGCAGUGGCCACACCAAGGGGCGUAGAAAUCAACAAGAAUGUAAUCAAAUGUUGAAAUCGCAGCAUCAAAAUUUGAUUCGUCCAACUCCAACACUUUGCCAUCUACCUUGAAUGGAUUUUCCGAUCCAUUGAUCGUUGGGGAAAUUGUCAAUAAUAACAAUAGUAGGAACGUAAAUACUGAGAAUAAACGGAUCGAUUGAGGCAUUGAGAUCGGUUUUAUAGAAUUCUGUUAGCAACUGAUAGCAAUACACUUGAAUUGAAUUUUCCAGAGAGAAGAAAAUGAUUUUUAUACAAGCAACUACAACACGAUUUAUGUUCACCUGCUACUUUAUAUAGUCAUAUUUUAGCUUGGCUACUAAGCCCACUAAUUUAAUCCUGCUACUUUAUAUGGUCGUAUAUUAGCUUGGCUACUAACCCCACUAAUUUUGCCCACGUUUGGCUCGGUUAAACUUAUAUUUCUUCUUAUUAAUCACACAUUUUUUCAAUAAAAUAAUAUUACACGUAUUUUUUUAAUCACAUAUUUCUUAAAAAAAAAAAGACUAUUUCAAAAAUUAUCAUCAGCUAAACGGGGGCUUUGAAAAUGAGCCACCUGUCUUGCUUCAAAAAUUUUAAAAGACAAAUCAAUCAUUUGGUACAUUAAAGGGGUUGAAAGUUCACUUGAUUGUAUUUAGUCCGAUUUGGCCCCUAUUAAACCCUUGCUUGUUCUUCAUUAGUUUCUCACUAAAAUAAAAAAAUAUAAUCAUUAUCCAUCACAUCAAAUCAUCAAUUUUGAAUUUCUAUAUCUUGUGUGGGGCUCAUAACAACUGUAUUUUUCAUUCCCAUUUUUAUAAAAAUGAAAAACAAUAGCUCCCUAAAUUUUAUUUUUCUAUUUCCUAUUUCACCCACAUAAUUUUUAUAUAUAUAUAUAUAUAUAUAUAUUAUUCCAUCCAUUUUCAUUUUCCCAAAAUGGGGGCAAACGGGUAUGCCAAUUAUUGAUAAAUGUUUGACUUGACUAAUUUAUAAACUAUUUAUAAGUUGGUAGCCAAAAGUCCCAUAAAUUUAUCUAACCUUUUGAGUUUUGAAAGCAAUCAAAAUAAUAUUAGAUCAUGUGCGAACAGAAAUAGGUUUAUAUCCUGUAGAGACAAAAAUCGUAGCUUGGGGACCUGAUUACUAUAUUUUGAGAAGGUUGAGCAUCAAAGUUGUAAUUUUCCAUGAGCCAUUUUUGAUUGAGCUUUCAAGCGAAUCACGCCUGCGCAUGAAUAGCUAUAAAAUACUCCAUUGAUGGAGCGUCAUGUAAAACUUUUUGUAUCUGUCUUGAAGGAAAAAAUCAAUUCUUUUAAACUUUUUGUGUAAUGAAUGUCAUCAGAAUAAUGCCCUGUUUUUCCGAUUGCAAUCUCUUCCAUGGUCACAAAUUUAUGCCAACUGGGGAGGUUAUUGGCCUCCAUAUAUAUAACCGUUUGAAACACUAGGCGGUUGCGUGUAAAGUUGGUUGAAGUAGAAGAACAGUCACAUCAAUUCAAUUGCUUGUUCUGUUUUUAAAUCAAUCAGAAAAAUGUUUCCCUGCUUAAAACAUACUGGUUGUUUAGCUCUAGAGAUAUGGCCAUGCCCGCCGCCGGAACCCAGCUUUUGGAUGCCGAAGCUCUGCUGUUGAAGGACGUUGUUCAUGGCUCCGUCGACUUCAAAGGCUACCCUGUUACUCGAUCCAUAUCCGGUGGUUGGAAGUCCUCUUUCUUCAUCAUAGGUACACUAUAUGUUACCCAAUCUACCAUUCAAAAGGUUGCAGCAUAUAAGGGUAUUGUUUUUCUUUUGGAUUUGUUAGGUGUUGAAGUGGCUGAGAGAUUUGCGUACUGUGGAAUAAGUUCGAAUUUGAUAAGCUAUUUGACGGGUCCGUUGGGCCAAUCCACCGCAACUGCGGCGGAAAAUGUGAAUGCGUGGUCCGGCACGUCGAUGAUUUUGCCACUUUUGGGUGCUUUUGUGGCGGAUUCUUUUCUUGGUCGGUACCGGACCAUCAUCAUUGCCUCUGGGCUCUACAUCCUGGUCAGUACACGAAUCAUUCACUAAUAUAUAGUUUCAGUUUUGAGCUUUAAAAUUAUGUAACGCCUCUAAUUGCAUUCAGAAUAUCUAUCUUGAAACUUGGCUUAUGGAUUGUUAGACACUUAAAUACCCUACCCAUUAUAGGCAAUUGAGAGUAGGGUUGUAUCGAGCUGAGAUAAAGCUUGGCCAAAAAAUUAAGGGUCGACCCGAGCAGAGCCUAGGCGGGGCAGGUUGGCUGGAUUUUUUUCUUUCUCCUGUCAGUUUAAGACAGGCAGCAUAUUGAAUUUUUUUUUUUAAAAAAAAAAUGGGCCGACCCGUUUGGAGCCCACUCUUCGAAAUGGAGCUCAGCUCGAGCCUUGAGUCGGGCCGACUCGGGCUUUUUUGGGCCGAGCCAUGGAUGUCUCAAGUCGGUGAGCCCAAUUGCUAUUUCUAAUUGGGAGUGACUCAUAUUUAGGAGUGGGCGCGGUCCGAUUCGAUCUGAUUCCAAAGGGAAUCGAACCGAAUACGAAUGGAAAUUUUAGAAAUGGAACCAUUGGUUACCGAAUCAGAACCGAAUCAAUUGGUACCAGUUUGGUCCAGUUCGAAUCUUUACAUUAAAAAUAUCAAAAUAAAAUGUUCACUAAUAAAAAAUCUAAAGAUGCUACAAACAUGAUAUUUUUAACAAAAUAUAGAAGAAUCAAAUAUACUAUUCAAAGAUUAAAAGAAAACUAAGUAUACAAAUUUAAAAACAAUAUCCAAAUAAUAUAAGUUACUAUCAUCAAGCAAUAUCCAAUGAUUAAACAAACUUCCAUCAAAACCAAAAUCCUAUAUUGAAUUGGACACCAUUUAAAAGUUUAUUGCAACUUCUGGUUCUAUCGAUUAUAAUGUGUAGAAAUCUAGAUGAAAAGUUUCUAUUGGAUCAACAACUAUGUAAUCAAAGUGAAAACAAAAUAAAAAUUUUGCACAUUAGAAAUGAAAUUAUAUAUUGUAAAUAAAUUUAUUUAGGUAUAGAUUUAUCCAAUAUUCUAAUUUGGCUUGAGAAUCAAUUAAUUAAAAAAUUAUAAGAAGAGAGAAUGAAAGAAUUAAAGAGAAGAAGGAAAGUGCUGAAGUCUAAAAUGAAGAUGGAACUUGAUUAUUUUUUAUAAAAGUGAUUGGAGAUUGAGUCAUAUAUUUACCAAAAAUAAAAAAAUCCUAUGAGAACCGUCCGAUUUCCGGCAAUUCCUAUACUACAAUCGGGAACCGGUUGAUUUUUAAUAAUUUGUCCCAAAAUCAAAACGUUUUUUAGAAGAUCCGGAACCGAACCGACAAGUUCUAUAUGGUUUUGGUCCAGUUCCAAAAAAAAAUGUCCACUUCUACUCAUACUGGCCAAAGCAUGCAUUCCCCAGGUUUCCACUUUGUAUAGUAAAAACUUUUUCAGAUUGAAAAUAAUAAAUAUUGAAAUUUGGAGUUGAAGGAUUACAAUACACAUUGUGGAUCUGUAGAAACAAAUAUCCCAAGCUAGGGUGUUGAUGGUAAAAUCGAAUCAAACAAUUUUAUUGAUGAAACAAUUACAAUCAAAGAUCAAAUAUAAAUGCAAUCAAUAAAUCCUCUCACAUAACUAUGAGUUUCACCUCCUAAAUUCACUAGUCUAGAUUCCUCAACUAGAACAAGAGGAGAAAUAACUAAUUGAUAGUGAGAUAUUUAAAUUACUUCUUAUUGGUUGCUUCUUAAUAGAUUUUAGUUAAAAUUCACCCUUUAUUCACUUGCCCAUGUGCUCUUUAUUGACAACCUGUAUGUGGUGAACGAUUUGAGAUUUUUAUGCAAGCCUCUUCUUUUUUGGAUCCCUUAGCAUGUUGCUUUCACCACAUGAUGUGAUCUAAGGAACGAAGACAAGUUCGGACAAAUAUCCAUUGAUCAUUUGAAGAAGGUCCAAUGACUCUGUCGCGAAUAAAAAGGGUUAAAGAAGCGAUAGAAUUAUUCGUUCAAGCUAAGGGGGACGAAACAUCAUUCAUAGCAAGCAAAGAAGCAAGUUUUAUAGUGGGCUCGAGAGAGGAAACAAGUUGGAUCAACUUGAUUCAAGCUAGGGAAGGAGCUGAAGUCUAGUACUAUGCGAACCACAUAGUUUCAUCAUGCAUUUGGCCACAUUGCCUCCAGAAAAAAAUCCAAUUUGCGUAAUGACAUUAACUAUGAGACCGAAUAGUAUAUCUGGACGCGCGAUUUUUCAAUUUUCACGAAUUUUCCUAAUUAUGUUAAAACUCUUCUUUUUGGUAUCUUUCGUAUUCUUUUAGACUUUUAUUCUGUUUUGAAAUAGGGUUUAUGGGUUUCGUAUAUAUAAGACUCACUAUUCUACAUAUUAACCAUUUAUUCAUCAUUAUCAAUUAAGAGAUUACUUUUGUGAGCAUAUUAUUGCUUUCAAUUCGUUGUUCUUCAUUGAACAAAUCCCGAACUUAUUAAGAAUUAUUUUCUUACGGAGUUCAAACAAUCCGAGUGAGAUUCUUGAGUCUUGUAAUCAAGAGGUCAACAUAUUAUAGGUGAUUGUUGGUUAUUUGGUUCAAUAUUUUUGAAUCAAACUCGAAAAUUUGAUUUCUUGGGUUGUGAUUCAAUCUCGUAUGGGUUUUGUAGCUUCAAUUGCGAUGUGGGUUCGCACCAGUUGAUAUCAGAGUUUAGGCUUCAAAAAUCAAAGUUAUAUCCUUUCCUUUUUUUGUUGAGUCUUUUGUUCUUCGUUUCUUUGCGUUCUUUGUCCUUUUAAGUCGUUAAUCCAUAAAAGUUUCCCAAAAAAAUUCAAAAGUCGUUUUUAUGCUCAUUUAGCACCCAAAUCAUUUUUUUUUUUGCUGGUAUCAUAGCCGAAUUUUCAAGCAACAAAAAAAUUUUGAAUUUUCAAAAAGAAAAUUAUUAUUUUUGAAAAUUGCCAGCAUAUAUAUAGAAAACGGAACCACAUGCUAUAUCAUAUAGCUGUUUAUCUUGGUAAAAGGUGGCUAUUCCUUCUAAGGGAUUCCUUAACACUGCUCACGAGUAGUCUUGAUAAGUUAGUCAAAAAUCUUUGUCCUCAAUUAGAAUCAAAAGGAACCAUCCCAUAUGAUGAAGUGCAAGUAUCGAAUCUGGUCCCGCCCCGAAUGGGGCAAAAAAAAAAAAAAAACCCAUCCCUAACGGGUUGAUAGGCCGGGGAGGGUAGGGUGGGGUGCCGUGUCACAGGGCACGGGAGGGGUGAGGAUGCCUUGUCCCCGUGAAGAAAAAAGAUUAAAAAUAAUUUUAUUUCUAGACAAUUCAUCUAUUAUAAAUUCAUUUUGAAUUUGUAUUUUAUUCUCUAAUAAUAAAAUAUUCGAAAUUUUGAAAAUGUAGAAAAAUUAAAAAAUUAAAUGGGGCAAAAAUUUAUCUCAAAUGGAUGAGGCUAUAUGGCUCGACAAUUUUUGUUAUAGAACAUUGAUGGGGUUGGAAAACUUCCCUAGACAUUUUUCUUUCCAUUUAUAAUUUGGUGAAUGUGGGGGCUACCAUGCAUUCUCAAGAGGGAUAUUAUUUUUUUACUCCUCAUUCCUCCAUAACGUGCCCAAAACAUCUCACUACUCCAAGCAAGAUUAAUGAUUGGAAAGAAAGUUUUUCUUUGUUUGUGGAAAUUGGGGAUUAUAUCCUAAUGAUCCUCAUCCUGAUAUGGAAAUACACAUUUUUACAGUGAUUCCAACGAGUAUUUUGACUUUUUCGUUGUUCACGUAUGCUAUUGGGAUAUUUUAUAGUACUAUGUCCGUGCGAAAAAAUUGCAAACCUCUCUUCAAGGUCAGCCCUUAAGGAGUUUUACCUUUUGGUGACACCUAUUUUUGAAUUAGGUAAUGAAGUUUGCUAUGCUGUGUUGAGUAGUAAACUUGAUUUUUGGACUAAAUAAUAUGGGCUUAAGGAUUUUGCUUAUAGGCCCAACAUGCAUAUCAUUUCUAGAAGCAUUAUCUAGAAAAAUCUAUAUAAAUAUCUACUAGAAAAAUCUAUAUAAAUAUCUAAGUAAGAUAUGUGGUUUUAUAAAGAAUAUCUAAAUAAUUCUAGAAAAAUAUCUUGAUGUGUGGUCUAGGUGUCUCUAGAAAAUGUAUAGACUAGAAUCUUCUUGUAAACACUAUAUAAAGGGGUAGUGCCCUCCAUUUUGUAACAAGUCAAAAAAGUGUGUAAAGUCUUGAAUUUAAGAAAUACAAGUUUCUUUUUUUCACUUCCUUCUUCCUAUUAGUGUUGUCCUUUUAAAAGCCUUGCUCAAUCCAAGUUAGUAAAUCCAUCUUUCCUCCAAUAAACUGGUAUCAGAGCCCCAAGGUUCUUGUGAAAAAUGGCAAGUGGGAUGAUUCCUUUUCAAGUCUCCCAACUCAACAAAAAUAACUACGACAAUUGGAGCAUAAGGAUGAAAGCAUUGCUCGGGUCGCAAGAUGCAUGGGAGAUCGUAGAGAAAGGCUACAUGGAGCCACAAGACAAGGUUGCUCUAUCCCAAGCACCAAGGGAUAGUUUGAAGGAUGCAAGGAAGAAGGACAAGAAGGUGCUCACUCUCAUCGAUCAAGCCUUAGAUGAAGGCAUGUUCGAGAAAGUAGCUUGUGCUACUACGAGUAAGGAAGCAUGGGAGAUCUUACAAAACUCCCACAAAGGAGUUGAGAAGGUGAAAAAUGUUCGACUUCAAACACUUCGAGGUGAGUUUGAAGCUUUACAUAUGAAAGAAUCGGAAUCAAUUUCUGAUUACUUCUCUAGAAUAUUAGCUAUUGUGAAUCAAUUAAAAAGGAAUGGAGAAAAGUUGAAGGACACUCGAGUAAUUGAGAAGAUACUUAGGUCUUUAGAUUCUAAAUUUGACCACAUAGUUGUAGCCAUUGAGGAAUCUAAAGAUCUAGAUAGUAUGAGUGUCGAUCAACUCAUGGGAUCUUUACAAGCCCAUGAGGAAAGACUAAGGAAGAAGGUGAAAGAAGAGCCAUCAAAGCAAGCUCUUCAAACAAAGCUCACUUUGAAUGAGGGUGAAGGAAGGUUCAAUAGUAGAAGAAGCCAAAGAGGAAGAGGACGAGGCCAAGAUCGAGGAAAAAUUGCAUUCUACAAAGAGGAAAGAAAACAAAGUUCAUUUUCUACCAGAGGUCGCGGAAGAGGAAAAGUUACGAGGCAAAAUGAAGGACCAAGGUAUGACAAAUCUCAAAUUAAAUGUUACAAUUGUCAAAAACUUGGUCAUUAUGCUUCAGAAUGUAGAAAUAUUACUGACCAAGUUGAGGAGAAAGCCAACUACGCUUGUCGGGAAAGUAAAGUAGAUCAUGCACUACUGUUGGCUUGCAAAGGUGAAGAGAGCAGGGAAAAGAAUACUUGGUAUUUGGAUACAAGAGCAAGCAACCAUAUGUGUGGAAGAAAAAACAUGUUUGUGGAGCUUGAUGAAUCAGUAAGCGGAAACAUUAUCUUUGGAGAUGAAUCCAAGAUCCCAGUGAAAGGAAAAUGUAAAAUCUUGAUCCGCUUGAAAAAUGGUAUGCAUCAAUUUAUCUCAAAUGUCUAUUAUGUGCCCAAUAUGAAGAAUAACAUUUUAAGUUUGGGACAACUCUUAGAGAAGGGCUAUGAUAUUCAUUUGAAAGAUCGUAGUCUUUCAAUAAGAGAUCAAAUAAAAAUUUGAUUGCCAAAGUCCCUAUAACAAGAAAUAAAAUGUUUGCGUUAAGCAUUCAAAAUGAUGUCGCUAAAUGCUUAAAAGCUUGUUUUAAAGAUUCAUCUUGGCUUUGGCGCUUGAGAUUUGGGCAUCUUAAUUUUGGAGGCUUAAAGUUGUUGAGUAGGAAGAAAAUGGUGAAAGGUUUGCCUCCAAUAAAUCAUGCGGAUCAAUUAUGUGAAGAAUGCUUACUUAGAAAGCAUUCGAGGAAAAGUUUUCCAAAAGAAGCAUCUACAAGAGCUAAGAAGCCGCUAGAACUUGUACACUCCGAUAUUUGUGGGCCAAUCAAUCCAAGCUCUCUCGGUAAGAGCAAUUACUUUGUUCUUUUUAUUGAUGAUUUUAGUAUAAAGACUUGGGUCUAUUUUCUCAAACAAAAAUUGGAAGUUUUUGAAACUUUUAAGAAGUUUAAAGCUCUUGUUGAAAAAGAAAGCGGAUAUAGUAUAAAAGCCUUGAGAUCAGAUAGAGGAGGAGAGUUCACCUCCAAAAAGUUUGAGAAAUAUUGUGAGGAGAAUGGAAUUUGUCGCCCAUUGACGGUUCCAUACUCUCUACAACAAAAUGGAGUAGUCAAAAGAAAGAACAGAUCCAUUCUUAACAUGGCCCGCUACAUGCUCAAAAGUAAGAGAUUGCCCAAAGAACUAUGAGCUGAAGCUAUUAAUUGCGCCGUGUACCUGUCUAAUCGAUCGCCUUUUAGAAGUGUGUGGAAUAAGACACCACAAGAAGCAUGGAGUGGAAGAAAGCCCAGCAUCUAUCACUUACGAGUAUUUGGGAGCAUUGCAUAUGCUCAUGUGCCAGAUCAAAAACGAUCCAAGCUAGAUGACAAAAGUGAAAGGUAUGUUUUUAUUGGUUAUGACUCUCGCUCUAAAGGCUACAAGUUGUAUAAUCCAAGCAAUGAAAAGAUCACUAUAAGUAGAGAUGUUGAGUUUGAUGAAGGAGCUUGGGAUUGGGGUGUCCAAGAAGAAGACUAUGACUUCUUACCAUUCUUUGAUGAAGAAGAACAAGAGAAUGGAGAACAGCAAGAGAUUAUCAGUCCACCUUUAUCACCCAUGGAGAUGCUUCUCAAUCAUCUUCACAAGGAGAAAGUUCAAGCGAAAGGACACCACGGAUGAGGAGCCUACAAAAGCUAUAUGAGGUAAUAGAAAAUCAAAAUGAUCUCACAUUUUUUUGUCUUUUUGCCAAUUGUGAACCAAUAGGGUAUGAAGAAGCGGCGCAAAAUAAAAGAUGGAGAAAUGCUAUGGAUGAAGAGAUUAAGGCUAUAGAGAAAAAUGACACGUGGGAGCUGACAACUCUUCCCAAAGGAAAGAGAGCAAUCGGAGUUAAGUGGGAGUACAAGGCAAAGAAGAACGUUAAAGGAGACGUAGAAAGAUACAAAGCAAGAUUGGUUACCAAAGGCUACAACCAACGGUCGGAAAUUGAUUAUGAAGAGGUAUUUGCUCCUGUUGCUCGUUUAGAAAUCAUAAGAUUAAUUAUCUCUCUUGCAGCGCAAAAUAAGUGAAAGAUAUUUCAAAUGGACGUGAAAUCAGCUUUUCUAAAUGGUUAUCUCGAAGAAGAAAUCUAUGUGGAGCAACCAAUGGGUUAUAAAGUAAAAGGACAUGAAGGUAAAGUCUUGAAAUUAAAAAAGGCUUUAUAUAGGUUGAAACAGGCUCCAAGGGCAUGGAAUAAUAGAAUUGACAAGUAUUUUCUAUAAAAUAACUUCACAAAAUGCCCUCACGAGUAUGCCCUUUAUACAAAGGUAAAUGAGAAAGGAGAUAUUUUGCUUGUUUGUUUGUAUGUAGAUGAUCUUAUAUUCACAGGAAAUAAUCAGAGUAUGAUUACUGAGUUUAAGAAGGUCAUGGCUCAAGAAUUUGGGAUGGCGGAUAUCGGCAUCAUGGCCUACUAUCUUGGGAUAGAGGUAAAGCAAAUGGAGGAUUGCAUUUUCAUCUUAUAAGAAGGAUAUGCGAAAGAAAUUCUAAAGAAAUUCAAUAUGGAGGAUUGUAAGCCCGUAUGUACCCUCGUCGAAUGUGGAAUCAAAUUGGCAAAGAAUGAUGAAGGUAAAAAAGUAAAUCCAACACUUUUUAAGAGUCUUGUUGGAAGUCUAAGAUAUUUGACGUGCACAAGACCAGGUAUCCUUUUUGGAGUUGGGCUCAUUAGUCGUUAUAUGGAGAUACCUACCAUGACCCAUAUGAAAACUGCAAAGAGAAUUCUUCGCUACAUCAAAGGUACGCUUGAUUAUGGCUUAGUCUAUUCAUCAUCUAAUGAAUUCAAACUUGUUGGAUAUAGUGACAGCGAUUGGGGUGGAGAUAGUGAUGAUAGAAAAAGUACGACUGGAUAUGUGUUUUACUUAGACGACACAGCUUUCACCUGGAGCUCAAAAAAGCAAUCGAUCGUAGCACUAUCUACGUGUGAAGCUGAAUAUGUUGCAGCAACAUCAAGUGUCUGCCAUGCGAUUUGGCUUAGAAACUUGUUGAAGACGCUUGGAGUUUUACAAGAAGAACCAACCGAAAUCCAUGUUGAUAACAAAUCGGCAUUGCCAUUGGCAAAUAACCCAGUAUUCCAUGACAGAAGCAAGCAUAUUGAUACAAGAUAUCAUUUCAUAAGAGAAAGCAUUGCAAAGAAAGAAGUGCAGCUGAAAUAUGUAACCUCCCAAGAGCAGAUCGCCGACAUUCUCACUAAGCCACCUAAGCAUGAUGUGUUCCGCAAGUUAAGAACUCUACUUGGAGUAGCAAAAUCAAGUUUAAGGGGGGAUGUUGAGUAGUAAACUUGAUUUUUAGACUAAAUAAUAUAGGCUUAAGGAUUUUGCUUAUAGGCCCAAAUCAAUUAAAAGGCCCAACAUACAUAGCAUUUCUAGAAGCAUUAUCUAGAAAAAUCUAUAUAAAUAUCUACUAGAACAAUCUAUAUAAAUAUCUAAGUAAGAUAUGUGAUUUUAUAAAGAAUAUCUAGAGAAGUCUAGGAAAAUAUUUUGAUGUGUGGUCUGGGUGUCUCUAGAAAAUGUGUGGACUAGAAUCUUCUUGUAAACACUAUAUAAAGGGGUAGUGCCCUCCAUUUUGUAACAAGCCAAAAAAGUGUGUAAAGUUUUGAAUUUGAGAAAUACAAGUUUCCUUUUUUCACUUCCUUCUUCCUAUUAGUGUUAUCCUCUUAAAAGCCUUAGCCAAUCCAAGUUAGUAAACCCAUCUUUCCUCCAACAUGCUGAGGGGCUAUUGAGCUCCUCCAAUCGAAAAUAUUGUGACAACGGACUAUAGAUUAUUCCAGGUGAAUCUUGGUAUUCUUUCAUUUGUUUUGAAAGGUCCCUCCUAAUUGGGAAGUGUUCGAUUUAUCUGUUUCUUCUGCCAGUGUGGACAUAUUUGGGUGUCGCAUUCUCUGUGGCCCCUAAAUGUAAAAAAUCUAGUACUGCCAUUGCUUCUAAGAAAUAUCUCUACGAGUGCUCAAAAGGUUCUAAAGGAAAGUAUUUGUGGGUGGUUGAUACAUCACCCAAAUGAAACCACUCACAAACUUCUUUUGUUGGAAUUUUGAGGUCUUUAUCGCUCUUCUAUGGAUCCAACCAAGGUUUCUCAGAAAAAGAAAACUCCUCUUGGGUCCAUCCCCAUGUCUAAUUCGAAAGGCUCCUACUUAUACCGAGAUCCUGCUCUGUGUUUGAAGUCCUUGUUUCUUCCUCACCGCGAGAGUUCAUUAGAUGCAAGUGUUCUAUCUUUACUUCCUUCUUUUGUUUCUUGCACAGCAAAGCUGUUUUUACCUACUUCAAUCCCUCAUGGGAAAAGCUAGCAGAAGAAAUUAAUCCUACUGAUAGGAAAAAAUGAUCGAGGUUCACUGAGCGAGUCAGCAAUCAAAUUACGAAAGCUGGCUCACUGGUGAAAAAAUGCAACUCUUUCUAGAAGAGGUUGAAAGAAGUUGGAGAUGCAAGAGACUAGUUUAAGGGGAUUGGCAAAGGUGUCGAAGCUUUUACAGCGAAGGAAGUUUCUUUAAUGGCUGAUGCUAAGAAAGACUCCGAUUGGAUUCGACGAAGGAGGAACACUCAGUUAAUGUUAAUAAGAGUAAGCAUGUUGCUUUGUGUCCUAAAGAUAGUUCUACAAGAAAGUCUAAGUAUAAAGUUGCUCUUAGGAAACUACAUGAUAUAAGGAAUGAAAUAGAUGCACUUCGUGAUAAAUUGUGAAAUGCUGAAGCAGAGCUGGUUGUUGCAGAAUCUAAUUUAUCUUGGGCAAUGGCUCACAAGGCAAAGUUAAUUGAAGAUCUAUGCAAGAUGGGGAAAAUAAAGUGCUCGACAUUACAGAGACUUUCGCCCCAAAAGGAAUUUCGAUUUUCUUAAAGCUUCUGAAAAUAAUGUCGAAAAAUAUCCAUUCUUUUGAAGUUCAUCCGCUGCCCGUGGGGGCUCUUGGUAUUCCAUUUAUUCCUGCUGCUCAACCGAACUCUAUAAAUACAUCUUCAAGUGGGGAUAUGGCUAUUGAUGAGCCUCUCGACACAUCUCUUCCUACUUCUAUGGAUGCGAGAUACCUUUUGGGGGUGAAGUUCAGAUUAAUCAGGAAAAUGCUUUUCCUGAAAACAUUUAUGUUCUAUGAAUUUAUUCAUUUGGUGAUCUUAGUGCCUGCGCUGUUUCUCGUUUGCUACCUUUCGAUUUCCUUCACAUGAUUUAUCUUGAGUUCAUUUCAAAAUCAGAAUCCAUUAGUUCGUAUGUUGAUUUCUCAUUGCGACCACACAAAUUAUAAAUGAAUUUUUUCCUCUUUUUAUUCAGACAUCGUAGCAACAUUGGGGGUUCUGGAUUACUUUUCCUUCCCCAACUACGGAGUUUUUCAUACAUGUGUAUUUUGUGCACUAUUUACAUUGACGUCAUAACAUUUAAAGGUGACUGGACGUAGCCUCGUCCCACCUUGAUAAUGAAUUCCAUUGGGAUGAAAAUCAGUCCCGACACUUCUUUAGUCGGAUGAACCUCGCCUUUAAUUGGAUUUUCCUUUGCUGGAUAAACCUUACCUUUGAAUUGGGAUUCCUUCGACAGUAGAGUCAAAAACUUGCCUUUACCCUAACAGGGUGGGAUUAUCAUUUUUUGAUGGAAUUGCCUUGCCUCUAUUUUUGUGACCUUAUUGCAAGGCGAUAUUUAUUUUGAACUUCCUCUAUUACUUGUUGAGUUAUCUUUACUAGCGGGUAGGUUUUUCAUCAACUUGCUUUCCUAAAUAAGAAUUUUCAAGCAAGCAUUGCUCUUCCUUUCUUACCAAGAAACAUUGUUUCCAAGGCGCUCCCAUUCUUUGUUUUGGCGAUAUCGCUUACGAUGUUCAGCCAUGCAUAUAUCCAAGAGGUUUUCCUUCCUUGCAUUGGAUUCGAUUGAAUUCAUGUAGGAUGUCAGAGUACUAGUUUGUGUGAAAACAAUUAAAACCAUUGUUUAUUUUCCAAUUGAUGUCAUACUAGGAGAUACAUUUGUGAAAUAUGAUUGCCAAAAUGGCAAUUUUACUUUAGAUCUAGAGUUCUUUAGCUAUGUGCUCUCUCGGUACCUGGGAAUUUAUGUUAUAUAUCCUUCUUUACCUUCCUCCGCAUGGGGGAUUUUAAUUAUGAUUUUAAAUUUUUAUUUGGGAAGGUUGGGUGUAUGCAGCCUUAAUUAGCAUGUGAAAGGAUCCCACGUGCCCAGGUGGUCGGGCAUGCCUCUGAACCCCUGGCACGAUAGUCGCAUCCUUUUGCUUGUUUCGCCUCUUGGCCAUUUUUAACACUUCAUAGCAUUCAUUUGUGUCAUGACUUUAGAGCAAUGGAUUUUGCAGAAUUUUAGCGUGUGUAUAUUAGGUGAUGGGUGGGCUUCGCUGAAGUUCUGCGAGGAGGGUAUGUCAGCAAUGCAUAUUUGGUCUUGGACUCUUUAGAGCUAUGACAUUGUGGUCUGGAUAGUCCAAGUGCGAACGCUGUCAUUUCUCCUCUUGCACCCUCACCAGGAUUUUGCUCAGCCACCAUCUGAUUUUGCAUCUUUCUUCGAUUAUCCAACAUCUCUUUCACCUGGAUCUCAUUAAAUAUCAGUUCUCUUAAUUGGGAAAACGAGAAUAGAUACCUUCUGUAGGCCGCAUUCCAAAGGGGAGUGCCUUGCUAUAGAAUUUCCUCUACUACCUCAUCUGGCUGGAUCUCACUAGUAAGUAUCUCAUUUCUAAAUCAUGUAAAAUAACUUCCGACAGAUUCUGCUUCCAUCUGUCUGAUACCACCUAAAUUUAUGAUUGCAUGCACGUUCAAGAUUUGCUUGCUGGUGGAGAAAUCGUUCGUUGGUGAUUGAUGCACCACAUUUUUCCGUGAUAGAUUGACCUUUUGACCUUUUUUGUGGAAGGCUGUUGUUGGAAUUGUUAUAAUUUUUUGCCUUAAAUUAUAAUUCUUCCCUUGGUUAGGCUUCCAGUUGUGAUAGUUUUCUCGAUUUUGUGAUUUUUAGUAUGUUCCUGCCAGAGCAGCAUCAUAAGCUUGUGAUUCUCACCAAAGAUGAUUGCCUUUUGAAUGAAAUUUAACAUCAUUUGUUAAUUUUCCUCGAUUUUAUUUUCAUUGCCAGUUUGUUUUUAGCUUCUCAUUCUUUGCACGUAAAUAUGCAUUUUCGGCCUCAAAUGCCUUCAGUUUGGCUGCCAUCCCACAGAUUAUCUCCACAAUGGGUGCUUCCUUUACUUGGAGAUGGCCUUGGAUGGGGAAAUCUCAAUUGGAAACCUUGGUGAUACUUCUUCCCACUUCCUUUUGGAUUUACGUCACUUUUGAUUGAAUCACUGCUGGAUUCUUCUUUUCCGACUUUCAAUGUUUUGAGCAUCUCUGGAAGUACUUCUAUUCUAUUCAUUUUUUCAGAUCCUUGAGGCCUUUAAACUUCAGUCGGCCGAUGUGGUGUAUUUUGUUAGAUUUUCCACAGACAACGCCAAUUUGUUGACGGUAAAAACUGGAUCAAAUGCUUUUAUUAAUAAACAAUUAAAAUCAAAGAUCAACGUAAAUACAAUCAACAAAUCCUCUCCCUAUGAGAUUCACCUCCAAAAUUUACUAGUCUAGAUAUGCUUAAACUAGAACAAGCGGAGAACUAGUUAUUUAAGAGGGAGAUAUUUGCAUUGUAUGCCAUUCUUCAAAUGUGUGCGGGAGGGUACUUACAGAUUUCCCUCCAAACGUUGGAGUAGUUUAGUAACUCUUGCACUGACUCUAACUGGUAGUCUUAUAACUGAUUUGGUUAAGAAUCACACUUCAUUCAUUUGCCCAUGUGCUCUUCUUUGACAGCUUGUCGCCCACCUGUACUUGGCGAACAGUUUAAGAUCUUCAUACGACCCUUCUGUCUUUCUGCUCCCUUCGUAUGUUGCCUUUAACUUCAGCAAUGGGUAUAUGGGUUCGCAGAUGUUGUUCUAGGGGUUAACAAUGAUGACUAUCCACUUCUUUGAAUUCUGCAUGUUCUUGAGACUGAAAGUUGUUAAACUCUUAUAGUGUUUAAUUUGGGAUUCAGCCCUGAGGAAGCAUUUUUUUGUAGAUUUGUUGAUGACAAUUAGGUUUAUUAUUACGCAUGAAGUCAUUUUUGACUGAAUCGUUCUGUAGAUUGGUACAUAGUUCUAACAAACAACUGAAUUUCUUUUUAUCACGCAGUAGAAAAUUGAUAAAAUUUCAUGUUUUGUGUAGUGACUAAAAUCAGAGGGUUUUCUGUGACACGUCUUUAUUUAUUUUAUCUAUACUUUUCCAAGAUUUAUGGUGCAUGCUCUUUGUACUCAUGACUAUAUAAGACGCAAGCUGCCAAUUCUAUAUAAUCAGCUACUUUAUAAAUUGAGUUUCUCAAUGAGAAAAAUGUGGAAGUCCAGUUCUUAUUCAAAAUAUAUAUGGCUGAAUGAUUCUCAAAGGUUUUGAAGAAUCAUGAAACCACUUGAGAAAAUGACAAUUUUCUUUCUCACAAAUAAUUUCUGGUAAAUUCAUUUGUAUUUUGAAAGCUUUCCUUGGAACAGAUGAGCCAAGGACUUAAAUUGAACAGUUGUCACACUCACUUCAUCAACACAAAGUCGUUCUUUUCUUUUAGCUAAUAACAUUUGUGAAAAUGUUUUCUUCUGGGAAAUUCUAAUCGUUUUCUGUUCUUAUUAUGGAUCUCAGGCACUUGGCUUCUUAUCCCUCUCUGCUGUUCUAUAUUCAAUCAAAUCUUCCGACUGCCAUUUUGCUGCAAAUGACAUGGCUGCAUGCUCCCCUCCACAGUUUCAAAUUAUUUUCUUCUUCUUCUCUUUGUAUUUAUUUGCACUAGCACAAGGAGGACAUAAACCUUGUCUCCAGGCUUUUGGAGCUGACCAGUUUGAUGAGCAAGACCCAGAAGAAUGUAAUGACAAAAGCUCAUUCUUCAAUUGGUGGUAUUUUUCCAUGAAUUUGGGUAUUAUAGUUUCUCUAUUUGUAUUGAACUACAUCCAAGACAACCUAAGUUGGGCUCUUGGCUUUGGAAUUCCCUGCAUUAUCAUGUGCCUUGCACUAAUUAUAUUUUUACUCGGAACUAUGACUUACCGAUUUCGCCUACACAGCGAUGAAAGAAACCCGUUUGUUAGAAUUGGUCUGGUAUUCCUGAACGCAUUUAGAAAUUGGCGGAGUACCCCAGGAGCAAUAUCUAAGGAAGAGGAAGCACAGGGAAUUCUGCCAUAUCAAGGAUCUCAACAUUUCAAGUCAGUCAACUGCCCCUUUGUGUGUUUUGAUAUUUGGAAGAUAAACUUUGCCUCGUCAUCUCUCUUUGGUACAUUUUGGUUUCUUUAAUUAGUCCUGUUAAGCUUCUUGUUAGUUCGAAAUCGGUAAGUCUAUGCAAAACAUGUUUGAAAUAUCCUAGUUGUCCUUUCAUUAAUUUACGCUCAUCUGACACCAACGUUACUUGUUGACACAUAUUUUCAUUUUUCACCUUAUCAAACUUAGUGAAAUCUAUCUUAUCCACCUUGGUCAUCCUACUAGCAUUUUGUCCUUUAACGAACCUAAGACUAAACAAUAUAGCAUAACAGAUCUAUAACACAUCUUCUUAUCAUAGAGUAUCACUUCUCCAUAUCACUUUACCAUGCCGAACUUAAUGUAUUAUGUCUUCUUCAAUAUCUGCUUCUUCCUUGUUAGUAGUCAGACAAAGGUACUUAAAACAAUCACUCUGGAGACAAAAUAAUGCUCUAUAGUAACUUCAUAAUAAAAAAAUACGUUGAUAUUGUUUUACUAUAAAUCUGUGCUUUAUACAAUUGAAAUAAUGGGAACAAUCUCAUUUGUUUCGUUAUAUUAUUUUUGGUUUCUAACAGGUUUCUUAAUAAAGCGUUGCUUGCACCUGAUGGUUCGAAGGAAGACGGGAAAGUUUGUAGUAUCUCUGAGAUUGAAGAGGCUAAGGCAAUUCUUAGGCUGUUUCCAAUAUGGACUGCAUGUUUGGGAUAUGCCAUUGCAUAUUCACAAUCAUCGACUUUAUUCACUAAACAAGGAGCAACAAUGGAUCGUUCUAUCACAUCUAGCUUACAAAUACCAGCUGCUUCACUACAAUCUUUUAUCAGCAUUGCCAUUGUUGUCUUUGUUCCUCUGUAUGACCGAAUAUUUGUUCCUAUUGCAAGAGCUAUAACUGGGAAACCUUCAGGCAUUACAAUGCUUCAACGAAUCGGAACUGGAAUAUUUUUAUCUAUUCUUGCCAUGGUAAUUGCAGCUUUGGUGGAGAGGGAACGUCUAAAAACUGCUGCUGAACAUGGAUUGGUGGACAUGCCGAAAGCAACAGUUCCUAUGAGUGUGUGGUUGCUGCUACCGCAGUAUUUGCUUUUCGGUGUUGCAGAUGUAUUUACCUUUGUCGGACUCCAAGAGUUCUUCUAUGACCAGGUGCCAAACCAGCUGAAAAGUAUCGGCCUUGCUCUAUACUUGAGUAUAUUUGGCAUAGGGAACUUCUUGAGCAGUUUUCUAAUCUCAGUGGUGGAGAAAGCCACCAGUGGUCCGGGGCGAGACAGUUGGUUUUCAGACAACCUUAACCGGGCUCAUGUCGACUACUUCUAUUGGCUACUGGCUGCGCUUAGUGCUGCUGCAUUUUCCGCGUACGUGUAUGUUGCAAAAUCUUAUAUCUACAAUAGAAGAAACUGUCUGUGAAGAACUGCAUUCUGUAGUGGAGAUAGCUACCCAUGGCCCAGGUCGACAUGGUUUUCUUAUACACGGUUUGGCUUAAUGUAGCUGCUUUCGCUGCGUACUAGUACUUUGCAAAAUCUUGUAUCUAUAAUAGAAAUAAACCGUCACUGAAGUUGCAUAAAACGCUGUCGAGAUAAAGAUAGCCAGUAAAUGAGAAAUACCAGCACAUUCAACUUGUAUUAAUAGCUAUUGCUCAUUCGUGGUCAAUCUCACGUAAAUGCGAAGGCAUGCUCGAAGAUUUUAUUCAAUGGGAUCAUCUGAUAUUUGUUGUUCAUUUUUUUAAACCUUGGACAUAGUAGUGAUGAAGUGAAUUGGAUGAUGAAAAGAAUUUACAGACAACUUUUAAAUUUAUAGAAAAUAAUGAUUAAUUUGUUGUAAUUUGCAUAAAGUACAUUGAUUUGCUAUGUGUUGAACAAUCAACGCCAAUAUGGAGGUUAGCAAUAGAAGUUUUUUCAUUGCAUUUUGUACCAUAUUUGUUGAGCUUGAAAUUUGAUGGAAUCACGUUGUAAACAGAUCCAGCUCUACUUCCAUCCAUGUGUACGUUACCUAUAUGUUUGGACAUUAUGUCAAAUUGCAUGUGAUUGUAGCUCCAGUAGAUAUGCGAAAAUCGUGAGCACUCCGAUGCUCAAGUUAAAUAGUCAAAGAUAUUUAGGUGUGAAAGGGACAAUGGACAAAGUAAUUGAUGUUAAUUUGAAGAAUAUUACCAAGAUUGAGAGAGUGGUUUUGUGUUCAAAAUCACAUUACCCUUACCAAUCAUUACGUGUGAGUAUUUAUACCAAGAGAGGAGAUAGUGACGCUAAAAAUAUACCCAUUGAAAGUGGUUUGGGUGUUGAAGGGAAAGCAAUACAAGAUCGUCUCACCUAGGAAAAAUAACAGGGCAAUUACUUAUUUAAGUAUUGAGACAUGUUUUUAAGGUUUAAUCAUAGAAUUAGUCUAUACGUAUAGGAGCUGGUUCAUAGGAAACAAAACAAGACAAAGGGCACAAAAUGCGUAGGGAUGUCGAGCCAAGUAGAGCUGACUCGCGAGUCGAAAUUGAAGACUCGAACUCGGCUCGAGUAAAAUGAUCUGAGCUUUUUUACUAGCCCAAGCUAACCGAGCUUUUGCUUGGUCAAGAAUUUUAGGCUCGGCCAAAGCUUUCGGCUUAAAUUUUUUUUUUUUUAAAUAAUGAAUGUCGGCUCAUUGGGCUGCCUAAACAAAGGCAGCAGGGUAGCCGGCAGCCUUAAAUAAAGGCCGCCGCCUACUGGCUUUGAUCCUUUAUUUUAAAUUUUUAAUUUUUUUAAGGCCCAAGCCCAAGUUGGCGAGUUACGCGGGCCAGCACAGGCUUUUUCAGGAUUUUAUCAUGGGCAGCCCGAGCCUACGAGCAUGUUUGCCAUCUGUUGACACAUAAAAAUUCAGCCCAAAUCGAACAGCCCAGAGAAUAAAGUCCAAUUGGAGGGUCCCCAAAUCAGAUAGCCCAAAGAACGAAAUCCAAUUGAACGAAUCAAGGUGAAUGCCCAAAUAAGGGGCCCAAUAGUGCGGUAACGCCAUCGCCCAAGUUUGCAAGUCGCUCAGAGUCUGAACGAAUAGAGUGGCAUACGGUCGUCCAAAGUCUCGCCCAAAUCUUCAAGUCGCCCAAGGUAUCAACAAACAUAACGCAUUAUGAUGUAGUUAUUGAGGCAGUUGCUAAAGUAAUUUCAUCACGUUCCACGACUCAAGGGGUUCAAUCGAAAGCGGUUGAACGAUGCAAGAUAAUGGCAGCAGUUAAAAGACAGUUGCAUGACAAAGUGGCCAUUACAAAGAAAGUGGGUAGUUAUUGGGCGAUCAAGCAGUUUUUUAGAGCAGUUAAUCACAAAGGGAUCGCCUAUGAAGUAUAAAAGGGAGAAAGAACUUAGAAGCAAGGACCGAAUCCAAAACUCUCGAACAGAGAAUAUGUAAUUUUCAUUCCUUUAGCUUUUAGACUUAAACAUUUUCUUUUCUGUAACUCGUGUGCUUGCGCCCCUUGGAGGCACGUUGUUUUCCGUUUCCAAUUGUAAAGUUCAUCGCCAAUAAAAAGAACACCCCUUUUUGGGACUCUGUCUCAAGAGGUUUCGUCCCUUACACAAUCGUCUGAUCCUCUUUAAUUGUUAGCGAAUUAACCCGCGCGAAACAAUUUGGCACGCCCAGUGNNNNNNNNNNNNNNNNNNNNNNNNNNNNNNNNNNNNNNNNNNNNNNNNNNNNNNNNNNNNNNNNNNNNNNNNNNNNNNNNNNNNNNNNNNNNNNNNNNNNNNNNNNNNNNNNNNNNNNNNNNNNNNNNNNNNNNNNNNNNNNNNNNNNNNNNNNNNNNNNNNNNNNNNNNNNNNNNNNNNNNNNNNNNNNNNNNNNNNNNNNNNNNNNNNNNNNNNNNNNNNNNNNNNNNNNNNNNNNNNNNNNNNNNNNNNNNNNNNNNNNNNNNNNNNNNNNNNNNNNNNNNNNNNNNNNNNNNNNNNNNNNNNNNNNNNNNNNNNNNNNNNNNNNNNNNNNNNNNNNNNNNNNNNNNNNNNNNNNNNNNNNNNNNNNNNNNNNNNNNNNNNNNNNNNNNNNNNNNNNNNNNNNNNNNNNNNNNNNNNNNNNNNNNNNNNNNNNNNNNNNNNNNNNNNNNNNNNNNNNNNNNNNNNNNNNNNNNNNNNNNNNNNNNNNNNNGGGGUAGAUGUCCAGGCUAAUGGUAAUGGCCCUAAUUAUGGUAAUUUUGUUGCCAAUCAAGGACCAAACAUCAGACCUCAUGCAAAUCAACCGGUUAAUCAGCCUGUAGGAAUUCCAUAUGAUCCCAAUGUCAUAUUGAGAAAUCAGAUUAUGGAAAUCGUGCAGGAUCAGAUGGCCUUUGGGGUGCGUCCUGUCAUUAGACCGACUUACACAAAGCCAUAUCCUGAUUGGGUUGACCAAGAAUAUCCAUGGCCUAAAGGGUACAAAGUGCCAGAAUUCUCACUGUUUACUGGUUUAGGAGAGGUGUCUACCCUGGAACACAUAGGGCGAUUCACGUUGCAAAGUGGUGAUGUAACCGAUUACCACAAAAUGAGACUUUUCCCUAGUUCGUUAACAGGAGUAGCUUUCUCCUGGUUCAUUAACUUGCCAGCGAACUCUGUUCAAACAUGGCAACAACUGGAACAGCUGUUUCAUGCUCAGUUUUACAAAACUGAAUCUGAAGUCAACUUGGCUGAUUUGACGAAUUUACGUCAAAUGCCAAAUGAAUGGGCAGAAAGUUUUCUCCAAAGGUUCAAAACAGCAAGAAGCAAGUGUUUUGUACCUUUGCCCGAAAAGGAAUUUGUCAAAAUCGCACAAGGCUGCUUAAGUUUUGAUUUAAAAAAGAAGUUCCAAGACAAGGAAUUUCCCGACCUUUUCCAGUUAAGUGCGAAUGUCAUUAGGUAUGAGCUAUGAGCGAUUGAUAAGAGAAGAAGAACAAAUAAAAAAUUCUAGCAAAGGGACUUAUUACAGAGACCCGAAUUUUGACGUUCAUACCAUCGAUGACGAAUCGUAUGAUCAGGCCGAAAUGUGUUUGGCCGAAUUAGUAAAAGGGGAUACAUAUACUUGUCCCAUAAUGGCCAAACCUAGACCAUCGGGCAAAGAUGAACCCAUAAAGGAUGGAAACAUAAAGGCUAGAACGUUCUCGUUCGAUGUAACCAAAGCUGACCUUAUAUUCGAUAAGUUAUAUAGGGAUAAGCAAAUAAAACUGACGAUAAGCACAAAUUGCCAAACCCUGAACAAAUAAAGGGUAAAAAAUAUUGUAAGUGGCAUAAUGCAUGGUCACAUUUGACUAACAAUUGCUUGGUUUUUCGUCACGUAUUGCAGGAUGCUAUUGAGUCAGGACGAAUUACGUUCGACGAUAAGAAAAAGAUGGCAGUGGACGAGAAUCCUUUCCCACAGCCACUUGGGGUAAACAUGGUAACAUCUGGAUUCAAGAACAAGUUACCAAAAUUCAAGUUAGUCAUAGAUGACGGAGAAGAAGAUCCUAAACCACAUCCCAGUGUCUUUGAACGUAUCAAAGGAAAAGAACCAAAAAAGGACGAAAACGUCCUGUGUGCAAGGUGUAAAAGGGAAGUAAAUGGAAACACGGAGAAACCAGAGACAUGGCAGCAUCCUCGUCGCCCUGUUUUCUUCCCAAACGUUCAGCCUNNNNNNNNNNNNNNNNNNNNNNNNNNNNNNNNNNNNNNNNNNNNNNNNNNNNNNNNNNNNNNNNNNNNNNNNNNNNNNNNNNNNNNNNNNNNNNNNNNNNNNNNNNNNNNNNNNNNNNNNNNNNNNNNNNNNNNNNNNNNNNNNNNNNNNNNNNNNNNNNNNNNNNNNNNNNNNNNNNNNNNNNNNNNNNNNNNNNNNNNNNNNNNNNNNNNNNNNNNNNNNNNNNNNNNNNNNNNNNNNNNNNNNNNNNNNNNNNNNNNNNNNNNNNNNNNNNNNNNNNNNNNNNNNNNNNNNNNNNNNNNNNNNNNNNNNNNNNNNNNNNNNNNNNNNNNNNNNNNNNNNNNNNNNNNNNNNNNNNNNNNNNNNNNNNNNNNNNNNNNNNNNNNNNNNNNNNNNNNNNNNNNNNNNNNNNNNNNNNNNNNNNNNNNNNNNNNNNNNNNNNNNNNNNNNNNNNNNNNNNNNNNNNNNNNNNNNNNNNNNNNNNNNNNNNNNNNNNNNNNNNNNNNNNNNNNNNNNNNNNNNNNNNNNNNNNNNNNNNNNNNNNNNNNNNNNNNNNNNNNNNNNNNNNNNNNNNNNNNNNNNNNNNNNNNNNNNNNNNNNNNNNNNNNNNNNNNNNNNNNNNNNNNNNNNNNNNNNNNNNNNNNNNNNNNNNNNNNNNNNNNNNNNNNNNNNNNNNNNNNNNNNNNNNNNNNNNNNNNNNNNNNNNNNNNNNNNNNNNNNNNNNNNNNNNNNNNNNNNNNNNNNNNNNNNNNNNNNNNNNNNNNNNNNNNNNNNNNNNNNNNNNNNNNNNNNNNNNNNNNNNNNNNNNNNNNNNNNNNNNNNNNNNNNNNNNNNNNNNNNNNNNNNNNNNNNNNNNNNNNNNNNNNNNNNNNNNNNNNNNNNNNNNNNNNNNNNNNNNNNNNNNNNNNNNNNNNNNNNNNNNNNNNNNNNNNNNNNNNNNNNNNNNNNNNNNNNNNNNNNNNNNNNNNNNNNNNNNNNNNNNNNNNNNNNNNNNNNNNNNNNNNNNNNNNNNNNNNNNNNNNNNNNNNNNNNNNNNNNNNNNNNNNNNNNNNNNNNNNNNNNNNNNNNNNNNNNNNNNNNNNNNNNNNNNNNNNNNNNNNNNNNNNNNNNNNNNNNNNNNNNNNNNNNNNNNNNNNNNNNNNNNNNNNNNNNNNNNNNNNNNNNNNNNNNNNNNNNNNNNNNNNNNNNNNNNNNNNNNNNNNNNNNNNNNNNNNNNNNNNNNNNNNNNNNNNNNNNNNNNNNNNNNNNNNNNNNNNNNNNNNNNNNNNNNNNNNNNNNNNNNNNNNNNNNNNNNNNNNNNNNNNNNNNNNNNNNNNNNNNNNNNNNNNNNNNNNNNNNNNNNNNNNNNNNNNNNNNNNNNNNNNNNNNNNNNNNNNNNNNNNNNNNNNNNNNNNNNNNNNNNNNNNNNNNNNNNNNNNNNNNNNNNNNNNNNNNNNNNNNNNNNNNNNNNNNNNNNNNNNNNNNNNNNNNNNNNNNNNNNNNNNNNNNNNNNNNNNNNNNNNNNNNNNNNNNNNNNNNNNNNNNNNNNNNNNNNNNNNNNNNNNNNNNNNNNNNNNNNNNNNNNNNNNNNNNNNNNNNNNNNNNNNNNNNNNNNNNNNNNNNNNNNNNNNNNNNNNNNNNNNNNNNNNNNNNNNNNNNNNNNNNNNNNNNNNNNNNNNNNNNNNNNNNNNNNNNNNNNNNNNNNNNNNNNNNNNNNNNNNNNNNNNNNNNNNNNNNNNNNNNNNNNNNNNNNNNNNNNNNNNNNNNNNNNNNNNNNNNNNNNNNNNNNNNNNNNNNNNNNNNNNNNNNNNNNNNNNNNNNNNNNNNNNNNNNNNNNNNNNNNNNNNNNNNNNNNNNNNNNNNNNNNNNNNNNNNNNNNNNNNNNNNNNNNNNNNNNNNNNNNNNNNNNNNNNNNNNNNNNNNNNNNNNNNNNNNNNNNNNNNNNNNNNNNNNNNNNNNNNNNNNNNNNNNNNNNNNNNNNNNNNNNNNNNNNNNNNNNNNNNNNNNNNNNNNNNNNNNNNNNNNNNNNNNNNNNNNNNNNNNNNNNNNNNNNNNNNNNNNNNNNNNNNNNNNNNNNNNNNNNNNNNNNNNNNNNNNNNNNNNNNNNNNNNNNNNNNNNNNNNNNNNNNNNNNNNNNNNNNNNNNNNNNNNNNNNNNNNNNNNNNNNNNNNNNNNNNNNNNNNNNNNNNNNNNNNNNNNNNNNNNNNNNNNNNNNNNNNNNNNNNNNNNNNNNNNNNNNNNNNNNNNNNNNNNNNNNNNNNNNNNNNNNNNNNNNNNNNNNNNNNNNNNNNNNNNNNNNNNNNNNNNNNNNNNNNNNNNNNNNNNNNNNNNNNNNNNNNNNNNNNNNNNNNNNNNNNNNNNNNNNNNNNNNNNNNNNNNNNNNNNNNNNNNNNNNNNNNNNNNNNNNNNNNNNNNNNNNNNNNNNNNNNNNNNNNNNNNNNNNNNNNNNNNNNNNNNNNNNNNNNNNNNNNNNNNNNNNNNNNNNNNNNNNNNNNNNNNNNNNNNNNNNNNNNNNNNNNNNNNNNNNNNNNNNNNNNNNNNNNNNNNNNNNNNNNNNNNNNNNNNNNNNNNNNNNNNNNNNNNNNNNNNNNNNNNNNNNNNNNNNNNNNNNNNNNNNNNNNNNNNNNNNNNNNNNNNNNNNNNNNNNNNNNNNNNNNNNNNNNNNNNNNNNNNNNNNNNNNNNNNNNNNNNNNNNNNNNNNNNNNNNNNNNNNNNNNNNNNNNNNNNNNNNNNNNNNNNNNNNNNNNNNNNNNNNNNNNNNNNNNNNNNNNNNNNNNNNNNNNNNNNNNNNNNNNNNNNNNNNNNNNNNNNNNNNNNNNNNNNNNNNNNNNNNNNNNNNNNNNNNNNNNNNNNNNNNNNNNNNNNNNNNNNNNNNNNNNNNNNNNNNNNNNNNNNNNNNNNNNNNNNNNNNNNNNNNNNNNNNNNNNNNNNNNNNNNNNNNNNNNNNNNNNNNNNNNNNNNNNNNNNNNNNNNNNNNNNNNNNNNNNNNNNNNNNNNNNNNNNNNNNNNNNNNNNNNNNNNNNNNNNNNNNNNNNNNNNNNNNNNNNNNNNNNNNNNNNNNNNNNNNNNNNNNNNNNNNNNNNNNNNNNNNNNNNNNNNNNNNNNNNNNNNNNNNNNNNNNNNNNNNNNNNNNNNNNNNNNNNNNNNNNNNNNNNNNNNNNNNNNNNNNNNNNNNNNNNNNNNNNNNNNNNNNNNNNNNNNNNNNNNNNNNNNNNNNNNNNNNNNNNNNNNNNNNNNNNNNNNNNNNNNNNNNNNNNNNNNNNNNNNNNNNNNNNNNNNNNNNNNNNNNNNNNNNNNNNNNNNNNNNNNNNNNNNNNNNNNNNNNNNNNNNNNNNNNNNNNNNNNNNNNNNNNNNNNNNNNNNNNNNNNNNNNNNNNNNNNNNNNNNNNNNNNNNNNNNNNNNNNNNNNNNNNNNNNNNNNNNNNNNNNNNNNNNNNNNNNNNNNNNNNNNNNNNNNNNNNNNNNNNNNNNNNNNNNNNNNNNNNNNNNNNNNNNNNNNNNNNNNNNNNNNNNNNNNNNNNNNNNNNNNNNNNNNNNNNNNNNNNNNNNNNNNNNNNNNNNNNNNNNNNNNNNNNNNNNNNNNNNNNNNNNNNNNNNNNNNNNNNNNNNNNNNNNNNNNNNNNNNNNNNNNNNNNNNNNNNNNNNNNNNNNNNNNNNNNNNNNNNNNNNNNNNNNNNNNNNNNNNNNNNNNNNNNNNNNNNNNNNNNNNNNNNNNNNNNNNNNNNNNNNNNNNNNNNNNNNNNNNNNNNNNNNNNNNNNNNNNNNNNNNNNNNNNNNNNNNNNNNNNNNNNNNNNNNNNNNNNNNNNNNNNNNNNNNNNNNNNNNNNNNNNNNNNNNNNNNNNNNNNNNNNNNNNNNNNNNNNNNNNNNNNNNNNNNNNNNNNNNNNNNNNNNNNNNNNNNNNNNNNNNNNNNNNNNNNNNNNNNNNNNNNNNNNNNNNNNNNNNNNNNNNNNNNNNNNNNNNNNNNNNNNNNNNNNNNNNNNNNNNNNNNNNNNNNNNNNNNNNNNNNNNNNNNNNNNNNNNNNNNNNNNNNNNNNNNNNNNNNNNNNNNCUGGCCGUUUGCGGCUUGGAACACUCUUGGCCAUAGUUGGCUUGGCAGGGAGGGAAGAAGAUGGACGAGCAGAUUGUUUAGUACGACGAGAAGGAGAAGGGUUCCGAAUAGACAAAGGAGGGGCCAAAACAGGAGGAGGAGAAGAAAUGCUCGGUUGAUCUAAUGAAUGAAAGGCACGGUUGGCCUCAGUCGCAAAUAAUCUGCGCUUCACCGAUGGCCAAAGUUGUUCGAAAAGAGGAUGAGUAGCAUGACAAGGAUUAAAAGGGGCUAAUGAAAAAUGGCUUGAUAAGUGGAGGUGCGAACGUUUAUAGCCUCUGCUUCCACCUUAUUAAUGGUAUGAAAGCGGUCGUUUAAGUUCUUCGAAUAGCAAAGAGGAGCAGGCCAAGUUUGGCCGAAACCAAGCUGCCGAGCAAAAAAUUGGGGAACAUAAAUUUCUACCCCAGCUUUGGCAUUGGUCACGGUUAAGAUAUCGUGGAAAAGCUCCCUCCCAGUUAAGAACUGAAUCCAAAUGAGCAGAGAAGUGCUCGCGCUAUCUAGAGUGGAAGGAGGAUGCACAUAGUUCGGAGUCAAAAAAGAAGGGAAAGGAAAGAAGGAAGAGAUUGAAUUUAAAGAAUAAAAGAAUAAAAAAAUGUCCCUUUUGGACAUACUUACGGGAGUUAAAGGCUCCAUAGCUAGCCCGUAACAACUAGCAGAAGGACAAGAAAUGGAUGGGGCACCAAGCGAUGGAAAAUAGGAUCUCAACCACAGCUGAGUGAACCAAAGAGGUCCACUGCCAGUAGGAGAUGCACCAUUCUUCAAUUGAGCCUGAAGAAAAGCCAUACCUCUAUAAAGGGCAGCCAAAAACAAAGAACAUAAAUUCAAAGACCUGCCACGCGCCAGUUCAUGCGCUAUAGGUAGAUAACUCAAAGAGGGCUUUAUACUAGGCACGCACAACACAUAUUUACAAAGCCAGAGUAAAAGGAAGGCCACUCGUUCAGCAUGAGUAGGUUCAGCACUCGAGUGAUUGUGCAGUGUCUGCAGGCUUGAAUAAGAAUCGGUAUAGUUUUUACCGAACUGAGGGGCGCCACCAGAAACUAAGAUGCCUGGGAAAACGGUAUCACCCAAAGGUGGUAAAUUUACCAGAGCCCCAACAUCCCUUAACGUAAUAGACAUGGGGCCAAGAGGAAAAAUAAAGGUGUUAUACUCAGAGGACCAAAAGCUCAAAGCAAUCGGAAAGAGCGCUGAAUCAAAAGUAGGAGGGCAAAUAGAGAUUUCCAACAAAUCAGAAAUCCUAGCGCUAUCAAAAAGUGCCUUAGUAGGACCAUGACCCACAAGACGAGCAUGCCACCUACGAAAAGCUACGUCAGAUUUGGGCCAAGUGCGAAUACAUUUUUCACGAAGUGGCCCCAGCGGCAAAGAAUUCAGAAAAGGAGGGCCAUGGGUGCAAGGAAACAGCUGGCCCACCGCCGCCUGAUCGAUUGCUUCCGCAUUGUUGAAGAAAGGACCCAAGUAAAACUCAUUACGUCCAACAUCAGCGGGCGCAAGAAAACUUGGGGUUACGUAUGAACGACUCAGAAGUUCCUGAAAGUCGUCAAAACUAAAGGAAUCGCUAGCUUGGGAUUGUAAAGCAGUCAUUGAAGAAGGAACGAAGCUUUUCAGAGUUACGUAACAAGGAAGCAAAAUAUGAACAGUGAAUCGCGAAGGAUGCGUAAGAAAUAUGAAACGUGAUUUCGUAGCAGUAAAAUGGCGUGUUCGGAGUUUAUAAGGGUUUGCAAAGCGACGCACCUUUUCAAGUUAUAGAAGGAGACAAUGAUUAAAAUUCUUUAGGGAUCGUGAACGUUGCUGAAGACGUGAAGUGAAUAUGGCAAAAUUCAAUAGUUAUUAUUAAUUCUGCCAUAUUGGGGGGUAAUUGUUGACACAUAAAAAUUCAGCCCAAAUCGAACAGCCCAGAGAAUAAAACNNNNNNNNNNNNNNNNNNNNNNNNNNNNNNNNNNNNNNNNNNNNNNNNNNNNNNNNNNNNNNNNNNNNNNNNNNNNNNNNNNNNNNNNNNNNNNNNNNNNNNNNNNNNNNNNNNNNNNNNNNNNNNNNNNNNNNNNNNNNNNNNNNNNNNNNNNNNNNNNNNNNNNNNNNNNNNNNNNNNNNNNNNNNNNNNNNNNNNNNNNNNNNNNNNNNNNNNNNNNNNNNNNNNNNNNNNNNNNNNNNNNNNNNNNNNNNNNNNNNNNNNNNNNNNNNNNNNNNNNNNNNNNNNNNNNNNNNNNNNNNNNNNNNNNNNNNNNNNNNNNNNNNNNNNNNNNNNNNNNNNNNNNNNNNNNNNNNNNNNNNNNNNNNNNNNNNNNNNNNNNNNNNNNNNNNNNNNNNNNNNNNNNNNNNNNNNNNNNNNNNNNNNNNNNNNNNNNNNNNNNNNNNNNNNNNNNNNNNNNNNNNNNNNNNNNNNNNNNNNNNNNNNNNNNNNNNNNNNNNNNNNNNNNNNNNNNNNNNNNNNNNNNNNNNNNNNNNNNNNNNNNNNNNNNNNNNNNNNNNNNNNNNNNNNNNNNNNNNNNNNNNNNNNNNNNNNNNNNNNNNNNNNNNNNNNNNNNNNNNNNNNNNNNNNNNNNNNNNNNNNNNNNNNNNNNNNNNNNNNNNNNNNNNNNNNNNNNNNNNNNNNNNNNNNNNNNNNNNNNNNNNNNNNNNNNNNNNNNNNNNNNNNNNNNNNNNNNNNNNNNNNNNNNNNNNNNNNNNNNNNNNNNNNNNNNNNNNNNNNNNNNNNNNNNNNNNNNNNNNNNNNNNNNNNNNNNNNNNNNNNNNNNNNNNNNNNNNNNNNNNNNNNNNNNNNNNNNNNNNNNNNNNNNNNNNNNNNNNNNNNNNNNNNNNNNNNNNNNNNNNNNNNNNNNNNNNNNNNNNNNNNNNNNNNNNNNNNNNNNNNNNNNNNNNNNNNNNNNNNNNNNNNNNNNNNNNNNNNNNNNNNNNNNNNNNNNNNNNNNNNNNNNNNNNNNNNNNNNNNNNNNNNNNNNNNNNNNNNNNNNNNNNNNNNNNNNNNNNNNNNNNNNNNNNNNNNNNNNNNNNNNNNNNNNNNNNNNNNNNNNNNNNNNNNNNNNNNNNNNNNNNNNNNNNNNNNNNNNNNNNNNNNNNNNNNNNNNNNNNNNNNNNNNNNNNNNNNNNNNNNNNNNNNNNNNNNNNNNNNNNNNNNNNNNNNNNNNNNNNNNNNNNNNNNNNNNNNNNNNNNNNNNNNNNNNNNNNNNNNNNNNNNNNNNNNNNNNNNNNNNNNNNNNNNNNNNNNNNNNNNNNNNNNNNNNNNNNNNNNNNNNNNNNNNNNNNNNNNNNNNNNNNNNNNNNNNNNNNNNNNNNNNNNNNNNNNNNNNNNNNNNNNNNNNNNNNNNNNNNNNNNNNNNNNNNNNNNNNNNNNNNNNNNNNNNNNNNNNNNNNNNNNNNNNNNNNNNNNNNNNNNNNNNNNNNNNNNNNNNNNNNNNNNNNNNNNNNNNNNNNNNNNNNNNNNNNNNNNNNNNNNNNNNNNNNNNNNNNNNNNNNNNNNNNNNNNNNNNNNNNNNNNNNNNNNNNNNNNNNNNNNNNNNNNNNNNNNNNNNNNNNNNNNNNNNNNNNNNNNNNNNNNNNNNNNNNNNNNNNNNNNNNNNNNNNNNNNNNNNNNNNNNNNNNNNNNNNNNNNNNNNNNNNNNNNNNNNNNNNNNNNNNNNNNNNNNNNNNNNNNNNNNNNNNNNNNNNNNNNNNNNNNNNNNNNNNNNNNNNNNNNNNNNNNNNNNNNNNNNNNNNNNNNNNNNNNNNNNNNNNNNNNNNNNNNNNNNNNNNNNNNNNNNNNNNNNNNNNNNNNNNNNNNNNNNNNNNNNNNNNNNNNNNNNNNNNNNNNNNNNNNNNNNNNNNNNNNNNNNNNNNNNNNNNNNNNNNNNNNNNNNNNNNNNNNNNNNNNNNNNNNNNNNNNNNNNNNNNNNNNNNNNNNNAGUCGCCCAAGGUAUCAACAAACAUAACGCAUUAUGAUGCAGUUAUUGAAGCAGUUGCUAAAGUAAUUUCAUCACGUUCCACGACUCAAGGGGUUCAAUCGAAAGCGGUUGAACGAUGCAAGAUAAUGGCAGCAGUUAAAAGACAGUUGCAUGACAAAGUGGCCAUUACAAAGAAAGUGGGUAGUUAUUGGGCGAUCAAGCAGUUUUUUAGAGCAGUUAAUCACAAAGGGAUCGCCUAUGAAGUAUAAAAGGGAGAAAGAACUUAGAAGCAAGGACCGAAUCCAAAACUCUCGAACAGAGAAUAUGUAAUUUUCAUUCCUUUAACUUUUAGACUUAAACAUUUCCUUUUCUGUAACUCGUGUGCUUGCGCCCCUUGGAGGCACGUUGUUUUCCGUUUCCAAUUGUAAAGUUCAUCGCCAAUAAAAAGAACACCCUUUUUUGGGACUUUGUUUCAAGAGGUUUCGUCCCUUACACAAUCGUCUGAUCCUCUUUAAUUGUUAGCGAAUUAACCCGCGCGAAACACCAUCCCAUGAAAUUGUUUCAUUAGGGCAUUUCACUUCUGAGUUUCUUGCCACAACUCUCUAGUGGCGACUCAAUUCCUUUGUUGCUCUGCUUUCCAUCUUCCGCCAGCGCAUCCAGUGGAGAUCGACGAGAGCCCGUUCUUGGAGUCGGCGUCACACUGCACAGCUUCUUCACUGGAGACCAUUUUCUCAGUUGACCUCGCACCAUAGUGCUUCUCCGCCAGCGAUUGUGUCGAAUGACCACUAUAGAAGCAUCUCCGACGAGAUAUUUGAACCACUGACUAUGCAGUAGUGAAGAACAAUUUUUUCCUGCUUUACCCAAACAAGACAACGAAAAAGGUAGUAUUUUAACUAGUCACAUCUCCUCCAUGUUUUGGCAUCAAAUUUCACUGCCUUAAUUACCGUUUGAGCUGCCAUUUUCGAGUAUGAAUUUUUUUUCACAGCCUUAAUUUGUUUUAUAGGGAUUUAAAAUCUGUUUCAAUGUGCAUCUCUUCCUGUAAUUAUAUGGGUUCUUUUCAGUAGGUGGGUAAUGGUGGAAUGAAUUCAGUUUGCAUCUUCAUAAUUAGUUUGAGUUUGAAUCUCCUGUAAUUAAUUUCAGUUUGAGUUCGCACAAGUUUGCAUUAGUAAGAGUGUAAUGGUGGAAUACCUUUUGAGUUCGUAUCUAUUGAUGCGCAUUUCUGUCUGUAAUUAGUUGUUGUCAAUCUCAGGAUGAGAGGGGCGAAUUUUGGAGCUUGAGUGUGACGACUGCGGCUACUUUGACUGGGUUGAAAAGGAAAAAUCAAGUGGUGAAUCGAGUAACAUUGAUGAAGCGGUGAACGCCGUGGCCAAUGAAGAAUUCGAAGAGUUGCCAAGCGUGUUUGACUCUCUUGCUCGAAUAGCCAUCAAACAAGGUGUCAAGAUUUCAGCGAACAUGAUAUUUUGUAAGGAAAAAGGACACGUGAAGGAGUGUGGGAAAGGAAAGGGGCCGGCACAGCAUGUUUAGUAGUUAGUUGUUGAACGAGUUGUAUUGUAUUGUGUCCGUUUUGUAUUAGCGAUCAAAAAUUGGUAUUGUGAGAGAAUAUAUGUACUUGGCAUCAGUGUAGAAGAUCAGCUCUGCAACAUUGUAUUAGCUUCAGUUUGGUGAACAUUGUAUUAGCUAUCGCAGGUUCAUUAUUGACAUUUCUGAUCUUAAUUCUCUCUUGCUAGAUUGAGCUGUUUGGUAAAAGACGUGGUUCCUUUGAUACUUGAAUGGGGAUUAGCUAUGAAAUUGAGACGAGUUUUGUGGGAAAGACAGAUUCUUUGUGGGACUUCAUCAGGUUGCCACUCAAUUGCAUUAGCCUAAACAAGGGUUAUCCUUCUUUGAAAUCAUUGCAGCCCAGAUAUCAAAAUUUUUUUUUUUUCAAUUUUUGCAAUUGAACAAACUCAUAUCAUGUAAAUGCUCUAUCUAAUAAACCAGAGAAAUGUUGACAUAAUGUGAAAUAGACUCGAAAAUAAUUUAUUUACCUUCCGAUAUGUCAACGAACAUUGCAAGCUACUUGACAUGAAAGUUAACCAAAAUGUUAGCUACAGCUAAACAGCUCAGAAUUAAAUCAAAAUCAUUAAUCUAGAAAUAUUCACCUUCUCAAGUAGGUACUGCGCAAAAGUGAAAUCUGCAAGCUGAUCAUUGCAACUGUUGCUCAGAUGCCUAAACAUCUGGUACAGCUUCUUCUCCAAUCUUAUCAUUUUCAACUACAUUGGCAGUGCUCAUGACAUUCUCAUUCUCAAAUUCAACCAAUAAACUGUCAUGCUCCUCUUCCAUAAUUUCCACUCCUAUGAUGAAAUAAGCGAUAAGCAUUACCACAUAACAGCCAAAUAAUUUAAAUAUGCGCAUUUCAUUAGCUAGCUAAGCUUUUGAAAAUGGCUUUAGUGUUCGAAAAUCGGAAAUGCUGUGUACAAAAUAGCUUUAGAAACAUGUGCAUUUCAUUAUCCUUGAGGAAUGCUUUCUAUAACAUAAAAAGAAACAUCGUCUUCCCCAACUUAUGCACCCACCAGUCUGGUUUUUGGUGAGAAGUUCAGGAUUUUUACUUCUCAAAACAGUAAAUUCAGUAAAAGAAAAAUUAAUUUUGAUAAUCAUUUUUAGCGAAGUACAAAAAUGGUACUUUGUUUAUGUUUCUUCCCCAUCGUAUUAGGCAAAUCGGAGGACUCACUAUGUGGGAAACGGAAAACCCUUAGCAGUAUCUUUACUACUACAUGAGUUGAGUUUAUAUUCUAAAUUUUGAACUCUCUCUUCACACAGAUUUGUUCCUCUGUUUUCACUAUUACACUACAUUUUAGAAAAGAGUUUAAAACAUGUCUUUCCCCGACAGGGCAAUGAUACUUUCCAACUCCUUAUCUUAAAGAAGACGUCGACGAUGCAAGUGGUAGAAUGAUGCGUUGUCGAUCGAUUGGUCAGAGAUGGAGAAAGGACCAGACGAAUCUUUACGGGAAAGUAGGCCCUUCAGUCAAGGCUGUCCAAGAUGCGGGUAAUGAAGGUCAUUGGGUGAACCGUCAGUAGGUUGGUCGGAGAUGGAGGUCACUAAAUUGGAUGAUGAAUUCGUCCCAUCUCGGUGGAGGGAACUUUGAAAUUGAUUUGUGCUUUUCCCAAUUUUACAUUCGGUUUCCUAGGGAUGGCAAUUGGGCUCGUCGGCUCGGACCAUCUGGAUCGGGCAUUAAAAAAAAAAAAAUGCCCGAGCUGAGUUUUGGCUCACGAGUCAGCUUGGUUCGCCUCGUUGACACUCCUAGGUUUUCCUUGUUUUGUUUUUUUCCCCCUCCCGCCCCCCACCCCCCCCCCCCACUUGCCACAUCAGACCAUUUCAAAUCCAUGUGGCAAAUCUGUGAACCACCUCCUGUACAUAUAGGAUAAUUGUUAAUCAUCAUGUAUAGCAUGCGAUGCUCUCUGAUACACGCGUGCAAGGAAAUAAGAUUAGCACAUUGGACCAUUAAAUGCAUGAGGGAGCAUCACUUGUAGCCACGAAAUUUGACUAAGUAGAGCCACGUUUUGCCAUUGUAUUUUCUAUUUAUUUCUAGCUACCAUUCUUGAUUAUGUAACAACUCUAGACGAUUAUGAUUAGACUAAUAUCUUAUGUUAAUGGGCAAAUUAAAAGUCAAUUAAUUAUGGUGUUAAUGAUUUUAAGCACCUAUAAAUGUUGGUCAAUUAUGUAACGACCCAAGCCUAUCUGUCAAAAUCGUUAUAUCAUAUGUAUUGUUCAUUUUUGGAAGAGUCUGUCAAUCUUAUCCCUCACGAAUUUACAGAAAUCUAAACGAAUGCGGAUUUUUUUAAUGGGUUAGAAACAUAAAAAUGAAUAGAUCAAAUCAAAUUAUGAUUCAAUUGAAUGGUACCAACUACCAACGAAAUUGAGUGCUAUCUCCCAUUUCUUAUUUAAUUAACCGAUCCUCAUGCUAUCAGACCUAAUCUAUGAGGGAUAAGAUAAAAUAUAUUUUGCCGGUGCAAAAGUUUAGUGCUCAGUUCCUUUUUGUUCCACCUUUGUAUUAUCGGAAUCGGACACUCAAUUAACCUCAAGCACCUAUGGCAUGGGAGCAAAUCUAUGCUAAGGUUAUUUUUUAACCAUGCCUCAAUUUACUAUUCCAUUAUCCCAUUUUUCUUUUUCUAGUAAUUGUCAAUUUUCUAUUCUGUAAAAUAUAUAUAUAUAUAUAUUAACAAUAGCAUUACUUUUAGCGAAAAAUUUAAUAGCAAGUUAUAAGUUUUCAUUCUAGUAAUUAUACUUUCAUCUAUUACAGUGUCAAUCGGAAAACCAUAAUUUAAUUUUAUUCAAUCAGUUAUUAUACUUUAAUUUUAAUUGAAUAUUUUCGUCCAAUUCCAUCAUUGAAUGCACGAAAAUUAAUUUAUUUAACUGAAGUUGCACUUAUAUUAUGUUAGCAACUAAUUGCCACGUGCGAAUGAUGUCAUUUAUUAACUAUCUAUCAUCGAUUUUUUUAGUUGAGUUGACCAGAAUUACCUUAACAGAAAUUGAAUUAAAGUGUAGAUAUCAAUUACAAUCAAAUAUAUGCAUAGAUUUUCAAUAAAAAAAUCAAAAUAAGGUGUAUUUAUUCGAUUAAAUAAAAUUAAAGUACAAUUGCCCGAUUGAUAUUUUGGGUAAAAAUAUAAAGAUCACAUUGAUCAACUUAGCUAUUAAUUAUAUCAAUUGGAUUGGGCCUAGUUAAUUAAACAACAUAACUUUGUAUUUCAGCCUGAUUUAAUAGUCUUGGCAAAUUUUCAUCAUUUUACAUAGGCGAGCCCUUUCAAACACAAGGUAAGAUUAUUUUAAUCAUAGCCAAAUCCUCAUCUCUCAUCUUUUGCAUUCAUCCUCUAUCGUCUGACCGUUGAUCUGAUCAUCGAAGUGCAAACGAUCGUUUGACUUUUUUCUCAACUCAACAACUUUGCCUUCUAAUUGUGUGUUCUAGUGUGUAGGUAGUGCCUGCAUAAAAGGAAAGUGAUCGAGAUUCUGCAGGUUGCCUGUCCAUCAGAUUCUGAGAUAUAUAGAUUAGUGUUGUCUGUGGAAAAUGGUUACGAUUAACCAUGAGGAAAACUCGUGAGAAAAAGCCAACCAAACAUUUCCCAAAAGGAAGAAAAUGCAACUGGAAGCAUCUGAAAAUUUUCUGAGGUAAAAGAAAUUUUUCAAUGAAUGGUUGAAGAUACCUACAGUGAAAAUGGUAACUGAUCAAGUGAAACCCACAAUCUGGAUCGUUGACAAGUAAUACGUGAUGAAUUGAGUUAUUGUUUCACGAGGAAUAAAUUUUAAUUCAAGUGUAUUAAUUAUCUAUUAAAUUCGAAUUAUUGUAACACAAAAGAAAUUUGUUGUAAUUAUUCUGAAUUAUUCUACGAGAUAUGUAAAAAGUUUGGUUUCUAAACUUAUGUGGGAUGAUUGUAUUGGAUUUAAAUUCCACAUAUUAUUAUCCAUUUCCAAUUCUCAACUAUGUGAUGUAGUAUUAAUUAUGCAUUCACGACAAUCAAUAAUCCUAUUAUACUUAACUUUUUUUCAAGAUAAGUUAAAUACAUUCUAAGCAAGACCUGAUCUUAUUCCUAGUUUAGAUUUAUAUGCAAAGCAAUGCAUUCAAUUCCAUGAUUAUCAAUAAGAUUAACACACGCACAUUUUAUUCAUAAUUAUCUGUUAUCUUUGUGUUAAUCAUGUAGUGUUCUAAAUUUAUUGUAAGUCUUUCAAGACUAUAACAAGCAACUAGUUAUCUAAAUGUGGCUCAAGCAUUUAAAUAAUGCAACAAGCAUGCACGAUUAAUCAAAAAACACAAUAAUUAACUGAAAUAUUUGUCUUUGAAUUGAAAAUAAAGAAACAAAUGGUUCAUCUUCAUUCGAUACAUGUGAGAAUGCAUGCAACCCUUGAGAUUUUUGGCUUCAAAAGGUUCAUCAUAUUGAUUCCUUGCGUGUACAAUGGCUUGUUUGGUGCUCACGCAAGCCUCUUCUUCCGUGGGGUCCAAAUUGGUCCAAUUGGUCUCUGAAUUUCUCAAUGGCGUGUCUGGGACUUUUCCUCUUGCAAUUUUUACCCUUUGUUUCCAUUUUCAUCCAAUUGAACAAGCAUGAUCUUCGAUAGUUGUUUUGUUGUCCGACUCAACUAUUAAAUAUUUGCAAUUUGGUGCUAGAAUUUUUGAUUUCUUCUUUUUUGCCCGUUUCUUGUUUCUUGUUUCUUUCUUCCAAUUUCACCAUUUUGCAUCGAAUUUUACCUAACAAAUAAGAUUAACAUAAAAUAAACUAUAAUUCAUCAAAUUAAUAAAAAAAAUAUUCUAAUUUAACAGCAUAGAUAAAUAUAAAAAAUACACUUAUCAGAAACCACAAGAAAAUCUAGAAAAUGUGUUAACAUCAACCAAAAGGGGAAAAAACAACAAGAGAGAAAUUAAACUAGUAAAAUGGCUCAGAUUGAUGAAAUCUAAAGAGUAAAAUGGCUGUCCAAAAAUUGGGCACUUUGCAACUUGCAAAAGUUACCCUCUUGUAAAUUAUCUCUCGAAUGUCCAUCAUUUCAUUCUUUUGAAAUAACAGAUUUACUCUAUAGCUAUAGAUUUUUUGCCUUGAUUUCAUAGGCAUGUUUUAAAAGAAUAAGUUUGGGUGUGUAACUCACGAGAGAAAUAAUGUUUUCACUAGUUUUGAUGGAUUUAACUAGACAUUUCAUCAAAUAAGAAUUCCCCUAUAUUUUGAAUGUUUCAAUCUCUAAAAUUCAACUAGACUAAUAAUUUCUUAUCAGAAGUCUAAUUCUUUCAAACAGGUUUUUGAGACUUAAUCAACGUAUGUAGUGUAUCUUCUGUUUCAUGCACCUGCUUUUUAAUAUUUGUUAUGCUUAUUCUAUUUCAUAUACUAGCUUGAUUUCAUUUGAGUUUAUGUUUUGAAGUUUUCAAUAAGUGUCCUCAAUGAGAUCUUUUAAACAAACACUCUCAAAAAAUCAAUCUUUAACUUAGACUUUCACCUAAUUUUCAUCUUAUUGACGUUAGACAAUUUGCACAAAAGUUAGCACACAUGGAAUCUCUAUUUAUCUCAAUGUCUCCAUAUAAUAAUUCAACUACCCCAAACUAUCCUAGAAUUGGUAUAAAAAUGUAUAUUGUAGUGGUUUUUCGUGUUUGUCAUCUAAGUUCCACUUUUUCAUAUCACUAUCUUGCCACAAAUCUAAUUGACUCGAACUAACCUGUAAAAUUAUUGUUCUAAGUUUUCAGUGAUUUGUGAACUGUGGCAUUCGCACGUAGAUUUGUAACUUGUGGUUUAUGCACGAAAGUUGUGAAUUCUAGUCAAUUCACGUGGACAUGUGACAAAGACGAUAAGCCACAGAUAUGUGACAUGUGACCUCUACAAACAGAUGAAGUGUGUUAUAACCAGUGGUCAAGAAUUUAUGACUUACGACAUGUACCUUAUGAGCCAUGUGCAUGAAUACAUGCCCUGAGACUUGUAAAAUAUGGAGUAUUGUGCUACUUAUAAGAUUCUAAAUAUAUAAGUUCAUGCCACUAGGUUUUCGACCCCACCGGGAAUGAACCGAGUAGAAAAGGCGGACGAAUAACAUUACUUGCAUCGUUAAACUUCUUUCUAAAAUAGAAAAAGAACAAGUAAAUAAAAUUUAAACCCCCAGUGCAGUAUUUAAAGAUCCUAGCACACAAUAUCAAGGAUACGUACAUAUUUCUUUUUUUGUAACCUCUAUUAAAUCAAUUUUGAAAUGCAACAACAUCAGCCUCGUUUGCUUGCUUGUUAUGCUUGUCAAAAAUAAUGACACCAUCGAAAUACAUAAUUUGUUUUCCAACACCGAUAACAUACAUUGACUGUAGUAUCGGUGUGAGUCUGGGAGCUCUCUUAACUGGAAGGCCCGAUGUUGGGGCGAAAGAAGGAGACCCCUACAUGUUGGAAAACAUUGAAUGUGUUAGCAAAAUUGUAUAAUAUAUUUGUACAGAAAUUAUGUGAUGUGACUGCAUACUUGUGACUUGUACACAAACAUUUGUGACUUGCAACGUGUACGCACGAGUAUAGGAUAAUAACACGUGUAAAAGUGAAAGGUGAUCUGUGAUUAGUGCCCACAUAUUCGGGUCAAUAUGUCAUAUGCGAUAAACUUUUGUGACCCAUAAUAUGUAUGCAUAUAGAUCUUUAAUACCCUUGGUCCUUAUUUAUGGUUUUUGUUGCCACAUCAACCUACUCCUCAAUUCCAGACUCCUUCACCAAACCAGCUAUAAUAACAUUAACCUUCUAUUAUAUUUCUUUAGAUGCAAACAUAUUAGGGAGGUUGAUCACCUUUGAAAUGAUUGGUAUUGAAACAAUCCCAAAGUCGAAAGACGGGGUUGGAGGAAAGUAUGGAUAUUCAAUUUCAUCAACAGGGUCUAUCUUGCCCUUGCCUUUCUUGUCGAUUGUUUGAUAAAUGUCUGUGACCUAAUAUAAAACAAUAUUAAUUAUCAACCUAAAGUAAUAACAACAUAACAGAAUUUUGGUUAUAGAAUUACGUACCUUCUCCUGCUAUGCUGCAACUCAAGGAUUCUGAGCUUCGCUCUUUUCAAUGGUAUUUGCGAAAAUUGCAUACAUCGUACUUGAUAUCAAAGCAGUAACAGAAUCAAAUAAGAAGGUCAUAUCUGGCCAUAUUUCUGUCAUGUCUGAUCGAAUUUUACCUUCAACACGGAAAAGUUGAUCAAUCUUACUGUUCCCAUCUUCUUUUAAAGCUAAUAUUUGUAACUUGAUAUCAUUGAACUGCACUGUUAAUUAUGUAUUCUUACACUAGAAUUCAAUGAUUUGGCCGCACAACUCCUUCCUCAACUGGUCAACCAAUAAAUAGGAAAAAACCCGUGCACAUACGUAUGUGAGAAGUUUGUGACUUUGACAAGACAAUGUGACAUGUGAACAUACAAUUUAGUGACCUAUGACUGGACAGAAAGUAUUAUGUUUAGUUGUCUCUGUGAUCUGUUGCACAUAAGUCAAUUAUUUAUGGAAAUAAGUGUGUGCUCUGUGACUUGUAUGCAUAACCAUGUAACCUAUGAUUGUGACAUAUUAACCAAAAUUUGUGACUUUUUCACAUAAAUGUAUAUCAAACUUACAUCUGAUUGUGGUUCAUCAUAUGCACCUGUGACUGGAUUGAAGUAUGGGUGUCGUGUCCCUCUAGCUUGGUCUAAUAAUAUUACCUCGUUGUGUGCUCUUCGAUCGGUGAGUGAAAAUAGGUAGAUAUCUUAUUCAUUGUUGUUGGUGUAUCGACGAACUUAUCAUCGUCAACGUCACUCGAAUGCCCUUUACAUCCAUCUGUAAUAAUUAACAACCGUGUUGUGGGUUUAUGAGAUUGGACAAGCGUGCUCGUACCUACAUGGACUAGAUCUUCAAAGUUCAAGUCUCUUCGUACGUGUGAUUACAUUGGUUUCUUAUAUGAGACACCACUCAUAUAUGGAGCGGCCAUCUCAAAGUCAAAUGGGACAAUGUAACGUGCUUCAAUCUGCAACAGUGAUAUAAUUGACUAGCAUAUUAGUCAUCUAAGGACACAUUAAUUAUAAGUGUUUGUGACGUAAACAUGUUAAAUGUCAUUAUCAUGUUAGAAAAACUUCAUGUCAUCACAUCAUGUAUGUGGCAUAGAGUUUAUGUGUGUGAUCUCUAAAACAUGUAAUGUCCAAUUCAUAUGUACCUGAAGUGCACAUAUCCGUGACCUUUAAACCACAUGUUAUGUUUUGUGACCAGUAAACUGUGACUACGAUAGCAAACAAAUAACAUUUAAGAACAAAAAAUUUUCACACUUGCGUCAGAAUGGAAGAAGACCUCUUCAGCCAAUUUAGUUGCCGACGGUUGUCUAUACAAUGUCCAGUUCACAACACGAGGGUGCCUUUUCCCCACCAUAUUGGUUACAGGUCUAGUAUGGCUUGAAAUUAAUUCAUAAAUCCAAACUAAAAUGCAAUUAAAAUCAUUUCAGUUUGUAUUGGAGAUUUAUAUGACCAAAACCCUCCUUUAGAGAUUUUAUAGAUAUCUCAAAUAACUCUGUAUUUCUACUGGGGCAAACAUGUAGCUUUCAACCACCUUCUUAUAGGACAUGGAGAACAAGGACGUAAUUAAAUAUAGAAUCUCAAUACUCACAACAUCAUGAUCGUCUUCAUCCGACAAAUAUAAGAAUACAUCACACACAUCUUCAUUUAUAACAAGUUUUAAAUUCCCAAAGUACAUUCCUUUAAUCCUAGAAGGAAUAGUCUCGAGGCUUUUCCAAACGUCUUUACCAUUAUAUAUAAAACCUACAAAAAUCGAACGUGUCUGUUUGCACCCUUGAACCACAUCUCAUUAGAAUUUGGUUGCUUUACCUCCCUCGACAAAAAGUAGUGUAUCAGUUGGAGUUGCACAACAAUUUCAUGGCAAUCCAUGUAAAAGGAAAAACAUAUUUCUGGCAAAAUAACCUUUUGUUCAUUUGUGAACUUUGAUUUGAAAUUUAUCAACACAUUCUUAGUCACAUUAGUUGUAAUUUUACUCGAAGACCAUAGAUCUUCGGGAUCGUGUAAUUCAAUUAUUGCAAACCAUAAUUCAAUUAUUGCAAACCAUUACAAAAGACGUAAACAUCAGUCAAAAAUCUUAAGCAUGCACACAUGCUAAUCGAAACAUACAACACAUUAUUUUAUCUAUGAACAUGAUCAAUGCCAUGUCACAAAACUAAACAUAGUUUAUAAACUGAGACAUAAAGUCAUCACUUCAUACACAAUGGUCACAUUUUGUAUAAAAACCAUAUAAAAAAACAUGGCACACUUUCCAUACAUUUUGUAUGUUUGGUCACAAUCAAUUCGUAGUUCAUACACUUUAAUCACAGAAGUAACUGAAAAUUGGUCAUAAUUUUUAACACAUUCUCUUUACAGUAAACAUAAUGGUCAUACAAAUCAUAGUAAUCGUACAGUAGGUCACAAUUGAAUAUAUCCCCACCAAUAAACCACUACUCCAUUCAAAAUCAAUCAACGAAUUCAAAAAUAAAUUACCUCUAUGCCCAAAUGACUCAAUGGACUAUAAAGAACCCUUACAUUGUAUGAUUUUCUUUUUCGAGAGUCUAUCGGAGUUUUGGAGGUUUCAUCGCGAGCACAUUUUUCGACUUUUGAACUUCUAGUGUUCCGUUGGUGGCUUCCAGAUGGACCGUCAGUUCUAUUGUGACUUCUGGCCACAACUCCUUGUUUUCACCAUUUUCAAACCCCCUGCACCGCCUUCAUUCAACCCAUUUUAGUGACAGCCCUAUUACAUCCUUCAAAUAUCAAGGUUAUAUCAGUAACUUGUGACCCGUGUGUAUGUCAGAAGUUUGUGACUUUGACAGACAAUGUGACAUGUGAACAUACAAUUUAGUGACCUAUGACUGGACAGAAAGUAUCAUGUUUAGUUGUUUUUGUGAUCUGUUACACAUAAGUCAAUUAUUUAUGGAAAUAAGUGUGUGCUCUGUGACUUGUAUGCAUAACCAUGUAACAUACGAUUGUGACAUAUUAACCAAAAUUUGUGACUUUUUCACAUAAAUAUAUAUAUCAAACUUACAUCUGAUUGUGGUUCAUCAUAUGCACAUGUAUCUUGUGACUGGAUUGAAGUAUGGAUGUCAUGUCCCUCUAGCUUGGUCUAAUAAUAUUCCCUCAUUGUGUGCUCUUCGAUCGAUGAGUGGAAAUAGGUAGAUAUCUUAUUCAUUGUCGUUGGUGUAUCGAUGAACUUAUCAUCAUUAACGUCACUCGAAUGCCCUUUACAUCCAUCUGUAAUAAUUAACAACCGUGUUGUGGGUUUAUGAGAUUGGACAGGCGUGCUCGUGCCUACAUGGACUGGAUCUUCAAAGUGCAAGUCUCUUCAUACGUGUGAUUACAUUGGUUUCUUAUAUGAGACACCACUCAUAUAUGGAGCGGCCAUCUCAAAGUCAAAUGGGACAACGUAACGUGCUUCAAUCUGCAACAGUGAUAUAAUUGACUAUCAUAUUAGUCAUAAGGACACAUUGAUUAUAAGUGUUUGUGAUGUAAACAUGUUAAAUGUCAUUAUCAUGUUAGAAAAACUUCAUGUCAUCACAUCAUGUAUGUGGCAUAGAGUUUAUGUGUGUAAUCUCUAAAACAUGUAAUGUCCAAUUCAUAUGUACCUGAAGUGCACAUAUCCGUGACCUUUAAACCACAUGUUAUGUUUUGUGACCAGUAAACUUGUGACUACGAUACCAAACAAAUAACAUUUAAGAACAAAAAAUUUUCACACUUACAUCAGAAUGGAAGAAGACCUCUUCAGCCAAUUUAGUUGUCGACGAUUGUCUAUACAAUGUCCAGUUCACAAUACGAGGGUGCCUUUCCCCCACCAUAUUGGUUACAAGUCCAGUAAGGCUUGAAAUUAAUUCAUAAAUCCAAACUUAAAAUGCAAUUAAAAUCAUUUCAGUUUGUAUUGGAAAUUUAUAUGACCAAAACCUUAGAGAUUUUAUAGAUAUCUCAAAUAGCUCUUUACCCCAGGAAAGUCGUUCUAUCAUGGCAAAAUCUUCUACUAGGGCAAACAUGUAGCUUUCAACCACCUUCUUAUGGGACAUGGAGAACAAGAAGGACGUAAUUAAAUAUAGAAUCUCAAUACUCACAGCAUCAUGAUCGUCUGCAUCCGACAAAUAUAAGAAUACAUCACACACAUCUUCAUUUAUAACAAGUUUUAAAUUCCCAAAGUAUGUUCCUUUAAUCCUAGAAGGAAUAGUCUCGAGGCUUUUCCUAACGUCUUUACCAUUAUAUCUAAAACCUACAAAAAUCGAACGUGUCUGUUUGCACUCUUGAACCACAUCUCAUUAGAAUUUGGUUGCUUUACCUCCCUCGACAAAAAGUAGUGUAUCAGUUGGGGUUGUACAACAAUUUCAUGGCAAUCCAUGUAAAAGGAGAAACAUAUUUCUGGCAAAAUAACCUUUUGUUCAUUUGUGAACUUUGAUUUGAAAUUUAUCAACACAUUCUUAGUCACAUUAGUUGUAAUUUUACUCGAAGACCAUAGAUCUUCGGGAUUGUGUAAUUCAAUUAUUGCAAACCAUUACAAAAGACGUAAACAUCAGUCAAAAAUCUUAAGCAUGCACACAUGCUAAUCGAAACAUACAACACAUUAUUUUAUCUAUGAACAUGAUCAAUGCCAUGUCACAAAACUAAACAUAGUUUAUAAACUGAGACAUAAAGUUCAUAGUUUAUAAACUGAGACAUAAAGUCAUCACUUCAUACACAAUGGUCACAUUUUGUAUAAAAACCAUAUAAAAAAACAUGGCACACUUUCCAUACAUUUUGUGUGUUUGGUCAUAAUCAAUUCGUAGUUCAUACACUUUAAUCACAGAAGUAACCGAAAAUUGGUCACAAUUUUUAACACAUUCUCUUUACAGUAAACAUAAUGGUCAUACAAAUCAUAGUAAUCGUACAGUAGGUCACAAUUGAAUAUAUCCCCACCAAUAAACCACUACUCCAUUCAAAACCACUCAACGAAUUCAAAAAUGAAUUACCUAUAUGCUCAAGUGACUCAAUGGACUAUAAAGAACCCUUACAUUGUUUGAUUUUCUUUUUCGAGAGUCUAUCAGAGUUUUGGAGGUUUCAUCGCGAGCACAUUUUUCGACUUUUGGAUUUCUGGUGUUCCGUUGGUGGCUUCCAGAUGGAUCGCCGGUUCUAUUGUGACUUCCGAUCGCAACUCCUUGUUUUCACCAUUUUCAAGCCCCCUGCACCGCCUUCAUUCAACCCGUUUCAGUGACAGCCCUAUUACAACCUUCGUUCUUAUCGCUUCGUUCUUCUCACUUCGCGUACGAAAUGAUACUUGUUUUGUAUUGUGAUAAAGUAGUCGAAGGUUGCUUGAGUUUAAUGAAGAACGGUUUCUAGGAUUUGGGUAAGGACCGAUUUACGUCGAUUGAUCAUGGGAGAUUGUGCAUUGCGGUUAAGCGGUUUCAAAAGAUAUUGUUGCCUUAUUUAAAAAUUUUCUCUUUCCAGUUUUAACGUAAAAAGGGGAAUGGUUACAGUUAAUAAAUAUAUUAAAAUCUUAAUAAAUAAUAAAUUGGGACCUAAUUUUAUAUUAAGAAACUUAAUUCCUUACUAAUGAAAAUUGAACUUAAAAUGCCGCUCUGGCUAUAAUUUUUAUGUAUUGUUCCUUUUUUCUUUUAAAUAUUUGGACUCGUUGCAUAGUUCAAUUUGUUGGGAUGGACAUGUUAUUCUUUUGGGCCACUUUUAAAUAUUUCUUAUUACAAAUGUGUGAAAUGGGCUAUAUCUACUAUUUUCUUUGGGCCUAAACUAAAUUAAAAUUUAUUUUUCCAGAGCUAUUGUCCGCCACGACAAAUUGUGAAAGCCAUGUGAAAUUGUGGUACUGUAAUUCUUGAUGAUGACUUAGAUGGACUACAAAUUUUAUUCAUGCUAAAAUAAUUAUUUUUGCAAGUGCACGUUAGGUGUUCAACAAAUUGCCUAGCUUGUAAUUUCCAAUUUAAAGAUUUCAGCUUCCUAGCAUGGAAAUGUGAAUUUCACUUCUUGAUUUGGCAUGGCUACAAACUCCUAGGAACACUGGGAAUUCUUAUGCGACACGUGAAGUGGUUGAUGAAAUGUCUCCCAAAAGUACCAAAAACAGUUCAAGAUGAGACUUCAUCUUGUAGUUUCAUUAUCGUCUAGCAGAACUAUAAGGCCUCGCCUUUUUGGGCAAGCUUUUAAGUCUUCGAUAGUUCAAGACAAGCCACCAGCUAGAUAUUUAUUUUGUACUCUACAAGAUACAUCAUCACACGAGAUGGUUAUACUUACGUCUCUAUGAUACAAACUAAUGAGGCAAUAGUAGCUAAAAAAUCCACAUGAGAUUUAUUCAAACCCAAGAAAGCCAAGAAUUGAAGUUUAGAGUUUGAUCAAAAAUAUUGAACCAAGAAACCAAUAGAAUUACUGACAAUAUGUUGACCCUCUGAUCACAAGAUUCAAGAAUCUCAUCCGGAUUGUUUGAAAGCUCUACUUGAUAAAUUAUUGAACCAAAGAACCAAGACAAUAGCUUGACCCAGUUAUCACAAAACUUAAGAAUCUUACUUGAUUUGUUGAACGCCACGAAGAGUAUGAAUCUUUGAUAAGUUUGGAUAGUUUAAACGCCACAAAUAUUGAAAAUAUUUGAUAAGUUUUAUUCAAUUCAGAACAAGAUAGAAAGUGAAAAAUUCUGCAUAUGAUUAAUUCUCAAAAACUAAUAUCUUUAUAGUGUAAUAAAUGUGCCUUUUAUAGGCAUAAAAUAAACUCCUAAACAAAACAAAGCUCUAAGUCUAAAGACAAAUCCAAAUAAACUGGAAAACUACAAAACAAAUCUGAAUAAAACUAAAAUACUACAAAUAACGAAAAUACACUUAAACUAAUCCAAAACAUAAAAAUGCAAAAAUAGAUUCCUAAACAAACAAAUUUGACCCUUGAAACUUGACAAAGAUGCUUCCAGAUUGUACUUAUUGACAACAAUUCGACAAUUGAGCUGAAAGUUAUACGCAUUUUUGUACAUCCUGUGUGUUUUCACACAUACUUCAUAUUUCUUCCAAUUUCUAAUUAGAUUGGGAUCUUCUAUUCUAAUUGAUUCGUAUCACUCUGGAACAUGCAAUGGAUCCUUGUUGGCUUUCCCUCUAUGAUUCUCAUCAUUUCCUCUCGUCGAGAAGAUUCGUCUUCGAAUCUUAACAUUGUAAUUGAAUAUGUUUUUCAUCUGGAACUUUCUUCACCUUUUUUUCACUCAAUGCUUUCGCCCAGGUGCUUCAAAGAACGAAUUCUGACUCAUCCAAGUUUUAUCCUCAAAGAAUUCAAACUAGGUUGUGAGUGAGAAUUUGUAAUUUAGAAGACUCAAGAAAGAAAGAAAAGAAACAAGCAAAGGAAUUUGGACAUUUUUCGAAUGGAAACAAUAUUAAUUCAAGAAGGUGAUUCUUAAAUUCUGGGUUGGCCGGACUGAUUUAUAUAUGUGCGUGUGUAUUCUUUUUUCUUUUUUUCGUUUUUCUUUGACUCAAAUAUUAUGAAAUUGUAUGUUGAAGGUAAUUUUAUUUUAUUUUUUUGAAUUUUUUACUUUUUUCAUAUUUUUUUGCUUGAAAAUUCAACUAUAAUACUAACGAAAGAAAUGAAAAUUGAUUUGGAUGCUAAAUGAGCACAAAAAUGAAUUUAAAAUUUUUUUUGGUGCUUUUAUGAUUAAAGACUCAAGACGGACGAAGAACACAAAGAACAAAAGAAAAAAUAAAAGACUCAAACCAAAAAAAAAAAAAAGGAUAUAACCUUGAUUUUUGAAGCUCAAACUCUGAUAUCAAUUUAUGCAAACCCAAGUAGCAAUAGUAGCUACGAAAUCCACAUGAGAUUCAUUCAAACCAAGAAAACUAAGAAUCAAUGUUUAGAGUUUGACCAAAAAAUAUUAAACCAAGAAACAAACAAAAUUAUCGAUAAUAUGUUGACCCCUUGAUCACAAGAUUCAAGAAUCUCAUCCGUCUUAUUUGAAAGCUGGACCCAAUAAAUUAUUGAAUCAAAUAACCAAGACAAUCGCAAAUAAUAUCUUAACCCCUUGAUCACAAAACUUACGAAUCUUACUUGAAUUGUUGAAUGCCAUAAAGAGUAUAAAUCUUUGAUAUGUUUCGAUAGUUUAAACACUACAAAUAUUGAAAAUAUGUUAUAUGUUCUGUUCAAUUAAGAACAAGAUAAAAAGUGAAAAAAUUCACGUAUAAUUAAUUCUCAAAAAUUGAUGUCUUUAUUGUACAAUGAACGUGCCUUUUAUAGGCAUAAAAUAAACUCUUAAUCAAAACAAAACUCUAAUUCUAAAGACAAAUCUAAAUAAACUACAAAACAGAUAUGAAUUAAAAUAAAAUACUACAAAUUGAAAAUACCCUUAAACUAAUUCAAAACGCAAAAAAAGACCCCUAAACAGCCUAAUUUGACCCUUAGAGUUUGAUAAAAUCAUUGGACAAACUUGUAUAGAAUCAAUAAAAUUUCUAGAUUGUACUCAUUGUACAUUCUGUGGGUUUCACGCAUACUUCAUAUUUCUUCCAAUUUUUAAUUGGUUUGGAAUUUUCUUUUCUAAUUGAUUUAUAUAAUUGUGGAACAUACAAUGAAUUCUUGUUAGGGCUGGGCAAAUCUUCCGAACCGAAUCGAUCCGAACCCGAACCGAAUCGAUCCGAACCCGACAGUUCUUGUCAAAUUAAAUACCCGAACGGGUAUCUGAAUUGAGAACCGACGAGUACGGUUCGAUUCUAGACCAAGAACCGAAGAACCGAAUAAGAACCGAAUAUUUCUAAUUUUUUAUUUUUUUUAUAUUGAGUAAAUCAAAUUAUUUUAUUUUUAAUUUUUUCUAAACAAAUUAACAAAUCAAUGAUUUCUGAAUCCAAAUUUUUGGCCCAAUAAUUUGUUUCAUUUCUAAUUUUUUAAUUUUUGGCCCAAUUACCCAUUUUAUUGUUUCAUUUCUUAGCCAAACAAGAUCAAAUCCACUAAAUAACCCUAAACACCUACAAUAAAGUGCAUAACAUUGUCUCGACUCUCGCAGCCUCGCUAAUAUUCCAAAACUUAUACAAUCGUCGGCCGACACUCUGACCUCCGAUUGAAGCCGUGACUUUCGUCGAUCGAAGUUUUGAUCGUAGCGAUCAUUUGAACAAGGUAGUUUACUAGUCUCUGACAUUCCAAAACUAUUGAAUGUAUCAUUAGUCGUAUUUAUAUAAGAUUGUUAUAAAUGUUAAAAAAUUUAAUUAUAGUACCGAACUGAACCGAAUGGAACCGAACCCGAAUGGUUCCAUAAUUAUAUUUGGAUCCGACAGUUCCAUUUACUAGAUACCUGAAAAGUUUGGUUCGGUUCGGUUCUGCACCCACCCCUAAUUCUUGUUAGCUUGCCUUCCAUGAUUCUCAUCACUCGAGCACAUAAUUCUCACUAUUGUUGAGCACAGCUAUAAGAUCUCGUCCAUCUUAUAAGUCUAUACUAGUUCUAGAUGAGCCACCAGCUCGAUGUUUAUUCAUCUCUCUAUGAGGUAUAGAGAUGAUUAUACUUAUGCCGCUAGCAUUAUCAUUAAAGAUAGCUAGAAAACCUUAACCAUCCGAGGCCAGCUUAUAUGUCGCUAAUAGUUCGAGGUAAGCCACUAGCUCGAUUUUUAUUCUCUACUCUUUAAGAUACCUCAUUAUACAAAAUGCUCAUUCCUCGCUUCAUGGUAUACUGUUCAUUGUUUUGCUACAUAUAAAUAUUUUUGCUUCAUGGGAUUUGUAUUCUCUAGCCUCACCAUAUCUCCAUGCAAGGUAAGUUAUUUGCUUCCAAUGCAUGUACGAGUCAUCUAUACAAUCCCUUGUAUCAUAGCUAUAACUCAUCACUUUUCUACAUCAAUUACAUCACACAGUUGCAUUUAUCUUCAAGAGCUCAUCACACCUCCACAUCAGUUACAUCACAGCUAUAGCUAUUUUCAAAAAAUUCAUCAUGACUAAGCAACAUCUUUAUUCCAACCGUCUUUUUUAUGUUGCUUUGGCACAAACGAAGACAGCCUUAUAUCUUUCUUACCAUGGACAGAACAUAUCCAUGCAAGUCAUUCUUAAACGAGAUCACCCAAUCAAAGGUGCUUCACCAAUCAACUAUUUUCCUAAGUACACCUACUUAGUCAAGCAUCUAUUCUCCUAAGCUCAUUAUCUUAGUUGACCCUCUAUUCUCCUAAGUGCAUCUGCUUAGAUGAAUCACUAUUUUCCUAUUUGUAUCUACCUAGUCGAGCCUAUAUUCUCCUAAGCAUAUCUAAUUAGUCAAGCAUUUAUUCUCCUAAGUGAAUUCAUUUAGUCGAGCCACUAUUAUUCUAAGUGUACCCACUUAGUCAAGUCUCUAUUUUCUUACACCCACUUUGUUGAGCAUCUAUUCUCCUAAGUGCACUCAUUUAGUCGAGCCUCUAUUUUGCACGUCCACUUAGAUGAGCCUCUAUUCUUCUUAAUGCAUCCACUUAAUAGAGACUCAACUGCUUAUAUUUAGAGCAUCACCUUUAUAUCAGCUCCAACUUAGCUACUUAUCUUUAGAGCUUAGCCUCUACCAAAAAGUUCACUUAUUAAAUGAAUAUUCAUAAAUGGACUUGAAGGACUAUUGUGAUACUAUCAUCCUAGUAGCAUUACAUUGUUACUGUUAGCACAUGCAUUGUAUUAUUGCUAGCAUGUCAUGAUGCUAUUUUCACUAUCGUCAGUAUGCAUGCCACAUUAUCUAUAUUACUAUUUUAUGAUCGGUAGCAUGUAACUUUCUUCACAUGUACUAAGCUGUGCAUGUUUAUGAUCCACUACGAUAUAUGAUAGGCUCUUUAUAUGUUAUAGUUUGGAGAAAUUUGAUUUGCUAUAAUUUUCUUUAUCGUCAUGAGCAUUUUGAGGAACAACGGGCCCUAGUUUAUUUUGUAUAUGUGAGUAGAGAUAUUAUAUUAUAUUUCAAGUAGGUGUAGUUCAUAUUUUAGAGGAGAUGCUGUCGAAAUUUUGGUAAAUCAUAUUGUGGUAUUUCAGAGGUAGUUCUUAAGCCCCCACUUAUUGGAUUUGCUCAUUUUUAGAGGCUAUAUGUAAGCCUUCAUAUUUUGGAGAAUACUGCAACUCUUCAUGUGCUCACAACAACUCAUAUUUUUUAUGCAAUUUGUAAGCCCUCCUAGUUGACAGCUUAUAUUUUAAAGUCUAAUCCAUACUUGAAUGUACAACUCAAUCUUGGAGAGCAUUGUCUAUAAAUUAAGUGGCAUGCACAUAAUGGAUGGGUCCCACAUUUACCGACUCAACAAUCAAUUAUGUCCAAUGGAUAGGGCCGAUUUAAUUAAACAUCAUGUCCUUGUACUUACUCCCAGUUCAAUAGUCCAUCUUUGCCCAUUUUCUUCCCUUAUAUAGGUGAGUUCAUUUCUCACACAAGUUAAGGUUAUUCUAACCUUAGCCAAAUCCUCUUCUCCCAUCUCUUGCACUCAUUCUCUUUGAUUCAAUCAUUGACUUAAGCAUCAAAGUAUAAAUGGUUAUCGAACAUUUUCUCGAUCAUUGACCUUUGCCUCCUAAUUGUGUGUUCCAACAUAUAGGAGGUAACUCUAUAGAGGAAAGGUGGUGGGGAUUCUGUUAGCCACGUAUCGGUUGGAUUUUGAGGUCAACAUAGAAUCACGUUUUCCCAAUUGAUAUCUUUUUCUUGUUUGCUGAUUUUUGUCAAGUGUGUUGAAUGACCUAGAGACAUGGCUAUAGCUAGAAGAACAAACUUUUUUGAGGACGAGAACUCCUAUCAAAUGACAUUGUCCCGUUGAGUUCAGACGUCGUCCUGUUAUAUGAUCAGGAUCCGAUAGAUGGAAAUCUUCUUCCUUCAUCACAAGUAUGUAUUGUAUAUAACUUAUUUCAACUCCAAUUUUACGUUCAACAAUGUAUAGCAAAAAUAUGGGUGUUUAAUUGCUUGUUAUUUUUUUUUUUAUCUGUUAGGUAUUGAAGUGGCUGAGAGAUGUGCAUAUUAUGGAAUAAUAUGAAUUGAUAAGUUGUUUGAUGCAUCCACUAGGGUAGAGAAUGCAAAGGAAUGACGACAUUGUUUUUGCCACUAUUGGCUAAUUUUGUGGAUGACUCUUUUCUUGGUCGCAACUAGACUAUCUAUUAUCGUAUCUCUAGACUCUAUAUUGUGGUCAGCCGAAAAAGCUCACACCAAUGCCCCAGGAUAUAAUUAUUAGCUAAAUAUAUAAUUUCUCUUCUGAUAUUUUAAAUUAAAUUAACUUGGUGCUUAUAACUACUUAGUACCCUUUCCUAUACGUCGGUUUACUUAUAAUAACUAUAAUUGGAAUAGACACCCUUCUAGAAAUGAUCCUCGACAAAGAUGGUUGAUAGACCAAGGAGGCUACUUCUAGAUGUUUAUUGUGAGGUCACAUUGCUUGAAGCAGUGGUUCUUGCUAAUGACAGUUUUGAAAGGAAGGAUAAAAUGUAACGAUUCUAUUACGUUCUGCAUCUCUAAGUUAAAACUUAGCUCUUGAACAUAUAAUCAUCUAAGUACUCUCCUAUAGUAAACUCACUUUAAGGAUGAGUUUUAACUGAUGCGAUUGUAACAUUAUUUGAUUUGACAUAGGAUAAGGUGGAAACUUAUUAAUUUGUAAAAAGCAUAAAAUUUGAACAGGUUUGAUUCAUUUGGUUUUUCUUUUGCAUCGUGAUCAAUAAAAUCUCACAGGUACCCAAGUAAUAAAGAAUGAGUAAAAUAUUGUUUCCAUGAAUAUUAAGUACUUAAUCUACUUUCUAGCUAACGCCAAAUAUAAUUGAAUAGCAAUAUUAGUUUGUGGAUGAGUUUUAUACUAACAAUCUAAAUUUUAUUGUAAAUUAACUAUUCUAACUGAUUAAUGUGGAAGUAUUUUGAAACUCAAGUAAAUGGAUAAAUACUAAGACCUUGAAUAUUCCUACAUACUUCCUUUUUAAUAUCAAUUCAAAAUUUAGACAAUGGGUGAUGCUAACAUAUAUCAAGGUGUCCAUAAUGGUGUCCUCUCUCUCACAUGGAGAAGACCCACCUUGAAUAAAUAUAAUUUAUCUAAAGUGAGUCCCAUUUCAUGUGAGGGGGCGGACACUAUUAUGGACACCGCAUUGCGUACAAGUAGAAUAUUCUUUAGACAAUACAUAUUUUGAUAUGAGGAUCAAUAUUCUUAAUUCAUUUAAUAAUCUCUCUCGAACCGAAGUAAGCAUAUCAAUGUAUAUAUGGCCUUCAUAUCUCUUGAUGAAAGAUAUGCUCAUGAGAAUCAGAAAAAACAAGGACCGUUACUGUGUGUCAAAUUUCUAUCCAUUCUAAUGAAUGUCAAUAAAAAUCACAAAACAAUUCAAUUAGUAACUAAUUAAUUGAAAAGCAUUAAGUACUAACAAUUAUUCCAAACCAAACAUAUAUUUUAAUGUCAAAAUUUUAAAAAAUCUAUCAAACCUUCAAAAGUAGGGUUCAAUGUUAUCCUAGCAUAACAAUUAGUCAAGCAUCAAAUUAAUUACAAGUACACAAAAUAAUUGAUGCAACAUCAUCCAAAAUUUAAUAAUCAGAAAGAAUAUGAAAAAUAAUCUUGAAUAUUGUAUCUCUUCAAUUGCAUUUUUAUUUUUCCUUUCUCUCUUUUGAUUCUUCUUCUUCUUUUUCAAUCCAAGAAGUCAAUGUAUUAAAAAUAGGUUUGAAUGUGAUUUGUAUAAAGUUUCUACAAAAUUUGGAAAGAGUUUGAGUUUAUGAAUCAAAAGCUUCCUCUUUGGAUCUCUUGUAUGAAGGAACUAUAGAUUUGAAACCCUAGGAGCUAAUCCUUACAAGUGUAAUAAAUUGCACUAAGAUGUGUAUUUAUAAAGUCAAUAUUUUGGUCUUAUUUUUUGUCCUUAGGAUUUGAAAUUUUAGUCAUAAUAGGAAUGUCGGGUUGCUGAAUUUUAAUUCAGGGACUGCCUUGGGAUUGCACCAUAGUAUUGGACGUGAACAAACAAUCUAACAAAAUUGGGACUGCUAUUUAAAUUUUCAUAGUUGCGAUCGUAGAGGUCAUUGAUUUCCAUUUGUUCAUUUUGAUCCUUAAACAAUAAUUUUGGUUCUUAUCCUCGAAUAUUGCAUGAAAUGCCCUUUGUGCUUCAAUAGAUCUAGGUAAGGUAUACGAAGAAAAAGCUUAUUUGACAUUGUUGAGAAUGAAAUUUACAAAAGAGAUUUGUUUCUCAACAAACAAGCCACAAAUACAACAGGUCAUUCCCUAAAUAUAUUUGAAUUACUCUUUGAAGUUUUUAACUGGUUUCGUGUGGUUAUUUACUAAAAUCGCCCUUUGGAGAGGAAUGAUGGAUUGUUAGUGUGGACGAUUUAGAAGAUAUAAUCAAGUUUAGUUCUACCCAAUGUAGUCCCCUGCAUUCUUAAAUAAUUAAUUAUUGAACCGAAGGAAGUUUCGAAAUUUUUUCAAUUUAGUUCUCAAACUUUUUAUUUGUUGUCGAAACUUGUUACUCACCUUUGAUUGCCCCCCUUAAUACUUCCAAAUGACCAAUUUCAAUCUGGUUGAUCAUCAAGCACUUUGAAUCAACUUCAAUUAUACUCCAUUUCACCUAUUUCACACUAAUUUCUUCCAAAUUUAGGGUUUAUCGACAAUUAAUAUAAUUUAACCUAACAUUAAGUAAAUGUUCACUUAAUUAAUCAUAAAUAAUUAAAUGAAGAAGCCAUAAUAUGCACUUAUCACCCCACUUGAGAUAUGUGAUUUGACACAUCUUAUAUUUGUUUCUUUAUGUUUUCAAUUUAUUAUUUCAAAGAAAUAUAUUUUAAAAAUUGUGAGAAAUUCAUCAGUGUCCAAUAAAGGGACUCUUGUAGAAUAAAGUUCAACGCAAAAAGUAAAAUAUCUAGGAUCAGCUAGUUGUAGAUGGAGUAUGAAAUAGAUAUUUUAUUGGAAUUAUAUCUAUAAUUGUCAUUUUCAGAGGAAUAGGAUUGAUACUUUGUUACCAUAAAAAUCUUGGAUCGAUGUUGAAAAUUUAAUAUGUCAAUUUCAUUCGGAUUCUUCAAUAAAUGCCAAGAAUUUUGGAGAAAAUUCUAUAUUUUAUUUUUCAAUUUCUUCAAAUUCUAAAAAUUACUCUCUUGGUCCCUAAGCUCCUAAUAUAAAAUUGUACUUUAAUUAAAUAAAACACAUUUAGACUUUAAUUAAAUUAAUCAAAUAAAGCCGACACAAUAUCACUUGUACUUCAUCACCGGCAGGGCUCAAGAUUGAAGGUUCCAAAGGCUUCAAAAUCUAUUUGACAAAUUAACGUAAUUGUAAUUGGUUAUUUACACGCAUCCCAGAUUGUGAAAUGGAGUUGACACUUGAUCAUUUCGGUGGUUUUAAUUUUUUUUAUUUUUUAAUGUUGAUCACGUUACAUUUUGUCCUAGGAACGUAUGUUCGUUUUCUUCCUUUGUUUUGCUCAAGGAUUACAAUUAUCUCGUGCCUAAUUAAUUACAUACCAAUUAUUGAUAACGGUUUGACUUGGCUAAUUCAUAAACCAUUUAAAAGUUGGUAGCCAAACGUCCCAUGAAUUUAUUUAACCUUCUCAGUUUUGAAAACAAUAAAAAUAGUAUUAGAUCAUUAGCGAACAAAUAAAGAUGCUAUUUUUCUAAAGAUUACGUUUUCUAGUAUGUUUAGAUAUUGAGUUGGGACACAAAAUUAUGAUUGUAAUAUCAAGUGUGAAGUUAUAUCCUUCAAAAAUAAUUGUCAUUUCCCUAACGCGUGAGAGUUCCAUGUCUCAUUAAACAGUUUCUAUCCUCUAGAGACCAACAAUCGUAACUUGGGGACCUUGUUGCUAUAUUUUGAAAAGGCUGGGUAUCAAAGUUGUAAUUUUCCCUAAAUUUCAAAUUAUUCCAUGAGCCAUUUUUGACUGAGCUUCAAGCGAAUCACACCUGCGCAUGUAUAGCUAUAAAAUACUCCAUUGAUGGAGCUUCAUGCAAAACUUUUUAUGUCUGACUUGAAGUGGACGAACACAAUCACAUCAAAAUCCAUAUUUAAAGGAAAAAAUGAAUUCUUUUAAACUUUUUGUGUUAUGAAUGUAAUCAGAAUAAUGCCCUGUUUUUCCGAUUGCAAUCUCUUUCAUGUUUACAAAUUUAUGCCAACUGUGGAGGUUAUUGACGUUCAUAUAUAUAACUGUUUGAAAGACUUGACGCUUGCGUGUGAAAGUAGAUUGAAGUUGAAGAACAGUCACAUCAAUUCAAUUGCUUGCUCCGUUUUUAAAUAAAUCUACUGGAUGUUGAGCUCUAGAGAUAUGGCCAUGCCCGCCGCCGGAACCCACUUUUUGGAUGCCGAAACUCUGCUGUUGAACAGCGUUGUUCAUGGCUCCGUCGACUUCAAAGACUGCCCUGUUGCUCGAUCCAUAUCCGGUGGUUGGAAGUCCUCUUUCUUCAUCAUCGGUACUGUAUAUGUUACCCAAUUUACCAUUCAGAAGGUUGCAGCACUUUUGACAGUAUUUUAUUUAUAUUUUGGAUUAGUUAGGUGUUGAAGUGGCUGAGAGAUUUGCAUACUGUACAGGAAUCAGAUCGAAUUUGAUAAGCUAUUUGACAGGUCCGUUGGGACAAUCAACCGCAGCUGCGGUGGAGAAUGUGAAUGGUUGGUCCGGCACGUCCAUGAUUUUGCCACUGGUGGGUGCUUUUGUGGCGGAUUCUUUUAAACAUAACUAAAUAGAAUAAGGCAGUGUUUGAUAGCAUGAAAUUACGUGAAAAUGGAAUUCUAAUUUCAUCUUUUUCAUUUUUUUGUUGUUUGGUAGCACAAUUAUUUUCAUGAAAUUUCAAUUCUUGAUUGUCUUGAAAAGUGUGGUUUUCUAUGUUUUCAUGGACCACCAUGGGAAUUGGUUUUCCCGGUACGGUAGCAAUUUUAUUAUUAUUAUUAUUAUUAUUAUUUUGGAUAAUGGAAACAAAUUCUAAGAAUUACUGUUAAAAAAUAUUUCCUUUUAAUUGACAACUUUCAUGUAAAACAAAGUCAAACGAUCACUCAAAGAUAGCUGAAUUUCUUGAAUAUUUUUUUUUUUUGCAAUGGAAACCAAUUUCAUUUCCAAUAUCAGUAAAUUUCAUCCAUUUAAUUGACAAUUUUCAUAUAAAAUAAAGCCAAACGAAUAUCAAAAAACACUUUUAUUUCAAUAUUUUUCACGUGGAAAAUUAUAUCAAUCAAACACAAUAAUUUACAAUUCCCAAAAAAAUAAAUUUUAGACAAUUCAAUUUCCUGGAAUUCGUUUUCAAUUCAAUUCAAUUCCAUCUUUAUAAUCAAACGAAUUCUAAGAAAUUUAUCCAAGUCUAAUUCUAUCAAAUCUCAGCUUCCACCCAACUAGGAUUGUAUUCAUGGUGUCUUAUCCAAAUCUACUCAUGUUUACUUUACUGAAUACACAAUUAUUGAAGGCGCAUGUCUCCUCCACUAAAAAUAUGGGUGUUAAAAAAAAAGAUUCCAUAUGUUUUCGUUCUAUCAUUGGAUUAUAUACGAUAUUAUCAAGCCCACUUGCACAUUGACAGGAGCUUUUAAGCAUGCUUUAAGACGUACGUAAACUCUGGAUCCUCCUCUACAUGGAUAACAUUAUUCUGAAAAAAUCCAAGGAAAAAAGAAAGAUAAACGAAACCCACCUUUUGGAUGCCGAAACUCUGCUGUUGAACGACGUUGUUCAUGGCUCCGUCGACUUCAAAGGCUGCCCUGUUACUCGAUCCACAUCUGGUGGUUGGAAGUCCUCUUUCUUCAUCAUAGGUACAGUAUAUGUUACCCAAUUUACCAUUCGAAAGGUUACAGCAUUUUUAGCAGUAUUUUAUUUAUAUUUUGGAUUUGUUAGGUGUUGAAGUGGCUGAGAGAUUUGCAUACUGUGGAAUCAGUUCAAAUUUGAUAAGCUAUUUGACGGGUCCGUUGGGACAAUCCACCGCAGCUGCGGCGGAGAACGUGAAUGGUUGGUCCGGCACGUCGAUGAUUUUGCCACUUUUGGGUGCUUUUGUGGCGGAUUCUUUUCUUGGUCGGUACUGGACCGUUGUCAUUGCCUCUGGGCUCUAUAUCCUGGUCAGUACACGAAUCAUUCACUAAUAUAUAGUUUCUGUUUUGAGCUUUAAAAUUAUGUAAUGCCCUACCAUUUUUGGCAACUGGGAGUGACUCAUGCUGGCCAAAGCAUGUACUCCCCAGGUUUCCACUUCGUGUGACACAAGUCUUUAUUUUUUUAUCUACACUUUUCCGAGAUUUAUAAUGCAUGCUCUUUGUACCAGUGACUACCCCUGUAACAUAAGAUGCAAGCUGCCAAUUCAAUAUAAUCAGCUACUUUAUGGUUAGAUACCUUAAAUUGAGUUUCACAAUAAGAAAAAUGUAGAAGUCCAGUUCUUAUUCAAAAUAUAUGUGGCUGAAUGAUUCUCAAAGGUUUUGAAGAAUCAUGAAACCGUUUGAGAAAAUGACAAUUUUCUUCCUCACAAAUAAUUUCUGGUAAAUUCAUUUGUAUUUAGAAAGCUUUCCUUGGAACAGAGAGCCAAGGACUUAAAAUUGAACAGUUGUCACAGUCACUUCAUCAACACACAGUCUUUCUUUUCUUUUAGCUAACAACAUUUGUGAACAUGUUUUCUUCUUGGAAAUUCUAAUCGUUUUCUGUUAUCAUUAUGGAUCUCAGGCACUUGGCUUCUUAUCCCUAUCUGCUGUUCUAUAUUCAAUCAAAUCUUCCGACUGCCAUUUUGCUGCAAAUAACAUCGCCGCAUGCUCCCCUCCACAGUUUCAAAUUAUUUUCUUCUUCUUCUCUUUGUAUUUAUUUGCACUAGCACAAGGAGGACAUAAACCUUGUCUCCAGGCUUUUGGAGCUGACCAGUUUGAUGAUCUAGACCCAAAGGAAUGUAAUGACAAAAGCUCAUUCUUCAAUUGGUGGUAUUUUUCCAUGAAUUUGGGUAUUAUAAUUUCUCUGUUUGUAUUGAUCUACAUCCAAGACAACCUAAGUUGGGCUCUUGGCUUUGGAAUUCCCUGCAUUAUCAUGUGCCUUGCGCUAAUUAUAUUUUUGCUUGGAACUAUGACUUACCGAUUUCGCACACACAGCGAUGAAAGAAACCCAUUUGUUAGAAUUGGUCAGGUAUUCCUGAAUGCAUCUAGAAAUUGGCGGACUACCCCAGGAACAAUAUCUAAGGAAGAGGAGGCACAGGGAAUUCUGCCAUAUCAAGGAUCUCAACAGUUCAAGUAAGUCAACUGCCCCUUUGUGUGUUUUGAUAUUGGGAAGAUAAACUUUGACUCUUCAUCUCGCACGGUGAGGCCGAAAGAAAAGGAGUCCCAUUUAACCAAGUGAAGUGGGCGUAAAAGGUAAGUAGCAAUUAGGGCAUAGUAAUGAAUCAAGUAAGGGCCCACACAUGAUAAAUGGGCUACCAAGUGAAUUACUUCUCACUGGCCGUCCAAGUAAAUGGAAAUGGGCCAUGAGCAGCACUAAAUAAAUUUGGAUGAUUCAAAUGGCCCAAUUAACCUUUGGGUUAGGUUAUCUCGAUUAUGGUGCUAAUUUACCAUUCAGUCAUUUGGUGGAGUUAAUUGAGAAUUAAAUCCAGUCAACAUCAUAGCCCGGGAGGUUGUUUGACAACAAUUUGCCCAACACUGUGCUUUAUAUGAUUGAAAUAAUGGGAUCAAUCUCAUUUGUUUCGUUAUAUUAUUUUUGGUUUCAAACAGGUUUCUUGAUAAAGCGUUGCUUGCACCUGAUGGUUCGAAGGAAGAUGGGGAAGUUUGUAGUAUCACUGAGAUUGAAGAGGCAAAGGCAGUUCUUAGGCUUUUUCCAAUAUUGACUGCAAGUUUGGGAUAUGCCAUUGCAUAUUCACAAUCAUCGACUUUAUUCACUAAACAAGGAGCUACAAUGGAUCGUUCUAUCACGUCUAGCUUACAAAUACCAGCUGCUUCACUGCAAUCUUUUAUCAGCAUCGCCAGUGUUGUCUUUAUUCCUAUCUAUGACCGAAUUUUGGUUCCUAUUGCAAGAGCUAUAACUGGAAAACCAUCUGGCAUUACAAUGCUUCAACGAAUUGGAACUGGAAUGUUUUUAUCUUUUCUUGCCAUGGUAAUUGCAGCUUUGGUCGAGAGGGAACGUCUAAAAACAGCUGCUGAAUAUGGAUUGGUGGACAUGCCGAAAGCAACAGUGCCUAUGAGUGUGUGGUUGCUGCUACCUCAGUAUUUGGCUUUAGGUGUUGCAGAUGUAUUUACCGUGGUCGGACUCCAAGAGUUCUUCUAUGACCAGGUUCCGAACGAGCUGAAAAGUAUCGGUCUUGCUCUAUACUUGAGUAUAUUUGGCAUAGGGAACUUCUUGAGCAGUUCUCUAAUCUCUGUGGUGGAGGAAGCCACCAGUGGUCCGGGGCAAGACAGUUGGUUUUCAGACAACCUUAACCGGGCUCAUUUUGACUACUUCUAUUGGCUACUGGCUGCGCUUAGUGCUGCUGCAUUCUCUGCGUACGUGUACGUUUCAAAAUCUUAUAUCUACAAUAGAAGAAACUGUCUUUGAAGUUGCAUUCUGUGGUGGAGAUAGCUACUAGUGGCCAAGGUUGAAAAGAUUUUCUUAUCGGCUACUGGCUGGGCUUAGUGUUACUGCUUUCGUUGGAUACUUGUACUUCACAAAAUCUUGUAUCUAUAACAAAAAUAAACAGGAUUUGAAUUUGCAUAAAAAUGCUGCCAGGACAAAUAUGGUCAGUAAAAGAGAAAUACCACUCCCUGUACAUUCAACUUGUAUAAUAAAUAUAGUUCAUUUGCGGUCAGUUUCACCUACAUGCGAAAGCAUGACCAGAGAUUUUACUCCAUGGGAUCAUCUGAUAUUUGUUGUCCAUUGUGUUAAAUCUUAGACAUAGUAGUGACGAAGUGAGUUGAAUGAAGAAAAAGAAUUUAGAGCCAACUUUUAAAUUUAUAGAAAAUAAUGAUUAAUUUGUUGUCACUUGCAUUAAGUACAUCGAUUUGCUAUGUGUUGAACAAUCAUCGCCAAUAUGGAGGUUAGAAAUAGAAGUUUUUUCAUUGUAUUUUGUACCAGAUUUGCUGACUUGAAAUUCAACGGGACGGAAUCUUGUUGUUAACAGAUCCAGCUCUACUCCCAUCCAUAUGUAUGGUACUUGCACGCUUUGACAUCACGUUAAACUACAUGUUAUUGCAGAGCACUCUGAUACUCAAGCCAAAUAGCUGAAGAUAUUUAGGUGUGGAAGAGGCAAUGGACGAAAUAACAAUUGCCAAGUUGAGUAUUUCCAAGAUUUAGAGAGUGAUCUUGAAUUCAAAAUUGCAUUACCUUUACAAGUCUCUUUGUGUCAAGAAAGUGUCCACUUGAUGCUUGACACAUAACCUCAUCCUAUUAGUAAUGUUCAAGCUCCAUAGGGUCAAUUGCUCUCUAUCAUAUGCUUGUGAUCAUCGACCAUAGGCUGAAAAGCAAUUCUUUUCAAUAUUUAUCUUUAAAUUGAGAAUUUUAACCUAUAAAAAUCAAAUACAGUACACAGUGGGUAGAAAUUACACCUUGGUCCCUUUUCAAGAAUUUUCGAAUUGAAUGGUCGGCUCGGUACCGAUCUUCCCUGGCCCGCAAUUCCUAGGAAUUGAGUAAGAGCCAGUACCGCCCCAUCCUUCCCCGCAUUCCUUCCUAAGGAAUGGAGAACGACCCAGCUGCAACUGCUAUUGAAUCAGCGUAAGGAGAUGUCGAUGAGGGUAGAAUAGAGAAAAGAAUUUGCUUUGGUUGGCCCCCGUUCAUUAAGGUAAUUGCAUUCACCUUCUCGAUUGGGUUGACUUCAGUUUUGCUUGGAUAUGUGUCUUGUUAUUACUCAGACAGCAUCUUUGCUACCUGCCCUACUUGAUUUUCCAGUUUCUUCAAAGUUUCAUUUUGGCUCCACAUGGUAGUGUCAUUCUUCUCCCCAUCUUUCCUUCUGCUCCUGUGGUGGAUUCUGAAUAUUUUGUAUAUUGUUAUAGGAGAUAUUAGGAUGACUCCUCCAACGUUGACCAUAUAUCUAAGAGUAGGGAUUAUUUUAUUGGUUCUGAAAGUUUUGAGCAUAAAUACCUUGCUCACUUGGUGAUGGAUGAUUUGUGUGACCAAUAGGCAUUCCGAUGUCAGUAUAUUUGCCUCACAAGCACCACAAACUAAAAGAAGUGCUUGCACCAUAUUAACUGAUCGAGUAGUUAAUAUUUCAUCCCUCUUCUUUGUCAAUGAAUCGAUUUUUGCAAGGACAAGGGAAUCGGCACCCACCCCUUGCAUUUCGUCUAUUUUCUUUCUGUGUUCCACCAUCUGGCCCCGCUGCACCGUGCUCACUCAUUAUUUCAAGCAAUUCCUAUGCUUUGUAGACAGUCUUCAUUCUUUCUUUCUUUUUUUGUAAUGGAUCCUUUGGAAGCUGUAUCAACUGUAGAUCGAUUGGAUGGAAGCAACCCAGAAUCGAAGUAUUGUAUUUAAAGACCCUUUACGGUACCGUGAUUCAAUCACUUACUGAGUAGUUAUUUGAAUCUUUUCCAAGCUUCAUAAAAGCUUACCAAAUGAGACGGGAAAAUGGAGAUGUCAUGUUUGAGUUUGGCAAUCUUGAUUGGAGGAAAAUACUUUGUGGUGAACUUCUAUACUAGUUUUGUCCAUGUAGUGAUGCUGUCGAUAGUACUGAAUCAAGUCAUUCCCUAUCUUUAUCCCUUAAAGUUUAGGGAAAAAGCAUAAUCCUAAUCGCCUCUUCGUUUGUUCCUUGCUAUUUGAAGCUAUCUCAAAUUCUCAUGAAAUGUAAAAGAUGAGAAUGUCUGUCCUUCUCAAGAAUGGUAUAUAGCUGGCGAAUAAGUUGAUGACAUCUGGCUUCAGUUAAAACCUUGAAUUCCCAUAUAGACGAUAGGUGAUGCUCGAUUUAUUUUCAACAACAGAAAGAACCACAAAGUCCCUUACUAGCAAGGCCUCCUUGUCAAUUUCGUGGUCUCCCAUCUCAUGUUAUCUUCGAUCUCUUGCUUAUCUUUAUUCCCAGCGAUAAAUGAAAUUAAUUGACGCAAAAAGUAAACAAAACGGCCAUCGUAGUAUUGCAAUUUUAUUCUGCAAAUGAACAGUAUUGUACACAAGUAAUAUUUAUGUGUAAAGUUUGAAACAUGCGAAAACUAACUAUCAACUAGUUAUUAACUUGAACAAAAAAUUGCAUAAUUAAUAUUUUGAUUUUGAAUUUAAUUUUAAUUAUAUAUAAUUAUUUACUAAUAUAGGCAAUUAAGAGUAAGUAAUAUUUUGGAACUCAAACAAGUCACGGAAGUCACAAAGCGUGUGUUCUCUUUGUCGUAUUCGGGCCGUUUUCUGCUUUCAAUUUUUCAAAACGUUGAAAACGCGUUCUCUUUCCUGUUUUAAAAAACGAAUUUUCGAAAACGAAAAAAAAAUUGUGAAGAAAACACAAAACGACAUUUUUGUUGUUUUGGGCGUUUUCAAUACAAAAUUAGAAAAAACUGAAAAUACAGGAAAUGGUUCCAAAAUAGCAAAAAGAACGCAUUUUCAGAAAUUUCAAAACAGACACUCAAAACACAAAACUCAAAAUGAAUUCAAAAUUCAAAACUACAAAAUUGAAACACGAAAAUAAUAGCCCCUAAGAUUUCGAAUUCGCCAUGUGAAUUCACUUUAAACCUCACAUAUUUGUUAUUAGCCAACUAUAACUUUUUGUUGACAAUCAAAAUUUUUUAUGUUCUAAUUUUCGGUCUCGAUAUAUAUUAAUCCAAUUUGUACCUAAAAUUGCACUAAGAAUAGAAGUUUAUUUUUAUCUUCUAUGGGAUCUAGUUUUUGUUAUUUGAGUUAGAAACACGAAUCACCUCUCGGUAUAGUGUCGAAUCCCAAAAAUAAUCCUAAAACUGGUUAAAUAACAGGAUGAUAAUUAAUUAAAUAAUAAAUAAUCAAUCAACAAGUAAAAAUUAUAAAGAAAACAAAGGAAACCUUUAAAUAUCUGAAUAUCAACCCAAAUAAAGAAAGAACAAAAAUUAUAAAGAAACCAAACAAAACCCAUCAUAAAAGUGCAGCAUAUUACAAUACAUGUCAGGUAGCACAACGAAUCAUAACUUACAAAAUUACAAAAACUUCUCAUAUGUUAAAUGAACCGGACCUCCACUAAAAAUACACAACAUCCUUUGAUUUCUUUAUAACAAGGAAAAUGAAUAGAUAGUCGCGAGACGACGAGAGUUGCUUAAAGAAUUUAGUGUGUAUCUCCUUCAACAAUCCAUGAACCCAUUGAAAAACAAACAAUUAAAUCUAUUGCAAAUAACAAACAACACUGAAAUCAAAUUGAAACAUCAAUCUCUUUAAAAUCCAAUUCCCCAACAUAAGUGACAUGAAAAGAAGAAUAAAAAGGUACAAAAUAUGAAAAAUUAUACAGUUAAAUAUUAGAAAAUUAAGCAAAAGAAGAUCACACGAUAUGGAAUGAGCCAAACCUACUUGUAAAAAUCAUGAGGAAGAGCCACAAGAACUCCAGCUCCAUAACGCCUGCUAAAAAUGAAAGUGUGUGCAACAUCUUAUUUUUUGCAUCGAGACCAAAAUGUAGGAAAAGUUCUCCUGCCCUGUGUACUCACAAAAGAGAUGAGAAGUCAAGAGAGAGUUCCUUAAGUAAAGGACCACCAAGAAAACACAAAAGUAAUUACCUUCUAAAACCAGAGCAAUAUCCCGAAGUAAAGAAUUGCAGAGUCCAUAAGUAUAAUUACAAGCUCAUGAACAAAAUGGAAAUGGCUGAAGUUCAGAAAUAAAAAUCAAUAACAAAAAAACUUGUGGUUAGUGGGAAAACUCAUGCAAAAAAACAAAAGCAUACAGGAAUAACGAUUACUAGAACAAAAGGUAAUAGUAUUCAAUCUUUUCUGAAGACUAUAGACACAAGAUUUUUCAAAUUUCUAUUGGCUAAUUAACUCCGUCAAAAGCUUUAGAAGUUCUGGUAACUUUAGAGCACCAUGUUAAGAUAAGUCCAAAAAAUAUACACAAAUAUCAUAAAUCCUGAAAUGUUUCGAAGCCAAAUAAAUGUAGGAAACAAAAGUCAAAACCAGAUAUAGAACAAAAAAUCAGGAAUCUAGCUUUAACAAUGUAUAUAGAACUAAAUUUAGUGAUUCUUGGGAAACCUUUUGUAAAGUUCAGUGAUGAAUUAGGUGAUUUUUAAAGUUCAGUGACAUCGUGGAAACUUUUACAAAGUUCAGUAAUGAAUUGUAUGAUUUUUAAAGUUCAGUGACCAUUUGGGUAAUUCACUCAUGGAGUUAUCAUGGAAUAGAAAAGCUAAGAAGGAGAAGAUGAAGUCAAAGACAAAUAUUCAUCACUUUUUGUCCAAUCAUAAGGUAAAUUUUGAGAAUGACAUUUUUUGAAGGUACAAGGGAUGUAGAAGUUUUACAACUAAAAUGAAAUUGGGCUCAUAUUUUUAAUGUGAUAAUCUUGCACGAUGAGCUUAGCCCAUAGACGAGCUUUGUGCUUGUCCUACAUAAGAUAUGAAAGUCCAAUACUAAUCUAAUAUGCUUUAAAUAAAUUUAAUCUCAUGGAGGUUUAACAAGCAACUGUGCAUGUUUUUUUAAAAAAAGAAAUUUAUUUAAAUAAGGUAAGAUGGAAUGUAAUGUUAUCCAAAAAUUGAAAUCGAAAAUUAAAAUUUAUUUAUGUAUAGUAAAUAUUUCCAAGAUUAGAUUUGCAUACAUGUUAUUGUUCAAAAGAAUUAAUUUAUAAAUAAAAGAGGAUUUAAAGUUUUUAUUUGCGGAUUUGUGUUGUUAGCUCCUUAUUUUAUUAAUUAAAUAAAUUCUAGGGCCUUAAACCUCAAAUACACACACUUAUUAUAUGUAAAAACACUUUGAACAAGAAAACUUUCAGAAAUAUAAAAAUAAAUAAUAAAAAUAAAUAAAUUAAGGCGAGGCAGAUUCUUUUAUGCUUAGGGUGCCAUUUAGGAUACAACAUUCACCAUCCAAGUUCGUUCAUUCAAAAGCGUCAAACUAAAAGCAUAUCCAAUAGACUCUCUAUUUUUAAAGAGUAUAUUCUAUCAUUUGGAGAGUGUCUAUAAAUUUAGGAAGUUAAAAUUUUGAAGUACUCCAACGAGUUCUUUACAUUUAAAAUUUAAUUUUACUACUCCCAAAAAUUAUUUAUCAUUUUUCUCUAUAUUUUAUUUUAACUAAUUGUUCUUUAGAUUAUUUUAUUAUUUUUCCUAUAUUAAAAAUUUAUAUACUUUGAGUGCAUUUAAUUAUAGAGAGUAAGUUUGGCUCUCCAGACCCACCCUUUAAAUUAAAAUGUUAAUUUAAAGAACUUUUUAAAACAAUGAUUUUAAAUGUUAACUCUUUAAAAUAAAGAACAUAUCAUGCAUAAAGAGUUUUUUUAAAAUACUUUAAGAUAAGUAGAGGUGCAAGUGGUUAUUUCAUUUUUAAGUUAUGCAUUUUUCGUUAAAGUACAAGCAAAAUGGCUGCUUUCGAGUACGGUGCUUCGACACUACUAUAGUUGGAAUGAUUAUUCUCCGAUUCUAUGUGUUGUGAUGAUUGUGACGAUAUGAAUAGUUUGAAUUUUCUAAUUCGAUAACAAAGUGCACCGAUGAUAUCUAUUGAGUUUCAACUUAUGGGUUAAUUCCCUUUCUAUGAGUUAAUUUGAUUUACUUGGGAUAUGGAUAAUGGUAAAUGAAGGUACGUUGUGUUAUGGAGAAGCCAAUGACUAAUUAUUUUUUUUAAUGAGUUUAGAAAAAAAAUGUUUAAGUGUUUCAAAUAAAUAGAUUUAGAUGAACGACGUUUGAAGAACUACUUUUAGAAUCCUUUCCUAAAUUAGUUAUGUUUAACAGAAAUUAACUUACAAGUUCCAUUUCUCAGAGAAAAAAUGUUAGCAAUAAAGUUGAUUGUUGCUUCUUUAAAAAAAUAAAAAAUAAAAAAAAAUUCGGCUUCUGCUCUUAAUAUGUUGUCGAAAGAAGCCAAUUUUUUUAAUAUGCUAUAUUACAGGAGGUUUCCUAUUUUAUUUUAAAAUUUUCUGAAAUUUCAAAGUCGAUAGCUAUGAAUUUAUUUUGUCAUUUGUCAUGCGAAAUAGAAAAAUAAAAUAAUUUAGUUUUGUUUACUAUUUAAAGAUAUGAAUACGUGGAAAAUUGUUUCAAAACCUUUAAUUUAUUUGGUAAACACAUGCCUGCCAUUGUUCAUAUAAGAAAAUAGAUAAUAUGUAUGGAAAAUUGUAUUGUUUAGGGGAAAAAAAAAGGAAAAAAAAUUCUUAAAUUAAAUCUUUAUGCUUGGAGGUCUCAUUAGCCAAAGAAGACCCUGGCCAAUCCACGUGGCCUACUUGACAAACAUCAGUGCCUACCAUCCACACCAGAAUAAAUAGAGUUUUUCGAAGGGUUUGAUUGAAGUGUGAGUUCAGCCAACAAGUAUACUUAAUUGCAUUUCAUUAAAAAUAAUUUUUUAAAUUUUUAUUUUUAAUUAGUUAUUUGAAAUUUAUUUGUCCCUUUUUGAACAUUUUGGGAGUAUAGUUACAAUAUGUUCUUUAUUUUUGUUUUAUUUAAAUAAGAGGGUAAAUGCAUUAUUUUACAACUUUUAAUUGAAAGAAUAGAUGAAAAUGACGAUUUUCACAAUAAAAUGUGAAAUAAGGGUGAAAAUGCUGAAAAAUGAAAUUUAUGAACGUUCUGCACAAUAAUAUUGAAAGAUAUGGAUAUUUUGUGCUAAUUACCAUUUUAAUAAUUUAUUUCGACUCACUUACAGUUUUUUUUAAAUUUGGGAGUAUAAUUACAAUUUAUUCUUUAAUUUCUCUUUUCUUUUCUUUUCUUUUUUUGUUCAAAUAAUAAGGUAUAUAUGUCAUUUUACAUUUUUAUUGAGAAUUUGGAAGAAAAUAACAUUUUUCAUAAUGAAAUAUGAAAAUAGGGAUGAAAAUACCAAAAGUAAUACAUAACAUACAAAAAAUGUACCGUCAAAAUAAUACUCCUCUAUGUAUGAGACUCCCGAAGAUCAAUACAAGCUAAUUUUGUAAUCAUUAUAUUACUACAAUUAUCAAAGAUUGAUAAUUAUUUCAUAUGAAGAUGGUGUUAUUUGAAGACUACACAAGACAACAUGAGAUAUGCUUCACAAAAAAUUACAAUAUUGAAAACGUUGACAUACAAGAUAAGGAUGAAUUAAUAGAAGAAUUGAAAUUAGGGAGAGCCGUUGUACUCUUUUUCCUUCGAUCAAAUUUUUCCCUCCGAAUUUUCUUGACAGUGUUUUAACAAGAUAGAUAUUUUGUAAUGUGUCAUUUAAGAGAAGUAUUGUAAAUAAUAUGAUCAUUAAUGAAUGAGAAUUAUACUCUUGAAGUCCUAGUUUUUAUUAUUAUUGUAUUCCUAAUUCUUUCAUAUAAAUAUAGAGUUAUUUAUAUAGUUUUAUUUCCCAAUAAAAUAUACAAGUCUAUUAACUUUCUCUUAUUUCCCUUCUUUUUUUCUCUAGUUUAACACACAAGAUAUUUUAGGAGAAAAUUGGAUACAACCCUUACUAAUGAACUCUUCAAUAAUUAUAGAUGACACCUUCUUUAUUUUCCAAAUCAUCGAAGUUUCAAAGAAUUCUUAUAGAUUCCGUUCCAAAUUUUUUUAAAAAUUCAAAAAAUUUCUCUACAUAUUAACGACUCGUUCUUAAAAAAAAAAAAUAAUAAAUAAAUAUCUUUUUUUUUUUUUGGGGGAUAAAUAGAUCUCAAACAAAGACUUGUUUGUUGGACUAUAUACUAGGAACUAAUUAAUUAUAAGAAAUGUAACACUUGUUUGUUGGACUAUAAACUAGGAACUAACUAAUUAUAAGAAAUGUAACUAUUAGAGUGCGUUUGAUAGCCAAUAUUUUCUAUGAAAAAUGUGUUUUUCAUCUACUUUUAUGCUGGUUGGUUCACAUUUUUUAUAGAAAAUAUUUUCCUACUUUUGGUCACGUGAUCAUAUUUUUCUCAAAAUUAAGAAAAAUUUUCUUUAGGGGAAGUAGGAGUUUAUUUCUUAGGGAAUUCACUUUCUCUUUUUCUCUCUCGUCUAUUUAAUUUCUCUCAUCUACCCACUAAUAAAAAAAUGAAAAAUCUAAUAUUUUCUAGGUUGAAAAUUAAAUCAAUCAAACACAUAUUUCUAUGUAGAUGAGUUCUAGACAAUUGAAUUAUCUAAUAUUUAUUUUCUUUCCAAUAAAAUUUCAUGUUUACAAUCAAACGCACUCUUAGAUUAAGAUUACUCACAUCCUAGAAUUUUUUUUUUCCUUUUUCUUGUUUUCCAGUCAAGAGAAAAUCCUAACUCCACCGCUAGUUGGGUUCCGAAUUUUGUGCAGACUUACGGACUUGUAUUAUUUCUUUUGGAUGGUGAUUUUCACAAAUUAAAUAAAUCCUCCCUCUCUGCUACGUGUUUCGAAAUCCCGGGUGCAUGCAUUUACGUAUAUAAGUCUACAGUGUCCACGUAUAUAGUCAAACACCGAGGUUCUUCGUUCUCAACUUGUUCAAUUCUUGAGUCAGUUUCAGCAUUGUGCACGAGUGAGUUGUACAGAGGAGUACUACUCAAUGUCUAUUUCUUCAGCCGAAUUUCAGAGCACUGAAAAUGUCGCCAUUGACGACACUGUCGCCGGCAUGCUUGAUUACUCCGGCCAGCCGGCCAAGAGAUCAAAAUCGGGAUACUGGCGAUCUGCCUAUUUCACUACAGGUAACUGCUUUUUCUUUUUUUGUUUCUUUUUUCUUUUGAGGCUUUUCAAGAAUGUCCAAUUUUAAGGGUUUGAGUUGUAAAGUUCCACUCAUUUGAAUCUAGUGUUAACUUGUCUAUCAUGCUCUUAAUGAAAAAAUGGAGCAAUUGAAUGUCGUUCUCAACAUUUGAUUUUUUUUUUCAAUUUUUCACGAAUUUCGAGAAAUAUUUUUUAUGAAAAGUUACAUUAAAAUAAUGUUUCUCGAUAUUUCAUAUAUAAUUCUCGACAUUUGAACACCGUUUCAUUUGUUUAGAAUGACAUUUCAUUUUGAAUAUGACAUUUCUCUACAUUUGAAAUGCAGUUCUCGACAUUUCUUAGUCAAUGAAAAACAUUGCAUUUAUUGUGAUUUGACAUGUAUGCUUUUGAAAUAAAUAUGGCUGGUUAUAUGUCAAAAUUUUAUUGGCCAAUAAUAAUUUUGCAAAAAUGUCCAUUUUUAUCUUAUUGUGGAAUUAUAAAUUGUUAAUAGGGGUAUUUUGGUCUAAAUUCUUUCAAAAUAGACAUUUUUGCAAUGGUGGACAUUUUUGCAAAUGACUAGGUGAAAAUGGACAUCCUGUGAAAUUUCCUCUUUUCUUUUUCUAUGCAUGCAUCUAUUCUUAUAAGGUUGUUAUUUACAAAAAUGGUACACAACACAACCGUGACAUAUUUGGCAGGCAGAGUUGAUAACAUUCGACAAUAUGAAGGAGAGAAAAAGAAACUAAGCCCAUGUUCGGUAGGAUUAAAAUCGAAUUUUUUAAUAGAUUUUGAUAAAAGUUGAUGAAAUUUAUGAUUAAAAAGUUGUGGAUCUCGUGAAAUAUUUAGUUAAAAUUAAUUGUUUACUUUGAAUUAGGAUUUAAAUCUAGACAUUAAUUCUUACCAAACAAGGGUUAAAAUUUGUUGGAUUAUAAUUGUGGCCUCUACACGUUGCAUGAUUCAAAUUUGUUUAACCAUCAACAUUAUCGAGUACUGUGUACCAUUUUAUGCUUAAGCUAAGUUGAAGUUAGAUUUGAAUAAAUAACUUUUUCUAUUUCUAGUUGUUCAUAUAAACUUUUAGAUAAGUUGAUUCGAAAUAAAAUGAGCCUUAAUGCUUACUAUUUAGUUAUAAUUCAUGGCUAAUUUAGGUGUUAUAAUUUUGAAGUGAAGAAACUUUCUCUAGAUCAAAUUGUUAUUUAUUAGCGAGAAUCAUCCCCCUAUGAUUCUUCAAGAAUGGUGUAACGGCUCUGGUUUUUUUUUCCUAAUGAUACUAAGUAUUAUUCAAGGAUCACCGCUUCGACGCUUUAUUUAUAUAUAUUUAUAUCUUCAGUAUGUUCAAAAUCAUGACAAGAAGUUCAAACUGAAUGACAGGUGCCACGGUGGCAGAGAAAUUUGCUUAUUUUGGAAUAAGUUCCAACAUAAUAACCUAUCUUUCGGGGCCUCUUAGGCAGCCGACGGCAAUGGCAGCUGCCGAAGUGAAUAUAUGGUCAGGCACUGGCCUUCUAAUGCCACUUUUGGGUGGUUUUGUAGCUGAUUCAUUUGUGGGUCGAUAUUGGACCAUUGUUUUCUCUUCAGUGGCCUACAUUUUGGUUAGUAUCCAAUUUGAUGUUUUCUCAAAUAUAAUCAUGGUUUAAUUGCAUUGUAUUUCAGUGCAAAAGUAAAUUUUAUAGCAUUUCUUGUCACAUAUGGUUCUAUCCAAUCUUGAAUAAAAGAAUGAUGCAAAAGGUAUAUUUACAUUUUCGGAGCUAGUUCGGAUAAGUCGUACAUAAGGAACGUCGAAGAGCAUGCUUCGUUCAAUCGAGCCCAAUACUGUGUUCCAAAUAUGCACUAAAUGUCAUGUAGACUUCAUCAUUAUGAUGUGUACCCAACUAUAACCUUAUAUCGGUGUGCUUUUGCAUCGAUCCUGGACGCUUACACUUUUUUUGAUUGAAUGUGCACAGGCACUCGGGUUGUUGACUCUAUCUGCCAUGCUUAAUAGUGAAAGACCUAAUCACCUUCGAGUUUUCUUCUUCUUCUUCUCACUAUAUUUGGUGGCAGUCAGUCAAGGUUUGCAAAAACCCGGUAUCAUGGCUUUCGGGGCCGACCAGUUUGACGAACAAGAUGCCGAAGAAAGAAGAGGCCGAAGCUCGUUUUUCAAUUGGAUCUAUUUUAGUUCAGUUGCAGGUCCUUUCACUGCAGUUUUGGUCUUGAAUUACGUUCAAGAUAACGUUAGUUGGAGUCUUGGAUUUGGGAUUCCAUGCAUUUCAAUGGCAGUUUCAUUGGCCAUAUUCUUGUUCGGAACUAGAUCUUAUCGAUAUACAAUCAAAGUCGAGGAGAAUCACCCACUCUGGAGGAUUAGUCGAGUGUUUGUCCAAGCAGCUAUAAAUUGGAGGACCAAAUCUUCCACCAGUGUUUACAAUGUAGAAGGGGAAGAAACAGUGCCUCAACUAUGUUCCCAACAAUUCAAGUAAGAUCUGAGUUUCUCGUGUAUGGAACGCCCCCCACCUCCAAAAAAGAGCUCAUCUAUUUUUUAUUUAGUAAUUUCAGUAUCGAUUGGUGGAUUGCGUAGAGCCUAAUUCUAAUGUUCGCUUUCCCUUCGAGCACAGAUUGACAUAGAUUCCUACAUUAUAAAUAAGAAUCUAUGUCUGAAAAAUGAGGGGAUGCGAUUCUCCUUUUUCGACUUCUUUCUUAUUAGUAGUGACAUUUCACUUCUUCAAUAUGUUAGUAUUGUUCGACUUUCCUUGCUUAAGCGUCGUGCUAUUCACUUUCGUGUAACUGGUCCACGACAGGUUUCUUAACAGAGCUUUGCUUGCACCAGAUGGUUCGCGAGAGUAUGAGGAAGCAAGCAGCAUAAGUGAAAUCGAAGAGGCAAAAACACUUUUAAGGUUGAUUCCUAUGUGGGUAACAUCUUUAGGAUAUGCUAUUGUCUUGUCUCAAACUUCGACUCUAUUUACCGAACAAGGAAUAACGAUGGACAGAUCCAUCAGUUCAAGCAUCGAUAUACCGGCUGCAUCACUGCAAUGCGUAAUCGGUUUUUCAGUUAUUCUCUUAGUUCCAAUUUAUGACUUUGUUUUCGUGCCGAUUGCUAGAAGUAUAACGGGAAGUCACUCGGGCAUAACAAAGCUGCAAAGAAUCGGAAUGGGAAUGGUUUUUUGCAUUUCUUCCAUGGUUAUUGCAGCACUCGUGGAGAGAAAAAGACUGGAAACUGCUCGGGUGUAUGGACUGGUCGACUCGCCUAAAGAAAAGGUACCUAUGAGUUUUUGGUGGUUAGUGCCUCAAUAUAUACUAUGUGGGGUGACUAAUAUUUUCACACUGGUCGGAUUGCAAGAACUAUUCUAUGAUGAGGUACCCUGCAAAUUGAAAAGUGUAGCUCUUUCAUUAUUUUUAAGUAUUUUUGGCAUUGGUGAGUUCAUGAGCAGUUUUCUCAUAUCCAUAAUCGAUAAUCUUACUCAUCGAGCCGAUGGAUAUGGUUGGUUUUCGAGUAACACGAACCGGGCACAUCUAGACUACUUCUAUUGGUUACUUGCUGGACUUAAUGCCCUGGAGCUUCUUGCAUUCUUGUACUUCUCAAAAUCUUACAACUAUAAUGGAGAUCAAGGUAUCAUUAUAUGAUUGUUAACCAUAGUCGAUUUGCAGCUAUAUGUGAAUGUAUUACUAGGUUAGAUUCAUGUCCCCUUUACACUUUUUUUCCCGAUAAACUAGUCAAUUUAUCGACGUCGAAAGCCUAUGUAUUUAUUAGAAGAUUUGUCGGAAUUUAAUAUAGAAUUUGCAUGUUCUAUUUAGGCUAGCUUAAAAAUGUUGAACUAUGUGUGAACUACUAUUUGGCUAUGUUAUUAGAACUCGGGUUGGUCCAAUUUGACACGUACGAAAAGAGAGAUUAGCAUGAAUGGCACUAAAAGGGCUAUUUAACGAUUUAGCCUCUGUUUGAGCCAUAUUUUCAAGGAAAAAAGUAGAAAAAUUUGACCCUCUUUUUCAAACACAGGUCUCAUUUAAGAGAGAUGAAGUCAAAUAUGAUGGUUGAAAUUGGUCUCCAACGAUCAAAAUUCUCAUUUUUUUUUUGUUGCUAAAAAUAUGGUUCAAACAGGGGUAUAAUAGAUUUUCUACAAAGGUUUUAGUUUUUGUACCACUUUUGUGGCUCCUGCCAAUACAAGACACAAAUGCUAUCUUUCAAUCUUGGAUUUAAUCUUUAUCUACUCAACAAUUCACUUUACUGCGAAAAAUUACGACCAAAUUUGUAUCUUCAUUGACUCACUUGUUCUUUAAAACGUGUUUUUUUUUUUUUUUCAAAUUCACUUUAAAUAACACGCUUCCAAUAAAUAAUUUUGCACAUAAAUUCAAUUUUAUUUUUCAUUUUUUUAAUUUUGAAUCACAUAUAUUCUCCAAAAAAAUUAUUAAAUUUAACUUCAAGAAAUGAAGCUCAAACAAUGACCAAAUAUAUAGGCAAUUUUAGUACAGCCGUGCUAGAGGUCCCAACUCCGGGACCAACCCAAAAACAGGGGGUUGAGGUGGCAUCACCUCAACCCUCGAUUUCAACUUCAUUUUUUUUUUCAGAUUCAAGGAUCUAGGUGUUACCACCUCGGUACCCUAGAUUUUGGUCGGUCCCUGAGUUGGGACAAGUUGCAUUUCCCAUUUUAGUAUAGUGUUACUUUACUCGUCACCUUUACGAGUGGCAUGUAAAUUUGUGUCGGAUUUUUUUGCCCCAGGCGAUAAUUUAUCAUGAGGCUCCUACACAUAAUUUUUUUACAAGCAUAUUGGCAUCAAACUUGGCCGAAUCGAAUAGUUUCUCAUAAUAAGAAAUAUUAUAUCUUUGAUACUCACUCAUCAUUUGAAUGGAUCGAGAAUCAAUUCUGUUUUCAAGAAGUAUAAUAUAAAGAUUUUAUGAAAAUUAGUGAGAUACGGGGAGCGCCUACUAUUUAUUAUCAAAAAUAUCUUAUAUUUAAAAAAAAAAUCAAAAGCAGCAAUAAAUUGAAAGACGUUAUUGGUAGAAAGGCCCCUACUUUAUUUGUACUACCAUAAAAUAUCUAUGUAAGAAAAUUGAGGAAAUUUCGUAAUAGUUAUUUUUGGGCUUUGGAAAACUUUUUGAGGCCCCAUUUCAUCUUGAGGCCCAAGGCCACCAAAUCAACGAGUCAAGAUUGUAAAUAGAUAAAGAUAUACUUUCAAAUCAAUAGAUCGGGAUGUAAAUAACUAAAUAUGUUAUUUCAAACCAACUAGUCGAUGUUAAUACUAUAAACAGCAGAUGUUUUAAUUGAAAUAAUGUGUCUGAAUGUAGUCAUUGUUUUUAUGUAUAUCUAUGAAUAUUGUUUUCAAAAGACUAUAUUGUUUUAGUGGUUAUUUUUAAUUUUUUUGCCAACUAAAAUUGUUAUACCAUACUAAAAUACGAACAUUUUCUAAAAUUAGGAUCCCAUAAUAAUUUACGUUGAACUAAUAGAUAUGGUUGAAUAGUGAUCGUUCUCAUGAGGGGACUACUAUAAUAUUUUCGACAAUUUAGCCUCCUUUUGAGAAUAAUUCAUAAAUUCGUCAUUACGGCUUUUAUUUAUAACUUAAACUUUAUCGUUUUCCAACCUUAACUAUAGGAGACUCGAACCUAAAUCAAGUCAAUGACUUGAUAAGAUGUUACCACUAGAGCUAGACUUCAAUCUCAUCAUUGAUCAUUACUUAUUGUUCAAGCAAUCGUGUAUACGUAUUGUUACGAAUAGUAUAGCCCCAAAGUUCUCUUCAAAACUAUGUCUACACAUAAAAUGAGUCGAGAUGUCUUGGUUCAACCACUUUACACUAAAAGAGGAAAUUAGGCUAGGUACGGCCUGACUUGUUCAAUUCUUGAGUCAGUUUCAGCAUUGUGCAUGAGUGAGUUGUACAGAGGAGUACUACUCAAUGUCUAUUUCUUCAGCCGAAUUUCAGAGCACUGAAAAUGUCGCCAUUGACGACACUGUCGCCGGCAUGCUUGAUUACUCCGGCCAGCCGGCCAAGAGAUCAAAAUCGGGAUACUGGCGAUCUGCCUAUUUCACUACAGGUAACUGCUUUUUCUUUUUUUGUUUCUUUUUUCUUUUGAGGCUUUUCAAGAAUGUCCAAUUUUAAGGGUUUGAGUUGUAAAGUUCCACUCAUUUGAAUCUAGUGUUAACUUGUCUAUCAUGCUCUUAAUGAAAAAAUGGAGCAAUUGAAUGUCGUUCUCAACAUUUGAUUUUUUUUUUCAAUUUUUCACGAAUUUCGAGAAAUAUUUUUUAUGAAAAGUUACAUUAAAAUAAUGUUUCUCGAUAUUUCAUAUAUAAUUCUCGACAUUUGAACACCGUUUCAUUUGUUUAGAAUGACAUUUCAUUUUGAAUAUGACAUUUCUCUACAUUUGAAAUGCAGUUCUCGACAUUUCUUAGUCAAUGAAAAACAUAGCAUUUAUUGUGAUUUGACAUGUAUGCUUUUGAAAUAAAUAUGGCUGGUUAUAUGUCAAAAUUUUAUUGGCCAAUAAUAAUUUUGCAAAAAUGUCCAUUUUUAUCUUAUUGUGGAAUUAUAAAUUGUUAAUAGGGGUAUUUUGGUCUAAAUUCUUUCAAAAUAGACAUUUUUGCAAUGGUGGACAUUUUUGCAAAUGACUAGGUGAAAAUGGACAUCCUGUGAAAUUUCCUCUUUUCUUUUUCUAUGCAUGCAUCUAUUCUUAUAAGGUUGUUAUUUACAAAAAUGGUACACAACACAACCGUGACAUAUUUGGCAGGCAGAGUUGAUAACAUUCGACAAUAUGAAGGAGAGAAAAAGAAACUAAGCCCAUGUUCGGUAGGAUUAAAAUCGAAUUUUUUAAUAGAUUUUGAUAAAAGUUGAUGAAAUUUAUGAUUAAAAAGUUGUGGAUCUCGUGAAAUAUUUAGUUAAAAUUAAUUGUUUACUUUGAAUUAGGAUUUAAAUCUAGACAUUAAUUCUUACCAAACAAGGGUUAAAAUUUGUUGGAUUAUAAUUGUGGCCUCUACACGUUGCAUGAUUCAAAUUUGUUUAACCAUCAACAUUAUCGAGUACUGUGUACCAUUUUAUGCUUAAGCUAAGUUGAAGUUAGAUUUGAAUAAAUAACUUUUUCUAUUUCUAGUUGUUCAUAUAAACUUUUAGAUAAGUUGAUUCGAAAUAAAAUGAGCCUUAAUGCUUACUAUUUAGUUAUAAUUCAUGGCUAAUUUAGGUGUUAUAAUUUUGAAGUGAAGAAACUUUCUCUAGAUCAAAUUGUUAUUUAUUAGCGAGAAUCAUCCCCCUAUGAUUCUUCAAGAAUGGUGUAACGGCUCUGGUUUUUUUUUCCUAAUGAUACUAAGUAUUAUUCAAGGAUCACCGCUUCGACGCUUUAUUUAUAUAUAUUUAUAUCUUCAGUAUGUUCAAAAUCAUGACAAGAAGUUCAAACUGAAUGACAGGUGCCACGGUGGCAGAGAAAUUUGCUUAUUUUGGAAUAAGUUCCAACAUAAUAACCUAUCUUUCGGGGCCUCUUAGGCAGCCGACGGCAAUGGCAGCUGCCGAAGUGAAUAUAUGGUCAGGCACUGGCCUUCUAAUGCCACUUUUGGGUGGUUUUGUAGCUGAUUCAUUUGUGGGUCGAUAUUGGACCAUUGUUUUUUCUUCAGUGGUCUACAUUUUGGUUAGUAUCCAAUUUAAUGUUUUCUCAAAUAUAAUCAUGGUUUAAUUGCAUUGUAUUUCAGUGCAAAAGUAAAUUUUAUAGCAUUUCUUGUCACAUAUGGUUCUAUCCAAUCUUGAAUAAAAGAAUGAUGCAAAAGGUAUAUUUACAUUUUCGGAGCUAGUUCGGAUAAGUCGUACAUAAGGAACGUCGAAGAGCAUGCUUCGUUCAAUCGAGCCCAAUACUGUGUUCCAAAUAUGCACUAAAUGUCAUGUAGACUUCAUCAUUAUGAUGUGUACCCAACUAUAACCUUAUAUCGGUGUGCUUUUGCAUCGAUCCUGGACGCUUACACUUUUUUUGAUUGAAUGUGCACAGGCACUCGGGUUGUUGACUCUAUCUGCCAUGCUUAAUAGUGAAAGACCUAAUCACCUUCGAGUUUUCUUCUUCUUCUUCUCACUAUAUUUGGUGGCAGUCAGUCAAGGUUUGCAAAAACCCGGUAUCAUGGCUUUCGGGGCCGACCAGUUUGACGAACAAGAUGCCGAAGAAAGAAGAGGCCGAAGCUCGUUUUUCAAUUGGAUCUAUUUUAGUUCAGUUGCAGGUCCUUUCACUGCAGUUUUGGUCUUGAAUUACGUUCAAGAUAACGUUAGUUGGAGUCUUGGAUUUGGGAUUCCAUGCAUUUCAAUGGCAGUUUCAUUGGCCAUAUUCUUGUUCGGAUCUAGAUCUUAUCGAUAUACAAUCAAAGUCGAGGAGAAUCACCCACUCUGGAGGAUUAGUCGAGUGUUUGUCCAAGCAGCUAUAAAUUGGAGGACCAAAUCUUCCACCAGUGUUUACAAUGUAGAAGGGGAAGAAACAGUGCCUCAACUAUGUUCCCAACAAUUCAAGUAAGAUCUGAGUUUCUCGUGUAUGGAACGCCCCCCACCUCCAAAAAAGAGCUCAUCUAUUUUUUAUUUAGUAAUUUCAGUAUCGAUUGGUGGAUUGCGUAGAGCCUAAUUCUAAUGUUCGCUUUCCCUUCGAGCACAGAUUGACAUAGAUUCCUACAUUAUAAAUAAGAAUCUAUGUCUGAAAAAUGAGGGGAUGCGAUUCUCCUUUUUCGACUUCUUUCUUAUUAGUAGUGACAUUUCACUUCUUCAAUAUGUUAGUAUUGUUCGACUUUCCUUGCUUAAGCGUCGUGCUAUUCACUUUCGUGUAACUGGUCCACGACAGGUUUCUUAACAGAGCUUUGCUUGCACCAGAUGGUUCGCGAGAGUAUGAGGAAGCAAGCAGCAUAAGUGAAAUCGAAGAGGCAAAAACACUUUUAAGGUUGAUUCCUAUGUGGGUAACAUCUUUAGGAUAUGCUAUUGUCUUGUCUCAAACUUCGACUCUAUUUACCGAACAAGGAAUAACGAUGGACAGAUCCAUCAGUUCAAGCAUCGAUAUACCGGCUGCAUCACUGCAAUGCGUAAUCGGUUUUUCAGUUAUUCUCUUAGUUCCAAUUUAUGACUUUGUUUUCGUGCCGAUUGCUAGAAGUAUAACGGGAAGUCACUCGGGCAUAACAAAGCUGCAAAGAAUCGGAAUGGGAAUGGUUUUUUGCAUUUCUUCCAUGGUUAUUGCAGCACUCGUGGAGAGAAAAAGACUGGAAACUGCUCGGGUGUAUGGACUGGUCGACUCGCCUAAAGAAAAGGUACCUAUGAGUUUUUGGUGGUUAGUGCCUCAAUAUAUACUAUGUGGGGUGACUAAUAUUUUCACACUGGUCGGAUUGCAAGAACUAUUCUAUGAUGAGGUACCCUGCAAAUUGAAAAGUGUAGCUCUUUCAUUAUUUUUAAGUAUUUUUGGCAUUGGUGAGUUCAUGAGCAGUUUUCUCAUAUCCAUAAUCGAUAAUCUUACUCAUCGAGCCGAUGGAUAUGGUUGGUUUUCGAGUAACACGAACCGGGCACAUCUAGACUACUUCUAUUGGUUACUUGCUGGACUUAAUGCCCUGGAGCUUCUUGCAUUCUUGUACUUCUCAAAAUCUUACAACUAUAAUGGAGAUCAAGGUAUCAUUAUAUGAUUGUUAACCAUAGUCGAUUUGCAGCUAUAUGUGAAUGUAUUACUAGGUUAGAUUCAUGUCCCCUUUACACUUUUUUUCCCGAUAAACUAGUCAAUUUAUCGACGUCGAAAGCCUAUGUAUUUAUUAGAAGAUUUGUCGGAAUUUAAUAUAGAAUUUGCAUGUUCUAUUUAGGCUAGCUUAAAAAUGUUGAACUAUGUGUGAACUACUAUUUGGCUAUGUUAUUAGAACUCGGGUUGGUCCAAUUUGACACGUACGAAAAGAGAGAUUAGCAUGAAUGGCACUAAAAGGGCUAUUUAACGAUUUAGCCUCUGUUUGAGCCAUAUUUUCAAGGAAAAAAGUAGAAAAAUUUGACCCUCUUUUUCAAACACAGGUCUCAUUUAAGAGAGAUGAAGUCAAAUAUGAUGGUUGAAAUUGGUCUCCAACGAUCAAAAUUCUCAUUUUUUUUUUGUUGCUAAAAAUAUGGUUCAAACAGGGGUAUAAUAGAUUUUCUACAAAGGUUUUAGUUUUUGUACCACUUUUGUGGCUCCUGCCAAUACAAGACACAAAUGCUAUCUUUCAAUCUUGGAUUUAAUCUUUAUCUACUCAACAAUUCACUUUACUGCGAAAAAUUACGACCAAAUUUGCAUCUUCAUUGACUCACUUGUUCUUUAAAACGUGUUUUUUUUUUUUUUCAAAUUCACUUUAAAUAACACGCUUCCAAUAAAUAAUUUUGCACAUAAAUUCAAUUUUAUUUUUCAUUUUUUUAAUUUUGAAUCACAUAUAUUCUCCAAAAAAAUUAUUAAAUUUAACUUCAAGAAAUGAAGCUCAAACAAUGACCAAAUAUAUAGGCAAUUUUAGUACAGCCGUGCUAGAGGUCCCAACUCCGGGACCAACCCAAAAACAGGGGGUUGAGGUGGCAUCACCUCAACCCUCGAUUUCAACUUCAUUUUUUUUUUCAGAUUCAAGGAUCUAGGUGUUACCACCUCGGUACCCUAGAUUUUGGUCGGUCCCUGAGUUGGGACAAGUUGCAUUUCCCAUUUUAGUAUAGUGUUACUUUACUCGUCACCUUUACGAGUGGCAUGUAAAUUUGUGUCGGAUUUUUUUGCCCCAGGCGAUAAUUUAUCAUGAGGCUCCUACACAUAAUUUUUUUACAAGCAUAUUGGCAUCAAACUUGGCCGAAUCGAAUAGUUUCUCAUAAUAAGAAAUAUUAUAUCUUUGAUACUCACUCAUCAUUUGAAUGGAUCGAGAAUCAAUUUUGUUUUCAAGAAGUAUAAUAUAAAGAUUUUAUGAAAAUUAGUGAGAUACGGGGAGCGCCUACUAUUUAUUAUCAAAAAUAUCUUAUAUUUAAAAAAAAAAUCAAAAGCAGCAAUAAAUUGAAAGACGUUAUUGGUAGAAAGGCCCCUACUUUAUUUGUACUACCAUAAAAUAUCUAUGUAAGANUGGCCGAAUCGAAUAGUUUCUCAUAAUAAGAAAUAUUAUAUCUUUGAUACUCACUCAUCAUUUGAAUGGAUCGAGAAUCAAUUCUGUUUUCAAGAAGUAUAAUAUAAAGAUUUUAUGAAAAUUAGUGAGAUACGGGGAGCGCCUACUAUUUAUUAUCAAAAAUAUCUUAUAUUUAAAAAAAAAAUCAAAAGCAGCAAUAAAUUGAAAGACGUUAUUGGUAGAAAGGCCCCUACUUUAUUUGUACUACCAUAAAAUAUCUAUGUAAGAAAAUUGAGGAAAUUUCGUAAUAGUUAUUUUUGGGCUUUGGAAAACUUUUUGAGGCCCCAUUUCAUCUUGAGGCCCAAGGCCACCAAAUCAACGAGUCAAGAUUGUAAAUAGAUAAAGAUAUACUUUCAAAUCAAUAGAUCGGGAUGUAAAUAACUAAAUAUGUUAUUUCAAACCAACUAGUCGAUUUUAAUACUAUAAACAGCAGAUGUUUUAAUUGAAAUAAUGUGUCUGAAUGUAGUCAUUGUUUUUAUGUAUAUCUAUGAAUAUUGUUUUCAAAAGACUAUAUUGUUUUAGUGGUUAUUUUUAAUUUUUUUGCCAACUAAAAUUGUUAUACCAUACUAAAAUACGAACAUUUUCUAAAAUUAGGAUCCCAUAAUAAUUUACGUUGAACUAAUAGAUAUGGUUGAAUAGUGAUCGUUCUCAUGAGGGGACUACUAUAAUAUUUUCGACAAUUUAGCCUCCUUUUGAGAAUAAUUCAUAAAUUCGUCAUUACGGCUUUUAUUUAUAACUUAAACUUUAUCGUUUUCCAACCUUAACUAUAGGAGACUCGAACCUAAAUCAAGUCAAUGACUUGAUAAGAUGUUACCACUAGAGCUAGACUUCAAUCUCAUCAUUGAUCAUUACUUAUUGUUCAAGCAAUCGUGUAUACGUAUUGUUACGACUAGUAUAGCCCCAAAGUUCUCUUCAAAACUAUGUCUACACAUAAAAUGAGUCGAGAUGUCUUGGUUCAACCACUUUACACUAAAAGAGGAAAUUAGGCUAGGUACGGCCUAAAACCAAGAGAAUUGAUUAAUACACUCAUUAACCUUUUAUUAACCGUAUUUUCUACGUUUUCACGGAUAGAAAUUCAUUAUGACCGCAUCCUUGGACUGAUUCAAAAUCAUCUUCUUCAGUUUCCGAUAAUGGUUUGAAGUUUGUAUUGCAUCUCGGCCUCGAAAUCUUUGGGCCACAAUAUCGUACGCCUUGGAGGCUCGCCCUAAAACCCCAAACUAAACAAUCCCAACCAAUUUCUCCAUCAUCUCUGCCUGUAGCGGGUACAAUUUUUGCCAUGGCUCGACUCUGUUUUGACAGUCAUACGCCAUCGGAUCUUAGCCGUGUUAUUGAAGAUUGGACGAUAGGUAGAGCCAUAAAUCCCUUGCUUUCUAAAGUGGUUUUGGAUUUUGAAAGGGACCCAUAUGAUUUUGUGGAUGAAAUCAGGGAGGAAAAUAAGGAUUCGGAAGGAGAUGAAAAUAAGGAGAUUUUGCAUAUUCAAUGUUGGAGCAGCGUGCAAGUUUGCUUCACAAUAAAAGUGUGUGAAUGAAUAUAAUAUGUAGAGCGUACGUAGGUGCGGUUAUAAUCAAUUAAUCAUAAUAAUAUAUUGCCUUGCACAAUUUUAAAGGUAUUUUGUAAAUUGCCUUGCACAAAUAAAUGGUGUUACUUUGAUGUUUGUCAUUUUUUUUGAAAUUGUGUCGCUUUUUAUUUUUUAUUUUUUUCUUUUUUUAAAAUUUUGUCAUUUUUGAAGUGUUUGUAUCACUUUUUUGAACUUUGUCCCUUUUUCGAGUUUGUGUGACUUUUUUGAAUUGUGUUAAAAAAUAAAAAAUAAAAAGGUAACAAUUUUUGUAAAAGAAAUAAAAAAAUAUAAAAAAAAAGAUAUUGUGUCACUUUUUAAUUUUGCACAGUAUUUUUUACUUUCAAAAAAAUUUUAUAUGAUUUUUCAAAACAUCCUUAAUUUUAAGGGUAUUUUUGUACGUUGCCCAAUAAUGAAUAUAAUAAUAUUAUUGCGAGUGGAGUCUAACCAUGAUUAAGGUUGACAAUUGACAUCAAAAUCAUAUUAAUUUAUUGACAUUUUAGAGUAUUUUUAAGAUAUUCUUUAAACACAAAAUGAUCUUUAUUUUAGAUUCAAAAUAAGAUUCAAAAGACUUUCUAUUUUAACUUUUUAAAAUAAAUAAUAAAAUUUAAAGAGUCAAACACACUCUCUAUUCUUAAUUUAUAAUAAUUACAGUUAACAAAUUACAAAUUUCAAUAUUUAACAAUUUAAAUUAUUCAAAUUAUUUUGGAAUUGAUUAGCCAUUGACAUUUGAAAGGUUAUGUUAAAUAAAAGAUGAUGAGAAAUUAAUAAAUGUUCAUUAAAAAAAUAAAAUAAACAGUCAAAAUAGAAAAAUUAUCGGAGAACAUAUAAAAUUUUAUCCUCUAAAUUUAAUUAUACUCUUUAUAAAUAGAGAGUCUCUUGAAAACGUUCUUAUAGCCAUUGAGUUCCAACCCUAUCGCUUAGUAAUCUAGAAAUAUCUGUGUUUUUGUAUGGUUUAUUUUAAUAAAAUCAGUUUUUGAUGUUUUAAUGAAUUUUUAUUAUUUCAUAAUCAAUUUGAUAAAAAUUGUUCUUUAUUUGAAUGGAUAUUAAAAAUAUAUAUACAUUCUAAAAUAUGACAAUAUUUUAUAGUGGUAAUUUAUUCAUAAUUGUCCAUUGUCAAUGAAAAAAAUUGAUUAUCGAGUGAAUCAAUUUGAAAACGUAUAUUUAUUUAAAGAGAUACAAUCCAAGUGAAACAAGAAAAAGUAUAUUUUAUCUAUGUGCCAUGAAUUGAAAACACAAGCACUUAAAAAUGAUUAUGAGCAAUAUUCCAAUUAUACUAAUAUCUAAUAAUUAAUAAGGCCGGCAGUUAUAAUUAAUAAAUUAAUAAAUAUUAACAAUAAAGUAAUUAAUAAGUAUAUUUUAAAAACUUGAGACUGUAGUUGAUAAAUUAAUUUCUAAAGAGAUUCCACUUAGCACGAUGAGAUAUUGAAAGAAUCGAGACUCUACAAACCCUGUCAUGGAUACUACAACUACUAUCCAUAAGGGCAUUUGUCGUUAUUGUCAUCUACUAGAACACCAAUGUCAACUAGUGUAAAAUGUGGUUGAGUCAAGGAUUAUUUUUGGAAGGCAAGAGAAAUCUUGGAAGGCAAGGAUUAUUUUUGGAAGGCAAGACGCAACUUGAAUAGGCUUGUUAGGCACUUUGGCAGAUCAGUUGGAGAGGGCUCGGACCCUGACUAGUUGGAGGCACAUCCCGCGGUUAACUGGACUGUGUGAAGAGGGGCCGGAUCACAGACUCAAGGAUUAGUCAAGAAUUGGACACCUUGUAAAAAAAAAUGUGGUUGAGUCACAUGACUCAUUAGUGACAAGCUAUAAUACCACUUCAAAGUUCAAAUUUAGCCAAUUUAUUUUUACUUAAAAAGCUCUGAUACCAUUUGAAAGUUCAAAUUUAGUCAAUUUAUUUUGACUUAACGUACAAGAUUAUACAAAUAAAAGUAACAAUUCACUUUUUGAUUAUUUCUAAAUGGUUAAUCAAUCACGUCAGAUUAUCAUAUGGUUUGAAUGUUAUAAUUAAUAAUAUGAAACCAAUAAACAACACAAAAUAUAUUGAAUAACAAACUCAAGUUGACAGUCUAUUCACCAUAUUGAGUUUGAAGGGUGUUAGAGUAACUCAAACUGUAAUCAUUAUAUAGAUAUCAUAGUAAUUUUCCUUAUUUAUGAACUAAAGAAGAUGGCAGUUAGAAAAAGCAGAAUUUUGGUGUUAGGAUUUGAAUUAAACCAUUUAUGACCAAAUUAAUGUAUCGAAAUUCAAAAAUGCUGUUUGUACUGAAAUUUCCCUCACAAAAUUUCCCCAGACACUCAUAUUGAUGGGUCCCAUGAUGUAAUAAAAAAAAUGCUAAAAAAAUUACACACCCUCCAUUGUGAGUAUUUUGUGGCAUUUUUGUGAACAAUGUUGUCUAUACACACAACAUUUUUUAUCAGAAUUAGCUAUUUUAUAUAUAUUGAUAAAAUUAGAAUAAUUUAGUUCCUAUUUUGGAAUGAUGACUAAGAAAUCUCUUUUCCCAACGGAUAGAGACAAGUUGGGGCUAAAAAUAUUUUGAAAAGGAAUUUUUAAAUUUAAGAAAUUGGAAAGACAACAAAGAAAGAUUAACCAACGGAGUGCUGAUUGUCGAGUUUAUGGUAGCUCGAGUAAUGAGCUGGAGUUUUGGUUCUCGAAGGAGGAUCAUCCUUGGGUGAUUUUUGUCAGAACACGAAUUAUAUAUUCGAUUGAGUUCUCCGAUAGAUAGAGCUCACUAUGUGCAUAGGCACACUUUUUGUAUUUCUUUUGAAAAUUUUUGUUGGGGUGCGAGCUCUCUGGAGUAUUUUUGGAGAGUUCUUCAAGUGGAAUUAGAGUAGUUCUUGGUUGUUUUUACACUGCUUGUUAUUCUUGAUCUCUCGUCUUCACUAAUUUUUGUAGAUGGUUGCUCUGACUUGGAUUUCUUUUUCGUGGACACAAGUAUUAUCACAACUCUCACGGCCUAUAUCUCUUUUCUAAUCUUACGGUCGUUAGAAGACAGCCACCGAAAGAUCACGGUCAAGCAAAUUCACAAUAGUGACAGCAGUACAACAAACCAUAGCAAGUGGUGGUCGUGGUGCUGCAGCGACUUGAAGAAAUCGACUACGACUGUAGGGGAGAUGGUGGUCUGACAGUUGCAGUCGGUGAUUUAGGGUGGAUCUAGGGCAAAUGUAGUGGUGGACGUUUUGAUUUUAGAUUUGAUGUAGAUGUGGUGGUGGAAAUGGACUCACGACUGUGGAAAGAUGGUGGUCCGACGACUACAGUCAGGGAUUUGGUAUGGAUCUAGCGUGAAUGUGGUAGUGGUUGUGUUGGUAGCGGUGUUAAUGGUUGUGGAGAUUGUGGAAGUGGCGGUGGAAAUGGACUCACGACUGUGGGAAGAUAGUGGUCCGGUGGCCGUCGUUAGCGAUUUAAUGGGAUCUAGGGUGAGUGUGGUGGUGGUGAUUGUGUUAGUAGUAAUGUUAAUGGUUGUAGAGCAGUGGUGGGGAACUGAGGUGUGGUGGGUACGGUAGGUGGUGGAGGUGUGCUACUUUGAUGCCAUAGGUGCGGUGGUGGGUGGGUGAGAUGUGGUGGUAACGGUGGUAUGUUAGUUCUGUCGGAGGCAAUUUCGGAAACGUUACGACUAAUGACAGUGGUGAGAUGGUGGUCACAAAUGAUUUGGUUGACUAUGACCAUUAAAUUGAUUAAUCUAUGACCAAUAAAAAAGAUAAAUUGUAACCAAGAAAUUGGUAAAUUUGUAAUAUGUGACUUAAAAAUUGUGAUUGUGGCUCACAAUUGAUUAAAUUGUGACCGAAAAACUAAUGGUGACCAAUUAAUCUAAUAAUUUGUAACGAAUAAAUGAGUUGUGACCAAUAAAAAUUUUGAUUCUGUGAUCGAUGAAUAAUUUGUGACCUAUAAAAUUUUUGAUUCGUGAUCGAAAAAUAAUCUGACCUAUAAAUUUUUUAUUCUUGACAGUGGUGAGGUGGUGGUCACAAAUGAUUUGGUUGACUAUGACCAUUAAAUUGAUUAAUCUGUAACCAAUAAAAAAGAUAAAUUGUAACCAAGAAAUUGGUAAAUUUGUAAUAUGUGACUUAAAAAUUGUGAUUGUGGCUCACAAUUGAUUAAAUUGUGAUCGAAAAACUAAUGGUGACCAAUUAAUCUAAUAAUUUGUAAUGAAUAAAUGAGUUGUGACCAAUAAAAGUUUUGAUUCUGUGAUCGAUGAAUAAUUUGUGACCUAUAAAAUUUUUGAUUCGUGAUCGAAAAAUAAUCUGACCUAUAAAAUUUUUUAUUCUUGAUCAAGAAAUAAGUUGUGACCAAUAAUUUGAUAAGUUGUAAAUAAAAAUUAAUCUAUGGCUAAUUAAUUAGAUAAUUGUGACCAAUUUAUAUAGAUUGGUGACCUCAAUAUAUUUAAUUAGUAAAAUAUAUGUUUAAUAAAGUAAAUUAUAAAUAAAAUUUUAAAAUAUCUGAUUUUUGAAAGUCGAAACUUUAUUUCUUAAAUUUGAAAUGUGUCAUACUUAAUAUCUUAUUUAUGAAUUUUUCCUUAAAUUGAAUUGUUUUCAAUGGCCCAAAUGGUUUUAUGAUCAGGCUGUUUCAUUGAAGUAUCAACUUUUAAUUCAAUCAUUUGGUCAUUGCCGACUAAGAAAAGUAUACUGAGUUAUAUCAUUUCCCUAUAAAUCGUUUGACAAAAACUUGCCCAACAAUUUCUCCAUAGUGAUAAUUGAAGUACUACUUAGAAUGCUCACAAUAAUGUAUUUCACAAGUAAUAUAUACAAAAAUUGAUUGUCAUUUAUUCGUCAAUAUAUUCUGCAAAAUACUAUUCGUUGUCUCCAUAAUCUUCAUUGCUCAGAUUCGUACGUGUUUAUUAAAGCAUUACACCUAGUAGAUUCAAUGACUUGAAUAACAAACUCAAGUUGACAUUCUCUUCACCAUAAUGAAUUUGAAGGGUGUUAGAAUAACUCAAGACUGUAAUCAUUACAUAGAUGUCAUAGUAUUUUUCCUUAUGAACAAAAGAAGAUGGCAGUUAGAAAAAGCAGAAUUUUGGUGUUAGGAUUUGAAUUAAACCAUUUAUGACCAAAUUAAUGUAUCAAAAUUUAAAAAAAAAAAGCAUUUUGUACAGAAAUCUUCCUCACAGAAUUUCUCCAGACACUCACAUGGGUGGGUUCCAUGGUGUAAUAAAAAAUGUCAAAAAAAUCACUCACCCUCCAUCGUAUGUAUUUUGUGGCAGUUCUGUGAACAAUAUUGUCUAUACACAUAGUAUUAUUGAUCAGAAUUAGCUAUUAUAUAUAUAUAUAUAUAUAUAUUGAUAAAAUUAGAAUAAUGUAGUUCCUAUUUUGGAAUGAUGACUGUGAAAUCUCUUUUCCCAACGGACAGAGACAAGUUGGGCCUAAAAUUAUUUUGAAAAGAAAUUUUUAAAUUUAAGAAAUUGGAAAGACAGCAAAGAAAGAUUAACCAACGGCUUUCGAUUGCUUUACCAAAUGACAUGUCCUUGGAUCCCACUUAAGACCUUAAAGGCUCAAGCAACUCACAAUGACACUCCUAACACAUGCAUAUGGGACCUAAAUUUCAUCUUCAUAGAUUUUCAAAAUAUUUUCUUGCAAAAUUUUGAUAAAGAAUCUGUAAGUUUUUGAAUUUAGCCAUCAUAUCCCUUUUUUCUCGAAUAAUAUUAUUUAUAAUGAAAAUUAUCAACAGUCGCCCUACGUACCAUAUAUAUACCACGUAGGGCAACUUACUUAAAUUUCAUCUUCAUAGAUUUUUGAAACAUUUUAAAGAAUCUGUAAAAUUUUUAAGUUAGCCCAUAUUUGUUUAUAAUUAUUUCAAAACCCUUUUUUUCGAAUAAUGUUAUUUAUAGUGAAGAGUGCUAGCAAUCAUCCUACGUGGACUACGAGGUAUACCACAUAAGUUGUCUAUAGUUUUCACCAUGAAUAACAUUAUUUUUUCUCUAGUUCAUUUUCUGUCAUACAUUCUCAUAAUAAAAUAUUUUACAUGUAAACUCGAAAUUGUUUCUAAAUUUUGACCACAUAAUCUCCAAACAUUCGUUAUUUCAAAACUUAUUUUAUUGAAUAAUAAUAGACAAAGAGGGGCUCAAGUAGAUAACCGAUAAAUAGAUAUUUAAAGAAUUAGCUUAUCGACACAUUAAAUUGACCAUAUUCUGUAGCAAUAAUAUAUUUUAGUUAUGGCAUUUGUGUGUGUAUAUAUAUAUUGAAGAGGUAAUCAAACUUUAAAUUUAUCAAAAAUUAAAGUUGAUUUGUCAUUGUAUCCCUGCAAAUUUUUUUAAAAAUACUAGUUAAUAAGUAUGUUGAAGUCCCAACUACUACAUUUACCUUUACGGAAAAAAAAAAAAAAAAAAGAAAAAGAAAAAAAAAAAGGUUGAACUCCAACUUUGAGAACUCCCACCGUCCAGCCCCUAGAACUUUGUGAGAAAAGUAAAUCACGGGAUGUGUCCCAACAGACUAAAGAACAAGAGUUGUCUGUACACUGCGCCUAUAAAGAGAACCUUUAUGGCAAAAUUAAAAUUAUAUUCAAUCACAUUAGACUACUUUGAAAAUCGAUAUUAAGAGGAAAAUUAUGAUAAAGAAACUCAAAAGGUUUACAUAAUUCUAUUUACUACUACAUUUAUUUUUUUAAUUAAUUGCCCAUGGUUUUGAAAUUCCAAGGGUCCAUUCCAUUAUAGUCCCACCGAAUCUUAUCCUCUAAUUUGCAAGUUAUAUUGCCCAAAUUUCAUUCCAAUAAUGAUAAUGAUAUUAAAGAAAUUAAUCAUAUAAAUUUAGCAUAUAAAUAUUUUUAAUAAUGUUAUUUUGGUGAACUCAAAUUACAAAAUUCCAAUUAUGUAAAUAGUGAACAAUUACAUACAAAUAAUUAGGGGUGGGCGUUUUUUCUCGGAACUGAAUUGGUACUAGAUAGAAUCAGUAGGUUCAAUUUCGAUUACUCUACUAAACAGGUCGAUUUUGAGAUUAUGGAUCGAGAAAUUAUCAAUUAUUGUCUGAUUCUAGGUACUAAAUGGAUCGAUAUUGUUGUUUGGACUUUCUUAAGAUUAUUCAAAUUCUAUCGAUUAUGUUGUGUUUUAUAGUUUAUUAUUUUUCACAUUUAUGAAUUAGUCUUGUAUUUUGGAGUGCAUUUUUUUCUUAUUUAAUUGACUUUUUGUAUUUUUAUAUCAUACGAAUGAAAAGUGAUUUCAUACUCUAUAUUUGUUUAUUUUUAACUUGACAAGUAUUUUCAUAAUUUAUUUUGAUAAUUUUGAAAUAUAAAGAAUUGAAUCAGACCGAAUCAAAAUUAGGUGGUUUGAUUUCGGUUCGAUUCUAUAGUUAGAUAUGAAAACAAUGAUUCCAUUUCUACGAUUUCCAUUGAUAUUUGAUUCAGUUCUGUUCUCUUUAGAAUCGAACGAAAUCAGAUCGCUCCAAUUCUUACAAGUAACAUAUUUGUUUAGUAGAAGAAAAUUUUGCACCGAACCAAUAUAUAGGGGGGAAAAAACAAAAAACAAAAGAUUUUCAUAAUUUUCUUACGUAAAUGGGUGGACAAAGUCUAGGGUUGUCCCUACCUCCGACCAUGGAUGGAUGUACACACGAUCAUAAUCAAAUACGUAAGAAUCUUGAUAGAAGUAAGUGUCUUCUUUAUUUUUUAAAAAAUGUGUAAUGAAGUGAUUCUCUCUCUUUACAAAAUACUUCAUUAAUUUAAAUACGCGUAACAAUAAAAUUUUGAAUGCUUGCUUGCUUGGUUAUGAUUACAAAUUAUAUUUUAAACAAUAUUGUUUAUAGGCACCAUACAGUUGCUGAGUUGUCAGUACUUAUAUGGUGCAUUUUUUUAUUGAUUUUUGCAUUUAUUUUGGCAAAAAAAGAUUAAAAUUUAUUAACCAAUUAAUUUAUAUAUCGGCCAUUGAAGUUUAUUAACCAAUUAAUUUAUAUAACAUGUCAUCGGUGAUUAAUAUAAAACUCGUUUGGUACAAUUAAAAAGUUAAUUAAAAUCAAUUUUUUGAUCGUUAUUUCACUAUUAUAAUCAUUUUUUUUUGAAUUCUUCUCUUACAAAAAGGAUCCACUAUAUCUCUAACAGUCAAAAAAUUAAUUAUCAAAAUUUUUACCAAACAAGCACAAAAGAUGAGUAUUAUAUCAUUUGAAGUUUGAAACUUUGAAUAGGUUGUCGUGGACCCCACUAUAGAAGUGGUAACGAGCUGGCAAUACAGACUGUUACACCCCCACGCCUCCAUAUUUAUCCCCCACUCUUCGCUUGAAUCAUUUGUCAAAAAUCCAAGAAUUCUUUGUUUAUUAUCUCCAAGAAUUUCUUGUUUAUUUUCUUGUAUUGUUUAAGCAUGGCUGAAGAAACAAAGAAAUCUGUUGCUGAGGCUGUGGCUGCAACUGAAGAGGUUGUGGUAACUGAUGUGCCGGUGGCUGAGAAACCCACUGAGAAGGAGGCCCCACCACAGCCCGAGGCUGAGUGUGAGGUAGAUAAGACUGAGAAACCGGCGUUGGAAGAGGUUGUUGAAGAGAACAAAAUAACUGAAUCGGCUUCGUUUAAAGAGGAAAGCAACAAGGUCGAUGAUCUGAUUGACCCACAAAAGAAAGCUUUGGAUGAAUUCAAAGAAUUGAUUCGGGAAGCCCUUAACAAGCAUGAAUUCACAGCUCCGCCGCCUGCGGCCAAGGAAGAAGAAAAGAAACCUGAAGAGAAGAAGGAAGAAGAACCAAAACCUGAAGAGAAAAAGGAAGAAGAAGAAUCUAAACCUGAGGAGAAAAAAGAAUCAUGUGAGGCUCCUUCUGGAGUUCCACUGCCGCCUGAACCAGAGGCCCCGGUGGAGAAAAAAGAGGAAGAGAAACCUACUCCAUUGGCGGCGGCGGAGCCAUCAGAAUCAGUCGUUGAAAAAAUUGAAGCCACUGUUGAAGAAAUCAAAGAAACGAUAGUUCAUGAAGUUCCACCGCCACCAGCGGAAGAGUGUCCCCCUGCCCCGGCGAAGGAGGAAGCAGCCCAGGAAACAGCGCCACCACCCCCACCACCCGAGGAGGUUUCCAUCUGGGGAAUCCCACUUUUGGCAGACGAAAGAAGUGAUGUAGUUCUCUUAAAAUUCCUCAGAGCCAGAGAUUUCAAGGUGAAAGAGGCCUUCUCCAUGCUCAAAAGUGUUGUCGGUUGGAGAAAAGAAUUCAAAAUUGAUGAAUUUCUGGAAGAGGAAUCCACUGGAGAGGGCCUUGAAAAGGUUGUGUACAUGCAUGGAGUUGAUAAAGAAGGGCACCCCAUUUGUUACAACGCAUUUGGGGAAUUCCAGGACAAGGAUUUGUAUAAUAAUACUUUUUCUGAUGCUGAGAAAAGAGCCAAGUUUUUGCGAUGGAGGAUUCAGUUUCUUGAGAAAAGUAUAAGGAAGCUUGAUUUUAGCCCUGAAGGUGUUUGUACAAUUGUCCAAGUGAAUGAUCUGAAAAAUUCCCCUGGACUUUUCUUAUUCAAGAAAGAACUCCGCCAGGCCACCAACCAGGCCCUCCAGCUGCUCCAGGAUAAUUAUCCUGAAUUUGUUGCCAAACAGGUAUAAUUUCACACCCGUUAUCCAAUUGAAGUUAACAGUUUUAAUCUUUUAGAUGAGCAUUUCAAUUCGAAAAUUAUGCACGAGUUAAAUGAACAAACAUGUAUCUUCUCUUAACAGUUUAAGAUUUUUGACGAGGUAUAUGUUAAAUAUCUGACUUUUAUUCGUGCGUUGGUGGUGGAAAAAGGUGUUCAUCAAUGUUCCAUGGUGGUAUGUGGCCUAUAACAGGAUGAUUAGUCCAUUCUUCACCGAAAGGACCAAGAGCAAGUUUGUAUUUGCAGGCCCUACUAAGACUGCUGAAACCCUCUUCAAGUUAGUCCUUAAAUUUAUUUUCAUUUGAUAAAUAAUCACUUUUUUUGUUCAAAAAUUAUGCAAGAUUUAAUGCAGAAUUUUAAUCUGGUAUUGGACUGUGAAAUUAUCAGAUACAUAGCACCUGAGCAAGUACCAGUUCAAUAUGGAGGCCUCAGCAGGGAUGGUGAACAGGAAUUCACAACUGCUGAUCCUGCAAUUGAGGAAUUUAUCAAGCCAGCAUCCAAGCACACUAUUGAAUUGCCAAUUACUGAGGUGAGCAAGUCUAUGAAAUUAGUGAUUUUCAACCUGCAAAAAGGAUACAUUGGCAAUAAUUCUGAGUUUGAAAUAUAUUAUAGACGAGUCUUGGCUAAUAAGUUCACAUAGUGGUUAAUAAAAUGGGAUUUGGCAAAUGAUCCCAGUUUUUCUGAGUAAACCAUAGCUUAUUAUAAAUACUUGUGGACAAAGCCCUUGAGACGUUGUGGUUUUUGGGCAAAUUCCAUCUCUUAAGGAGUCAAUGCACGUUCUUGUUAUCUUUUCAGGAUUUAGUUGCUUUUUGGGAUUAUAUUUAGAAAUUCUCUUGAAAAUGAUUUUUGUUUUGAUAAUUUUCAAAUUUUCCUCUAUUGCUAGGAUUUUGGUUGCGUUGUAUAAGCAGGAUCACUAUGAUUAUUGUUAUAAAAAAUUGGAUCUUCCCAAUUGUUUGUCCAAAACUCUCAUUAUUACGAGAGAAUCAACGAGUUUUCUAUGAUCAUUUCCUGGUAUAACGACUGAAUCACAGAAACUAGACAACUGUUUCUGAACUACACGCUUUCGUGCAUCAACAAUGCUUUUUCUUUUUUCUUUUUCUUUUUUUUAGAAAAUAAAAAUCUGUUUUCAUUUUGUUGGAUUGGCAGGCAUGCACAUUGGUUUGGGAGGUGAGAGUGGUAGGCUGGGAUAUAUCCUAUGGAGCUGAGUUUGUCCCCAGUGGUGAGGGUGGAUACACUUGGAUUGUACAGAAAUCAAGGAAGAUCGGGCAAUCUGAUGAACCGAUACUCAGCUGCAGCUUCAAAGCUGGUGAACCUGGCAAGAUUGUGCUCACAUUGGAUAACCAAACUUCUAAGAAGAAGAAGCUCAUCUACAGGUCCAAGAUUAAGUCCUCUGAUUGAAUUCCUUUCUGAAUAAAUAUAAUGCAGUAGAAUCAGAAGGGUCCCUUCUGUUCAAUUUAUAUAUAUUCUUUGCUUUUGAAUUAUAAUAUCUUGGGGAAGUCAUAUUUGAAUAUUUGUUCUUGGUUUUCUUUAAUUAAAAUUUCUAUGUUGGAUUGUAUGGUUUGGAGCAUGUUUAUUAUACAAGACUCUCGACGGGAUGACGAUGAAGGAGAAUUUAACUUAUAUUACUGUCAAGUAAGUCGAACGUGCCGACAGACCUAUAUACAGUGGGUUGGUUGCUGUAAAAUUUAUGUAAAUUUGAUAUUUUGUUCUUACCCUUUGUUUCUUUUUAAUGGAUGUUGAUAUUUAUUGGAUUCUUUGUAUACUUUUGUCAUUUUGUUUAUUCUUAUGAAUAGUCUUUCAUUUCAUUGCAGAAAAUGACAAUCUGUCAAAUUCUUGUUUAAUUUGAAAGUUAGAUUUGCCAGAAUAAGCAGAUACAACACCAGAUUUUGCUCAUUUCUUGUUUUUGUAGUUUUGCGUUUGCUUUUCAACAACUUGCGCUAAGAAGAAAACAUAAAUGACUUGGUAAACCUACUUAAGACCUUGUUUGUUACCCAUUAUUUGAAAAAUUAAAGAGUUAUGAAUAGUAUUUUUUGGAGGAUGUUUGGUUGAAAAAAAAAAAAAACUUUAUUGUUUUACGUGUAAAAAAUUUUAUUGUGUAAUGAAGUGGAGAAUGAUAUUGUAGUAAACAAUUUAAAAUUUUAAAAAGUGUCAAACAAAGGCUAAUUCUAGUGGAAAUUUUGUGAUAGUAGUAGUUCCCAACUAAUUAUUUCAAUAGUAAGUUGGUUUCUAAUAUUUGAAGUUGUGCAAUUUGGUCCCUUCUUUAUAUUUGCUGCAGUUAGUCCCUAUCUUUUGCUAAAUUGAUUUCUUGCGUUCUCGUCUAGUUUUAUGAAGCUGAGUUUUAUUUUCCAACUCGAAAUGAUGUGCAAUAAAUUUGCUAAGUCUUGUUUCUAUUAGGAAUUUUUUGAAGAAUUAGACUCUUUCGUUUAUAUUUUGCAAUUAUAAUAAAGGUAAGGGACCAACUUGGAUUUUUUUGAAGUCACAACUUUUUACCCCAGCAAUUAGCCGGGGAUCAGUGGUGCAAUUUUUUCCUAAUUCUAGAAAGAAAAUAUCUUAUGAGUUUCUUAGAGCUACUUUAAAAGGGCCAUCCAUCUUCAAUUGAGCUAAAUUCUAAUUUUAUCAAUUUUUUUUUUUAUCAAGUCCAUUUUUACUCACGCAUUCUUCCAUUAAAAUAAUUUUGCGCAUAAAUUUAAAAAAUUUUCCUACUUUUUAUCCACAAAAAUACUAUUAAAAAACUCAAUUUUAAGAAAAAACUUUCUUAUAAAUUCUCACACUCAAUUUUUCUUCUUAAAAUGUAUAGAAACAAAUUAUCUAUUUGAUAUAUACUUUUGAGAAUAGAUUUCAUAAAAAAAUAAUUAUUUUGAAGGACAUAUGAUAAAUAAUAAAGAAAAUUUAUGAAUUCACACUUAAAAUUAUUAGAUUAAGAAAAUGUAAUAAUUUAACAUAAAUUUGAAAGAAAAGAAAAAUUUUAAAAAUCACUACCAAACAAACAAAGGCAAAAAUUCUUGGUAUAAAUAAAUAAUUAGAAGGGCGCUGCUUCAUGUACAGGUAGCGUCCCUAUCGAGUACUCACAACACCGAGGGUAGGUGGGGCUUUUGGAUUUUUUUAUACAGAUGUGUCCUGCAUUUUAGUGUGAGUAUUGUUAGGGGUUCUCUAACCCUACUCCUAGUAAACCAGCAAAAUUCUAAUUAGAAAUGCAAUGAAUCACUUGUAGAAAAAGAAAAGGCAAUGCAUAUCAAGAUGCUUUUUUGGCACGUAGUUAGAAAUGACUUUAUUUUAUGAUAAUACGAUUUCCAUGUUGUUUGUCUUAAAGUUAGGUAUUUUAAUCAUUAAUCGUCCAUCAACUUUAAUAAAAUAAAUAAAGUGGUUGUUUAAGUGUUUGGUUAAAGUGUUUUUUUCGGAGAUUACACUAAUAUUUUUAUCGUAUAGAAUCUUUUACACACUCGAGGAUUACUAGAAUGAAGUGAUCAUUAAGGUUAAACUCUCACGUCAUUUAAAAAACAAUAUUUUCCCAAAAAAAUUGAUUUUUUAAGAUAAGGUCUUAAGAUUCGACUUGAUAUUCAAGUUUAAAAAUCUUAGACAAGUAAUUUAAUGAUAUUUGCAUUAUUGUAUCGACUAAUUUCAAAUUGAAAAGAAAAGGGGAAAUUUUUUUGAUUUGGGUGUAUACUUUGUUACAUUGGAUAGAAUUAUGCUGAGUUUGUCGUUGUAAUUUUAAAGACAAUUCAUGUCUAUGAAAAGAGAAUUAAACAAGAGAAGAUUCUUGGUCGAUGUAUAACUUGAAAAGAAAACAAAAACUUGUAUCAUAUUCAGUAAAGUAGAUUGAAUAAUAUUAAAAGAAUUAAAAUUCAUAAACAUGCUAUUAAAGAGGGAUAUGAUGUAACACGAGCAAUCUUAAGGUUUGAAUCAUGAAAGAGGAGCAUGAUGUAACAUGAGUAAUCAUAGUGUUUGUGCUAACAUUAUUAAAGGUUUUCCAUGAAAAUCAUAACAUUAAAGAGUAAAAGUUUUAUAUCAAAGAUAGAAUUCCAAAGGAAAAACUUUAAAUUAGAAUAAAACUUUCAAGCAUUAGCACUUGGUACUUGUAGCAAUGUUAGGUGGGAUGAGCCAAGUAAUAAUUUACCAUGUGGGGUUAUUCUAAACAAACAGGUCCCUGGCGCCCCCUAUUGGAGGGGGCGUCAGCCCCUGUCACAGUAGUAGGUCCCACCAUGUGAGCCUCUCGUCCACUUACGCAUGAGUCAACUAGUCAUACCUCUACUUAUCAUAUGAUACUUCUCUCGUUAGACAAAUUUGAAUUAGUUGUCACGAGUUCAAUUUUUAUUAACGAGAUACAACAACAGCAAAUUGAAAUUAUGUUUUAUAGAUAUAUAAUGAAUUGCAAAAUUUUUUUUAUCAUGUUCAUUUAUUGUUACAUUUGUUGGUAGCUUGGCUAAUAACAUUAUGUUCUACUUUCUUUUUUCUAUAUAACAUGAGCUACAAUUCCCAUCUUAUGUGAGAGUAAAAAAGUACGAUGUGUGCCCUCAUCUUGACAGUUUAUACUGCAACUAAUGAGAAAGAACUGUAUCGUCCUAACUAGUUAUUUCUCAACAUUUAAAAAGGACAACAAUUAUAAUAUGAUCAAUCAAAAUUUUUAUCAAAUAGAGUAUUACGCGGAGACAAAUGGUGUAAUUUUGUAAUGCAAAACGAAUUCAAUUUCAAGAUAAUUACAAAAAAUAGCAAGUCAAAGAAGAAUUAACUAUAGACAAAUAAACACAGUUCAUGACAUACAUUCUCGGAUUCCUGAAAAAUCCUUUUCAGCAUUUAUUGGUUUGGACAUUGUGACAUAGUUUUAGUAAGGGUUCAAUCUUUUUUUUAGUAAAGAAAAAUUCCAAAAAUCCCUCGAUUUGACACCCGAUGUUAGCGCCUCUUGGAAUUGAAUUGUAUCAAAUUUUAUCAUAAAAUACCACCUCGUGACUCUCACGUGAAACACACACACAUACAUAUGUGUGUGUGUCCAAUUACCCUAUUUGUACAGUCAUAAAUGACAACCUUUGUUGGUAUCAUCACAUCCAUUCAUUUUUUAAAUUGUCAAAAACUAUUUUUUAAAUCAUUGGCUCGAAUUUCGCCACCUCCAGCAUUGUCAAUAAUAUUUGUCAAUUAAUAUUGUACAAAUAACUUAAUUCAUAUAUGUCAAAGAUAUAGAACGUGUUUUAUUAUGCUUAAAAGUAAGUCAAAAGAAAUUUCAAGAUGUUGAAUUAACUCAAUGUUAUCAUAAAUAUUCUCAAAUAUGAUUAUUAAAUUUAAAUUUCACUAAUAAAUUUUCUCUUUUUUUUUUUUUUUUUGCCUCAACUUACUAUUUAGACUUUUAUGCAUUGCCAAACAAGCUUUAUAAUGGUCAAUUGUAUUUUUCAUUACAAAAUCAUUAUUAUGCAAUAUAUCCUGAUGCGCAUGUAACUUUGUCCCUUAGGAAGAAAAACUAGUAGUCGCAAUUAGGGUUGGACAAAAUUCCUAAAUCGAAUCGAAUCGAGCGAUUCUUCUCAAAUUAACACCCAAACAGGUAUCUGAAUCGAGAACCGACGAGUUUGGUUCAAUUCUCGGUUCUAGAUUAAUAACCGAAGAACCGAAUAAAAAUCGAAUCUCUCUAAUUUUUUUAAUUAAUUUAUUUUAAAUAAGUCAAAUUAUUUUAUUUUUCUAAAUAAAUUAGUUAAGUAGUUAAUUUAGUUCAAACCCAAAAAUAUGAUAUUUUCCUAUUUCUAAUUUUUAGUUCAUAAUCAACUCAAUCAAAUUGAUUUAAAUUUUAUCUAAAUUUACUACUCUACCGUGGUGUCAUUUCUACCGCUCUAGAGAAAUCGAAUUGAAACUUGACAAAACCUUUCUUAAUUAUUUUGAGCUCGCUAUUUUCCUCUUCCUGUAAUUUUAACAAUCAAAUAUAUAAACAACUUAGCAAAGAGAGAUGCAAAAGGUACAUAAGAUUGGACUACGUUAUUUUAUAAAAACUAAAAUUGAACAUAUCAUUAGAUGAAUUAAUGUAACUUUGUAAAUAUUAAAAAAUUUAAUUAUAAUAUGGAACCUGGAAAUCGAAUGGAACCGAACCGAACUAAACAGAACUGAAUGGAACCGAACCCGAACAGUUCUAUAAUUAAAUUUAGACCCGACGAUUUCACUUAUUAAAUACCCGAAACAUUCGGGUACGGUUCGAUUCUCGUUAGAAACUAACAUAACACGUAGUUUAUGUCUCGUUAGCAAUGAACUAUAUGGACGGACUGGAAUAAUUCAUGUAAUUAACUCUUAAUUUUAUUGAAAAUGACAAAAAAAGGAUUCAUGAAACUGACUUCCACUCAAAUGAGGCUUAGUUUGUAAACGAUAAAUUUAAUUUCUUACCAGAUCAUUACAGCUGAGUCAUGUCGAGUCGAGCAACAAAUUUACUAUGUGAGCCUCUCGUCCAUUCAUGUAUGAGCCAACUAGUCAUACCUCUUACUUAUCAUAUGAUGCUUCCCUCGUUAGACAAAUUUGAAUUAGUUGUCACAAGUUCAAUUUUUAUUAACAAGAUACAACAACAGCAAAUUGAAAUUAUGUUUUAUAGAUAUAUAAUGAAUUGCAUAAUUUUUUUUAUCGUGUUCAUUUACUGAUAUAUUUUUUGGUAGCUUGGCUAAUAACAUUAGGUUCUACUUUCUUUUUUCUAUAUAAAGUGAGCUACAAUUCCCAUUUUAUGUGAGAGUGGAAAGUACGAUGUGUGCCCUCAUCUUAACAAGUUUAUGCUGCAACUAAUGAGAAAGUGUUGUAUUGCCCUAACUAGUUAUUUCUCAUCAUUUAAAAAGGACGACAAUUAUAAUAUGAUCAAUUAAAAUUUUUAUCAAAUAAAGUAUUACACAGAGACAAACGGUGUUAUUUUGUAAUGCAAAACGAGUUCAAUUUCAAGAUAAUUACAAAAAAUAGCAAGUCAAAGAAGAAUUAACUAUCGAACUUAUUCUCAUUUCAAGAGUUCAAGUUCGAUUGAUGUGAAGUCAAAAGUAUUUGCUUACGACAACUCCAUAUUUAAUUUUGGCAAAAAUCAAAUCUUUAAUAGAUUUUGAUAAAAAUUGAUGAAACAUGUGGUUAAAAAAUUUAUAAAAAUUAUGAAUCUCAUGAAAUAUGAAAUUAAAAUUAAUUGUUAAUUUUUACUUAAAAUUUUAGUUACUUUUCUAUCUAAAUCAAAUCGGGACAAUAUUUCACCAAUUUUGGGUGCAAAAUAAACACAGUUCUUGAAAUACAUUCUUGGAUUCCUGAAAAAUCCUUUUCAGCAUUUAUUGGUUUGGGCAUUGUGACAUAAUUUUAGUAAAGAAAAAUUCCAAAAAUUCCUCGAUUUGACACACGACGUUAGCGCCUCUUGGAAUUGAAUUGUACCAAAUUUUAUCACGAAAUUCCACCUCGUGACUCCCACGCGAAACACAUAAAUAUGUCCAGUCACGCUAUUUGUACAAUUAUGGAUGAUAACUUUUGUUGGCAUCAUCAAAUCCACCUAUUUUUUUAAAUUGUCAAAAACUAUUUUUAAACAAUUGGUUCGAAUUUUGCCAACUCCGACAUUGUUAACAAUAUUUGUCAACUAACAUUGUACAGAUAUCUUAAUUCGUAUAUGUCAAGAAUAUAGAACAUGUUUUAUUGUGCUUAAAAGUAAAUCAAGCGUAAUUUCAUGAUGUUGACUUAACUCCUCGACGUUAUCAUAAAUAAAUCAAGCGUAAUUUCAUGAUGUUGACUUAACUCCUCGACGUUAUCAUAAAUUUUCUCAAAUGGGAUUUUUAAAUUUAAAUUUCACUAAUAAAUUUACCUUUUUUUUUUUUUGGUAAAGUAAGCCUUAACUUACUAUUUAAACUUUUAAACAUUUGCCAAACAAGCUUUAAAAUGGUCAAUUGUAAUUUUCCUUACAAAAUCAUUAUUAUGCAAUAUAACUUAGUCCCCGUUUGAGCCUCAUUAAUUUUCAUUACAUCACAUUUCAUAUUUAUCUCUCCUAUUUUCAAUCACACAAUAUUUCAUAAAAUAAUAUUACACGUAAAUCGAAAUUUUUUCCUUUUUUUCAACCACUCAUUUUUCAAAAAAAUAAUAUUCCACCCAUUAAUUUUUCCAUAUAAUGGGGCCAAACAGGGGCUUAAUGUGCAUGUAACCUUGUCCCUUAGGAAGAAAAACUAGUAGCUGCAACUAUAACUGAUGCGUGAAGAGCAUAUCCAAUCGUGGUGUAAAAUAGAUCUAAAUUGUGAUUUAGAAUUUCAAAGUGACCAAAAAUCUCUGCAAUAAAAAUGUACAAACGAAAUGCAAAUUACAUUAAUGUAAAAGAAAAUGUAAUUUUACAUUUAUUUAUUUAUUUUUUUUUUACAUUCACAAGAGGCAAAAAUAAAUUUAAAUUUUUUAUUGGAGCAAAAUUUGAAAUUUAGAUUCAUCAAAAUUUACAUGAAAAUAUAAAGGUUUUUGUCAUUUGUACAGAAGAUUUUUUCACAGAAAUGAUACAGCUACUCACAUGGGAUGUGGGCCUCAUGUAAAUAAAUUAUUAUAAAAAAUCCACCCAUCCCUCUUGUAUCUAUUCUCAAGCAAUUCUAUCAACUUUCCUUCUGUCCGUGUAGUCUCUCUCAAAUAUAAAGGUAAUGUUUGAAAAUACCAAUGAAUACACUCAACAUGUCUGACAACAAAAUAUGUGCUGGUUGGCCUGUCUCUCCUUCACUGCACAUCUUGUCCUAAUCUGGACACAUUUUUAGUCCCUCGCUCAAACACCUUUGUUGCAUGUUACACCCACCACAAUUCUUGACCAAGCAAGAAGAUUUGAUUGAAGCUUGAUUAUAAAAUUACAUAAAUACCCACUAUUAAAACCGACUAUUAAAAUUCCGCAUGGAUGCAUUUUAUAAAGGAAAAUUUUCUUGACAGAAGAAUUCCAGAUACUCAAAUGGGGAGUGGACCCCAUGUGAGUAAAAAAUAAUUCAAAAAAUAACUCACCCACCCACCCCAUGUAGUGUAUAUUCUGUAAGGGCUAUGUGAAGGGCUGCCCUUCUAUAUCUUAAGUAGUAGACACAAUGCAGUAAAGCACUUGGUUAGGGAUGAACUGAGCAUGGCAUAAUAAUAUUAAGUCGAUUUAACUAGACAAUAUAACGAACAAGAUUAUAUAAUUUGUUUUCUCUUUCUUGAUAUGUCAAGUGAAAUCCACUGUUCCUACCAAACAUAUCACAAGUGUGUGAAGAGCAUUGAGAAUAUGACAAAGUUGUCAUCAUUAUUCACAGAGAUCUAUGUGACAGUGAGAUCAUUGUUACAUUAUCCAAUAAAGUUUGAAUACAUUUUUAGACAUUGGAAAAAUCGACAAUAAACAAUGACCCCACUGCCGCAUGGACUAAUGAUCGACAAACAGAGUAACACUAUUCAUAAUGUUCCCAAGCAUCAUAAAUAUCUCUAGAGUCUUAAUAAAGGAGCGUUGAAUCUCUUGAUAUCUAAUGUGGAAAAAGCAAAAGGUCAACUUCAUAGAAGUAGUUCUGUCGAAUGGAUUGGCCAGGCCGUUAAAUGAGACGCCUGGGCCGACCCGAAGCCCAGUUUACAUUGUUCUUCUGGCCCAACUUGAUCCGGCACACUGCCAAGCCUAUUGGGGGCAACAAUGAAAUUUGCUACCAGAAACAAGAAUAUCAUUUGCAGCCACGAGAAUAAAUGUGUAGAUUCUAAUCCCAAGUUUGUAACCAUAGAGACGAAAGAGAUGAAUAUCUUGUUCAGAUUCAAUAUUACAGAUAUUAGCUCUUGGGAGACUGCAAAAAACUCAAAAUUCAUAUGCAUAAGAGGGUCGACUACUUAAAUCAAUUUUUGUUGGAAUGAUAUCAAAAUAUUCAAAGGAAAUGGAGAAGAGAACAAAAGACGAAGUAAAAACACAUCUGUGAUAUCUAUUUUAUAUGAUAGUCAAGUCACAUUAGCAAAAUCAUACGAUGAAAUACACAUCAAAAAGCUUAGACAUGUGAGUAUAAGAUAUGAAUACGUAAGGAAAUUAAUCAAGAGUGAAAUAAUUUCUUUGAAUUACGUUAAGUCAAAUGAAACAUCUCAAUAGAGAUUUAGCCCUUAUUGAGCCCCAUUUUGGGGAAAAUGUAUUUCAAAAUAAUAAUUUUUUUUUUAAAUAUAUGAUUAAAAAAAUUUUAAAAUUUUAAUUUUUGCGUAAAAUUAUUUUAUUGAAUAACGUAUGAUUGAAAAUAGUUUUUUUCCCUAAGAAAAAGAGUUUUUAAAAAAUGAGGCUCAAACAAGGGCUUAGUAAUAUUUAAUUCGAGUAGGAUAAGAUUGAAACUCUUAAAAUGACAACGGCAUUACUUGUCAUUACUAAAACAAUAAUCCACGAAUUCAAACGAUAACAAAAAGUCAUUGGAUAAGUGAAUAGUUUUAGCAUUAUAAUUUUCAUAAGAACCCUAUCCAUGCCUUUGUUUGAGCCUCAUUAUUUGGAAAAAGUACAUUCUUAAAUAGUAUUUUAAUAUCAUUUCAAUCGUACAUUUUUCAGUAAAAUAAUAUUAUACGUAAAUUCAAAACUUUUUCUUAUUUUUUAAUCACACAUUUUUCAUCAAUAUACUAUUCAAAAAUUCAUUUUCCCCCAAAAUGGGACUCAAACAAGGGUCAUAUUGUAUAAUUCUUAUUGCUACUAAUAGAAGGUUGCCAAGUACAAAUAUCUCUAAAAGUAACAAAAUACUUGAAGAACGUCACCUAGAUGAAUUUCGAGGUGAUGCCACCUCAGCAGAGAGUUAAAGUUUCUUUCUUAAAAGUUCAAAUUAGGCUUUAUUAAUGCUACACGAGUUUGGAGAACUUAUGAAUACAUAACAUUUGUCUAUGUGCUUUCAUCGGAAUUAUCACAAAAAAUAACUUAUUUCAAACUAUCAUGCUACCUGAAAUUUCGAGAAUACUUUGUAAAAAUUACAUUAUGGUUAAAUUCAAAUCAAAAUAUACCUAAUCCUUACGCAUGGAUGUUGCUAAUUUGAAUAUGUGAUUAUUAUAUAGUUGAACAAGAUGAUUGUUGCAAUGUUGUUCAAUAAUAUAUUAGUAAGUUAUUUAGAAUAAUCAAAAAAUACACACGAGUGUAUCAAGUACGUGCAAAAACAACCGAAAGAAGGAAAAUUAGGCUAGGCAAUUGCUCAGCACAAAUUCGGGCGAUCGCCUAGCACAAUGUUUGUUCCUCGAGUUCCUGAAAGAGAGGCUGGGCGAAAUUUCCCUUCUUCCGUUUGCUUUUGCACUUACUUAAUACACACAUUUUUUGAUAAUUCCAAAUCACUCAUUAUUAUUGAAAAAUAUUAUAACAUUUUCUUAGUUCCAUUCAACUUAAUACUAACAAUUUCAAAUAUAGCAAACUCAAUACGAAAAUAUUUCAAACAUGUCAAGGAAUGUAUAACAUGAAAAGUAAAAUUAACACAUAACACAAAUAUACAACACAAAAAACAGACAAAUUCCGAACCACAGAGUUCCACUGUUGUACUACUACAUUCUCUCAGCAAACAUUCCUACUUUAAACCAUCUCUAACAUACAUGCUAAGUCAAUCUAUAGACAGAAUGACCAGCUACAGGUGAAAAUGCAUGAAAGAACCCGCAAAUAGAAAGUCGACUAUCAACUCAAAAACAACAUUCUAUCAACAACACAAAGAUAAGGAUGGUACGCGAGAAAUAUUCAGAAUACCCAUAAUUUGAUGCUAAGUUGAAAGUAACACUUUGACAGUUAAGGAUCAUUAAUUAUCAUAGGGAAAGACCUUGAAUCUGUAAAGCAGCUUCUUCUUCUUUGCUGUAGGGUUGUCAACAGUGAGUAGGAUCUUACCUAGCUCGCUAAUUUUAAAACUGUUAGAGACUACAGGCUCGUCUGUGGCAGCCAUCUUCCUCGCCUUCUCUAUGAUUACAGUAUAGCCACCUUCAGCAUUAGGCACAUACUCAGAACUGUAGCUUACUUCCCAGCCGACCACACGAAGCUCCCAAACGAUAAUGCAUUUCUGCAGAUCAAUCAGAUACCAAAUUAUAAGGGGAGCAAUUUAAUCUUUCAUUUCCAUAUAAAAACAUCAAAACGAUGCGUAUCCUAUCAUCCGAGGGUUAAAAAUACUGUUAGUAGUGUCGCUUCACUUUGGUCGUCAAACCUUUUCUUUUUCAAAAUUAGUCAAUGAACUUCUAUUUUUGUUUCUAUUGAAGCAUGUGCUAAUAAACAGAAAUGCCAACAUGGCUAAUGUAAAAUAUCACACCAUGAGAAUCUGUUAGUGCAACAUUUUUAUUGUCUAACAGAUCAAGAACACGUCUUGGACUAGUUUUACUUCGAAAUCUGCUUUCUCCAAGAGUAACAAAAAUAUAUAAAAACGGAAAAAUCUUAGUCUUCUUAAGGACACCCUCUCCGCCCACUGCACUACGUCAACAUUUUCGUUAGCUAAAACUUGUUGACUAAUUUGGAGGAAAAAAUUCCAGCAAUGGUACAAGUUGAGAGACUCCCUCAUUUGCAGUUGAAUUUCAUGAAACACAUAAGAAAAACACAAGUAGUUAGUAACUGAACCUCAUUAACUAUAAUUUCUACGGUCUGCUUGGUUGCUGGUUUUACAGUAAUCUCGGUGGCUGGAUCAUCAACAGUGAACUCUGGGUUGCAUUCACAGAAAUCUAUACUAAGGCCACCAUAUUGAAUAGGCACAUGCUCAGGAGAUAUGUACCUGUGUCACCAUUUAUCAACCAAAUUAUGCAACCAACCAAAAAUCAUAGUACAAAAGCAAUAAUUUUCAGUGGAAAAUACAAAAUUUUUACAUACUUGAAUAGAGUUUCUGGAGUUCUCGAUGGGCUAGCAAACACAAACUUGCUUUUCGUCCGCUGGGUCAAGAACGGACUCAUCAUCGUGUAGAAAGCCAAGUACCACCAAGGAACAUUGAUGAACACCUUUUAAAACAAGCCACAAGCAAUUACUUAAGUUAAAACAUUAAAUUGGACAAAUCAAUGUAAGGUGAUUAUUGGACUUCAUAGAUCACCAUAAAACACAAGCAUCUUUUUUUAUUCCAUAUCACCUUGAAUUCACUAUGCCAAACAUACCAAAAAUAUUUAAACAAUUUUAUGUUUCUUUUAAAUGAAUUAAGACCAAUGUCCUCCACCUAAAUCCUAAACAGACAAUAGGAACAACAUUAAUGUUCUCAUUUAUGUAUUCAUACCAGUGCAACAAAUUUUUGACUUCCAAGAUUCUAUUUUUAUCUCUCAAGACGUAGGAUAAACAUAUACAAAACCAAUGAUUGAAUUCUUAAAUCAUUCCCCAUUCGAACCCGCACAUUUAAAAAACAGAUCAUUACACAAGAUUUCUAUAAAUUGGUUAUAACUAUCAGUAUACCUGUUUUGUCACGAACUCAGGAUAAUUGUCCUGCAGAACCUGCAAUGCCUGUUUAGUGGCAAUGCGAAGCUCCCUUUUCCCUGGUCCAGGGGAGUUCUUGAGAUCACUAAUUUGAAAGAUAGUGUUAAUGCCACCAGGAGUAAAAUCCAGAUUCCUUAUACCCCUUUCAAGAAAUUGAAUCCUCCAUUUCAAAAAUUUCUUUCUUUUUUCGUCGUCCCCAAAUGUUUUUGCAUACAAUUCCUUGUUCUGAAAUUCCCCGUACACAUUAUAACACACUAGAUGCCCAUCCUUGUCUUGCCCGUGCAUAAAUACAACUUUUUCAAGAUCAUCUCCCAAAUCUUCCUUUAUCAGUUCGUCGAUAUUGAUUUCUUUUCGCCAUUUUAUAGUGUUUUUCAGCAUGGUGAAAGAUUCUUUCACCUUAAAGUCUCGUGCUCGUAGAAACUUCAGCAAUAUCACAUCACUCCUAUCGUCUUUAAGUAAGGGCACGCCCCAGAUGGAUACUUCUUCGGGUAAAUUCGAGGUAUCUGAGGGCGAUGCCAAGGUGAAAACGCCGGUGUUAAGUGCCUCCUGGACGAGGGUUUUGAAUUCUUCUAAUGCUUUACGCUCGAAAUAUGAGAGAUCUGAUAGUUUAUUGCUCUCUUCUUUGAAAGAAACCAGUGAUUCUGGAGCUUUUUUCUUCUCCAUUGAUUUUGAUUUUUCGGGUUCGACUACUUCUUUCCCAACUGGUGAUUCAGACUCUUGUGGCACUUCCAGUGCCGCAGCUAGAGGCUGUGAUACUGGUGGUGCUGGGAUGGUUUCCUUUUCAGUGGAGGUGACGGAUACAAGCUCCGCCCCGAGCGUCGGUGAUAGAGGGGUAUCUUUUUCUAUAACAGUGACGGCUUCUUUGAGCCUCUCCUCGACUGUGAGUGGCGGUUCACUUGGUGGUGGCGCCUCUUUCUCUGAUGCAAGAGCAAACGACGCCAGUGGUGGCUCGGUUUCUUCUGAAAAAGCAGAUUCCGGCGGUGAUGAAGUUGCGAGCGGAACCGUCUCCGCCGUUAACGGCGACUGCUGGGUGGCUUCCGGUGGAGCUGUCUCUAGGUUCGAAUCUGCCAUUUUCCUCGAUGGUGAUGGUGAGAGAUAGGGAGUGUGUGUUCUGUAGAAUAAGUAGAAGAAGUGAUGAGGAUGAAACCGAUGAAGUAGCGGCCAGAUUGUGACAGUGUUCAUUUUUGUUUCAUUUAUAAUUUAAAUAGAAAUAGAAAAAUGUUUAUAAUUAGCAAAUUAAUUUAAAUAGAUGUUAAUUUAAAUUUUCUUAAUGACGAAUUUAUUUGAGAUAUUACAAAAAUCAAAUUAAAUUUUGUUCUUUAGCUGAAAUAGAGAACCAAGUUAAAAAAAAAAAAAACUCUUCUGUUAUCCAAAAAUUAAUUAAAUUAAAUUAAAUUACAAGACAAUUUACUCAAAAGUUUAGCCAUGUUUAGUAGGAAUUCAAAUUCUAAUUCAAAUUUUAAAAAAAGUCAAAAGUAACAAUUAAUUUUAAUCACAUAUUUUAUGAGAUCAAUGACUUUUCAAUCACAUAUUUUAUAAAAUUUUAUUAAAAAUCUGAUUUUAAUCUCAAUCCAGCAAUAACUUAGCACCCGUUUGUUUUCCAUUCUUUUCCUCAUUAAAAUGAAAAAUAUGGCCGUUAUUCAUCACAUCAAGCCACCAAAUUUGAAUUUUUAUCUUCUGUGUGGGGUUCGUAACGAUUAUAUUUUUCAUUCUUAUUCUUCCGAAAAUGGGAAACAAACGGAUCCUUAAUAAAAGAAUACUAAAUUUGAAUUAGAUUUCGUUUCUUUAUCUAAAAUCAAUAAUCAAAGUAAUUGUCUAAUUCUUGAUUCUAAUAUUGAAAAUGGGUUAAACUUUAGAAAUUUUAUAAAUCAGUCAAUUUGAUCGGAACCGAUCUAGCGUGAGUGGUUUUUGAAAAGUGAAAAUAUGUCUUUAAUUUUGAGUAAAAUAAGUUAGAAAUAGGAAUUUAUACUUUAAAAUCAACCUUACAUAAUAUAAGUAGUGAAAUAUUUUUAUAAUUAAAAUCAGCAUAUUUAAAAGCAAAAGUAGAAUAUUUUACAAUAUUGAAAUUAGUAUACUUAACCCGACGUAUAUAUUUUAAUGUCAAAAGUAAAAUGAGAACCAAAAAAGUAAUAUAUUUUAUAAUUUUUGACAAAAGAUAAGGAUUAUUAUUAUGGCGACAAGAGUCAAAGCAGUUCGUGAUGUGUUCUGUCAUUAGAGUUGACACGACGAAGUGGCGGGAUUGGUGGAAAAGAGAAUCCUAGGUUAGGUAUACCUUAAACAUUUUGGGCCGCUACUUCGUCAAAGGCCCAUUAAAUAUUUUGACUUAUGUAACUCAGAGUACAGAAGUUCGAGCUCAGCUACAAAAUUCGGGAUUAAAUCCUGGAUUUAAAUCUAGAUUGGGGUGGUCGCUAUCUCGUUCUUUGAUCUUGAAUUUCAUGGGACCCACAACAUAAUAAUCAAGGGUCGAGGUAUUGCCGACACCUUGACCUGUCAACAAGGCCUGUCAUUGGCCCUGUUUGAAUGGUAAAACUCAAUUCAAAAUUAGCAAACUUUUCGAUAUAAUUAACUUGAAAUGAACAGUUGCGAUGCGAGUUUUGAUGGAAUACAAAAUGAUUACUGCUCACUAAUGAGAAAAUCCUAUUUGCUUGAGAUUUCCUUUUAAUUGAUUUUCUGCUAGUUUAAUUUAAUUAGUUCUAAUGGUAAAGAUUAAUUAUUUUUUUUAAAAAAAAGCUAACUUAUAAGUAAAUUUUCUUAGCUUAGUUUAUGAUAUUGUGUGAGAGAGCACGUCAAACAUAACGUGAAGGAUAGUUGAUCGUAGUGCAUUCUCAUGUCUUUAACAGUGAUAGUGAAGAGUAAAUACAAUUCACUAUCGUAUCUCGAUGAGUACGCUAGAAAAAUCUUUUCGAAUAAUACUCACGAAUAAACAAGGAAAUACUAACAAGUAUGAACAUGUAUUGCUAAACUUAAUAAACAAUAAAAAUAUUUUUUUUUUUAAAUGUAUAGAUUUGCUUUUAAAAGUAAAUCUUUGACAACUAAAAAGCUAGAAAAAACAAGUAAUUUCUUAACUUUUUAAAUAAAAUAAAACAUCAAAUGUGCUAUAAGUCGAAAAGGAUUGUAUUGAAAUUUUAAAUAUUUUUGUUGCCUUUAUUUUUCCUCGAAGAUUUUGUUUUGAGGAUAUUAUCUUAAACCUUACUUUAAAGUUUCGAUUUUAUAAAUUAUUUAGUAAUUUCCUUUUCCAAAAAUCAAGUAUAUCUGGCAACGACACACCUCAUCCCAUCCCAUUCCAUCCCAUUCCACUCCCACUUGUCUGUAAUUUUUUUACCUUUUAAUUUUCUCUAGUGAAUUUAGAGAGAGAAUGAAUAAUGUUGAAGGUAAAAAUCUUUAGCAUCAUCGACUUUGCUAACUUUAGAGAGAGAAAACGAAUUGAUACCUAGUCUAAUCCUCCCACACUACCAUCCACCAACUAAUCAAUAGCUCCGCCCUAGUACCUUACCUCACUUCUACAGGUAAAUAAUUGAUAAACCUAGUCGAUAUUCUUCCCAAUGGCUAUGGCUGUAGCCAUCGCGAAGCCUAAUGGAGAAAAAUUGACCAUGCACGUUAUGCAAAUAUCAGCGGAUUGAAUACAAUUAGCAGGCACUAAUUGUCAUGGGAUGAGGUUAUUGUUUUAAUCAAUUAGAUGGUCGUGGUAGGUUGCAAGUUUUGGAUUUAGGAUGGUGGUGGUUUUCAAAAGUUUUGAAUGUUAAACUAGGGUGGAUGUUGAACUUAAGGGUGGGGUGGGAAUAGGGUGAGAAUAAUAUGGCAAGUAGUGAAUGUGAUUGUUUAAUUGUGUGAUUUGUGACAUAUUAACCGUGAUUUUAUAACUUUAUAUGAUUGUGAUUGAUAAAUUAUGUGGCACGUGAUUGUAAUCCGUAAAUUGAGUGGUAUGUAACUAUGAUUGUAUCCUGUUGAAUUUUACUUAUAGGCAACACAUCUUUCAAAUCACAACAUUCGUCAGAGGUUACCAAUAUCGUCACCUAAUUUGUAAUUUUUUUCUUUUUGACAAACUUAUUAAUUUUGAAAUCAUAUUCUUAAACCAUUUUAGUUAUAAUUUUUUUUUUUCAAUUUGUUUUCAUAAUCAAAAGCCCAUUAGUCCCAGUAAUAAUAUUUGGCUAGCCCUAAAGAUUUCCUCUUGCUAUAGGGGGAAAAAUCAUAUUUAUGUCAUAAAAUUAGUAGUGAGCAAUUUUUCCAAGAACCGGUGGAACCGGACCGGAACCGUUUAGAAUCGGUUGGUUUGGUUCCGGAUCUUAUAAAAAAUAAUUUGAUUUUGGGACAAAUUUUUAAGAAUCGAUCGAUUCCGGUCUGAUUCUCGGUUCUAGUAUGGAAUCAUUGGAUUUUUUCUUUUUUUCUUUGGUAAAAUAUAUGACUCAAUCUCCAACACUUUUAUAAAAAAUAAUCGGGUUCCUUCUUAAUUUGAGACUCCAGCACUUUCCUUUUUCUCUUUGAUUCUUUCCUUGCCGCUUCUUGUAAUUCUUUGAUUAAUUGAUUCUCAAACCAAAUUAGAAUAUUGGGUAAAUUUAUACUUAAAUAAAUUUAUUUACAAUAUAUAAUUUCAUUUAUAAGAUACUAAAUUUUUAUUUUGUUUUCACUUUGAUUACAUGAUUUUUAUUUUGUUUUCACUUUGUAAAUUUAUACAUAAAUAAAUCUUUGAAUAAUAUAUUCUAUUUUUCUAUAUUUUAUUAAAAGUAUCACGUUGAUAGCAUUUUUAGAGUUUUUAUUAGUAAACAUUUUAUUUUGACAUUUUCAAUGUAAAAAAUAGGACCGGACCGAAUCGAAACCGAUUGGUUCGGUUCUAUAGUUAGUUAUGGAACCAAUGGUUCCUUCCUAAAAUUCUCAUUGGUAUUCGGUUCCGUUCGGUUUCAUUUGGAAUCGGAUCGCGUCCACUCCUCCAUAAAAUAGAGAGAAAAGAAAAGGAAUUGGAGAAGUCAAUAAACAUGUAUGUAUUUAAUCGAAAACCAAAUCCCCGUAUUUAUAAGAAAAAAAUAGGGCAACAAUGAAUAAAUGGUAACAGUAACUAGGAUUGUAGGAAUAUAAUUGACAUUCGUUAAUAAACAUAUUAUUUGCAAUAUUUCCCCUUGAAUAACGCAUUACCAAAUGAAUGCCUCGUUAAAUUUGUUUGGUAAAAAUUCAACGAAAAGAAGUAUCAAACAAAGGAAAAUAGUAUAGUUAUUUGAAUAUUAAAAAUAAAUACUGACUCUUGAAAACUUUGCUAGGAUAAAAUCAAGGAAAAAGGAAUACAUCUACUUCUCUUGACGUUGAUCAUUAAAAAUCUUUAAGUCAACGCAUUUCGAUUUCGUGAACCAAUUUCUUGAAUGCAGAUGUCGACGGAACUUUUGUAAUUAAAUUGGUCACAUUAUUACUUGAGCAAAUUUGUUGAACAUCAAUAUUUUCUUUCUUUUGAAGCCCAUGCGUAUGGAAGAAAUUUGAAAAAAUAUGUUUUGUCAUAUCAUCUUUGAUAUAUACUCAUUUGAAUUGUCUAAUACAAGAUGCAUUAUCUUCAUACAAAAUUGUCGAACUAUUUCUUUUUGAAAUUAAUUCACUUGAUGCUUGGAUAUGAUAGGUCACGUUUUUCAACCAUACACAUUCUCGACUUGUUUCAUGAAUUGCAAUAAUUUAAAAAUAUUGCAUUUAAUGUUUGUUUCACAGAUUUCUAUGAUAUAGAUAUUCCUUCAUGUAUAAAUACAUAUCUUAUUUGUGAUUUAACGUUAUGUGGAUUAAAGAGAUAACUUGCAUCUGUAUAUCUUAUUAAAGUAGAUCCCAUUUUUUUUUAAGAAUAAUUGGUAGUGAGAAACUUUGUGUACAGAGAAUUCUCUUAAAAAAUAAAUAGUAUUUCCUUCUAUAUGAAUUCUUUCGAACAACUCCAAAAUACUUAUCACAGUAAAUGAUGUAAAAUUAAAGAGAAAAUUACAUCCAACAACCCUUUAUCUUUCAUAAUUUCAAAUGUAUUGGUCUUUCUUUUUCUUUUUCAAAAUACAAGACACUGUCUCUACCCAAACACCUCCACCAUUGUUGGUGAGCAUUCCAUUCACCCCAUAUCAACCCAAAAAGACAGUAUAAUCUUUACUUUUUUAAGAAUCAAGCAAUAGGAACAUAUUUCUGGCUUUCUUUCUGGUUAUAUAUCUGCUUAUUUCUUUCUGGUUAUAUAAUACUACCGACGAUGUAUCUACGAUGAUAUCAAAUUUUUGUGGUGGUUUUUGUAAAUUGUCCGAUAUUAAUUUUUCUGAUUAAAGAUAUAUUGGGGAAAUUUUGGGGAUUUUACGUUGUUAAGUAAUUUAAUUAGUUAAUACUGUAUUAAUCAAACUAGUUAAAUUUUUAGGGUCUUGGGCCUAAUUUGCCAAAAUGAUUUCUAUCAAUCCGAAUAAGGCCUGAAAAUAAACUAUGAAACCGAAAUACAUAAUAGAAUAAUGUUAUUUAUAGUUGUUCACUAUCACAACUGGCAAACACGUGACGGGCAUACACGUGACGGAUUGACAGAUAGUGAUUUGAUACACAACAAAAAAUUAUCAGAUUAAUGUAUAACAGCCCAUUAAAACUUUCAGAAAUAACUCGUUAGCUGUUUGAGGAAAAAAAUAUGGAUAAAGAUAAUUAGACGGGGGCGCCUGCCCAAUAUCGAAAAACGUUCGGGUAAAAACUAAAACCAAAACCAAAAUCAGAAAAUUAAACAAGACGAAGAAGAAAACAUCCAGAGAGCGAAAGAAGUGAAAAUUUUUGAUUUUAGCAAAUGGCUGAGGAAAACAAAUUGAAGAUUCCACCACAGUACGAUUUGAAUGCCAAGUGGGAUGCUUGUCUCGAUUUGGGUGUCCGCCGAUUCGUCUAUUCUUCAUUGGCCGGUGCCUUCACCGGCCUCCUCCUCUUCCGUGAGUUUUUUCCCUUAUUUUUUUUUAUACAUUUUUUGGUUUCUUUUAAUUUGUGUUUUGUGUUUGUUUUUGUUAUAUUAUAUUAUAUUAUUUUUUGUUUGCGGAAAUACUGGGAUUUUAUAAACAUAUUGAUGGGAAAUGAAAAUCUAGAAUAAGAAAUUACGAUGACGUAAUUUAGUUUUAACAGAUUUUCUUUGUAGAUUUGUAAGUUGCGUUUAAAGUAUAGUAUUAGAACUUUCGGAAUUAGGUAUAGUGAUAUUACUGCCUGAUGUGUUGUAAGUGGCUGGUCAAAUUACCUCCGGAUGUUUGAGAAAUUGUAUUAAUAUGAAUGGAUAAGGAUGGACAGAUGCAGGCUCCCAGUUUUACAAUAAGAAAGAAGCAUAUAAAUGAAGGAUAAUGUAGCACGAGUCUUUAUUGAUGAGCCUGAAUAUUUGAUAUAUCAAAGACGAUGAAUAAGAACACAUAUGUAAAUAUCAUUUUCUUAUCAUGAUUUCCAUUUGCUUCGUGCUUUAGUGCUGUAUAUAAAUUGCAUUAACAUUUUUCCCCCUGGAGACUAAGAAGCAUAGUUGGUGAAAACUCUUGAGUCUUUCAUAUAAAGAAUGAUUGUUUUGUCUUUAAUAGUGUUAAAAAUGACAUUCAAGAUCCAAAUGGAAAAUUAACCCUUGGAAUGACAUCACCAACAACGUAUUAGUGUCUCAUUAUCGUGUACAAAACUAAGUACUGCCAAGGAACAUUGAUGAACACAAGAACCCGGACAAUCACUUAAGUUAAAGUGAAGCCAUUACGUUGGAUCGAAGCAACAAGAUAAGUAGCCAUUAGUAUAAAUGACAGCAAAAUAUAAGCAUUAGCGCACAGGAAUAUGCCAAAUUUGAUACACUCCCUAACCUUUACAUCGAUGUUUAUCAGGGACGGGUUAGGUCGCUUCAAUAUCAAAACCAAAUGUUGGUUGUUUUUCCUUGGCUUAUCGAACUAGCGUAUGCCCAUUCCUCCUUUGAUGACUCCCAGUAGAGAAAGCCUAAAUUUGUCAAUGUGAUUUGAAAGGAAUAUCCACUUUAGUCACCCCACGCUGCAUAUGUAUAGUAACACGACGAAACUUUGUUGUGCUCACAAAGAUACGCACACUAACUGCUUGGUGAUGAAACUUUUUCAACAUUUCAUAUGCAUUUCAAAUGCAAUUAAAAUCAAUGUCUCUUCACCUAAAUACCUAAACAGACACAAACAAACAAAAGCAAUAUACAUGAAGCCAUUUAUUUUCGAAAAUCAAGUUUUGUUUGGACAAAUCAACAGAAUAGUUGCUUAUAGCGUGAAUUUAAUUUAACCUUUUUAUUGAGCAAUAUAUGUGAAGCCAUUUAUUUUCGAAACAUUGAUACUUUUGUUUGUCUCCUUUAGUAUGUUCAAAGUAAUAAUUUUGCUGUGUAUUGCAUUUAUUGUAUCUGUUAAAUGCUGAUUCCUGAUUGUUUACAAGGUAGAAUGUAUUUACCAUGGUAGGGAAAGAAUUUAUCCUGAUUGCACUGCACCAGAUUACGGUUUUAUGUAUAGAAUAGAAAUAAUUCUCACUUUUUCAUCGGUCCAAAGUUAAUUCUUCUAAUUUCACAAUUAAAAUACUCUCUAAAGUAUCUUUAUCUGGUUCUUUUACUAUGUAUAUGUGUAGCUUCAUGUAAUUUGGUCGUGGAUCAAUAGUGUACCAUAACAUACCAAACUCUGUUUGUGUCUCAGUUUAAGUAUGAAUUCAAACUUCUUUGCUUGCCUCACAGACAAUGCAGUUUAUCAAUAGUAUCUGUACAAUCCUGAAUUUGUUGCAUAAUAAGUUAUUAUGGCCACAAUUAAUUUGGGUUUUUGAAUUGGAAUGGGGUUUAGGCAUUAGCUGAGAAGGUGAUGACUUUUAUUUUUACAAAUUUCUCAUAAAAUCACUAACCAUAGUGGUAGAAUCCCACCUGCUUAGACCGGAAGUAACUCUCAAAUGCAGUGAAAUGAAUGAUUUAUUGCUGAAUUCAGAUGAAGGAAAACAGAAAAGAUACAAGUUUAGGGCUAUUUGAGAGGCCCUGUCUCUCCUCCCUAUUCUCAACAGAAAACCAGAAUUUUCAUGCCUCUCCCGCCUACUGCCCCUCCCUAUUUAUUUACUUUCCUAUAACAAAUUAUUACAUUUUUACCCCUCACUAACAAACUCAACUGACUUGGCCUAAUCUUUAUGAUCAUUGCUCUUCUUUCUUCUAGCAUAGGCGAACCAAAUCGGGGUCCUAUCACAAAGCCUUUCACAUCAUGUGCUUUUAGAAGGGGACUUUUGGCGAUAAAAAAAUAAUUUAGGGAAGUUGAAACUUUUAUGUCCCAAUAAGGAAAUAAACACUCAAUUUUGUUGAGAGAGAGUGUUAAAUUUAUUUAAAAUAGCUCUGUAAAAGGUUAUACCAUUCAGUAUUUUGACAUAUUCAUUUUACCAAAUAUCAGACCAGGGAAAAACUGUAAGUUUAUAUUAUUUAUGAUCUUAUGAAUCCUUGUAAAACUUGUUUCCUGCUGUUAAAUUGGAUUGUUGGACUGAUCAUUUGAUAUUGACUGAUAUGCCAGGAAGUCCAGUUACACGCUGGGCAUCAGUAGCUUUUGGUGCUGGAGUGGGUAUUGGUUCUGCAUAUAAAGAGUGCUCUCUGAAGUUUGAUGGAUCUUCACCAAAAUUGACUCCAAAGGUUUCUGAUGCCCCAGUUUCUAAGGUAGAGUUAUCUUUAAUGUUUGUAGCAUUUGUGUUCAUCAAAAAUUAAAAAUAAAAAGGAGAGUUCCGUGUUCAUUUUGAAAUAUGACUGGUCAUGCCUGGCAGUAGUCAAAUUGUAUUAUUCCAAUCUAAUCCGUGGUAGUUCUUCAAUGCUGGAUGUUAUCCUAUAUUCGUUGUUUUAGAGUAAAGAAGCCAAGCAGGGCUGAUUGCUCAAAGGCUACAACCUUAGCACUGUUGAGACUUAUUUUACACUUUAAUAAAAUAAAUAAAAGUUCUAGGUCAAAAAUAGAAAAUGCCAAAAGAAAGAAAGCUGACCUAGAAAAUGUUCUAAUCUACCUUAGUAUCUGCACCCUCGCUGCAGGAGCUCGUUAGCUUUUGACUAAUAAGAUAGAAAAGAUCUUUGGUGAAUUUCAUAGGUUUUCAUGCUCGCUAGUAAUUAGUCUUAUAGAGAUUUUUCUACUUUGUAGAAUUUAGAGCUUCAAAGUCUUAUUUUAUAUUGUGGAUGAAUGACGAAGAUUUGGUUUUUUUAGUGCGGGCAUCAUAGUGCUAGUAUAUACAUAUUUUCAGUUGAUAAAAGGAUGUGAGAUAUGUUCAAGUAGCUGUGUGCGUAUAGGCAGUCUACACUGGUUCAAUACCUGAAUUUAUAGUUUAGACAGUUGAUUGACCCUUAACACUCAUUUUUGCAUCUUUAUGUGACCUUUUUUGUCUAUUUGUAGCUUUGUUUUCUUUUCUUCCUCUUCCUCAUCUCUUUAGGGUCUGCUUUUUCAGUAUUCUUGCCCUUCUAUACUCGUGUAUCAUUUGACAUGUUCUAAACUUGCAUUAGAGAGAACAUAGUCUAGUUUAUGUGUUAGGUUAUAAAUAGUCUUGAGCAUAUUCAACUGUCAUGCGACAGUUACAAUAACCACCAAAAUUGACAGUGUAUUAACAUCUCAAAUAAAAACCAAAUCUCGAACUUGACAAUUUCAUCAAUACAAGAACCAAAUCUCAUACAGGAAAUUUUUAGGGUGAAUCGUGUGACUUGCCUCAUUCUAUGAAUAUGAAUCUAAAAGAGUUUCACAUUCUUUUCUUUCUUUUCACAAUGUGACGUUUCAAUCUUUUUCAUGACAUAACCUUGAUAUGUGGCGCCAUCUGUUGGACAACAUAAUUGAAAUAAUUAAAGGUAUUUAAUUUUAUGCAUGUAUCUUAUUUUAAUUUCUAAGAAACAACAUAACCACCCAUAAUAUUUAUUUUUGACUCCCAGCAACAGCUUUUGCCCGAUGUGAUCAUGAGAACAGGAAGAAAUUGAUAAUCACUUUGUUUUAAGUUAAUUUUUCUGUAUCUUUUAGUUUUUGCUCAUGACUAUUGUAUUUUCCUAUUGAGACCACAUGAACAGGAAAAAUCUUAAGCACUUUACCGUGACAUUUUUCUUAGACUCAAGAUCAUAUAAUCUUUAAACUCUACAGAGUUGGAAAAAAUUCUCAAGUAAAUUGCAAUAUGCAAUUAUAUUCUUGCACACAUCAUCAUAUAUGAAUUUGCCUUUAAUGAAUCAUAUGCUUCAAUGCUCUACAAGGUUUCUGAUAUCUUGUGCUCCUGGUCUCUUUUUUUGGUUCUCCUACAUCUACAGAAAGCUAAAUGCUUUCUCAUAUAGGGCUAAUGAUAAGGGAGUAGUUAAGAGGCUUUCCAAUAUCUUCUUGUCAUCCCCCCCACCACCUCUUUUUUUUUUUUUUUUUUUUUUUUUUUUAAAAAGGGGGGAUUUUNNNNNNGUUUCCCAUAUUUUUUUUUUCCCCCCCCCCCCCCCCCUUUUUUUUUUUUUUUUUUUUUUUUUUAUGAAAAAGGAGGAACUCUGAAUUGAUAUAAAUAAUUGUUCCGAUGGAAACUUCUCUUCUACCGUAGAUAGAGGAACAAGCCAUUACUUUUCUAUUCAUUAUCAUUUUGAUUACCACCUCUAAAAUCAUUUCCAUAUUGAACUUUGGACAUAUGAGAGUUUCAAAUCGAAUCUCUUUAGAAAGAAGAUUUUGUCUCAUGGUAGCUUGUUCUAGUUGCCUUACGAAACUUUCGUUAUUAGGUUAGUCAUACACUUCACAUGUUUCUAGCAAUUUACAUGGCAUCAUCAAAUGAUACAAAUCUUGGAUAAGAAUCUACAAUGUAUUAGAAUGCCUUUGUUGCCGAUCUUUUACUCCAAUAGCAUCUAGGGAUCCUAGAACAAUUGGAUAUCUUAUACUGGGUAAAUCCUUAACCCUUUCCCCUCUUACUAAGAAUUGAAGAAUGUUCAUGUGAAUUAUGGCUAAUACUGGGUAUAUAAGCAGUGAUUUCAAAUGUAGAGAUUAAUUGUGCUCUGGCUUUCAGUUGGAUCAAGUUCAUUAUAUAUUUGCACAUUAAUUCAUCUAUGUAGGCCAUUAUUCAUUUGCUUCACACACUUCAUAUUGAUAUCUACGUGUGUGCGCUUUUAGAUCUAAUCUUCAUCUGAGAAUAGUGAGAAAGCUAGCAUUUUCAAGAAUAGGUCAGUGUUGUCAAUCAUCUAUUUUUCUGUCUCACACAUCAUUUCAAAAUGUUAUUUGCUUGUUCCAGUUAGUUUCUGUAUGUAUGAGCAAAAUGAAAGCAAAGCAUUAUGUUCUUUUAAUUUGUCUACUUUCACUAAACCCAUCUGAGCGUGAUAGUUAAUAUACAAUGAAGAUUUUCAGGGUCGAAUUUUUCGUUUAACCUUCUUUCAUCUUUACACGAUAACUUUGAUUAUUAAUUUCUUAGUUUAUUUUCUUCUAGUUUCUCAUCCAUGAUUACAGAAACAAAGGCAUCAAUCUUUCAAUACUCAUUAUUCUACUUUUGGCUAUUACAUUCUUUAUUUUCUACUAUGGUCUCUUAUUUGUUCGUUCUUUUUCUCAGUUCACAUUCAAUAGUUGCUAAAUACAUGGUCGCACAGUUGGGAUAUAGCCCUCAGAUUUUCCUUUUGUUUUACUUGUGCAGUUUCAUGAAUAUAUAAUAAGGCUAUUUUGUUUAUAUGUCGCCGUUUUUCACUCUGCAUAGUAUUCAAGUAUUUCUCUUGAUUUGUUCCAGGAUGAGCAGGAUUGAAGUCGACAUUUGCAUUGUCGCUCUGAAUUACAUUUUCCAUAUCUAGAAGCCCUCGUUCGCAUUUUCAUCAACAACUUUUCCCCUCCAAAUGUAUUCCCAAGAUUGUUUUGGAUGUUUAAUUGUUGACUGCUAUGUAGGUCUGAGAUGAAUUGUUCUGCUACUGGCUCUACAUGAAAUUUAAACAGAAAGUAAAAGGUAAUAAUUGCUUUUUAUUGCAGAUUGAAUUACAUGUUUGCUUCACUAAAUAGCUGAUGUAUUUGUAACUCUAUGGUGUCGUGUUUGAUGUACUGGAUUAGACUACAGACGAGCUGAUCAAAUGUCUCGCGUUUUUGUACUUUUUCCUAAAGUAGCAAACAUGCCUAUAUGUAGAGGUUAGCCUGCAAGCAUGCCUCAUGUGGGCCACCAUGCUCAAUAUAUGUUUUUUUUUUUUUUUUUUUUAAAAUAAUUUUCUUAAAAGAAAUAAUACAAUGAAAAUUUUCAGGGUUAAAUUUUUCGUUUCACCCUCUUUCAUCUUUACAUGAUAACUUUGAUUAUUAAUUUUGUAGUUUAUUUUCUUCUAGUUUCUCAUCCAUGAUUGCAGAAACAAAGGCAUCAAUCUUUCAAUACUCAUUAUUCUACUUUUGGCUAUUACAUUCUUUAUUUUCUACUAUGGUCUCUUAUUUGUUCGUUCUUUUUCUCAGUUCACAUUCAAUAGUUGCUAAAUACAUGGUCGCACAGUUGGGAUAUAGCCCUCAGAUUUUCCUUUUGUUUUACUUGUGCAGUUUCAUGAAUAUAUAAUAAGGCUAUUUUGUUUAUAUGUCGCCGUUUUUCACUCUGCAUAGUAUUCAAGUAUUUCUCUUGAUUUGUUCCAGGAUGAGCAGGAUUGAAGUCGACAUUUGCAUUGUCGCUCUGAAUUACAUUUUCCAUAUCUAGAAGCCCUCGUUCGCAUUUUCAUCAACAACUUUUCCCCUCCAAAUGUAUUCCCAAGAUUGUUUUGGAUGUUUAAUUGUUGACUGCUAUGUAGGUCUGAGAUGAAUUGUUCUGCUACUGGCUCUACAUGAAAUUUAAACAGAAAGUAAAAGGUAAUAAUUGCUUUUUAUUGCAGAUUGAAUUACAUGUUUGCUUCACUAAAUAGCUGAUGUAUUUGUAACUCUAUGGUGUCGUGUUUGAUGUACUGGAUUAGACUACAGACGAGCUGAUCAAAUGUCUCGCGUUUUUGUACUUUUUCCUAAAGUAGCAAACAUGCCUAUAUGUAGAGGUUAGCCUGCAAGCAUGCCUCAUGUGGGCCACCAUGCUCAAAAUUUUUUUUUUUUUUUUUUUUUUUUUAAAAUAAUUUUCUUAAAAGAAAUAAAAAUUGAAAAAGGCUUGAGUCAUGGGCCUUGAGAGCUAGUUACCACACGGCUUUUCUGGACCGGCUAGAGUAUCUAUAUACUUCUAUGUGUAAAACGGGUUCUGAUCAUGGUGACUUCACAUCUACUGUUUGUAGAAUUCUUGUAGUGCAAUGGCCGCCAGUGAAUUUGUAAUUCGUUAUUUUCUCUUAUUUUUAAUAAAAGUACACAUUUUUUUACAUGAAUUUCUGAACGUGAAAAUUGGCUUGAUAGUGUUAAAGUAAAGGAUGGCCACGGUUGAUAAUUUAAGUAAUUAAGUAUAGCAUAAUGCAAUUUGUAUAUUAUUAUUUACAUGUUAAUGUACAGAGUGAUGGCAUGAUAUUAUAUUAAAAUUUAAUUGAUUUUUUUUUCUUUUUUACUUUCUCUCUCUUUAAAAUCAUUUUUUCUCAUUUUUCUUUCUUUCUUUCUUUCCUUUUUUUUUUUUUUUUUUUUUUUGGGUACAUCGAUCCGUAAAUAAUUGUUUACAAGUAGCAUUGCUCGUAAGCAUAUUGAUAGAAAGAUAAAAUUGCACAAAUAGUCUUAUUAAAUCAAUUCAGCUAUUCAUUUUGAAGUGAAUUUGCUAGGUUUCAUGCCUAAAUUGUUUGGUAAAAUUAAUAAUGAGGCAUUAAACAGCAUUUUCAAGACCUGAAUCUGAAAAUGUGCAGUAUACAGCCCUUUCUCUUCAUUAUUUUGAAAAUACACAUUUCUCUUUCUUAUUUUUAGUUAUACUUUUUUUCAAUAAAAUAAUAUUACACACAAAUUUAAAAUAUUUGUUAUUUUUUAACUACAUAUUAUCUAUCAAAAUAUUUUUUGGAUAAACUUUUCAUUUUUUUUUAAUUUUAUUUAUUUAUUUUUGCAUUCCCACUCAAAUGAGUUCUAAUUCAAUCCUCAGGGUAUCUCCAAUGAGUGAUGCCAAACUUGGUGUAAUUUUACAUCAAGUUUGGUGUAACCUGUUCAAUUGUUAUACUAAAUUUGAUAUGGAUUUUACUGUAUGUACAUCAAUAUUUAUAUAAUAGAUUACAUAAUGUUAUAUAUCUCUCUGUUAUUUGUUAGUCUAAAACACAAUCAAUUUUUUCCUUCACAUCAUAUUAUGUCAUCGAUUAUCUAUAUAUUUUUAUGUACAAGUAGCAAAGUUUAUUUGAUAUAGACCAUUGGAGAGUUUUACACUGAGAUUUACAAAAAAAAAAAUAUAUAUAUAUAUAUUAUUUUAAAUUAUCUAAUUAAAAAUUAUAUUAUUACUAAAAUCGUUAAGCCCUUGUUUGUUUUUUAUUCUUUCUUCAUUAAAAUGAAAAAUAUGAUCGUUAUCCAUCACAUCAAACCACGAAAUUUGGAUUUCUAUAUUUUGGGUAAGGUCCGUAACGACUAUAUUUUUCAUUCUUAUAUUUACAAAAAUGUGACACAAACGUCCCCUAAAUUCAAAAUUACAUUUAAUGAACUAAAAUAUUGUAUUUAUUAAUAAAUUAAAAAAUAAUUUUUAAUGAAAUUUAUUAUCAAUAAUUUUGCCUCCUCUUGAGCAUCAUUAUAAUUGAAUUUUGGAGAAAAUGUAUUUUAGAAUAAUAUAUAUUUUUUCUUUUUGGGAAAUGUGAGGUUAAAAAAGAAAAAAAAAUUUAGAUUUAUGUUUAAUAUUAUUUUUAUUGGAGAAUGUGUGAUUGAUAAAAAAAAAAGAAAAAAAUGAAUUAUAACAUUAAUCAGGGGCGGACCCACAUGGGGUCAGAUGACCCCACAAAAUUUUGGAUUUUUCUUAUUCAAAAAAUGGUUGUUUUAACUCGUUUUCGAUCUACUUUAAUACAUACUAAAUGAAAAAUGAAAUAUUGCAUUCUUAGUAUCAUUUCUAAGAAUUUAUGGCCUAGUUUUUCGCUUCUUAAUGGUGUACGAAAUAAUCGACCAUAACAAAAGAUACGAUGUAUUAAACUUUUGACCCCACAACCCAAAACGGUUGGGUCCACCCUUGACUUUAAUGGAACCUUAGAAGGAGCUAUUACUUAUUCAGCCUUCAUUUGGCUCCCAUUCUUUUGAAAUUUUAAUUAUUGGAAUAGUAUUUUCUGAAAAAUGUAUGGUAAAAAAAGAAUGAAAAGUUUUUUAUUUACGUGUAAUAUUAUUUUAUGGAAGAUUAUAUAGUUGAAAAUAAAAGAGAAAAAAAGAAAAAGAAUGAGAAUGAGAAUGUGAGCCAAACGGAGGCUAAUUGAUUAGAAUUUAAAAAUAAAUGUCAUAUGAAAAUAAUCAUUGCAUUAAAAAUAAUUAUGAAUCCAUCAAAUUCUAUUAUUCUAAAACAUAAAAAGGGAAUAAACAUUUGUUGCAAAGAGGAAGGGAGAACAAAAUGUGGAUUAUUGAAAAUGUAAAUGAAUAGUAUUACACAAAAUUACUCAUUACACCAAACUUUAAAGUAUUUGGUUCCUCAUUGAAGAGCAUUUACGUUAAAUUUGAUGUUUUACACCAAAUUUGGUCCUCAUUAGUGAUGGUAUAAAUGAUGAGAAUGCGUUUAUCAAUAAGAUAGACCGUCAACAAACAAAAUUUGGAACAAUAAAGUCAGGAAAGGGCUAAAAAUUUAAAUUUUAUGAAUUAUUGUCAAUUAUGAAAUUACGUUAGACUAAACUUCUUUUCAAAAAAAUUUCUUAUGAAAUUCUCACUAUUUGGUCUCCCUCAAAUACUCAAUAGAUAUAAUAUAGCAUCAUUGAAGUACAAAUGCACUUUACUUUCAAUUUUUCAAUUUGAACUGUAAAGAGAGAGAUAUUUAGAUGUGUCAAAAUGUGUCAAAUCGUCUAUAUUUAGUACGUAAAUUUAUAGCCCAAUUUUAAUCUAACAUGUCUCUACCGUUGAGAUGUGCUAAACUUAGAUGUUGAGAGCCCUUACAUCCCUGGUUCCUAUUCAUUAAGAAAAACAAGAUCGUAGUAAUUACUUACUUAUUUCUUACCAAUUGAUUAUCAUGGUUACAAAAUUAUACGCCAUUUUUCCCCUCAUGAGGAAUACAUAAAACCAAGUAAUUAAACUUUCAAAUUUAGAAUACAGGUAUGAAGUUUAUUUAAUAAAAAAUCAGGUAUUAAUUUAUUGUUUUAUUAAUUAAUUAAUUCAAUUCCAAACCCUAAUUCACUUCUCCCCUUUCUUCUCUCCAUUCUCUCUCUACUAUCUCUCCAUUCUCUCUACCAGCAUUGGCCACUGCUAAAUUUGACCGCCACUCAACUCGUCGUGACGAAUGUUGGUGUCGUGACAAGCGUCAAUGAUGUGGCUGUUGAGCGUUGAUCUGAGCGCCCCUGCGAGUCAAUGUCAGCAUCGAAGCUGCGACGUUGUCGUGGCUAUGCUGUGUGGCGACGUUGGUCGACGAUAGUGUGACAGCAUCACGAGACGUACAAGAUGGUUCAAUGUGGAAGUUUAUUGGUGCGGUGUCAGGUGUUUGUUGGUUUUUGGAGUGGUAAUGGAUGUGGUGGUGGUGUCGUGUGAAUAUUGAUCUGUCGGUGUCUGAAUGGUGUGAAUAUUGAUCUUUUGGUGGUAGCUGUAGCGGUGUGACGUGCUGUGUUCAGAUCCGGAUGGUGUUGACGGUGAUAGUGUUUGGAUGGUGGUGCGGUGAUAUUGUGUGGUUUAUGGUGGUGGUCUUGUUGGUGGUGGAGGCGUUGGUUAUAUGUUGUUGUGGUUUUUGGUGGGGGCGGUUGUGUUGGUUUUCCAUCAAAUUGGGUAUUUGUUGGUGGCGGUCGUGGUGGUUUCUAGUGACGGAGGUGGUGAUUGCCUUGAAUUUUGUUCUUGUUGGAGUUGGCGUUGGCAUCGAUAACGGGUUGAGGGUGGUUGCAAGUGCCUGUGACAUCAUUUACGGCGCGAUAGUGGUGGUGAUCUGUGACCAUUAUUUGACGAGUGUGACCAAAUAUUUAGUUAUUUGUGACCAUGUGAACUUGGCGACGGUAAUGAGGUGAGGGUGGUCACAAGUGGUCGUGAUGGCAGUGGCGAUGCGAUAGCGUUAGUCGCGGUGGUCUGUGACAACUAUUUGACUUAUGUGACCAAAUAUUUAAUUGUAAUCAACAAAUUUGAAAAUAUGUGACCUAUAAAUUUAUAGAGUUGUGACUAUCGAAAUAAAUUGUGAGGUAUAAAUUUUUAGAUUUGUGACCAUCGAAAUAAUCAGUGAUCUAUAAAAAAUUUUAUUUGUAACCUUCAAAUAAUUUGUGACUAAUUAAUUUAAUGAUAUGUGAUUAAUAAAUAAAUUGUAACAUAAAAUUUUGUAUUAGUGGCUAUUAGUUCUAUAAUUGUGACUGUAUUACAUUUAAUUAAUAAAAUAUUUUUAAUUAAUAAAUAAAUACUUGAUUUUUGCACUGUUAAGUUUAGGACUUGAAAAUUGAAUUGAUAUAAACAACAUACUUGAGUUAUGAAUUUUCCCGUCUCAUUUUACCCGGUCCAAGCCCAAUAACCCGUUUUCUCUCAUUUCAUUGCCCGGAUAAAUAAGGGCCCAAGCCCAUAGUUAAACUAGGGUUUUGCAACACUCACGUAUAUAACAACACUCUUUUGUUUUUGUUGUUUCUUGUUACCCUCUUUCUCGCCACACAGACGCACGCACCGAGCACACAGUUCAUCACAAAUGGCGCCGAAAACUCAGAGAGUGACCCGUAACCCGGAAUUGAUCCGUGGGGUCGGAAAAUACUCGCGUUCCCAGAUGUACCACAAGAGGGGACUCUGGGCUAUCAAGGCCAAAAAUGGAGGCAAAUUCCCAAUCCACGAGAAGAAAUCUGUAGCCGCAGAGCCAGUUGCGGUGAAGGCACCCAAAUUCUACCCAGCUGAUGAUGUCAAGAAGCCGCUUUCCAACAAGCGCAAGCACAAACCCACAAAACUUAGGUACUUUUCAGAUUUGUUUAUUUUGUUUUUUUUGAAAAAAAAAUAAAAAAACCCAUGAUGGUAUCUGAUAUGAUGUGAUAAAAUAAGGUAUCUAAUCAGUGAUGAAUUGUAGUCAUUUAGAAAUUUAAAUUGAACUCGGUUCUCAAUGGGCUUGGUCUGAUAAUGAGAGCAUAUUUCACAUUUUCGCUGUUAUGCUUUGCAUGCAGAAUCUCUUAAUAGUUUUUUCGUGUGUUUUGUUUAACUGGCUGCAUAGUAUUUGUUUUCAUUUCAUGCUCUUAAUAUUGUACUUUCUUUCAAGUAUGAUACCAGGACACAUCAAAUGACCCUGCGAAGCUAUUUCCUAAUUUUUAUCUAAUUGCUGCUGUAGGACCAUUCAAGAUCAAUGGUGUUCCUCUAAGACGUGUCAACCAAGCCUACGUUGUUGCUACUUCCACAAAGGUUGACAUCUCUGGGGUGAAUGUGGAGAAGUUCGAUGACAAGUACUUUGCUAAGCAAGCUGAGAAGAAGAAGAAGAAGGGCGAGACUGAAUUCUUUGAGGCAGAAAAAGAGGUUUUCCUUCUCUUUUCUCCUCAAAAUAAUUAUCCUGUUAUUCUUUUUGGUUGUGCUGAUACGAAUCAUCCUCUGUAAUGUAAUGUAGGAGAAAAAUGUGCUUCCAGCCGAGAAGAAAGAUGACCAAAAAGUUGUUGAUGCAGAAUUGUUAAAAGCUAUUGAGUGUGUUCCAGAAUUGAAGUUAUAUUUGGGAGCAAGAUUCUCUCUAAAGGCUGGAAUGAAACCUCAUGAGCUCGUCUUUUAGAUGAAUUUAACUUAUUUGGUUCCUCUUGUUCCUGUAUUUUUAUCUUCCUUAAUUUUGCAUUAGAGAUUUAUCUUGGAACACAGUUUUAUCUGUUAUAAACAUUAAAGUUUUAACUUGGUGUGACUUUUGGUUAUAUUUGAGAAUGAAUUUUCUUGUUGGUUUCAGUUUCAUGGCUAUGGACAUUAUGAUAUUGGUAGAAUUUUUAGCCUCGGUGAGUUAAAUUUUUCAACGGCCACUGAAUUUUGCUCCACUUCAUAAUUUACUCACCGAACUUUAUGAAGUGUCCCAUUAGCUAUGGAACUUUGAUAUGCACUAUUCCAUUGCUCACCGGAUGAACCCCGUUAAUAGAUAUGCUUAUGUGGACGGCGAGAAUGUGACUUGGCUGAUGAUAUCACUCCAAAUGACAAGUGCCAACUAACAGCCAUGUCAUCAAUUAAUAUUUCAAACAUGCCUUUUCAAACUAAAGAAAUUGAAACUCGACUUCUUCCUCACAGCUUCAACUGGAGAUGAAAUUGUUCACAUGCAGUGAAAUCAAAAACCCCCCAAAUCGAGCCACAAACCCUAAGGUGAACCCAUCGAUUUUGCCCCAAAAUUUCAACCUACUUCACCGGCAGUGAUCUCAAUUGCACCAAAUGAAGUUGGUUUUGAUUUGAAUGCUCUAAUGUGUGACUUAGACGGUAUUGUUUUUCGCUGUGUCUAUAUUUCAUUGUGAAUUUGAUUGUUGGUGGUAUGGAUUUGUCUAAGAUAUGAUUUGUAUGCUAAAGUGAGGCCAAAGUUAUACACACUACUGCUCUGUAGAUGGGUUUGCUAAUUCAUGAGAUGUUGCUCUAAAGGAGGCUACGGAAACUGGGGCCUGAAUCCCAGUACUAGUUGAGGCUAUAGGGGAAGGAUUAACAAAAUGUAAAGAAUAUGAGAGUAGGAAUUCUUGUUGUCAUAUGCCAGAACUACAGAGAGAUACAGAAGGAUUAUUAUGAGGAAAGGUGUGAUGCCAGGGCUUUUCCAGUUAAGUUUUGAUGGGACAUGGAGGGGUAAAGAGAAGGCCAAAGAAUUGCUUCUUCUUUUAAGAGUUUAGGCUCAAAUCGUGGAUCAAAACGUAAACAAUCCAAAAACGUUCUGUUGGAUUCAUUUGUGAUGAAAUUAAUGCAUUAGUGAUUGCUAUAAUUUACAUUCCCUGAAAUAAUUGAAGUUAUUUGUGAAAUGCUUUAGAAGAAAAUGGAAAAGGAGCUAGGGAAGAGAACUGGAAAGGAAAGGGAAGAGAUACGUAUGUAAUCGAUUAAAACACUUAUAUGUAGUUGUCAUGUUUAUGUAAUUGACACUAAAUUUGGUGUUAAUUAUGUUCAGUCUACGUUGAUUACCAAGAAAGUUAUUUGUUAUGAUUCGGGUGUUACUUGAAUUCUUUGUUGAAAAUAAUUGAGAUUUCUAAUUAAAGUGAACAUUAAGAAGAAUUUUAUUUGAAAUAUUAAUGUUGAAUUCUAUUCAAGUUUACUUUGUAAAUUUUAGUUGAAGUUCUGCUUGGAAGCCAAAUUAAGAGUUGAAAUUUGUAUUGGACUUUAAGAGGACAUUGGGAUGAAGAAAAUCUGGAUUUUGGAAUAAAUGACCCAGUAGUGGGCGUUGUGGCGCCAAGGCGAUUUUCGCCUUGUGACGCAGCUACACGAGUAGUUCCCGUUUGUUUCGACUCAUGAGCAACUUUUCCUCCUUUACUCCGUUUUGGACUCUAGUUUUUGCAUUCUACUUCAAUUACAACUCUAUUAUUAGAAUUUGGACGUUCUCUAUUUGUUCUCUAUAUAUAGUUGUCUCUUUAUUACGAUUUAAUAGAAGUUAGAAAUAUUGUAAAUAUAUAGUUUUCGUAUUCUUUCUCCACAUCCCUACUAUAUAAAAAAGAGAAUGUGAAGUUGCUGUAGAAAUCAACAGAGACUUGUUUCAUUUUGUCUCAUUGUAGCAUUUAUUUUAUUUUAUUUUAUUUUUUAUGUUUUUUUAAGUUGGGGAGCAAAAACGACGUCGUUUGCCUUACUUGAUUUAUAUUUUAUUUUACAGUGAAAAAAGGCAAUCUAAAUUUACUUCAACACGCAACUUUCCAUAUCUCCCACCAAAAAUUUAAAGUAAUAUUUAGAUAUAUUUAAUUUAAAAAAAUUAAAUAUUAAUAAAAAAAUUACUAUAAAAUUAAAUAUCGUUUGAAAUUAUUAAAAAAUAAAAAUACUAAUAAUAUAAGACAGAAAAUAUUUCUAAGAAGUAAAAUGUUACUUAUGAGUAAAAAAAUUGAAGAAAAAGGAAUUAAAAAGAAUUUUAAAUUGAAAAAAAAUUUAUUUAUAGUGUAAACAAAAACAAAAACAAAAAGGAAAAAAUAAAUAAAUUAAAUCUCUCUAUGCACGGAGACUUAAGUCUCCUUGCAUGGAGUUUAAGAGUCUCUGUGCGCGGAGACCGCACGGAGACUAAGCCAUGUGCAGGUCUCCAUGCACGUCUCCAUAUCUGUGUCUGUGCAUGGAGACUUGGUUUCCAUGUUGCCUCCAUGCAUGGAGACAUUUUUAUUUUUUUUACAUUAUAAAUAAAUUUUUUCAAUUUAAAAUUAUUUUUAAUUCUUUUCUCUUCGUAAUAAAACUUAAGUAUUUAGUUUUAACUAAAUAAUAUUUAUAUAUUAUUUAUUUAAUUUUCGUAACUUUUUUUAUUUUGUUUUUAUUAUAGAUAUAUAUUUUUUUAAAAUUGUUUUAAAAUUUCUUUUUUCUUCAUAUUAUAAAUACUUUUUUUAUUUAAAAUUCUUUUUAAUUCUUUUUGUUUAAAAUGUAAUUUUUUCAAUUUUAAUUAAAUAAUAUUUAUUUUUAAUUUUAAUUAUUUCGAUUUAAUUUAAAAACAUUAUAAUAAUUUUUUUUGUUUCUUUUUAUUUUUGCCUCUAAUUUUGUUGUUGUUUCAUUUGUUAAAUCAUUCAAUUUUUUUUUUUUUUUUAUCUAACCUUAUAUAAAAAGCCAAUGAAUUGGGUAUUGUAGAUGCAAUAGUAUUCCAAUCCCAUUCCCUUUCUAUUGUAUGAAGUGCAAAUGACGUCAAUUUUCUCUACAGCAAAUUUGUUAUUUUUCCCUCCUCAAUCGUGGGAAAAAAUGACGUAAUUUCGUCUUCGAUCUUUUUAUAUUACUAUAUUACUAUUACUUACAGUAUGGAAGAGGCAAUUUUUGAGUGGACACUUGUUGCAAUUUUGUAUCAUCUUGUCCAUUAUUAGUUUUUAUAAUCUCUAUCUCUUACACUACCUUUUCUUUCAUUUUCACACGCAAUCAACCAUGCCUCUUUACUCUUUUUUCAUUUUCACACGUUACAACCACGCCUCUCUACUUCUCAAUUUCUUCACACAAAAAGGAUGUGUUGUCUGACUGUUCGUGUUAGUGUGCAUUUUAAGCUUGCAGCCAUUUUAGAAUUUUUAUAAUCAUCAAUAAGAAAAUUGUUUUUUAAAUCAUAGAAAAAAUCUAAACUUUUCUUUUUCUAAAUUUGGUGCCGUCAAGUAUCCAAUUUGUUUUUUGGUCCAUUUUCUUUUGUUAUGAUAUUUUUUGUGAAAUAUGUGGCUUUAAUUAUAUGUGUUUGUACGGUUGGAUGAAUUUUAGUUCUUGACCAAUGGAUAGAAAUCCUUGAAAAAGUUUGUUAUUUUUUUCUAAAGGGUUCCCUUGAAAUUUGUUGAGAACUAGCUAGGAAAGUGGGGAGCUAAUGUAGGUUACCUAUCUUUAACUUAUUUUCUGUUGUAGAAAUAAUUGUCCAAUUUAUUUAAGGUCUGUUGAUACUUGUGUGCUUAAAUGUUUAUCAACAGCAAAGUAAUCCAAUCAUUUUCCAUUGAUUCGUGUAGUUACAUGUUGAGGUUUCAUGAUGCUGAAUUCUUCAUAUUUGCAUCUAAUCACUCAUAUUUCUGCUGGUUUUGUUUAUAAUUUGUAAUUAAUAAUGAAUUUUUUGUUUUCUCUACAGUGUCUGGGAUGCAUACAUAAAAUCCACAUGAUUUGUGACCAAAACAAAGGGUGAGAAAAUCUUUGAUGUUCUCCUCCAUUCCUAGAUUUAAAGCAAAUCUUUGUAUCUGACAUUUCGGGAGAAAGGAAGUCGUAAAGAUAAUUCACCACAUAUUCAUCACAACUUUUGGGUGAAAAGAACCAAAAUGACAAGAAUAUCACAUCACAUAGUGUUAUAUAUAACUGGUGUCAUAAGAAUAGUUAACUCAGAUGUAAUAUUGGUCCAGUGUAUAUAAAUGUUUCAAUUUUUGUACAUUUGACACAAUUCUGGAAAAGAGAAAUACCUUAGAUUAUAUCAAUUUUUAACAUUUUAGUCACAACUUUUAGGGCAAAAAUAAGCCAUAUAGGAAGCCAUUUGAUUGAACUCAUGAAUGAAUUUUCAUUUCUUGAUUCCUAGAAUAGAUAAUCUGACGCCCUUUUCAUUUUUAGGAAUUUAGUACUUCUUUUCAUAUGCAGUGGAAGAUGCCAAUAAGUAGAAAAACUUGUAGAAGAUCCGAAGAUUGCAUUUUUCAAGGCUUUUUGAACUUUCUUUUUAGGGCUUUUCCACACAGUAUAUGUUGCUCCUCCUCUGUUAAUUUUUGAAUUGACCCUUGCAUCUCUAUGAAUUUUUUUUUUCAUUUAUACACAUUGUGCACAAAUAAAUAAAUAAAGUUAUUUAGUUCGAAAAAGGUGCAAUUGAAGGUUCAGAAACGAAAAAAAGAAUAAAAGUGAUGCCAACCCCAAAAAUAGGGUGCUCUUCCGAACUAUAAUUUUAGUUUUGAAUGCGAUGAAAGAAUUGAGAAAAGAAGAGAAGUUAUCCUUUCUCUGAGUCAGUGGUACCUACAAUUCGAUAUUUCUUGCAUGACCUACACCUUAGACAUAUAUAUAUAUUUGUUUGAGCAAUUCUAUUCAAAAUUUGAGGAAAAGAUCCACGCUAAGGAAGUAGAGAAAAGUAAUUUGCAAGCCAAAACUAAGGUGAGAUUUUGUGUCAUAUUAUGAAUUCAAACUUUCAUUGGUGGAUUGUGAGAUCAAGUUUCUCCAUCUUUCCUUUUUUUUUUUUUCUUUUUUUUUUCCUAGUGAGUAGGAAUCUCGGGAAUUUGAUAUUAAAAUGUUAAAGAAAGAGUUUGGCAUUCAACAACACCAAUGCCAAGCUUUUAUCAGAAACCUCCAUUGCCGAAGCUGGAAAUAAAGAGGUAAUUUGUUCAUUUGUUGCUUGUGACACAAUUUGAAUGUUAAAAAUGUUUAUUUUCUAUUUAUAAUUUGGAAUGCUAUGUUAAAAUGUAAUAAUGAAUUUGGAACAUUUAUGCGGUGUAUUAAAAGUGGGCUUCUUAAGUUUAGUGCUUCAACUUGAUCGAUUGGAUUUGGAUGUAUGACAGUUUAGAUAAAAUGUCAAUGAAUGUUUUAUAUGCAAGUAUGCAAGAACUUAUUUCACUUGCUGCUUUUGAAUACAUCAGAAAAUAUUAUGGUUCUCGUUGAUAAUUUGCAUUGAUGUUGCAUAAUGUGUUGGUAUAAAAACUAACAAGCUACAAUCCUUUUUGCAACUAUACUUUGACUAAUUCAAGGAUGCUUGCUAUUUUGAUUGCUUCUUUCAGAAUGUGUUAUUAGGAGCAUGCUUAUUGAAAAUUGUAGACAAUCAUCCACUGACACCUGGGAAAAAUAUUUACUCAAUGUUUCUACUUCAUUGUAUUAGUUUUGAUUGGUUGGGUGAAGCAUUUUCUUGCAUUUAAACUUUGGAAAGACGAGAAAGCUUAAUAAUGUAAUUUAUAUUUUUCUUGACACUUGUCUUGCCUUUGCUCUAAUCCAAGCAAAUAAAUAUCAUAGUUAAACACCUGAACAUAUAUACAAUGUGUUGUAACAUAAAAUCAUUGCAUAAUUUCCUAUAUUUAGUUGUCGAAGCUAACCAGCAAAUAAUACUUUGCCAAUAAUUUCAUCGUCCCAUAUAUUUUUAAAAAACGUUCCAUAGUACACUAACCAAACCAAAAUUGAUGCACAACUCGUGCAUCGCACGUAUCAUCGGCUAUUUACAUUAAAAUCUCCAUUAUCUGAAAAUUAUUUUAUUCUUAUGUUCUUGUGAUUAAUUAUUUCAUACUUUAGCUAUAAUAGCUUAUUUUCUCUAACAAUUUGGCAUUGGAUUAAUUCGAUACCAUCUUCGUUUCACAACAAGCUGGUAGUAGAGCUUUUGAUUUUGAAAUUCUUGGGAAGAUCGAGGUUCUUUUCGUGAUGGUAGCUAUGAAGUAUGGUAUUCCGCUAUCGGAUCGCAAUACAAGAUUCUCUUUGUGGCAGGUAAAGAUGCAAGCAAUGCUCAUUCAAAUGGAUUUGGACGAAGCGUUGUUAGGAUAUAACAAAAUGCUCGUAAUUUGGACUUCGGAGGAGAAACAACAGAGGGAUCGAAAGGCCCUAUCUCAAAUACAUAUUCAUCUUCCAAAUAACAUUCUUUAGGCUCAUUUUGAAGUAGAAGUCAGCUGCUGUAUUAUGGUUAAAAUUGGAGCAAUUAUGUUUGAUGAAAAGUCUUACUAGCAAAUUACAUCAGAAUCAAUGUCUAUAUUCUCAUGAUAUGAUAAAAGGUACAUCUCUUGAGGAUCACUUGCUAUUUUUAAGUGUAGGUCAAAAAUGAUGAAGAAGUUUUGGAUUGAUUUUAUUGUGUUUAUUGCUAGCUUUGUAUAUAACUUAGAGACACGUUUUUGUAUGGUCAUAAUACUCUCACCAUCGAAAAAGUCUAUAAUGCUUUAUAUUAAAAGGAGAAUAUGAAGUAUUUUGUAACAUCUGAUGGUUAUGGAAUUGGCCUUAUUGUUGAUGAAGGUUGUGUAAUGGGCAAGUCAAAAUCUAACUUCAAAAUUUUUAAUUAUUGCCAGAAAAAAGAGCACUUAAUAAACAAAGUUGCAGAAUAAAUAAAAAUUGACUGCAAAUCAACAAUCAAAAACUCAAGGGAAGUAAGUAUUGUAGGAAAUCCUAAUAAUGAUAGAGAGCUUUUACUUAUGUCUGAUUACAACUCCAAAUUAGUUGAGGUCUGAAUUUUUUAUACAACUUGCAUUUUUCAUAUAUCUUACAAUCACAAAUUGUUUUCAACAUAUGAAGAAGUUUUAAAAGGUUUUGUGAUGAUUGUUAAUAAUACACCUUGUCAGAUAACUAGUAUUAGCCAGGUUAGAAUAAAGAUGUUCGAUGGGACGGUUAGAAUAUUUGAUGCAGUGAGACACGUUCUAGAUUUGAAGAGAAAUCUUAUCUCUUUAGGUAAUUUUGAUUCAAAAGGGUACACGUAUAUUGUUGAAGGUGGAGUCUGAGAAGUUAGUAAAGGAGCUCAUGUUUUGUUAAAUGGAUAUAGAAAAUCUCAUUUGUAUGUCUUGUAGUGUUAUAGAGAAUCAUUGAGCAAUUAAUAUAUUUUAAGAACACAAAUGGAUUUGGAGUUGGUUUCUAUACUGUUGGAGUCUAAUUUGAGGUCUCUUUAAAUAAUACAUUUGAAUUGAAUUCAGAACUUAUAGGUAAAUCCCCCCUGUUACCACCAUCGAUGGUGUCAUUGUAUUUAGUUACUAGUAAAUGACCCACUUUUGACCACAAGAUUCCACAUAGAUACAAUUUGUUGAUUUGGUUGAUGAUUUGAAUGUAGUUAAGGGUAUUGAUUCUAGCCAAGAUCAUUCUUUUGAUGCAUUCUGUUGUGAUUCUAUUAGAGGGUUUGUUUUAGCCUUGUUUGGUGGUCAUUAGAUCACUUUUGCCCCUAAUUGGGGUAGCAGAGGUGAAGAAUAUUUCCAGUUAGAAAUUUUUGUUGGAGAAGUUCAUUUGUGUUUUUUAUUGAAGAAUUCAAGUUUCUACUUUGCAGUGCAAUUUGUCUCCAGGUAAAGAAUUUUUCCAUUGAAGUUUUGUUCAUUGUUAUGAAAUUCGUGUCAAGGUGCAGAUUGUUAGAAUUUGGAUAUAUUUUUUGUUGAAAAUAAUUGAAAGUUUUAAUUAAAUUGCAAAUUAAGAAGAAUUCUGUUUGGAAUGCUAUUAAUGAAUUCUAUUCAAGUUUAUUUGGCAAGUUCUAAUUGUAGUUCUAUUUGAAAGUCCAAUUGUGAGUUGGAAUUUGUGUUGGACUUGAAGAGGACGUUGGAAUGAAGAAAAUAAAAUUUUUGAAGUAGAUGAACCGAAAGUGGGAGUCGGCCAAUGGCCUCACGACGCUAUGCCUAGUGUUGUGGCACCACAUGGAUGACUCUGAAGCACCACCUAUCUGUUCGCCUCUUGCGCAAUGCGCCACAUGUCUAUUUCACCUCUUGCGCGAUUUGUCCUCUAUUCUGUUUCUUGCAUUAUACUUCAAUUACAACUGUAUUAUUAGGGUUUGGACGUCCCCUAUUUCUUCUCUAUAUAUAGUUGACUCUUUAUUAUGAUUUAACAGAAGUUAGAAACAUUGUAAAUAUAUAAUUUUUGUAUUUUUUUUUUCAAUUACUUCAUAUUGUGGCUAUAAUUUCUUAUUUUCUCUAACAAUUUGGAAUCGGAUUAAUCUGAUAUCAUUUUUCGUUUCACAACAUUAUUUAUGUACGAUAUUGUGGUGAAUGUUGGAAAUGGAAUCGACGUCAACAAAUUAGUAACUUGGAACCAAUUUUUCUUAUUGGCAUGAUGUGAAGUAGGAACCUUCGUAAAAGAAAUUAUACGUUGAUAACAUUACAAUGUUUUGUCCUUUUCUAUUUUGUGUCAAUUAUUCGCUCUAUUUGAUGUAGUUGGCAUAUGCAUGUGUUAUCAUGUUAAAAAGUAUUGUUAAUAAAUUUUGACAUGCAGGCAGUCUUGCUUCUAUUUUGUGAAGUAGGAACACUGGUAAAAAAAAAAAAAAAAAAAAAAUUAUUGGCAUGUAGUGAGGUAAGCACACUAGUAAAUGAAAUUAUGUUAAUAACAUUAUAGAUUCAAGGAAAUAUGUGGUGGAAGGCAAGCAACGGUAUAAUGUAGUAAUUUUAAUCUGAAUUUUUGAUUAUCCAACAUCAGAACAACACAUAACCAGAUGAGCAAAAUACCAAAUCUUUUUUUCCCCCCCCCCCCCCCCCCCCCCCAAAAAAAAAGUAUUUUAACCAAUAGUUACAACCAGGAUCAAAAGUUUUAACUUAUUUUUGGAUUUCAAAAGUUUUCCAACAACCACAAUUCUUGUUCUACCGAGUUGCUGCAUUCUUCCUUGUCAUUGGAGGGGCAAUGGAAUUCACCCCUCUGAUCGCCCUUUUGUUCUUUGCACAGAAGCUUACACUAACUUUCCUUCCCCCUCCUUGAAUUGCCUGACUUAGAAAGUGAAGAACCGACAUUCAUAGCUUCUGCUUCCUUAUGCGCCCUUUUUUCUGCACCAUUAUAGGAGCACAUGUAAAAAACAAUAGUACUCUCAUUGAACCAGACCUCAAAUUGGAAAAUGGAAAUGCCAUAUUAUAGCUUACAUUAGAAUCAAAUGGCUGCUUGAGAGCUUUGUAUUCCGGUUUCACAUUCCUAUUUCCAUUACAGAAUGGAGACCUUAUUAUGAAUAAUGUUGAAUCGUAAUUAUUUUUAUAAAUAUCCUAUUUAUUCAUUUCAACCUUUUAUUUAAGUUUAAUUCAAAUUUUAGUGACACUCGAAUUGUUAAAGAUUCGGAUUGUCACAUGUUUACUUCAAAACUAGAUUGAAAACCAUCAUUUCUAGAAUCAAAAUUUUGCUAAAUCAUCACGGAAUGCAGUCAUCACAAUUUAAUAUAAUGAUCGAGAACAAAACAAAUUGUAAAUGAGUUCCUUUGCAUUUCUUUGUCCUAGAAAGUAUUAAUUUCAACAAACUCAAAAUGCUGCUCAAAGGACACCUUUGAAUGAGAAACUAGGUAAACAAACUGUGGGGAAUCUGUUUACCUAAAGUCAUCACCGGCAAAGGAUUACAAGAUUAUAUCUUGCCAAACCAGUAUAACAGGAAUUCCAACACGAAAGUCAAACACACAAAUCAACAACCUUUUUUUUUUUAACAAUAAAAAACAAAAAAAAUCAGGAGAAGAUUUUAACAGCCUUCAAUGUGGGAUUACCUCCCAUCGGAGUGGACUUCAUAAUCGAUCAAAGUAACCAUAGCUGCCGAAACUUUCAAUCUUACCAUCUUUGCGCGGAAGUGGAUUCAAAUUUCAUUUAGCACAAACCAUAUUACAAUGGGAAAGAUGGAUUUUCAAAAUGGAUUUGAGGUUUAUGGUUUGGGGUAUUUUUUAGUUUUUACACAAUUCUUCUCUCGAUUUUGUCCUACAGAGGCGAAGAGCAAUGAAAUGGAUUUGGGGGUUAGGGUUAGGGAUUCGGUUUGUCUGGAAAUGAUAAGGCGGGUUUGUUUGGAAUUGGGUAAGGCAUGCUUAGCUGAUGUGGAGGAUCUAAUUAACCAUUUAACGGUCCAAGUUAUUAGUCCGUCAUCCCUGUAAGCAGAUCUACCUACGAAUUUUUGAUUUGGCGCGUGAUGGAGUGGGACAGAGCAAAAUUUAGUGGUUAAUGGGACAUUUCAUGUAGUUCGAUGAGUAAGUUGUGAUAUAGUGCAAGUUCAGUGGCCAUUGAAACAUUCAACUCUAACUCGUUAGAUAACUUGGUUGCAAGCCUACAACAUGCUUCUAGCUUAACUCAUUAAUUUUUAUAGUCAUUGCCCCAAUGCUUUUGAACAAUUUACCAAACAAAGAUAAAGAAAAAAGAACACAAUAUAGAAUGCUAUCCAUCGUUGAAAACAAGGCAUUAAAAAACUUUAAUGCUAAAUCCUAGUUAAAGCACGUUUGACUACGCUUAAAACUAACUUUAUAACCUAAUUUUAAGUAAAUUCAAAAGUUGAAACUUAUUCGAGUGAAUUUUGUGAAUGUCUAUUUGUCAAGUUGUCCACCAAUUAAACAAGCAAAUAGAUUUACUACUAAUUACAAGUUUUAUAUUAUUAGAAAUUAUUAUCAAGGAUUCCCUUUGCAACCCUUAUGGACUUCAGAUAUUCCUACCGAAACCAUUUUUAAAUAUAAAAAUUCAACAUUUACUCAUGAACUAGUGAAUUAGACACGAUUCCUUUAUAUUGUACUGAAUAACAAAUAGCAUGUCAAUUUUCAUUAAUUUCAUUGGUAAUGUGAAUACUCCAGCUAAAGAUGGUCGAGAUAAAAAAAAGAUGUAAGUUCCUUUGCCUGCUUGCCUAGUCAAACGUGAAUUACUUCAUAAAUCUUUGGGCUUUGAUUAUCAAGGAAUACAUACUUUACAAAUAAAGUCCACGAAUUCGCCUUCCAUUGGUAUCAUUUUAUAUUCCAAUAAAAUAAAUCCUCUCUUUCCUCAAAGUCAAAGUCCUUAGUCUACUAUACUUUUCUAAAGGGAAUGAUGCCGAUAUUUGGAAGAUUCAUCUUCUUGCAAAACUUUGACUUUGUUACUUCAAUUGCUUAAUCCGAAAGAUGCAUUCUAGUUUGUCUUCUAUCCCUAAUCGAUAAUUCUUCUUGCUUUAGUUCCCCAUGAGAUUGAUUGGACAGAACUUUUUGUUACAUAGAAAUGCCUUACAAGGCAAAGUAGCGGGAAAUGUUAAUGUGAAUGGACAUAGGAGAUACUUAACGGAACAAGCAAGAGCUUACUUGUUAAAGGAAUGUUUAUUGAAGGGCGAUGAGAAUAUUGAGGGAUUACCCCUUCCUCCGUCAAGAAGCUUGUCGUUUUACUAAUUGAGCACUUGGUGAGGCAGGAGUAGAUUGACGAAGGAUGGGAUUCGAAAAUGAAAAUACAUGUUAAAGGUAUUCAAAGAUGUUCUCCUAAUGCCCCAGUAGAAAAACUUCCAAAAUAAGUAAUUUAAUUAUGGUAGAAACAUUUCCAAAAUAAGUAAUUUAAUUAUAUAUACUUUAACCAAUAAAAAAUUAAUUUCUUUUAGAACUUUAAAACUUACAAGUGAAAACAUAGAGUUCGUUUGGUUUGCCGUUUUGAGGUCAUUUUCAAUUUUUAGUUUUCUAAAAUAUUAAAAAAUGCAUUUUCGAAAACAACAAAAAUUUUAUAACAUAAUGAUAAAACUCAAAAUUACAAACCAAACACUUUUUCUACGUUCUUAAAAUAAUUCCUCUAUACAAAAAAAAAAAAAAAAUGAAUUUAAAACGGAAAACAGAAAACAGAAAACAAAACGCAACCCAAAUGCACCCUUACCUUUCAAGUGUUAGCCGUUUUCAAAAACUUACUAUAGUGUGCUAAAUUCCUACGUCAGUUCGUUCCUUUUGUAUUCAGGCUUCAUAAUAGCCGUUAAGAAAUAAUUGCCGCAUUUUGUAUUUCAGUUCCACAAUUUAUCCAUCCUAAUUACCCUCAUAUUGUAUCUCUAUCUAUAAAAGGGGAAGUAAUCCAACUCCAGUCUUAAGUUUUCAGGGUCUCGAGAAAGAAGAAUCAUGGCCUAUUUCCUCUACAAAUUCGAAGAAAAUUUGAGUAUAGACUUUUUUUGUCCCAAAUUUCUCAUGCCAGAAUGCUGCUGCUGCCACACACUUUCUUGUAUGGCCAAGGUAAUAUUUUUUGGGUUCGAUACAAAUUGAAUAUUCCCGGGGACCCAGAUUUAGUCAAGAUGAUGACACAGUCAUAUGGAUGAAUCUGACUAUGUCGCACAUUUAAGGUCGGCCCAGGCCAAUGCUUCUCGUCACAGUAACCAAAUUGCUUGGACAGAAGAAACCAUUAUGCAACAUCUGAAGACGAGAAAUUUUGUGAAAGUGAAAGACAAUGAAGAAGGGCCCGAAAUUUGUGUCGUGUGCUGAGGUGAAUAUGAAGAAAGUGAAAGAGUUGAAAUCCCUCGUUGUGGACAUGAAUACAAUGUGGAUUGUAUGCGAAGUGGUUAUUACAAAAAAAUGUUUGCCCCAACCGCAAAGUCGACGCAUUGCAGACAGAGUGUGAGAAUUAUAGAAGCCGGCGCUGGAUACAAUUUGUUAUGUAGUAUUUCUUUUGUUAUUUGCAUUUCAAAUUGUGUAUCAACAUAUAUAUUUGGAGUUCUGUGAUGGAUACUUUGGAAAAUAUGGCAAUGGAGAUUGAAAAAAUCGAAAUCAAAUAAGGAGGAAGUAGAUAAAUUAUAUCAAUGAAAGCUUAAAUACGAAAUUAAUCUCGCUAUCCUCAAACGUUAUUUGUCCCCUUUCAAUACUUUUUAAGAAUUUCGGGCAAAUAGUUCGUAGGAUUAAACAAGCCCUGAUGAAGAACACCAAAAAACAAAAAUGUUUCUUCAAAGUGAACAAGUGAAAAAGGGAUGAAGAUGAUUAUUUGGAGAAACAAAAGUAAUAUAUAAUGUGGAUGAACAAGAAAUGAAUUUUCAUAUGAUUUUUCAUUGCAUUUUCUUGAACUUUGAUCACCUAUUUAUGGGCCUUGAGAAGUUCUCACGAAGUGGUGCGACAUUUGAGUUGAAAAGCCACCAAUUUUAAAUAAAAAAGGGUAAAAAAGGCCCAUAACAGUCACUUUUUGUAACCAUGAGGUCGCAUGGUUAUAACCCCGAUCGCCCACCAACUUUAGGUAUGGCCUUAUAUGAACGUAGGCCCAAAAUACCUAUGCAGUUGCGUAGGCCAUUUUAUGGCACUUUUUUUUUCCUUUUUCAAUUGAUUUAACCAUCCACGAGAUUUUGAACAACAAAUUUCUAAAAAUCCCCAGUUGUUCAAAAUCAAUGUUGAUCACAUAAUCAAAUAUCAACACUUAUGCGUAAGAACUAGAUAUCUUUUGAUUUGAAUCUAUUCAUAGUGCAAAUCUCAUAAAGUAGUAUCAGAAUUCCAGGUAGCUAGAGUACCUUGAACUAGUUAUUCUUUACGAUAAUACCAAUGAAAUCACACACACGUGUUAAACUUUUCACAAGUUUCUCUAACUCGCUUAAUGCUGAUAUGGUCUUGCACUAAUCAUUUUUCAUUGAACUUUUAAAGAGAUAAAACUUCAACUCUCUGAUGAGGCGACACCACCUUGAAGUUCACAUAGGUGAAGCUUUUCUAGUAUCUUUGUUACCUUUAGAGAUACUCGUACCCCGUACUAAACUUCAUUAAGAGUUUUAUUUUAACUCACCACUCCAAUAGUAACAACCAACACUAAUUUCCUAAGAAAGAAUUUAAUACAUUUAAUAGUGUUGAAAUCCAUCUACUUAUCGAAUAACUAGUUAUUACCCUUUGAACCUAAAUAUACCGGUUUAGUAUACUUUGGUAGGGUUGCCAUUAUUGGUGGAUCUAUUUGAGGAGUUUCAAUCCCAUUUUGCUCGAUGUUGAUCUCAUUAACUCUUUUGUGAGAGGUUUGAUAAAUGGGUCAGCUAAAUUCUCACUAGAUUUAUGAAAUGUAAGAGAAAUUACUUCAUGCUUGAUUAAUUUCCUUACGUACUCGUGUCUUAGACUCAUAUUUCUAAACUUUCCAUUGUACACUUCAUUAUAUGCUCGAGCUAGAGUAGCUUGACUAUCACACGAGAUAGGUAUAGAAGAAAUAUCAUUUAUGUCUAAAGGUUUCAUAUAAUAAAUCCCUUAGCCACUCGAAUUCUUUCUCAAUUUCGACCAAUGCGACCAAUGCUACAAACUCCGACUCCAUAGUUGAGUGAGUAAUACAAAUUUGUUUCUUAGACAUCCAAGAAACUGCACCACCUCCAAAAGUAAAUAUCCAACCUGAAGUGGAUUUAUUCUCUCCUGCACUCGAUAUCCAACUUGCGUCUGUAUAUCCUUCCAAGAUUUUAAGAAACUUUAUGUAUCGUAGCCUAAGGUUUUUGGUUUUCUUUAGGUAACCAAGAACCCUACCAAUGAUCUUCCAAUGUUCGGAACUCGGGUUGCUAAUAUACCUACUUAGUUUACUUACAGCAAAUGCUCCAUCAGGUCUUGUACAUUGUGACGCGUACAUAAGACUUCCAAUUGCACUUGCGUAUUCUAUUUGAGCUAUUGCUUUACUAUCGUUUUUGAUCAAUUUGAUAUUUAGAUCUAUAGGAGCAUUAGCCUUUUUAACAUUUGAAUGUUUGAACUUAUUUGUCACAUUCUCAACAUAAUGUGAUUGGCUUAAUGAAAAACCCCCACUAUCCUAUUUAACUUUGAUACCAAGGAUAGUGUCUACUAUUCCCAUAUCCUUUAUUUUGAAAAUAAAGGACAGAAACCUUUUUGUUUCUUUAAUCCCAUCUAUAUUAUUGCUAGUGAUCAACAUAUAGAAAAUAAAAAAAAUAUAUUAUCAUUUACUUUCGUAUAGAGACAUUUAUCUAUAGAAUUGUGAUUAAAUUCAUUUGACAUAAUUUUAGAGUCAAAUUUUUCAUGCCACUUUUUGGGGGCCUGUUUUAAUCCAUAUAAGGAUUUUAUAAUUUGCACAUCUUAUGUUCAUUUCCCGAUAAAACAAACCCUUCUAGUUGUUCUAUAUAGACCUUUUCUUUGAGAUCUCCAUUUAGGAACGCUCUCUUGACAUCCAUUUGAUGAACAUGUAAAUCAUAAAUAGAUGCUAGUGCAAAUAAGAUUCUAAUCAAGGUUAUUCUAGCCACAUGUGCAUAUAUGUCAAAGUAAUCUAUUCCUUAACCUUAACGAUACCCUUUAGCUACUAGUCUAGCUUUGUAGGUGUUAAGUGUUCUAUCAGAAUUGUAAUUUUUCCUAAAUACCCACUUGCAACCAAUAGCUUUAGAACCGGCUGGUAGAUCAAAAUUUCCCAAGUAUUAUUCGAAAUAAUAGAAUCCAUUUUAUUGUUUAUUGCUCCUUCCAGAACAUGCAAUCUCUAGAUUGCAUUGAUUUCUUAUAAGUUUUAGGAUCACUUUCCACUUGAAGAACAAAGGAAAUUGUUCUUACAACAUCUUUCCUAUCUCCCUCUACUAAGUAAAAGGAAAUAAGCUGGGAAUCUAUUUCAUUUGACCCUAGAAUCUUUUCUUUUCUAGUUCUUUUAAUUCUUAGAGGUUCAUUUUCAACAUCUCUUAUGGAUGUCUCUUUCGGUGAGCUUCUAAAGGUUGAAACAUCCUUAUUAUUUUUAGAUUUUCUAGCUACCAUUACAUUCUCAAAGAAUUUCACACCUCUUGAUUUUAUUAUAACGUCCGAUUCAAGAUUUAACAAUCUAUAGGUUUUGCUAUUAAGAGCAUAUCCUACAAAGGCACAUUUGAUACCUCUAGGACCUAACUUGGUUCUCUUAGGAUCCAUGUUCUUACAAUAGGCAAGGCACCCCUACAUUUUAAAAUAAUUGAUAAUUGGUUUUCUACCCAUUUAUAUCUCAUAUGGGAAAUUUUAUUCUUUUUUCAUGGGAAUCUUAUUUAUUAUAUGGUAAGCACUAAGCAAGGCUUCAUCCCCAUAGAUUAAAAGGUAGUUCAGAAUUAAAAAACAUAGCUUUUAUCAUCUCCAAAAAGCUUCUAUCCUUUCUUUCUACUAAUCCAUUUUCUUCCCAUAUUCUUGGUGCAGAAGCUUGAUGUACUAUUCUAUUUUGUUCAUAAAAUAUGUUAAGUUCAUUAGAAAAAAUUUCUCACCUCUAUCAUUUCUUAAAGUCUUUAAUUUUCUUCUAAUUGAUUUUCAACUUCAACUUUAUGAGUCUCAAAGGCACUAAAGGCUUCGUCUUUAUGUUUUACUAAGUACACAUAAGUAUACCUAGAACAAUCAUCAAUAAAAGUAAUGAACAAGUUCAAGCAAUUUUGUUGUCUUACUACAGUAUGAGUUCGCUUCUUAAUCAUUUUUGAUUUAAUACAUUUCAAAUUUUUCUAAGUUGUCAAUAUCACAUUGAAUUAAUCAUCAUUCAAUCAUUCUUUUAAUGGUAUUAACUCCGAUAUGUGUUAAUCUACUACGCCAUAAAUUAAAUGAAUCUACAACAUAUGCAAAAUACUUAAUUUUAUUUGAAUUAUCCUCAAGAGUACAAAGUUUGACAAGUCCUUUGGUGGAAUAGCCCUUUCCAACAAAGUACACAUUAUAGGUUAGUACAAGUUUUCCAGAUUCAAAAAAUAUUUAAUCCCAGGUUUUCCCAAAAGAACUCCACUUGCUAAGUUUCUAUUCAUUUUUGGUACGUGCAAGACAUUUGUCAAAGUGAUUUUCUUUCUCGAAGUGAAAAUGAGUUCAACAUUUCCUUUGCCAAUCACUUUUGAUCUUCCUUUAUUUCCCAUUUGUAUUUCUUGUUGUCUUCAAUGUUUUGAUAAGUUUUGAAAAUAGACUUAUCAUAACAUACAUGGAUUAAAGUGCAUGUAUCAUACCACCAGCCCGAAACUUUGCUUUGCAUUGCAUUAAUUUCGCUCACCGUAGUGAUAAUAUCAUCAACGGAAUUCACUUGUCCUCAAUUCUUUUGUUGUUUCCUAUUCCUACAAUCUCUAGCAUGGUGCCCCAAUUUUCCCCAAGCGUAGCAAUGUCCCUUGGAUUUGUUUUUGAACUUUCCUUGAUCCUUUCUAGGAUUAAAAGGUUUCCAUUUCUUCUUAAUUUUGUUGGAGUUGUCCACGUUGUUCACAUCAUUUGCUUUCGAAAAACUAUCAUAAGAAUUUUCAAUCUUAUCUCUUGCUCUUGAUUCUUCCUCUCUAUGAAGAUAUUUUUGUAUAUCUUCCAAAAUUUUUUUUUAGAAUUGUGAAAAAUCUUCUUCCUGUAUCCUUUCCAUAAACCGGGGAGUUUGGCAAUAAUUGCUUCCGCUUGGAAAGUUUCGCAAAGUUUGAUUUUCACUACUUUCAAUUUGUUUACGAUUAUUUGUAGUUCAUGUACUUUUAGGCAACAAUGGUAUAUUAUCCAAAAAUUUGAAAUCAAAAUAUUUAGAUAUUAAGAACUUUUUGAUAUCUUCCUCCUCGGCUUUAUAUUUGCCUUUUAGCACAUACCAGAUCUCCUUUGCUGAUUUAGUAUUGGUGUAGAGAUCUUGUAGACGAUUUGACAAUGCAUUUAGGAUAUGGCCCCAGCAUAUUAAUUCGUCCUCUUCCCGUUUCUUUCUUUCUGCAAGAAUUUCUUUGGUAUCUUUGUUCGUUGCAUCGAGAUUAGGCUCCAAUUUCGGAUCAAGCACAUAGAAUAUCUUUAAUUCCAUUAGAUGGAACUUGAGUUUGUCUUGUCAUCUUGUGAAAUUUGUGCCAUCGAAUCUGUCCAAGUGUACCAGGUCUUGAUUAAUCAUUUUUAAAGUAGCAAGUGUAGAUUCCGUCUCCAUCGUAGAAAAAAAUAAUCAAAUAACGUUUGAGAUUGUUGGAAAAUAUGGCAAUGGAAAAAAAAAAACUGAAAUCAAAUAAAGAAGAAGAAAAAAAAUUAUGUCAACAAAGGCUUGAACACAAAAUUAAUCUCUGUCCUCAAAUGUUAUUUGCCUCUUUUCUAAUGCUUUUUGAGAUUUUUAGGUAAAUAGUUCGUAGGAUUAAACAAGGCUUGAUGAAGAACGUGAAAAAGCAAAAGUUUUUCCUCAAAGUGAACAAGUGGUAAAGGGAUGAAGAUGAUUAUGUGGAGAAACAAAAGUACUAUAUAAUGUGGAUGAACAAGAAAUGAAUUUCAUAUGAUUUUUCAUUGCAUUUUCUUGAACUCUGAUAAACUAUUUAUAGGCCUUGAAAAGUUCUCACAAAGUGAUGCCAAAUUUGGGUUGAAAAGCCACCAAUUUUAAAUAAAAAAUGGACCAUAGCGGUCAUUUUUUGUAACUAUGCAGUCUCCCGGUUAUGACGCCUCAUGCGACCACAUACCCAAAAUGCCUAUGUGGUUGCAUAAGCCAUUUUAUGGCACUUUUUUUUUUCUGGUUUUUUUCAUUUUCCAUUGCCAUAUUUUCCAACAGGAUACAUAUUGUAACUUUGUCAUCAAAUUCCAAUUCUUAAUAAAAUUCACUCUUUAACUUCUGUUGCUUUUUCUUUUUUUUCUUUCCAAGUUUAGUUGUGAUUGUAUCAUUUGCCAAGAUAGUAUUACAUUUACAUUGUAGUGGAAGAUUUUAUCACCAAAGGCAUUUUUCGGGCUCAGUAUCAAUCCAACCAACCAACAACUCAAAGAAAUUGAUCCAAAUCCACUCAACUAUCCCGAACUUCGGUUACUUUAGUAUUACUCACUUAAGACAAAAGGUAAGAGAGUUGUUGUAGCCACAAAGAUGAAGAAGGCAUGGUAAAGUAAAGUACAAAUCCAGGCCUCGCUUUCACCAAAGGAGGAGGAGCAACAACACAUACACAUAAUCACAUCAAAGUAAUGGGUCAAUCCCAAUAAAGAAUUGGUGAGUGGGCCAAGUAUGUCACUAAGUAGUUCAAGACUUAUAAGUCGUCCAAAAAGUGGGGGAAGGGGCCGUGAGUUGCACUAAUUAAAUUAGACUAUUUUCAAGCCCAAAAGUUUUAUGGUCGGGUCAUUUCAUUUUGAUGUUGACUUAAGUUCAGUCAUUUGGUUGAUGAUGACUUAGAAAAUUAUAUCAAUUUUACAUCAUCUCCUGGUAAGUUGUUUGACAACAAUUUGCCCAACAAAUAUCUACCUUGGUGUCAAAGGUCCUGCAAAGGAACAUUAUAUCACAUUAGUGAAAAUUUCGAGAAGAGAACCGAUAAAAUUGAAAAUUAUUUACCUCUACCGAUGUUUAGAAGAUUCUUGCAACUUUUAAACUUCAUCAAUGAUAAUACCUUGGUGCCCAUGUUUGAGGGGUUAUAUUGUGCAUGCAUUUUUUCAAGUCAUACCACCUUCAUCUCUAUUGAAAUUUAGUCUAAUAUUAAUGUGCUUGGUGCAUUCUUGAAAACAUGAUUUUUGUGUAAAUGUAUAGAAAAUUAACUAUCUGAAUAAACUACCACAUAAUCAUUCAAAACACAAAAUUCAUGAAGUAAACAUUUAAGCCGCAAAGCCUCUUCAAUUGCUUCAGUGCAAUAUAUUCAGACUCUAUCGUUGAUAGUGCAACUAUGUGUUGUAAUUUUGACUUCCAACUAAUGCAAGAGUCAGACAAAGUAAAUAUAUAGGGGGAAGUAGAUUUUCUAUUAUCCAUAUCCCUCGCAUAAUCCGCAUCUACAAAACUUUCAGUUUCACUUAUUCUUUACUAACACCAAACUUUUGAUCCACAUCACCAGUCCUAUUCAAAUUCCUUAACAACCACUUUAAGGCUUCCCAAUGUUCUGAAAUCAGAUUAGACAUGUACCUAUUGAGAGUACUAAUAGCAAAAGUUAAAUUUGGUUUACACAUCAAAUAAAUAAUAGAUCCAAUCAAAUUAGAAUAUGGAAUCCUACUCGUGUUCUACUUCCUUUUCAUUACAUGUAGCCCAUUCUUUAUAUAAUAUAGAAUGAUUAUCCAAAGGUAAUGUAACAGGUUUACAGUCAUGCAUGCCAAAUCUUUUCAACACCGCUGAAACAUAAGUAGACUGAUACAAAAACAAUGCAGAAUUUGAUCUAUCUCUUUAAAUUUCCACAUCUUGAAUUCUCUUAACUUUACCUAGUUCUUUUAUAUCAAAUUCACCAUUCAAAUUUAUUCUUAUCUUACUUAUGCACUUAGAUGAUGAAUCAAUUAAGUUCAUAUCAUCCACGUAGAGCAAUAAAAAUUUAUAAUCAUUAUUAGCAUUAGCAUGUUGAAAUCCUAUAGUGAGUACAUUGGAAUCAAAUCUUUUAUGUCAUUGUCUAGGUGAAUGCCUUAAGCCAUAUAAAGAUCUUUUAAGGAAACACAAAUGAUCAGGUUUUACUUUAUCUUUAAAUCUCUUGUUGAUUUAUAAAGAUUUGCUCAUCAAGUUCACCAUGUAAAAAUGUAGUUUUUACAUUAAGUUGUUCAAGUUUUCAGUCAAAAUGUGCAACCAAUGCAAGCAAGAUCCUAAUAGUGCUAUUCUUAACAAUUGCUGAAAAAAUCUCGUUAUAAUAAUUUUUCUUCUUCUAUGUGUAUCCCUUAGCCACUAACCUAACUUUAAACUUUAAGCGUUCAGAUGCACUAGAACCCGCCUUAACAUAAAAAACUCACUUACGUUCAACUCUUCAGAUUGUUUACUCUUUAUCAACCUCUCGAAGAUUUUUGGCUCUUUAUCAGCUAGCUACUCAUAACUAGCGUAAGCAAAAGCUGACUCGAAUGCAUAUUCAAAUCUUUUAGGCUCUUUCGUUUGUCUUCUCUUACUAUACCUAGCUAAAUUAUACUUUACCAAGAAAUUCUCUUCCUCAGGAUGUCUUCUAUCACUAGUUCCUCUCUAUACUUCACCUUUGGUUGUUGAAAUUAAGUCUCCACCUCAUUAGGAGUAGCGUACGGAUAGAUGUACUAAGUUUUCCUAGCUUUAUCUUCAAAUAAUCUCUUUCUUCACCUUUCUAUUUUUCACUCAUAGGUUUGGAUUUAGUCUUAAGAUAUGGAUUCAAUCUUAAGAUAAGGCAAUUCAACCUCGUUAAAUGUGACAUCUCUACUCACAAUGAUCUUAACCCUCUUUUGGUUUCUAUCCUAUAAUCUGUACUUGAUACCCUCAGGGUAACCAAGAAAAACACAUUUUUUAGCUCUAGGUUCAAGCUUUCCCUCACUCUAAUGAGAAAAUGCAGUACAGCCAAAAGUUUUAAGCACAGGGUAAUCCUAAACUUAUCCAACCAUUUUUCAUAGGGAGUGUCACCAUUCAAUACAACAGAUGGAGUCAAAGUAAUCAAAUAAUAGUUAUAACAGCUUUACCCUAAAAUGCUUUUAGGAUACCAUAACAUAACCUCGUGAAUCACAUUUUAUCAAGUAUAGUUCUAUUCAUCCUUUCCGUUAUCACAUUUUGUUAGGGUGUGUAAGGAACAGUCUUAUUCCUUAUUAUUCCAUUCACUUUGCACAUAUUAUCAAAUUCAGUGUCACAAAACUCUGGGCCAUUAUUAGUUUUCAAGAACUUAAUCCUUCCGCCAGUUUGAUUCUGAACUUGUCUUUUCCAAUUAUUAAAAUUGUGGAAAGUAUCAGACUUAUCUUUUAAAAGAUAACACACCUUUCUAAGAUAAUCAUCAAUAAUGGACAAGAAGUACCUAUUUCCAUCCGAGGUGAGAUUACUAGCAGGGCCCUGAAAGUUUGAAUGCACGUUUUCUAGCACACCUGUAGUUUUGUAAACACUUGUGGAGAAAAGAAGUCUUGUGAUGCUUACCAAGCACACAUUGGUUGUAGAAUGAUAAAACCGAUAGAUAAUCAUUACCAAAUACAUAUUUUCAUUAAGAAGAAUAAGCCCUUAAUAUCCACAUGCACAAGUCUAUUCAUUUAUGUGUGUGAUCAGUCUUGGUAGAAGAGAUGGAAGAAUCUAAACCUCUUAUCACUUUUCCAUUGGUGAUGUAAAUAUCACUUUUUUCUAGAUUCCUUGAUGGAAACAAGUGCACCCUAAUCAUUUUCAAAACUCCAUUUCCAAUUUUAUCAGCGAAGUCAGCUUUCUCAAGUUUCCAUACUAAAAUUAAAUUCUUAGACAAUUCAGGAAUGUAUUUAACAUCUUUUAAAGUACACACAAAACCAGUGUCAAAUUUUAAAAUAAUAUCUCCAAUCCCAGUAGCAAUAUGAGCCAAAUUGUCACACAGCAUAGCAUGUCCGUUAUUAGAUUCAUGCAAGUUUUUAAGCCGGUCCUUUUUAGAUGUCACACGAAAAAAUACACCAAAAUGAAGUAUCCACUCAUGUAAACUAGAAUCAGCAGUUAGAUUCAAUUUAACAAUCGGACUUGUAAUCACAGAAACUUCGCCAUCAUUAACAUUGGGAGCAAAAGAUAAAAUAUUUACUUCAUCCCUCUCUUUAACAUUUUACUUACCAUUUUCUUUAUAACAAUCUUUUAGAAAAUGCAUUGUGUUCCCAUAGCUAUAACAUUUCUUAACUUUGGUCCUAGAUUUUGAUCUAGACCUACCAUUACCUUUCUUUUUACCUCUAAUACUAUUUGACUCUCCACUACUUUGGUAUCCAUCAUGACCGUUUUGCCUAAACUUAGUUCUACCUCUCAUCGCAUUGCUUGUAAUGUUUUUCAACUUCAAUUUUCAUCUCUUGACUUCUAAGAGAAUCAACGACAAUUUCAAGUGCCAAGGUGUCCCUAUUGUAUUUAGUCGCAUUUUUAACUUCCUUAUAAGUGUUAGAUAUGGAAUUAAGUAAACUUAUAGUUUUGUAGGUUUCAGACACUGUCUCUUCAUAGUUAACAAUAUCAUGAACAGGUUUGUCAAACACGUCUAAAUUAUCGUCUAGUUCCUUUGAAGGAUCGAUUUAAAAUUGUAAAAAGUUCAAGUAAGUAAAGCUUUUUCAGAGUAGAUUUGAGCAAAUACAAGUCCUCCAAUUUUCUUUUUAAAGUUUUUUGAUGGUUUUAAGUUUACCAAAUUUUCUCGAAACAACAUAAGAUAAAUAUAAAAGAAGUGAAGUAUAAGUAAACUCAUAGCUUAAUCAGUAGAAAAAUCUCAUUCAAUGACUUUAGGAACUCUUUGUUGGACCAAAAUAUCUUUUAUCAUUUGUUACCAUAUUGAAAAAUUACCUUUUCCGUUAAAAAUUCUUAAAUUAAAAUUACAAGUUAUCAUUUUUACGAACCAUUAAAAAUGCACAGCGUCACAAUUAAACCAUACAAAGUAGUCCUAAGAUCAUAGAUAGUACACUCCGUUCUAGAUUCCAAGGGUUAAAUGAUAUUCGCGAUCUCAAUAUGAACGAAAUGUUCAAAUGGGUAAGGUUUAUGUAUGCUGGCGAAAUUAACGAUGCAAAUAGGUAUACUAGUCAAACAGUUUCAGUCACGGUAAACCACAAAGAUAAUAAGAUAAUUUUAUCAAACAGAAACUUCGAUCAUGUAACAGUUAAAAGCAAGUAAUUCCUAAAUUUUAGUACAAGCAAUGGUUAUACAACACGGCAACCACAAUCUGAUUGUCACCCCAUACGAUGAUGCACUAUUGCUAAAAUUUAAAUGAAAUAAGCCAAUUACCAAAGAGGACAACGUCGAAGGCACGUAAAUAUCAAGAGAUGUGAAUUUGAUGCUUUAGGACCAUCACUACUCGAGGGAAACACCAUCUAGGUCCACCACUAUUCGAAGAUAAAACUAUCUAGAUCAAUUGAUAAACAUAGGCCGAACAUCUAGGGGCAAAACUGUCUAGAUCCACUGUAUAACCUAAAACAGGAAAAUAAUAGUAGCAAAACGUUCAGAAUGACAACCAAACAACCUGUUUGAACAACUUUUCUCCGGUAGAUGCGAGAUGCGCCAUCGUAGGAGAGCCCACUCAUAGCCACCUUCGGUCAUCAUCCUCUUCAAAUGCUACAAACCCAGUGGCUCCUCCGCCUGCACAAUAUAGUUCUGACCUCUAUUUCACCAAACCCCUUUGGUUUGGCCGAAAAAGGGGAUUGCAGGUUCGACACUUUUGGGAUUUUUUGAUCCAGUUGAUUUUUGUUCUAAUUUUUUUCCUGAAAUCACCCAAAUCACCCUAUAGUCUCGAAACAUGACAAGCGUCAAUGAUAGAUGCUGACUAAACGCCAAAACCACCACCAAAGCUGACUAUGGGUUACCAUUAAAUAUGCGCCAAAUAAGAUGCUUAUAAAAAUAAUGCAGUGGGUCCAAAAUAAUAACUUCAUGCUUUAUCAAAAUUGAUCAUAUAUAUAUAUAUAUAUAUAUAUAUAAAAAUAAUAACUUCAUGCUUUAUCAAAAUUGAUCAUAUAUAUAUAUAUAUAUCACUUUAAAAUCAUCAAGCUCUUCGAGCUAUAAAGGACCAAUAGCUACCUGUAGGAAAAUUUGUGGGAAAAUAUAUGAGUGAUAGCUCAACAAGUAGAAAAGUUUGAAAAUAAUUAUACUUUCUCAUUUUUACAUUUUUGUAGAAAAUUGAGUUCAUAUCAUUCAAUAAUUCACAAAAUAACAUAAUACAAUUAUAACCAAGAAGCGAGACAUCCUUAUAAUGCUAAAAAAAUAUCAUCUUAUAUUCAUGAUAUAUUCAUUGGCUGAUAUAUGUACUAUAAUCUCAUCACAUCAACUCUACUGAAAAUUCCACCAAGAAUGUACCAUCUGAUUGAAAUCUGCAUUUCGUCCCUCAGGCCAAGCACUUUUGUCGUGGUCCUUUGCCCCCUUCGUGAACGAAAAUGAGUCUCAAAAUCUUUGAUAAUCAAUUCUAAAAUACAGCCAAGAUCCCUCUGUGAACUGUAUGUCCACGGUCAAGACCAAUAUCCGAUAAAGGCCCCUCCUUGUAUGAUAGAACAAGACCAAGGCAACUCUGUAAACUAGAAGAAGUAUAUAAUCAAGGAUAUUUUUCUGGUCGAUUUCAAUACCACAUAUCUUACAUUUCAAUUCAUAAGUAAUCCAUAUCCGACCUUUGAAUUCCAUAUAUAUCAUAGUGAAAGAACCUUCCAUAUUAAUCAUGUAAUUGACCAAAUAAUUCACAUAAUCUCACGUAAUAUAAUAGUAUAAGCACUUUAUCAAUAUUUGAAAAUAUGUAAGUUUUUCCACUUAUAUAUCUAUGCAUACAAAUCUGGCUAAAUUGAAGAAACUUCCCAAACUUUCACGUUACUGCCUGAAAUAAUGAUAUAAUUACUCAAAUGUAAACUCACCAAGUAAUUCAUCCAAUUCUAUAUUUAUUCUUGCAUAUCCACUUCUCUCAUUUUUCUUCUCUUUUAUUAAUAAUCAACUAAUCACCACGUAUGAUCAAAUUCAUUAAUCACUCAUACUUCCUUAAAGUAGCUACCUUAUAAAACCACUAUACAUAAUUCAAUCCAAUAGCUAGACCUUAAUACUUUCCCUUUAGUUUCAUCCAAACCUUUUAAAUCAGAGAAAACAAAGGUUUGACAAAAAACAACAAUAAAAUUCCAAGGUAUUGAAGUCUGGGAUCUAUUUCUGUAUGUUGAAAAUUGUCAUGAAACUAUUCACAAAACUAGCAGUUUCUUAGCAGAAUUUCAACAGUAGCACUAGUACAUAAAAUUUGCAUGAAAAUCAGUUAANNNNNNNNNNNNNNNNNNNNNNNNNNNNNNNNNNNNNNNNNNNNNNNNNNNNNNNNNNNNNNNNNNNNNNNNNNNNNNNNNNNNNNNNNNNNNNNNNNNNCCUGCUUUGGAGUCGGACUCAGACUCGGAGUCGGGUUCGGAAUCGGAGUCCGUGUCAGCGGAGUAAUCGGAAUUGUUGGCGGUGAGGUUGAGCAACUUGCGAAUAACCACUCGAGCUCGAGGCCAGAAAAGCUGCAGGCAUGUGCAACCGAAAGUGAUCAUUCUAAAAUUGGAAAGUUUUCUAAACCAUAAUGACUUCAUGAAACCAUCUUAAAAUUUCAUUACUUGAUCAUAUAGCUGACAGAUUCAUCUAUAAGUAAGAAGCUUGACCAAGAACAAUGAUUAUCAAACAGAUUACCUUUUUGUCUCCAAGCAAAUUUACGGUAUUGGAAUUAUAAGCUUCAAGUUGAGGAUUCUGCUUAUGAAAUGAAGAAUCGGGCCUGAAUCUGGAACUAGAGGAUAUGGAUCUGAUACUUAAUUCCCUCGAGUCAGCUAAAGAAUUCUGCUCAUGAAAUGAAGAAUCGGUCCCGGAUCUGAAUCUAGAGUAUGUGGAACUGAAACUUGAUCCCCUCGAGUCAGCUAAAGCAACUUCUCGGUCUUUUUCUCUCCGAAGCACAACUUCCACGAGUCUCCCCCAAUUAUCAUAGUUGAUAGACAUAUUCCUAUUUCCCGUUUAACAAAAAUCUUACAAAAUACAAAAUCUCAAACGAUCAAAUAAGAGAAGGCAGCUUCAGUUACUGAAUCUCAAACACGGAAUCUACAGAAAAGAUAAAAAAUGGGUUGUGUGAUUUUAAAAAUUCAGUCAUAGUCAACUGCAGCGUAUGAUCUAGAAUACACUUGCUACGAAUGGGGAAAGCUAGCCAGAAGCAUAAAUCGCGGUUGAAGAUGAACUUCAUACAUAUUUUAAAUUUGAUAAAGGAGGAAGCUUAUUAUUGUUAAAUAAGGGAAUUUCAUUGAUGGUCACUGAAGNNNNNNNNNNNNNNNNNNNNNNNNNNNNNNNNNNNNNNNNNNNNNNNNNNNNNNNNNNNNNNNNNNNNNNNNNNNNNNNNNNNNNNNNNNNNNNNNNNNNACUCAGGUUUCUAUUGAUGACCGUAGAAAAAUAAUUGAAAAGUUAGAUAAUAACAUUAUUAGCAGUAAUAAAUACUAAGUAGAGAAAGAUGAAAAUGGCAAUUAAAAUGAAACAAUUGCAUUGAAAGUUACCUUUUAGUUUGAUGAUACCAACUUAUGCCUUCCGAUGAUGUUAACAAGAAGUUUGAGACAUGUAAAAAAAUUGAAGGUGUGUGUGUGUGUGUGUGUGUGUGUGUGUGUGUGAGAGAGAGAGAGAGAGUGGCAUGUAAAUAAUGGAGGAUUUUGAAGAUUUUGGUGAGUUAUUUCUUUGUAAUGUAGACUUUGGUUGGUUCCAUUUUGAAUGUAACAAUAGAAAUUUGGAACUCGUCUAACAAACUAAAUUAAGUAAAUAUGUAAUUAUUUAGAAUAAAUACUGUGGAAAAACUCUUCAAGUGGCCUACUACCUUAUUUUUUAAACUUUGUAAGCACUAGACNNNNNNNNNNNNNNNNNNNNNNNNNNNNNNNNNNNNNNNNNNNNNNNNNNNNNNNNNNNNNNNNNNNNNNNNNNNNNNNNNNNNNNNNNNNNNNNNNNNNNNNNNNNNNNNNNNNNNNNNNNNNNNNNNNNNNNNNNNNNNNNNNNNNNNNNNNNNNNNNNNNNNNNNNNNNNNNNNNNNNNNNNNGAAUUAACUAGAAUUGAGCAUUACAUUGAAUGAGAUUUUGAUUUUUCCAUAUUAUUGAAGUUUUGAAAAUUAAAGAGAAGGUCAUGUCGAGAAGAAUCGUUUAUUAUUACAAUAUGUGUUAAGUGGAAGUGCAGAGAUUUAUAAUCUAGUACAAUUUUAUGAAUUUUUAUGCUUCUGCAUAUUAAUUCAAUAUAUAUAUAUAUAUAGAAAUUGAAUAGGUCCUCACAAAUUUGAUAAUAAGGUUUAAUGAAUCAAACUAUUGAAUAGGUAAAACAUGUAAUAGUUAGAACCAGAUCUAUUAUUGUGCUCAAUCUACCCCACUUCAAUUAAUUAAUUAUACAUUUGUCUUUACCUAUAAUAAUUAUUAAUUAGUAAGUUCAUUUUCAAUAAGACUUAUUGCUAGUAGGUAUCAUGGCACAUCAUGCUUAUCCUUUCUAGGUGAUAUUAAAUGGAAUUAUAGACCAAAAACUUUUGUCCCAUUGAUAUGUGUGCCAUUUUAAUGGUUAAUUAAGAUAUAGAAGCUAAAUAAAAUAUUGGGAUAAAAAUAAAAUAGAAAGUUAAAUUAGAAAUAAUAAAUGAAAAUAUGAAAAUUAGAACAAGCGAAAUAAAACACACAAAUCAAAAUAUAGAAGAUUUUAAUAUACAGAUUAAAGAGUUAUUAAAUUUAAAAGAAAUAAGACCAUCUAUUAGUCAACAUAGAUCAGUAGCCUUUAUGAUUAGAAAUUAUAGUGAAAUAAAAAGAGAAAAAGAAAGAAUUGUGACAAACUAUAAAAGAUUAAACGUUAACACUGUAAAGGAUGAAUAUAAGAUACCAGAUAAAGAUAUGCUAAUAAAUAAAAUACAAAAUAGCAAGAUAUUUUCUAAAUUUGAUUGUAAAUAUGAAUUUUGGCAAAUAAAAAUGGCAAAAGAUUCUAUUCCAUGGACAACCUUUACCAUUGCAUUAGGACAUUUUGAAUGGUUAGUCACGUCUUUUGGAUUGAAAAAUGUACACUCUAUUUUUCAAAGAAAGAUAGAUAUUAUAUUUAAUUCUCUUCCAUUUGUUUGUGUAUAUAUAGAUGACAUUUUAGUACAUAAUAAAGACUAUAAAAAUAUAUGAAACAUUUAGAAAUAACUUUAUAGAAAAUNNNNNUAUAGAAAAUGGUUUAAUAUAUAUAUAUAUAUAUAUAUAUAUAUAUAUAUAUAUAUAUAUAUAUAUAUAUAUAUAUAUAGAGAGAGAGAGAGAGAGAGAGAGAGAGAGAGAGAUGAAUGAUCUUUUAAGCACUGGUGCUUAACUUAUGUUAAGUAUCAAUGAUAUGACACAUCAUUUAAUUGGUGAAUCAUUAAAUACAUGAAAAUUAUUCAUCAAUUAAAUAUAUUGUCAUGUCACUGAUAUUUAGGAGAUCAGACUAUUAAAUAGGUGAACAUGUAAUAGUUAGAACCAAAUCAAUUAUUGGGCUCAAUCUAUCCCCACUUCAAUUAAUUAAUUAUACAUUUGUCUUUACCUUUAAUAAUUAUUAAUUAGUAAGUUCAUUUUCAAUAAGACUUAUUGCUAGUAGGUAUCACGGCUCAUCAUGCUUAUCCUUUCUAGGUGAUAUUAAAUGGAAUUAUAGACCAAAAACUUUUGUCCCAUCGAUAUGUGUGCCAACCCAAAGACACAAUAGUCAAACAAAUUGUACAAAGGGAAAAUUUCCUAACAAGGACCUAACUAGUAGGAGGACAUGAAAGUAACGUUUUUAACUAUAUAUGUCAUUGUUAGAUUCAUUCAUUCUAGUCUAAUUUUCCAUCAAAUCGCUCCACUUCAAACUUUGAGCUUGUCAUCAUUUUUGCAGCAAUUCCAUAAUUUGAACAGUGGACUCUAAUACCAUUCAUUGAAAAAAAAAAUCCAAUAUAUAGUCUUACGUACAUCACGAAAGUCAAAAUUGACAUAGUGAUACAUAAUUUAUGCCAUAAAUUGGCGAUGAAUGUCCUGCUAAUCUAUAUUUUUGUAUUUUCAACGUGGCCAAUGAAUCUGCAGGUAUCUUGUGUCCACAUAAACUUGAUUUCUACAAACUAGGACAAACAGUUAACCACACACUCCGACAAUUAAGAAGUUGUAUGUAUAUCAGCCCCUUGUAGCUUCGCUCGCCAUAAGUGUUCGAUUCUCGAUUCGGCUAAAUUGCCUCCUAGGCAGAAAUGACCUGGAGUAUGGGCCCAAGUUCGCCUGUCAUGGAACCGCCACAUAGAAAUUAUUAGAGCCUUGUUGGGCAAGGCGUAACAAAUGUUUAGAUCUUGUCGAUCUUAUUUGAGUCAAUUUUUCACCAAGAUUUAACCAGAAACCAUAGAUUCAUGUGUUAUUUUGAUAUGCACAUAUUAUCAAGCAAAUACGAGAAGUUUUAUUAUGACGCAAUGUUUGGCUAACGUUUAUGAUUUCCUUAGAAUUUGUCAAAUCACUUUUUAUUCACAAAUAGUAUUCACUUACUCGUAACUUAUUUUUACUUAUAUAAUAAUUAAUAUGUAGAUGAAUCAUAUAGUAAUUUCUUUUUGUCUUAAUUGCCAAGUUGCUUUCAAGUUAUUGUUGAAUGUCAAAGAAGAAGGAAGCCACAUUUUUCCUUUCACCUUCAGCAAAAAUAAACUUGGGCAGGGAAAUUAAAUUCAAAAAAUAGAAAAAUUGACAACAUUCCCCGUUUGAAACUCAUUUUUUGAUCAAAUCUUAUUAUUCUACAGUAGCAGGCAAAUUUAAAAUUAUAGAAUGAGUCAGUGCAAUUGUUAGAAUGAGUUAAUAUUGAUAAUGUCGUUGAGGCGUAUAGGACUAUUUUACCCUCACUUUGUAAUUGGAAAUUUACACAAGUACCCUCAACCAAUUGAACCAUUUAUGUAAAUUGAUGGAUUUAAUAUGUGGAGCGCUCCAUUGAAUUGUCAAAACGUGGCAGCUCUGGUUGUCAGACAAAAAUCAUAAUUUCAAAUGUGGGGCCCACAAGAAAAGAAAUGAGAUCGAAAAUUUUGGAAGAGUUGUGCUUCACGUACAUAUGCCAAUUUCACCGGCCUUUUCCAAAAUACACACAUAUGUGGGCUCACGUAAUUUUUUUUUAAAUAUAUGUGGGGCCCCUGCACGGUGAGGGGUCCUGUAAAACUUAUGUGACGCAAAUUCUGUACACUGGCAUUAGUGAUUUUGGAAAGAAUGGAAGGCAUACACACUUGAGAAAGAUUGAAUGAAACCCACUUAAGAAAAAUCAUCAGGCAAUCCAUCGUAAUUAAGAUUUUAAUUUUUUACUUCUUUUAAUAGUAUAUUCCUUACUCUUAAUACUACUACAAUUAUAUGAAUUUUAUGCAUCGGCAUAUUUAUUAAGAAAAAAUCUAUAAUAGAAAUUGAACAAGUCCUCAGAAGUUUGGUUAUAAGGUUUAAUGAAUGAAAUUAGACAAAUCACAAUAAAUGCUACGUUUUUCAUUAAUUCAAAAAUGUGUUAGACCAAUUAAUGUGGCCCCACGUAAUAUUAUAAAUAAAUUAAUAUUUGGUCUAUAUAUAUUAAAAAUCUGAUUGGUCAUUGAGAAGUGACAGUUUUGUAACUGCCCACUUUGAUGGAAAGUGGGUAGUUUUGACCUAAAAGAAAACUGCCUCUCUCUGCCUUUUUAACGUGAAUGAAAAACCAUCAAUAAGAACAUUCAAGAACAGUAAGGAAAAGAGAGAGAACAGUUUUCUUUAUUCUCACUGAUUUCUCUUUUGCAGAUUUAAUAAAUUCCAAUUUUCUUCAUAGAUCAAGGUAUGUUACUUGAUCAAAUUACUCAUACGUGAAAAUCAUAGAAUUCCAAGAUCUUGGCAUUAAAGUAUGAAUUCAUUGCUUACAUGUGGUAUCAGAGCACAAGUUAUGGAAUUCAUGAUUUUUCGUUAAAGAUUAAUGUUUUAUAUUCAUAGAUCUUUAAUUUUUCGUAUCGAUUUAUGGAUCAAUGCGUAAAAUAAGAAUGACAGAUUCCGCUGCAAAUAUGUUUCUGUUUUCUGAUUGACUGCUGUUAAAAUAAUAAAUGGAUCUUUGAUUUUUUACUGCACCGAUAUUAAUCUGUGAAAAGAGCAGUCCCUGUUUCAUCAGAAAAAUUACACAUCAAUUGCAUUUAUUAUUGUUUCACGUAUUAUGUAAAUUAACGGAUGGGAUGACUUCCGUAGAAAAUAUUAUUAAUUCUGUCAAACCUGAUGAAUUAUUAUUGGUUGAAGAAAAGUUGAUUUCUUGGUUUUCACAAUGAAAAGUGGAUCUGCCGUCCACUGUACGUAUAUAAUUUUGGAAGUUUCUGGGCUACCUUUCUGCCUAUGAAUUUAUGGGGACCAUUACCAUUUAUGACAUGAUUAUUAUAUGAAUAGAAAUUGGAAACCUGACACAUUGAAAGGAAAGAGUGCACGCCUAUAUUUAUGUCAAAUUGGCCUUUGUAUCAAAUGUUUAUUUCAAAAGGGCUCUAAUUCCAAGACAAUGGCAGAACUGUGUGCAUAUUAAUUUUAUACAGUAACUACAGAAGGUGGUACGCUCACUGUUGAAAUGACAGUAUAAAUGAGUGCCUAAUUUACUGUAGUAAUUCUGUAAUUAGUGUAGUUUGGGUGUCGAAUUUUUAAAGUAUCUGGGCCAUAUAUAUAUUAAUUACUGACUGCCUCACAUGAAUGAUUAAUUGUACCAUGUGAUUAGAUGACUGCUUCAAUUAAUUUAUCAUGUGUUUUGUGGCUGGUCAAAUGUACGUAAAUCUGAAAUUAAUGUUAUGUGAUAAAUAUUUUGUUUAUGUAAUUUAUGUUCAAUUAAUGUUGUUUGUUAGUCACCAAAGUGGCCAAACAUUAUGGGAUGUAAACAUUAAAUUACAUAAUUUAUUUGUCAAACACUCUUGAUAAUGUGAUGCUUAUAACAUGAAAUGACAUUAAAAUUAUUGAUGUCAAGAGUGUAUUGACGUUCAUAGAUUAUAAAAUUAUUAUGGAUCGCCCAAAGGUUGAUCGGUCAAUUUUAUUAAUCUUGAACAUGAUCGUGGUUAAUUGAUAUACUUAAUUGGAUGUGUUUUGUAUAUCCAAAGAUGACAGACAUGUUUGAUUGGAGUAUGAUUAAUUACCAAUUAAGUGAAAUUUAAUUAGCAUCACUAUGUUUAUUAUGAUGGUAUAACGUAGUAUCACCCAAAGGAGAACUACGGUAUACGUUUAUUGUUGUCCGAAUCUAAACUAAGUGUUUAAAUCAAAACUCAAAGCAUUAAUGUUAGAGCAUUUUAUAUUUUGCAGUAUCUGUUCCCAUUUCUCUGCAUUCGCAUGCUUCAUCUGUACCACUGUUCAAUGGGCUCAAUUUCUCUGACUGGUGUAAACAAGUCUAGUUCAACUUAGGUGUUUUGGGUUUGGACUUGGCACUUCAAGUUGAGAAACCUGCUGAUCUCACUGAUGAGAGCAGUGCUAAUGAAAAAUCUUUCCAUAAGGCUUGGAAAAGGUCUAACAGAUUAAGCCUAAUGUUUAUGCGAAUGACCUUGGCAAAGAAUAUCAAGUCUACUAUCCCUAAAACUGAGAGCGCCAAAGAAUAAAUGAAGUUUGUGGAAGAACGUUCCCAAACAGCUGACAAAUCGCUUGCUGGCACACUGAUGGGUACAUUAACCACCAUGAAAUUUGAUGGUUCUCGUACCAUGCAUGAGCACGUUACUGAAAUGAGUAACAUUGCAUCAAGACUUAAGACUCUUGGGAUGACUGUGGAUGAGAACUUCCUAGUACAGUUUAUCAUUAACUCUUUGCCUCCUGAGUAUGGUCCAUUCCAUAUGAAUUAUAAUACCUUAAAGGACAAAUGGAAUGUGAAUGAAUUGCACAGUAUGCUCGUGCAAGAGGAGACAAGGCUUAAGAAUCAAGGAACUCAUUCUAUUCAUCUUGUAAGUCGUCAAGGAGUUGGAAAGAAAUAUAAGAAAAGGUUUGGAAAUGGCAUUAAGCAAGGACCACUAAAGAUAAAUGAGUCUUCUGCCCAAAUCCACAAUAAGGAACACAAGAAAGAUGUGUGCCAUUUCUGUCGCAAACCUGGGCACCAUAAAAAGGACUGCUUGAAACGUAAGGCAUGGUUCGAAAGUAAAGGUAAGAUUAUUUCUUACGUAUGUUUCGAAUCUAAUUUGGCAGAAGUUCCUUAUAAUACUUGGUGGAUUGAUUCUGGAUGUACCACUCAUGUUACUAAUACGAUGCAGGGAUUCUUUUCAACCCAGACCAUAAAUCCAAAUGAAAAGUUUGUCCUCAUGGGAAAUCGAGUCAAAGCUCCAGUUGAAGCCAUUGGAACCUAUCGUUUGAUUUUAGAUACUGGAUAUCAUUUAGAUUUAUUUCAAACACUUUAUGUACCUUCCAUUUCUCGCAAUUUAGUUUCUCUAUCAAAACUUGAUUCCGCUGGAUAUUUCUGUAAUGGUGGAAAUGGAUGUUUGAAUUUGUUUAAGCAAGAUCAUCUUAUUGGUUCCGCUAUUCUUUGUGAUGGCUUAUAUAAAUUAAAGCUUGAUAAUCUUUUUGCUGAGACUCUUUUAACCUUGCAUCAUAAUGUUGGUACUAAACAUGGUUUACUGAAUGAACGGUCUGCUAACUUGUGGCAUAAACGUUUGGGUCACAUAUCCAAGGAAAGGAUGGAAAGAUUAGUAAAGAAUGAAAUUCUUCAUGACUUGGAUUUUAGUGAUCUUGGAAUUUGUGUGGAUUGUAUUAAGGGUAAACAAUCCAAACACACAAGAAGUACAUAGCUUCUUGAGAUAAUACACACCGAUAUAUGUGGGCCUUUUGAUGUUUCAUCAUUUGGUGGAGAAAAGUAUUUUAUCACCUUUAUUGAUGAUUUUUCACGUUAUGGCUAUGUUUAUUUGCUGCAUGAAAAGUCUCAAGCUGUAAAUGCUUUAGAGAUCUUUGUCAAUGAAGUUGAACGGCAAUUAGACAGAAAGGUAAAAAUUAUUAGAUCUGAUAGAGGUGGUGAAUAUUAUGGAAAAUAUGAUGAAACUGGACAACACCCUGGUCCAUUUGCUAAAUUUCUUGAAAGACAUGGCAUAUGUUCUCAAUACACUAUGCCAGGCACACCACAACAAAAUGGUGUGGCUGAAAGGCGUAAUCGUACUCUAAUAGAAAUGGUUAGGUGUAUGUUGAGCAAUUCAUCUUUACCUAUUUCCUUGUGGAUGUUUGCAUUAAAGACUGCCAUGUAUCUACAAAACAGGGUUCCUAGUAAGGCAGUUCCAAAGACUCUUUUUGAACUGUGGACGGGAAGGAAACCCAGUUUAAGGCACCUGCAUGUUUGGGGUUGCCCGGCAGAAGCAAGAAUUUAUAAUCCACAUGAAAAGAGCUGGACUCAAGAACAAUCAGUGGAUUUUUCAUUGGAUAUCCAGAAAAAAUCAAAGGGGUAUAGAUUUUAUUGUCCUAAUCAUAGUACUAAAAUUGUUGAAACUGGAAAUGCUAGGUUCAUUGAGAAUGGUGAAGUUAGUGGGAGUUUGGAACCACGAAAUGUGGAAAUAUAAGAAGUUAGAGUUCAAGUUUAUCUACCCUCAACUUCUUCUAAUGUUGUUGUUCCUCAAAUUGUUGGACGGCAUAACAAUUUACCUGAACAACAAAUAAAUGAACAAACACCCACAAUGAAGUUGCUACUAAUGAACCUGCAUUAAAUGAACCACAAGAAAUAGCAUUAAGAAGGUCACAAAGACAACGUAGACCUGCUAUUUCUGAUGAUUAUGUGGUUUACCUACAAGAGUCUGAAUUUGACUUGGGAAUUGUUGAUGAUGAUCCAGUUUCAUUUUCACUUGCCAUUGAGAGCGCCAAUUCUAAUAAGUGGUUAGAUGCUAUGAAAGAUGAGUUAAAAUCUAUGGAGCAUAAUGAAGUCUGGGAUCUCGUCGAAUUACCAGAAUCAUGUAAAAGAGUUGGGUGUAAAUGGGUCUUUAAGACCAAGCGCGACUCUAAUGGUAAUAUCGAACGAUAUAAAGCUAGACUAAUUGCCAAAGGUUUUACUAAAAAAAGUGGCAUUGAUUAUAAGGAGACAUUUUCGCCAGUCUCCAAGAAAGACUCACUCAGAAUUAUAAUGGCUUUAGUAGCUCAUUAUGACUUAGAGCUACAUCAAAUGGAUGUGAAAACCGCCUUUUUAAAUGGAAAUUUAGAAGAAGAAGUUUAUAUGGAUCAGCCUGAAGGUUUUUCAGUUAAAGGAAAGGAACACAUGGUGUGUAAGUUAAAGAAAUCAAUAUACGGACUUAAACAGGCUUCCCGUCAAUGGUAUCUUAAGUUCAACGAUAUCAUUAUUUCUUUUGGAUUUAAGGAAAACAUCAUUGACCGAUAUAUAUAUCUAAAGGUCAAUGGGAGCAAGUUUAUAUUUUUGAUUCUAUAUGUUGAUGAUAUCUUGCUAGCUACUAAUGAUCUUGAUCUAUUACACGAGACUAAGAAAUUUCUCUCUAAAAAUUUUGAGAUGAAAGAAAUGGGAGAGGCAACCUAUGUGAUUGGAAUUGAAAUAUUCCGUGAUAGGUCACAAGGAUUGUUAGGGUUGUCUCAAAAAGCAUAUAUCAAUAAAAUUUUAGAGAGAUUUAAAAUGGAAAAUUGUUCAGUGAGUGUCGUUCCAAUUCAGAAAGGAGACAAAUUUAGUCUCAUGCAAUGUCCUAAGAACGACUUGGAACGCAAACAAAUGGCAGCUAUUCCUUAUGCAUCUCUUGUUGGGAGCCUAAUGUAUGCUCAGACUUGCACCAGGCCAAACAUUAGUUUUGCUGUCGGAAUGCUGGGCAGGUAUCAAAGUAACCCAUGACUUGAUCAUUGGAAAGUUGCAAAGAAAGUAUUGAGAUACUUGCAAGGAACGAAAAAUCACAUGCUCACUUAUAGGAGAUCUGAUAACUUGGAGGUCAUUGGAUAUUCAGAUUCAGACUUUGCUGGAUGUAUGGAUACUAGAAAGUCUACAUUUAGCUAUUUGUUCCUCUUAGCUGGAGGGGCUAUAUCAUGGAAAAGUGCGAAACAGUCAGUUNNNNNNNNNNNNNNNNNNNNNNNNNNNNNNNNNNNNNNNNNNNNNNNNNNNNNNNNNNNNNNNNNNNNNNNNNNNNNNNNNNNNNNNNNNNNNNNNNNNNNNNNNNNNNNNNNNNNNNNNNNNNNNNNNNNNNNNNNNNNNNNNNNNNNNNNNNNNNNNNNNNNNNNNNNNNNNNNNNNNNNNNNNNNNNNNNNNNNNNNNNNNNNNNNNNNNNNNNNNNNNNNNNNNNNNNNNNNNNNNNNNNNNNNNNNNNNNNNNNNNNNNNNNNNNNNNNNNGGUGUCAAUCGAGCAUAUUAGCACCAAUCUUAUGAUUGCAGAUCCAUUAACGAAAGGAUUGCCACCAAAGACAUUUAAUGAACAUAUCGAAAGGAUGGGCAUUAUUGAAAAUUAUCAUUGACAUUAUUAUGUAAUUGAUGAUGCUUAUGUAUUGACACUUGGAGCUCAAUUAUGUAUUGUUUUUGACAAAUGUUAUUCCUGUCAUAAUUGUUGGUACAUGUACAUGAGUGAAUUAUCUGAAUGCUGACAGGAAUAGCCCUUUAAAGAUAUUAUUAGAAACUUCUCAUUACGUAUCAUGUUGAGUAAGGACUUAUAUUGUAGUACAUGGAAGGAAUUAUGCCAAAAUGAUGGUGUAAAAUCACCAUGACUCUUAUUCGUCAUUACUUAACGAUGAUAUAUUAAGUGACCAAUGUAUGAAGGAUUUUAGCUUAUCGUAUGCGCAUUAUGUUAUAGACCACAUAAUGAUGUAAUAUUACUCGGGCCAAGUGGGAGAAUGUUAGACCAAUUAAUGUGGCCCCACGUAAUAUUAUAAAUAAAUUAAUAUUUGGUCUAUAUAUAUUAAAAAUCUGAUUGGUCAUUGAGAUGUGAGAGUUUUGUAACUGCUCAUUUUGUUGGAAAGUGGGUAGUUUUGGCCUAAAAGAAAACUGUCUCUCUCUGCCUUUUUAACGUGAAUGAAAAACCAUCAAUAAGAACAUUCAAGAACAGUAAGGAAAAGAGAGAGAACAGUUUUCUUUAUUCUCACUGAUUUCUUUUUUGCAGAUUUAAUAAAUUCCAAUUUUCUUCAUGGAUCAAGGUAUGUUACUUGAUCAAAUUACUCAUACGUGAAAAUCAUAGAAUUCCAAGAUCUUUGCAUUAAAGUAUGAAUUAAUUGCUUACAAAAUGUCGAGAACGACAUUUUUAAAUGUAGAGAAAUGCCAUAUUCUAAAUGAAAUGUCAUUCUAGACAAAUGAAACGGUGUUCAAAUGUCGAGAAUGACAUAUAAAAUGUCGAGAAACAUUAUUUUAAUAUAACUUCUCAUGAAAGUCACUUCUCAAAAUUCGUGACAAAUUGAUAAAAAAUCAAAUGUCGAGAAUAUCAUUUUAAAAUAUAGCCUUUCAUUGAAGGCAUAAUAGAUAAGUUGACACUAAAUUCAAAUGAGUGAACACUUUUCAACUCAUACCCUUAAAAUUGAAUAUUCUUAAAAACGCCCAAUGAAACUAUUGAAUAGGUAAAAUUGUACUAGUUAGAAUCAUGUCUAUUCUUGGGGUCAAUGUACCUUCAAUAAAUUAAUGGGUAAAUAACACAAAACGUCUUUAUCUUUCAAUUUCAUUGUACAAAACAUCCUUAUCUUUUAUUUUUUAAUAUUUUCUCCCAUAUGUUCACCUUUUAUUGAGCAAAAAGUCAUUUUCAUCUUCUUUUUUUUUUUUUUUAACAAAAAGAUGAUUUUGCCCUUCCAUUUAAAUAAAACGAAAAGAAAAGAAAAUGAUUGAUUUUAACAAUAGUCCCAAAAUUUCAAAAAAUUACGAAUUAAUCACAAAUAUAUAAUUAAAAAAAAAUCAUUCCUCUCUUCCUGCACACACAUUGUUUAAUUUCAUUAAAUUUUUUCUGUAAUUAGUAACAGACACAAACCCAUUUUGUAGAAUUAAACAUCCAUAUGUCCUUUUGGUGUAAUUUCACUUCAGGAUAAUUCCUGGGUCAGAAUUUAGUGUUCAUUUCUUGAAAUUCCACUUGGGUAUCUUGAAUUUUGAAGUUAUUUUUCGAAAGAGAUCUUGAAGGAGGAUUAUGAAACGGGAUAAAAUGGCGAAAAGAUCCUCUUUUGGAAACAUUGUGAGGAGUCUUUCAAAUAUUACUAAUUCUUUGCUAAAUCUCAAAUCUCAUGCGACUGUGAAGAAGUUGCCCUCAGAUUCUGCUUCUGGCAAAGAUUUCAUUGACCAACUUGGUAAGGUAAUUUGUUCUGCAUUUUCUUUAUACAUCAUAUCUAUUAGCUUUUAAUAUAACUUUUUCUUUGAUAAUUAUUUUUUGUGAUUUAUGGUUUUUUGAAACAGGAAAACGUUGGAUUAUUGAAACUUGUUCGAGACAAAAAGUACUUUUUUUUAAUUUCUUACUGUCAGUGUGUUACCUUGAAUUGUAUAUUUGGUAUGCAGGGCGUCUGAAGAAGUUAGACAGUAUGAACAGAAUAAUAUAUAAAAUAUUAGCCUAUGGUUUGUUCAAUGAGAAUUGAAUUUUUUUUUUUUUUUUGAUCUUUAGAAAAAAAUGGGUCCUAUAUGUAAGUGCAAAAGUAAAAAAUGAUGGUUGAAAUAGUGGAAUAUCUGUUAAAAAAUUAAUUUUUUGGGGUGAAAAAUUACUACCCAACGGGCUUUUAAUCCUGCGGUAUCCAAUCCAUGCUGCCCACAAGUUUCUCAGAUUUUUUUUUUUUUUUUCAACAGUAAAAUCAUAGAGCUAUUAAAGAUUCAAAAUUUGAGAGAGAUGUUCAGAAGAUGUAGUUGCAGAACUGGAAUCUCGUACAAUCAAAUAGUUAUAUGUCUCGGUAAGUGCUUUUCGUUCGCAACCCUGGGCCAAAAACUGGGGGCUUAUUGGGGUGCGGGAUGGGGGGGGGGGGGUUGGCCGCGUAGCAUUUUUGUUUCAUUUUUGCCCAACUGGCAACUACACAGAUGUAAAAUAUUUUGUAGGAUAAUUUGACUGGUUUUUUUAUGUAUCAUAUUUCUUGUUAUCUAUGCAGGAACUUAAUUUGAGUAAAGAAAGUAUAAGCUUGACACUCAGAAUUCGAGAAUUGCAUCUUAUUUGUAGAGUGGACCUGGCUUUAAGCAUGCGGUUUCCUUUGUUUUUAACUUACUAUUUAUUUACCAUUGGUGAAGUCACUGUGUGUCUCGACCAGGGCUAGAGGGAUUUUUUGCCAUUAGUGAGUGAUUGUGUGAAGGAAGAAGAUGAAUGAUUUUUGUUUUUUUAGUUUUGAUUUUUAAUUACAUAUUUGUGAUUAAUUUGUAAUUUUUUGAAAUUUUGGGACUAUUGUUACAAUUAAUUUUUUCAUUUUUUUUUUAUUUGUAUAGAAAGGUUAAAUCGUCUUUUUAUUGAAAAAAUAAAUUAAAAGAACAUUUUGUAAGAUAAUGACGUCUUGUAUAAUAAAAUUGAAAGAUAUGAAUGUGUUGUGCUAUUUAUCCGUUAAUUGAUUAUACAUUUUGUCCUUAAGUUUAUUGUACUGUUUGACAUCUUUAAAAAUUCUAAAUUGUUUGUUACAGUAUUAUUUUUUACCAUAUAUUUCACAAAAUAUAAUAGUCUACACACAAAUUAAUAAGUUUUUUUUUUUUUUUUUUUACUUUUUAACUACACAAUUUCUUAAAAAUACUAUUCAAAAUUCUUCGACUUUUCAAAUAAUGAGCAACAAACAUUGACAGAUUAUUUCACCAGUCCACAUCAGCAUAUAAUUAUUGAUGAACAGUCCAUUUUCAAUUAUUAAAGUUAGUGUUGACAUCUCACAAACUUUAGGGCCAGUAGGUAAACUGGCACAUUCUUAUCUUUCAAUCAUUUUAUUUAUAAAAUAACUUUGCAAAGUAGAAGAGAAGAAAAUAUGGUUUCAUCCAUGGAAUUUUCUUCCGAUCUCAAUGAGAACCAAAAGACACGACUGUCAAACAAAAUUUAGACGAGAAAUUUCUUAAGAAGGACCUAAUUACUAGAGGAGGAAAUGAAAAGGCAACAUUAUUAUUAUUUUUUUUUUUAUAGGAAGAUUAAUUCUUUUUUAGUCUAUUGUUUAUGACAAAUCACCCCACUAGCUUAUGAAAGCAAUCCCAAAAUUAGAAGAGUGGGCUUUGAUAUUACUUAUAAGAAAAAGAAUCCUAAUAUAUGUUGUCUUAUGUGCAUUAUGAAAGCCAAAAUUGACAUAAAGACAUAAUUUCCGCCAUAAAUUGAUGAUAAAUGUCUAAAUCUUGUCGAUCCUAUUUGAUUUAGUUUUUCCCUCUACUACCCCAGAUUUUACUGGAAAGCAUAUAAAUCUGUGUUAUUUUGAUGUGCACAUAUUAUCAAGCAAAUAGGGAAUUUUUUUUUUUCACAAGUCCAUGUUUGGCUAAUGUUUAAUUUUAUUUUUUAAUAAACCGAUCAAAUCACUUUUUAUUCAUGGAUUUUAAAGAGGGUCACAAGUAUUAUUCACUUAUUCAUCACUUUUUAUUCAUGGAUUUUAAAUGUGUACAAAAACUUCCAAAAAUGCAGAUUAAUCAUGUAGUAAUUUCUUCUUGUACUCUUUUAUGGCUAAGUUUCUUGUAAUCAAGGAAAGAAAGAAACACAUUUGCCUUUCACCUUCAGCCGAAAAUGAACUUGGGCAGAGGAAUUAAAUUCGAAAAAUGAAAACUUGGACAUUAUGAAAUUUGAAUUAAGAAAAUUACUUAUUUUGACAAAUAAGUAACUUUUCAUUGAAGGCGUUAGUUACUUUUUUUAGCUUGCUAAAUGAUGUUUUUGUGCACUUCUCCUCCAUAGGCGACAGUGCUAAGCCGCUCCAGUCAAAUGUAUGAAGGAGAGAAAUAGCUCAUAAAUGUGAAAAUUACUUAGAAAAAACGAGAGUGUUCAAGGAAAAUGAGGGACCAACCCUCUAAUAUAUAUUUCUAAUUACCUUGUUAGAUUGGCAAAAUGGUUGCUAUGUAAGAACGCCUUAUAACAAAAAUAGCUUUUUAAAAGGUAACAUUCAUUGUAACAUAUAAUAAGUGUAUGUUGCCGUUUAUUACUGUAGUUGAGAUUGGACAAUGGUAUUUUAAUCAUAAUUGUUAUCACACCUAAAAUGCAAGGAUAUUAUAAGAAUUACUGUUUCUAGACUCCGUAGUUGUUUUCACACCUAUGAAAGCAUAUUCAGAGAGUCGAGAUCGAAGACACUAAUAUUUUAUCGAUAAAAAGCUAGUGAUCUGCACAUCCUUCAUGGAUUGAGGAUGGGCCUCAACAUCCUUCGUUAGUAAUAGGUUAAGCACUUUAUUCCCUAGUCAGUACAUGUUAGUGAUUUGAAAAUAAUGCAUUAACAAUUUUCUUUAUGGCACGCUAUGUUUUGCAUUAGCUUUGCACUAGUUUUAGUUCAAAUUUAAUAUAUUAUAUAUGGAACAGACUCUAUUUUUCUCACUUGGAAUCUCCUUCCUCGAAGUAUCCCUCUUUUGUAAAUUUCAACUUUAAAGGAAAAUCUUAACUAAUUAAACCAACUUAUUGAUCAAAUAUUGUCUUCUCUUAGAGACUGUGAAGAAAAACUAUAUGCUAAUUAUUUUUUUCUAGAUUGUUUUAUUGGUUUUCUUAGUUACAAAUUUAUGUUGACUUUCCUUGACUUUAAUUUUACGACAGAUUAAUUUUUUAAAAGAUUGUUUGUGUACUAAAUUUGGCUGGAAAAAUAUUAGUCAUGAAAUAAUUGAAAUAUUCCCUCUAUCCCAUUUAUAUAGGCAUACUUCCCUUAUUAUCUUGUCCCAUUUAUACACUCUUCUGUCUUUAUCGAGAAACCUUUUUUUUUUUUUUUUCAGCUUAGUAGCAUAGCUUUAUUUAAUUUGCCUAGUUAUAAUCAAUUCCUCUCACUUAAGCUUGAAAUUGUAUAGAUUUUAAUUUAUCUUCUUGAAAUUAUCCAAAUACAUGCCCACAUUUCCUACUACUUUUUUGAAACAUGAACAAAAAAAUAUUUCCCACUUUAUUUACUACUAGUUGUAAAUAAGGGUAGACUAGGAAACUUUUUUGCAAAAAUUGCUUUUUCAAUAAUAUUAAAAUAAAACUUCUUAUUCUGUGUGGGAAAAAAAUAGCCUAUACAAAUGGGACGGAGGGAGUACAAAUAAACAAAAAUAGUGUAUUAAACCAGAAAAUAAAUGCUUAAUAGCUUAUAAAGGAAAAAAAAAAUCUCUAAUAAUUAGUUGAAAUCCUUAGGUUUAAAAUCGAUCAUUUAGAUAACUUAAAUGCUUCAAACCUAGCAUUUGAGAUCCACAACACAAAUGCAACUUGUGCCCAUUGAUUUCUAGCAGUGCCCUUGCAGGAAUUACUUUUAAAAUCUAAAUUAUGCCCUGAACACAUGAUGUGUCCGGCCGGCCUAUGAUUUAAAAUCCUCAUUGUAAUAAUAAUAAUAAUAAUAAUAAUAAUAAUAAUAAUAAUAAUAAUCCAAAAAGAAUUAAUUUAGAUAUACAUUCGUAGAUGACAUUGUUGUUAACAUUGUGUGAGUUGUCAAAAUCUAUGAUAUAGUAUUGAUUGUCUAAAGUGUCAUUAAAAUCAAUAUAUAAUAUAUUGCCAACUCACAAUAAUGUAAUACAUGAUGUCAACACGCAGCAAGAUUGAUCCAAAAAGGCAAAGGAUUCAAAACUAAAACUUAUCCGCCCCGAAUAACUUCCGCAUUUCUUUAGCUGUCCACUUUGCAUUUAGUCCGACAACAUGAAACUUCAUAUGGCAUAUUCUAAGUUUAAAUAGGCGAAGACAGGCGUAAGGAUGUUAACGUUACAUUGUACCACAAGUAAUAACAAAUCAAGAAAGAAGGAAAUAACUUUUGCUAGCUAUGAUCAGUUGUAUGGUAGUUUAAUUCAUUCGCAAUUAUUUCUUCUUGAUCAUGAAUUCAUGGUAUAUAUUUACGAAAUGCCAAGAAAGAAAGAUGAACAAUUUAACAGAAAUGAAAUGCAGCAUUAUAUCUCUUAUGUUGUUUAUCACAUCUAAAGAAUUCAAUGAGAAAAUAGAGAAUUUAGUAAUAGUAUAUACUUGGUAAUUGUGAAGAAAUUUGGCUGGCGUGCUUAAUGGAACUACUGACAAGACGAAAUUGCAUUUAUCAGAAUGUUAGAGCCCUCGCCCAUUUCUCAGGUGAAUGCGCUCAUCUUCUUUAAAAGGAAUAGUUUCCCUUGACAAGACACGAAAAAGUAAAAUUCUAGCAAUUUUGAAGAAAGAAAGAAGGAAGGUGGUCUGGGUUUUCAAGAAAUUUACCCAUUUUGCAUUGUUUACAAGCUUUUCUUCGCAUUUAAGGUGAGAUAGUUUUGGUGCCAGGUCGGUUACAUGAUUUUCAAGUUUUAAAGUUAAUUAUAUGAUUUUAUGCUGGUAGUCUUGAGAAUUAGAAAUCAUAAUUCUAUUCCACCGAGAGCAAUCAAUUAAUAGAAAGAAAUAGGGAACAAUACAUAACUCACACCUUAACUAUACCCUAAUUCAAUUUUAAGAGAAAAGGUUUAAAAGUUCAAAACUCAUGUGGUAAUUAAUAAAUAUUAUAUAUAAAAUACAUUCUAACAAAUAUAUAUCCUAAAAUAAUGCUUUCAAUUACCAUACUCUACAAAACAACAAAUCAUAAAAAAUUUGGAAGACCAAGCAAGAGAGACCUUUCCACAGUAAUUUACCACCGCCGAAAUCUGAUUGUUCGAAAAUUAUCAGACUACUGCAAUCACAAAUUGAAAGCUAUCAGAAGAAAGAACAAAGAUAGAAUUUAUAGAGUACUCGUCGGAGCAAAUAACUUCGAAACCUGAUUAAUUGAAAUAUGUCGGAUAAUUUAAGUUAAAAGUUGGAAGUUGUCGGCACUAUGUACUAAAAGAUCGAACAAGAAAAAGAUUUACAGAGAACUCAUCGAAGCAAAUAACUUCAAUUCUCACCGUCAAAAUCUGGUUAAUUGAAAUUCGUCGGACAUUUGGGUUCACAAAUUAGAAGUUGUUGGCACUGUGUAUCAGAAUUUUUGAAGGCAACGAUCGAGAAAUCAAUGGCAUGUGACCAGUUCUCUUGAAUUUGUGACAUAUGACCUGUAAAUUGUGAUAUUGAUCCAAUGGCCCGUCACCAAUUCUCUUGGAUCUUUGGUCACCUAUAACCUAUAACAUAUAAGUUGUAACCUAUUAUCAGUGCAUGAAAAUAUACGACUCUGAUAUGUGACCAAUAAAUUUUGAUUCGUGGUCUAUUGGCAUUGAUCUGUGACCUAUAUAAUAUGAUCUGUGAAGUGCAAUAUGUGACCUAUGAACAUAAAUUAGUGAUAUGUGACCAGAUGGACAUGUGGCAUUUGAUCCGUGACCAAUUAAUUUUGAUAUGUGACCUGUUGACAUUAAUCUAUAGCCUAUAUAAUAUGAUUUGUGAAAUGUGACCUGUGAACUAAACAUGUGACUUGUAAACAUAAAUGGGUGAUUUGUGAUCAAUUCUAUUUGAUCUGUGACAUGUGGACAUUGGGUUGUCCACAUGUGAACAAAUAUGUGACCUUUAAACUGUGAACAAAUAGUGAGUCAUGAUUACAAAUUUAAUCACAAUCUCACACACAUAUUAUUUAUUGAUCGUAAAUUAUCUAUUUUUAUUGAUUUUAUAUUAUUUCUACAUCGCAAAUUAAUCCAAUUUUUUGGCUACAUAUCAUCUUUAUACAACCUCAACCCAACCAAAAACUAACACCAUAACCAUCAUUGGCACCGCCACCACUAGAACCCCCACCGUCACUUACAGCACCACUGUCACUGCCAACACCCACAGUGCAUCAUACCCGCAAAAACCACCAACAGCAAACAUGACAUCCAAACAAGAGAAAUAACUAACACACAAAAUAGGAAACAUUUGCCACCACUUUCAUCAAUCACCACAACUGUCAUCCAUCAUUGCUACUGCUAAGAAGUAAGAUCCCAAUACUGAAAACCACGUAGCUCGGAUUACUAGUAUAAAGCUCCUAGAGGAUGGAGGUUCUAACCGUCUCAAUGAUGCCUUCUCGAUUGCCAUUGAUCACAACAACUUUGCAGUCGCCACCGACGACGAGAAGUUGUUUGCUAAUUAACCGUAAUUUAUCCUGGUGAACGACUCUGUCUCCAGGAAAACAACAUAAACAGAAAUUCCCCUUCACUGCAACGCAGUACGCAACCAAGUGUCCCUCUAUGAGCCUCUGAGUGACGUCGAAAUGGGAUGGGUGGGUAGAGAAAGAAAAAGAGGAAAGAGAUAAUAGAGAAUAAAGAGCGACGUCGCUUUGGAAAGUUCACUUUGUUUCAAGCGCAGCUAAUAUGAUAAAAAUGAGCCAAAAUAUAUACAUGGUCAGACAACAGAGUCCAAGAACAUAUUUUGGUUGGUGGUCGAUGGCUAGAUUUGGGAGUGAAGAGAGAGAAGAGAGAAAAACGAGGGAUUGAUAGUGUUGGUGUUGGCGGGUGGGUAAAAAGUUGAAUUACUACCCAAUUUUUGAAUAAGUAAACAUUAAACUUUAUUUUUUAAAUAUAAUCUUUAAAUACCUCUCUCCCUGUAAUUUUCACAAAGAAAUAAAGACAUGCCAAAUGUAACGCCCCGUACUCUAGUAAUACGGAGGAUUACAAACAUGAGUCCUUUAGGGUUCACUCUUCCAUGCAAAAUUUCUGCUUUACUUAUCUCUUUAAACAAACAGCAAGCUUAAAUAGUGUUCUCCAUUUAAGCUGCGGGUUUACAACAUAAAAAAAUAAAAAAAUAAAAAAAUAAAAAAAAAAUUUGAUCAAGCAAACCUUGACGAAACUGUACAAAAUUUUACCGGAUGAUAAUAAACCCAUAUAUGUAUAACAUAUAAAAAUUUGGGAUCUCGACUAUAUUGUUUGAAGUACCAAUAUUUUUAGAGUAGGCUGGUCUGAAAUCCCGGAUCCAACAGUCACAGCUUACGAAAAAAUGCUACAAAAAUUUGUACGGGACUCCGAUUGACAAAAUUUCAGUUGCAUAUGAUAAAUAACUGAUAGGGCAUUAUUUUCCAUCUUGAGAUAUGCAAAAAUUCUUUUUUUUACAAAUCACAGUAAAAUUUCAAAGCAGUGGCAGAAGUUGGAAUUUAUUGAAAGACCUUGUUUCCCAGCUUCAACGAAAGAUAAACCUAAACUGAAAUUUAUUAGACUCGACAAGGAUUAUUUUCCAUAAAAAAAAUGAAAAUCUAAAACGUGAUAAAUAAAUCUCUCCAUAAUAAUUAUGCCAUCAAUGACGAGCCACUGCAAAAUCUUCGAUCAAUAUGAAAAUGUUAAAUAGGAAUGAGCAUCUCAAGAAUAAUCAGUAGGCUACACAAUUUAUAUAGAUUGCCUUGGUCAAUAAUUGAACCAAUGAUCAAACAUUUUACUUACGGAUCUGGUGAGCUUCCGCGACCAUCAGUUGAACAUAUAACAUUAAGAUUCUAAUGAGUCUCUACGACCAUCAGUUAAGCAUAUAACUUUUAUACAAUUUACAGUCAAGGGGAAAACCAUUAAGGAGCUUUACAUUCGUUCAUAAGCAAGUAUGAAGAAUAACAUAUAUGAAUGAAAAUUAAAUCCAUAUAAGAAUCAAUUAGUGUAGGAAUCCUACCUUAAUUAUUGGUGAUGACGUAGUCGUUGAAUCGAAUUUCAUUUCAAAACAUUUCUAAUAAUUAAAGGUGAAAUUGGAAUCUUUGUUCCCUGCUAUGUUUCGCUGGAUAUUUUUGAAAUUUGGAAUCCGUGUGCCUUUGAAGGUUGGGCGAAAGUUAAAUUCAAGGUAGUAGAAUUUGGAUAGGAAUAGGUUUCUCAUUAUAGGAUUAGGAUAGGCUUAACUAAUUCAAAUCUUUAAAUAAAUUUGACGUAAAUCCAAAUUGAAAUUUAAUUUAAAUUGCAUGAUUAAAAAAAGAAUAAAUAACUUCCAGAUAACUUUCAUACUAAACCAAAAUAUUGAAACACCCCAUUCCAUUUCACACGUCACAUUGCUGCCAAAAUUAAUUGAUUAAACCUCUAAUUAAGUGAAUUGAGCCUGUGAAUUCUUUGAACAUAAAUAUCAUGGGCCUACCUAAUCUGAAAUAACUUUUUCUCGAGUACAUAAUUCGCCAUUAAUAUGAGCUUCGAAACAAGCCCAAUAUUGAUAUGAAAAUUUUUGCUAGAUGAAUACUUGAUUAUUUGACCGAAAGACCUUUUUUUUUUUUUUUUUUGGGUGCAAGAUUUAUUUCUAACUUAGUCCAUUGGUAUCUCAAAUUAUAAAACAUGACAAGAUGAAAUAGAUUAAAAUUUAAUUUCAGUCGCUACACAAAAUUUAUAAAUGCUCAUCUCAAUGUGAAACUAUGUUAUCUUCUUACGUUAUAGUAAUUUACUAUGAUGGAAAAAGUUUACAAGAGAAAAUUGCACAUCUAUGAUCUUCUCUAACCUCUCUUUCUCUCUUUUAUGAUGAUGAUAUAAAAGAGUAAUAAAUGCUUCUACUUUAUAAGACAAAUUUAAAAAAAAAAAAAAAAAUUACGAGGACUCAAAUUUCUAAGACUAAAUUUAUAAGAACUCAAAUUCCUAAACUGUCAUUACUGAAAUUUUGGUUGAUCCUCCAUGAGCCAACAAUAAUUAGACUCUACAACUUAACAUAUAUUUGACCCCGGGUUUAAGAAUGAAUAUUAUGUAGUUUCCGAGAAUGAAUACAACGCACUUUUGUUUUUAUAAUUUACAUUGAAGCUAGAAAUUCUUGGCAACAUAUCUCAUUGAGCUUAAUUCCUUUAUUCUCAUUCCCUCUAAUACUCCAGGAUAUUGAUGGCUGCUAAACAAAGGGUAUAGAAUUUGACAUGUUAAGAUUUUUGGUGAAUAUUACGAAUGUAACUCUGCUUCUACCAUGUUGCGACGUUCUGUUAGGACUUGUGAUUCUAUCUUAAAAAAUCAACAUUAUUAAGAAGAGUAUCCCAAUUCUUUAUAAGUUGGUAUUCAUCUUUAUUCGAUGUGGAAUUUUUAUCCACAAAUGCCCCGCAAAAUCUGGCUCUUUUGAGCAAACAAAUCUUAAAAUUCAUGAACUCAUUUUUUAGUUUUAAUAAGAUCGAAUUGUUCGUUGAAGUUUAAUGGACUCUGAUACUAUGUUAAGAUUUGAGAUUCAAUUUUAAAAUGUCAACAUUAUAAUAAAGAGUAGCUCAAUCCUUUAUAAGUUAAUCUAUAUUUUCAUUUUUAUUCGAUGUCAAAAUUUUUUUUUUUUUUUUUUAAUUUUUACGAAAUUUAAAAAAAAAAAAAAAAAAAAAAAAAAAAAAAAAAAAAACGUUACUAUUCACGGGUACUGUUCACCCCCCGAAAUUUUUUUUUUAAAUUUAUCGUUUUCUGCAGUUCCCAAAAAAAAAACAAAAAAAAAGUGAAAAAAAAAGAAAAAAAAGAGAAGAAACAUCUUUUCUAUUAUUUACAGGUACAUCUUUUAUUCUGGUUGAUCUGGCUUGACUACUUCGACGAACGAAAGGGAAGUUCUUGUUUUUAUUUAUUGUUGGUUUAUAUUACUGUUUCAUUUUGAAAUUACAUCAAUUAAAUUUUUGUGCUACUGCUGAUCUAUUUUUAUCUAAACUUACGUAAUUGGAUCCAUUGACCUCGUUAAAUCUCACUUUAACCUGCUUAUUUUACGUGAUUAGGUUUUGGCUAGUAUUUGAUCAUUGCUUUAUUAUUUUACAUAUACUAGCAGUACUAGCUUGUUGUAUAUAAUUUUAGUCUCAAUUUAAAUUUAAAAAAAAAAAGCUCAAAUUUUUAUUUUCCAUUACUUGCACUUUUUGUUCGUUGAUCUCUCUAUUGUAUGUCAUUAAGUUGCUAUUACAGUGCAUGUAGUUACAUAUUGGUCAUCUUGUCACUUCUAGCUCUAGUACCUUAAACAUGAACCCCUCACAAUUCGAUGCACUCACCCGACAAAUAGCGGCUAUUCAAACUCAAAUGACCGCUACUCUUGAAGAGAGUAAGGCCCUAUCUGUUAGUUUGAAAAAUUUUAAACACAUCCCUCAUUCGAUUGAUGUUGAUAAUUCUAAGGUGUCCCCAUAAUAGACAACAUCGUCGACAAGGUAAUGAAAAAUACUUUCGACCCGAUCGUAAGGAUAGGGAUAGAAAUAGGAUCAGAUUAGUGAGCGAGAACGAGAUAAUUUUGAAAUUUUUACUCAAUGGAAUGCCCUUAAACAAGGAAAUCAAUUAGUGACUGAGUAUAUCGCGCAAUUUAAGGAAUUUCGAACCAAAUGUCAUUUAAUUGAGGAUGAGAGCACGACUUUGAGUAGGUUUAGCCAAGGCCUGAGAAAUGAUCUUAAGCGCAAGCUUUUCCUUCGAGGUGUCACUACUCUUGAUCACACUUACUCUUUAGCUCGAGAUUAUAAGUUGAUUAUUAGUACUCCAUAUGACAAGCAUGGUCAUCGUCGCUCAUCCAUCUCAUUAGCGUCGCCUCAUCAUAAGUCUAUCAUAAAACCGUCUCCAUCUAAUGUUCCUCCUAUUUGGAAAAAUAAUUGUAAAGGUCGUGAUAGUCCAAGAUCUUCUUUUCCAUGUAGAAAGCAUAUUGACGAUCAUCCUUCGGUGUCAUUGGCUCCAAUUCCUCCCGUUAAGUCCUUUCCAGGACCUCCCCCGUCUGAUGUUCCUCCAAUUUUGAAAAAUAAGGGUAAAAUUUUUUAUAAUCAUCAUUUGGCUUUAUUGGCUCCACCUCCUCCCAUUAAGUCCCUUUUAAGACUUCCCCCUUCUAAUGGUUCUCUAAUCUUGAAAAAUCAGGGUAGAAUUUCUGAAACUCCAAGGUCUUCUUCUCACUUGUUGUGCGUCAACUGUAAAGACUUUGGUCACAUAUCUUCUAAAUGUCCUAAUCGAACCUUAGUCAUGGAAGAACGAAAGAAUGUAAUAGAGGAGCCAUUAGAAGAUCUAGUCUAUGAACCUAAACUUGAAGAUUUUGAUGACUAGUGAGGACAUUUCCUUAGGUGGAAUCCAGACUCUUCUCGAGACUUUGGAUACUAUACCCCUUAUCUCCGACAAUUCUCGAUCACAUGUUAUAUGUCAUACCAUUACCCAAGUUAAAGAGCUUGAUGAUGUCACCAGUCACCCUUGAAAAAUCCAGUCGCCUAUGGUUAACACUAAGGCAAACUUAUCCACCACCGACCAACCUCAAAUUGAUGGUCAAAACAAAAGUGCUAACCAAAAUCCUAACAAUUUAUUACAGUCUCUAGUCCAGAAAAAUCUUGGGAAUUGGGACUUGAUCCCUCCAACUGUUCAAAUUGCAUAUAACGAUCCUGUGAACUGGUCUUUAGGUCUAAAACCCUUUGAAAUUAUUCUUGGUUGUGAACCUUUGAAACCUCUAGACCUUAUUCUCAUGCACCCACAUACUUGUGUGUCUAUGUCAAUUGAGAUAGUUGUAUCACAUUUUCAUAGCUUGCAUAUUGAGAUCAAUAAACAAUUUGAAGCAAGUAAAGCAUUAUAUAAAUCUCAAGUUGAUUGGCAUAAACAAUACUUUGAAUUUAAUAUUGAAAAUUAUGUUAUAUUGCAAGCGUGUAAUACUGAUCUUUUUAAAAUUUCAAAGCAUGUUGGUCAAAAUGCCUAUGUCAAUGACCUUUUAUCAAAUUAUGACCACCACCCUAUUUUAUUUGUUACGGACUUCGAUGCUUACAACGGCUAUUUUAGCCCCUCUGAUGACCCGUUUCUACUCCCACAUGAGAAUUCUCACACUGAAUCUUUUGCCAUGUCUGUUUCAAUCCCACCUAUCACAGCACACAAAAAUAAAAUUGAUGUUAUUUUGGAGAACAGCUUGUGUUGACCAAUAAUAGAGAGAUUCAGUGCUUUCUUGUUCGUUGGAUGGAUCGACUUGAUUCUGACGGUACAUGAAUUCCCAAAUAGAGACUUCAGCG
rnacentral:lncRNA from 1 species